UAAAUCUUAAAUCAUGUACUCAUCCUUUGGUGGUUUCUCCUCUUACUUGCGAAUGGGUCAGGGGUUGGGUUUUUUCUUCUUUAUCUUGUCAUGUGUCUGUUUGGGAGGGCCUUGCUUUUGUAGUGCACACACAGACAGCAUCAAACCUGGGGAAGGGCUUCAAUUCUCGAAGCUACUGGUUUCGGCACAAGGGACUUUCACACUGGGGUUCUUUAUCUUGGACACCCGCAGUUAUUUAGGAAUCUGGUACACAAGUGAUGUUAACAACAAGAAAGUUUGGGUUGCUAACAGAGACAACCCUAUAUCUGGCACCAAUGCAAAUCUCAUGCUGGAUGGCAAUGGAACAUUGAUGAUCAUUCACAGUGGGGGUGAUCCAAUUGUCUUGAAUUCCAAUCAAGCAUCCAGAAACUCCAUAGCUACCUUGCUUGAUUCUGGAAAUUUUGUUGUGUCAGCGUUAAAUUCAGAUGGAUCUGUGAAGCAGACACUAUGGGAAAGUUUCGAUGAUCCUACAGACACGCUCCUGCCUGGGAUGAAACUAGGCAUCAACUUGAAAACCGGGCAAAACUGGUCACUUGCUUCGUGGAUAAACGAACAAGUGCCUGAUCCUGGGACUUUCACUCUAGAAUGGAAUGGCACACAAUUGGUAAUAAAACGCCGAGGGGACAUCUACUGGAGCAGUGGAAUUCUGAAAGAUCGGAGUUUUGAGUUCAUUCAAACUCACCAUAACAUCUACUAUUUCAUCAGUGUUUGUAAUGACAACGAGAUCUACUUCAGCUAUUCAGUUCAAGACGGAGCUAUUUCAAAGUGGGUAUUGAACUGGAGAGGGGGAUUUUUUGACACUUACGGAACUCUAUUCGUGAAGGAAGAUAUGUGUGAUCCUUAUGACAAAUAUCCAGGGUGUGCAGUGCAAGAGCCACCCACUUGCAGGACUACAGACUUCCAAUUCAUGAAGCAAUCGGUUCUCAAUUCAGGAUAUCCAUCAUUAAUGAACAUAGAUACGAGCUUGGGCCUUAGUGAUUGUCAGGCUAUAUGCAGGAACAAUUGUUCUUGUACUGCUUGUAAUACUGUAUUCACCAAUGAAACUGGAUGUCAGUUUUGGAGGGAUAAAUUGCCACGAGCCCGAGUGGGGGAUGCAAAUCAGGAGGAGCUCUAUGUUUUGUCCUCAUCAAAAGACAUAGGUAAGAGGCUCUAUGUAUUGCAUUCCGAGAAGUAGCCAAAACAAAGUACUUGGUAAAUCUCACAUCUUCAUCAAAUUUACAAACCUACAAAAAAAGUCCUACUGUAUAAUCGUCUACCAUUAGAGGACCUAUAGCAAAACCAUUAAAGACCCUCUCUCUCUCUCUCUCUCGUUCUGCUCUAACAAUAAAAUUUAUUAACUUCUACCUAUGCAGGGAAGCCUUGGUGGAUAUGGAUUAUCAUUCUCGUUGUAGUAGUAUUUCUGUUCAUGUUAGCUGUCUUUUGUUGUUCACAGAGAAACUCCAGAGGUAGUAUUUUAACUUUUGUAGAUAAUAGCAAUGCCAUUUGUUAAUGGGUUGGAUAAUUGGACUUGUGGCUUCUGGUAUAACAGGGGAUGGAAAAAAGAGGGAAACUGCAAAAGAUAUUGACAAUGUCAAAGAGUUCAGUUUAGUUUCUGUUAUGGCUGCCACGAAUAACUUUUCAGAUGAAAAUAAAAUUGGAAAGGGUGGUUUUGGUUCUGUCUAUAAGGUAAUUAUAAUUUGUUGAAGUACCUCAUUUAAAGCUUCGUUAUGGAUUGUGGAUUAUUUUUGCAGGGGAUACUACCCGGGGGCCAAGAAAUAGCAGUAAAGAGACUUUCAGGGGUUUCCACAUGGGGAUUGGAUCAGUUCGUAAACGAAAGACUGAUUGUCAAUCAACAACACAGAAAUCUUAUCAGACUUUUGGGUUACUGCAGCGAGGGAGAAGAAAGGAUGUUAAUCUAUGAGCUGCUGCCCAACGGAAACUUGGAAGACUUGAUCUUUGGUUUUAAUACCUCCUUUUUUCCUUCCUGUUGUUUGCAUAACUUUUUCCUAUGUUUUUAUGUUUUUUUGCAUAAAACAAUUUACUAGUUGUGUUCACCCAAAAUUUCAGAUCCUGAUAGGAGAAAGGGGUUGGACUGGAAUACAUGGUGCAAUAUAAUUAAGGGGAUUGCGCAAGGACUUGAUUACUUGCACAACCAUUCAAGAUUAAACAUGGUUCAUGGAGAUCUAAAAGCAAGUAACAUCCUACUCGAUCAUGACAUGAACCCCAAAAUUUCUGAUUUUGGCACUGCCAGAAUUUUUGAGCGAAAUGAAUCAGAGCCACAAACCAGUAAACUUGUUGGAACAUUGUAAGUGCCUCGAAUCUUGUUUAUUUAUCUGCUUUCUUCUUCAGUCUAAUGGAUUGAACUUUCUAUUAUGGAUGCAGUGGUUACAUGCCACCUGAGUAUUUCAGUGAGGGAUGGUGUUCACCGAAAACAGAUGUUUAUAGCUUUGGGGUCCUGAUGUUGGAGAUUGUGAGCGGCCAGAGGAUUAUUCCCCCUGAUUGUAAGGAUGACAACUUAAGUCUUAUACGAAAUGUAAGUCCGUCAGAUCUCAUAUUAGUCUCGACAUACAUUAUUAUCAAUACCCAAUGCAUGCUUCCAAAAUUUUCAUACUAGCCUCAUAAGUAAAUGGUCCGUAAAAUGAACUGGGUUCAGGCUUGGAAGUUAUGGGGAGAAGGCAAUAGCUUGAAGCUAGUGGAUCCAGCGAUGGUGGGUCCCCACUCAACAACCCAAAUAGUGAGAUGGAUUCGUGUUGCUCUCUUGUGUAUACAGAAGCAUGAAGAGAGGCCUACAAUGUCAGAUGUUUGCUCCAUGCUUAACAGAAGGGACCCACCCGAGCCAAAUCCACCCGCAAUUUUUGCGCUCAGAUGAGCCAAGGAGUUGUUCUGAUCUGCAAGUGUAACUACUUGAGAGAUGGAAGGUGGAUCAAGAUGAGAUGAGAUGAGAAUUUGAUUCCCUCAUGGUAAGCUUUUCUUUAUUUACGUUUUGUUGAUUUAUAUAAGAUGACAACUGAACUGAAGCUGGUUUUAUGAUCAUUUGGAACAUAUUUGUACGCAUGUAUUCUGGAGCUCUAUUUGCCCUUUUUCUCUCCAAAACAUAUUAUGAUAUAUGUCUAUCUAUAUCUUCGUGUCUAUAUAUUUAUCUUAGCCAAAGUAGGCCAUGUAUAUGUUCUAUAAUUCAUUAUUUGCCAUUGAAUAAUGAUCAAAACACAAGGUGGCAACAGUGUGCAUGUUUAUGUCUUAGAGUCGAGAGGAAAUCUAUUCACAGUAAAAUUAUUCAAACAUGACUUAACAUCAACUAAGCAGACUAAAACAUAGAAUUUUGAUUUAUAACAUUUGUCACCCGUCACAGAAAGAUAAAUGUCUUCAUGAGGAUGCAUAAUAUAGAUAGCUUGAAGGUUGCUUUCCAAACUUCUAAUACCAAAUAGGGCAAAUCCAAGGUCUGUUACGCAGAACAUCCACAACAAUGAAUUUUUUUUUUCUUUUUUUUUUUCAAAGUGCAGAAUGGGCAAAUGAACAGUCAAAGCAUGCAUCUAAGCAACAAGCAGAAAAAUGAAAUCUGAAAAUGAGAACCUCGUAGGUAACAUCCUUCAACCAGUCAUACUAGGACCAUAGAACCAUAUCUUGAAGGUUUCUUUCCAAAGUUCUAAUCCCUUUCCCCUCCCUACCCAAGCUUUUGUUAUUUUGCUCCUUCCAAAAGCAACAUGCCAACUGAAAGAUGUUGUCGUCUUUACUCCUUUUCCGCUCAUUAACUUAAGACGCUAGCUAGCAUGCUCGCCUGCCUCAUUGCUCCUAGAAGCGCCCAAGUGAUGUUGGUUUAAGGGUAUGGAAACAAAUGACUAACCCAAAAGACACAAACAAAUAACAGAAUUAAUAAGAAGAAAAACUUAUUGAUUGAGGAGUGACAAACACUGUCCUUGAAAUAGAUCCACCCUCCUCGAAGACGAACUCGAUGCACUAGGGUACCAAUGGUCUACCUCCAGGAUUCAACACCCAGAUCUUACCUUGGGUGCACUUUGUAAGUGAGAUGUGUACAACUCGGGUUUUGAAGAAAUUCCUCCAGAUAGAUAUAUGAAAAUACUCUCUGAAAAAUUGGUAUUCAUAUAUAGAGAGUGAGGGGUGACCUGCUUUUAUAGGCCACUAACACAGUUCCAAUAGGACUCUACUUAUAAGCAUAAUAAGACUGAAAGUGGAGGAGGAUUCUACUUAUAAGUGGAAUGGGGCUCCACUAACACAAUCCCGAUAGGACUCUUCCCAAAAAUAUAAGACUAAUAGAAUAAAAUAAAAUAAAAUAAAAAUAAUUCUCAAUAGGAAUCUUCCCAAAAAUAUAGGACUAAUAGAAUAAAAUAAAAUAAAAUAAAAAUGAAAAUUAUUUACACUCUUCCUACAAUCCCCCACAGAGUGUAAACAUGAUUUUUUUAUUUUUAUUUUUUUGAGGAAAAAAAAAUCUAAUGCAUCAUUACUGGUGCCUAAAGGUUAUGAACCAGUCUUAGGACAAAUAAGUAUUGAAUCACAAAACACGGUGAAAAUAAAUUUCUAUAAACCAAUGUUUCUUGAUGUAACUCAAGGGACUUUUAUCCACAUUGGUUUCCUCAACUUCACUAUGAGCUGUACAAAACAGGUUGGCACAAAUAGGCCAUGCACCCUGCUUGGAUAUUCAUGAGAGCUUCAGAGAAUCUGCCUAAGUUCUCAUAGGAAGCAACCCCACCUCCACCUUCAUAUAGGUGAAUCCAUCGAGUAUGUUUUGCAUAAAACAUACCAUCCAUAAGGAAUAUGGUAUUCAUUAAGAGUAAACACUCAACCUUAGUCAAUGCAGAAUGCGCUCUAUCUGCAACAUAGGAAUACACUCUAAUACAAUUAGAGUUUAUAAAACACCUCGAGUCAACAAGUGAUUUGUUAUUACCCAUAUGAACCUACUUCAUGGAAUUUCCAUUCUAAUAGGUUGGGUUACCACCACUUUUGACUUCUGUAAUAGGCAUAAGUCGCAUCCCCCUCGAUGUUUCUUCCACUAGUUUCUUAGUUAGUGGUUUGGUCAAAGGAUCGGCCAAAUUCAACUCUGACCUCACAAAUUAUAGGGAUAUAACCCUUAUUUCAAGCAGUUGUCGCACAAUAUUGUGCCUUAGGCGUAUAUGUCUGUUCUUCCCAUUAAAUAUUUUACUCUUAGCCUUAGCAAUUGCAGCUUGGCUAUCACAACGCAUAGACAGAGACAGGGCUGGUCUCGUCCAUAAAGGGACAUUUGCUAAGAAGUUUCUAAGCCACUCAACCUCAAAACUUGCCUUUUCUAAGGCAAUAAACUCAACUUCCAUAGUAGAUCGAGUAAUGCAAGUUUUCUUGGUAGACUUCCAAGAAACUACACUUCCACCAAGGAUGAAAACAUAUCCACUAGUGGAUUUCAUCUUAUCUGAAUCUAAGAUCCAAUUUGCAUCACUAAAUCCUUCAAGGACACUUGGAAAUCCACUAAAGCACAAACCAUAGUCAAUGGUGCCUGUCAAGUACUUAAGGACUCUACGAACAACAGUCCAAUGGUCUUGAUUAGGACUUUGGGUGUACCAACUCAAUCUACCUACUGCAUAAGCAAUGUCAAGUCUGGUACAGUUCAUUAAGUACAUUAGUGAUACGUUCCCAAUUGGUGUCUCAGCUGAUUCAUGUCCUCUCAAUGGUCCCUGACAGUGGUACCAUUUGAUUCGUGUCCAACUGGUGUCCCUUGAUUGUGGUCCUCAAGGAGUAAUCAACAAAAUUUAUAACCUAUUACACCAUGUACUAGGAUAGCCUUAGCUAGCAUAGCAUAGUGGCACUAGGGUCGUUCACUGGGAUGGGUUUUCACUCCACAAUUGAUAUUAAUUCAAAGAUGAAUUGGUGCCUUUUCAUUUCAAGGUUAGCUUUAAAAGAAAACAUAAUCUUUGGUGGAAAAGGUUUGGUUUUAAGUUAACCAAAAAUAAUAACUGAUUUUAAUUACAAAGAAAAGUGUUUCUUGGAGUUUAGAUCACUAGGCUCAGGUUCUUUGUACAAAAAGGGAGUUUCGGUCACUUGUUUCUUUUCCUUGCAUUAGAGAAUUAACAUAUAGUUAAUUCUCUAACCGGUGUGGUAUAGAUGCUUCCCAUUAAUGGGUUCAAACACUAAAUCCCUCUCACUGAUGCACCUUGCAAUGGCUCAUGCCUCUCACCUAGCAUUUUCCAUUCAAGGUGAUCUUUAACCUUGGAUUACCCGUCAAAAGCUCGCAAGAGAUAACUAAUGGAUGUCUCCUUGGAGUCCAAAAGCUUACCAAGUGUUGGCUAUUCUAGAAAAUCCUACCUUCAAACCACCUUCCAAAGGCUCACAAGAGAUAAACUAGUGUAUCUCAAUGGACAGAGACCACUUGCCUUAUCAAGUGUUGGCCCAAGUGAUUUAAAGGCGUUUUAAGUUAACUAAAAAGAUAAAAACCAUUAAUGAGUCACACUUUCUCUUCAUUAAAAAUUGAAACAACAAAACUUUCAAUUUAUGCAUGAGGAAACUUACCCGGAUUUCUUCACUCCAAGAGACGAAGAGCCUAGCCUCUCAUCCUCUGAGGAAAAAUCCUUAGAGUUUGAUUGGCUAGAAAGAAAAAUAAUGAGAAAACAAAAAAUAUAUAUAUGAAAAGUAGAGCAAGUGCUUUGUAGAUAUAUUUCUUACUUAUACAAAAGGUUGUCUCUAAGAACAAGCUCCCGAGUCGAUUGAUGCCUGUGUAAAGGAAAUUACAAACUAUAUAUAAGAGGUUAUUCACCCUUUGUUCUUUUAAAGACUAAGGAAUCCUAUGAUAGGUGGGUUACAAAGAGAGUUUGGGGAUUUAGACAUCAAAUAUCUAAAGCAAAAAAUCUCAAAAUGUCGGUUGCAAAUAUCGGGAAGCUUUAGGAGAAAUUCCACAGCAAGAGGGCUGUGAAAUUUCGCAGCAAAAGGACAACAUUUUCGCAGCCCAAGGCUGAUUUCGCAGUCGUGCAAAAAUCUUCCUUCAACUUGGAGUGAUCGGCGUCCAAUGGAUGUAACUCCUUCAUUUCAACUCCGAAUCGUGCACCAUUUGAAGUAUUGGAUUAUUGACUUCCUAAGCUUCGAAACGACAUAUAGCAUGCAUAAAUUGAACUCUAAGAAGUGCUCCAAAAGUGGCUGACAUGACUGUCAUCAAGAAUGCUUCAUGUUAGAUUUCUCUUUGCUUCCCCUCCUUGCAUUCCGGAUUUGCUUAUGACAAAGGACUUUAAAGCUUCGGUUCUUCAUGUUUCUGAGAUUUCCAUUGCUUUGCCAUGGAUUCCAAAGAACUCUCCUCAAUCUUGGAUUGCUUUGGUGAUAAAAAAAAUAUCAAAACACCAAAACUUAACACAAUUUGAUUAGAAUUGAUUGCAAAGGUCCUUAAUAUGUUAAUUGGGUUAAAAGGUAAUAACUACUACUCAAAAGUGUUUAAAAGAGUUAAUUACAAGCUAUAAAAUAGCAAUUUUUGAGUAGUAAUCAAUUAGGCGCCCUAUGAUUUGAGCAUACUCUAUUUGGGCAACAAUAUGUUCUCUAUUUUUCUUCAGUUGUGAGAUGGGAUCAUAAGGAGUUGACACUGGUUUACAAUCAAAGUGUUCAAACUUCCUUAGGAUCUUUUCAACAUAGUGCUCUUGAGAAAGUUUAAGCUUAUUAGGUGUUCUAGUUAUUUUAAUUCCUAGAAUCACCUCUGCCUCUCCUAGGUCUUUCAUAUCAAACUUAGAACCUAGGAAUUUCUUGGUCUCACACACAACCUCUAAGCUAGUUACAAAGAUCAACAUGUCAUCAACAUAAAGAUAGAUGACUACACAUGUGUUAUCCUCAUACUUGUUGUAGAUACACUUAUCAACAUCAUUAAUGGAAUAUCCAUUAGUUACUAACACAUGAUCAAACUUGUUGUGCCACUGUUUGGGAGCUUGUUUUAACCCAUAUAGUGAUUUAACCAACUUACACACCUUUUUCUCCCUCUCUGGAACUACACAACCCUUAGGUUGUUCCAUAUAAAUUUCCUCUUCCAAAUCCCCAUUCAAGAAUGCAGUCUUGACAUCCAUUUGGUGUAUCACCAAAUUAUGAAUGGAAGCUAGAGCAAUCAAUACUCUAAUUGAUGCUAUUCUAGUCACAGGGGCAAAGGUGUCAAAGUAAUCUAUAUCCUUUCUUUGUUGAAAGCCUUUGGCAACUAACACUAUAAGAAAAAAGGGUAAUAAUGACGCUUUUUAGGCGUUAAUAAAUGUAUACGAUGACACUUCUCGAAAGCGUCCUUUUUGCCUCUGUCAAGGAAUGGGUGCAGGCAACCAUGUCGCUUCUAGACAGUGUCAUUGUUGAUUGGUUUAUAUUAACACAUUAAAAAAUGUCAUUAUUGAUCUACCUAUGUUAACACUUACACUAGCGCCAAGGAAUGGCCAAACUAUCAUUUGUCUAUUUCGACACUAAAAAAAGUGUCAUCUUAUGUGGAUAAUAAUAUUGAAAAUCCCCCUGUUGAAGUGAUAUAUUUUUGUAUGUCCUGUUAUAUAUAAUUUUGGCUACAUGAUUAUUUAUAAAGUACCAAACAAUAACUUCAAUAUUAAUAACUACAUCUUCCAAAAGAAAUUGAAUAAAUUUGGGAAUGAUAUAAUGAUAAAGAACUAAUGUCUACAUAGUUAAUUAAUACGCAAAUUUGUAAAUGUAUCAAAAUAUUUACAAGCAUAUUUUCCAACUUCAACAUAUAUAAAACAAGUAUACAUGUACCAAAAAACAAGGUCUCCAAAUUCCUUAUCAAAAAUAAUAUUACAAAAAGAAGAAGAAGAUGCCAAAAGUAUUUUUGUUGGUUGCAUAUCCACUCCUGAACUUGAAAUCUCUUACCUGUAUGCAUUUAAAAAAAAAAUUAAUAGAAGAAACAAAUUAUGUUUAGUUAAUAUACAUGCAAUAUUGAAAGUUAAAUCUAAAUCUAUAAAUGGUCCAUGAAAGAAGUGCAAAUGAGAAUAACUUGGUAUUUAAUGAGAUGUUAUGCUUCAAUGAAGAUGAAAAUUUUUUUAAUUUGAUACUUGUUUAUAAAAUAUUAAAAUACUUUUUUAGUUCAUUAUUAAGUUAGAGGAAACAAGUUAGGCUUUCAAUGGUAUAAAUUCUACAAUAUGGAAUGUAAUAUAAUAUUUUCUUAUCUAUGUCUAACAUAUCAAACUCAUUUCUCAUAAAUAAAUAUAUGAAUAUACCAAUAGGUAUGGUUUAUAAUUAGUUUCAAUCAUAAAUCAUCAUAUCUAGUAAUAUAAGACAUUUAAUAUUAACCAUUUGCAAAUGCCUUAAUUUCUUCUUACAACUUUCCUAUAUUACCAAAUUUAGUUAACUAAUAACAUUCCAUAAGGAAAAAAAGAGUAUUAAACUAAAAAUUAAAAGAGCAUAACCAAGGCAAUAGAAACCUACAAAUCAUUGGUUAAAUGUCAUGAUAACAACCAUUCUAAAACUUGCCUUUAUUUUCAAUUCCAAAAUUAUAACCCAAAUAUAAUAAUUAACCUUACACAAAAAAAAAGCUCUCUACCAUCCCUCCAUCCAACAACAACCUUUACAACAACAAUAACUUCUCCAUACAACAAUAACAAUUUCUCCAUACAACAAUAACAAUUUCUCCAUGUAACAACAACAACAACAAUAACAAUAACAAUAACAUUGAUGAUCGAUGGUGAUAAUUAUAUUAGUAAUAAUUUGAUUUGUUUAGUCCAAACAUAUAACAAUAACAACUUCUCUAUGCAACAACAACAAUAAUAAUGACAACAUUGAUGAUCAUGAUAUAAUAAUUUGAUUUAUUGAGUUCACAAAUUAUAUGCUUCUUCUCCAUACAACAAUAACAAAAAUAACUUCUCCAUGUAACAACAUUGGCGAUGAUGUAAUAAUUUGAUUUGUUAUAUUGAAAUAGAUUAUGUAUAAAACUAUUAUAUUCUAUCACUAUGGAGGAAAAAAUUACUUAUCAUGAGAUGAGAACUUAUGAGAAUCGUCAAAAUGUGAUCUACAACUCUUACUGGACUGAAAUGAGGGCAUCUGCAUACAUAAGAUGGUAAAUUAAAAAAAUUAGUCCAUUCAAGACUUCAUUAAUAAUGAAAAUCAAGCAUUAUAGAUGUUAAUUUAUACCUUCAGGCAUGGGUAAGAAUCAAUUGAGUUGCCAACAUAACCCACUCAGAUCGUACUUCAUUAAGCUCAACUUCACUAUACUAUUUUUUCCCUUUAAAGUAAUAAUUAAUUGUACAUACAUGAUGAUUAGUUAAGUUAACAAAAAAUUACUAAAGUAUAGAAACUAAUAAAAUUUAUUAAUGAGUAUAUACCUUUGUGGAUAGGAGGCUUGGAUCAACAAUUAUAUCUUUCAUGUAUCUCAUCACAUAAUAACCACACUCCACACUUCCUAGUUGUCUUGGGCACUAUAGGCACACAUAUGAAUUAUGGUACCAUAAAAACAUUAAUAUCAUGAUGUUUUAUGUCAUUAUUAUCUAAGUGACAAAACAUAAAACCAUAUUCAAAUUUUAGGGUUGAUAUAAGUGGUCAUAUGAUAUAUCUUACUCUAACCAAGUAACUUACCACUACUUUUACCCAUGUUGGCUCCCUCUUUGAUGAUCUUUGUUUCUUUGGUGGAUGAAUUCGUAGUGCCCUACAUGGAAAUGAAAAUUAACAUUUUAGAUACUAUGCACUAUAUUCAAGUAUGGAAAUGAAGACACUUACAUGUUAACAAUUUCCUUAAGAUCAUCACAUGGUUGCUUUUGCAUCGGAUCAAGGUAGUACGCAAUCAUUGUCCUCAUAUCCAAUGCCACCAAGACCCAGUGGAAACUACAAUAGUACAUUAGAUAUUAUUUAGUAAUUAGCAUUGAUUAAGCUAUUUAACAUUAAAAAAAAACUUAAUAUUUUUCAUAACUUACUCAGGGUUAUAUGGAAUAAAAAUGUAGUCAGCACGCUUUGCAUGCAUUAAAUGAUUUGCAAUCAACCUUGACCUAUUUUCCUUUGUUGUCUCACCCAUUCCAGCUUUAGAGACUAAAGCUGGAUUGAUAAAAGCAAAUCGUUCGGUGAGCCUUGCAUCACUUAGCUUUUUCUGUAGGUGCCUGUUUAAAUUCCACAUACCUUGAUAAGAAAUGACCAUUUUACUUUUAUAUAUAUAAAUUAACACACAUUAGCAAGUUAUAAAAUUAUUUACCAUAUAUAAUAUAUGACACAAUUAGCCGACACUUCCUUAAAUGAAAUUAUCAUAUCCAUGUCUUCUUUCAUAAGGAAGGUCUUAAAACUCUCGCCAAAUACAUCAUUUGGGACCUCCACACCUUGUGCUUUCCCCUCAUUUAGCAUGAGACCUACUAAUGCAUCAAAAUUGUUGAUAUCUUGAGGGUUUUCACCAAUUUUCAAGUCAUUUUCUGUUGUUUUUUGUCUUUUCCCUUUGUGAGAUCCCUAUAAAAGAAAGCACCAUGUUUUCAAAUGAUAUACAUAUCUUUAUAAACUAUUGUAAAUGAAAAUAACACACCUUAAUGAAUUUAGUACUCAAGUUGACUAAAUGGGUUGGCCAUAAAACUUGGUAGCCCACUGCCGCUCCAACUGUUGUAGCUUGUCCAGGAAUGGGAAUAGGAAGUGGUGUAUUUGACUCAUAGGGAGCAUCCAAAACAACUAGGUAGUUAGGACCACAAUCCAUUACAAUUGUUCCACCAGCCACUGUAUUUUCUCUGGUCCCUACUGCCAACUCACAUUUUCUUGCCUUCAAAAGUAAAUUAAAUUGUUAAUUUCAAUAUAAAAAAAUAAUCAAUAAAUGAAGUUUAAAGUGCAUUGACUAUGUUAGGGCUAUAUUUAAGACAUAAAGUUACAUAUUUUAUAAGUAAUAGUGGUAGUGGAAUAGAAUAUUACUAGUAGUAAUUAUACUGUAAUAGAAUCUACCUAAAAUGUAAGUAUUAAUCUAACAAAAAUAAAAGCAAUUGGAAGAAAUUAUUUAUGAAAAUUAUCUAGGAAUUUGUGACAAUUACGUCAUUGAACUAGGAAAUGUAAACUAAAAAUAACACACCUUCAUGUGUGGUUCUAUUUUCACAGGUAAGGUCUCCUCCUCAACUUUACGAAUUGGUUUCUCCACUACUUCGGGUAGAAGCAACAGUUUUGAUUUCAUGUUGGAACUACUCACAUCGGAUUGUGGUGUAGCAACUCCUAUCUGAGAUAGUCUCGCUAACACAUCAGCCUCAAACUUAACUUGACGUUCUUGAGGUUCUUUUAAAAUAUCCCUCACAACACGUUCUGACAUACUAUUGAAAUAUCGUCCAGGCGUGUAGUGCUUCCCUUUAGCUCGAACCCGACCAGUAUACUCAGGAGUACCUAGUGCUUGAGAAAGUAUGUCAUUGCUCCCACUAUAGCUUAUGCCACUAUCUUGAGACUCUUUCAUCAAUUCAUCCUAAAACAAAAGGAAGUUAUGAAGUUAACUUUCAAAUAAGUAAAACCAAAUAAGGUGCUUAAAGAUGUGAUUUUUGGGUACAAAAUGUCUACUUACUAUUUUUUCCACUACCGGUAGGACCACAUCAUCAUAGUUGCCAUCUUUUUUUUGCAUUGGCCUCUUCCAAAGUAAACUUCUAUCAAUGCUUUCUGUGGAGCCAACUUCAAUGAUCUAAUAGAAAUAGAAAAUUAAAGAUAGUUAUUAGAUGACACAUGUGGUUUUAUUUCUAUUUUUUUGUCAGAAAAGAAACAAUUAAGAAACCCAUAUAAAAUAUUCAUUCAUUACUUAUACAAUCAUAUAAAAUUAAACCACAAUAAGAAUUAACAAAAACUUACCAUCUCUUCUUCAAGUCCAACAUACCCUUUUCUACUUAGAUGAUGAUUAUAUAUAUGCUUCUUUCUUCUCUGUUUUUGUACUUCCCUAUAUUCCUACAAAUUAAAAUGGAUGCUUAGUAUAUAUAUGUGGAUGCAUGUAGUAUGUUUAAUGUUAAUUGUAUUUGUACCUGGAAUUUUUCAAACAACCUAUUUUUCACAAAAAUAUUCCAAUCUUCAUCAUCGAUAAAAUGAUAUUCAGCUGGUGGUUUCUUAAGAAGCUCUGGCUCAUCUUUGAAAGGAAGAAUAUGUUUCACAGUCAACGUGUUCUUAAAAGAUCGAAAACAUUUUCCCAAUGUAAGCAUACAAUUCCUUCUGCUUUUCUUGUCUAAUGUAAAAGCAAUCUACAAAUUAUAAAGUCAUUAGUUUCUCAAAAUUUGAAAGAAAUAUAGAGAUUGUAGAAAACUUAUUUAUGUUAAAAAAAAAAGUAACCUCAAUAGAGUCCCACAACUUAUCCUUCAAUUGUUCAGGGACAUCUCGCUAUGUGUUAUAUCUGAUUGGUACCAUCGUAUGUGCCAAUACACCUAAGUAGCUUGUUAGGUGCACAGAAGAUUCUCCUACAUAGAUACCAUCAGCAUUGUACUUUAUGACCAACUUUAUCCCUCUAUUCCUAUUCCUUAUAAUCAUGGAUUUCCUUGUUGUCCCUCUAUAUUUUUUUUGUGAAGGGGUUUUCUCUUCCUUUGAAUCCAUGCCUAUAACACAUCAAUGAGAAAUGAUAAGUAUACCCAUUAAUUGCAAGUAAAAUUGAAUUUUUUCUAACAUGAACUCAUAUUAGUAACAUGAACAUACUAGGGACAUUUUACAUGCUAGAUAACAAUAUUCACAUGUUGUCAUGAAAUAUUUAAAAAUAAUAAUAAUAAAAACUUACUAGAAGAUCCUCACCAAACUUUUUUCUUAUGGAACUAGAAAUCAUAAGCUUUGAACUGAGACAAAUUGAUAUCCUUGUAUUACCCUUUAGAUCACUUUGAGAUAUGUGUAUAAUAAUAAUCAUGAAAUAGGGAAUCAAUAAAUUUAGAGACAUGAUGAAUUUAAUCCACUUAGAAAAUAAAUAAACUAUUUACUGAAAUGCAGAAUUUCAAUAUUAACAAGUUAAUGGGAUAGUUACAACCUUCACAACAAAACAAUAAGGUCAUAAAUUUAGUUACAUAGAAGAUUUGUUAUCAAUCCAGAAUCCCUCACAGUCUCCUCGAAUGCAAAUGACAUCAGAGUCAUCCAUUGUAUCAAAUGAUUCAACUUGUGCCAAGGUGGUAAUGAGAGGAUGGUGUUCAAUAGAAUUAUCCAUGAAGUCAUCAGAAUCCUUUGCUGAAAAUGAGAAGUCCCUUUCAGGAGUUGACAAAACAACUGACCAUCUUGGAUCAAGCUGGUCUUGUACAUAGAAUACUUGCUUAGCUUGGGAGGCUAAAAUAAAUGGAUCUGAUUUAUGAGCCAUCUUAGUGAAGUCAACUAAUGUCAGCCCAAACUCAUCAACUUUGAUGCCGCUCUUAUUAUCAACCCAAUUGCAUUUGAAAACUGGAAUCCUAAACAUGGUAUAAUCAAGAUCCCAUAUCUCAGUAAUAAUACCAUAGAAACAUAGCUCACCAAAAACUGGAUUCUUAUCCUUGGCACUAGAAAUUUGCAUUGUUGUUGCUACAAUGCUAACUCCACUAUUCUGGGUAACUCGUAACUCAUCACGGUCUUUUGUAUUGUACUGACACCCAUUUAUAACAUAGCCAUGAUACUUGGCCACGUAGUGGGUAGGACCAUGUGCCAUCCAUCUUAAGGUUUCAGAUAUAGGUUCUUUGUCAGCAAUGGCAACUUCUACCUGUUUGAAUGGACAAUAGUUAUUAAUAUUUUUUAUGAUUAGUGCUAAGAAUGGUGCAAUUUUUAGAAUAAAUUCAAUACCUUUUUUCGUAACCAAUGAGUGAAUGUUCGCAUGUGUUAUUCUUGUAGCCACUUUUAUCUCUUAGAUUGACGAGGAUUGUUCAAUUUCAACCAUUUCAUGUGUUCUCUAUAAGAUAUGUAUAAGAAAGUAACAAUAAGUUUCCAAAAUUAGUUUAAGUAAUCUACACAUAAAAUCAAAAUAGUUGACCCUUACUCGAUAUAAGGUUGGAUGAUAGUUGUAUUUUCCAACACAUAAUGAUGUGCUUGCAACAACAAAUUACAAUCAACUUCGGUGAUAUGACCUCCACGAAUAGGUGCCCCAACUUUAUGGUCAACAUUAGUGCUACUAGGAACUCCAAUUGCAUCCACAUUUGAUAAGUACUCUGUACAAAAUUCAAUAGCUUCCUCUGCAAUGUAGCAUUCAACAAUGCAACCUUCAGGGUGGUUACGGUUUCGCACAUAACCCUUUAAUACUUUCAUGAACCUUUCAAAUGGGUACAUCCAUCUAAAAUAAACCGGUCCACAAAGUCUCACCUCUCUAACAAGAUGAACCGUUAAAUGAAUCAUGAUAUCAAAGAAGGAUGGCAGAAAGUACUUUUCAAGCAAGCACAAUGUCACAACAAGUUCAUUUUGUAACUGAUCCAAUGUAGACACAUCAACCACCUUCUUACAUAAAGCAUUGAAAAAAAGGCUCAAUCUAGCAAUAGCAUGUCGUACAUGCUUUGGCAAAAGUGAUCGCAAUGCCACUGGUAACAAUUGUUGCAUCAGUGUAUGAUAAUCAUGGGACUUCAGGCCAUAAAGCUUCAAAUCUUCCAUUGACACAAGAUUUCUAAAGUUUGAGCAAUACCCUUUAGGAACCUUUAACUCAGCCAAAGUUUGACAAAAUACUUUCUUCUCCUUUCUAGACAAUGUAUAACAUGCAGGUGGAAGGUAAGUUCGAUUCGAUUCAAACCUUGGUGCCAGUUCACACCUUAAGCCCAUGUCCAUAAGGUCUAGACGAGAAUUGAGUCCAUCUUUUGUCUUCCCUGGGAUGUUAAGUAAUGUACCAAUGAUGCUUUCACAAACAUUUUUCUCAAUGUGCAUUACAUCCAAAUUAUGACGAACAUGCAAAUAUCUCCAAUACUCAAGUUCAAAGAAUAUAGACUUUUUCUUCCAACAAUUGGUAUAAGUCACAUUGGAUUUUUCAUGUCUUCCCCUUUUUUUCCCCCAUGAAUUACAAAUGACAUUCAUUUUCAAUAGUAUUUCCUCUCCACUUAAUGGUUGUGGAGGUGAUCGAAACUUUUGCUCACCAUUGAAUGCCUUUCUAUGUUUUCUAAAAGGAUGAUUGCAUGGAAGAAAACGUCUGUGACCUGUAAAUGAGUUCUUUCUCCCAUGCUUCAACCUAUGUGAAUAGGUUUCCGGUCCACAUAUUGGACACGCAAAAUAUCCUUUGACUGUGCAACCAGAUAAGUUUCCAUAUGCAGGAAAGUCAUUUAUUGUCCAUAAUAGAACAACCCUUAAUGUAAAGACCUCUCUUUGAUAUGCAUCAUAAGCUUCUACCCCUAUCUCCCACAAGGUUUUAAGGUCCUCAAUCAAUGGUGCUAAAUAGAUAUCUAUGUCAUUUCCAGGUUGUUGUGGACCCGAUAUUAACAAAGAUAACAUCACAAAAUUUCUCUUCAUGCACAACCACGGUGGAAGGUUAUAAGUGAUCAUGACAACUGGCCAACAACUAUACCUGCUGCUCAAAGAACUAUGGGGAUUUAUGCCAUCUGCUGAAAUGGCAAGUUUAAGGUUUCUAGGUUUUGCAGCAAAAUCAGGUCAUCUAUGGUCAAUUACCUUCCAUGAUGGCGAGUCGGAUGGAUGACGCAUUUUUCCAUCAAAUUCUCCACCAUCUGCAUGCCAUAUGAGGUCUUUUGCAAUUUUUGAGGACUGAAACAUUCUUUUAAAUCGUGGGAUAGGUGGAAAAUACCACAUCACUUUAGCAGGAACUCCUUUACUCUUUUUGCUUCCUCUUCUAUUCACCUUCCACCUUGAAGCUCCACAUGUAGGACAUGAAGAUGCAUCUUUUAACUCAUUCCUAAAAAGUAUGCAAUCAUUGGGACAUGCAUGUAUUUUUUCAUAUUCCAUUCCCAAUGCAUUCAAUGUUUUUUUUGCUUCAUACAUAGACAAUGGCAACUCAUUGUUUACAGGCAACAUAUCACCAAGUAAGCUUAAUAGCUCGGAGAAGCUUUUAUCAGACCACCCAUAUCUUCCUUUCAGAUUGUAUAAUUUAACUAAAGCAGAUAAUUUGGUGAAGUUUUUGCAACCAGGAUACAAAGGUUUUUCAGCAUCUUCAAGCAACCUUUCAAAUAAUUUUGGAUUAGCCUUACAAUCAUCUUGUGCAGCUUCAACCAUUUCUACUGUAUGAUCCACAUUACCAAUAUGAAUUCUAUCAAAACAUUCAACCCUUGUAGUUGGGGGUCCACUACUUAGAGCUGCCUCCCCAUGCCAAAACCAAGUAUGGUAACUUUGGUCAAUUCCAUAAAAGAAUAGGUGUUCUCUAAUCUUUUGAGGAGUAUUGAAGAUCAAAUUUCCACACUGUAGAAAUGGGCAUUUGAUGGAGUUUUGAUUUGCAAAAUUUUGAACUGCAAAUGAAAUAAAAUUUUCAACCCCAUCCUCAUAGUCUUUUGAUCUUCUAUCUUUUGACAUCCAGGAACGAUUCAUUUGCCUAUAAUAGUUGAACUCAAUUCCUAUAUAGCAAACAUAAGCAAACAAUGGAAAUGGAAAAGACUUAGAAAAGUUACCUUUAGAAAACACUCAAAACUUUCAGUUUCUCAUUUGUGACAUCCAAAAUUUCUUUUAAACUUUCUAUGGACAAACAAUUAGGAUUCAAGUGUAAUAAAAAAUUUGAACCUCAUCCUCAAUAAAAAAAAAGGAUUAACAAUAUGACAAUAGAACCUUUUGAUGCAUGUUUUUAUGCCUUUUAACAUGUCUAUCAUCCAAAAUCAGGUAGUUGUUCCUAUCCCAUGUAGGAAUACAUAAUCCCUAUGUGUUAAUUGCCAAUAUACUCAAUUUCAUUUUAAAGAAAUUUUGGUAGCAUUUCCCCAUAGUUCUCCAAGUACACAAAAUGAACAAGGUAUAAUAUGUGACCUUGUUCAAAUAUGCACCCAGAGAACAAGAGGAAAUACUACCAAAAUUUCUAAAAAUUGAAUUAAGCACAAGCAAUUAACUUCAUAGAUAUUAUGUUUUCCUACACUGUCCAAUCGGACAAUUCAAACAUCAUUGCAAAAAAAAUAUCUUUAUCACAUUCUAGACAACUUGAAAGUGGCUUAGAUAAAACCUUUUUCACCUUUGAAAACUUAAAUGUCUUUAGUAUGUAAUAAGAGAAACUUUUAUCUUACAAUGAUAGUUGAAUGGGAACUCUAAGGUUUCAUGCAUGCAUGUUUGAUUAAAAUUAAAACACAAUUACUUAUUGAAUAAUCUAAUAAUUAUAAAACACCUAAAGUUGUUCCAUAAUUAUUGCUAUAUUUCAUCAUUAAACAAGAUUAUUAUAAGAAAGCAUACGUAUGGCCCAUGAUUUGCGAAUCAAGUCACACCAGUCUAUGUCAUAGCCUUGGGUCAAAAUUUGGGCCUUGGUAUCAAACUAAGCUGGGGAAUAACUCGUACAAUUCAGGUACUCAAUAAGAUUUAAACAAAAUUUAAAAUAACGCUUCCAUUAUAUUCUUCUAACCACCCAAAGUAAAAAUGGUAUUAUAAUUAAAAUAUGUUGGUUUGUAUAAGGAAAAAUAGUGUACCUUCCUCACUCUGUCUUUGUCUCGAGUCUUGCAUCACACACCUCUCGUAGUCCAAUGUAGGUCACUGUCUCUUAAAAUAUGUAUAUGCAAAACAAAUAAUAAAUAAAGAUAUAAAAUAAAUCCAUUAGUAGAUAUUAACAAAUAAAUACAAAAUAAAUUAAAAUAAGAAAUAAACUAAGAAGAAAAAACAUAUAAGUAAGAAAAAAAAGAUUUUCACAUGUGCAACAAUGGUUAGAUAUUUUUAAAAAUUUAUAAAAUUAUUAAAAUCAAACUAUUUUAGUUAUUAUUAUUUUUAAAUGGUAAUUAAUACUCAUAUAAAAUAAAAAUGAUACAAGUUUUGAAAUAUUCCAUUACCAUAUUUUGAGUAAUAUUUUUAAAGGGUUAAUUUAAUUCAUUUCCCCUCAAGAUUUGACUAAAUAUAAUGGCACCCGAUAAUAUGAAAUUUGAAGAAGUCCAUAAACUCUUCAAGUCUAUAAUUAGAAGUUCCUAGUAAGUUGUCACCCAUACUAAUGAAAUUUCUUGAGUCAACAUUAAUCUCGAACCUUUUUGCUACCUUCAUUACCUAUUUUGCCCCUUGACCACCUACUUAGUCCUCUUUACUUUGACCAUGUGUGUUUCUCUUACUUGCCCCUCUACUUUUAUGAAAAAAGCAUAUAGAAGAAGCCCAUUCAAGUUUUUAAUUUUCCUUUGUUUGGAUCAUUCCUUGAAACCUUCUAAAAUUUCCCUUGUACUUAGCCUCAACAUUAUAGGGUCCAAUAAAACUCUUAUAAAUAAAAUAAAAAGUGUAAUAAAUAUUAUAAAAUUAUUUUAUUAAAAAAAUUAAUAUAUAUAUAUAUAUAUAUUAUAAUUAUUAAAUUAUAUAAAAUCUUAUUCAAUAAUAAUAUUGUGAUAUUUAAUUAUAAUAUGUUUAAUUUUAAAAUAUAUUUAAUAUUAAAAUUAUGAUAUAUUUAAUUAAUAUAAUAAUGAUAUUAAAAACUUUUUACAAUUUAAUUAAAUAAAAAAAUUAUUUACAUAUAAAAUAAUUAUAAUUAAUUUAUUGUUUAAAGGAUUAUUUUAAUAUUUUGUGUAUAUAAAAACUUUUAAUAUAUAUAUAUAUAUAUAUAUAUAUAUAUAUAUAUAUAUAUAUAUAUAUAUAUAUAUAUAUAUAUAUAUAUAUAUAUAUAUAUAUAUAAUCAUAAGGGUUUUGAUUUCAACAAUGUAUAUUUUAUUAAGUAAAGAAAGAAGGGCAGCUUCCUUGAACUUUCAAUCCCAACUUGCAGAUUUUACACUUUCGGCAUCACAGGUAUAUUGAGGAGGACAAGGAAAAGUGCCAUCAAUGUAUCCUAAGAGGUCAUUGCUAAUUAAAACAGGGAGGAAUUUAUCUUUCCAGAGAAGAUAGUUGGUGGAAUCAAGUUUGAUUGGUAAUAUUCGGUGUAGCAAGUAGAGUGGAAGAAGGCAGUGAAUUCGAAAUAGAAAACUGAUAAGAAUGUGACAAAGAAGAAGGAAGAACAAAAGGAUAUGAUGGUGUAGAUAAAUAAGAAGAAGAAAAGAAUAGGGUGAAGGAAUUUAUUUGAGGAGAAUAGGAGAUGACAAAGUUGAUACCUGAGUCAAGAAGGGAGGAAGAACAGUGGUGGAGAUGACAGAUGGAGGUCCGGCAAGAGUGCUAGGAGGCAAGGACUUAAAAACCUGGGUCAACGACGAUGCCACUAAGGAUCCAGUGAGAAAUAGUUCUUUCCCCUUAGAAAUUUGACUCUCUCAAUACAAUCGCAUGUUUCCAUGAGAGAGGAGGAGCUGGUGUUUGGAACACCAUCAUCAAUAACCAGGUCUUUUAGUGCAUUCAUAUGUGCAGUGCUCCUUUCAAAUGGUGAGAAAACAGAAGAGAGUUCACCAUAGCUGUAGGGACAGCAGUGGAAGAUGGUGUCGCAGCCAUGGCAGAGGAGAUUGAGAGAGGAUGCAGCAGCUAGAACAAUGAUAGCGGCAGGUUUAGAAUCCUUUCAACGCACCAAAUUUAGAGUCAGACUUGACAGCCUUUCAAAGACGCGGAGGCAUAGAAUAUUCCUGAUUAAAAUAUGUGAGAUCAUAAGCACCAAGGAAAUCAACGACCCCACCACAGCUACUGCCACUCUCUGCCACCACAGCUACUGGCAUACUCCGCCACCACAGCUACUGCCACUCUCCGCCUCUUCUUCCACGACUGCAUGGUCAAAGGCUACGAUGCCUCAAUCCUCAUCUCCUCCAACUCCUUCAACACCGCCCAGCAUGACGCCGACAUCAACCUCUCCCUCCCAGGCACGAGUUUUGCCUCUCCAAUCAUCAGUCAUCAGUCAUGACUUUGUAGGAGGGAUGAGGUGGACCAAACAAGGCCUUCGGAAUGGCCCAAAUCCAGCCACAUCCAAGGUCCAAAUUCCUAUCCCCUAAAUUAAAAUUAAAAUUAUUAUUAUUAUUUACAUUCUGUAGAAGUUUCUUCUUUAAACCAAGCCCAUAUAUUUUGGACCUGGUGCCUCCCCCAAUCCUUGGUUGCCCAACAACUAAAACUCAAACCCAAGCCCACCAAAGAAAAUUUUAAAACACGUCAUGCCUUUGCCAGCUGUUCCCCUCUCAAUACCAUUUAAAAAUCCUCCAUUCUGUAGCUUUCUCAACUGCUGCAGCCGAACCUGUCUUCUCCUUGGUGUACGAACACGGCACGUCCAUACCUACAGGCGGUAGAGACUACACCUCAUUUCCCACGCCCUUGUGCUGGUGCGUGAGCCACCCACCACAUUACCCUCAACCUCCAUCCCGAUCACCAUGCUGGUUGCUACAUCUCCAUGGCAUUACAUUAGGCAAAAACAAGGCAGAACUUUCCACCACAACUAAAAGGAGAAGCUGGAACCAUACCUAUUACAACUUGCAGCGUACCAUACAACAAGAAGAAUAAAAAAUGCACUGUAUUUAUUUGGGAUACCAUUACUCUGAUUUUCUCCUCCCAAAAUAAUUUUCCCAUCUAUGAAACAAUAAUAUUAGAUUUUUGGAACAACGAAAACCCUUCCAUUUGUCUUCAUUUGUACUAAUCUAUUCAAGUUUGAGGAAAACAACAUUACUUGAGAAAGAGAUUUACCUGUAACUAUGAUGCUCUGUAGUAGAUUUUGACAAUGGUAACCUCCAAUGCAAGGAAGUUAGACAUGGCCAUUCCAACAGAUUAGGCCAUUUUAGUGGUGGACUUUGCAAGAGGAAUGGAUUUUGGCAAUUGAUGUGGAGUCAAAUGACUUUGCAAGGGGAAUGGAUUAGGGCAUUUUAGUUUCUUCAGUUCUGAAAUUGUGGAGGGAAUGUCUGGCGGGUGAGUGUAGAAAGGGAAAAACAUUUAAUUAAUAUAUAUUUAGAACAUAUAUAUCUAUAUAUAUAUAUACUAUUAUUUAAUGUCACCUAAUAUAAGCGCCAUCAAAUAUCACAACUAUGACACUGCUGAUUCCGUGCCCAAUUGGUGUCUCAGCUGAUUCGUGUCCAGCUGGUGCUCCUUGAUUGAGGGAGUAAUCAACAAAAUUUAUAACCUAUAACACCAUAUAAUAGGCUAGCAAAGACAAAGCUACUAUAGUAUAGCGGCUCUAGGAUCGUUCACUGGGAAGGAUUAACAAGCUAUCAAUGAUACCAAUUCCAAGUGAAUUGGUUUUGUUUCAUUUCAUGGUUAGCUUAAGAAGUAAAACACAAACUUUGAUUGGUAAAGGUUUAGACUUAAACUAACUAACAUAACAGAAGUUUGGAAUAAUUUAGAAAGAAAAGCAUUCCCUGGAGAGUUAGGUUCACUGGGGUGGUUCCUCAUGCAAAAGACACGGCUCUGGUCAGAUGGUUCAUUUCCUCGCGUUAGAGAUUCAACAUAUAGUCAAUUCUCUAACCGGUGUUGUACAGAGACUCCUUCAAUUAGAUUUCACUUUAAUUCUCUCACUGAUGCAACUUGCAAUGGUUUAAGCCUCUCACUAAGCCUCAACCAUUCAAGGUAAUCUUUAACAUUGGAUUACCCGUCAAAAGCUCGCAAGAGAUAACUAAUAGAUGUCUCCUUAGAGUCCAAAAGCUUACCAAGUGUUGGCUAUUCUAGAAAAUCCUACCCUAAAGUCACCUCCCAGAGGCUCGCAAGGGGUAAACUAGUGCAUUUCCAUGGUUGGAAAUCACUUGCCUUACCAAGUGUUGGCCCAGGUAACUCUAAGGUGUUUUAAGUUAACUAAAAAUAUAGAAAUCACUAAAGGAUUUCACUUCCUCUUCAUUACUAGUUAAAACCACAAAGCUUUACAUUCUUGCACUUGGAACCUUCCCCGGCAACCUUAGCUCCAAGGAACUAGAGGUUUAGUUACUCAUUCUCUAGGGAAAACUCCUCAGAGAAUUCAUAACUUAGAAAUAAAAUAAAAAUACAAAGUGAGAAGGUAAGGCAGUAGAAAGAACUGAACUUUACUUGCUUACCCAAACUUUUACAGAAGGAACUCCCUUCUUAGAACAGGCUCUCGAGAGGUAUAUAUAUGAACAUAAUAAAAAAACUAAUUAUUACAUAGAUAUUUACUCUUUUUACUAACUUAAAAGCUAAGGAAUCAUGUAAUUGGUGGCUUACAAGGAGUAUUUUGGGAUUUAGACAACAAAAAUCUGAUGUAAAAUAUCUUCCAAUGUCGGUAGCAAAUAUCGGGGUGCUUCAGGAACCAUUUCGCAAGAGAAAAUGGUGUCUGCGAGAUUUCGCAAACACUCAAGAGGGGCUGCGAAAUAUUUCGCAACAACAUGCUAUCUUCGCAGGGCUGCGAAGUUGGCUUCCACCUUGAGGUUCCAAGCUUCCCUCUCGCGGUAUAUGUCGGGCAUCUUCAGGAGGAAAUACACCCUACUGUACAAAAAGGAUGCGAAAUCAUUUCGCAACAAAAGGGUGAUUUCGCAGCACUUUGCAAAAUGCUUCCUUCAGCUCGGAGUGAUUGGCUUGCAAUGGCUGCAACUUCUUCGUUUCAACUUUGAAUUGCACACCGUUUGAAGCAGUGGAUUGUUGACUUCCUGAGAUUUGAAAUGGUAUAUAGCAUGCAUCAUUUGGACUUCAGAAAGUGCUCCAAAAGUGGCUGCUACGAUUGUCAUCAAGAAUAUGCUUCAUGGCAAAUUCUCUUUACUUUUUCUCCUUGCAAUCCGGAUUUACUCUUGGCAAAUGACUUCUAAGCUUUGCCCAAGAUUCCUCAUAGCUCUCCUCAGUCUUGACUUGCUUUGAUGAUUAAAUUACUAACAAAAACAUUAAAACUUACACAAAGUAAUCAAAAUUGCUUUCAAGGGUCCUUAACAUGUCAAUUGAGUUAAAAAGCCAAAACUACUACUCAAAAGUGUUUAAAAGGAUUAAUUAUAAGCUAUCAAAUAGCACUUUUUGAGUAGUAAUCACUCCCCCCAACCGACAUAUUGCUAGUCCCUUAGCAAAAUAGGAGAGAAAAAAUGAAAAUAAAAAGCAACCUAUACUAAAAUUUACAACAUCAUGCUGAUCAAAAUCAAUUCUCAAGUGGCAUGAUGAUAUAAUUCUCACAUGAAAAAUUAAAGAAAUACAAAUCCAAAUUUCAACAAGAGUCAUAAAAAACUAUGCUAAACACUGUCAAUCAAGGGAGUGCAUUAUGCAAACUGAAGUUUUAAAAUCAUUUCCACUUUCAAAGAACCAAACUUUAAUCUUCCACAAAAAUCUAUGUGUAUUGGUUCCUUAGCUUCCGAGAAUAAUAUGCUAAACUAAUCUCUCCCCCCAACCUAUCUCUUUUCAACACUUAGCAAACUGACCAAAAUCAAUAAGAAAAGAACACACUUUCAUUUUUUUUUUUUUUUUAAGGUAGCUUUAUGGGGUACUCUUUCUGACUUGUCCAUGUAAUGGGGGUCCAUCGAUGACUCCCAACCAAUUAAGGUUUAGGGCACCAAGCUUUAAGGAUCUUUCAACCACUAAUUCCUCGGAUUUUUCCCCAGACUUUUAAGAAUGAAUUUCUAAUACCCAAGCAUCUACCAUAUGUUAACUCUACCUAUUCACCCUUUUAACGAGCAUUAAGGUCGGUGACUCCCAACCAAUUAAGGCUUAGGGCACCAGGCUUUAAAGAUUUUCACCAUAUACCCCUCAGACCUUGCUCAGGUUUCAAGGCAAGCAAACAAUUUUCUUUAUUUCAAAGGCUCAUUGGCCUUUUGCAGGGUGUUUCAAUUUUUAUCAAAUGAGGUCAAAUGUACCAAGUCCCAAAAUUAUCCUAAGUCAAGAGGGAAAUAGUUUUUCAUCUUAUAAUCGGAAUCUAAUGUGCACAGUGUGUGAAUAGCUUAAAGUGGAAGAACUAAAUUCAAUUUCAAUAGAAGUUUAAACAAUUGAACCACUUUAGUGAGCAUAAUCCAUACUCUAAGUCAAGUGAAAAACAACAGUUCAAUUUCUCCUGUUUCAAUUUGAAAAUUUUUCCUCAAAAUUCAUGGAGAUUAGAGUAAAAAGAGUAAAAAGUAAAAAUUACAACUAAUUUACCAAAAUAAUUGCAUUACCAAAAAGACUUAUCAUACUUCCUUCCUCAUUCCCCCCAACCGAACUGAGCAUUGUCCUCAAUGUGAUAUGAGUGACUGUAAUUAAAGGGAGGAAGUGGUACCUCCUAAGUGAUAUCAAAUUCGAAUAUUGAUUGGAGAAACCACAUGUUUCAAAAAGAAUAAAAUAUGUGAGAAAAUGAAAUAAGAAUAAGUUAAUGCUAACUGUUAACAAGAAAUAUUAAACUUGUAUUACUUUAAAUUCAUUCGAGUACAAUGCAAAAGAAAAGUAAAACAAGCAAUCCCAAAUAUAGUACGAAAAUAAUGGGAUUUCUUUCCAACUAAAAAAUGAAAUACAUAAAACUAUUAGAUAUAUAUAAUAGUCUGAUGAGUGGGGUGGUGGGGCUAAGCAGAUGGGUCUGCCUCUUCAAUAGGUGCAUCAGCUGGGGCUUCAGGCUCUGGAGGAUGAGACUUUGAGGGAUGAGAGUGUGGCUCUGCUGGUGUAUCAGUGGAGGGCUCUACAGCUGGUGGCAGAUCGAAAUGAAGCUGGAGCUGCCUUAAGAUGGCAGCUUGUUGAGCCUGAGUGGCCAACAUCUGCUCUUGGCAUGCUCUAAUGGCUACCAUAUCUUGAGCAAGACUGCUUUGAGAAGCUGUGAGAGUCUCCAAUGCACGGCAUAACUCUCUAUAUUCAGAUAUAGGAAUAGCCAUCCUCGGUUCAGCUGAUGUGGAUGGCUGAGAUGAAGCUGGAGCAGCUGGUGGAGCUCUGGGAAUGGCAGGAGUAGCAACUGUUAUACCCUCAGGUAUAUGUCGUGGGGAUGCUCUCCUUGCAGCUGGCUGAGGCUGCUCAGGCUGAUCAACUUUGUAGGCUGUCAUGUUGUUCCAUUUAUCAAGAGUGAAUGGCUCACGGCAAAUGCGCUUUCUCUCCAGCUGAGGCUCAGAAGGAUAUCCCAAGUGCUCUAGAAUUUGGCAUAGCAGUCUUGGGAAGAGGAGGGGAAUGCAAUCAGCUCUCUGAAGCUUCUUUCUGUGAACCUUCUCUUCGAAAUAGAGAAGAACUGCUAGGAUCAGAUGAUGAGGCCCAAAGAAAAAUCCUUCUGACAUCUUGUAAAGAGCUUCUAAGAGGACUCCCCUUCUUUGGGUCCAAUGCUGCAAUGGGUAGAUAUUAUGACGCAAAAAUGCUUCAAUAAAAAACAUAAUUGGAGGAAGCUCCCCCCUCAACAGAUGUGAUCGAUUUGCAGCUCCUCUAGAAAGAGUGCGCACCAUCUCCAACUCAGUAGGAUUUGUCCAAGCUCUAAAAUUAUCGAAUUGGGUUGGCUCAUAGGGAAUUUGCAAGGCUUCAGCAAUAUGGUGUGCUCCUAAUAUGCCAUGUCUCCCAUCGAUAGUGAAAUGAAUCAAAGUUGGAUCCCUGACCUGGUUGGUUGUCAUCGAUUGAUAGAAAUCCGUGGCUACCCGGGGGUAGAAAAAGUCUCUCGAAGCUAGCAGUUGCUCCAUAUGGUACCUCCUCAGCAGCUGGAAUGAUUGGGCAAGCUCCGGCCUCACUCUGAAUGCCGGUAAGUCGAAGCAUAGCUCGGAAUGGAAUGGUCGAGCUCUACAAUCCAAGUUUCCCUCAAUUGGAGGCUGAGGUAGCAUUGGCUGCCUGAUUACUUCUUCCAGAGCUGUUUUGGAUGAAAUUUGGGGCUCGGGAAGUGGCGCUUGAGGCUCCUGAGAUUUUUCUUGCAGCGUCGGAGAUGGCACCGACGACGGAACUAGCACGGGACUCGGCGAGGGAACUGGAGUUGGAACCGGUGAUGGAAUUGGUGAAGGCUCUGGAGAUUGCUCAGUCAAAUCGAUGGGUUAUGAGCUCUGCACCCUGGGUCUCUUUUGCAGUGUACGACCUCUUGACCUGGUAAGGUAACGUUUCGCCGGAGGCUUUGGCGGCACUGGCUUCACCGGAGGAGGAAUUGCUUUCGGCUACGAAGGCUCUGGAGCAGAAUCUGGAACUGGCUCCUUUCGCAGACUCUUCUUGCGAUUCGAAGGAGAUGAAGAUUUAGCCCCUUGUGUUCGCGCCAUUUCGGGAUACCGAACUUUGGCCGACGUUGCUGAUCGGAGAAGAUGACCGGAUGCUUGGACGGUGUGGCUCACUAAAGAAGACGAACAACUUGCGAGAAUGGCGCUUUGAUUUUUGAAACCCUUUUCGCAACUCAAAUGACCGGUAUAAAUAGGAAAAACGGAAGCCUAAGGGUCAGUUUAAGUUUCGCAACAAAACGCCAAUUUCGCAGCAAAAUGCCAUUUUCGCAGCAAAAUGCUAUUUUCGCAGCAACUUCGCAAUGCGUUUCGCAGCUGCGAAAUGAGAGUUCCUGUGCUGCGAAGUGGCACUCGUGUGCCAAAAAUGCCUUCGCAGCUGCGAAAUACCCUCCGGAAUGGGACUUUUGGUGCGAAAUCUGGGCUUUACCACUUUGCAAUGCGUUUCGCAGCUGCCAAAUGAGAGCUCCUGUGCUGCGAAGUGGCACUCGUGUGCCAAAAACGCCUUCGCAGCUGCGAAAUACCCUCGCAGAGACUUCUACAGUGUUGCGGAAUGGUUUUGCAGCAUAGUGCUGAUUUCGCAGAGGCUGCGAAAUCUCGCAGAGCUCUGUUUUUUUGCUCUGGUUUUGCUCCGAUUUCGAUCCGAUUCUUUUCCUUUCAAUUUCCUUGCAAUUUCUUCCACCUGGGAUCAUUCAAAAAGAUUAAAAUACACAUAAAAAACAUGAUUUAAGAUCAAAAACUAAGAUCAAAAGUAUGGAAACAACUUGAAAAUUUACAAAAUUUACAAAAAUUUUGGACUGUGGUAAAACCACGUCCAGCAAACCCUUCUUUGCUUAGGCUUUUUGAGGCUCAAGGAGGUUGAUCUCCUAUUUUUCUAGUUUGAAUGGCUUCAUGAAUGGCUUGAGAUGAUAUCCAUUAACUUUGAAGGUGUCCUUGCCAUUGAAAUUCAAUAAUUCCACCACUCCAUUGGAAUAUACUCGGUGAAUUAUGAACGGGCCUAUCCAUCUUGACUUGAGCUUCCCAGGAAAGAUAUGGAGUCUUGUGUCAUACAGUAAAACUCUUUGCCCUUCUUGAAAUUCCUUGUUGGAAAUGAGUUGGUCAUGCCACUUCUUCAUCCUCUGUUUUGCAACUUUGGAAUUGAUAUAAGCAUUAUUUCUUAAUUCCUCCAUCUCAUUAAGGUUUAGAUAUCUCUUUUCGCCUGCCUUGAUCAAGUCCAUAUUCAGCUUCUUUAUUGCCCACCAAGCCUUGUAUUCAACUUCCACAAGGAGAUGGCAUGCUUUGCCAUAGACAAGACGAUAGGGAGACAUGCCAAGAAUAGUCUUAUAAGCUGUUCUAUAUGCCCACAAUGAAUCAUGAAGCCUAAUAGACCAAUCCUUUCUGUUGGAAUUCACCACUUUCAUCAAUAUGUUCUUUAUUUCCCUGUUAGCUAGCUCAACUUGCCCGGAAGUCUGAGGAUGAUAAGGUGUAGCCACCUUAUGCUUCACUCCAUACUUGGAUAACAAAGCUUCAAAAGGUUUGUUGCAAAAAUGAGCACCUCCAUCACUGAUUAUGGCUUUGGGCACCCCAAAUCUUGAGAAAAUGUUCUCUUUAAGAAACUUGAGAACCACCCUGUGAUCAUUUUGUUUACAGGGGAUUGCCUCAACCCAUUUAGAAACAUAAUCCACCCCCACCAAGAUGUAAGAAUUACCAAAAGACAUUGGGAAAGGUCCCAUGAAGUCAAUGCCCCAUACAUCAAAUAGCUCAACUAUUAGAAUGGGGUUCAUAGGCAUUUGAUUUCUUUUUGUUAGCUUUCCAAGCCUUUGGCAUCUAUCACAACUUCUACACAUGAUGUGGGCAUCUUUGAAAAGAGAUGGCCAAGUAAACCCUGAUUGCAAUACCUUCAUGGCUAUUUUCUGAGAGGCAAAGUGGCCUCCACAUGCAUUCUCAUGACAAUGAGAUAGAAUCCCUUGCUGCUCAUCUUCAGGGACACACUUCCUUAUUAUCUAAUCUGCACAAUACUUAAAAAGAAAGGGCUCUUCCCAAUAAUAAGCAUGAAUUUUGGCAAAGAAGUGCUUCAUGUCCUGUGCAUUCCACUCACUUGGAAUUUCUCCAGUUACUAAAUAAUUAGCAAUAUGAGCAUACCAAGGAGUUUUCACUAGGAACAUGAGUGAUUCUCCAGGAAAAUCAUCAUUAAUAGGCACGGGAUGGGAAUUAUGUGCUAUAAUUAACCUUUAAAGGUGGUCAGCUACUACAUUCUCCACUCCUUUCUUAUCUUUGAUUUGGAGAUCGAAUUCUAGUAACAAAAGAAUCCAUCUAAUCAACCUUGCUUUUGCAUCUUGCUUUGUCAAUAAAUACUUCAAGGCUGAAUGGUCAGUGAAGACAAUGAUGAAAGACCCCACUAAGUAAGCACGAAAUUUGUCCAAAGCAAAUACCACAGCUAACAAUUUUUUCUCUAUAGUUGUGUAGUUCCUUUAAGCUUCAUUUAGUGUUUUACUUGCAUAGUAAAUUACAUAGGGCUUCCCAUCUUCUCUUUGGCCAAGCACAGCUCCUAUAGCAAAGUCACUGGCAUCACACAUCAGUUCAAAAGGUAAUUGCCAGUUAGGGGCUCUCACUAUUGGAGUUGUUGUUAAAAAUUUUUUCAGUUGAUCAACGCUAUUUUGACACCUUUCAUCCCAUAUAAACUUAGCAUCCUUAGCUAACAGCUCACAAAGAGGUUUUGAAAGACUUGAAAAACCUUUUAUAAACCGCCUAUAGAACCCUGCAUGGCCAAGGAACUGUCUUACUCCUUUCACAGUUGUUGGGGAUGGUAAUUUGACAAUAAGCUCCACCUUUGCUUUAUCAACUUCAAUGCCUUUUUCAGAGAUGAUAUGGCCAAGGACAAUUCCUUGAUGUACCAUAAAAUGGCAUUUCUCCCAGUUGAGCACCAGGUCUUUUUCAAUGCAUCUGUGAAGAACUGCUUCCAAAUUAAACAAGCAUUCCUCAAAUGUACCUCCAUAUACGGUGAUGUCAUCCAUGAAAACCUCCAUAAUUCUCUCCACCAUAUCACUGAAAAUACUCAACAUACAUCUUUGAAAUGUAGCAGGUGCAUUGCAUAAACCAAAAGGCAUUCUCCUAUAAGCAUAUGUUCCAAAUGGACAUGUAAAAGUGGUCUUUUCCUGAUCUGCCAAAUUAAUUUCAAUCUGAAAAUACCCUGAAUACCCAUCCAAGAAACAAUAAAAUGGAUGUCUAGAGACUCUCUCCAGCACUUGAUCAAUAAAUGGCAAUGGAAAAUGAUCUUUCCUGGUUACAACAUUCAGCUUUCUAUAAUCAAUACACACCCUCCAGCCUGAAGUGAGGCGUGUAGUAAUUUCUUCCCCUUUUUCAUUUUGAACCACUGUGAUCCCUGACUUCUUUGGUACCACUUGAGUAGCAAGCCCAAUAGGAGAUUCAGACAAACCUUCUUCAAAAUUCACAAGACUUUCAUUCAACUUGUCUUGCAUAUUUUGAUUACAGUGCUCCUCCACCAAAGUAUCAAUAAUGCACAGCUCUUCUGGACCUUCUUCUUCUUCCAGAGUGAUUUGCUUUUUAGACAUAUAGAAAAUAUUGAGAUCCAGUGUCAUAUUACCAAAAGUGAGUUGCAUCAGCCCAUUCCUGUAGUUGAUGAUUGCAUUUGAAGUAGCAAGAAAUGGCCUUCCAAGGAUGAUAGGAACUAAAUUAGCUUCCUUUACAGUAGGAUCUGUAUCAAGAACAAUAAAAUCUAUUGGAUAGUAGAAAUUAUCCACUUGAACCAAUACGUCAUCAAUUACCCCUCUUGGAAUUUUCACUGAUCUAUUUGCCAGAGAUAGAGUGAUUGCUGUUGGCUUCAACUCUCCAAGUCCCAAUUGCUUGUAGACGGAAUAUGGAAGCAAAUUCACACUUGCUCCCAAAUCUAGCAAGGCUUUCUCCACUACCUUUCCUCCAAUCAUGACUGAAAUGGUAGGACUUCCCGGGUUUUUGUACUUCAAAGGAGACUUACAUUGUAAGAUUGCACUUACUUGCUCAGUCAAGAAGGCUUUCUUGUUUACAGUCAACCCUCUUUUGAUAGUACAUAAGUCCUUUAGGAAUUUUGCAUACGUUGGAACUUGUUUAAUCAUAUCCAACAGUGGAAUAUUGACUUUCACUUGUCUCAAUACUUCAAGGAUUUCAGCUGCAUUUCUAACCCCCUUUUUCCCAUGUAAUGCUUGAGGAAAAGGUGGAGAAAUUGAUUUCUUCAGCAUUUCUUCCUUCAUAAGUUCCUUAUCUAGAAUUGCAUUCAUUGUUGAAUCAGAGUCCUUCUUUUCUUCACUGAUCUCACUGUUUUUAUCUUUCAUUUCCUUCCCUUUCUUUAUCUCUUCUUCUUUCUCAACAUAUGGCUUGGGUGUUGGCUGCUCAAUUUUUUUACCACUCCUUAGAGUGAUCAAGGCUUUGACAUCUUUCAUCUGUGAUGAUUCUCCCUCUUGGCUUUCCACUUCAUGGACACCAUUGGGAUUUUGGUGAGGUUGAGAAGGAAAUCUUCCAUUUUCUUGCAGUGUAUUCAAAUUUGUAAGCCUUGAAAGUGAAUAUUGGAUGUUAUCAAACUUUUGGUUCAUAUCAUUUUGCAUUCCAUCCAUCCUUUUAUUCAACAUACUCUCCACUCUGUCAAUUCUUUGAUAGAUUUGAGCAUUGGUGGCUUCUUGCUUUCUAACAAAAUCUCCCAUUACCUUGCUGAGAUUAGCCAUUGCUUGUUCAAGACUUGAAGAUUGUUGAGAUGGUGGAUCGGGCUGUUGGUACUGAGUUGCUCUGGCUUUCCAUGAGAAAUUUGGAUGAUUCCUCCAACUUGAGUUGUAGGUAUUUCCAUAAGGCGCAUUGUUAUUGGACCUGAAUUGUCCAACAACAUUUGCUUGAUCUCUAAACAUCUCCCUUUCAACUGAAAUUGCAGGGCAUUCCUCCACCAAAUUUUCAUAUGAUUUACAAUUGGGACACAACUUCACUUGCACUGGUGCUUCAGCAACAGCUUGCACUUCAUGUAUUCUUUUCAGCUCCAGCUCCUCCAAUCUUCUUGUCAUAGCUGCCAACUUUUCUUUCAUAUCAUCAUCUUCUUUUAAGGUAUACAUCCCAGCCUUUGCAUUGUAAGCAUUCAACUGAGACUUCAUCUUUCCCACUUCUCCAUUGGUUGGUUCAUCCCAUCCCCUUGAAACAUCAGCUACAUAGCUCAAGAAAUCCAUAGCUUCCUCUGGAUUUUUGCUCAUGAAAUCUCCUCCACACAUUGUCUCGAGGAGUUGCUUCAUUGAGGAGGACAUACCAUCAUAAAAAUAGCUCACCAAUAGCCAAGUAUCAAAGCCAUGGUGAGGACAAGCAUUUAUAGCUUCCAUGUAUCUUUCCCAACACUCAUAGAAUUUCUCAUUCUCUUUAGCUGAGAAGUUUGAAAUUUGCCUUUUCAAGCCAUUUGUUCUAUGAGUGGGAAAAAAUUUCUUGAGGAAUUCAGCUUGUAAAUCAGUCCAAGAACGGAUACUCCUUGGCCUUAAAGAAUUAAGCCAAAUUUUGGCCUUAUCCUUUAAAGUAAAAGGAAAUAACUUAAGCCUCAUCAAAUCAAUUGAAGCUCCUCCCUCUUGGAAUGUAUUACAAACAUCUUCAAAUUCCUUGAUAUGUGCAUACGGAUUCUCACUUUCCAUUCCAUGGAAAGUUGGUAGAAGUGGAACAAGAUACAGUCUGAUCACUAGCUGCUCUGUAGGGGGCACUAUACAUGAUGGUGCACUCAUACGAGGCGGAUGCAUGCGGUCCCUCAUUGAUCUAAAUUCAUUGAGAUUGUCUUGACGACCUUGGUGACUAUGCUGAUCUUCAGGUAUAGAUUCCAUGAUAUUCAAGAUCACUUCGAAUUCUUUUCUCUGAGGUGUAUCACACUUAACAAGCCUUCCUCCACUGUCUCGUAUCCACUUUGGCAUACACAACUAGUAUCGAUCUGCAACUUAAAUAAAAACAGAGGACAACAAGAGAAACAGGGCUACAACAACAAAAUUAAACUAGGCUAAAUUUUAAAAGAUAAACUUAGAUUAUGAAUAAAUAAAGAAAGAAUGAGAAUUAGUAAAGUGAAAGAAACUUUACCAACUUGUGAUGAAAAUCACAAGUGCUAAAAAAAUGGUAUCAAUAUAAACUUGACAUCUUCCCCGCAGCGGCGCCAUUUGAUUCGUGCCCAAUUGGUGUCUCAGCUAAUUCGUGUCCAGCUGGUGCUCCUUGAUUGAGGGAGUAAUCAACAAAAUUUAUAACCUAUAACACCAUAUACUAGGGUAACAAAGACAAAGCUACUAUAGUAUAGCGGCUCUAGGAUCGUUCACUGGGAAGGAUUAACAAGCUAUCAAUGAUACCAAUUCCAAGUGAAUUGGUUUUGUUUCAUUUCAUGGUUAGCUUAAGAAGUAAAACACAAACUUUGAUUGGUAAAGGUUUAGACUUAAACUAACUAACAUAACAGAAGUUUGGACUAAUUUAGGAAGAAAAGCAUUCCCUGGAGAGUUAGGUUCACUGGGGUGGUUCCUCAUGCAAAAGACACGGCUCUGGUCAGAUGGUUCAUUUCCUCGCGUUAGAGAUUCAACAUAUAGUCAAUUCUCUAACCGGUGUUGUACAGAGACUCCUUCAAUUAGAUUUCACUUUAAUUCUCUCACUGAUGCAACUUGCAAUGGUUUAAGCCUCUCACUAAGCCUCAACCAUUCAAGGUGAUCUUUAACAUUGGAUUACCCGUCAAAAGCUCGCAAGAGAUAACUAAUGGAUGUCUCCUUGGAGUCCAAAAGCUUACCAAGUGUUGGCUAUUCUAGAAAAUCCUACCCUAAAGUCACCUUCCAGAGGCUCGCAAGGGGUAAACUAGUGCAUUUCCAUGGUUGGAAAUCACUUGCCUUACCAAGUGUUGGCCCAGGUGACUCUAAGGUGUUUUAAGUUAACUAAAAACAUAGAAAUCACUAAAGGAUUUCAUUUUCUCUUCAUUACUAGUUAAAACCACAAAGCUUUGCAUUCUUGCACUUGGAACCUUCCCCGACAACCUUAGCUCCAAGGAACUAGAGGUUUAGUUACUCAUUCUCUGGGGAAAACUCCUCAGAGAAUUCAUAACUUAGAAAUAAAAUAAAAAUACAAAGUGAGAAGGUAAGGCAGUAGAAAGAAUUGAACUUUACUUGCUUACCCAAACUUUUACAGAAGGAACUCUCUUCUUAGAAUAGGCUCUCGAGAGGUAUAUAUAUGAACAUAAUAAAAAAACUAAUUAUUACAUAGAUAUUUACUCUUUUUACUAACUUAAAAGCUAAGGAAUCAUGUAAUUGGUGGCUUACAAGGAGUAUUUUGGGAUUUAGACAACAAAAAUCUGAUGUAAAAUAUCUCCCAAUGUCGGUAGCAAAUAUCGGGGUGCUUCAGGAACCAUUUCGCAAGAGAAAAUGUUGUCUGCUAGAUUUCGCAGACACUCAAGAGGGGCUGCGAAAUAUUUCGCAACAACAUGCUAUCUUCGCAGGGCUGCGAAGUUGGCUUCCACCUUGAGGUUCCAAGCUUCCCUCUCGCGGUAUAUGUCAGGCAUCUUCAGGAGGAAAUACACCCUACUGUACAAAAAGGCUGCGGAAUCACUUCGCAACAAAAGGGUGAUUUCGCAGCACUUUGCAAAAUGCUUUCUUCAGCUCGGAGUGAUUGGCUUGCAAUGGCUGCAACUUCUUCGUUUCAACUCUGAAUUGCACACCGUUUGAAGCAGUGGAUUGUUGACUUCCUGAGAUUUGAAAUGGUAUAUAGCAUGCAUCAUUUAGACUUCAGAAAGUGCUCCAAAAGUGUCUGCUACGACUGUCAUCAAGAAUAUGCUUCAUGGCAGAUUCUCUUUACUUUUUCUCCUUGCAAUCCGGAUUUACUCUUGGCAAAUGACUUCUAAGCUUUGCCCAAGAUUCCUCAUAGCUCUCCUCAGUCUUGAAUUGCUUUGAUGAUCAAAUUAGUAACAAAAACACCAAAACUUACACAAAGUAAUCAAAAUUGCUUUCAAGGGUCCUUAACAUGCCAAUUGAGUUAAAAGGCCAAAACUACUACUCAAAAGUGUUUAAAAGGAUUAAUUAUAAGCUAUCAAAUAGCACUUUUUGAGUAGUAAUCAACUGCUAUAAAGUGUCAUGGAAUAACCAAUUAUUCUUAUAAGUGCCACAGCAAGCAAUGAUACUUUAAAUAAGCGCCAUGAAAUAAAAAAAAUAAUAUAAAAAAUGACCCUUUUGAAAAAACGCCAUUGUAUAUCCAAAUAUAAUGAUACUUUAUGAAAGCGCCAAGGAUUAAAGCGUCAUAAUUUUCUAUUUUUGUAGUAGUGUAUAACAAGCUUUAUAAUUCUCUAUGAACCCAUCUUGUUUUAACUUUCUUUUAAAGAUCCACUUAUAACCAAUAGUCUUUGCACCAGGAGGUAAAUCUACUAACUCCUAUGUAUGGUUAUACAUGAUUGAUUCGAUUUCACUGUUAAUGACCUCCUUCAAGAAUGGUGCAUCAGGAGAAGUUAUAGCUUCUUUUUAGGAUCUAGGGUCCUCAUCUAUUAGGAAGGUGUAGAAACUAUCUCUAAGGUUUGUUUCUUUCCUAUCUCUUUUACUCUUUUUAGGUUCAAAUUUAGAAGGUUCAAUAGACUUGUCUCUACUUGUUUUCUGAACUUGUUGUUCACCAUUUAGUUUCAUAGGAAAUAUGUUUUCAAAGAAAUCUGCAUUCUUUGUUUCUAUUAUAGUAUUGACAUCUACAAGACUAUUUUCUGAUUUAGUAACAAGAAACCUAUAUGUUGCACUAUUCUCAACAUAGCCAAUGAACAUUGCAUCAAAGGUUUUAGGACCUAGUUUUCGUUUUUUAGGUUCAGGGAGAAGAACUUUAGCUAAACACCCCCACACUUUCAGGUAUGCUAUAUUAGGUGCAUAACCCUUCCACAACUCAUAAGGAGUUUUACUAGUUUUCUUGUAAGAUAUUCUAUUUUGAAUAUGACAAGCGGAUAGGAUAGCUUCCCCUCACAAGUUCAAGGGUGCUCCUGAACUUACCAACAUUGCAUUCAUAAUUUCUUUUAAGGUCCUAUUUUUCAUUUCUGCUACUCCAUUAGACUCAAGGGAAUAAGGAAGAGUAGUUUCGUGAAUGAUCCCAUGAUCUUCACAAAAAGAAUUAAAUGGGUUGGACUCAUACUCUUCUCCCCUAUCGGUUCUAAGCCUUUUAAUUUUCUUACUUAGUUGAUUUUCCAUUUCAUUUUUAUACUUGAUGAAAGCAUCUCUUGCUUCAUCUUUUUUUCUCAAAAGAUAUACCCUUGUAUACCUUGAGUAGUCAUCUAUGAAAGUUAUGUAGAAUCGUUUACCACUUCUAGUCAUUGUAUUUUUUAGGUCUCCUAAGUCAUUGUGUAUUAAACUUAGUAGAUCUGAUUCUCUUUCAACUAAUUUGCAAGAUUUCUUUGUGAUUUUAGAUUCUACACAAGAUUCACAAUUUCCAUGGUUUUCUAAGGAUAGUUUAGGGAUUAAACUCAAUUCAACCAUUUUCUUCAUAUAUGAAAAGUUCACAUGUCCUAGUCUACCAUGCCAAAUAUCACAAGAAUCAACUAUGUAAGCAGAAGAAAAAGAUACAUUAUUAUUGAUAAUAUCAUAAACAUUCAACAUAAAUAAACCCUGAUUACAAUAGCCAUUCCCCACAAAUGCAUCAUUUGUAGUUAAAACUAUUUUAUCAUAGUCAAAUAAGAUCUUCACUCCUGUUUUUUUUUUUUUUUAAAUAGUUAGGUUUUGGACUUAUUGUUUUUAGGUUUGGGUUUUUCUUCUACUACAUUAGCUUUAGAAGACAAUUCCUUAGUUUUCUCAACAUUGUCCCUAUUUCGAUUUUGUUCCUCAAUCCUAAUAUGGAUUAUGACAUCCUCUAGGGACAUCUGUUUCCUUUUAUGUUUCAUGUUAUUUUUGUAGUCUUUCCAAGACUCUAGAAGAGUCUCUACUAAAUAACGAACCACAAAAGGUUCGGGUAAUUUAAUGUCUUCAAUAGCUAAGUCAUUAAUCAACAAGUGGUAGUCAUGGAUUUGAGAUGAUACAUCUUUAUUCUCAGUCAUUUGGAAAUUUCUAAAAUUCCCUAUGGCAUAUUUUUGAGUUUCUGCAUCUUCCGAAAUAUAUUUUUAUUCAUUGCAUCCCAAAUUUCUUUUGCAACUUUAAAUUGACAAUAAAUAUCAAAAAGUUCAUUAGAAAGGGUACUCAGAAUAGCAUGCCUAACUUGUUUAUUUCCAGUUUCCCAGGUUGGUAACAGAUGAGUACUAUCUUAUGGUUUUAGAUUAGUCAAAAUGUGUCCCAAGUUCACUACAUCAAUUGCAGAGAAAACCCUUUCCUACCAUCUCUUAAAGAAUGUACCCUUGAAGGGAUCAAUUUUAGAGGUGUCAAGACAGGUGUGAACUAGAGAAGCUUCCAUUUGGAUAUAUUUCAAAAUUAUUGGAUUAAGGGUAUGGAAACAAAUGACUAGCCCAAAAGACACAAACAAAGAACAUAAUUAAUAAGAAGAAAAACUUAUCGGCUAAGGCAUGACAAACACUGUCCUUGAAAUAGAUCCACCAUCCUCAAAGACGAACUCGGUGCACUAGGGUAUCAGUGAUCUACUUCUAGGAUUCAACAGCUAGAUCUCGCCUUGGGUGCACUCUGUAAGCGAGAUGUCUACAACUCGGGUUUUGAAAAAAUUCCUCCAGAUAGAUGUUUGAAAAUACUCUCUGAAAAAUUGGUAUCCAUAUAUAGAGAGUGAAGGGUGACCUGCUUUUAUAGGCCACUAACAUAGUCUUAACAGGACUCUACUUGUAAGCGGAAUAGGAUUGAAAGUGGAAGGGGAUUAUGCUUAUAAGUGGAAUGGGACUCCACUAGCACAAUCCCAAUAGUACUCUUCCUAAAAAUAUAAGACUAAUAGAAUAAAAUAAAAUAAAAUAGAAUAAAAAUAAUUCCCAAUAGGACUCUUCCCAAAAAUAUAUGACUAAUAGAAUAUAAUAAAAUAAAAUAAAAAUAAAAAUUAUUUACACUCUUCCUACAAGUGAUACCUAAUCAGGCAAGUAAAAGAACCCAAUUAAUCCUUUGACGACACAAAGAGGAGUGCUCAUAUAGAGAAAGUAGACAAUGAAAGCAAAGAUAAUUUAUGACUUGUUCAACUUGCACAUAUACAAACCAGUUAACCAAACUUCAUCCUCCAUGCUUCAAGUAAUCAUUUUUCUUUUUUUCUCUUAUGAGAAGCUUCAACUAAUCCACAACUAAGUUCUUCUCCCACACAUUUUAGGAGAUAUAGGUCUUCAAAUUUGUUGAUAGGAAAUUUCCAACAUAUGACUCAUGAAGCUCAAUAAAACAGAACCAAGAAACAUAAAUUGAUGGAUAAAUUCCAAUUUAAGAAAUAAAAUAAAUAAAUAAAUAAAUAAAUAAAACACUUAAAUAAGAUUUGGAGAUAAAUAUUACAUUAUAUUUGGUUCUCAGAAAGUACUAAGGAAAGAAAAAAAAUGUAAAUGAAAAUGAUUUUCUCAUAUUUGGUUUUACUAUAAAAAAAAAUGAAAAAAAUAUAAUUAAAAUUAGUAAGAAACUUGUAUAUUUUUAAAUUAUUUAAUCUUUGUAUAAAAAUGUUACAUAAGUUAAAUGAGUUUAAAGUAGGAUAUGAAAAUAAUUUAUUGACUUUAAAUUUAGUUUUUGUUUUUCUUCACUUUUUUUUUCUACUUUUUCUUUCUAUUUUCUUUCCGUUGCAUUUUCCCUCAAACUUUCUAAGAAUCAAACAUAGUCAUAAUGAAGAGUACAAAAACAAUAAACACAAAGCCCAAUACGACCCAAUCUCAGGAGAAUAAAACCCAUAAAAUUAAAUUAAUAGAUGAAUUAAAAUAAUUUUGAUUUAGGACCCAAAAAAAAGCCAAAAACCUAAAAUAAGAUAGCAAACUAUAAUUCUUACAUACACACCUUACUUGGAAAAAAAUCCCUUAAAGUAAAACUAAUAUAUCAAUUCAAUUUAAAUAAACAAAAUACAAAUUUAAAACAAUUGAAAAAAACUAGAGUAUCACUUUAUACCUUUGAUGAAAUGCAAAAUUUGUGUCCGUCUUAGUUUAUCAUAAAUUAGGCAUGCCAUUAAAGCAACUGAAUUGAACAUAAUUUGGUGAGACUAGUUCAGUGCAAAUAAAUGUUCAGGUCUGUAGAACGGAUGCCACUCAUGAUUCUGAUCAAUCCUCUUUACCUUGUUGUGCAAAGAAACUAGUUCCUUCACUCUGGUUCUCCAACAAAGAAGUCAUAACUAAGACACCACAAAGUCUCAACAAUAAAGUUGUCUCUCUCCCUAAAACUGCUAUAUCUUGUUCAAGGAUUCUUCAAAAAAACAAAACCAACAAGAACCCUAACAAAUAUCCAGGUGUCAAACCAAAAACAAAUUUUGGCAAUGAAUCCAAGUAGAGGUUGGGAUUUUUGAGCAUUAGCAACUACCAUAAACCAUUAAUCGCAACCCAAAAAAUAUUUAAAUUCUAAACAUUAGAAUUGAGAAUCAUAUAGGUCUACUUAAGGGAGACUAAAGAGGGGGGAAAAUUACCAUAGGUUAAACGAUGGGAGAAGUGGAAUAGAUUGGGAAAGAAGACACUUCUUUUCUUGGUCCAAAAUCAAGAACUGGUUAUUCCAAGUUUUGGUUUGGUUCAUCAAAGAUUUUGAAUGACUGGGAUUGGUUACAAAAAAGAUAGGUUCUUUCCACAGGACACCUAUGAACCACAGUAAUUGUUUAAACAACCUUAAUUGGAAAAUGGCUGAAAAUAAUGGCAAAAUGUUUUAAAAACACUUUUUAGGCUAAAUCUAACACCCUGGAUUUUAGACUUAUUAAUACUUAAUACAAAAUUAGUGCUCCCAAAACUAGGGGAGACAAAAAUUUAAAUGCUGAGUUUUUGGUUGAUUUUGUGCAAAUGAGGAUGUGGAAACCUGUUAUAGAGAAGUAUACACCCUGUGAUAAUCUUUAAAACUAUUAAUUAACAAAAUAUGAUCUGUUUCACAAAUGAAAACUUGUACCAUAUUACUUUGUACAUACUAAAGCCCCAUGGUUUAAUAAGGGUAUCCCACACUACAAGUGUAGAAAAACAAAUAUAAGUUACAUCACUUUUUCAAGAAAAUAAAAAAUGAUUUAGUCUUUCUAUGAUAUAAAGGCAAAAGCCUCGAAACACUUUCAACAUGAGCAAAACAACAUCCAAUCAACAAGAAAGUAAUGCUCAAGCACUAACCUCAGUAGAUGUCUUCUGACCUUCAUCUAAAAGUGGAAGGAAUAAGGUGAGUUCAUGACUCAGUAAGAAAGUUUAUAACCAUCUUAUGCAUAUCCUUGAAAACCUUGAAUUAAACAUAUAGCAGUAUGCAUGAUAAACACUUUACAUAACCAUUAACAAAUAUGCAAUAAUAUCAAACAUGUACACAUGUUGUUGAUGAUUUCAUCUCUGCUUUGUCUCAUUCAUCCUUUCACACCUGAUAAGCUACUAACCCCCACCAAUGUACAUAUCAACCAUCAAUGCUCACAAAGAUGCUCGACCAUAAAUAAUGACUAUUCUAGGACUAUCACCAAAGAAUAAGUCAUAUCUCGUGUCUUUUGGGACUACAACACAAAGGCAAGACCAACCUCGCAUCUUUAGGACUAAAACUCAGGGGCAGGACCAAUCCCAUACACCCACAUCAAAGUGUCUUUCUUAAGGGCUUUAGGGACUUUCACCCAAGGACCCACGGUCCCACAUAAAUAAUAUAUCGAAAGAUAGUGCCUAUAGCUUCUCAUAACCACUUCCCACAUAUCAAGUUAUUCUCUAGAUAUUAUCUGUCAUUGUUUCAUAUCAUUCUUGCAAUGUAACCAUACCAUGAACCAUUUUCUCAAUACUGAACUUGUGAAUCCUCAUACCAAUACAUAUCCAAAUAUCAUUGCAAGAUUUUAAAACAAUAAACUAAGAACACCAUUGCACAUUAAAGCACUUCAUGAAAUCAUAGUAAAGGUAUGAAAAUUUCCAUAAAUGCUUCAACAAAUGAAACAAAGAUACACAGUGGAAUGGUAUAAAAUUUCCUACUUUACACCAACUUCUCUUUUACAAUCCUUCUAUGUGGACACCAUCAACCAUUACAAGGAACUAAAAUGAAACAACAUAAUUUAGGUUUCCCAACCAUAAAAGUUAAACGAUUAAGACUUAUGACAUUUUCCUUAUUGCUAAUUUUAAUAAUUUAAUACUAAUAACUUUAAUUUCCAUAUUCUCUAAUCAUCAUGCCCACAGGUUUUCAAAUCAAAUUUAAGGUGAAUUAAACAAUCUGUGUUAUGCAUACUGAUAUUCCCCAAUUAAUUAGGAUACAUUAAUUAUUUUGAUUUUCCUUAAACCUAUUCCAUUAGCAAGCUCCAAGUGUUCAAAUAAACCUAAUUAGUCACAUGAUUCAUUAAUCUAUUUUUCAAUUAAAGCAAACUAAACAAACAAGCAUUUUGAUUAUUUCGUCAAAAGAUACUUAAAUUAAAAUACUUAAAACCCUAAUUAACUUUAAUUUAUAAUAAAAACAUGCUUAUAACUAAUUAAACUCAAUUUUUAAACAAACUAUACAGUUAGUUUGUUUUAAAAGAUCAUUUGGAACCCAAAUUUACUAAAAUCACUAACUUUAUCUUCUUCCUUACCUUGAUUUCUUCACUUUCUCUCUCUAGCUUCUCUCUCUAGACCUGCCAAAUUGCUGCAAAGAUAGGGUUGGAAAUGAGGGCUAGUAGCCCUUAUAAAGUGAUUCCUAAGCUAGCAUGCAUGAGGUGGCAAGCUCUAAGGUUUCCACUAACUACCAAUUCUCCAAAUUGCAACUUAGUCCCUUUACUUGUGAUAUUUUAUGUUUUGUUGUUGCCCAUUAGUCCCUUAAAUUUUCUUAAUUCUGAUUAACCCCCAAAAAGUUAAUACACAUGCUUAAAUUGUUAACUAAUCAUACUUAACCUUAAUCAAAGUUUAAUUCAUAAUUAUAUAAGAUUAGCGUUAAACUAGUUUUAGCCUCUAAUUAAACACGUUUAAGGUUAAGUACUAAGAUAAUCAUUAUUGCCUAUUUAAUUCAUUACUACUAAAUAUUGUAAUAAAAGUGUUUUUUAAAAACAAUGUUAAAAGUUAGAUAUGAAAAUAAUUAUGCACAAUUCAAGGGAUAUGAUACCUAUACUUAUGGGACUAAAACAAAAAAACCUUACCCAAUAAAAUGGUGCAUGUUUAAUAAUUUAUUUCAAUUUGGACCAUAAUUCUCAUUCGUACAAUAUAUUUAUGUAUAUUUGGAAUCAUGAAUUGUAGCAAUCUUGUUUCAUCUACAACAUAAAUAGACAAUGCCUAAACAUGGUGAUUGUGUUACAAUGCAAAAUUCACGAAUCCCAUAUGCAAGUAUCUUUAUUAGACAGUAUCACGAGAUGAAUGCUUAGAUGACUAAUGGCAUGAUAGGCAAAAAAAACAUACUUGAUUCGUUUAAUCCAGUCGGGUCAUUUAAUAAAAAAACAUUUAUAAAUCCUAUGACCUCAUACUAGCGUAGCAAAGCUACUAUCGUAUAGCGGCUUAGGGUCGAACUCUGGGAUGGGUUUUCAUUCUACCAGUGAUAGACUCAAGAUUAGAAAUUGAAUCUGAUGAUUUCCUUUGUCAAAAACUUAAAGUUUAAAAGAAAAUAAAAUUUGUUUUGAAAGGUGUUUGAAACUAAACUAACAUAAAACUAAGUAGAAAUGGAAGAAAGAAAGUCUCCUGGAGCUAAGGGUUGCUAGGGUCAAAUUCAGAAUGCAAAGUGGGAAAUUCCAGAUUUUUCUUCUCGCAUUGGGGACAAUAACAUAAAGGAUGGUUGUUUCCCGAACCAGUAUAGGUUUGACAAUGAAGAUUUAAUCCAUAAAAAGUCAAUAGAAAUGGUAGUCAGGUUCCAUUAAUGGCUUUAGACACUAUGGGUCUUCACCUUGAGCCACUUUCCAAUGGCUCGUACAUGAUAACUAAUGGUCUGAUGUGGAUCUAGCAAUAAGUAUCCACAAAGACCUGAAACUUACCAUGUAUUGGCCAUUCAAAGUGAUUCUAAGGGAUUGAAAGCAAAACUUUAGAUUUAAAAGCCAUUUAUGAACUCCAACUACCUGUAUUUAAUGCACGAGAGUUUUCCACUUUAGCAUCUGGACUUUUCACCUAGCUUCCUUCACUCCAAGAAACCAAAAGUUUAGCCUCUCAUCCUCUGAGAAAACAUCUUCAGAGGUUGUUUGGCUUCCAAGAAAAAUAAAAUAGUAGAGAGAAAAGGAAAGCAAAAAGAGCCCUGUAUUUUACUAAGUGUUAAAAUAUACAAUAUGUCCGUUGUUCGAGAGGUGAUUUCCACCCCUCUUAUAGUCUUUACAAAAGCAAAGCCUGUGAUUGGCUAAUUACAGGGAUAAGAAAGGAAUUUACAUCAAAAAUACAAAAGAAAAUAUCUCAUGUGGAGUCGGCAAAACAGAGGAGAUUUCGCACCAAAGACGCAUGGGUUGGUGCGAAUUUCGCACAAGGAGAAGGUGUUGUGCGAAUUUCGCAUAAGCUUGGAGCAGUUGUCUUCUGAAGGUCAUAUCUUCCUCAUUUCAGCUCCAAAUCGUACACGGUUUGAAGCGUUGGAUUCUUGACUUCCUGAGCUUUGAAAUGGUAUAUAUCAUGUAGAAAAUGGACUUCAGGAAGUGCUCCAAAAGUGCGAAGGAAUACUGCAGCUGCUGUCCUCUAUUUUCUUCAUUCUGUUUGUUUUUCCUCUUUGCUUCUCUCCUUUACUUGGCUUGUCUUAAUGAUCCAAAAAGCUGUCAAAACACUAAAACUAGCCACAAAUAUGAUUAGAAGUCAUUGCUAGGUCCUUAACAUGCCAAUUGGAAUAAAGAUGGAGAAAUACUACACAAAAGUGCUUAAAACAUAAUGAAUUAAAGGCGCAAAAUAGCACUUUUUGGGUAGUAAUCAAUACUAUCCGGAUGACUUCCUGUGGGGAUCCCACCCUGAUAAAAUGAGUAUGAAAUGAUAAUCAAAGUCAAAGUGGAGAUUGGAGAAAAUUUUAGUAAACCUAAAGUGGGGACGAGGUCCUACUCCCUUCCCCAACCAACUUGCCUUGAUUGUUUAUAUAAUAUACAUAAUUUUAUAUUUCAAAAACUUAUGAAAAUAAUUGAAUAUGAAUUCCAAGAUUCGGGAAUAAGCAUAGACCCAGGAUUCCCCUAGCGGGAAUUCCAUGCCCUCAAAUGGAAUAAGGAUGGGGAGCCCUACCCAACCCUAUAUUUCUUACAUCUCUAAUUAGAAAAAUUAACAAAUUAAAUCCAUAUAGAGAAAUAAAUAAAUAAAUAAUAAGAAGAGGGAGCAAUUCUUCAAACUUUUUUGAGUUUUUCCUUGACAAAGUUGUGAUGAAAAGUCCAAGAAAGCCCCCCUAAAAAAAAAAAGGAACAGAAAUGCUCACCCUUCUCUCAAGUCUCAUCAACUGGUCCCCACCCAAAAUCUAACACCAGCCUGCUUUCCAAAGAAGGCUGAAAAUUCUCCCUUACCUACUUGAAAUCAAUCUCAAGAGAUUCAUUUAUAAAAAAAUAAAAAAUAAAAAAUAAAUAAAAAAGUGGACAAAGGAGAAGUAUGUCCAUACUCUCCAAGCAAUAUCCAUAAUUAGACUAGUAAGCGUAAAAGACUAGGCUCCAAAAGGAUGUUGUGAGAUAUCUAGAAGUUCACCCAUGACGUCUUCAACGUACUGUGAAGUUGAAGGCUAAAAGAUAAACACAAAACAUGAAAGCAUAUACAUGCGAAACUUGGAAUAGCGGAAAUGGAAAGUAGCAUGUGCCUUAGCAAUGCAAUUUUGUCUCUGUGUUUGUCAUGUAUGUGGUUGGGAGUGCUACCUUACAUUUCUAGUGCACAAAUAGACACCAUCAAACCUAGGGAAGAGCUUCAAUUCUUAGAAAAAUUACUGGUUUAUACAAAAGAGAAUUUACUUUAGGAUUCUUCAGCCUAGAAUCUAGCGAUAAUUUAGGAAUAUGGUUCACUAUUGAUGCUCAAAAGGAGAAAGUUUGGGUUGCUUACAGAGACAAGCCUAUAUCCCGUACCGAUGCAAACCUUACACUGGAUGCAAAUGGAAAAUUGAUGAUCAUGCAUAGUGGGGGUGAUCAAAUUGUCCUAAAUUCCAAUCAAGCAACUAGAAACUCAACAACUACUCUACUUGGGGAAAGUUUCGAUAAUCCUACAAACACCCUCUUGUAUGGGAUGAAACUAGGCAUCAACUUGAAACCUGGGCGAAACUGGUCACUUUAUGGAUAAACGAACAAGUGCUUGCUCCUGGGACUUUUACUCUAGAAUGGAAUGGCACAUAAUUGGUGAUGAAACGCCGAGAGGGCACCUACUGAAGCAGUCGAACCUUGAAAGAUAGGAGCUUUUGAGUUCAUUCUUUGGUUGGGAUUUGACCCUCACAAUAACAUUUACAAUUUUAAUAGUGUUUUUGAAUGCAAACAUGUUGUAGUAUGUUGCUCAUAUUGAGUGAAAGACAUAUGGAGAAAAAGAGGCAAAUUCCAUCAUUCAACUCCGACAUUUGCCAUUCAAGCUUAUAUUUUUUAUUGUUAAGAGUGAACGAUAGUUGGGGGGUAUAGGGGGCAACUCCCCCCACGGUAUGGUUUAGGGGUAUUUUUGGAAUUUCAAUAUCUGAGGGUUAGUAUAAAUACCCUUUUAUGUAACCUUAAUUUUUGAUAUAGUGAAAGUCUUCCUUCCUAUUCGCAUGAACGUAGGCAAUCUACUGAACCACGUUAAAUCUAUGUGUUUUCUUUUGUUUUUCUCUAAUUUCUUCAUUAGGAAUCAUUACAAGAAAAUCAACAAUUGGCAUUAGAGGACCAGGUUAUGAUGUUUAGGAUUUCUUUUGUGAAGUUCGACAUAGUCAAGUUCGAUGGAUCUGGGAAUUUCGGUCUAUGGUAGAAGAGGGUUAAGGAUCUGUUAGUGCAACAAGGUAUGGUGAAGGCCUUAUACAGAAAACAACCAAAAUGAAUGAACAACAUAGAUUGGAAGGAUUUGAAAGCAAAGAUUGUGGCAACUAUCAGGCUUUGUUUGGAUGAUGAUGUGAUAUACCAUAUCAUGGAUGAGGAAUCAGUGACAACAAUUUGGUUGAAAUUGGAAAGUCGGUAUAUGUCUAAGUCAUUGACAAAAAAGUUGUUUCUUAAGUAGAAACUGUAUGGUCUUAAGAUGGCAGAAGGCUCAUAUCUAAGCCAGUAUAUCAACGUGUUCAAUUAAAUCAUCAGUGAUUUGAAGUGAGUUGAUGUGAAGUUUGAAGACGAAGACAAGACGUUGAUGUUACUGAAUUCCUUACCUAUUUUUUCUAUCUAUGAAAAUUUGGUUACAACUCUGAUGUGGGGGAAAAAACACUUGAUUUGAAGGAAAUCACAAGUGCUCUUUUAGGUUUUAAUCAGAGGAAAAAAACCAAUGAUGAGAGUUCCUAUGGUGAAGAGCUUAUGGCAAAGAGUAAUUAGGAACGUGGGAGAAACAAUUUUUGGAGCGAAUCAAGUAACAAUAAAUCUCAAUCUAAACCCAGGAAAAGAAAGAACAUACAAUGUUAUACGUGUGGAAAAAUGGGGCACAUGAAAUGAGAUUGCCUAGAGAAAAAGAAAGGGGGCUUGGUAUCGGAAAAUAAAUAGGGUUCAUCAAAGUCUGCAAAUGUAGUGGUAGAAAAAGACUUAGAGAGUGGUGAUGGUGAUAUGUUGUCAGUUUCAUCCAGUUCAAAUCAUCUGACAGAUUCUUGGAUUUUGGAUUCAACAUGCUCUUAUCAUAUGACACCCAAUCAAGAUUGGUUUAACACAUACAAGUUAGUAAAUUGUGCUUCUAUUCUAAUGGGUAAUGAUGCUUCAUGUAAAGUUGUUGGAAUAUGGAAUAUCAUAAUUAAAAUGUUUGAUGGUGUUGUUAGAAUGUUGUGUGAUGUUAGACAUGUACCUAAUUUAAGGAAGAAUCUAAUUUCUUUGGGGACUUUAGAUUGUAACGGGUUUAGUUACAAGUCUACAAAUAGAGUAAUGAAUGUGAGUAAAGGUGUUAUGAUAGUGAUGAAAGGAUAGAAGCUAGUAGGAAAUAUUUAUAAAUUGUUAGGUACCACAGUUGUGGAUGGAGUUGCAACCGCAAAGUCUAAGUUAGACAGUACAGUCUUGUAGCAUAUGCGGUUCAGGCAUAUGGUUGAGUGUGGGAUGAGAGAGCUUCAUAAAAGAAAUCUGUUAAAAGGCAUCAAAACACGUAAACUUGAUUUUUGCAAGUAUUGUGUUUUUGGGAAAUAGAAUAAAGUGUAGUUCAAGACAGCCACACACAAGACAGAGGGAUUUCUUGACUAUGUCUAUACAGAUGUUUGGGGACCAGUAAGGAUAGCAUCAUUAGGAGGAAAUAUGUAUUUUGUGAGUUUUAUUGAUGAUUACUCACGAAAGGUUUGGGUGUACUUCAUGCAGCACAAGUCAGAUAUGUUUGCCAAGUUUAAGCUGUGGAAAGUUGAAGUAGAAAACCAGACAGAGAGGAAGAUAAAAUGCCUUAGGUCAGAUAAUAGUACUGAGUAUACAGAUUCAAAGUUCACAGAAUUGUGUGAGUAACAUGGGAUUAAGAGACACUUCACAGUACGUAAGACACCAUAGCAAAAUGGUGUAGCAAAAAGGAUGAACAGAACAAUAGCUGAAAGAGCUUGGUGUCUCAUAUUGAAUGCAGGGCUUGAAAAGAAAUUAUGGGUAGAAGUAGUGAACAUGGCAUGUUACUUGAUCAAUAGGUCACCUAGGGCAACAUUAGGUGGGAAAGUAGUAAAUGAGGUAUGGACGGGCAGUGCAGUAGACUACUCUGAUUUGAGAGUGUUUUGGUGUCCAGCUUAUGUACACAUUCCUAAUGAGGAGAGAUCGAAGCUUGAUGUGAAGUCUGGACAAUGUAUUUUUCUAGGGUAUCAGAAAGGAGUGAAAGGCUUCAAGCUUUGGGAUCCAAGGCAAACAAGGUGGUGAUCAACAGAGAUGUGGUUUUUUAUGAGAAAGUCAUGUUACAGUGUACUCGGAAAGAAAAGAAACAGGAGCUAGAAAAUUGCAUCAAAAAUGAGCAAUUGAUACAAGUGGGGUUAGAGACCCAUGAUAUAGAGAAUUGUGCUUGGAAUGCAAGGAGGUCUAGUUUAGAAGAUCAGAAGCUCCACAAUAUAGCCAUAGACAGACACAGAUGCACUUUCAGGCCACCUACUAGGUAUGGUUUUGAGGAUUUGGUUUCUUAUGCACUAACUACUAGUAGUAGGGAUCCUACUAACUUCCAAGAGGCAAUACAUAGUCAAGAGAAAAGUAGAUGGAUGGGUGCUAUGAUGGAGGAGAUGCAGUCUUUGCAUAAGAACCAAACAUGGGAGUUGGUGGAGCUUCUAAAGGGGAAGAGAGAAAUGGAAUGUAAAUGGGUGUAUAAGAAUAAAGAAGUAGUUUUAGAAAAAUAUGGUGAAAAGCUCAAAGCUUGUAUAGUAGCAAAGGGUUACUCACAGAGGAAAAGGGUUGACUAUGAUGAUAUUUUCUUCCCUCGUGGUUAGACACACUUCCAUUAGGACAGUAUUGGGUUUGGUAGCACGUUUUGACAUGUAGUUGGAGCAAAUGGUUGUAAAGACAACUUUUCUUCAAGGUGAUUUGGAGGAGUUGGUCUAUAUGGUACAACCAUAAGGGUUUAUUCAACCUAAAUAGGAACACUUGGUUUGUAAAUUGAGGAAAUCACUUUAUGGGUUGAAGUAGUCCCCAAGGCAGUGUGGUAUAAGCAAUUUGACUCCUACAUGAUCAGGAUUGGCAAUAAGAGAUGUGAGUAUGAUUUUUAUGUUUAUGUAAAGAGCCUAGAUGAUGAUUCAUUUAUUUCUUCAUUACUCUAUGUGGAUGAUAUGCUAAUUGCUAUAAAGAAUAUGAUUUAGUUCAAUAAGUUGAAGUCUUUGUUGAGCAAGGAGUUUGACAUGAAGGAUUUAGGUGUGGCUAAGAAGAUUCUUAGGAUGGAGAUUAAUAGAGAUAGAGUUUUAGGGAGAUUAUGGUUAUCUCAACAUAGUUAUGUCAAGAGAGUGUUGGAGAAGUUCAACAUGGAUAAUGCAAAACCAAUAAGUACACCUUUGGCGAAUCAUUUUAAAUUGUCUACUAAUUAGUACCUAAAGACAGAUGAAGUGAAAGACAUGUCAAAGGUUCCAUAUGCAAGUCCAGUGGGAUGCUUGAUGAAUGCUAUGGUUUGUACAAGACCAGAUUUUGCACAUGUUGUUAGUGUGGUGAGUAAGUUUUUAUCAAAUCCGAGAAGAUUACAUUGGGUUGUAGUCAAAUGGAUUUUUAGAUACUUAAGGGGUACUGAUUACUACUCAAAAAAUACUAUUUCAUAGCUUGUAAUUAACUCUUUUAAACGCUUUUGAGUAGUAGUUAUCACCUUUUAACCCAAUUAACAUAUUAAGGACCCUUGCAAUCAAUUCUAAUCAAAUUAUGUUAAGUUUUGGUGUUUUGAUAGCUUUUUGAUCACCAAAGCAAUCUGGGCUUGAGGAGAGUUCUUUGGAAUCCAUAAGCAAAUCCAGAAUGCAAGGAGUAUAUCCGGACAGGGCGUUCGGAUACGCCAUCGAAGGGCAUCUGGAAAACAUAUCCGGAUAAGAUGCUAUCGUUUCAUCCGGACACUGAUUACUACUCAAAAAGUGCUAUUUGAUAGCCUAUAAUUAAUCCUUUUAAACACUUUUGAGUAGUAGUUUUGGCCUUUUAACUCAAUUGGCAUGUUAAGGACCCUUGAAAGCAAUUUUAAUCACUUUGUGUAAGUUUUGGUGUUUUUGUUAGUAAUUUGAUCACCAAACCAAUUCAAGAUUGAGGAGAAUUAUGAGGAAUCUUGGGCAAAGCUUGGAAGUCAUUUGCCAAGAGUGAAUCCGGAUUGCAAGGAGAAAAAUUAAAGAGAAUCUGUCAUGAAGCAUAUUCUUGAUGACAGUCGUGGAAGCCACUUUUGGAGCACUUUCUGAAGUCCAAUUGAUGCAUGAUAUAUACCAUUUCAAAGCUUAGGAAGUAAACAAUCCAAUGCUUCAAACAGUACACAAUUCGGAGUUGAAACGAAGAAGUUACAGCCACUGCAAGUCAAUCACUCUAAGUUGAAGGAAGCAUUUUGCAAAGUGUUGCGAAAUCACCCUUUUGUUGCGAAGUGAUUCCGCAACCUUUUUGUACAGUGUGGUGUAUUUCCUUCUAAAGUUGCCCGAUAUAUGCCGGAAGCUGGGAGCUGAGAACCUCAAGGUGGAAGCUAACUUCGCAGCCUUGCAAGAAUAGCAUGUUGUUGCGAAAUGAUUUCGCAGCCCUUCUUGAGUGCCUGCGAAAUCUCGCAGACACCAUUUUCUCUUGCGAAAUGGUUCCUGGAGCAUCCCGAUAUUUGCUACCGACAUUUGGAGAUAUUUUCUAUUAGAUUUUUGUUGUCUAAAUCCCAAAAUACUCCUUAUAAGCCACCAAUUACAAGAUUCCUUAGCUUUUAAGUUAGUAAAAAGAGAAAAUAUCUAUGUAAUAAUUAGUUUUAUAUUAUGUUCAUAUAAGUACCUCUCAGGAGCCUGUUCUCAGAGGGGAGAUCCUUUUGAAAAUUUUUGGGUAAGCAAGUAAAGUUUAGACCCUUUGUUUUGCCUUACCUUCUCACUUUGUAUUUUUAUUUUCUUACUAAGUUAUGAACUCUCUGAGGAGUUUUUCCCAGAGAAUGAGUAACUAAACCUCUAAUUCCUUGGAGCUAAGGUUGUCGGGGAAGGUUCCAAGUGCAAGAAUGCAAAGCUUUGUGGUUUCAGCCAGCAAUGAAGAGGAAGUGAAAUCCUUUAGUGAUUUCUAUGUUUUUAGUUAACUUAAAACACCUUAGAGUCACUUGGGCCAACACUUGGUAAGGCAAGUGAUUUCCAACCAUGGAGAUGCACUAGUUUACCCCUUGCGAGCCUCUGGGAGGUGACUUUAAGGUAGGAUUUUCUAGAAUUGCCAACACUUGGUAAGCUUUUGGACUCCAAGGAGACAUCCAUUAGUUAUCUCUUGCGAGCUUGAGAAGGGAAGUCCAAGGUUAAAGAUCACCUUGAAUGGUUAAGGCUUAGUAAGAGGCUUAAACCAUUGCAGUUGCAUCAGUGAGAGAAUUAAAGUUGAAAUCUAAUUAAAGGAUGUAUCUGUACAACGCCGGUUAGAGAAUUGACUAUAUGUUGAAUCUCUAACGUGAGGAAAUGAACCAUCUGACCGAAGCUAUGUCUUUUGCAUGAGGAACCACCCCAGUGAACCUGACUCUCCAAGGAAUGUUUUUCUUCCUAAGUUAUUCCCAUUACUUGUUUUGUUAGUUAGUUUAAAUCUAAAUUUUUACAAAUCAAAGUUUGUGUUUUAGUUCUUAAGCUAACCUUGAAAUGAAACAAAACCAAUUCACUUUGAAUUGGUAUCAUUGAUAGCUUGUUAAUCCUUCCCAGUGAACGAUCCUAGAGCCACUAUACUAUAGUAGCUUUGUCUUUGCUACCCUAGUAAAUGGUGUAAUAGGUUAUAAAUUUUGUUGAUUACUCCCUCAAUCAAGGAGUACCAGCUGGACACGAAUCAGCUGAGACACCAAUUGGGCACGAAUCAAAUGGCGCCAUUGCCGAGGAAGGUGUAAAUUUUGUAGUGAUACCAUUUUUGAGCACUUGUGAUUUUCAUCACAAGUUUGGUAACGUUUCUUUCACUUUAUUAAUUCUCAUUCUUUCUUUAUUUAUUCAUAAUCCAAGUUUAUCUUUUAAAAUUUAGCCUAGUUUAAUUUUGUUGUUGUAGCCCUGUUUUUGUUGUUGUCCUUUAUUUUCAUUUAAGUUGCAGAUAGAUACUAGUUGUGUAUGCCAAAGUGGAUACGAGAUAGUGGAGGAAGGCUUGUUAAGUGUGAUACACCUCAGAGAAAAGAAUUCGAAUUAAGCUUGAAUAUCAUGGAAACUACACCUGAAGAUCAGCAUAGUCACCAAGGUCGUCAAGACAAUCUCAAUGAAUUCAGAUCAAUGAGGGACCGUAUGCAUCCACCUCGUAUGAGUGCACCAUCAUGUAUAGUGCCCCGUAGCUAGUGAUCAGACCAUAUCUUGUUCCACUUCUACCAACUUUCCAUGGGAUGGAAAGUGAGAAUCCGUAUGCACACAUAAAGGAAUUUGAAGAUGUUUGUAAUACAUUCCAAGAGGGAGGAGCUUCAAUUGAUUUGAUGAGGCUUAAAUUAUUUCCUUUUAAUUUAAAGGAUAAGGCCAAAAUUUGGCUUAAUUCUUUAAGGCCAAGGAGUAUCCGUUCUUGGACUGACUUACAAGCUGAAUUCCUCAAGAAAUUUUUUCCCACUCAUAGAACAAAUGGCUUGAAAAGGCAAAUUUCAAAUUUCUCAGCUAAAGAGAAUGAGAAAUUCUAUGAGUGUUGGGAAAGAUACAUGGAAACUAUAAAUGCUUGCCCUCACCAUGGCUUUGAUACUUGGCUAUUGGUGAGCUAUUUUUAUGAUGGUAUGUCCUCUUCAAUGAAGCAACUCCUCGAGACAAUGUGUGGAGGAGAUUUCAUGAGCAAAAAUCCAGAGGAAGCUAUGGAUUUUUUGAGCUAUGUAGCUGAUGUUUCAAGGGGAUGGGAUGAACCAACCAAAGGAGAAGUGGGUAAGAUGAAGUCUCAACUGAAUGCUUUCAAUGCAAAGGCUGGGAUGUAUACCUUGAAAGAAGAUGAUGAUAUGAAAGCAAAUUUGGCAACUAUGACAAGAAGAUUGGAGGAGCUGGAGCUGAAAAGAAUUCAUGAAGUGCAAGCUGUGAAAGUGAAAGCUGUGCAAGUGAAGUUGUGUCCUAAUUGUCAAUCAUAUGAACAUUUGGGGGAGGAAUGCCCUGCAAUUUCAGCUGAAAGGGAAAUGUUUAGAGAUCAAGCAAAUGUUGUUGGACAAUUUAAGCCUAAUAACAAUGCGCCUUAUGGAAAUACCUACAACUCAAGUUGGAGGAAUCAUCCAAAUUUCUCAUGGAAGGCCAAAGCAACUCAAUACCAACAGCCGGAUCCACCAUCUCAACAAUCUUCAAGUCUUGAACAAGCAAUGGCUAAUCUCAGCAAGGUAGUGGGAGAUUUUGUUGGAAACCAAGAAGCCACCAAUGCUCAAAUCUAUCAAAGAAUUGACAGAGUGGAGAGUAUGUUGAAUAAAAGGAUGGAUGAAAUGCAAAAUGAUAUGAACCAAAAGUUUGAUAACAUCCAAUAUUCAAUUUCAAGGCUUACAAAUUUGAAUACUGCAAGAAAAGGGAAGAUUUCCUUCUCAAUCCCACCAGAACCCCAAAGGUGUCCAUGAAGUGGAAAGCCAAGAGGGAGAAUCAUUGCAGACGAAAGAUGUCAAAGCCUUGAUCACUCUAAGGAGUGGUAAAAAAAUUGAGAAGCCAACACCCGAGCCAUAUGUGGAGAAAGAAGAAGAGAUAAAGAAAGGGAAGGAAAUGGAAGAUAAAGAGAAUGAGAUCAGUGAAGAAACGAAGGACCCUGAUUCAACAAUGAAUGCAAUUCCAGGGAAGGAACUUAUGAAGGAAGAAAUGCUGAAGAAAUCAACUUCUCCACCUUUUCCUCAAGCAUUACAUGGGAAAAAAGGGAUUAGAAAUGCAGCUGAAAUCCUUGAAGUAUUGAGACAAGUGAAAGUCAAUAUUCCACUGCUGGAUAUGAUUAAACAAGUUACAACGUAUGCAAAAUUCCUAAAGGAUUUAUGUACUAUCAAAAGAGGGUUGACUGUAAACAACAAAGCCUUCUUGACUGAGCAAGUAAGUGCAAUCUUACAAUGUAAGUCUCCUUUGAAGUACAAAGACUUGGGAAGUCCUACCAUUUCAGUCAUGAUUGCAGGAAAGGUAGUGGAGAAAGCCUUGUUAGACUUGGGAGCAAGUGUGAAUUUGCUUCCAUAUUCCGUCUACAAGCAAUUGGGACUUGGGGAAUUGAAGCCAACAACAAUCACUCUAUCUCUAGCAGAUAGAUCAGUAAAAAUCCCAAGGGGGGUAAUUGAGGAUGUCUUAGUUCAAGUGGAUAAUUUCUACUAUCCAAUAGAUUUUAUUGUUCUUGAUACAGAUCCUACUGUAAAGGAAGCUAAUUUAGUUCCUAUCAUCCUUGGAAGGCCAUUUCUUGCUACCUCAAAUGCAAUCAUCAAUUGCAGGAAUGGGCUGAUGCAACUCACUUUUGGCAACAUGACACUGGAUCUCAAUAUUUUCUAUAUGUCUAAAAAGCAAAUCACUCCGAAAGAAGAAGAGGGUCCAGAAGAGCUGUGCAUUAUUGACACUCUAGUAGAGGAGCACUGUAAUCAAAAUAUGCAAGACAAGUUGAAUGAAAGUCUUGUGGAUUUUGAGGAAGGUUUGUCUAAAUCUCCUACUGUGCUUGCUACUCUACAAAGUUGGAGAAAGAUAGAAGAAAUUCUACCUUUGUUCAAUAAAGAAGAAGAGGCAACUGCUGAAAAAGAACCUCCAAAUCUCAAUCUGAAGCUUUUACCUGUGGAGGUGAAAUAUACAUAUCUUGAAGAAAAUAAUCAAUGUCCUGUUGUGAUAUCUUCAUCUCUGACCAAUCAUCAAGAGAAUUGUUUAAUGGAAGUUCUUAAGAGGUGUAAGAAGGCAAUAGGAUGGCAAAUAUCCGACUUGAAAGGCAUUAGUCCUUUAGUUUGUACUCAUCAUAUAUAUAUGGAGGAGGAGGCAAAGCCAAUUCGUCAACUUCAAAGAAGAUUGAAUCCUCAUCUACAAGAGGUGGUACGAGCUGAGGUGUUGAAGCUACUUCAAGCAGGAAUCAUUUACCCUAUAUCUGAUAGCCCUUGGGUGAGUCCUACUCAAGUGGUACCAAAGAAGUCAGGGAUCACAGUGGUUCAGAAUGAAAAAGGAGAAGAAAUUACUACACGCCUCACUUCAGGUUGGAGGGUGUGUAUUGAUUAUAGAAAGUUGAAUGCUGUAACCAAGAAAGAUCAUUUUCUAUUGCCAUUUAUUGACCAAGUGCUGGAGAGAGUCUCUGGACAUCCAUUCUAUUGCUUCUUGGAUGGGUAUUCAGGGUAUUUUCAGAUUGAAAUUGAUGUGGCAGAUCAGGAAAAGACCAGUUUUACAUGUCCAUUUGGAACAUAUGCUUACAGGAGAAUGUCUUUUGGUUUAUGCAAUGCACCUGCUACAUUUCAAAGAUAUAUGUUGAGUAUUUUCAGUGAUAUGGUGGAGCGAAUUAUGGAGGUUUUCAUGGAUGACAUCACCGUAUAUGGAGGUACAUAUGAGGAAUGCUUAGUCAAUUUGGAAGCGGUUCUUCACAGAUGCAUUGAAAAAGACCUAGUGCUCAACUGGGAGAAAUGCCAUUUUAUGGUACGUCAAGGAAUUGUCCUUGGCCAUAUCAUCUUUGAAAAAGGCAUUGAAGUUGUUAGCAACAAUUGUCAAAUUGCAAAGGUGGAUUGUAAAAGGAGUAAGGCAGUUCCUUGGCCAUGCAGGGUUCUAUAGGAGGUUUAUAAAAGGUUUUUCAAGUCUUUCAAAACCUCUUUGUGAGCUGUUAGCUAAGGAUGCUAAAUUUAUAUGGGAUGAAAGGUGUCAAAAUAGCUUUGAUCAACUGAAAAAUUUUUUAAUAACAAAUCCAAUAGUGAGAGCUCCUAACUGGCAAUUACCUUUUGAACUGAUGUGUGAUGCCAGUGACUUUGCUAUAGGAGCUGUGCUUGGCCAAAGGGAAGAUGGGAAGCCCUAUGUGAUUUACUAUGCAAGUAAAACACUGAAUGAAGCUCAAAGAAACUACACAACUAUAGAGAAAGAAGUGUUAGUUGUGGUAUUUGCUUUGGACAAAUUUCGUGCUUAUUUAGUGGGGUCUUUCAUCAUUGUCUUCACUGACCAAAGCAAGAUGCAAAAGCAAGGUUGAUUAGAUGGAUUCUUUUGUUACAAGAAUUCGAUCUCCAAAUCAAAGAUAAGAAAGGAGUGGAGAAUGUAGUAGCUGACCACCUUUCAAGGUUAGUUAUAGCACAUAAUUCCCAUCUCUUGCCUAUUAAUGAUGAUUUUCCUGAAGAAUCACUCAUGUUCCUAGUGAAAACUCCUUGGUAUGCUCAUAUUGCUAAUUAUUUAGUAACUGGUGAAAUUCCAAGUGAGUGGAAUGCACAGGACAGGAAGCACUUCUUUGCCAAAAUUCAUGCUUAUUAUUGGGAAGAGCCCUUUCUUUUUAAGUAUUGUGCAGAUCAGAUCAUAAGGAAAUGUGUCCCUGAAGAUGAGCAGCAAGGGAUUCUAUCUCAUUGUCAUGAGAAUGCAUGUGGAGACCACUUUGCCUCUCAAAAAACAGCUAUGAAGGUGUUGCAAUCAGGGUUUACCUGGCCAUCUCUUUUUAAAGAUGCCCACAUCAUGUGUAGGAGUUGUGAUAGAUGCCAACGGCUUGGAAAGUUAACAAAAAGAAAUCAAAUGCCUAUGAACCCUAUUCUAAUAGUUGAGUUAUUUGAUGUAUGGGGCAUUGACUUCAUGGGACCUUUCCCAAUGUCUUUUGGUAAUUCUUACGUCUUUGUGGGGGUGGAUUAUGUUUCUAAAUAGGUUGAGGCAACCCCCUGUAAACAAAAUGAUCAUAGGGUGGUUCUCAAGUUUCUUAAAGAGAACAUUUUCUCAAGAUUUGGGGUGCCCAAAGCUAUAAUCAGUGAUGGAGGUGCUCAUUUUUGCAACAAACCUUUUGAAGCUCUGUUAUCCAAGUAUGGAGUGAAGCAUAAGGUGGCUACACCUUAUCAUCCUCAGACUUCCGGGCAAGUUGAGCUAGCUAACAGGGAAAUAAAGAAUAUAUUGAUGAAAGUAGUGAACUCCAGCAGAAAGGAUUGGUCUAUUAAGCUUCAUGAUUCAUUGUGGGCAUAUAGAACAGCUUAUAAAGACUAUUCUUGGCAUGUCUCCCUAUCGUCUUGUCUAUGGAAAAGCAUGCCAUCUCCCUGUGGAAGUUGAAUACAAAGCUUGGCGGGCAAUAAAGAAGCUGAACAUGGACUUGAUCAGAGCCGGAGAAAAGAGAUAUCUAGACCUUAAUGAGAUGGAGGAAUUAAGAAAUAAUGCUUAUAUCAAUUCCAAAGUUGCAAAACAGAGGAUGAAGAAGUGGCAUGAUCAACUCAUCUCCAACAAGGAAUUUCAGGAAGGGCAAAGAGUUUUACUGUAUGACACAAGACUCCAUAUCUUUCUUGGGAAGCUCAAGUCAAGGUGGAUAGGCCCGUUCAUUAUUCACCGAGUAUAUUCCAAUGGAGUGGUGGAAUUAUUGAAUUCAAAUGGCAAGGACAACUUUAGAGUCAAUGGAUAUCGUCUCAAGCCAUUCAUGGAGCCAUUCAAACCAGAAAAGGAGGAAAUUAACCUCCUUGAGCCUCAAAAAGCCUAAGCAAAGAAGGGUUUGAUGGAUGUGGUUUUACCACAGUCCAAAAUUUUUGUAGAUUUUGUAAAUUUUCAAGUUUUUUCCAUACUUUUGAUCUUAGUUUUUGAUCGUAAAUCAUGUUUUUAUGUGUGUUUCAAUCUUUUUGAAUGAUCCCAGGUGGAAGAAAUUGCAAAGAAAUUGAAAAAAAAAAAAAUCGGAGCAAAAAUAGAGUGAAAACAAAGCAAAAACAGAGCUCUGCGAGAUUUCGCAGCCUAAAGAAAACUUCUGCGAAAUGAGCAUUUUGUUGUCAAACCAUUCAGCAACACUUUGGGAUUCUCUGCGAGAAUUUUCGCAGCUGCGAAGGCGAGUUUGGCACACGAGUGCCACUUCGCAGCAUAGGAGCCCCCAUUUCGCAGCUGCGAAACUGUUGCGAAGCGGUAAAACCUAGAUUUCGCAACAAAAGUCCCAUUCCGCAAGGUAUUUCGCAAUUGCGAAAGUGAUUUUGGCACACGUGUGCCAUUUCGCAGCAUAGUUACAUUCAUUUCGCAGCUGCGAAACGCAUUGCGAAGUGGCUGCGAAAAUGACAUUUUGCUGCGAAAUUGGCAUUUUUUCUGCGAAACUCAAUUUGACCCUUAGUCUUUCGUUAUUACUAUAUAUACCAGUCAUUUGAGCUGUGAAAAGGGUUUCAAAAUAUAGCACGCCAUUCUCGCAGACUGUUCAUCUCCUUCCUUGAGCCUCACCGCGCAAGCCUCCGGUCAUCUUCUCCGACCAUCCAUUCCGACCAAAUUUCGGCAACUCGAAAUGGCGUGAACCAGAGGGGCUAAGUCUUCCUCUCCUUCAAGCCGCAAGAAAAGCUUGCGAAAGGAGCCAGUUCCAGAUCCCGUUUCUAUGCCUCCGCGGCCAAGAGCAAUUUCUCCUCCGGUGAAGCCCGCGCCGCCAAAGCCUCCGGCGAGGCGUUACCUUACCAGGUCAGGGGGUCGGCCGCUGCAGAAGAGACCAAGGGUUGAAAGCUCAGAACCCAUUGACUUGACUGAGCAAUCUCCAGAGCCCUCGCCGGUUCCAACUCUAGUUUCCUCGCCAGUUCCAUCUCCGGUGCCAUCUCCGGCACCGCAAGCAAAACCACAGGAGCCUCAGCCGCCACUUCCCGAGCCCCAAAUUUCAACUGAAAUAGCUCCGGAAGAAGUAAUCAGGCGGCCAAUGCUAACUCAACCCCCAAUUGAGGGAAAUUUGGAUUGUAGAGCUCGGCCAUUCCACUCCAAGCUAUGCUUUGACAUAGCCACAUUUCGAUUGCAGCCGGAGCUUGCACAGUCAUUCAACCUGCUGAGGAGAUACCACAUGGAGCACCUACUGACUCCGAGAGACUUUUUCUACCCUAGGAUAGACAUGGAUUUCUAUCAAUCCAUGAUAACCAAACAGGUCAGGGAUCCAACUUUAAUUCAUUUCACUAUUGAUGGGAGGCAUGGCAUAUUGGGAGCACGCCAUAUAGCUGAAGCCUUGCAAAUUCCCUACGAGCCAAGCCAAUUCGAUAAUUUUAAAGCUUGGACCAGUCAUACUGAACUGGAGAUGGUGCACACCCUGUCCAGAGGAGCUUCCACACGAUCACAUCUAUUGAGGGGGGAGCUUCCUCCAAUCAUCUUUCUGAUUGAUGCAUUUUUGCGUCAUAACCUCUACCCAUUGCAGCAUUGGACUCAAAGAAGAGGAGUCCUCUUAGAAGCCCUGUACAAGAUGUCUGAGGGAUUUUUCUUUGGGCCUCAUCAUCUAAUUCUGGCAGCCCUUCUCUAUUUCGAAGAGAAGGUACACAAAAAGAAGCUUCAGAGGGCUGAUACCAUUCCCUUCCUCUUUCCAAGGCUGCUAUGCCAAAUUCUGGAGCACUUGGGGUAUCCUUCUGAGCCUCAGCUGGAGCGCUAACGCAUUUGCCGUGAGCUAUUUACUCUCGACAAAUGGAACAACAUGACAGCUUAUAGAGUUGACCAGCCUGAGCGCCCACAGCCAGCUGCUAGGAGAGCAUCCCCACGACACAUACCUGAGGGUAUAACAGUUGCUGCUCCUGCCAUUCCCAGAGCUCCACCAGCUGUUCCAGCUUCAUCUCAGCCAUCCACUUCAGCUGAACCGAGGAUGACCAUUCCCAUUUCUGAAUACAGAGAGUUGUGUCGUUCAUUGGAGACCCUCACAGCAUCUCAGAGCAGUCUUGCUCAAGAGAUGGUAGCCAUUAGAGCAUGCCAAGAGCAGAUGUUGGCCACUCAGGCUCAACACACUACCAUCUUAAGGCAGCUCCAGCUUCAUUUCGACCUACCACCAGCUGUUGAGCCCUCCACAUCUACCACAACAGUGCCACACUCUCCUCCAGUAGAGCCUCAGGCCCCAGCUGAAGCACCAACUGAAGAGGCAGACCCAUCUGCCUAGCCCCAGCACCACCCACUCAUUAGAAUAUAUAUAUAUAUAUAUAUAUAUAUAUAUAUAUAUAUAUAUAUAUAUAUAUAUAUAUAUAUAUAUUGCUUUUCUUUUAUGUAUUUCGUUUUUAGUUGGAAAGAAAUCCCAUUAUUUUGGUACUAUAUUUGGGAUUGCUUGUAUUCCUUUUCUUUUGCAUUGUACUCAAAUGGAUUCAAAGUAAUACAAGUCUAAUAUUUCUUGUUAACAGUUUGCAUUAAUUUAUCCUUAUUUCCUUUUCUCACAUAUUCUAUUCUUUUUUAAACAUGUGGUUUCUCCAAUCAAUAUGCGAAAUUGAUAUCACUCAGGAGGUACCACUUCCUCCCUUUAAUUACAAUCACUCAUAUCACAUUGAGGACAAUGCUCAGUUCAGUUGGGGGGGAAUGAGGAAGGAAGUUAUGCUAAAUUAAAGGAACUAUGCUAAGUCUUUUUGGUAAUGCAAUUAUUUUGGUAAAUUAGUUGUAGUUUUUGCUUUUUACUCUUUUUACUCUAUUCUACAUGAAGUUUGAGGAAAAAUUUUCAAAUUAAAACAGGAGAAAUUGAACUGUUGUUUUUCACUUGACUUAGAGUAUGGAUUAUGCUCACUAAAGUGGUUCAAUUGUUGAAGCUUCUAUUGAAAUUGAAUUUAGUUCUUCCACUUUAAGCUAUUCACACACUGUGCACAUUAGAUUCCGAUUAUAACAUGAAAAGCUAUUUCCCUCUUGACUUAGGAUAAUUUUAGGACUUGGUAUAUUUGACCUCAUUUGAUAAAAUUGAAACACCUUGCAAAAGGCCAAUGAGCCUUUGAAAUAAAGAAAGUUGUUUGCUUGCCUUAAAACCCGAGCAAGGUCUGAGAGGCAUAUGGUGAAAAUCUUUGAAGCCUGGUGCCCUAAGCCUUAAUUGGUUGGGAGUCACCGACCUCAAUGCUCGUUACAAGGGUGGAUAGGAGGAGUUAGCAUGUGGUAGGUGCUUGGGUAUUAGAAAUUCAUUCUCAAAAGUCCGGGGAAAAAUCUGAGGAGUUAGUGGUUGAAAGAUCCUUAAAGCUUGGUGCCCUAAACCUUAAUUGGUUGGGAGUCAUCAAUGGACCCCCAUUACAUGGAAAAUUCAGAAAGAGUACCCCAUUAAGCCUCUUCUAAAAAAAAAAAAAAAAAAGUGUGUUCUUUCUUUAUUGAUUUUGGUCAGUUUGCUAAGUUUUGAAAAGAGAUAGGUUGGGGGGAGAGAUUAGUUUAGCAUAUUAUUCUCGGAAGCUAAGGAACCAAUACACAUAGAUUUUUGAGGAAGAAUAAAGUUUGGUUCUUUGAAAGUGGAAAUGAUUUUAAAACUUAAGUUUGCAUAAUGCAUUCCCUUGAUUGACAGUGUUUAGCAUAGUUUGUUAUAACUCUUGUUGAAAUUUGGGUUUGUAUUUCUUUAAUGUUUCAUGAGAGAAUUAGAUCAUCAUGCCACUUGAGAAUUGUUUUUGAUCAGCAUGAUGUUGUAAAUUUUAGUAUAAGUUGCUUUUUAUUUUCAAUUUUUCUCUCCUAUAUUGCUAAGGGACUAGCAAUAUGUCGGUUGGGGGGAGUGAUUACUACUCAAAAAGUGCUAUUUGAUAGCCUAUAAUUAAUCCUUUUAAACACUUUUGAGUAGUAGUUUUGGCCUUUUAACUCAAUUGGCAUGUUAAGGACCCUUGAAAGCAAUUUUAAUCACUUUGUGUAAGUUUUGGUGUUUUUGUUAGUAAUUUGAUCACCAAACCAAUUCAAGAUUGAGGAGAAUUAUGAGGAAUCUUGGGCAAAGCUUGGAAGUCAUUUGCCAAGAGUGAAUCCGGAUUGCAAAGAGAAAAAGUAAAGAGAAUCUGCCAUGAAGCAUAUUCUUGAUGACAGUCGUGGCAGCCACUUUUGGAGCACUUUCUGAAGUCCAAUUGAUGCAUGAUAUAUACCAUUUCAAAGCUCAGGAAGUCAACAAUCCAAUUCUUCAAACGUUACGCAAUUCGAAGUUGAAACGAAGAAGUUACAGCCACUGCAAGUCAAUCACUCUAAGCUGAAGGAAGCAUUUUGCAAAGUGUUGCGAAAUCACCCUUUUGUUGCGAAGUGAUUCCGCAGCCUUUUUGUACAGUGUGGUGUAUUUCCUUCUGAAGUUGCCCGAUAUAUGCCGGAAGCUGGGAGCUGAGAACCUCAAGCUGGAAGCUAACUUCGCAGCCCUGCAAGAAUAGCAUGUUGUUGCGAAAUGAUUUCGCAACCCUUCUUGAGUGCCUGCGAAAUCUCGCAGACACCAUUUUCUCUUGCGAAAUGGUUCCUGGAGCAUCCCGAUAUUUGCUACCGACAUUUGGAGAUAUUUUCUAUUAGAUUUUUGUUGUCUAAAUCCCAAAAUACUCCUUAUAAGCCACCAAUUACAAGAUUCCUUAGCUUUUAAGUUAGUAAAAAGAGAAAAUAUCUAUGUAAUAAUUAGUUUUAUAUCAUGUUCAUAUAAGUACCUCUCGGGAGCCUGUUCUCAGAGGGGAGAUCCUUUUGAAAAGUUUUGGGUAAGUGAUUACUACCAAAAAGUGCUAUUUUGUAGACUUAAUUAUAAUGGUUUUAAGCACAUUUGAGUAGUAAUCAUAUUCAUUUAACCCAAUUAAUUCAUUAAGGUCCUUAGUAAUUGGUUUUAACCAUUUUGUGGCAAGUUUACAUGUUUUUAUCAGCUUAUGAAUCAAUUCAAGCAUGCCAAAUGAUGGAGGAGCUACUUGGACAAGUUUUGGCAAAGCUUUUGGAAGCUCAAAUUCAUGAAGAACCAAGCUUUGGAGCUCCAUAGCCCUUUGCCAAAGUCGUUCAAAGUAUGCAAGGAAAGAACAAUGGAGAAGAGGAAAACAGAGGACAACAGUUUCUUUUAUUUUUGUUUUAAUUUCAAUUUGUGCAUUCCUUGUUGGAUUCGAGACCAAGAGGGAACCCUGGUACAAGUUGAAGAAAAGAGCCUUAGUUGAAUAUCAUUUUUUUUAGAAAUGGAAAUUCCACAUGAAGAUCAAAGCUCUCAUUAUGAUCAUGAGAAGGACAAAUUUGCAUACCUAUCCAUGAGGGAUCGGAUUGAAUUGGGGAAAAGGCAAGUUCAACAAAGCCAAUGGGGUAGUAAGUAUGCUUUGAAUGGAGAUGAUUCAUAUGAGCAUACGAUAGGGGAGUGCUCUACCAUUCCAACUGUGAGAGACAUGUAUGGUUACCAAAGCUCCUACACCUCAAGUUGGAAUAACCAUCCCAACCUUACAACCCAACCUCAACCUCAACCUCAACCAUCAAUGAGUACAUCUUCAUUGGAGCAAGCCAUUUUGAAGAUAAGCAAAGUCAUGGAGGACUUUGUAGGUGAGCAACAAAAGAUCAACUCUCAUCUUAAUGAAAAGAUUGAUAAUAUGGAGAGUUCAAUGAAUGUAAGAAUGGAGGGGGUUUAUAAUGAUCUAUCACUAAGGAUAGAAAAAAUUCAAGACUCCAUUGAGAAGCUCACCAAUCUCGACAUAGCAAGGGGGAAAAGGAAGCUUCCUCCUCAACCCCACCAUAACCUUCAAGGAACCAAUGCAAAAAGAUCAAGGAAAGUGUUGAAGAUCGACACUUUGGUGGGGGAUUGCUAUGACAACUCUAUGGACCAACCUUCCAUUGAAAAUCAUAAGGUUCAAGAUGACAAAGGGUUACCUGAACCCUUUAAAGCAUCCACUUCUCCAGGGAAGAGAAGAGAAACGAAUUCCCUUGGACCAAAUGGGAAGGAUGCCAAUUUUGUUUGGGAUCCAGGGGGAAUUCAACAUGAAGUGGGUGUGUGAGUGAGGAUGAGCUAAAUAGUUCAUCUUCUUUUUGGGGUACAUGCUAUCAGCUUCAUUUAAAUUCUAUGCUUUCUUUAAAUUUAUGCAUGUUUUAGUUUGAAUUCUUAGCUUUAAUUUAGUUUUAAUAUGUUUUUAAGAUGAGUUUUGAAGUGUUCAUGCAGGUAUGAUGCUUGCAAAAAUCGAAGUUAAGGCAAGUGAUGAAGAGGAAGUGAAAUCAUUUAGUGAUUUCUAUGUUUUUAGUUAACUUAAAACACCUUAGAGUCACCUGGGCCAACACUUGGUAAGGCAAGUGAUUUCCAACCAUGGAGAUGCACUAGUUUACCCCUUGCGAGCCUCUGGGAGGUGACUUUAAGGUAGGAUUUUCUGGAAUUGCCAACACUUGGUAAGCUUUUGGACUCCAAGGAGACAUCCAUUAGUUAUCUCUUGUGAGCUUGAGAAGGGAAGUCCAAGGUUAAAGAUCACCUUGAAUGGUUAAGGCUUAGUGAGAGGCUUAAACCAUUGCAAGUUGCAUCAGUGAGAGAAUUAAAGUUGAAAUCUAAUUAAAGGAUGUAUCUGUACAACGCCGAUUAGAGAAUUGACUAUAUGUUGAAUCUCUAACGCGAGGAAAUGAACCAUCUGACCGAAGCUAUGUCUUUUGCAUGAGGAACCACCCCAGUGAACCUGACUCUCCAAGGAAUGUUUUUCUUCCUAAGUUAUUCCCAUUACUUGUUUUGUUAGUUAGUUUAAAUCUAAAUUUUUACAAAUCAAAGUUUGUGUUUUAGUUCUUAAGCUAACCUUGAAAUGAAACAAGACCAAUUCACCUUGAAUUGGUAUCAUUGAUAGCUUGUUAAUCCUUCCCAGUGAACGAUCCUAGAGCCACUAUACUAUAGUAGCUUUGUCUUUGCUACCCUAGUAAAUGGUGUAAUAGGUUAUAAAUUUUGUUAAUUACUCCCUCAAUCAAGGAGCACCAGCUGGACACGAAUCAGCUGAGACACCAAUUGGGCACGAAUCAAAUGGCGCCGUUGCCGAGGAAGGUGUAAAUUUUGUAGUGAUACCAUUUUUGAGCACUUGUGAUUUUCAUCACAAGUUUGGUAACGUUUCUUUCACUUUAUUAAUUCUCAUUCCACCCGGAUGGUUCACACCCGGAUAGUGGGAGCGCGCCGCCAUUAUACCCGGCUGCCGCCACUUUACGCCCGAAUGUGAUAUUCUGCUCCGCCGCCAUUACAUCCAAAAUUCUGCUGCCGCCCACAUUCCACCCCGGAUGUUCACAUCCGGAAUUUUGACGCCAGAUGGGAGAGGAGGCGUUUCAAAUUCCUCGGAUGGACAUAUCCGGAUUCUCUGAUAGCCCCCUACCCGGAUGGGAGAGCAGCCAUUUUGCACAAGUGCUGUGGUGUUCUCCUGAAGCUUCUUGAUAUUUGCCAUCAACAUUUUGGGAUAUUUUGAGAUAUUUUGCUUUAGAUAUUUGUUGUCUAAAUCCCUAAAAUCUCAUUGUAACCCACCAAUUAUAGGAUUCCUUAGUUAUUAAGUUAGGAAAAAGGAUGAAUAACCUUUUAUAUAUUAUUAUUGUAAUUUUCAUAUAAAUAUCUCUCGGGAGCUUGUUUUCGGGACGAUCGAUCCUUUGUACAGUUUUACAAGGAAGAAAAAUACAGAGCCUUUGCUCUACUUUACCUUCUCAUUUUUAAUUAUAUUUUCUUAUUAGCCAAACAAGCUCUGAGGAUGUUUUCCCAGAGGAUGAGAGGCUAAACCUUUGGUUUCUUGGAGUGAAGGAAGCUAGGUGAAAAAUCCAGAUGCAAAAGUGGAAAACUCUCGUGCUUUAAAUACAGGUAGUUGGAGUUCAUAAAUGGCUUUUAAAUCUAAAGUUUUGUUUUAAAUCCCUUAGAAUCACUUUGAAUGGCCAAUACAUGAUAAGAUUUUAGGUCUCUAUGGAUACUUAUUGCUAGAUCCACAUAAGACCAUUAGUUAUCAUGUACGAGCCAUUGGAAAGUGGCUCAAGGUGAAGAUCCAUAGUGUCUAAAGCCAUUAAUGGAACUUGACUACCAUUUCUAUUGACUUUUUAUGGAUUAAAUCUUCAUUGUUAAACCUAUACCAGUUCGGGAAACAACCAUCCUUUAUGUUGUUGUCCCCAGUGUGAGGAGAAGAAUUCGGAAUUUCCCACUUUGCAUUCUGAACUUGAUCCUAGCAACCUUUAGCUCCGGGAGACUUUCUUUCUUCCAUUUUUACAUAGUUCUAUGUUAGUUUAGUUUCAAACACCACUUUCAAAACAAUUUUUUUUUAAAAAAAAAAAACUUUAAAGUUUUUGACAAAAGAAAUCAUCAGAUUCAAUUUCUAAUCUUGAGUCUAUCACUGGUAGAGUGAAAACUCAUCCCAGAGUUCGACCUUAGAGCUGCUAUACUAUAGUAGCUUUGCUACACUAGUAUGAGGUCAUAGGAUUUAUAAAUAUUUUUUGAUUAAAAUACCCAACUGGGCACGAAUCAGGUACUAUAGACUAAGGCAUUAUGUUUUGCAGACAACAGAGUGAUAUUUCAGUUAAGGGAUAUGUUGAUGCAGACUAUGUAAGUGACUUGGAUGAUAGGAGGUCUACCACAGGUUAUGUAUUCACCCUUGGUGGGGGACUUAUUAGUUGAAAGUCAUGAUAUAGUCUUUAGUUGCACUAUCUACUAUUGAGUUAGAAUAUAUGGCAAUAGCUAAGGCUGCAAAGAAAUCAUUGUGGCUUAUAGGUUUGGCCAAGGAGUUGGGUAUUCAACAAGGUGGAGUUAAAUUAUAUUGUGACAAUCAGAGUGCCAUUUAUUUGGCAAAGAACCAUGUGUAUCAUGCAAGGACCAAACACAUAGGUGUGAGAUUUCACAAGAUCAGGGAAUUAGUUUCUUCUAGUGAAUUGUUACUUGAGAAGGUUCACACCUUUGAGAAUGCAGCAGACAUGUUGACAAAGCCUCUUACCACAAAAAGUUCAAGCAUUGCUUGAACUUGAUUAAUCUCUCCAGAUGUUAGAUAGAAGAUGCCCCAACCUAUUGUUCUAGGUGAAGUUAUAAGCUAUGUUUCUUGUUUUUUUAAGGGGAUGAAUAUUCACCAAGGUGGAGAUUGUUGUAGUAUGUGGCUCAAAUUGAGUGAAAGACAUAUAUGGAGAAAAAAGGGCAAAUGCAUGAGGUGAUUCAUGCCCAAUUGGUGUCUCAGCUGAUUCGUGUCCAGCUGGUGCUCCUUGAUUGAGGGAGCAAUCAACAAAAUUUAUAACCUAUUACACCAUAUACUAGGGUAGCAAAGAAAAAGCUACUAUAGUAUAGCGGCUCUAGGAUUGUUCACUGGGAACGGUUUCCAAAUUACAAAUGAUACCAAUUCAAAGUGAAUUGGUACUUUUUCAUUUCAAGGUUAGCUCAAGAAAUAAAACAAAAACUUUGAUUGGUAAAGAUUUAGAUUUAAAAUGACUACAAAGCAAGUGAUGGAAAUUACAUAAGAAGAAAAACAUUCCUUGGAGGGUCAGGUUCACUGGGGAGGUUCCUCAUGCAACAGACAUAGCUCCGGUCAGUUGGUUCAUUUCCUCGCGUUAGAGAAUCAACAUAUAGUCAAUUCUCUAACCGGUGUUGUACAGAUACAUCCUUUAAUUAGAUUUCAGCUUUAAUUUUCUUACUGAUGCAACUUGCAACGGUUCGAGCCUCUCACUAAGCCUUAACCAUUCAAGGGGAUCUUUAACCUUGGACUUCCCUUCUCAAGCUCGCAAGAGAUAACUAAUGGAUGUCUCCUUGGAGUCCAAAAGCUUACCAAGUGUUGGCAAUUCCAGAAAAUCCUACCUACAAGUCACCUCCCAGAGGCUCGCAAGGGGUAAACUAGUGCAUCUCCAUGGUUGGAGAUCACUUUCCUUACCAAGUGUUGGCCCAGGUGACUCUAAGGUGUUUUAAGUUAACUAAAAACAUAGAAAUCACUAAAGGAUUUCACUUCCUCUUCAUUCAUGGCUGAAACCACAAAGCUUUGCAUUCUUGCACUUGGAACCUUUCCCGGCAACCUUAGCUCCAAGGAAUUAAAGGUUUAGUUACUCAUUCUUUGGGGAAACUUCCUCAGAGAGUGCAUAACUUAGAAAAAAUGAAAAAUACAAAGUGAGAAGAUAAGGCAAAACAAAGGUCUUGAAUUUUACUUGCUUUCAAACUUUUACAAAAGGGUUCCUCCCCUUGAGAACAGGCUCUCGAGAGCUAUUUAUAUCAACAAAAAUAAAUACUAAUUAUUACAUGGUUAUCUACUCUUUUUACUAACUUAAAAGCUAAGGAAUCUUAUAAUUGGUGGCUUUCAAGGAGAAUUUUGGGAUUUAGACAACAAAAUUCUGAUGAAAAAUAUCUCCCAAUGUCGGUAGCAAAUAUCGGGAAGCACUAGGAAUCAAUUCGCAAGUGCAAACGAGGUCUGCGAGAUUUCGCAGAGGCACAAAAAGGGCUGCGAAAUCACUUCGCAGCAAACGGCUGAUUUCGCAACGCUACGAAGUGGUCUUUCAACUUGUGGUAUUCGGCUUCCAUCGUGACGGGAAACUUCAAGGGGGGGAACACAGCACUAUACAAAAAAGCUGCGAAAUCAUCUCGCAACAAAAGGGUGAUUUCGCAGCGCUGUGCAAAAUUCUUCCUUCAGCUUGGAGUGAUCGGCUUGCAAUGGCUGUAACUCCUUCAUUUCAACUCCAAAUUGUGCACCAUUUGAAGAAUUGGAUUUUUGACUUCCUGAGCUUCGAAACGACAUAUAGCAUGCAUAAAUUGGACUUCAGGAAGUGCUCCAUAAGUGGUUGACAUGACUGUCAUCAAGAAUAUGCUUCAUGACAGAUUUCUCUUUGCUUCUUCUCCUUACAUUCCGGAUUUACUCAUGGCAGCAAAGGACUUCACAGCUUUAGUUCUUCAUGUUUCUGAGCUUCAAAUUGCUUUGCCAAAGAUUCCACAUAACUCUCCUCAAUCUCGGAUUGCUUUGGUGAUCAAAAAGCUAUCAAAACACCAAAAGUUAACACAUAUUGAUUAGAAGUGCUUGCAAAGGUCCUUAAUAUGUUAAUUGGGUUAAAAGACAAUAACUACUACUCAAAAGUGUUUAAAAGAGUUAAUUACAAGCUAUGAAAUAGCACAUUUUGAGUAGUAAUCACUCCCCCCAACCAACAUAUUGCUAGUCCCUUAGCAAUGAAGGAGAGAAAAAAAAAUUAAAAAUUACUAUAAUUUACAACAUCAUGCUAAUUACUUCAAAAAAAUUUAAGUGGCAUGAUGAUCUAACUCUCACAUGAGACAUUAAAGAGAUAUAAACCCUAAUUUCAACAAGAGUUAUCAAAAACUUUGCUAAACACUAUUGAUCAAGGGAAUGCAUUAUGCAAAUUGAAGUUUUAAAAUCAUUUUCACUUCCAAAGAACCAAACUUUAUUCUUCUACAAAAAAUCUAAGUGUAUGAUUCCUUAGCUUUCGAAUAUAAUGUGCUAAACUAAUCUCUCCCCCCAACCUAUCUCUUUUCAACACUUAGCAAACUGACCAAAUUCAAUAGGCAGAGAACACACUUAUUUUUUUUUGUUUUUAGAAGGCACAAGGCUUAAGGGGUAUUCUUUCUGAAUUGUCCAUGUAACGGGGGUCCAUCGAUGACUCCCAACCAAUUAAGGUUUAGGGCAUCAAGCUUUGAGGAUCUUUCAACCACUAACUCCUCGGAUUUUACCCCGGACUUUUGAGAAUGAUUGUUUUAAUACCCAAGCACCUACCAUAUGCUAACUCCACCUAUCCACCCUUGUAACGAGCAUUGAGGUCGGUGACUCCCAACCAAUUAAGGCUUAGGGCACCAGGUUUUAAAGAUUUUCACCAUAUACCCCUCAGACCUUGCUCGGGUUUCAAGGCAAGCAAACAUUUUUCUUUCUUUAUUUCAAAGGCUCAUUGGCCUUUCAUAAGGUGUCUCAACUUUAUCAACUGAGGUCAAAGGUACCAAGUCCUAAAAUUUUCCUAAGUCAAGAGGGAAAUAGUUUUUCAUCUUAUACUCGAAACCUAUUGUGCACGGUGUGUGAAUAGCUUAAAGUGGAAGAACUAAACUCGAUUUCAAUAGAAGCUUCAACAAUUGAACCACUUUAGUAAGCAUAAUCCAUACUCUAAGUCAAGUGAAAAGCAACAGUUCAGCUUCUCCUGUUUUAAUUUGAAAAUUUUUCCUCAAAAUCCAUGGAGAUUAGAGUGGAUAGUAAAAGAUUACAACUAAUUUACUAACAUAAGUGCAUUACCAAAAUAACUUAGCAUACUUCCUUCCUCAUUUCUCCCCCCCCCCCCCCUAAUCGAAUUGAGCAUUGUCCUCAAUGUGAUAUGGGUGAUUGCAAUUAAAGGGAGGAAGUGGUACCUCCUGAGUGAUAUCAAUUUUCGAAUACUGAUUGGAAAAACCACAUGUUUCAAAAAGAAUAAAAGAUGUAAAAACAAACUCUCUUUGCUAGACCAUCCCAUUGGAGCUACGCAUUGCUAGCCAAUCUAGUUGCAACACAUUAAGGGGAAUGCCCUCAAAAACCAUGGAGCAAAAAGCCCAAAAAGAAGCUAGGAAGUGAAUGGUAUUCCAUAGAUUCUCUAAAUUCCUAGCUUUAUCCUUAAAUAUCCUAGCAUUUCUUUCUCGCCACACAACCCAAAUUAAAGCAAUACAUGUAGUUUGCCACAAAACUAUGCUUCUCUUGGAUUUUCCAAAACCCUUAUAAUUGAUGGUUAUCAAGUCAGAAAUGCUCCUUGGGGGGACCCAAUCCAUCUUAGCUAUCUGAAAUAAUCUGUGCCACAAUCCCAUCGUCAAAUAACAACGUAAGAAAAGAUGAUCUGCUGAUUCUCCGUGCUUCAUACACAACUUACAGAUGUNNNNNNNNNNNNNNNNNNNNNNNNNNNNNNNNNNNNNNNNNNNNNNNNNNNNNNNNNNNNNNNNNNNNNNNNNNNNNNNNNNNNNNNNNNNNNNNNNNNNAUUUCGUUUUCCCUUUUUUAAUUUAAAAAUUUUUCCCCAAAACCCAGGGGGUUUAGGGGGGUUGGUAAAAGUUUACAAUUAUUUUAUUAACAAAGGGCCUUUCCCAAAAAAAUUUGCCUUCUUCCUUUCCUCAUUUCCCCCCCCCCCCCCCCUAAUCGAAUUGAGCAUUGUCCUCAAUGUGAUAUGGGUGAUUGCAAUUAAAGGGAGGAAGUGGUACCUCCUGAGUGAUAUCAAUUUUCGAAUACUGAUUGGAAAAACCACAUGUUUCAAAAAGAAUAAAAGAUGUGAGAAAAAGAAAUAAGAAUAAAUUAAUGCUAAGAGUUAACAAAAAUGCUAGAUUUGUAUUACUUUAAAUUCAUUUGAGUACAAUGAAAAAGAAGGCAAUACAAGCAAUCCCAUAUAUGAUACCAAAUUAAUGGGAUUUCAUAAAAGACUAAGAAAAAGAAAAAAAAAAUGAAAUACAUAAAGGAAAUAUGUAGUAGAUAUAUAUGAUGAGAUGGGUAGAUGGUGCUUGAACUAAUGGCUUAGGCAAAUGGCUCUGCCUCUUCAGUAGUUUUUUCAGGAGGGGCCUGAGGCUCUGUGGCCUGCGAGUGUGGCACUGCAGUGGUGGGGGUGGAGUGCUCAGCAGCUGAUGGAAGAUCAAAAUGAUGCUGUAGCUGCCUCAGGAUGGCAGUGUGCUGAGCCUGGGUGGUCAACAUCUGCUCCUGGCAUGCUCGAAUAGCUGCCAUCUCCUGAGCAAGGCAGCUCUAAGAUGCAGUGAGAGUCUGCAGUGAGCGACAUAACUCCCUAUACUCAGAAAUGGGAAUGGUCAUCCUUGGCUCAACUAAAGAAGAUGGCUGUGAUGAGGCUGGAGUGACUGGAGGGGAUCUAGAUAUGGCAGGAGAGGCAAUGGGUAUACCCUCAGGUAUAUGACGUGGAGAUACUCUCCUGACAGCUGGUAUUGCAGUUGGUGUGGCUGCCCUGGCUGCUCAACUCUAUAUGCUAUCAUAUUGUUCCAUUUUUCGAGAGUAAAGACCUCUCGGAAAAUACGUUUGCGCUCCAACUGAGGAUCUGUUGGAUACCCCAGAUGCUUCAGAAUCUGGCAUAGCAGCCGUGGAAAGAGAAGUGGAAUGGCAUCAGCUCUCUGCAGCUUCUUCUUAUGCACCUUCUCUUCAAAAUUGAGAAGGGCAGCCAUAAUUAGGUGGUGAGGGCCAAAGAAGUAUCCCUCAGAAAUCUUGAACAGGGCCUCCAAAAGAACUCCUCUCCUCUAAAUCCAGUGCUGGAGUGGGUAGAUGUUAUGACGCAGAAAUGCAUCAAUAAGAAACAUGCUUGGAUGAAGUUCCCCCCUCAAUAGAUGUGGACGUGUGGAAGCUCCUCUGGACAAGAUAUGCACCAUCUCCAGCUCAGUGGGACUAGUCCAUACUCUGAAAUUCUCAAAAUGAGUUGGCUCGUAUGGUAUAUGCAGGGCCUCUGCUAUAUGGCGAGCUCCCAAAAUGCCAUGCCGACCAUCUAUAGUAAAAUGGAUUAAAGUAAGAUCUCCGACUUGCUUGGUAGUCAUGGACUGAUAAAAAUCCAUGGCUACCCUGGGGUAGAAGAAGUCUCUCAGGGCCAACAGAUGCUCCAUAUGAUAUCUACGCAAUAGGCGGAAAGAAUCCGCAAGCUCCAGCCUCAAUUGGAAGGUGGUUGUGUCAAAGCACAGCUCAGAGUGGAAUGGCCGAGCUCUGCAGUCCAAAUUCCCUUCUAUUGGCAGCUGAGUAAGCAUCGGACGCCUAAUUAUCACUUCAGGAGCUACCCCAGAUGGAAUUUGGGGUUCAGAAAGUGGUGGCUGGAGCUCCUGAGGCUGUGUUGGCGGCGCCGGAGACGGCACCGGAGAUGGCACUGGAAAGGGCUCUGGUGAGGGAACUGGGGACUGCUCUGUUAAGUCUAUGGGCUCUGAGCUUUCAACUCUAGCCCUCUUUUGCAGGGGACGACCCCCUGACCUAGUGAGAUAACGCCUCGUCGGAGGGUUUUUAGGCGCGGGCUUCGCCGGAGGGGAAACAGCUUCUGGCCGUGGAGGUUCAAAGGUGGGUCUUUGAACAGGUACCUCUUGCGAAACUCGUUUGCGGCUGGAAGGAGAGGAAGAUGUGGCUCCUCUUGUUCGCGCCAUAUCAGAAUGUCGAGAUUUGGCUGGAAGCGAGGACCGGAGAAGAUGACCGGAGGUUCGCGCGUCGUCGGGCUCGGGGAAGGAGAUGAACACACGGCUGCUAUGGCGUUCCCUCCUUUUGAAAUCCUUUUGAAACUCAACUAACCAGUAUAUAUAAAAAUAACGGAAUAUUAAAAGUCAUUUUGAGUUUCGCAGAAGAACGUCGAUUUCGCAACAAAAAGUCAUUCUCGCAGCCCACUUCGCAGCUUCGAAAUGGAUGUCACUGUGCUGCGAAAUGGCACUCGUGUGCCAAACUUGGUUUCGCAGCUACGAAAUACCCUGCGGAAUGGAGCUUUGACUGCGAAAACGGGUAUUUUCACGCUUUGUAGCUUCGCAGCCAAUUCGCAGCUUCGAAAUGGGGGCUCUUGUUCUGCGAAGUGGCACUCGUGUGCCAAACUUGGUUUUGCAGCUGCGAAAAUUUUCGCAAAGGAGUCAAAUGAGUUGUGAAAUGAUUUCGCAAGGGAUGGCCGCUUUCACAGAGACAUGUUGAUUUCGCAGUGGCUUCGUUUAAGUUGCGAAAUGGUUUCGCAUCGAAGUGCUAAUUUCGUAGAGGCUGCGAAAUCUCGUAGACCCCUGUUUUUUCUGUUUUCACUCUGUUUUUUGUCUGAUUUCGCUCCGAUUUCUUCCUUUCAAUCUCUUUGCAUUUUAUCUCACCUGAGAUCAUCCAAAAAGAUUAAAUUACAUAUAAAAACAUACUUUAAGAUCAAAAAUUGAAAUGAAAAGUAUGGAAAAAAAACUUUGAAAUUUACAAAAAUUUUGGACUAUGGUAAAACCAAGUCCAUCAAACCCUUAUUUGCUCAGACUUUUUGUGGCUCAAGGAGGUUGAUUUCCUCAUUUUCUGGUUUGAAUGGCUCCAUGAAUGGCUUGAGACGAUAUCCAUUGACUCUAAAGGUAUCUUUGCCAUUGGAAUUUAAUAAUUCCACCAUUCCAUUGACAUAUACUUGGUGAAUAAUGAACGACCCUAUCCACCUUGACUUGAGCUUUCCAGGAAAGAUAUGGAGUCUUGUGUCAUAAAGUUAAACUCUUUGUCCUUUCUAAAAUUCUUUGUUGGAGAUUAGUUGAUCAUGCCACUUCUUCAUUCUCUGUUUUGCAACUUUGGAAUUGAUAUAAACAUCAUUUCUUAAUUCCUCCAUCUCAUUAAGGUCUAGACACCUCUUUGCUCCGGCUCUGAUCAAGUCCAUAUUCAGCUUCUUUAUUGCCCACCAAGCUUUGUAUUCAACUUCCACAGGGAGAUGGCAUGCUUUGCCAUAGACAAGACGAUAGGGAAACAUGCCAAGAAUAGUCUUAUAAGCUGUUCUAUAUGCCCAUAAUGAAUCAUGAAGCCUAAUAGACCAAUCUUUUCUACUUGAAUUCACCACUUUCAUCAAUAUGUUCUUUAUUUCUCUGUUAGCUAGCUCAACUUGCCCGGAAGUCUGAGGAUGAUAAGGCGUAGCUACCUUAUGCUUCACUCCAUACUUGGAUAAUAGAGCUUCAAAAGGUUUGUUGCAAAAAUGAGCACCUCCAUCACUGAUUAUGGCUUUGGGCACCCCAAAUCUCGAGAAAAUGUUCUCUUUAAGAAACUUGAGAACCACCCUGUGAUCAUUUUGUUUACAGGGGAUGACCUCAACCCAUUUGGAAACAUAAUCCACCCCCACCAAAAUGUAAGAAUUACCAAAAGACAUUGGGAAAGGCCCCAUGAAGUCAAUGCCCCAUACAUCAAAAUAGCUCAACUAUUAGAAUGGGGUUCAUAGGCAUUUGAUUUCUUUUUGUUAACUUUCCAAGCCUUUGGCAUCUAUCACAACUUCUACACAUGAUGUGGGUGUAUUUGAAAAGAGAUGGCCAAGUAAACCCUGAUUGCAACACCUUCAUGGAUGUUUUCUGAGAGGCAAAGUGACCUCCACAUGCAUUCUCAUGACAAUGGUUUAGAAUCCCUUGCUACUCAUCUUCAGGGACACUUCCUUAUGAUCUGAUCUACACAAUACUUAAAAAGAAAGGGCUCUUCCCAAUAAUAAGCAUGAAUUUUUGAAAAGAAGUGCUUCCUGUCCUAUGCAUUCCACUCACUUGGAAUUUCACUCGUAACUAGAUAAUUAGCAAUAUGAGCAUACCAAGGAGUUUUUACUAGGAACAUGAGUGAUUCCUCAGGAAAGUCAUCAUUAAUAGGCAAUGAAUAGGAAUUAUGUGCUAUAACUAACUUUGAAAGAUGGUCGGCUACCACAUUCUCCACUCCUUUCUUAUAUUUGAUUUGGAGAUCGAAUUCUUGUAACAAAAGAAUCCAUCUAAUCAACCUUUUUUUUGCAUCUUUCUUUGUCAAUAAAUACUUCAAGACUGAAUGGUCAGUGAAAACAAUGAUGAAAGACCCUACUAAAUAAGCACGAAAUUUGUCCAAAGCGAAUACCACAGCUAACAAUUCUUUCUCUGUAGUUGUGUAGUUCCUUUGAGCUUCAUUCCGUGUUUUGCUUGCAUAGUAGAUCACAUAGGGCUUCCCAUCUUCUCUUUGGCCAAGCACAGCUCCUAUAGCAAAGUCAUUGGCAUCACACAUCAGUUCAAAGGGUAGUUGCCAGUUAGGGGCUCUCACUAUUGGAGUUGUUAAAAAUUUCUUUAGUUGAUCAAAGCUAUUUUGACAUCUUUCAUCCCAUAUAAACUUAGCAUCCUUAGCUAACAGCUCACAAAGAGGUUUUGAAAGACUUGAAAAACCUUUUAUAAACCUCCUAUAGAACCCUGCAUGGCCAAGGAACUGUCUUACUCCUUUCACAAUUGUUAGGGAUGGUAAUUUGACAAUAAGCUCCACCUUUGCUUUAUCAACUUCAAUGCCUUUUUCGGAGAUAAUAUGGCCAAGGACAAUUCCUUAACGUACCAUAAAAUGGCAUUUCUCCCAGUUGAGCACCAGGUCUUUUUCAAUGCAUCUGUGAAGAACUGCUUCCAAAUUGAUUAAGCAUUCCUCAAAUGUACCUCCAUAUACGGUGAUGUCAUCCAUGAAAACCUCCAUAAUUCGCUCCACCAUAUCACUAAAAAUACUCAACAUACAUUUUUGAAAUGUUGCAGGUGCAUUGCAUAAACCAAAAGGCAUUAUUUUGUAAGCAUAUGUUCCAAAUGGACAUGUAAAGGUGGUUUUUUCCUGAUCUUCCACAUCAAUUUCAAUCUGAAAAUACCCUGAAUACCCGUCCAAGAAGCAAUAGAACGGAUGACUAGAGACUCUCUCCAGUACUUGGUCAAUAAAUGGCAAUGGAAAAUGAUAUUUCCUGGUUACAGCAUUCAACUUUCUAUAGUCAAUACACACCCUCCAACCUGAAGUGAGGCGUGUAGUAAUUUAUUCCCCUUUUUCGUUCUAGACCACAGUAAUCCCUGACUUCUUUGGUACCACUUGAGUAGGACUCACCCAAGGGCUGUCAGAUAUAGGGUAAAUAAUGCUUGCUUGAAGUAGCUUCAGCACCUCAACUCGCACCACCUCUUGUAAAUGAGGAUUCAAUCUUCUUUGAAGUUGAUGAAUUGGCUUUGCUUCCUCCUCAAUAUAUAUAUGAUGCGUGUAAACUAAAGGACUAAUGCCUUUCAAGUCGGAUAUUUGCCAUCCUAUUGCCUUCUUAGACCUCUUGAGAACUUCCAUUAGUGACUUCUCUUGAUGACUGGUCAGAGAUGAAGAUAUUACGAUAGGACAUUGAUUAUUUUCUUCAAGGUAUGUAUAUUUCAGCUCCACGGGUAGAGGCUUCAGAUUGAGUUUUGGAGUCUCUUUUUCAGCAAUUGCCUCUUCUUCUUUAUUGAACAAAGGUAGAAUCUCUUCUAUCAUUCUCCAACUUUGUAGAGUAGCAAGCACAUUAGGGGGUUCAGACAAACCUUCCUCAAAAUCCACAAGACUUUCAUUCAGCUUGUCCUGCAUAUUCUGAUUACAGUGCUCCCAUACCAAAGUGUCAAUAAUGCACACCUCUUCUGGACCCUCUUCUCAUUCCGGAGUGGUUUGCUUUUUAGACAUAUAGAAGAUAUUGAGAUCAAGUGUCAUGUUGCCAAAAGUGAGUUGCAUAAGCCCAUUCCUACAGUUGAUGAUUGCAUUUGAGGUAGCAAGGAAUGGCCUUCCAAGGAUGAUAGGAACUAAAUUAGCUUCCUUUAUAGUAAGGUUUGUAUCAAGAACAAGAAAAUCUACCGGAUAGUAGAAAUUAUCAACUUGAACCAAGACAUCCUCAAUUACCCCCCUUGGAAUUUUUACUGAUCUAUCUACUAGAGAUAGAGUGAUUGUCGUUGGCUUCAACUCACCAAGUCCCAAUUGCUUGCAGACAGAGUAUGGAAGCAAAUUCACACUUGCUCCCAAGUCUAACAAAGCUUUCUCCACUACCUUUCCUCCAAUCAUGACUGAAAUGGUAGGACUUCCCGGAUCUUUGUACUUCAAUGGAGACUUACAUUGUAAGAUUGCACUUACUUGCUCAGUCAAGAAGGCUUUCUUAUUUACAGUCAACCCUCUUUUAAUAGUACAUAAGUCCUUUAGGAACUUUGCAUAUGUUGGAACUUGUUUAAUCAUAUCCAGCAAUGGGAUAUUGACUUUCACUUGUCUCAAUACUUCAAGAAUUUCAGAUGCAUUUCUAAUCCCCUUUUUCCCAUGCAAUGCUUGAGGAAAAUGAGGAGAAGUUGAUUUCUUCAGCAUUUCUUCUUUUUGAAGCUCCUUCUCUGGAAUUGCAUUCAUUGUUGAAUCAUAGUCCUUCUUCUUUUCACUGAUCUCACUCUCUUUGUCUUCCAUUUCCUCCCCUUUCUUUAUCUUUUCUUCUUUCUCAACAUGUGGCUUGGGUGUUGGCUUCUCAAUUUUUUUACCACUCCUUAGAGUGACCAAGGCUUUGACAUCUUUCAUCUGUGAUGAUUCUCCCUCAAGGCUUUCCACUUCAUGGACACCCUUGGGGUUUUGGUGGGGUUGAGAAGGAAAUCUUCCCUUUUCUUGCACUGUGUUCAAAUUUGUGAGCCUUGAAAUUGAGUAUUGGAGAUUAUCAAACUUUUGGGAUAUAUCAUUUUGCAUUCCAUCCAUCAUUUUAUUCAAAGUACUCUCCACUCUGUCAAUUCUUUGAUUGAUUUGAGCAUUGAUGGCUUCUUGGUUUCCAACAAAAUCUCCCACUACCUUGCUGAGAUUUGCUAUUGCUUGUUUAAGACUUGAAGAUUGUUGAGAUGGUUGAUCUGGCUGUUGGUACUGAGUUGCUCUGGCCUUCCAUGAGAAAUUUGGAUGAUUCCUCCAACUUGAGUUGUAAGUAUUUCCAUAAGGCACAUUGUUAUUGGACUUCAAUUGUCCAACAACAUUUGCUUGAUCUCUAAACAUUUCCCUUUCAACUGAAAUUGCAGGGCAUUCCUCCACCAAAUGUUCAUAUGAUUGACAAUUAGGACAAAGCUUUACUUGCACUGGUGCUUCAGCAACAGCUUGCACUUCAUGCACUUUUUUCAGUUCCAGCUCCUCCAAUCUUCUUGUCACAGCUGCCAAUUUUGCUUUCAUAUCAUCAUCUUCUUUCAAGGUAUACAUCUCAGCCUUAGUAUUAAAAGCACUCAGUUGAGACUUUAUCUUCCCCACUUCUCCUUUGGUUGGUUCAUCCCAUCCCCUUGAAACUUCAGCUACAUAGCUCAAGAAAUCCAUAGCUUCCUCUGAAUUUUUGCUCAUGAAAUCUCCUCCACACAUUGUCUUGAGGAGUUGCUUCAUUGAGGAAGACAUCCCAUCAUAAAAAUAGCUCACCAAUAGUCAAGUAUCAAAGCCAUGGUGAGGGCAAGCAUUUAUAGCUUGCAUGUAUCUUUCCCAACACUCAUAGAAUUUCUCAUUCUCUUUAGCUGAGAAAUUUGAAAUUUGCCUUUUCAAGCCAUUUGUUCUAUGAGUGGGAAAAAAAUUUCUUGAGGAAUUCAGCUUGUAAGUCAGUCCAAGUGCGGAUACUCCUUGGCCUUAAAGAAUUAAGCCAAAUUUUGGCCUUAUCCUUUAAAGUAAAAGGAAAUGCCAAAUUUUGGCCUUAUCCUUUAAAGUAAAAGGAAAUAACUUAAGCCUCAUCAAAUCAAUUGAAGUUCCUCCCUCUUGGAAUGUAUUACAAACAUCUUCAAAUUCCUUGAUGUGUGCAUACGGAUUCUCACUUUCCAUCCCAUGGAAAGUUGGUAGAAGUGGAACAAGAUACGGUCUGAUCGCUAGCUGCUCUGUAGGGGGCACUAUACAUGAUGGUGCACUCAUACGAGGUGGAUGCAUACGGUCCCUCAUUGAUCUGAAUUCAUUGAGAUUGUCUUGACGACCUUGGUGACUAUGCUGAUCUUCAGGUGGAGCUUCCAUGAUAUUCAAGCUCAAUUCCAAUUCCUUGUUAUGAGGUGUAUCACGUUUAACAAGCCUUCCUCCACUGUCUCGUAUCCAAUUUGGCAUGCACAACUAGUAUCUAUCUGUAACUAGAAUGAAAAUAAAGGACAACAAAAGGAAAUAGGGCUACGAAAAACAAAAUUAAACUAAGCUGAAUUUAAAAGAUAAAUUUGGAUUAUGAAUUAGUAAAGAAAGAAUGAGAAUUAGUAAAAUGAAAGAAACGUUACCAAACUUGUGAUGAAACUCACAAGUGCUCUGAAAUAGUAUCACUAUAAACUUGACACCUUCCCCGGCAACGACGCCAUCUGAUUCAUGCCCAAUUGGUGUCUCAGCUGAUUCGUGUCCAGCUGGUGCUCCUUGAUCGAGGGAGUAAUCAACAAAAUUUAUAACCUAUUACACCAUAUACUAGGGUAGCAAAGAAAAAGCUACUAUAGUAUAGCGGCUCUAGGAUUGUUCACUGGGAAGGGUUUCCAAAUUACAAAUGAUACCAAUUCGAAGUGAAUUGGUACUUUUUCAUUUCAAGGUUAGCUUAAGAAAUAAAACAAAAACUUUGAUUGGUAAAGAUUUAGAUUUAAAAUGACUACAAAGCAAGUGAUGGAAAUUACUUAGGAAGAAAAACAUUCCUUGGAGGGUCAGGUUCACUGGGGAGGUUCCUCAUGCAACAGACAUAGCUCCGGUCAGUUGGUUCAUUUCCUCGCGUUAGAGAAUCAACAUAUAGUCAAUUCUCUAACCGUUGUUGUACAGAUACAUCCUUUAAUUAGAUUUCAGCUUUAAUUCUCUCACUGAUGCAACUUGCAACGGUUCGAGCCUCUCACUAAGCCUUAACCAUUCAAGGGGAUCUUUAAUCUUGGACUUCCCUUCUCAAGCUCGCAAGAGAUAACUAAUGGAUGUCUCCUUGGAGUCCAAAAGCUUACCAAGUGUUGGAAAUUCCAGAAAAUCCUACCUACAAGUCACCUCCUAGAGGCUCGCAAGGGGUAAACUAGUGCAUCUCCAUGGUUGGAGAUCACUUGUCUUACCAAGUGUUGGCCCAUAUGACUCUAAGGUGUUUUAAGUUAACUAAAAACAUAGAAAUCACUAAAGGAUUUCACUUCCUCUUCAUUCAUGGCUGAAACCACAAAGCUUUGCAUUCUUGCACUUGGAACCUUUCCCGGCAACCUUAGCUCCAAGGAACUAAAGGUUUAGUUACUCAUUCUCUAGGGAAACUUCCUCAGAGAGUGCAUAACUUAGAAGAAAUGAAAAAUACAAAGUGAGAAGAUAAGAAAAAACAAAGGUCCUGAAUUUUACUUGCUUUCAAACUUUUCCAAAAGGGUUCCUCCCCUUGAGAACAGGCUCUCGAGAGCUAUUUAUAUCAACAAAAACAAAUACUAAUUAUUACAUGGCUAUUUACUCUUUUUACUAACUUAAAAGCUAAGGAAUCUUAUAAUUGGUGGCUUUCAAGGAGAAUUUUGGGAUGUAGACAACAAAAAUCUGAUGAAAAAUAUCUCCCAAUGUCGGUAGCAAAUAUCGGGAAGCAUUGGGGAUCAUUUCGCAAGUGCAAACGAGAUCUGCGAGAUUUCGUAGAGCCACAAAAAGGGCUGCGAAAUUACUUCGCAGCAAACGGCUGAUUUCGCAAUGCUGCGAAGUGGUCUUUCAACUUGUGGUAUUCGGCUUCCAUCAUGACGGGAAACUUCAGGGGGGGAAACACAAGACUGUACAAAAAGGCUGUGAAAUCAUCUCGCAACAAAAGGGUGAUUUCGUAGCGCUGUGCAAAAUUCUUCCUUCAGCUUGGAGUGAUCGGCUUGCAAUGGAUGUAACUCCUUCAUUUCAACUCCAAAUUGUGCACUGUUUGAAGCAUUGGAUUUUUGACUUCCUGAGCUUCGAAACGAAAUAUAGCAUGCAUAAAUUUGACUUCAAGAAGUACUCCAAAAGUGGUUGACAUGACUGUCAUCUUAUGCUUCAUGACAGAUUUCUCUUUGCUUCUUCUCCUUACAUUCUGGAUUUACUCAUGGCAGCAAAAGACUUCACAGCUUUAGUUCUUCACGUUUCUGAGCUUCAAAUUGCUUUGCCAAAUAUUCCACAUAACUCUCCUCAAUCUCGGAUUGCUUUGGUGAUCAAAAAGCUAUCAAAACACCAAAACUUAACACAUAUUGAUUAGAAGUGCUUGCAAAGGUCCUUAAUAUGUUAAUGGGUUAAAAGGAAAUAACUACUACUCAAAAGUGUUUAAAAGAGUUAAUUACAAGCUAUGAAAUAACACAUUUUGAGUAGUAAUCAUGAGGAGCGACAAAAUUUGCCAUUUAAGAUUGUAUUUUUAUUAUUAAGAGUGAACAAUAGGUUGGGCGGGUGUGAGGGGCAACAACCCCCCUCCCUCCACCCGCAGUAUGGUUUAGGGGUAUUUUUAUAAUUUCAAUACCUGAGGAUUAGUAUAAAUACCCUUUUAUGUAAUCGUAAUUUUUGACAUAGUGAAAGUCUUUCUCCCUAUUCCAGUGGACAUGGGCAAUUUGAUGAGCCACGUUAAAUCUGUGUAUUUUUUUUUGUUUUUCUCUAAUUUCUUCACUAGGAAUUGUUGCAAGAAAAUCAACAAAAUAAGAUUUACUUUAAGUGUUCAGUUCCAAAUGGAGUUGUUUCAGAGUUGGUAUUGAACUCAAGAGAAGGAUUUUCUAACACUAACAGACCUGUAUUUGUGAAGGAUGAUGUGUACGAUGGGUAUGAGAAAUAUCUAGGGUGUGCAAUGCAAAACCCACCCACUUGUAGGAAUAGAAAAGACCAAUUCAUGAAGCAAUCAGUUCACAUAUCAGGAUCACCAUCAUCAAUAAAAGAAAAUUCGAGCUUAGGCUUUAGUGAUUGUCAGGCUAUAUGCAGGUAUGACUAUUCUUGUACUACUUGCAAUACUAUAUACACCAACAGAAAUGGAUGUUGGUUUGGAGUACAAAAUUUACACAAGCUCACGUAAGUGAUGCAAAUCAGUAGGAACUCUAUGUUUAUCCUCAUCACAAGUUAUGGGUACAAGUCUCUCUUUAUUUCGUAUUCCUGAAAGUAACCAAAGCAAAGUAGUUGAUGAAUCCAACAUUUUUACCGAAUUUACAACCCUAAUAGGUGAUAAAAAAAAAAGUUCAAAAUACCAUUCGAGGAGCUAUAUCAAGACCAUAAAAGACCCUUGAUCUUUCUAUUUCUCUUUCACUAUGUUCUGCUCUAAGCCUCUAACCAAAAAAUUUAUCAACUUCUAUUUAUAUAGGGAACAAUUGGUGGAUAUGGGUCAUUAUUGCAGGAGUGGUCCUUAUGGUCUUUUUACUUAUGGGCUCCUUAUACUAUUUAAGGAGAAAAUAUAGAGGUACUAUUUUUUUUAAAACUUUUUUUAUGAUAGUAAUGCCAUUUGUUAGUGGGUUGGAUAAUUGAACUCGUGAUUUGUGGUAUAGCGAGGGAGAGAGAAAUGGAGGAAGCUAUGCUGCAUGAAUUGACAACUUCAAACAACUUUAGUGAUUCAAAAUAUGUUGAACAUGAUGGAAAGAGGAGGGCUCAUGAUCUCAAACCGUUCAAUUUUGAUUCUAUUGUGGCUACCACAAAUAACUUUUCGUCUUAAAAUAAACUUGGAAAUAGUGGUUUUGGUCCAGUUUAUAUGGUAAUUAUAAUUUCAUUAAGCCAUGGCAUGUAAUAGGAAUAGGGCAUUCUUUUUUUUAAGUGCCUCAAUUAAAGCUUCCUUGUGGAUUAUGGCUUAGUUUUUGCAUGGGAAAUUACCCGAGGAGCAAGAAAUAGCAGUGAAGAGAAUUUCAAGGGGCUCAAGACAAGGAUUGGUGGAGUUAAAAAAUGAGAUUAGACUGAUUGCCAAACUCCAACACAUGAAUCUUGUUAGACUUUUGGGUAGCUACAUCAAGGGAGAAGAAAGAUGUUAAUCUAUUGAUUCGUUAAAUCCAGUCGAGUGUUUUAAUAAAAAAAUAUUUGUAAAUCCUAUGACCUCAUACUAGCGUAGCAAAGCUACUAUAAUAUAGCAGCUCUAGAGUCGAACUCUGGGAUGGGUUUUCAUUCUACCAGUGAUAUACUCAAGAUUAGAAAUUAAGUUUGAUGAUUUCCUUUGUCAAAAACUUAAAGUUUAAAAGAAAAUAAAAUUUGUUUUGAAAGUGGUGUUUGAAACUAAAAUAAUAUAGAAAUAGAUAAAAAUGGAAGAAAAAAAGUUUCCCAGAGCUAAAAGUUGCUAGGAUCAAGUUCAAAAUGCAAAGUGGGAAAUUCCAGAUUUUUCUUCUCGUAUUGGGGACAACAACAUAAAGGAUGGUUGUUUCCUGAACCGGUAUAGGUUUAGCAAUGAAGAUUUAAUCCAUAAAAAGUCAAUAGAAAUGGUAGUCAAGUUCCAUUAAUGGCUUUAGACACUAUGAGUCUUCACCUUGAGCCACUUUCCAAUGGCUCAUACAUGAUAACUAAUGGACUGAUGUGGAUAUAGUAAUAAGUAUCCACAAAGACCUAAAGCUUAUCAUGUAUUGGCCAUUCAAAGUGAUUCUAAGGGAUUUAAAGCAAAACUUUAGAUUUAAAAGCCAUUUAUGAACUCCAACUACCUGUAUUUAAUGCACGAGAGUUUUCCACUUUUGCAUCUGGACUUUUCACCUAGCUUCCUUCACUCCAAGAAACCAAAAGUUUAGCCUCUCAUCCUCUGGGAAAACAUCCUCAGAGGUUGUUUGGCUUCCAAGAAAAAAUAAAAUAGUAGAGAGAAAAGGAAAGCAACAAGAGCCCUGUAUUUUACUAAGUGUAAAAUAUACAAUAUGUUAGUUUUCUCGAGAGAUAAUUUCCAUCCCUCUUAUAGUCUUUACAAAAGCAAAGCCUGUGAUUAGCUAAUUACAGGGAUAAGAAAGGAAUUUACAUCAAAAAAAUACAAAAGAAAAGAUCUCAUGUGGAGUCGGCAAAACAGAGGAGAUUUUGCACCAAAGACACAUGGGCUGGUGCGAAUUUCGCACAAGGAGAAGGUGUUGUGCGAAUUUCGCACAAGCUUGGAGCAGUUGUCUUCCGAAGGUCAUAUCUUCCUCAUUUCAGCUCCAAAUCAUACACGGUUUAAAGCGUUGGAUUCUUGACUUCCUGAUAUUUGAAAUGGUAUAUAGAAUGUAGAAAAUGGACUUCGGGAAGUGCUCCAAAAGUGCAAAGGAAGACUGCAGCUGCUGUCAUCUAUUCUCUUCACUCUGUUUUCCUCUUUGCUUCUCUCCUUUACUUGGCUUGUCUUAAUGAUCCAAAAAUCUGUCAAUACACUCAAACUAGCCACAAAUAUGAUUAGAAGUCAUUGCUAGGUCCUUAACAUUCCAAUUGGAAUAAAGAUGGAUAACUACUACACAAAAGUGCUUAAAACAUAAUGAAUUAAAGGCGCAAAAAAGCACUUUUUGGGUAGUAAUCAUCUAUGAGCUCAUGCCCAACAAAAUCUUGGACUUCUUCCUCUUUGGUUUGAAUAAUUACCUUUUUUUCUUCCUUUCAUGUGCAUAACUUUUUCUCAUGUUCUUAUCCUUUUCUGCUUGAAACAAUAUUCUAGUUGAGUUGUGUUCACCCAAAUUUUCAGAUAUUGUUAGAAGAACGAUAUUGGACUAGAAAAGACAUCACAAUAUCAUUGAGGGGAUUGCGCAAGGACUUUUUUACUUGCAUAAAUAUUAAAGACUAAGAAUUAUCCAUAGAGAUCUAAAAGUAAGUAACAUCCUACUUGAUCAUGACUUGAACCCUAAAAUUUAUGAUUUUGGCAUGGCUAGAAUUUUUGGGAAAAAUGCAUCAAAAGCAAAUACAAAUAAGAUUGUUGGAACAUAGUAAGCAUGACUCUUCUUUAUCUAUCUACUUUCUUUUUCAAUCUAAUGUUCUGAACCUUCUAUUGUGGAUGCAGUGGUUACAUGCCACUCGAGUAUACCAUGGAAGGAAUUUUCUCAGUGAGACCAUAUGUUUAUAGCUUUAGGGUCCUACUAUUGGUGUAACACCCCAAAAUUAACUUUAAGGGCAAAACAAUAAUUUACAAAUUAAUUAAUUAAACUCAUAAAGGGUAAAAGAGUCAUUUUACAAUCAAUAAUCUUAAGUAUAAAUUAAAUUUUCCUCUAGUCUUUUUUUAUUCAGAAAACCCUAUUAACCAAAAAUCAAAUAAUUGAAGAAUGUUGGGCUAAAGGUUUGAAGGUCUAGGGUUUGAAGUUCAAAAUUUUCUAGGUAAGAUUAUAACCCUAGAUUAAUAUAUUGAAUUCAUUACUUAGUUUUGAACACAUUAGAUAUUCUUUGAAAAAUUUUAAUUUAGAUUAGGGCUUGUUUAUUUUAAUUUUUUUUUAAGAUCAAAAUAUUGGAAACUUAAGAUUAUAGGUUGAUUUAUUGUUGGAAAUUGGGAAAUUUUAAGUUUUUAGAUGAAAAAGAGAGAGAGAGAAUCGUGACUUCUAAAGGAUGGAGGUGUGUUAUAAUUUAUACACAUAUAAAGGUUUUGAUGCACUGUAUGUUGGGGCGUCGAUUUGUAAGGGAAAAAAAAGAAUAAAUAAAUGAAAUGAAACUAUUUUGCAAGAAACUGGUUAAAGUGGAAUUGUUUGGCUGGAGUAAUAGUGUUGAAUUUUUGUAGUUGGUGGGUUACAGGGUAUUGAAAAGAAUAUAUAUGUAUGUUGAUAAUAAUAAUAAUAAUACGUUUGUAGUUCUUAUACUCAAUAAUGGCUAGAAAAUGUAGGGUUUACAGAUUUAUGGAAGUGUAAAAGAAAGUAACAGUAAAAAAUGAAUGCAUAGAAAAAAAAAAUUGAAAGUGCAAAUUGUGCAUGUACGUGUAGGUGUGUUAGGCUAAAGAAAUAAUAAUAAUAAUAAUAAUAAUAAUAAUAAAGUAGGACGCGUGUCCACUGGAUGGAUGGAAAAAAGGCAUUGGAAAUCAAGAUAAUAUAUAUAUCAAUGUAGAAAUUUUACUUAGGAUUGUCAAACCUAUAAUUACAAAUAUAUAGUAAUAGUUAUUUCUUUAUGUUAUGUUAGGUGAAGAGUAGAUUUUCCAGAAUUAUUUUUCCUCCAAGGUUUUUGAGGAAUUCUUUUGAGGUAAGAGAAAUUCAUGCAAAUUUUGUAAAAGAAAAUAAUUUUCUUUUUAUAUUGUAUUUUGAAAUGCGUAAAAAUAUUAUUUUUAUUUUUUUUCAUGCAUGGAUCAAAUAUAGGUUUUGCAUAAAAAAAAAUAUAUUUGAGCAAUUUCUUUGUUUAUGAAAAAUGAAAAUUGUGGAGAUAUGAUAUUUUGCUUUUGUAAGUUGAAUAAAUAAAACAAAGAAUUUGACUCUAGUUUCCUUGGCCCUUGUCAAUGGGAUAUAAUAGUUGACUUUUCAGGCUUUGUCAAUAGGAUAUAAUAGUUGACCUUUACAUCUUCGUGGUGGGGAAUGUGAUUGAUUUGGACCCCAACCUCUAGGGGUUUAGUUAGAGAUUACUAAUACUAGCAGUGUUUGGUUCUGUCCAUCUUAAAAGGAACAAUUGAGGUUAGCCACCCAUUUGUAAAGUCCCACUUAAUUGGGCACUAUUUGUUAUUUAAUAACCAAAGUUAAAAAAAUUGAAACAUAUUUGAUUUGAAAUGGAUAUGAAAUGAUUUUGAUAUAUAUGAAAAUGUUUGGUUGAACAGUUUAAAUGUAUUAGCAUGUUUAACUCAAAAGUUUUAUAAAAAUUAUAUAUGUUAUAUUUCCUGUUUGUAAGUAUAAUUGAAAAUAUUUGAUCCAUGAAACUGUGUUAAUGUUCCUUAUUAGGUUUUGACCUUACCCCCCUUUGUUGAUAAUUUUCUGCGUACCCUCAAUUCAGGCGAGAAGUGAUGGUUAGGAAGGAAAAUUGGCUUGUUAGAACAUUUGUUAAAACUCUCUUUAUUUUGGACACUGUUUAGAUGUUAAAAUUUAUUUCCUUUUUAAAUUAUUUGAGGUUGGAGUUAUUUGGACAAUAACACUUGGGUUGAUGUGUUAGUUUUUAUAAAUUGAUAUCUGGAGAUUUUACAAUUUAUUUAUCUUACUACUCUGAACAGCAAUUUGGUAAUUGAAAAUUUCUAGUUAUAAGAUGAAAGUUUGUGUCAAUUCCACUUUGAGCCUUCGAGUUUGAGGUGUGAAAUGAUCGUCAUGCCCUUUGAGUGGGUUUUGGGGUAUGACAAUUGGAGAUGGUGAUUGGCCGGAAGAACAAAAGCUUUUAUCAUAAUCACGGUGCCUUUACCAUAAAACCUGGUAGGAUAUGUAAGUCUGCUAUAUCUCAUAUUUGUCUCUACAUUAUUAUCAACAACACACGGUGUAACCUUCCAAAAUUUUCACACCAACCUUGUAAGUAAAUCAACCCUAAAAUGAACUGGAAACAGGCUUGGGGGUUAUGGAAAAAAGGUACUAGUUUGGAGCUAGUGAAUCAAAUGCUAGAAGAUUCCUACUCAACGAUCUAAAUGUUGAGAUGCAUUCAUAUUGUUGUCUUGUGUGUAUAGGAGAGUGCAACAAAUAGGCCUACAAUGUCAGUUGUUAUCUCCAUGCUCACCAACGAAACUGUGCCCCUACCAAACCCAAAUUUGAUCGUAUUUUCCACUCAUCAUAAAGUGUUAGAGCUAGAUUGACACAAAGACAGGCCAGAGAGUUGUUCUAGAAGUGUAACUAUUUCAAAUAUGGAAUUGGUCAAUAAAGAAGAGAAUUUUAGAGGGGAAAGGGAACCUAGAGAACAACAGUUUUUGUCUUAACCUAUCUACAAUUUGUCUAGAUUGAUUUGUUUUGACAUCAUAUAUUUUUUAGAUACAUAAUCAGCUAGGUUUCCUUUAAUCUAUUUUAAAAAGGUUUUUGGAAUUUAUCAGAGUACAACAGAAGCCGAUUUGGUAUAAUUUGAAACAUAGUUUGAACCUAUAGUCUGCAACUCUAUUUGCCUUUUUUUCCUCUAUAACAUAUUGCAAUAGAUUGUAUAUGUUUAUCUUAGCCAUGGUAGGUCAUUUAUGUUCAAUUAUUCAUUUUCAUUAUUUGGAAGGGCAUAGGAUGGACUAUGUCAUAUGUUGGCAUCAAACUGAUGAUCAAAGCUAUGUUCUAUGCCAUAAGCAAAGAAAAACACUUUAGACGACCAAAGUAGAAAGUAGGGGUUUUUUUAGCUUCUACUGCAACUUCAAAGAAUAAUUCUUAAAAAAUGGUAGUUGGAAAAAUAUUGAUAGAUUUACAACACUUUUUGCCACGUGGAAGGUGUCUUUUGAAAAGACACCUUUCACAAAUUUCAAAUUCUUGAUAUGCAUUUAAAAGAAUUGAAUUUAAACUAAAAGUGUCGCUUCAAGAGAAAUCUUCUACAAUUCCUGAAAAUUAGAUUUAUACUAAAGGUAUCUCUUGAAAAGACACUUUCCAUAAUUCCACAAAAUCUAAUAUAUAUUAAAGGUGUCUUUUCAAGAGACACCUUCCACAAUUUGACAAAUUUGAAUUUAUAGUACAAGUGUCUCUUAAAUUUGAUUUUACAUUGAAGGUGUCUCUUGAAGAGACACCUUCCACAAUUUGACAAAUUUGAAUUUAUACUACAAGUGUCUCUUGAAGAGACAUCUUCUAUAAUUCCAAAAAAAUUGGAUUUAUAGUAAAGGUGUGUUUUGAAGAAACACUUUCCACAAUUCCAAAAAUUCUAAUAUAUACUAAAUAUGUCUUUUCAAGAGACGCCUUCUACAAUUUAAAAAAUUUUAAUUUAUAUUACGUGUCUCUUAAAUUUGAUUUUAUAUUGAUGGUGUCUCUUCAAAACACACCUUCUACAAUUCCAAAAAAUUUGGAUUUUUACUAAAGGUUUGAAGAGACACAUUCCCCAAUUCCACAAAAUCCAAUAUAUGCUAACAUCUUCCAAAAUUUCACAAAUUUUAAUUUAUAUUGGUCUUUUGAAUUUGAUUUUAUAUUGAAGGUGUCUUUUCAAAGACACCUUCUACAAUUCCAAAAAAAUUGGAUUUAUACUAAAGGUUUGAAGAAAUACCUUCCCCAGUUCUACAAAAUCCAAUAUAUAUUAAAGGUGUCUUUUCAAGAGAUACUUUCCAAAAUUUCACAAAUUUUAAUUUAUACUUGUCUCUUGAAUAUUUUAUAUUGAAGGUUUAUCUUGAAGAGAUACCUUCUACAAUUCCCAAAAAUCUAUAUUUAUACUAAAUGUGUCUUUUCAAGAGAUACUUUCCAGAAUUUCACAAAUUUUAAUUUAUACUACAUGACUCUUAAAUUUGAUUUUAUAUUGAAGAUGUCUCUUGAAGAGACACCUUCUAAAAUUCCAAAUUUUUUUUAUUUAUACUGAAGGUAUCUCUUGAAGAGACACCUUCCACAAUUCCACAAAAUCCAAUAUAUACUAAAGGUGUCUCUUGAAGAGAUACCUUCCACAAUUUCACAAAAUUUAAUUGAUAUUGAUUUUAUAUUGAAGGUGUCUCUUGUCUUCCUUUAUAAUUCCAAAGAAAAUGGAUUUAUACCGAAGGUGAAUGUGUCUCUUCAAGAGACACCUUCCACAAUUUUCAUACAUAGUGAAAAUUUUUUAAUUUAUACUAAAGGUAUCUCUUGAAGAGACACCUUCGAAAAAAUAAAUUUUAUCUCUUAAUUAGUAUAACCCUAUAUAAAACCAUAUGUUUAAAUUUUGUCACUUGUAUACAUUAUAAUCAAUAUUUUGACAUUUCAAUCCAAAACCAAUCAAAACAAGUAAACCAAAUGUCAAUUAAAUCAACACAUUUCCUAAAUAGUAACAAAACUAUUUUGUGUAAAAUAAGUCCAAAAUAGGUAGAAUACUAUAGAACUUAUGUUUAUAAAAAGUUAGUCAAUCCAAAAUAUAACAAGUAUAAAUAUACAUCUUGAGUAUUUGUCCAAAAUAAUGAUAUGCAAACUACUAAUAGUAUAUACAAGUCAUGUUGUAGCAUCCUCAAUGUGUACCACACGAAGGAGCCUUCCUCUUCCGUUGUGGAUGUCCAUGAUAUGCAUGUUCCACUAUGGCUCAAUGGGGCUGACAUGUACCCCCUCCUCCAAUGAGCUUGACGACCAUGUCUCCUACCACGUCCUCAACCACGAUCAUUCUUUUGUCCUCGCUAAUCAUCAUUUGUUAUAUGAACUAACUCCUCAUCAACCAAUGUAGCCUCUAUCGGUUGUGGUGAUGAUGCAAAAAGUGGUACUAUAGUUAGGGUAGAUGGCAACUCCAUAGGUGUAAUAAGAGUCUUCUCAAUAGGCGGUAGGCUGAUGUUAGUCAAUGGUGCAUCUCUAAGAAUAGAUGUAUACCUAGUCCCUCUCCUAUGAGCCCCUCCCCCUUUAGUCUGUACUCAUCCCAAUCGAGCAAUGGAUGAUAUGAACUGCUGAUGAGGUGGUAUACUAGUGUCAGUUGAUGGUCGCGCUCGAACAACAACUGGUGUAUGCCUAAUCUCUCUCUUACGAGGCCCUUGUCCAAUGGGUCGUACAUCUCCUAAUUAAGGCUGGAGUUGUGUAGUAGCAUCAACACUAAAUAGAGCAUUUAAGUGAUCCAUCUCAUGUAUGGCCUCUAAUGUAGUAGAACACAGUUUGUGAAUGCACAAAUCAUCUGGGGAUGCAAUAUCAUAUAUCUGAUGGAUGCUGGUAGUCUGUAAGUCAAUUAGGAGAUAAAUUAAAUUCUUAUAAAAAUAAAAUAAAUUUUAAUAAAAAGAUAAGACAUGAGAAUUACCAGUAGCUCAUGGAAGGACCUGGUCCAAGUAAGAAACCAAAUAGUAAUGGAGAGAUACCACAUGAUGUCUGGAUCAUGAUACCCCAAUAAACCUAUAGUCAUCUCGCCUUUAGCAAUAUGCUUAUGCCUAGAGCUUCAACGUCGAAUGUAGUCUCCAUGUUGAGUAGUCCAAUCAACAUCAUGUUUAUCUCUCAAAUCACAUUUAUGUAAGAUUGACUCAUUAUCACAUGGUUAAGGAAUCCCUUGAUGAAAUCCAAAUUGCUGCAAUACUCGAUUAGGUCUAUGCCAUUCAACUAUGUGGAAACAUAUCAAAGGUGAGAUAGUGCACCAUAUAUCUUUCCUAACAAUACAAUAAUGAGGAAGACCAACAUUCAUGUCAACAAUAUAAGGUUGCAAUAUAAUUUGCACUAAAAAAAGGUUAGGUAUAAUCAAUGUCUGGAAUUUGUUUAAAGAAACAAGUAUAAGAAAUGAAUCCCACUUCUAUCACCUGAUAUGCUAUAAGUCAAUCAAGAUUGUGCCUAUAUUGAGCUAAGACGUGCAUGCUAAUCGACGUAGUACGAAACUCAUCUCCCCAACUAUAAAAAUAAAAUAACAAAGCAUAAAUAAAUAAAUAAUAUAAUAUAAUUUAAGUUUAUGCAUGUAUCCUCAUAAUAGUAAAAUUUGUGGUAAUAUUAUAAUAUAUACCGAAUGGCUAAUGGAGGUGGAGACAACUGGUCAUCAUACCCAUAACUAGAGCAAAAUCAGUGGGCUAAAUAUAUCAUGUGUAUAAAUCUAAGAGGCUUGACACAACUGUUGAUAAAACCAGGCUAAACAUGCAUUAACCCUUCCUACCAACAAUCUCAAAAUCCUCUAGAAGCUAGUCUUGUAUGACUCCAUAGAGGAAAAGCUAGUCUAGAAAUUGAGAAUGGAUAUGGGGAUCAAGUUAUUUACUAGUCAUGUAUAGGAGCGCUCCUCUAAGCUAUGGUGUUACUUGGUCUUUAUUAGUGAGCUAAGAUGUGAUCUAAAAUUUGAUUUAGUUUACAUAAUCUUGCAAAAUUAGUUAUAAAUUUGAUUACCAUUAAUACAAAGAAUCUAACACAAGUUACAAAAAUUUGACUCAAUUAAUUAAAAAAAAAAUCAUUUUCUGAUUUUAGUAAUUAAUAUAAAAAAUUAGCAUAUAAACCAAAAAAUAUAAUUUAAUUUAUUUCUUUAAAAAAUUAAUAAAUAAAGUAUUUUUUUGAUUUUAUUAAUGUCAAUUUACAAAGAAUUAAUAUAUAAAAAAAUUUGUGCCAUAUAACCUGAAAAAAUUAAUUUAUAAAAUAAUUUUCUCGUUUUAUUAAUAUACAAAAAGAAAUAAAAAAAAAUCUAAUUUAUUUCACAUAAUCUCACCAAAUUAAUUUUCAAAGUGAUUUUCUGAUUUAUUUUAUUUUAUUUUACUAACAUUAAUAUAGAAGGAAAAGUUCUAAUUUUAGAUCCAUUCAAUCUUACCUAAUAAAUUUAUAAAGUAAUUUUUUUUUCAAAUUUACUAACAUUAAUAUAUGGAAAAGAAUUGAUUUAGUAUUUAUCAACUUUACAAUUAAUUGGUAAAACAAAUUAUGUCAUUAUCAAUAUGAAUUUAUAAAAGAUUAAUAUAUCAAAUACAAAUAAAAUAAAUAAAUAAAUAUUUGAUUUAAUAUUUAAUAGUUUACAAUUAAAAUUCAAAGUGAAAUAUUUAAAAUUCAAAUUCCACUCUCAUUUUUAAAAUUGAACCGUCACAAUGGUCAAACGAGUUUUGAGUUCAUUUAAACUCACCAUAACAUCUACUAUUUCAACAGUGUCUGUAAUGAGAACGAGAUCUACUUCAGCCAUUCAGUUCAAGAUGGAGCUAUUUCAAAGUGGGUAUUGAACUCAAGAGGGGGAUUUUUUGACACUUACAACGAAACUCUAUUCGUGAAGGAAGGUAUGUGUGAUCGUUAUGACAAAUAUCCAGGGUGCGCAGUGCAAGAGCAACCUGCUUGCAGGACUAGAGACUACUAAUUCAUGAAGCAAUUGGUUCGCAAUUCAGGAUAUCAGUUGUGGUUUAGUGAUUGUCAGGCCAUAUGCCGGAACAAUUGUUCUUGUACUGCUUGUAAUACUGUAUUCACCAAUGGAAUUGGAUGUUAGUUGUGGAGGGAAAAAUUUCCACGAGCCCAAGUGGGUGAUGCAAAUCAGGAGGAGCUCUAUGUUUUGUCCUCAUCAAAAGAUAAAGGUAAGAGUCUCUAUGUAUUGUAUUCCUAAAAGUAGCCAAACCAAGUACUGAAUAAAUCUUCGAUCUUCAUUUACAAUCCAAACACGUGAUCGAAAAUUCGAAAAAAGUACAACUGUAUAGUUGAUAUUUCAACUCAUCCUCUACCAUUAGAGGAGCUAUAGCAAAAACCAUAAAAGCCCUCUCUCUCUCUCUCUUUCUCUCUCACUUUCACUUGAGUUCUGCUCUAACAACAAAAUUUAUUAACUUCUAUCUAUGCAGGGAACCAUUUGCGGAACGUGAGCAUUAUCUGUGGAGUGGUAGGUCUGGUCAUAUUACUUUUCUUAUGUUGUUUAUCGACAAACUUCAGAGUUGGCUUUUGUAUAACAGGGGAUAGAGAAAUGAGGGAAGUUCAGCGACAUGAAGGGGCUUCUGAUAUAACAAGGGAUAGAGAAGUUCAGCCAUGUGAUGUUGAGGUUUCUGGUGGUAAAAUAGGGGAUAAGGAAGUUCGGCCACGUCAUGGUUCUGGUGAAACAGGGGAUAGGAAGAAAGCUAAGGUGGUGUUUGUUUUUUUACUUAAUUCUAAAUAGAACCCUAAUACUUAAUAGUAUUAAAUAUUAGGUUGUUUGUUUUUGUAGUAUUUUAUUUCUAUUAAGUAUUAAAAAGUAAAAAAAACCAUUGUGUUAUUUUUUCUAUUUAGAAAAAGCCACAUAUUUUGGGUUUUUCUAUUUAGUAAAAAGUUUAUAAUAAGUCAUGAAAAAGUAAAAAAACAAACAACCUAAAUUCUAAAACUAAAUGGUUUUCAGCAAAAAGCCAAAAAAACAAACACCACCUAAGUCACUUGAACCUCAGGCUUCUGGUAUAACAGGGGAUAGAGAAAUGGAGGAACUUGAGCAGCUUGUACUUCCUGUCAAACAGGGGAUAGGAAGAAAGCUAUUUGCAUGUCCAAGAUAUCUAUAAGCAAACACCAUGCUUAAACAGAGAUGUGGAGCUUGAAAAGCCCAAAAUUUGAAGAAGGUUGAACUGAACUAGAUCCAAACAAACACCAUGUUGAAACAGAGAUGUGGACCUUAAUUCAAAUUCAACCAAGCUAAGCUUGAAAACUAACUUUUUGUAAUCGGGGGCUUUCUUUUAUGUUUCUCCAAUGUUUUCAGUCAGGAUUGCUAAAUUGACUGAUUGAAAUGAUAUGGUUAUGAGGCCUGGACCUAGGGUCAGUAUGAAUCCGCAUGAACUUGAUAAUGAGGCCCUAGCAUUUAAACCUUUAUUAGGUUCCAUGCUUGCAAGGAUUUACCACAACCCUCAAAACAAGGAGGCAAAUCAAACAAGAUUGAAGAAAAAAUUCUACGGUUCUGGGCUUCCAAGGAAGUUUAUGAUCAUGAUACAAUUUAUGGGCUUGAGGGUGAGAUGAUUGGUGGACCCCCAAGCAAUUCUUUCUCAGGCCCUGUUAAGGAGUUAUCUGCUGUUCCUGUGGAUUCUCUCAACUGUUCCAGGCGGUGCCAUCCUCUCCCCUAUAAAACCAACCUCACAUCUCUCUCAUUCACAUUUCAUUCACAACAUAUAGAAUAGUGGGUUGAGACUUGAUUAUCUGAUUGUUGGGUAUUUCAAAAGACACAUUUCCACAAAUUUUUUAUCAUACACAUUAAAAAAAUUGAAUUUUUACUCAAAGUGUCUCUUGAAAAGAGACUUUCCAUAAUUCUAUAAAAUUAAAUUCAUAUUAAAGGUGUUUCUUUGAAGAGACAACUUCAAAAAAAUAAAAUAAAAUCUAUCUAUUAAUUAGUUUUAUCCUGAAUACAAUUAAAUAUUUAAAUUUUAUCACAUGUAUACAUCAUAAUCAAUAUUUUGACCUUUCAAUAUGUGGACUUGUAUUUUUCACGAGGCAUCCUACUCAACUGGCGAGACUUGUUUUCUUUUAAUGAAAAAUUGUAUUUUAUAAAAUAUUGGAGUUGCCACUUACUUUUAUUUAUUUUUAAAGGGGAAAUUAAGUAAAAACAAAACCCCUAAAAUGACUCAAGAUUUUUGGAAAAGCUAUAUGUGAAAAACUCGAGUCUAGGUCUGUAGAUCAGGUUACCUAACGGAAAGGUACCUCCAAAGAGGUAGCACCCCUUUAAGCCCUAACAAGGUUUCUACUACCUAAGUUGAGGGAAAUAUGACAAUUAGUCAAUUUAUUAUGGAUACCUAGAUGGGCUAAGGUGAUUUCGAAUGUUUGUUAAUUCUAACAUGCCAAACAAGGGUUCUAAACACAUUUAUAAAGAAAGGAUAGUAUGCAUACCUGAACUGCAACUUAAGCGCUAUCACAAAACAUCAAUGGUUAGUUAAAAAAAACUCAGAACCUAUAUUUUACCCUAGUCUCUUAAUCAUACAUGGCAAGUCAACAAGCAAUCAAAAAGAUAUGAAAUAAAGAUGUGAAGGUAAGAAGCGUAGCUAAAUAACGUAGAUAACUUAUAAUGCGCUUCCACAAUACAUGGGAGGUUGAAUCAAAGUUAUAAUAAUAGAAAAUUAAAAAAAAGUAAUCCUAGUGGGCAUGGUGUCCGAAUAGCAUAACAAAAAUAACCAGAGUAUAAGGAAACACCAAUUAUCACACAAGUCAUGUAUACAACUCCAAAAAUCAAGGGUUAUGAUUAAAACAUGUAGCAAAAGGGGUAACACACAAUUAUCAAAAGGAAAAUUAUAAAUUAAUAUUUAGGAACAUCAUUUGAUCAUGAAAAAUUAAGACAACCUUUCUAUUAUGUCUAUAUCACAAUACAACAACCAACAACAAGUUAUGAGAUGUUAAAUGGUCUUGAAUUAAACAACAAUGCAAGCACGAUGCAAAACUUCUAGUCCAUAAUAAGAAUAAGGCAUCUUUAAGAAUAAAUCCUAAGAAAAUAAUAAAAAAUGGAAUUUGAUCACACCAAAUCACAAAAUACUUAUCGUUGAUGUCUAUAACAACAUGCCAAAUCUCAAGCAUUCAAUUAAACAACAUAUUUAAUUCAAAAUAUCCAAAAGUUCCAAAAGGUCUAGAAUUUGGCAGAAAACAUUAACCAGUGUAAACUAAAUUUAAAAACAAAAAUACCUAGAGGUCUUCUAAAUUCUUAAAAAACACUCACACAAGUAUUUAAGAUGUCUAGAUCAUCCAAAAAUUUAAUCCAAGGUCAGAAAGCAUUCAUAAGAAUUUUUAGAACACUAUAAUUUAUCAGUUGUCAAGAUUCAGUCAUGUACAGUAAGUGUGAAUUUUAAAAAUCAUAUCUCUUUCAAGAAGACAUAUUUUUUAAUAUUUUAUGUGUCAAAAUUUAAUUUUAGAAGUCAAGAAUUUGGGAAAAAUAUUAAUUUAAAUUUAAAAGAUCAAAAGGUAAUUUAAUUUUUCAAAAAAAAUACUGAGUGUCAAAAACAAGGUGAAAAUUGAACCUUUUAAAAUAUUGAUUUAUAUCUUAUAAUUAGAAAACUAUAUUUGAUCCAAGCAAGAUUCUAUAAUCAAGUUCAAGGAAUCUAGAAUGUCAUGGAAUAGUUAGAAAUUUUUUAAAGGGUCUUUAAGUUGUCAUAUUCCAAUUUACAAAUGCAGAAGUAUAGUGAACUAUCUACAAUUUCAAUGAAAAACUAUGUUUUGAAAAAAAAAACUUUGUAUGUGGGGAUCUAUUAAAUCCCAUUUUAAUUUUCAUGAAUUUAUCCAUAAAGACUCCAUUUAUUGCACUAUGAAAUUUAAUUCAUGUAUAUUCAAAACCAAAAUUCAUUUUAAAACUUUUUUUUAUAAUAUGCAUACCGAAUAAAAUUGGUUGCAUGAAUUUUGGAAAAUUGAAUUUUUAUAACCUAACAAUGUCUAAGAUGAAUUUGAAAAUUUGAGAAUUAACCUUUUUUAGAGAGCUAUAUUGAUAAGCAUUUUGAAAUCACUAAAAAAAAUACAAAUAAUCAUAUAAAAUCACACAGCCAAAAGAAGAAAAUUCCUAAGGAAACAAAGUAGUGUGUGCUGAAAAUGAGUGAAUCAUGCUGAGUUGUGUGUGAUGAGAGUGAAAGUGUAGCUGAUGUGUGUGUGUUCAUAGUGGCAACCUAGUGGUCUCCUUCUCUAUGCAGCUGUGUGUGCCUUCUUCAUCAGUUCGAUUAGUGUGUGUUCUUUGAAAUUCAGCUGGUGGUGUUGUUUUUCACAAGCUUAUGCAAAUUCUCGAAAUUCAACAAUCUGAUGCAUGCUUGUGCUAGAAAUCUAGUGGUUUCAAAAUAUGAUGGUGUGAUCAUGUGCUUAUUGUUUUUCUCCUCACCACCAUGCACUGUCAACUUACCUCUCCAUCAUUAACAGUCGUACACAAUCAACUUGCCUCCCCAAAGUUCUAAAGACUUCCCUCUAAAAAUUAUGAUAAUUCUUUUAUUCCCACCAAAAUUCAAAUUUGUACACUAAUAGCCACUUCUCUUAUACCUUCUCAUCCUCUUCAUUCAAGCCAAAACCAUGCACUAAAUCCAUGUGACUCUCUAGAAAAUCUUGCCACCUUCUUUUUUCCACAAUUUGUACACCAAACAACCUCUAUUCUAGAAAAAUCUAGUGCUCACACCAAUCCCCACCAUGUCCAUAAUCAGCUUAGGUGUUCCCCAUAUUCUGAUGCUCUUCACUUUACAAAUUCUGAUUUUUAUAUUUCAUUCAUCCACCAUGUCGAAUUUGGUAUCAUCCCAACCAAAAAAUUAUCUCACCAAAUACCCACACCUUUUCAUCCUAUCAUCAACUUCAUAUAUUUCCUUCAAAACGAUGCACUCAAUUUUUACCAUUAAAAAAAUGAAUUCACACAUUCAUUCUUCCACUAGAAAAAAUCACACGCCUCCUUCUUUCCAAUCCAUCAUUCCGGUGUUAUUUCUCAUACCCAUAUGCAUGCGUGCAUGGCUGGUUGUGGGUACAACCCAUGAAAAAAAAAAAAAAAACUAUGCAUGGAGCCCUUUGGUGUGCACAACUUUAAAAAUUUUUUGGGGGUCUCUCAAUAAAGUGGACCAUGUGUGUGUUGAAACAAUUUUUGAUGGAUGUAGUUGUGUUCCAGAUGACCUUCCAUACCACUCUCACGCUGAAGGGCAUGUGUUGUGUCUUUCUUUUUUUCAAAACCUUGUCCCUCCCUCAACAUUAAUAAGAAACCGAACAAUAGGCAGAAAAGAACAAAAACACAUAAAUGAUGUAGGUUAAAUAAAAAAAACAUAGAACCUAGCUCCAUUUCAGUGAUUCUCAAUGGGCUUUGAAUGGGUGAAACCAUUAGGAAGCUGAAGGUGCUCUCAAGGAACAAUUUUAAAAUAAUCCAUGCAUCAAAUAUUUACAGGAGAGGUUAAUGAAAAAAAGAAACACAGUAAAACCCAAAAUAGAGCAUGUGCAUACAUAAUCAUAUUCCACAAGAUAAACUUCAAGUAAUGCUAAUUACUACUCAAAAAGUGCUAUUUAAUAGCUUAUAAUUAAUCCUUUUAAACACUUUUGAGUAGUAGUUUUGGCCUUUUAACUCAAUUGGCAUGUUAAGGACCCUUGAAAGCAAUUUUAAUCACUUUGUGUAAGUUUUGGUGUUUUUGUUAGUAAUUUGAUCAGCAAAGCAAUUCAAGUUUGAGGAGAGUUUUGAGGAAUCUUGGUUAAAACUUAGAAGUCAUUUGCCAAGAGUAAAUCCGGAUUGCAAAGAGAAAAAGUAAAGAGAAUCUGCCAAGAAGCAUAUUCUUGAUGACAAUCAUAGCAGCCACUUUUGGAGCACUUUCUGAGGUCCAAUUGAUGCAUGCUAUAUACCAUUUCAAAGCUCAGGAAGUAAAAAAUCCAAUGCUUCAAACGGUACGCAAUUCGGAGUUGAAACGAAAAAUUUGCAUCCUUUGCAAGCCAAUCACUCCCAGCUGAAGGAAGCAUUUUUCAAAGUGUUGCGAAAUCACCCUUUUGCUGCGAAGUGAUUCCGCAGCCUUUUUGUACAGUAGGGUGUAUUUCCUUCUGAAGGUGCCCGAUAUAUGCCACAAGCUAGAAGCUGAGAACCUCAAGGUGGAAGCCAACUUCGCAGCCCUACGAGAAUAGCUUGUUGUUGCGAAGUGAUUUCGCAGCCCUUCUUGAGUGCCUACGAAAUCUCGCAGACACCAUUUUCUCUUGCGAAAUGGUUCCUGAAGCACCCCGAUAUUUGCUACUGACAUUGGGAGAUAUUUUACAUCAGAUUUUUGUUGUCUAAAUCCCAAAAUACUCCUUGUAAACCACCAAUUACAAAAUUCCUUAGCUUUUAAGUUAGUAAAAAGAGAAAAUAUCUAUGUAAUAAUUAGUUUUAUAUUAUGUUCAUAUAUAUACCUCUCGGGAGCCUGUUCUAAGAGAGGAGAUCCUUUUGUAAAGUUUUGGGUAAGCAAGUAAAGUUCAGUUCUUUGUAUUGCCUUACCUUCUCACUUUGUAUUUUUAUUUUCUUACUAAGUUAUGAACUCUCUGAGGAAUUUUCCCCAGAGAAUGAGUAACUAAACAUCUAGUUCCUUGGAGCUAAGGUUGUCGGGGAAGGUUCCAAGUGCAAGAAUGCAAAGCUUUGUGGUUUUAGCUAGUAAUGAAGAGGAAGUGAAAUCCUUUAGUGAUUUCUAUGUUUUUAGUUAACUUAAAACACCUUAGAGUCACCUGGGCCAACACUUGGUAAGGCAAGUGAUUUCCAAUCAUGGAAAUGCACUAGUUUACCCCUUGCGAGCCUCUGGAAGGUGACUUUAGGGUAGGAUUUUCUAGAAUAGCCAACACUUGGUAAGCUUUUGGACUCCAAGGAGACAUCCAUUAGUUAUCUCUUGCGAGCUUGAGACGGGUAAUCCAAGGUUAAAGAUCACCUUGAACGGUUAAGGCUUAGUGAGAGAAUUAAAGUGAAAUGUAAUUGAAGGAUGUAUCUGUACAACACCGGUUAGAGAAUUGACUAUAUGUUGAAUCUCUAAUGCAAGGAAAUGAACGAUCUGACCGGAGCCGUGUCUUUUGCAUGAGGAACCACCCUAGUGAACCUAACUCUCCAAGGAAUGUUUUUCUUCCUAAGUUAUUCCCAUUACUUAUUGUGUUAGUUAGUUUAAGUCUAAAUCUUCACUAAUCAAAGUUUGUGUUUUAUUUCUUAAGCUAACCUUGAAAUGAAACAAAACCAAUUCACUUUGAAUUGAUAUCAUUGAUAGGUUGUUAAUCCUUCCCAGUGAACGAUCCUAGAGCCGCUAUACUAUAGUAGCUUUGUCUUUGCUGCCCUAGUAUAUGGUGUUAUAGGUUAUAAAUUUUGUUGAUUACUCCCUCAUUCAAGGAGCACCAGCUGGACACGAAUCAGCUGGCACACCAAUUGGGCAUGAAUCAAAUGGCGCCGUUGCCGGGGAAGGUGUCAAAUUUAUAGUGAUACCAUUUUUGAGCACUUGUGAUUUUCAUCACAAGUUGGUAACGUUUCUUUCACUUUACUAAUUCUCAUUCUUUCUUUAUUUAUUCAUAAUCUAAGUUUAUAUUUUAAAAUUUAGCUUAGUUUAAUUUUGUUGUUGUAGCCCUGUUUCUGUUGUUGUUCUUUAUUUUCAUUUAAGUUGUAGAGAGAUACUAGUUGUGUAUGCCAAAGUGGAUAUGAGACUGUGGAGGAAGGCUUGUUAAGUGUGAUACACCUCAGAGAAGAGAAUUCGAAUUGAGCUUGAAUAUCAUGGAAACUACACCUGAAGAUUAGCAUAGUCACCAAGGUCGUCAAGACAAUAUCAAUGAAUUCAGAUCAAUGAGGGACCGCAUGCAUCCACCUCGUAUGAGUGCACCAUCAUGUAUAGUGCCCCCUACAGAGCAACUAGUGAUCAGACCGUAUCUUGUUCCACUUCUACCAACUUUCCAUGGGAUGGAAAGUGAGAAUCCGUAUGCAUACAUCAAGGAAUUUGAAGAUGUUUGCAAUACAUUCCAAGAGGGAGGAGCUUCAAUUGAUAUGAUGAGGCUUAAAUUAUUUCCUUUUACUUUAAAGGAUAAGGCCAAAAUUUGGCUUAAUUCUUUAAGGCCAAGGAGUAUCCGUUCUUGGACUGACUUACAAGCUGAAUUCCUUAAGAAAUUUUUUCCCACUCAUAGAACAAAUGGCUUGAAAAGGCAAAUUUCAAACUUCUCAGCUAAAGAGAAUGAAAAAUUCUAUGAGUGUUGGGAAAGAUAUAUGGAAGCUAUCAAUGCUUGCCCUCACCAUGGCUUUGAUACUUGGUUACUGGUGAGCUAUUUUUAUGAUGGUAUGUCCUUCUCAAUGAAGCAACUCCUCGAGACAAUGUGUGAAGGAGAUUUCAUGAGCAAAAAUCCGAAGGAAGCUAUGGAUUUCUUGAGCUAUGUAGCUGAUGUUUCAAGGGGAUGGGAUGAACCAACCAAAGGAGAAGUGGGUAAGAUGAAGUCUUAACUGAGUGCUUUCAAUGCAAAGGCUGGGAUGUAUACCUUGAAAGAAGAUGAUCAUAUGAAAGCAAAGUUGGCAGCUAUGACAAGAAGAUUGGAGGAGCUGGAGCUGAAAAGAAUUCAUGAAGUGCAAGCUGUUGCUGAAGCACCAGUGAUUACUACCAAAAAGUGCUAUUUUGUAGACCUAAUUAUAAUGGUUUUAAGCACCUUUGAGUAGUAAUCAUAUUCAUUUAACCCAAUUAAUUCAUUAAGGUCCUUAGUAAUUGGUUUUAACCAUUUUGUGGCAAGUUUACAUGUUUUUAUCAGCUUAUGAAUCAAUUCAAGCAUGCCAAAUGAUGGAGGAGCUACUUGGACAAGUUAUGGCAAAGCUUUUGGAAGCUCAAAUUCAUGAAGAACCAAGCUUUGGAGCUCCAUAGCCCUUUGCCAAAGUCGUUCAAAGUAUGCAAGGAAAGAACAAUGGAGAAGAGGGAAACAGAGUCNNNNNNNNNNNNNNNNNNNNNNNNNNNNNNNNNNNNNNNNNNNNNNNNNNNNNNNNNNNNNNNNNNNNNNNNNNNNNNNNNNNNNNNNNNNNNNNNNNNNAACUGAGUGCUUUCAAUGCAAAGGCUGGGAUGUAUACCUUGAAAGAAGAUGAUCAUAUGAAAGCAAAGUUGGCAGCUAUGACAAGAAGAUUGGAGGAGCUGGAGCUGAAAAGAAUUCAUGAAGUGCAAGCUGUUGCUGAAGCACCAGUGAUUACUACCAAAAAGUGCUAUUUUGUAGACCUAAUUAUAAUGGUUUUAAGCACCUUUGAGUAGUAAUCAUAUUCAUUUAACCCAAUUAAUUCAUUAAGGUCCUUAGUAAUUGGUUUUAACCAUUUUGUGGCAAGUUUACAUGUUUUUAUCAGCUUAUGAAUCAAUUCAAGCAUGCCAAAUGAUGGAGGAGCUACUUGGACAAGUUAUGGCAAAGCUUUUGGAAGCUCAAAUUCAUGAAGAACCAAGCUUUGGAGCUCCAUAGCCCUUUGCCAAAGUCGUUCAAAGUAUGCAAGGAAAGAACAAUGGAGAAGAGGAAAACAGAGUCCACCAAUCAUAAGAUUUCUUAGCUAGGAAGGUUGGAAAAACUUCUCUAUUUAUAUCCCCUUGCAUCCGUUGUAACAGAUAUUGAUAUAUAGAUAUAGAAAUAUAUAAAGUUCUUUUUUUUUCUCUUCUCCGGUUCUUCCCCAAUUCUAUUUUCUUAGUAGCCAAACAUCCUUGGUGGAUGAAAUCCCCAAGGAUGAGAGGCUAAAACCUUUUAAGUUUCUCAAAGUAUGGAUGUUAUGUGAUGGCUUGGAUGCAAUCCCAUGAAAAUUUCUCGCACCCGGAAGGUAAGGUAGUCAUUUUUCAUUAAUAGUUCAUUAAUGCAAAGUUUGGUUUUUAUUUCCUUUGGACAACUUCCAACGGCCAAUACUUGAUAAGCUUUUGGAUUUCUAUCCAUUAGUUAUCUCCUACGAGCUAUUGGAAGGUGAGGUUUUCAAUUCCAAGUUUUGCAUUAAUCCGUUAAAACCAAUUUCAAUGGCCAUUGAAAGGUGAGUUUAUCACCUGGAAUGACUUUGAGUUGCCAAUAUUUGGUAAGCUUUUGACUUUAGACCAUUAGUUAUCCCUUACGAGCCAUUCAAAGGAAGUCUAAGGUGAAUAACCAUUGAUGAAAUUCACUACCAUCUGUUUUGCCAUUUUAAAGGAUUAAAACUUGAUUUGCUAAAUCCAUACCGGUUCGGGAAGCAAGCAUCACCAUAGUUGCAACCCCAACGCGAGGAGCCUAUCUUGAGAUUUCCAAUUUGCAUAAGAGCCAGAGCAUAGCUAUCCUAUCUUUGAGAAACUUGUUUUUACACCCUUUCAUUUUAGUCUUUAAUGUUAGCUUAGAUUAGUUUAAAUCUUUCUAAAACAUUUACAUCUUCUUUUAAAGCUAACAUCCAUAAGAAAAUCACCUAUUUUCCUAAUUUGAAUAUCACUUGUGUUUGCGAAAACCCUUCCCAGUGAACGAUCCUAGAACCACUAUGCUAUAGUAGCUUGGCUACUUUAGUAAUAGUAUUCAAGGUAUAAAUUUUGUUGAUACGCCUUUAAAGCUAAGCUACCAUGAGUCGGAUCAACCAGUGCAAGUGAAGUUGUGUCCUAAUUGUCAAUCAUAUGAAAAUUUGGUGGAGGAAUGCCCUGCAAUUUCAGCUGAAAGGGAAAUGUUUAGAGAUCAAGCAAAUGUUGUUGGACAAUUCAGGCCUAAUAACAAUGCGCCUUAUGGAAAUACCUACAACUCAAGUUGGAGGAAUCAUCCAAAUUUCUCAUGGAAGGCCAGAGAAACUCAAUACCAACAGCUGGAUCCACCAUCUCAACAAUCUUCAAGUCUUGAACAAGCAAUGGCUAAUCUCAGCAAGGUAAUGGGAGAUUUUGUUGGAAAGCAAGAAGCAACCAAUGCUUAAAUCUAUCAAAGAAUUGAUAGAGUGGAGAGUAUGUUGAAUAAAAUGAUGGAUGGAAUGCAAAAUGAUAUGAACCAAAAGUUUGAUAACAUCCAAUAUUCAAUUUCAAGGCUUACAAAUUUGAAUACACUGUAAGAAAAGGGAAAAUUUCCUUCUCAACCCUACCAAAACCCCAAAGGUGUCCAUGAAGUGGAAAGCCAGGAGGGAGAAUCAUCACAGACGAAAGAUGUCAAAGCCUUGAUCACUCUAAGGAGUGGUAAAAAAAUUGAGCAGCCAACACCCAAGCCACAUGUUGAGAAAAAAGAAGAGAUAAAGAAAGGGAAGGAAAUGGAAGAUAAAGAGAGUGAGAUCAGUGAAGAAAAGGACUCUGAUUCAACAAUGAAUGCAAUUCUAGAGAAGAAACUUAUGAAGGAAGAAAUGCUGAAGAAAUCAACUUCUCCUCUUUUUCCUUAAGCAUUACAUGGGAAAAAGGGAAUUAGAAAUGAAGCUGAAAUCCUUGAAGUAUUGAGACAAGUGAAAGUCAAUAUUCCACUGCUGGAUAUGAUUAAACAAGUUCCAACGUAUGCAAAAUUCCUAAAGGACUUAUGUACUAUCAAAAGAGGGUUGACUGUAAACAAGAAAGCCUUCUUGACUGAGCAAGUAAGUGCAAUCUUACAAUGUAAGUCUCCUUUGAAGUACAAAGACCCGGGAAGUCCUACCAUUUCAGUCAUGAUUGGAGGAAAGGUAGUGGAGAAAGCCUUGUUAGACUUGGGAGCAAGUGUGAAUUUGCUUCCAUAUUCCGUCUACAAGCAAUUGGGACUUGGAGAGUUGAAGCCAACAAUAAUCACUUUAUCUCUAGCAGAUAGAUCAGUGAAAAUUCCAAGGGGGGUAAUUGAGGAUGUAUUGGUUCAAGUGGAUAAUUUCUACUAUCCAAUAGAUUUUAUUGUUCUUGAUACAGAUCCUACUGUAAAGGAAGCUAAUUUAGUUCCUAUCAUCCUUGGAAGGCCAUUUCUUGCUACCUCAAAUGCAAUCAUCAAUUGCAGGAAUGGGCUGAUGCAACUCACUUUUGGCAACAUGACACUGGAUCUCAAUAUUUUCUAUAUGUCUAAAAAGUAAAUCACUCCGAAAGAAGAAGAGGGUCCAGAAGAGCUGUGCAUUAUUGAUACUUUGGUGGAGGAGCACUGUAAUCAAAAUAUGCAAGACAAGUUGAAUGAAAGUCUUCUGGAUUUUGAGGAAGGUUUGUCUGAAUCCCCUACUGUGCUUGCUACUCUACAAAGUUGGAGAAAGAUAGAAGAAAUUCUACCUUUAUUCAAUAAAGAAGAAGAGGCAACUGCUGAAAAAGAACCUCCAAAACUCAAUUUGAAGCCUUUACUUGUGGAGCUGAAAUAUACAUAUCUUGAAGAAAAUAAUCAAUGUCCUGUUGUGAUAUCUUCAUCUCUGACCAGUCAUCAAGAGAAUUGUUUAAUGGAAGUUCUCAAGAGGUGUAAGAAGGCAAUAGGAUGGCAAAUAUCCGACUUGAAAGGCAUUAGUCCUUUAGUUUGUACUCAUCAUAUAUAUAUGGAGGAGGAAGCAAAGCCAAUUCGUCAACUUCAAAGAAGUUUGAAUCCUCAUUUACAAGAGGUGGUGCGAGCUGAGGUGCUGAAGCUACUUCAAGCAGGAAUCAUUUACCCUAUAUCUGAUAGCCCUUGGGUGAGUCCUACUCAAGUGGUACCAAAGAAGUCAGGGAUCACAAUGGUUCAGAAUGAAAAAGGAGAAGAAGUUACUACACGCCUCACUUCAAGUUGGAGGGUGUGUAUUGAUUAUAGAAAGUUGAAUGUUGUAACUAGGAAGGAUCAUUUUCCAUUGCCAUUUAUUGACCAAGUGCUGGAGAGAGUCUCUGGACAUCCAUUCUAUUGCUUCUUGGAUGGGUAUUCAGGGUAUUUUCAGAUUGAAAUUGAUGUGGCAGAUCAGGAAAAGACCACUUUUACAUGUCCAUUUGGAACAUAUGCUUACAGGAGAAUGCCUUUUGGUUUAUGCAAUGCACCUGCUACAUUUCAAAGAUGUAUGUUGAGUAUUUUCAGUGAUAUGGUGGAGCGAAUUAUGGAGGUUUUCAUGGAUGACAUUAUCGUAUAUGGAGGUACAUUUGAGGAAUGCUUAGUUAAUUUGGAAGCAGUUCUUCACAGAUGCAUUGAAAAAGACCUGGUGCUCAAUUGGGAGAAAUGUCAUUUUAUGGUAUGUCAAGGAAUUGUCCUUGGCCAUAUCAUCUCUGAAAACGGCAUUGAAGUUGAUAAAGCAAAGGUGGAGCUUAUUGUCAAAUUACCAUCCCCAACAACUGUAAAAGGAGUAAGGCAGCUCCUUGGCCAUGCAGGGUUCUACAGGAGAUUUAUAAAAGGUUUUUCAAGUCUUUCAAAACCUCUUUGUGAGCUAUUAGCUAAGGAUGCUAAAUUUAUAUGGGAUGAAAGGUGUCAAAAUAGCUUUGAUCAACUGAAGAAAUUUUUAACAACAACUCCAAUAGUGAGAGCCCCUAACUGGCAACUACCUUUUGAACUGAUGUGUGAUGCCAGUGACUUUGCUAUAGGAGCUGUGCUUGGCCAAAGGGAAGAUGGGAAGCCCUAUGUGAUUUACUAUGCAAGAAAAAACACUGAAUGAAGCUCAAAGGAACUACACAACUACAAAGAAAGAAUUGUUAGCUGUGGUAUUUGCUUUGGACAAAUUUCGUGCUUAUUAAGUGGGGUCUUUCAUCAUUGUUUUCACUGACCAUUCAGCCUUGAAGUAUUUAUUGACAAAGCAAGAUGCAAAAUCAAGGUUGAUUAGAUGGGUUCUUUUGUUACAAGAAUUCGAUCUCCAAAUCAAAGAUAAGAAAGGAGUGAAGAAUGUAGUAGCUGACCACCUUUCGAGGUUAGUUAUAGCACAUAAUUCCCAUCCCUUGCCUAUUAAUGAUGAUUUUCUUGAAGAAUCACUCAUGUUCCUAGUGAAAACUCCUUGGUAUGCUCAUAUUGCUAAUUAUUUAGUAACUAGAGAAAUUCCAAGUGAGUGGAAUGCACAGGAUAGGAAGCACUUCUUUGCCCAAAUUCAUGCUUAUUAUUGGGAAGAGCCCUUUCUUUUUAAGUAUUGUGCAGAUCAGAUCAUAAGGAAGUGUGUCCCUGAAGAUGAGCAGCAAGGGAUUCUAUGUCAUUGUCAUGAGAAUGCAUGUGGAGGCCACUUUGCCUUUUAGAAAACAGCCAUGAAGGUGUUGCAAUCAGGGUUUACUUGGCCAUCUCUUUUCAAAGAUGCCCACAUCAUGUGUAGAAGUUGUGACUGAUGCCAAAGGCUUGGAAAGUUGACAAAAAGAAAUCAAAUGCCUAUGAACCCCAUUCUAAUAGUUGAGCUAUUUGAUGUAUGGGGCAUUGACUUCAUGGGACCUUUCCCAAUGUCUUUUGGUAAUUCUUACAUCUUAGUGGGGGUGGAUUAUGUUUCUAAAUGGGUUGAGGCAAUCCCCUGUAAACAAAAUGAUCACAGGGUGGUUCUCAAGUUUCUUAAAGAGAACAUUUUCUCAAGAUUUGGGGUGCCCAAAGCAAUAAUUAGUGAUGGAGGUGCUCAUUUUUGCAACAAACCUUUUGAAGCUCUGUUAUCCAAGUAUGGAGUGAAGCAUAAGGUGGCUACACCUUAUCAUCCUCAAACUUCCGGGCAAGUUGAGCUAGCUAACAGGGAAAUAAAGAACAUAUUGAUGAAAGUGGUGAAUUCCAGCAGAAAAGAUUGGUCUAUUAAGCUUCAUGAUUCAUUGUGGGCAUAUAGAACAACUUAUAAGACUAUUCUUGGCAUGUCUCCCUAUCGUCUUGUCUAUGGCAAAGCAUGUCAUCUCCCUGUGGAAGUUGAAUACAAAGCUUGGUGGGCAAUAAAGAAGCUGAACAUAGACUUGAUCAGAGCCGGAGAAAAGAGAUAUCUAGACCUUAAUGAGAUGGAGGAAUUAAGAAAUAAUGCUUAUAUCAAUUCCAAAGCUGCAAAACAGAGGAUGAAGAAGUGGCAUGAUCAACUCAUCUCCAACAAGGAAUUUCAGGAAGGGCAAAGAGUUUUACUGUAUGGCACAAGACUCCAUAUCUUUCCUGGGAAGCUCAAGUCAAGGUGGAUAGGGUCGUUCAUUAUUCACCGAGUAUAUUCCAAUGGAGUGGUGGAAUUAUUGAAUUCAAAUGGCAAGGAUAGCUUCAAAGUCAAUGGAUAUCGUCUCAAGCCAUUCAUGGAGCCAUUCAAACCAGAAAAGAAGGAGAUCAACCUCCUUGAGCCUCAAAAAGCCUAAGCAAAGAAGGGUUUGCUGGACGUGGUUUACCACAGUCCAAAUUUUUUGUAAAUUUUGUAAAUUUUCAAGUUUUUUCCAUACAUUUGAUCUUAGUUUUUGAUCUUAAAUCAUGUUUUUAGGUGUGUUUUAAUCUUUUUGAAUGAUCUCAGGUGGAAGAAAUUUCAAGGAAAUUGAAAGGAAAAAAAUUGGAUCGAAAUCGGAGCAAAAACAGAGUGAAAACAGAGCAAAAACAGAGCUCUGUGAGAUUUCGCAGCCUAAAGAAAACUUCUGCGAAAUGAGCAUUUUGUUGCCAAAUCAUUCCGCAACACUUUGGGAUUCUCUACGAGAAUUUUCGCAACUGCGAAAGCGAGUUUGGCACAUGAGUGUCACUUCGCAGCACAAGAGCCCCCAUUUCGUAGCUGCGAAACGACUUGCGAAGUGGUAAAGCCCAGAUUUCGCAACAAAGUCCCAUUUCGCAGGGUAUUUCGCAAUUGCGAAAGCAAUUUUGGCACACGUGUGCCACUUCGCAGCAUAGUAACAUUAAUUUCGCAGCUGCGAAACGCAUUGCGAAGUGGUUGCAAAAAUGGCAUUUUGCUGCGAAACUCAAGCUGACCCUUAGUCUUCCGUUAUUCCUAUUUAUAGCGGUUAUUUGAGCUGCGAAAAGGGUUUCAAAAUCAAAGCGCAUCAUUCUCGCAGAUCGUCCAUCUCCUUCCUUGAGCCUCACCGCGCAAGCCUCCGGUCAUCUUCUCCGACCAUCCGUUCCGGCCAACUUUCGGCAACCCGAAAUGGUGCGAACCAGAGGGGCCAAGUCUUCCUCCCCUUCAAACCGCAAGAGAAGCUUGCGAAAAGAGCCAGUUCCGGAUCCCGUUUCUGAGCCUUCGCAGCCGAAAGCAAUUUCUCCUCCGGUGAAGCCAGCGCCGCCAAAGCCUCCGGCGAGGCGUUACCUUACCAGGUCAGGGGGUCGGCCGCUGCAAAAGAGGCCAAGGGUUGAAAUCUCAUAACCCAUUGACCUGACUGAGCAAUCUCCAGAGCCAUCGCCGGUUCCAACUCCAGUUCCCUCGCUGAUAUCCUCGCCAGUUCCAUCUCCGGCGCCGCAAGCAAAGCCAAAGGAGCCUCAGCCGCCACUUCCCGAGCCCCAAAUUCCGUCUGAAACAGCUCCGGAAGAAGUAAUCAGGCAACCAAUGCUAACUCAGCCCCAAAUUGAGGGAAAUUUGGAUUGCAGAGCUCGGCCAUUCCACUCCGAGCUAUGCUUUGACAUAGCCGCAUUCCGAUUGCAGCCGGAGCUUGCACAGACAUUCAACCUGCUGAAGAGAUACCACAUGGAGCACCUGCUGACUCCAAGAGACUUUUUCUACCCCAGGGUAGCCAUGGAUUUCUAUCAAUCCAUGACAACCAAACAGGUCAGGAAUCCAACUUUAAUUCAUUUCACUAUUGAUGGGAGGCAUGGCAUAUUGGGAGCACGCCAUAUAGCUGAAGCCUUGCAAAUUCCUUAUGAGCCAACCCAAUUCGAUAAUUUUAGAGCUUGGACCAAUCCUGCUGAGCUGGAGAUGGUGCACACCCUAUCCAGAGGAGCUUCCAUACAUUCGCAUCUGUUGAGAGGGGAGCUUCCUCCAAUCAUGUUUUUGAUUGAUGCAUUUUUGCGUCAUAACCUCUACCCAUUGCAGCAUUGGACUCAAAGGAAAGGAGUCCUGUUAGAAGCCCUGUACAAGAUGUUUGAGGGAUUUUUCUUCGGCCCUCAUCAUCUGAUUCUGGCAGCCCUUCUCUAUUUCGAAGAGAAGGUACACAAAAAGAAGCUUUAGAGAGCUGAUUGCAUUCCCCUCCUCUUUCCAAGGCUGCUAUGCCAAAUUCUGGAGCACUUGGGAUAUCCUUCUGAGCCUUAGUUGGAGCGAAAGCACAUUUUCCGCGAGCUAUUCACUCUUGACAAAUGGAACAACAUGACAGCUUAUCGAGUUGACCAGCCUGAGCGCCCACAGCCAGCUGCUAGGAGAACAUCCCCACGACACAUACCUGAGGGUAUAACAGUUGCUGCUCCUGCCAUUCCUAGAGCUCCACCAGCUGCUCCAGCUUCAUCUCAGCCAUCCACUUCAGUUGAGCCGAGGAUGGCCAUUCCUAUUUCUGAAUAUCGAGAGUUGUGUCGUUCAUUGGAGACCCUCACAGCAUAUCAGAGCAGUCUUGCUCAAGAGAUGACAGCCAUUAGAGCAUGCCAAGAGCAGAUGUUGGCCACUCAGGCUCAACACACUGCCAUCUUAAGGCAGCUCCAGCUUCAUUUCGACCUGCCACUAGCUGUUGAGCCCUCCACUUCUACUCCAGUAGAGCCACACCCUCAUCCCUCAGAGCCUCAAGCCCCAGCUGAAGCACCAACUGAAGAGGCAGACCCAUCUGCCUAGCCCCAGCACCACCCACUCAUCAGAUCAUUAUAUAUAUAUAUAUAUAUAUAUAUAUAUAUAUAUCUACUAUCUUUGUUUUAUGUAUUUCAUUUUUUAGUUUGAAAGAAAUCCCAUUAUUUUGGUAUUAUAUUUGAGAUUGCUUGUAUUGCUUUUCUUUUGCAUUGUACUCAAAUGGAUUCAAAGUAAUACAAGUCUAAUAUUUCUUGUUAACAGUUAGCAUUAACUUAUUCUUAUUUCCUUUUCUCACAUAUUCUAUUCUUUUUGAAACAUGUGGUUUCUCCAAUCAGUAUGCGAAAUUGAUAUCACUCAGGAGGUACCACUUCCUCCCUUUAAUUACAGUCACUCAUAUCACAUUGAGGACAAUGCUCAAUUCGGUUGGGGGGGAAUGAGGAAGGAAGUAUGAUAAGUCUUUUUGGUAAUGCAAUUAUUUUGGUAAAUUAGUUCUAGUUUUUGUUUUUUACUCUUUUUACUCUAUUCUCCAUGAAUUUUGAGGAAAAAACAGGAGAAAUUGAACUGUUGUUUUUCACUUGACUUAGAGUAUGGAUUAUGCUCACUAAAGUGGUUCAAUUGUUGAAGCUUCUAUUGAAAUUGAAUUGAGUUCUUCCACUUUAAGCUAUUCACACACUGUGCACAUUAGAUUCCGAUUAUAACAUGAAAAACUAUUUCCCUCUUGACUUAGGAUAAUUUUGGGACUUGGUAUAUUUGACCUCAUUUGAUAAAAAUUGAAACACCCUACAAAAGGCCAAUGAGCCUUUGAAAUAAAGAAAGUUGUUUGCUUGCCUUAAAACCCGAGCAAGGUCUGAGGGGUAUAUGGUGAAAAUCUUUGAAGCCUGGUGCCCUAAGCCUUAAUUGGUUGGGAGUCACCGACCUCAAUGCUCGUUACAAGGGUGGAUAGAUGGAGUUAGCAUGUGGUAGGUGCUUGGGUAUUAGAAAUUCAUUCUCAAAAGUCUGGGGAAAAAUUUGAGGAGUUAGUGGUUGAAAGAUCCUUAAAGCUUGGUGCCCUAAACCUUAAUUGGUUGGGAGUCAUCGAUGGACCCCCAUUACAUGGACAAUUCAGAAAGAGUACCCCAUAAAGCCUCUUUAAAAAAAAAUUUAAAAAAAAAAAAAAAAAAAAAGAGAAAGUGUGUUAUUUCUUUAUUGAUUUUGGUCAGUUUGCUAAGUGUUGAAAAGAGAUAGGUUGGGGGGAGAGAUUAGUUUAGCAUGUUAUUCUCGGAAGCUAAGGAACCAAUACACAUAGAUUUUUGAGGAAGAAUAAAGUUUGGUUCUUUGAAAGUGGAAAUGAUUUUAAAACUUCAGUUUGCAUAAUGCAUUCCCUUGUUUGACAGUGUUUAGAAUAGUUUGUUAUAACUCUUGUUGAAAUUUGCUUUUAUAUUUCUUUAAGGUUUCAUGAGAGAAUUAGAUCAUCAUGCCACUUGAGAAUUGUUUUUGAUCAGCAUGAUGUUGUAUAUUAUAGGUUAGUUUGCUUUUUAUUUUCAUUUUUCUCUCCUUUAUUGCUAAGGGACUAGCAAUAUGUCGGUUGGGGGGAGUGAUUACUACUCAAAAAGUGCUAUUUGAUAGCUUAUAAUUAAUCCUUUUAAACACUUUUGAGUAGUAGUUUUGACCUUUUAACUCAAUUGGCAUGUUAAGGACCCUUGAAAGCAAUUUUAAUCACUUUGUGUAAGUUUUGGUGUUUUUGUUAGUAAUUUGAUCACCAAAGCAAUUCAAGUUUGAGGAGAGUUUUGAGGAAUCUUGGGUAAAGCUUAGAAGUCAUUUGCCAAGAGUAAAUCCGGAUUGCAAGGAGAAAAAGUAAAGAGAAUCUGCCAAGAAGCAUAUUCUUGAUGACAUUCGUAGCAGCCACUUUUGGAGCACUUUCUGAGGUUCAAUUGAUGCAUGAUAUAUACCAUUUCAAAUCUCAGGAAGUCAACAAUCCAAUGAUUUAAACGGUGUGCAAUUCGGAGUUGAAACGAAGAAGUUGCAAUCUUUGCAAGCCAAUCACUCCCAACUGAAGGAAGCAUUUUCCAAAGUGUUGCGAAAUCACCCUUUUGCUGCGAAGUGAUUCCGCAGCCUUUUUGUACAGUAGGGUGUAUUUCCUUCUGAAGGUGCCCGAUAUAUGCCGCAAGCUGGAAGCUAAGAACCUCAAGUUGGAAGCCAACUUCGCAGCCCUACGAGAAUAGCUUGUUGUUGCGAAGUGAUUUCGUAGCCCUUCUUGAGUGCCUGCGAAAUCUCGCAGACACCAUUUUCUCUUGCGAAAUGGUUCCUGAAGCACCCCGAUAUUUGCUACCGACAUUGGGAGAUAUUUUACAUCAGAUUUUUGUUGUUUAAAUCCUAAAAUACUCCUUGUAAGCCACCAAUUACAAGAUUCCUUAGCUUUUAAGUUAGUAAAAAGAGAAAAUAUCUAUGUAAUAAUUAGUUUUAUAUUAUGUUCAUAUAUAUACCUCUCGGGAGCCUGUUAUAAGAGAGGAGAUCCUUUUGUAAAGUUUUGGGUAAGCAAGUAAAGUUCAGUUCUUUGUAUUGCCUUACCUUCUCACUUUGUAUUUUUAUUUUCUUACUAAGUUAUGAACUCUCUGAGGAAUUUUCCCCAGAGAAUGAGUAACUAAACAUCUAGUUCCUUGGAGCUAAGGUUGCCGGGGAAGGUUCCAAGUGCAAGAAUGCAAAGCUUUGUGGUUUUAGCUAGUAAUGAAGAGGAAGUGAAAUCCUUUAGUGAUUUCUAUGUUUUUAGUUAACUUAAAACACCUUAGAGUCACCUGGGCCAACACUUGGUAAGGCAAGUGAUUUCUAAUCAUGGAAAUGCACUAGUUUACCCCUUGCGAGCCUCUGGAAGGUGACUUUAGGGUAGGAUUUUCUAGAAUAGCCAACACUUGGUAAGCUUUUGGACUCCAAGGAGACAUCCAUUAGUUAUCUCUUGCGAGCUUGAGACGGGUAAUCUAAGGUUAAAGAUCACCUUGAACGGUUAAGGCUUAGUGAGAGGCUUAAACCAUUGCAAGUUGCAUCAGUGAGAGAAUUAAAGUGAAAUCUAAUUGAAGAAUGUAUCUGUACAACACCGGUUAGAGAAUUGACUAUAUGUUGAAUCUCUAACGCGAGGAAAUGAACCAUCUGACCGGAGCCGUGUCUUUUGCAUGAGGAACCACCCCAGUGAACCAAACUCUCCAAGGAAUGUUUUUCUUCCUAAGUUAUUCCCAUUACUUAUUGUGUUAGUUUAAGUCUAAAUCUUCACCAAUCAAAGUUUGUGUUUUAUUUCUUAAGCUAACCUUGAAAUGAAACAAAACCAAUUCACUUUGAAUUGAUAUCAUUGAUAGCUUGUUAAUCCUUCCCAGUGAACGAUCCUAGAGUCGCUAUACUAUAGUAGCUUUGUCUUUGCUACCCUAGUAUAUGGUGUUAUAGGUUAUAAAUUUUGUUGAUUACUCCCUCAUUCAAGGAGCACCAGCUGGACACGAAUCAACUGGCACACCAACUGGGAAUGAAUCAAAUGCCUAACAAAGCAAUGAACGUGUCAAUAGCAACACUCAUGCAAAUACACCAAAGAUCUGCAAAGCUCAACAUGCAUCCUCUACCCACAAACAAAUAGACAAAUAAUGUCUAAGUAACUAACAAAACAAUAGUAAUGAGGAAUAAUUAAUAAAAAAUAAAAUAAAAUUGCAAAGAAACCAUACUUGAAGGUGCUAUUCUAAUCUUCCCUCGGAUUGGUCAGUUUUCCUUGUUCAUCUCUUCUCUUUUAGAGAAUCUUUUCUGUUUCUCUCCACUCUUCCUAAAAAAUCAAAACCUCCAUUUUCCUUUCUUUCCUUCCUUAAUCUCAAGGAUUUUCCAUCUCCUUUUCCUUAUCAGAAUCCUUCUUCCUGAAGGUUUCUCUUUGUCCCCUCGAAAAUCACAACUUCUCUUCCCUAUGCAGAAACCCUUUGGAAAUCCUCUCUUUCCUUCCUCCCCAUCCUCUCUUGCUUCCAUCGUAAGUUUUCUCACCUUCAAAUUUUUAUUUUUUAUUUUGUUUUGUUUUAAAAUAAAUAAAUGAUAACAAUAAUAAUAUUAAUAAUAAAAUAGAUAAAUAACAUAUAUUAAGAGGUGAUAAUAAUAAUAAUAAUAAUAAUAGAAACAAUAAUAACAAAAACAAUUCUUAUGGUGAUGGUAACAAAAAUAAUAAAAAAAAAAUGAAUAAAUAAUUAAUUAUAAGUAUGUGGCACACAUUCACAAAGAAGAUCAUGCAAGCCAUGUAAGCCAUGCCAGCUACAUUAGCCAUGCAAAUAACUUAUGGGUGUUGGGGUAAGCCUAAGCAGACUAGGUGCACCUAGACGGACCGGGUGUGCCUAAUGGGCCUAAAUAUGUCUAACCAAGCUAUUAUAAAAGUAUACCUAGUAUCCAAAGUGGCUCAAAGAGGUAAGUUAUAUGAAUAUCGAUGGGCCACCAGGAACUACUUUGGAGUGUUGAAAGAACAUUUAAUCAAGGCAUGUGACAAGGGGAAAAAAUGGAGGGUCUACACAAUCCAAUAUCAAUCAAAAUGAGUAAACCAAAUGUCAACUAAGUUGACACUUUCUAAAAUAGUAGCAAUACUUUUGUGUCUAAAAUAAUUCUGAAAUAGGUACAAUACUAUAGAACUUAUGUUGUUAAUCAACAAUUACUAAAUCUAAAACAUAAUAAAUAUUAAAUAUACAUUAUUACUAUUUGUCCAGAAUAAUAACAUGCAAAGUAUUAACAAUAUCCAAAAUAGAAAUCAUAUAUAGUAACAUCCUUAAUGUGUACAACACGAAGGAGCUUUCCUUUUUCGUUGUGGACGUUAAUGAUAUGCAUGCUUCACUAUUGGUUGUAGGGGGUUGACAUGUGCUCUCCCAUGUCCUUGAUGACCACGUCCCUCACCAUGUCCUUGACCACGAUAAUCCUCUUGUCCUUGUUGAUCAUCAUUUGCUGUAUGAACUAACUCCUCAUCAACCAAUGUAGUCUCUAAUGGUUAUGGUGAUGAUGUAACAAGUGGUACUACAAGUGAGGUGGAUGACACCUCCAUAGGUGGUGGGCUGAUGACAAUCAAUGCUGCAUCUCUAAGAAUAGGUAUAUGCCUAGUCUCCCUCCCAUGAACCCAUUUUCCUCUAGUUUGUACACCUCUUGAUCGAUGCUAGAGUUGUGUAGCAACAACAACACUAAAUAAAGUCUAAUCUUACAAAGGUGGAGGAGUGGAUGAUAUCAACUGCUGGUGAGGUGGUAGACUGAUGUCAGUUGAUGGUGCACAUAUAACAACUAGUGUAUGUCUAGUCUUCCUUUUAAUAGGCCAUUGUCCUAGUUUGUACACCUCCUGAUCGAGGCUGGAGUUGUGUAGUAGCAUCAACACUAAAUAGAGCAUAUAAGCGAUCCAUCUCAUGUAUGCCCUUUAAUACAAUAGUACACAAUCUGUGAAUAUGCAUAUCAUUUAGAGGUACAAUAUCAUAUAUAUGAUGUAUGAUGGAAUUUGUAAGUCAAAUAUGAGAUAAGUUAAAUUCUUAUAAAAAUAAAAUAAAUUUCAAUAAAAAGUUAAGACAUGCAAAUUACUAGUAGCUCAUGGAAGGACUUAGUUCAAGUAAGAAACAAAAGAGUAAUGGAGAGGUACCACACCAUCUAUGGAUCAUAAUAUCCCAAUGGACCUAUAGCCAUCUUGCCCUUAGCAAUAUGUUUGCUCUUAAAGCCCCAACAUAGAAUAUUGUCUCGAUGUUGAACAAUUUAAUCAACAUCAUGUCUACCUCUCAAGUCACAUUUAUGUAAGAUUGACUCAUUAUGACAUGGCUGAGGAAUCCCUUGACAAAAUGCAAACUGUUGUAAUACUCAAUCAAGUCUAUGUUAUUCAACUAUGUGGAAACAUAUUAAAGGUGAGAUAAGGCAUCAUAUAUCUUUCUCAACUGUACAAUAAUCAAGAACUCCAACAUUCAUGUCAUCAACAUAAGGUUGUCAUAUAAUUUAUAGUCAAGAAAGGUUAGAUAUAAUCAAUGGUUUGAAAUUUGUUUAGAGAAAAAAGUUUAAGAAAUGAAUCAAACUUCUAUCACUUGAUCUACCGUAAGUCGAUCAAGCUAGUGCCUAUACUAAACUAAGACAUGCAUGGAUGUCGAAGAUACUUAUAUCUCCAACUAUAAAAAUAAAAAACAAAUAAAAGAAUAAAUGAAUAAACGUUAGAAUUUAAGUUGAUAUAUCCUCAUAAUAUUAAAUUGAUGGUAAUGAUGCAUAUGUAUUGUAUGGCUAAUGGAGAUAGAGGCAGUUGGUCAUCAUAUGGAGCUAUAUGUAAACAAUGAGGUGCAAUAAAAAGGAACCUAUCGCAUACCCACAACUGGAGUAAAAAUAGUAGACUAGAUAUAUCAUGUGUAUCAAUCUAAGAGGCUGGACACAAUUGUUGAUAAAGUCAAGCUAAAUAGACAUUACCCUAACUAUAACUACCAACAACCUCAAAAUCAUUUAGAAGAGGUUGAAACAUAAGAUACACCUUAUCUCUAGACUUUUCUGAAAAAGAAAACCUCUAAGGAGUUGUAAGAUAUAUGCCUCAGUAUAAUGCCAAAUAGACUACUCAUCAACAUCUAGUGUCAAAAUAAGGAAGCUUUGACCUAACCAUGUAACAUGAAGGCAUUGCCCAUCUAUGUAUGUGUCCUCAGUAAUAAGACUUAAUAAAGACGAUGCAUGUCUCCAAUCUAGACAUGUGCUACCAAUAACUACUAUUCCAUCUAAUAGUAGUUUAAGAACAAUGGUAAUGUCUUGUAGUGUAAUUGUGCACUCCCUCUUAGGUAAGUGGAAAUUAUGAGUCUCUAGUCGCCAUCUUUCAAUAUAUACAAUAAUAAGGUGCCAAUAUGAGGAAAUGAAUCCUAAGCGUGCAACUCUAUAAAAGCCUAGUAAUGGAAUAAUACGUCUAUAUGGUGCACUAGUGUGAUGGAAAAUUGCCUCGCAAUGUCGACAAUAGAGUUCCUUUAAGUCAACACUUGUCCAUGCUAGAGAAGACUAGUGUAUGUCCUAUCCAUUUAGAAUUGUAGGAUCCAACGGUCUUAAAUCUAUUAUGUGAUAAUGUUGGAAACCCUGGAUUGCUCCGUUCCCAUGCCCUAAAUCGCAUAGGGUGCAUGCAAAUCUAUCGCUAUGGAUAAACAGGUAUUAAAAAAAUGAUAAAUAAUGCAAUAGAAAACAUAGAUCUAAAGAGUAAAUUCACAUACCUUUGAUCCGAAUGUUAUCUGAUCGAUUCCAAUCGAUAUAAAUAACUUCAAAGUCAUAGUAGAUCUCAUAAACACCAUGAUCUUCCGCCCGAUGACUCUUCCUUAUGUUUAAGCACUGAAAUAUUGGAAAUCUCAAGGGUAGAGGUUAGGGUUUUCUCUCUAGACUGGAGGAGAGAAUGGUAAAAGAUUGAAACCCUAACCCCUAAAGGGGUAUUUAUAAACUUCUUAUUGGGCUUAAGUGACUUAAGCCCACCAUGGGCUUAGGUCACUUAAUCUAGCCCAAAAAGGUUGCUAAUUGAUUGAUUGACCAUAUAAUCAAUUGGCCUAGUCCAAAGAUGCCACUCACUUAUCCUCGUGCAACCUUGUGUAAUUACCAAAAUGUCUUUGUGCACAAAAGUGAACUAAAAACCCAUCCAACCCUCAUAAACCAUGCCAUCAAGGAAUAUGAGCUUAGAGCGGGGACCACUAAGACUCAUAGGAGUAUUGACUCCCUCAAAAUCAAAAUUUGAAAUUGACUCAACAUCCCACUACAGAGAGUUAAUAACACUCCAGUACCCUAUAUAAAUUAGAACGAGACACUAAGUGCUCAGGUUAGUGACCUACUAUCCAUUGUAUGUAGACUCCCCAUGAACUAGUGUCCGCAAUCUAAUGAGGUAGUGUUAUCACCUAUCAAGAUUACCUCUCAAAUCCUUGAGUUACAAAUCCCACUUAUUAUGUGAUCAACUGACAUACUCUAACUCCAAGGAGCAUAUGUCAAAUUCCACUGAAGGAAUUACUGUGGCCACAAAUUUCAUGAUUUGGAUCACUGAUUCGUUCCCAAUUGGUGUAUCAUGAGUUUGGUCCUCAAACGGGAGUAAUCAACAAAAUUUAUAACCUAUAUCACCAUACACUAGGAUAGCCUUAUGUCACAGACUUAGUCGUUCACUAAGCUCGUGCGGCACUUAGACAAGCCAAGACGCUUGAUCUUGCUAAGUCAGCCUUGCUCCCCAAUGCUUAGCUUGCUAGGCUAAGACACUUGCAACUCAAAAGCUUAAGAAGCUUGGUAGGCAACUCCUUAAAGAAUGGAAGCUUUAUUAUCUCAAGAAGCCUUUACAAGUGCUUGGAUGCUCACUUGCUUGGUGCCUUGGCCAAAUGAGGCCCUCACCUAUUUAUAGGCACCAAUGGAACUCUCUAGAACCUUGGAGGGUUCCUUACAAUUCAUGAAUAUUCUAGAAUGUCCUACACUAUUCUAGAAUAUUCAAGAGACUUCUAGAAUGUCCUACACUAUUCUAGAAUAUUCAAGAGACUUCUAGAAUGUCCUACACUAUUCUAGAAUAUUCAAGAGACUUCUAGAUUUCUCUAGAAAGCUUUGGACCCUUCUCAUGCCUUCUACCAUAGUGUAGAGUUGUGUGGACUUCUCUAGGCAUUUCUAGAACCUUCCACACUCUUCCCACUAGUGGCUAAGUGUGGAUGUCUCCAAGGGUCUCUAGAAGCUUCUCACCUCCUAUAUAAGCCAUGGGGAGGGUCAUUUGAAGCAUCUUGUGACACUUAGCUAAUAUAGCAUAAUGGCUCUAGGAUCGUUCACUAGGAAGGGUUUUCAACUUACAACUGAUACCAAUUCAAAGUUGAAUUGGUGCUUUUUCAUUUCAAGGUUAGCUUAAGAGGAAAACGUAAACUUUGGUUGAAAAAGGAUUUGUUUUAAGCUAACUAAAAAGAAAGUAAUGGGAAUUACUUAUGACGAAAAGCGUUCCUUAGAGUUUUAGGUUCACUGGGGUUAGGCUCCUUAUGCAAAAACAAAGCUCCGGUCACUUGAAUCUUUUCCUCGCAUUAGAGAAUUAACAUAUAGUUAAUUCUCUAACCAGUGUUGUACAAAUGUUUCCCUUUCAUGGAUUUCAGUACUAAUUUCCUCUCACUGAUGCAACUUGCAAUGGCUCGUGCCUCUCACCUAGUAUUUGCCAUUCAAGGUGAUCAUUAACCUUGGACUUCCCUUCUCAAGCUCGCAAGAGAUAACUAAUGGAUGUCUCCUUAGAGUCCAAAAUCUUACCAAGUGUUGACAAUUCUAGAAAAUCUUACCUUCAAGUCACCUCCCAAAGGCUCGCAAGAGAUAAACUAGUGCAUCUCCAUGGACGAAGAUCACUUGCCUUACCAAGUGUUGGCCUAGGUGAAUUGAAGGCAUUUUAAGUUAACUAAAAACAUAGAAAUCAUUAACGAGUCACACUUUCUCUUCAUUAACAGCUGAAACAACAAAACUACCAAUUCUUGCAUUCAGGGCCUUACCCGGCUACCUUAGCUCCAAGGAACUAAAAGCCUAGCCACUCAUUCUCUGAAGAAACAUCCUCAGAGCUUGUUUGGCUAGUAAUAAAAAAUAAAUACAAUACAAUCAAAUUUAGUAGGUAAGGCAGAGCAAAGCUCUGUACUUUACUUCUUUCCAAAACUAUACAAAAAGUUGUCUUUGAGAACAAGCUCCCCGAGAUAUCUCUGUGAUGAAAAUUACAAAACAAUAUAUAUGAGGUUAUUUACCCUUUUUUCUUACUUAAAGACUAAGGAAUCCUAUGAUAGGUGGAUUACAAGGAGAGAAAGGGGAUUUAGACAUCAAAUAUCUGAAGAAAAAAAUAAAAAAAUGUCGGUCGCAAAUAUCUGGAAGCACUUGGGAGAAUUUCGCAGGCGUGCAAGAUGGAUGUGAAAUUUCGCAACCUGAAGGACACCAUUUCGCAGCCAUCCUCUUGUGAUUUCGCAACCUGCGAAAUUGGCCUUCAGCUUGGUGUGAUUGGCCUCUAAUGGCUCUAACUUCUUCAUUUCAACUUCGAAUCACGCACCGUUUGAAGCGUUGGAUUUCUAACUUCCCAAGCUUUGAAACGACAUAUAGUAUGAAUAAAUUGAGCUCCAGAAAGUGCUCCAAAAGUGUCCAACAGUGGCUGUCCUCUUGAAUUCUUCAUGUUAGAUUUCUCUCUUUGCUUUCCCUCCUUGCAUUCAUGAUUUGCUUAUGACAAAGGACUAUAAAGCUUCAUAGCUUUGGUUCUUCAUGUUACUAAGCUUCCCAUUGCUUUGCCAUGGAUUCCAAAGAACUCUCCUCAAUCUUGGAUUGCUUUGGUGAUCAAAUUACUAUCAAAAGCACCAAAACUUACACAAUUUGAUUAGAAAUGAUUGCAAAGGUCCUUAAUAUGCUAAUUGAGUUAAAAGGUAUUAAAUGCUCCUCAAAAGUGUUUAAAAGAGUUAAUUAAAAGGUACAAAAUAGCACUUUUAGAGUAGUAAUCACUCCCCCUAACCGACAUAUUGCUAGUCCCUUAGCAAUAAAGAAGAGAAAAAGUAAACUAAAAAGUAAUAUACUUUACAAGAUCAUGCUGAUCACUUCAAAAAAUUUUAAGCGGCAUGAUGAUCAAACUCUCACAUGGACCAUUAAAGAAAUAUAAACUCAAAUUUCAACAAGAGUUAUCAAAUACCUUGCUAAUCACAAUUCAUAAAGAAAAGGCAUUAUGCAAAUUGAAGCUUUAAAAUCAUUUCCACUUCCAAAGGACCAAACCUUACUCUUCCACAAAAAUCUAAGUGUUAGUUGAUAGUUUCCGAAUAUAGUAUGUUGAACUAAUCUCUCCCCCAACCUAGUUCUUUUUCAACACUUAGCAAACUGACCAAAUUUAAUAGGCUAAGAAUGCACCCUUUUGUUUCACAAUUUUUUUUCAUUGUAGGAGUCAAGGCUUAAAGGUAUUCUUUUCUAAAUUGUUCAUGUUACGGGGGUCCAUCGAUGACUCCCAACCAAUUAAGGUUUAGGGCAUCAAGCUUUAAGGAUCUUGCAACCACUAACUCCUUGGAUUUUACCCUGGACUUUUGAGAAUGAAUUUUAAUACCCAAGCACCUACAGUAUGUUAAACUCCACCUAUUCACCCUUGUAACGAGCAUUGAGGUCGGUGACUCCCAACCAAUGAAGGCUUAGGGCACCAGGCUUUAAAGAUUUUCACCAUAUACCCCUCAGACCUUGCUCGGGUUUCAAGGUAAGAAAAACAUUUUUUCUUUCUUUUUUUUUUUUUUCAAAGGCUCAUUGGCCUUUUAUAAGGUGUCCCAACACUAUUAAAAUGAGGUCAAAGGUACCAAGUCUAAAUUUUCCUAAGUCAAGAGGGAAAUAGUUUUUCAUCUUAUAAUCGGAACCUAUUGUGUACAAUGUGUGAAUAGCUUAAAGUGGAAGAACUAAGCUUGAAUUCAAUAGAAGUUUCAACAAUUCACCAACUUUAGUAAGCAUAAUACAAACUCUAAGUCACGUGAAAACNNNNNNNNNNNNNNNNNNNNNNNNNNNNNNNNNNNNNNNNNNNNNNNNNNNNNNNNNNNNNNNNNNNNNNNNNNNNNNNNNNNNNNNNNNNNNNNNNNNNUCUAGUGCCAGAUGAGGAGAGCUUGCCAGCUGAGCAGCCUAUACCAGAGGAGGAGAUCAGAGCAGAGCCAUCACAUGACCCCACUCAUAUCUGAUCUUUUUAUGUUUUACUUGUUUUUAUUUUAGACUUGUAAAUCCCAUCUUUUGCAUGUGUUAUAAAUUGGGAUUGGAAGUAUUACUUGAAAUCAUACAUUGUAUAUUUCUUUUACAAGUAAUAUAUAUAUAUAUAUAUAUAUAUAUAUAUAUAUAUAUAUAUAUAUAUAUAUAUAUAUAUAUCCUUUUUGAUUAUAUUCCCUUUUCUCAUUACUCUUUUGUCCUUGGAACAUGUGGUUUAAGGUACUCCAUACCUCCUUUACACUCAGACUUUGUCUCACUCAGGAGGUACCACUUCCUCCCUUUAUUUUUAAUCACUUUUGAAACAUUGGGGACAAUGUUCAACUUGGUUGGGGGGGGGGGGGGGGGGGAAAAAAAAAAAAAAAAUUUUUUUGGCAAAAAAAAAAUUUUUUUGGGUUUUUUAUAAAUUUUUUUUUAAUUUUUAAUUUUUUUAAAAAUUUUUUUAAACCAUCCCCCCGGGUGUUGAAAAAAAUUUUCCCCAAAAAAAAAAANNNNNNNNNNNNNNNNNNNNNNNNNNNNNNNNNNNNNNNNNNNNNNNNNNNNNNNNNNNNNNNNNNNNNNNNNNNNNNNNNNNNNNNNNNNNNNNNNNNNUUCAAGGUAAGAAAAACAUUUUUUCUUUCUUUUUUUUUUUUUUCAAAGGCUCAUUGGCCUUUUAUAAGGUGUCCCAACACUAUUAAAAUGAGGUCAAAGGUACCAAGUCUAAAUUUUCCUAAGUCAAGAGGGAAAUAGUUUUUCAUCUUAUAAUCGGAACCUAUUGUGUACAAUGUGUGAAUAGCUUAAAGUGGAAGAACUAAGCUUGAAUUCAAUAGAAGUUUCAACAAUUCACCAACUUUAGUAAGCAUAAUACAAACUCUAAGUCACGUGAAAAGACAAAAAUUCAAUUUCUCCCAUUUCAAUUUGAAAAUUUUUCCUUAAAAACCAUGGAGAGUAGAAUAAAAAACUUUAAAUUUUUUUUAAAAUUAAACAAAAAUCAACUAAAUUACCAAAAUAACUUAGCAUUAAUAACAAAACUUCCUUCCUCAACUCUCCCCCCAACCAAGCUAAACAUUGUCCUCAAUGUGGCAUGAGCGAUUGAGAUUAUAAGGAGGAAGUGGUACCUCCUGAGUGAUAUGAAGUUCGAGUAGAAUAGGAGAAACCACAUGUUUCAAAAACAAUAAAAGAUAUGAAUAGAGGAAAUAAAAUAAAAUAAUGCUAAGAGUGCUAAAAAAUUGAUAGAUUUGUAUUACUUCAUUUCAUGAAAGUACAAAAAGAGAACAAGUAAUACAACUAAUCCCAAUAUAUAAUAUAUCAAAAGCAUGGGAUUACAAGUGCUAUUAUAGUAGGGAAAUACAUAAAGGAAAUAUAUAACGGAAACAUAUAAAGGAAACUAUGCAAAUGAUCAGAUAGUGGCUGGAGGAUGAUGUGAAGAUGAUGGCUCAGUUGCAAAGGCCUGAAUGCUCGGGGCGGAUGCCUUUGCCUCUCCUAUAGUGGGCUCCUUAGGAGGCAUAGUCUGAUGUACGAAAGAAGGGGCUUGUGAUGGCUCUGGUGGGAUAGGAAUGGGGUGCUCAGGAGUUGAUAGAAUACCCAGAUAGUGUUGAAUCUGCCUUAGGAUGGUAGUAUGCUGGGUUUGAGUGGCAAUAAUCUGCUCCUGAUGAGCACUAAGAGUUGUGAUCUGCUGAGUGAGGAUGCUUUGAGAAAUGGCCGAUGCCUGGAAAGUGUGGCAUAAGCCUCUAUACUCGAUAAUGGAUAUAGCAAUCCUAGGCUCAGAUGAAGGAGAUGACUCUAAUAUGGGUGGAAUAACAGGGGGAGUCCGUGGUGUGGCUUGAGGAGCAGAGGGUGCAACCUCUGGUAUAGGCUCUAUAGAGCCUACUGCAGGGGUAGGUGGUGUAAUGUCAGCUGGUAUCUCAACCAGUUGUGGCUCCUCUGGCUGCUUUGGAUGGUAUGGUCCAGUUGGGGCUCCCUGGUCUACACCAUAGGUUGUCAUACUCGUCCAUUUGUCGAGAGUGAAUAUCUCUCGACAAAUGUGUCUGCGCUCAAGCUGAGGCUCUGCUAGGUAUCCCAAAUGCUCCAAAUCUGGCAUAACAAUCUGGGGAAGAGAAGUGGAAUAGCAUCCACUCGGAGUAGCUUUUUCCUAUGGAUUUUCUCUUCUAAGUACAGAAGAGCAACCAUAAUGAGAUGAUGAGGGCCAAAGAAGAAUUCCUCAGAUAUCCUGAACAAUGCCUCCAACAAAACUCCUCUCCUCUACACCCAAUGCUAAAGUGGAAAGAUGUUAUGGUGCAGGAGUGCAUCAAUGAAGAACAUGUUGGGAGGGAACUCAUUCCUCAAAUGAUAUUGGCGUGAGGAUGUCCCUCUGGAUAAAACGUGGACUAUGUCGCUCUGUGCAGGAUGAGUCUAGACUCGAUAAUCCUCUGGACGUGCUAGCUCAUAGGGAAUACGGAGUGCCUCUGCUAUGUGUCUGGCUCCCAGAAUACCAUGGCGUCCGUCUAUGGUGAAGUGGAUGACUGUAGGAUCCCGGACCUGAUGUGUAGUCAUGGACUGAUAAAAGUCCAAUGCUAUACGGGGAUAGAAAAAAUCCCUAGGAGUCAGCAAGUGCUCCAUAUGAUACCUCUGUAGCAAAUGGAAAGAAUCCCUGAGCUUAGGCUGAAGUUUGAAAGUAGUUGUGUCAAAAUAGAGCUCGGAGUGGAAUGGCUUUGCCCUGCAAUCCAAAUUACCCUCAAUGGGUGGUUGAGUAACCAUAGGACGUCUGAUAACCACCUCAGGAGUCAUGCCUGAGGGAAUCUGAGACUCUUUGGCUGGUGGCUGAAACGAGUGAGGCUUUUUUACAGGUGGUUGAGAUGGACGAGGCUCUGAAGAGGGCUCUGUUAAAUCAAUUGGCUCUAAUACCUUGGCCUUCUUCUUUGGGGGACCACUACCUGACUUUUUAGCUCGGGAAGAGCUCGACUCGGCCAUAGUGAGUGACCUUUUUGUCUGAUAGCGCCUCGAAGGAGGACUCAUAGGUGCAUCCUCAACCGGAGGUGGGACGACCAGUGGCCGCGGAGACUCAGAUAUGGCAGCUUGGACAAAGGUCUCUCUUGGGACUCUUAGGCGAGUUGAUGGGGACGAGGACUUAGUUCCUCGGGUUUUGGACAUGUUCGUCUCAGAGACGGUGGCCGGAGGUGCGUGCGGCUUGGCUCAGGCGGAGGGGUUAGACGGAGAGUUGCUCUGGUUUGGCUCCUCUUUGGCACCUAUUUAAAGUUCAAAUGACCAGUUAAAAACAAAAUAUGGAAUUUAUAACGUUUAAAAAGGAUGCCAAGGGACGAUUUUUAUUUUCGCAGCAGAUGGUUGAUUUCGCAGCAAGGGGCGGAUUUCGCAGCGGAUGGGUAUUUUCGCAGCCCAUUUCGCAGUUGCAAAAUGAGGGUGGAAAGCUGCAAAAUGGCACUCAUGUGCCAAGGGGUGGUUUCGCAGCUAUGAAACCACUUAUGAAAUGAGGGUGCGGCUGCGAAAAUUGGAAUUUUUAGGCGUGGAGGAUUUCGCAAAGCAUUUCGCAGCUGUGAAAUGAGAGGGGGGGUCUGCAAAAUGGCACUCGUGUGCCAAAGGGGUGUUUCGUAGCUGCGAAAAUUUUCGUAGAGGGAGGUAUGAGGCUGCGAAAUCAUUUCGCAGACAAGGGGCAUUUUCGCAGCGGGGCCUUGGGGCUGCAAAAUCAUUUCGCAACCAAGGGCCAUUUUCGCAGGGGCCCUUUUUAGGCUGCGAAAUUUUGCAGACCAUGGAUUUUCCUUGCUUUUGAGCUUCUCUUGAUUCCCAUAGACCUUCUUUCAAUUUCUUUGCAAUUCCUCCUGAUUUUGAUCAUUCAAAAAGAUUAAGUUACAUAUAAAUAACACAAUUUAAGACCAAAAUUAAAAUCAAAACAAUUUAUAAAGCUUAUAAAUUAACACAAUUAAACAAAAAAUAUGGACUUUGGUGAAACCAAGUCCAUCUAACCCUUUUCUGAUUAGGCUUUCUAUGGCUCAAGGAGGUUGAUUUUCUCAUUUUCUUGUUUGAAUGGCUCAAUGAAUGGCUUGAGACGAUGACCAUUGACUUUAAAAGUGUCAAUGCUAUUGGAAUUCAGUAAUUCCACCACUCCAUUGAGAUGCACUUGGUGAAUAAUGAAAGGGCCUAUCCACCUUGACUUGAGCUUCCCAUGAAAGAUAUGGAGCCUUGAAUCAUAGAAUAAGACUCUUUGUCCUUUCUGGAAUUCUUUGUUGGAGAUUAAUUGGUCAUGCCACCUCUUCAUCCUCUGUUUUGCAACUUUGGAAUUGAUGUAAGCAUCAUUUCUUAAUUCCUCCAUCUCAUUAAGGUCUAAGCACCUCUUUGCCUCGCCUCUGAUCAAGUCCAUGUUUAACCUCUUGAUUGCCCAUCAAGCCUUAUAUUCAACUUCCAUAGGGAGAUGACAUGCUUAGCCAUAGACUAGACGAUAGGGAGACAUGCCAAGAAUAGUCUUGUAAGUUGUUCUAUAUGCCCAUAGUGAAUCAUGAAGCUUAAUAGACCAAUCACUUCUGCUUGUGAUCACCACCUUCAUCAAUAUGUUCUUGAUUUCCCUGUUUGCUAGCUCAACUUGCCCCGAAGUCUGAGGGUGAUAAGUGUAGCUACCUUAUGCUUCACUCCAUACUUCGCUAAUAGGGUUUCAAAAGGUCUGUUGCAAAAAUGAGUACCUCCAUCAUUGAUUAUGGCCUUGGGUACCCCAAAUCUUGAGAAGAUGUUCUCUUUAAGAAACUUGAGAACCACCUUGUGAUCAUUGUGUUUACAGGGGAUUGCCUCAACCCAUUUAGAAACAUAGUCCACCCCUACCAAGAUAUAAGAGUUACCAAAAGACAUUGGGAAAGGUCCCAUGAAGUCAAUGCCCCAAACAUCAAAGAGAUCAACUAUUAGAAUGGGGUUCAUAGGCAUUUGAUUUCUUCUUGUAAGCUUCCCAAGCCUUUGGCAUCUAUCACAGCUCCUACACAUGGUGUGGGCAUCUUUGAAAAGUGAUGGCCAAUAAAACCCUGAUUACAACACUUUCAUGGCUGUUUUUUGAGAGGCAAAGUGGCCUCCACAUGCAUUCUCAUGGCAAUGACUGAGGAUUCCUUGUUGCUUUUCUUCAGGGACACACUUCCUUAUUAUUUGAUCUGCAUAAUACUUGAAAAGAAAAGGCUCUUCCCAAUAAUAAGCAUGAAUCUUUGCAAAGAAGUGCUUCCUGUCUUGUGCUUUCCACUCACUUGGAACUUCACUAGUAACUAGAUAAUUAGCAAUAUGAGCAUACCAAGGAGUUUUCUCUAGCAACAUGAAUGAUUCCUCAGGAAAGUCAUCAUUAAUAGGUAAGACAUGGGAAUUGUGUGUUAUAUCCAACCUUGAAAUGUGGUCAGCUACCACAUUCUCCACUCCUUUCUUGUCUUUGAUUUGGAGAUCGAACUCUUGUAAUAAAAGAAUCCAUCUAAUCAACCUUGCUUUUGCAUCUUGCUUUGUCAAUAAAUACUUCAAGGCUGAAUGGUUAGUGAAAACAAUGAUGAAAGACCCUACUAGAUAAGCACGAAACUUGUCUAAGGCAAACACCAUAGCUAACAAUUCUUUCUCUGUAGUUGUGUAGUUCCUUUGAGCUUCGUUCAAUGUCUUGCUUGCAUAGUAGAUCACAUAGGGCUUCCCAUCUUCUCUUUAGCCAAGCACAGCUCCUAUAGCAAAGUCACUGGCAUCACACAUUACUUCAAAGGGUAGUUGCCAGUUGGGGGCCCUCACUCUUGGAGCAAUUGUCAAAAAUUGCUUCAAUUGAUCAAAAAUAUUUUGACAUCUUUCAUCCCAUAUAAACUUAGCAUCCUUAGCUAAGAGUUCACAAAGAGGCUUUGAAAGCUUAGAGAAGUCUUUUAUGGAUCUCCUGUAGAACCCUGCAUGGCCAAGGAAUUGCCUCACUCUUUUUACAGCUGUUGGGGAUGGCAAUUUGACAAUAAGUUCCACCUUUACUUUAUCAACUUCAAUGCCUUUCUCGGAGAUGAUAUGGCCAAGGACAAUUCCUUGAUGUACCAUAAAAUGGCAUUUCUCCCAGUUGAGCACCAAGUCCUUUUCAAUGCAUCUGUUAAGAACCGCUUCCAAGUUGACUAAGCAUUCUUCAAAUGUACCUCCAUAUAUGGUGAUAUCAUCCAUGAAAACCUCAAUAAUUCGCUCCACCAUAUCACUGAAAAUACUAAGCAUACAUCUUUGGAAUGUUGCAGGUGCAUUGCAUAAACCAAAAGGCAUUCUUCUAUAGGCGUAUGUUCCAAAUGGACAUGUGAAAGUGGUCUUCUCCUGAUCUUCAACAUCAAUUUCAAUUUGAAAAUACCUUGAGUACCCGUCCAAGAAACAAUAGAAAGGAUGGCCAGAGACUCUCUCCAACACUUGAUCAAUAAAUGGCAAUGGAAAAUGAUCUUUCCUUGUCACAACAUUCAAUUUCCUAUAAUCAAUACACACCCUCCAACCCGAAGUAAGGCGUGUAGCAAUUUCUUCUCCAUUUCGUUUUGAACCACAGUAAUCCCUGACUUCUUUGGUACCACUUGAGUAGGACUCACCCAAGGGCUGUCAGAUAUGGGGUAAAUAAUACUUGCUUGAAGUAGCUUCAGCACCUCAGCUCGCACCACCUCUUGUCAAUGAGGAUUCAAUCUUCUUUGAGGUUGACGAAUUGGUUUAGCUUCUUUCUCCAUGUAUAUAUGAUGUGUACAAACCAAAGGACUGAUGCCUUUCAAGUCAGAUAUUUGCCAUCCUAUUACUUUCUUACACCUCUUAAGAACUUCAAGUAGAGAAAUCUCCUUAUGAGUAGUAAGAGAUGAAGAUAUAACAACAGGGCAUUGUUUAUUUUCUUCCAGGUACGUGUAUUUCAACUCCACGGGCAGAGGCUUCAAAUUGAGCUUUGGGAUCUCUUCCUUAGCAGCUUCUUGUGCCUCCUCUUUAUUGAACAAAGGUAGAAUCUCUUCUCUCCUCCUCCAAUCUUGUAGAGUAGCAAGCACAUCAGCAAGUUCAGACAACCCUUCUUCAAGAUCCCUAAGACUUUCAUUCAACUUGUCUUGCAUAUUCUGAUUACAGUGCUCCUCUACUAGAGUGUUAAUAAUGCAUACCUCUUCUGGACCUUUUUCUUCUUCUGGAGCGAUUAGUUUUUUUAGACAUAUAAAAGAUAUUGAGCUCAAGUGUCAUGUUACCAAAAGUGAGUUGCAUGAGUCCAUUCCUACAAUUGAUGAUUGCAUUUGAGGUAGCAAGAAAUGGCCUUCCAAGGAUGAUAGGAACAUAAUUAGCUUCCUUUACAACGGGGUCCGUAUCAAGAACAACAAAAUCUACUAGAUAGUAGAAAUUAUCAACUUGAACUAAGACAUCUUCAAUUAUCCCCCUUGGAAUUUUCACUGAUCUAUCAGCUAGAGAUAGAGUGAUUGAUAUUGGCUUCAAUUCACCAAGUCCCAAUUGCUUGUAGACAGAGUAUGGUAGCAAAUUCACACUUGCUCCCAAGUCUAACAAAGCUUUUUCCACUACCUUUCCCCCAAUCAUGACUGAAAUGGUAGGACAUCUCGGAUCUUUGUACUUCAAAGGAGACUUGCAUUGUAUGAUGGCACUUACUUGCUUAGUCAAGAAGGCUUUCUUAUUCACAUUCAACCCUCUUUUGAUAGUACACAAGUCCUUUAGGAAUUGUGCAUAUGUUGGAACUUGUUUAAUUAUAUCCAACAAUGGAAUAUUGACUUUCACUUGUCUCAAUACUUCAAGGAUUUCUGAUGCAUUUCUAAUCCCCUUUUUCCCAUGUAAAGCUUGAGGAAAAGGUGGAUAGAUGUGUUUCUUCAUCAUUUCUUCUUUAAUAAGCUCUUUCUCCGGAUUUGCAUUCACUAUUGAAUCAUGGUCCUCUUUCCCUUCACUGAUAUCUUUCUUCUUUCCUUUGAUUUCCUCACUCUUCUUUGUCUCUUCUUCUUCUUCCUCUUCAACAUGUGGCUUGGGUGUUGGUGACUCAACCUUUUUUACCACUCCUUGAAAGUGAUCAAGGCUUUGACAUCUCUCACCUGUGAAGAUUCUCCCUCAUAAGUUUCCACUUCAUGGAUACCCUUGGGGUUUUGGUGAGGUUGAGAAGGAAAUCUACCCUUCUCUUGCACUGUGUUCAAGUUAAUGAGCCUUGAGAUUGAGUAUUGGAGAUUAUCUAUCUUCUGAGAUAAGUCAUUUUGCAUCCCAUCCAUCCUUUUAUUCAAUGUAUUCUCUACACUGUCAAUUCUUUGACUGAGUUGAGCAUUGAUAGAUUUUUGGUCUCCAACAAAAUCUCCCACAACCUUGUUGAAAUUCACUAUUGCUUGUUGAAGACUUGAAGCUUGUUGAGAUGGUUGAGGCUGUUGGUAUUGAGGUGCUCUUGGCUUCCAUGAAAAAUUUGGAUAGUUCCUCCAACUUGAGUUGUAAGUGUUUCCAUACGAAGCAUUGCUAUUGGGCUUGAAUUAUCCAAUGACAUUUGCUUGAUCUCCAAACAUUUCUCUAACAACUGGAAUUGUAGGGCACUCCUCCACCAAGUGUUCAUAAGAUUGACAAAUAGAACAUGACUUUACUUGCACUGGUGUUUUAGCAGCAACUUGCACUUCAUGCAUCUUUUUCAGUUCUAGCUCCUCCAAUCUUCUUGUCAUAGCUGCAAAUUUUGCUUUCAUAUUAACAUCUUCAUUCAAGGUGUACAUCCCAGCCUUAGCAUUGAAAGCAUUUGGUUGAGACUUCAUCUUCCCCACUUCUCCUUUGUUCGGUUCAUCCCAUCCCCUUGAAACUUCAGCUACAUAACUCAAGAAAUCCAUAUCUUCCUCCGGAUUCUUACUCAUGAAAUCUCCUCCACACAUUGUCUCAAGGAGUUGCUUCAUUGAGGAAGACAUCCCAUCAUAGAAAUAACUCACCAACAUCCAUGUAUCAAAACCAUGGUGAGGACAAGCAUUGAUGGCUUCCAUGUAUCUUUCCCAACACUCGUAGAAUUUCUUAUUCUCUUUAGCUAAGAAGUUUGAAAUUUGUCUUUUCAAGCCAUUUAUUCUGUGAGUAGGAAAAAACUUUUUGAGGAAUUCAGCUUGUAAAUCAGUCCAAGUAUGGAUACUCCUUGGCCUUAAAGAAUUAAGCCAAAUCUUGGCCUUAUCCUUUAAAGUAAAAGGAAAUAGCUUAAGCCUCAUCAAGUCGAUUGAAGCUCCCCCCUCUUGGAAUGUAUUACAAACAUCUUCAAAUUCCUUGAUAUGUGCAUAGGGAUUCUCACUUUCCAUCCCAUGGAAAGUUGGUAGAAGUGGAACAAUAUAUGGUCUGAUCACUAGCUGCUCUGUAGGGGGCACUAUACAUGAUGGUGCACUCAUACGAGGUGGAUGCAUACGAUCCCUCAUUAAUCUGAAUUCAUUGGGAUUGUCCUGGUGACCAUGGUGACUAUGUUGAUUUUCAGGUGUAACUUCCAUGGUAUUCAAGCCUAAUUCCAAUUCCUUGUUAUCAGGUGUUUCACGUUUAACAAGCCUUCCUCCACUAUCUUGUAUCCAAUUUGGCAUACACAACUAGUAUCAACUGCAACAAAAACAAAAACAAAAGAAAACAAAAGAAAAUAAAAAUAUAAAAAGACUUAGAUUAACUAAAACUAAAUUAAAAGAUAUGUUAGAAUAUGAACAAGUAAAAAAAAAAAUUAAAAGAGUUAGUAAAAUGAAAGAAAAAUCACCAAACUUGUAAUGAAAAUCACAAGUAAUAUGAAAUAAUAUCACUGUGAAGUUGGCACCUUCCCUUGCAGCGGCGCCAUUUGAUUCAUUCCCAAUUGGUGUAUCAUGAGUUUAAUCCUCAAACGGGAGUAAUCAACAAAAUUUAUAACCUAUAUCACCAUGCACUAGGAUAGCCUUAGCUAAUAUAGCAUAAUGGCUCUAAGAUCGUUCACUGGGAAGGGUUUUCAACUUACAACUGAUACCAAUUCAAAGUUGAAUUGGUACUUUUUCAUUUCAAGGUUAGCUUAAGAAGAAAACAUAAACUUUGGUUGAAAAAUGAUUUGUUUUAAGCUAACUAAAAAGAAAGUAAUGGGAAUUACUUAUGAAGAAGCGUUCCUUGGAGUUUUAGGUUCAUUGGGGUCAAGCUCCUUAUGCAAAAACAAAGCUCUGGUCACUUGAAUCUUUUCCUCACAUUAGAGAAUUAACAUAUAGUUAAUUCUCUAACCGGUGUUGUACAAAUGUUUCCCUUUAAUGGAUUUCAGCACUAAUUUCCUCUCACUGAUGCAACUUGCAAUGGCUCGUGCCUCUCACCUAGCAUUUGCCAUUCAAGGUGAUCAUUAACCUUGGACUUCCCUUCUCAAGCUCGCAAGAGAUAACUAAUGGAUGUCUCCUUAGAGUCCAAAAGCUUACCAAGUGUUGGCAAUUCUAAAAAAUCCUACCUUCAAGUCACCUCCCAAAGGCUCGCAAGAGAUAAACUAGUGCAUUUCCAUGGACGGAGAUCACUUGCCUUACCAAGUGUUAGCCCAGGUGAAUUGAAUGCGUUUUAAGUUAACUAAAAACAUAGAAAUCAUUAACGGGUCACACUUUCUCUUCAUUAACAGCUGAAACAACAAAACUACCAAUUCUUGCAUUCGGGGCCUUACCCGGCUACCUUAGCUCCAAGGAACUAAAAGCCUAGCCACUCAUUCUCUGAGGAAAUAUCCUCAAAGCUUGUUUAGCUAGUAAGAAAAAAUAAAUACAAUACAAUCAAAUUUAAUAGGUAAGGCAGAGCAAAGCUCUGUAUUUUACUUCCUUCCAAAACUAUACAAAAAGUUGUCUCUAAGAACAAGCUUCCCGAGAUAUCUCUGUGAUGAAAAUUAAAAAACAAUAUAUAUGAGGUUAUUUACCCUUUGUUCUUACUUAAAGACUAAGGAAUCCUAUGAUAGGUGGAUUACAAGAAGAGAAAUGGGAUUUAGACAUCAAAUAUCUGAAGCAAAAAAUAAAAAAAUGUCGGUCGCAAAUAUCUGGAAGCACUUGGGAGAAUUUCACAGGCGUGCAAGAUGGCUGUGAAAUUUCGCAACCUGAAGGACACCAUUUCGCAGCCAUCCUCUUGUGAUUUCGCAACCAAAGGCUGAUUUCGCAGCCUGCGAAAUUGGCCUUCAGCUUGGUGUGAUCGGCUUCCAAUGGCUCUAACUUCUUCAUUUCAACUCCGAAUCAUACACCGUUUGAAGCGUUGGAUUAAUGACUUCCCAAGCUUCAAAACGAAAUAUAGUAUGCAUAAAUUGAGCUCCAGGAAGUGCUCUAAAAGUGUGUAACAGCUGCUGUCCUCUUGAAUUCUUCAUGUUAGAUUUCUCUCUUUGCUUUCCCUCCUUGCAUUCAUGAUUUGCUUAUGGCAAAGGACUAUAAAGCUUCAAAGCUUUGGUUCUUCAUGUUACUGAGAUUCCCAUUGCUUUUCCAUGGAUUCCAAAGAACUCUCCUCAAUCUUGGAUUGCUUUGGUGAUCAAAUUACUAUCAAAAGCACCAAAACUUACACAAUUUGAUUAGAAAUGAUUGCAAAGGUCCUUAGUAUGCUAAUUGAGUUAAAAGGUAAUAACUACUACUCAAAAGUGUUUAAAAUAGUUAAUUACAAGGUACAAAAUAGCACUUUUUGAGUAGUAAUCAAUCACCCAAGGGGACAUAUUGUCUCAAUCCUAUGAGAUAUCAUGGUGCCUCUAUUGAGAACACCUAUUGCCACCAGCCUUCAUCAACAGUGACCCAAUCUAUAGGGAUAUAUGACCACUUUAGGGUCUUACCCAUAAGUUAAAUUCUCCUAUUGAUUUUGGCAUAUGCUCAAUAUCCUCUCAAGGUUGGGAAUCCAUGCAGUAUAGUAGCUUGGUGAAUCAUGACAAUUGAUAGCCUUGCGUCAUGAUACAUCGUUGGUCUUGUCCAGUGUGCCUCACAUACAUUAGUGCACUCAUCAUGGGAAAUCAAUCCCAACUACCAAGAUAAGUCAUCCCUCCAAUUAGGAGGUGGUGCAUUACAGUCUCUACUAGAUUGCCCAAAUCUAUGAUUCGACUAUGGAUAACUUAUCUACUUACAAGGAACUCAUGACUUGUAUUUUCUGUGCAACUCCUAAUGCACCCAAGCCAUGUACAAUGUAAGAGACAUAGGUUGAAUGCUCAAAUCAAUGUCAAUACAUCAAAAGGAUAGCAAGGGGAUAGUUAAGCCUAACUUUGUUACAUCAUGUCUUGCUUUUAGAGGCUCAAUCUCAACAAACUCUCACUAGCCCCAAAAGUAGAUUGGGUGCUGCAAAAAGAUUCUACUCCACAAUCAUAUCACCUCUUUAUACUAUCUUACGCUAAGGUAAUACUUCAUUUUUAUACAUUUCAUCUUUAUAUAUUUCAUUUUCUAAUGGUACUUUAGUUUUUUAGCCUAUGCCACAGUCCCACUAUUAUCACUUAAUAGUAUCUUAGAUGAUAUAACCAAAGGAACUACCCAUAAGACAAAAAGCUUCCUUUGUUGCUAUAAAAGCAACAAAAAACCACUUAGAGUGUACACAUACCUAGAGGUAGACUUGUGAGAGUCCUUAUCAGACUAAAAAUCUAAUUUCCUGGUACGAAAAGAGUACCAACUCAUCACAAAGACUCACAAACAUAUAAUUCAUCAUUCUCUAAAGAUACUCGAGUAUAUGUUUGACAUCUGUCCAAAGCUCUAAUCAAGAAAUGGAAUAAUAUCGAUUCAUUAUUCCUACACCAAAGCAAAUAUUUGGUCUAGCACAUAGCAUCGCAUACUUAAGGCUAUCCAUUACAGAGGCAUUGGAUACCGCCUUAAUGCGAUCUCUCUCCUUAGAUGUCCAAAGACAUUGUUCUUAAGAAAGACAACUCCUAAUCCAAAGAGUAACAAACCCUUCUUAGAGUUUUACAUCAUGUGCUUGACCAAAUGCUUAUUUAUGUAGGUGACAUGGUGCAAUUUUCCUAUUCUUGCAAUCUUAAAAAACCAUAACCCCAAGAAUAUAUUGCGCCUCUCUCUAGAUUUUCAUCUAGAACUAAGUAAACUACUAGAUCUUGAUUGAUGACAAUAUCUUUACAUGCUAUCCAAUUAGUAGAUUAUCAUCUACUUGCAAGAUCUUAGAGCAUCACCAUGCUUCCCUAUGCCUUCUUGUACACACAAGGCCCUUUGCUAUACUAAAGUUUGCAAAUGACACCAUUUUCUCCUCUAAAGUUUCUCCGAAACUUCUAUAAAACCUCAAGCUAAUCCUAUUGGUUUUUAGGCAAGUAUCGGGAUUGAAAAUCAAUCUAAAAAAAAGAACCCUAUUCGAUAUUAAUACAAGCCAGGAGUUGUUAUAUAGUUUGGCUUCAAUUCAUAAUUGUAAAGUGUCAGGGUGACCUUUGUCUUAUCUAGGUCUUCCCUUAAAAGGGAACCCAAAGACAAGAGGUUUAGGGAUUCAAUGGUUAAGAGAAUCUUGAGGAGGUUAGAUGGGUGGAAAAAUGCAUUUUUAUCAUUAGAGUGAAAGGUUUACCUUAAUUUAGUCAAGUGUGUUUCACAUUCCUAGCUAUUUCAUUUCCUUCUUCAAGAUCCCAGUAUCAAUAGCCUCAAAAAUUGAAAAAAUGCAAAGGGAUUUCCUCUAGUCAGCGGCGGGGGCAAGGGAGAAAGAUCAUCUUAUUAGGUGGGAUGUUGUUUGUAGGCCCAAAGAGUUGGGAGUUUUGGGAUUUGGGAAAACUUCCUUGAGAAAUCGUGCUCUUUUAGGGAAGUGGAUGUGGAGGUUCCCUAGGAAAAGGACUGGUUGAUUCGUGCCCACUUGGUGUAUUAGCUGAUUCAUGUCCAGCUGGUGCUCCUUGAUUGAGGGAGUAAUCAACAAAAUUUAUAACCUAUUAUACCAUGAACUAGGGUAGCAAAGACAAAGCUACUAUAGCAUAGUGGCUCUAGGAUCGUUCAUUAGGAAGGGUUUUCAAUUCAUAAAUGAUACCAAUUCAAAGCUGAAUUGGUGUCUUUUCAUUUCAAGGUUAGCUUUAAAAGAAAACAUAAUUUUUGGAAGAAAAAUUUUUAGUUUAAACUAACGGUAAAGAAAGUAAUAGAAAUUACUUAUGAAGAAAAACAUUCCUUAGAGGUUUAGGUUCACAGGGGAGGUUCCUUGUGCAAAAACAGAGCUCCGGUCACUUGGUUCAUUUCCUCGCAUUAGGGAAUUAACAUAUAGUCAAUUCUCUAAUCGAUGUUGUACAGAUGCUUCCCUUUAAUGGGUUCAAACAUUAAAUCCCUCUCACUGAUGCACCUUGCAAUGGCUCAUACCUCUCACCUAGAACUUGCCAUUCAAGGUGAUCUUUAACCUUGGAUUACCCAUCAAAAGCCCGUAAGAGAUAACUAAUGGAUGUCUCCUUAGAGUCCAAAAGCUUACCAAGUGUUGGCUAUUCUAGAAAAUCCUACCUUCAAACCACCUUCCAAAGGCUCGCAAGAGAUAAACUAGUGCAUCUCUAUGGAUGGAGAUCACUUGCCUUAUCAAGUGUUGGCCCAGGUGAUUUAAAGGCGUUUUAAGUUAACUAAAAACAUAGAAAUCAUUAACGGGUCACACUUUCUCUUCAUUAAUGGCUGAAACCACAAAGCUACUAAUUAUUGCACUUGGAACCUUUCCCGGCAACCUUAACUCCAAGGAACUAAAAGUCUAGUCACCCAUUCUCUGAGGAAACAUCCUCAGAGCUUGUUUGGCUAGUAAGAAAAUACAAUUAAAAUGAAAAGGUAAAUCAGAGCAAAGCUCUGUAUUUUACUUCUUUACAAAAUUGUACAAAUGAUCAAUCGACUUCUCUUUUCUCCUCUCUCUUCCUUGAGAACAGGCUCCCAAGAGAUAAAUAUAUGGAAAAUUACAAAAUAUCUAAAAAAGAUUAUUCACCCUUUUUCCAAACUUAAUAACUAAGGAAUCCUAUAAUUGGUGGAUUACAAGGAGAUUUUGGGAAUUUAGAUAACAAAUAUCUAAAGCAAAAUAUCUCAAAAUAUCCCAAAAUAUCGGUGGCAAAUAUCAGGAAGCUUUAAGAUAACACAGUAACAUUGUGCAGAAUGGCUGCUCUCCCAUCCGGCGUCAGAAUUCCGGACGUGAACUUUCGGGUGGAAAGUGCGCGGCAGCCGAGUACAAAAUGGCAGCGCGCAUCCGGGUACAAAUUGGCAGCAGCCAGGUACAAUUUGGCGGUAGCCGGGUACAAUUCCUACCGGGAUAUGUUUGUUCGGAUGCCCUCCGAUGGUGUAUCCGGACGCCCUAUCCGGGUAUACUCCUUGCAUGGAUUCCAAAGAACUCUCCUUAAUCUUGGAUUGCUUUGGUGAUCAAAAAGGCUAUCAAAACACCAAAACUUAACACAUGUUUUAUUAGAAUUGAUUGCAAGGGUCCUUAACAUGCCAAUUGAGUUAAAAGGUGAUAACUACUACUCAAAAGUGUUUAGAAGAGUUAAUUACAAGCUAUGAAAUAGCACUUUUUGAGUAGUAAUCACUCCCCCCCAACCGACAUAUUGCUAGUCCCUUAGCAAUGAAGGAGAGAAAAAUAAAAAGGAACAAUACUAUAAUUUACAAAAUCAUGUUGAUCAAAAAAACAAUUUUCAAGUGGCAUGAAGAUCUAACUCUCACAUGGAACAUUAAAGAAAUAGAACUCAAAAUUCAACAAGAGUUAUCAAAUAACUUAUCUAAUCACAAUUCUUAAAGAGAAGGCAUUAUGCAAAUUUAAGCAUUAAAAUCAUUUCCACUUCCAAAGGACCAAACCUUACUCGUCCACAAAAAUUUAAGUGUUAUUUAUUAGUUUCCGAAUAUAGUAUGUUGAAUUAAUCUCUCCCCUCAACCUAGUUCUUUUUCAAAGCUUAGCAAACUAGUCAACCUCCAAUAGGCUAACAACGCACCUCUUUUCACAUAAUUUUUUUUUUUCAUUGUAGGAGUACAAAGCUUAAGGGUAUUGUGGACCCCGUAUUUCGGCUCAAUGCGUUUCCCACUCGAUGGCGAGCUCGAUUUUUAUUUGAAAAAUUGAUUUUUAUUGAUUAUUUGAAAAUGACUUGGAGUCGCCACUUAUUUUUGUUUAUUUUUUAAAGGGUAAACAAAAUAAGAAAGAAAAACCCUAAGUGUGACUCCUUAUUUUGGAAAAGGUGGUCUGUGAAAAACCGGAUCGGGUUCGGGGGUCAGGUUACUUAUCGGGAAGGUACGGUAAAGACCGUAGCACCCCUCUAAGUCCCUAAAGUCGGGUCUCUACUAAUAGAAUGAAGCUGACAUGGCGAUGAUGAGGAAAUCAAUAAAUACUCAAAUCAAUCAUGCACAUAUGAGUAUCAAAACAUGCGUAUAGCAAGACCAGAAUAAGGACAGAUGCGUACCUAGGUAACGAUCUUCAAUGCGCUAUCAAGAAGUGAGAUUAGUGCACAAUUAAGGGAUAGUCACAUGCAUAUCAUAGAGCAGAAUAAAUCAUGUAUGGCAGUCAAAUCAAUCAAUCAGUCAAUCAAUCAUGAAGUCACAUAUGUCGGGCCCCCACCAAAGCCCGUUUAUUUUUGCAUGAAUCAAUUCCAUAAAUUCCAUCACUUGGAAUUACGGAAUUUAAUUCUUACUUAUUUUUGAAACAUUUUAAAAACAAAGAAAAUGAAAAAGUGGCUUGCCGGAAGGAAAAUGACAACCAAAUUUUAUUGAAAAUGGGAUUUCGGUAUCCAAAAAUUCUAAAGAUGGAAAAUGGGAAAAUUUGGAUUAUUUGAAAAUUAGAAUUUGGGAAAAAUAUUUACAAAAGGGGAUUUGAGAAAUCAUUUUCAAAAAAAAAAAAAGAAGAAAACCAAGAACGCCACAUGGCCCAAAGGUGGCCCAUACUAAAGAUGGCCAAUGCAUGGCCUGGUAGGGAUAGGGCCCAGUUGACUUGUGCAUGCUAGGGCUGCUGAUAGACACUGCCUAUAGGUCCCACUAUAUCAACAAUACUGACCAUUGUCUGGGAUGGUUGCAGAAGUGGAUGAAUAGUUGCUGUCACUGGCUGUGCAGGAUGAUAGAUACCGACAAUUGGGCCAUGCUCACCCUAUGCUGGGGUCAAAGCUACAUGUUGGCUCUGAGGGGGAGGGGGGGAGGUUGUAGAAAGAACUUGCUGGAAAGUCAGAAAUGUCCCGAUCUGGUGCAGCAAUCCAGACUGCUGAACCCUCACUCUGCUGACCAAUGAUGCAAACACUAUUUUCCAUGAACUGGGAUGCAACAAUUUCCUCAUUAGCAGUUGAGUUCCCAACUGCUGCAGCCGAACUAGGAUUAUAGCCAGUUGGAGAGGAACCAUAUGGUCCAUAGCCACCUGGCAUUCCCAUGUGUGCUGAGUUUCCAGUAUUAGUCCAUGGCUUGUAUUAUGGAAGUGAAUAUUUGACUCCUGCAGCAGUUGUAGUGGGUGAAGUUGGAUAUACACCACCAGGAGUCUCCGAACCAAGGGAGAGAGGGGUGACGUCCAACAACAGUAGGUCUUGGACCUUCUCAUUGCCCUCACCGCUUAAGAUUGUAGCCUGUAUAGUAGCUCCAUAGGCCACAACUUUUGACACUUGGAAAUUGGCAUGCUGGACCUUGAUUCCCGGUUCGCGAGUAAAAGAAUCCUUGAGAACCAGGACAGGCACUUGCAAGCUUGGAGAUUUUGGAGAACCAGCACUGGCACUUGCAAGCCUGGAGAUGGUGGAAAACCUUAAUGGUGUUAAGAAGAUGCUUCACAGCUUCUGCAUGAAAGGGUCCUCGGAAUAAUCUGGGAGGGAAAAUGGAGAGAAGUAUGAAGCCUCUGUUAUACUGAAGCGCGUCUGAACUCUAGGAUUCUGGGUCAUGGUGCACUAGUGGUUCUGGUUCAGUUUGGUGGAGGAACAACAGUCCAGUAUGCCAGCAGAAACAUGGUCGACACGAACUGUAGGUAAAGAAGAUGGGCGAAAUAUAGUUACUGGAUCAUGUAAUGAAUUGCUGAAGAGAUCAAUUGGGACACUUUCGCUCUCAGGAGCAGAGUCAGCCAUUCGUUGCUACUUAACUUUCCAGUUUUGUUGCAAUCUGAUGAGAGCAUCGUAGAAUCUUGCUUCCCGAGCAAUCUACUAUUCCAAAGCUUUGUCGGACUGCUUGAAAUAGUUACUAAGAUGCCUUCAUAAGAUGCAUGGAUGGAAGAGCUUUUACAUCAGGUAGCAACAAAGAAAGAAAUUUGGGUAUGGUUGGACUGGUGCUUUGAUGAUGGCGGAGGCGUUUCGCCGGCGGCGGCGGACAGCUUUGCUUGCUGUUUGAUGAUUAAGAAAAUAGGUAGGUGGUGACGAGCAUGUUAAUGGGUCAGCUUGUGUAGGGUCCAGAAUGCACAACCUGAAGCGUGUAAAAUUGGGCAGUUCUUGGCUACAGUUAUGAGUGCCGCAUUGGUCAUCUGCUGGUUGAAGUAUAGCAAGGAGGACAUAAGAACCAAUUCUGCCAGAAUAUGUCUUACUCCAUUCUCACUGCUAUAGAAGAAUUUCAAGGUCAAACACCAUGGCCGAAGUGGGGACCACUUUGAUAUAGCAUUAUGAAUAUACUCAACAGCUUUUGGUCCAUUUUCCACAUCAAAACUUAUAUCAAAAGCAAUACUGCCCCUGGUCUUUCCUUGAUGUUGCUUCUGGUAGGAAAUCUGCCACGGAUUUCUAGUUCCAGAAUCUUUAGUGUAUAAUCAUUGAUCACAUUCUCAUCUAAAACAAGGAUGCUAUGCUCUUCAAACAUGCCAUACAUUGAUGGGAACUUGUCAACAUCUGGAAGCUGCUAAAUAUCAUCAUACAGAAUGGAUAGAGACACCAUGUCAGCAGAUGAAAGGCUAAUUAGUUGCUGUCAUUGAGGGAAGUCCCAUAUGCCCCGGCAAUUCAGGCAGCAUGCCAGGGCAUUGCUAAUAUCCCAGUUCGAUAAGUUCAAGCAAUGUCAGUCACAGCUGGAUCCUCAUGCAGGCACUUUCAGGUUCAGACCCCAUAGCUAUCAAUCUCCUUUUCAUAUCAUCUUCAUUCUCCAUCAACCAACCUCCCCAGAUUCACAGCCUUAAAGCUUGAAAGUCACUUUCAAAGGAAAACAGAGGAACAGAGGAGUAGAAAUAGGAAUAGAACAGGGAACCUUUUAAUGAAUAUGCUAAACCCAUUUCAUUAUUUUAUCCAUGAGUCUAGCAAUCAGUAGGUAAAGGUGGAAGAUGUUUAUUAGGGUAAAACAUUAAAAUCCAGCAAGUUCUUCAAAUGUUAAACUAAUAAAUCAUCAAAAUGCAGCAAGUUCUUCAAAUGUUAAACUAAUAAAUCAUCAAAAUGCAGCAACCCAACAAGCAGAAAUGAAAUCAUAGAGAAUAAGACAGGACAAAUAUGAAAGAUGAGAGAAUAUACGGGAAAAACCACAAAUGGCCAUACCUGAAAAUACCUGUCCUGCUCUCUGUGACCUCCUUGCUUCUUCUCUCAAGCUCAAGAAAUCUCCCUGAAGCCCUCCAGAAAUCUCCUCUGUUUCUCUCUGCUCCCUUUGUCAAACUGCAAUAGUCUCAUUGUCAAAGCAUUCACUUGAUCAUAGAGUACAAAGAAUGGAUAUUAUGCAAGUUUAAGCAUCAAAAGAAUUUCCACUCUCAAAAGAUCCAAAUCAAAUUCUUCCACUAAAAUCUAAGUGUUAUUUAUUAGUUUCCGAAUAUAGUAUGUCAAACUAAUCUCUCCCCUCAACCUAGUUCUUUUCAAAGCUUAGCAAACUAAUCAACCUCCAAUAGGCUAAGAAAGCACCUCUUUUCUUUCACAAUUUUUUUCUUGUAGGAGUGCAAAGCUUAAAGGCAUUCUUUUCUAAAUUGUCCAUGUAACGGGGGUCCAUCGAUGACUCCCAACCAAUCAAGGUUUAGGGCAUCAAGCUUUAAGGAUUUUUCAACCACUAACUCCUCGGAUUUCACCCCGGAAUUUUGAGAAUGAUUUUUAAUACCCAAGCACCUACAACAUGUUAAAAUCCACCUAUCCACCCUUGUAACGAGCAUUGAGGUCGGUGACUCCCAACCAAUUAAGGCUUAGGGCAACAGGUUUUAAAGAUUUUCACCAUAUACCCCUCAGACCUUGCUCGGGUUUCAAGGCAAGCAAACAUUUUUUUUUCUUUCUUUAUUUUCUUCAAAGACUCAUUGGCCUUUUAUAAGGUGUCCCAACACUAUUAAAUGAGGUCAAAGGUCCAAGUCUAAAAUUUUCCUAAGUCAAGAGGGAAAUAGUUUUUCAUCUUAUAAUCAGAACCUAUUGUAUGUGUGUGUGAAUAGCUUAAGGUGGAAGAGAUAAGUUUGCAUGCAAUGGGAGUUUCAAAUAUUCAUCAACUUUUAGAAGAGCAUAAUACAAACUCUAAGACUCAUGUAAUCAAGUUGAAACUCGACUUCUCUCAUUUAAUUUUGAGAGUUAAUCCUUAAUAUCCAUGGAGUUUAAAGCAAAAAUUUUAAAAUUUAAACAAAAAGUAGCUAAUUUAACUAAGUAUGAUAAAAAUUUAAACUAAUACUUACUUCCUCAUCUCUCCCCCCAACCGAGAUGAACAUUGUCCUCAAUGUUUGAAUCGAAAAUAAGGAGGAAGGAAGUGGUACCUCAUGUGAUGUGGACUUGGAGUUGAGAAGGUUGAACCACCUGUUUCAAAAUUCAAAAAUUGAAUGAGAGAGGAAUUUAUACUAAAUAUUUACAAAAAUGAUGAGUGGGCCCCACUUUGAGCAGUUGAGAACAAGGCUCAAAGGGUCCAUGCCAUGAUGGUAUACUGAUAUAAGUUGCAAUGACAUUUGAAUGUAACUUGCAGGGGUGUUAAAAUUGGAGAUUUUUGGCUAAAACAGGGGAAGCUUAAAAAUUCGCACAAGGGGGUGUUGUGUGAAAAUUUCGCACAAGGGGGGGUGUUAUGCGAAUUUCGCAUAAGCACUAUUCACCCGCCCUUUUGCAAUUUUGGAUUCUUUCAAAUGGUCAUAACUUUUUCGUUUCAAAUCCAAAUCGCACACUGUUUGAAGCACUGGACUCCUGACUUCCUAAGCUUCAAAAAUAGAUAUGGUAUGAAUAAUUUGAGCUCCAGAAAGUACUCCAAAAACGUGUCCAACAGUAGCAAAAUGGGGUGCGGCUGCAACAUUCCCGUUCAGCUUUACACAGUCGUCUUCAAAUGGCCAUAACUUCUUCGUUUCAACUCCAAAUCGAGCACCGUUUGAAACUAUGGACUCCUGACUUCCUAAGCUUUGAAACAAGAUAUAGUAAACAUGAAAUUAACUUCGGGAAGUGAUCGAAAUGUUCCCAACAGUUGCCGAAAUGGGGUGGUGCGAAUUGCUCUGUUUUGGCUUUUCUCCCCUGUUUUCCCUUGUUUUCACCAUAACUUUGAUUUUUGCAAGCAUCAUACCUGUAUGAACACUUCAAAACUCAUCUUAAAAACAUAUUAAAACUAAAUUAAAGCUAAGAAUUCAAACUAAAACAUGCAUAAAUUUAAAGAAAGCAUAGAAUUUAAAUGAAGCUGAUAGCAUGUACCCCAAAAAGAAGAUGAACUAUUUAGCUCAUCCUCACUCACACACCCACUUCAUGCUGAACUCCCCCUGGAUCCCAAACAAAAUUGGCAUCCUUCCCAUUUGGUCCAAGGAAAUUCGUUUCUCUUCCCUUCCCCGGAGAAGUGGAUGCUUUAAAGGGUUCAAGUAACCCUUUAUCAUCUUGAACCUUAUGAUUUUCAAUGGAAGGUUGGUCCAUAAAGUUGUCAUAGCAAUCCCCCACCAAAGUGUCGAUCAUCAACACUUUCCUUGAUCUUUUUGCAUUGGUUCCUUGAAGGUUAUGGUGGGGUUGAGGAGGAAGCUUCCUUUUCCCCCUUGCUAUGUCGAGAUUGGUGAGCUUCUCAAUGGAUUCUUGAACUUUUUCUAUCCUUAGUGAUAGAUCAUUAUAAACCCCCUCCAUUCUUACAUUCAUUGAACUCUCCAAAUUAUCAAUCUUUUCAUUAAGAUGAGAGUUGAUCUUUUGUUGCUCACCUACAAAGUCCCCAUGACUUUGCUUAUCUUCAAAAUGGCUUGCUCCAAUGAAGAUGUACUCAUUGAUGGUUGAGGUUGAGGUUGGGUUGCAAGGUUGGGAUGGUUUAUAUACUCAAAUGAAGUUGGCAUGGCUUGUGGUUGUGCUUCAGUAUGCAUAUUCCUCAAUUCAAACUCCUCUAUCCUUCUAGCCAUAGAUGCUAGCUUUGCCUUCAUGCUUAUGUCUUCAUUCAAGGCAUACUUACUACCCCAUUGUCUUUGUUGAACUUGCCUUUUCCCUAACUCAAUCCGAUCCCUCAUGGAUAGGUAUGCAAAUUUGUCCUUCUCAUGAUCAUAAUGAGAGCUUUGAUCUUCAUGUGGAAUUUCCAUUUCUAAAAAAAAUGAUAUUCAACUAAGGCUCUUUUCUUCAACUUGUACCAAGGUUCCCUCUUGGUCUCGAAUCCAACAAGGAAUGCACAAAUUGAAAUUAAGACAAAAAUAAAAGAAAAGAGAAUAAAAAUUUAACUAAAUAAAAACUAAACUAAAAAAAAUUAUAAGAAAACUCACCAAACUUGUGAUGAAGAUCACAAGUUACCCUUAAUGGUUGCUUCACUGUGCUUGUGGCACCUUCCUCGGCAACGACGCCAUUUGAUUCGACUCAUCCCCGACAACGGCGCCAUUUGAUUCGACUCAUGGUAGCUUAGCUUUAAAGGCGUAUCAACAAAAUUUAUACCUUGAAUACUAUUACUAAAGUAGCCAAGCUACUAUAGUAUAGUGGUUCUAGGAUCGUUCACUGGGAAGGGUUUUCGCAAACACAAGUGAUAUUCAAAUUAGGAAAAUAGGUGAUUUUCUUAUGGAUGUUAGCUUUAAAAUAAGAUGUAAAUGUUUUAGAAAGAUUUAAACUAAUCUAAGCUAACAUUAAAGACUAAAAUGAAAGGAUGUAAAAACAAGUUUCUCAAAGAUAGGAUAGCUAUGCUCUGGCUCUUAUGCAAAUUGGAAAUCUUAGGAUAGGCUCCUCGCAUUGGGGUUGCAACUAUGGUGAUGCUUGCUUCCCGAACCGGUAUGGAUUUAGCAAAUUCAGUUUUAAUCCUUUAAAAUGGCAAAACAGAUGGUAGUGAAUUUCAUCAAUGGUUAUUCACCUUAGACUUCCUUUGAAUGGCUCGUAAGAGAUAACUAAUGGUCUAAAGCCAAAAUCUUACCAAAUAUUGGCAACUCAAAGUCAUUCCAAGUGAUAAACUCACCUUUCAAUGGCCAUUGAAAUUGGUUCUAACGGAUUAAUGCAAAACUUGGAAUUGAAAACCUCACCUUCCAAUAGCUCGUAGGAGAUAACUAAUGGAUAGAAAUCCAAAAGCUUAUCAAGUAUUGGCCGUUGGAAGUUGUCCAAAGGAAAUAAAAACCAAACUUUGCAUUAAUGAACCUUUAAUGAAAAACGACUACCUUACCUUCCGGGUGCGAGAAAUUUCCAUGGGAUUGCAUCCAAGCCAUCACAUAACAUCCAUACUUUGAGAAACUAAAAGUUUUAGCCAAUCAUCCUCUGAGGAAAAGCCCUUAGAGGCUGUUUGGCUACUAAGAAAAUAGAAACGGGAGAACUCUGUAAAAUAUUCUAAGUGUCAAACGUAAUAUAUAUUAUAUAUAUUCCAAGAGGUGAUUUCCACCCCUUAUAUAGUCUUUACAAAAGCAAAAGCUUGUGAUUGGUUAGUUACAAGGAUAAGAAAGGAAAUUACAUCACAAAAUACAAAGGAAAAUAUCUAAAGUGGAGUCGGCAAAAGCAGAGGAAAAUUCGCAACACGCAUGGGUUAUGCGAAUUUUGAAGGUGUUAUGCGAAAUUUUCGCAUAACCUGGAGCAGUUGGCUUCCGAAGGCCAUAUCUUCCUCAUUUCAGCUCCAAAUCGUACACGGUUUGCAGCGUUGGAUUCUUGACUUCCAGAGCUUUGAAAUGGUAUAUAGCAUGUAAAAAAUGGACUUCGGAAAGUGCUCCAAAAGUGCGAAAGAAGACUGCAGCUGCUGUCCUCUUUGCUUCUCUUCACUUUGCUUGCUUUUCCUCUUUGCUUCUCUUUGCUUCUUUCCUUGCAUACUUUGAACGACUUUGGCAAAGGGAUAUGGAGCUCCAAAGCUUGGUUCUUCAUGAAUUUGAGCUUCCAAAAGCUUUGCCAUUACUUGUCCAAGUAGCUCCUCCAUCAUUUGGCUUGCUUGAAUUGAUUCAUAAGCUGAUAAAAACAUGUAAACUUGCCACAAAAUGGUUAAAACCAAUUACUAAGGACCUUAAUGAAUUAAUUGGGUUAAAUGAAUAUUAUUACUACUCAAAGGUGCUUAAAACCAUUAUAAUUAGGUCUACAAAAUAGCACUUUUUGGUAGUAAUCACUCAUCAACCCUGCGGACCAUGAACUGAAAGUUUCCUCUUCUUGCUAUGUUCUUCCCUUCUCAAAAAAUAUCUUCAGCUCUCACCUCCAAGUAGCCAAAAUCUCUCCCUCUCAAAUUAUCUCUCCGACAGCCUAAGCUCAAGGAAUCCCCUCCAGAAAUCUCCUACUCUCCCUCUAGCUCUCUACCCCCUCUCCUCUGAUUUUUCUCUUCCUCCUCCUCUCACCCGGCUUCCUUUCACUAGCUCCAAGGAUCUCCCUCAAAUAUCUCUCUCUCACAGCUCCAAAAACAUCUCCUCCGCUCCCCUGGCAGCCAAAAGCCUCUCUCCCUCUCAAAAACUCAGUCUCAGACCAACAUCCCAAGCUCUCUCUCUCUCUCUCACCCAAAAAUAUCUCUAACCGUCCCCCCUGCCAAAAAUCACCUGCAGCUGCCUAAAAUCCCCCCUCCACUACCAUGCAAUUGGCAGCAAAAAAGCAUCCUCUCCUCAUACGCUCCUCCCAGCUUGCACUAACGGCCAGCAGAUUUUCUCAGAAUCACCUUUACAGGUGUCAACCCCUGAUUGCUCCUCCAACUCCACUAUUGUGAUUCUCUAGUAGCUAGUCAAAAUGUGACACGUGGCUUCCCCCAGAUGGUGACACUUGGCUAAAAGCAAGUUGCAGAAAAUGAGCCCCAAAUAGGGGUCUACAAGUAUUCUUUUCUAAAUUGUCCAUGUAACGAGGGUCUAUCGAUGACUCCCAACCAAUUAAGGUUUAGGGCAUCAAGUUUUAAGGAUUUUUCAACCACUAACUCCUCGGAUUUUACCCCGAACUUUUGAGAAUGAAUUUUAAUACCCAAACACCUACAGUAUGUUAAACUCCACCUAUUUACCCUUGUAACGAGCAUUGAGGUCGAUGACUCCCAACCAAUUAAGGCUUAGGGCACCAGGUUUUAAAGAUUUUCAUCAUAUACCCCUCAGACCUUGCUCAGGUUUCAAGGCAAGCAAACAUUUUUCUUCUUUUUUUCUUUUUUUUCAAAGACUCAUUGGCCUUUUACAAGGUGUCCCAACACUAUUAAAUGAGGUCAAAGGUACCAAGUCUAAAAUUUUCCUAAGUCAAGAGGGAAAUAGUUUUUCAUCAUAUAUUCGGAACCUAUUGUGCACAGUGUGUGAGUAGCUUAAAGUGGAAGAACUAAAGUUGAAUUCAAUAGAAAUUUCAACAAUUCAUCAACUUUAAUAAGCAUAAUACAAACUCUAAGUCAAGUAAAAAGGUAAAAAUUCAAUUUUUCCCAUUUCAUUUUGAAAAUGUUUCCUUAAUAACCAUGGAGAGUAGAAUAAAAACUUAAAAAUUUUAAAAUUAAGCAAAAAGCAACUAAAUUACCAAAAUAACUUAGCAUUAAUAACAAAAACUUCAUUUCUCAACUCUCCCCCCAACCAAGCUGAACAUUGUCCUCAAUGUGACAAAAACGAUUGUAAAAUAGGAAGGAAGUGGUACCUCCUGAGUGACAUGGAGUCUGAGUCGUAUAGGAGAAUCCACAUGUUUCAAAAAAACAAUAAAAGUUAGUGAGUAGAGGAAUUAAAAUAAUAUAAUGAUAAGUGUGCUCACACAUGAUAGAGAUUUGUAUUACUUGAUGGGAUUUCAAAAACAAGUGUGCUCACACAUGAUAGAGAAUCCACAGUAGAAUUUUAUAUCAAAAACAAGCAAUACAACUAAUCCCAGUAUAUAAUACUAAAAAGAUGGGAUUUCAAAAAGGAAAUAUAUAAAGUAUAGUAUGUAAAUGAUCAGAGAUGGGGAGGAUGAUGCGGGUAAGCUGAUGGCUCAAGAAGAUGUCUUUGCAUCUUCAGUGGUCGGCUCAGGAGGGGCAUGGGGCUCUGUAGUGGUAGGGGUGAGAUGCUCAAUAGCUGAUGGAAGACCCAGAUGGUGCUGAAGCUGCCUCAAGAUGGCAGUGUGCUGAGUCUGGGUGGCCAAAAUCUGCUCCUGGUGAGCACGAAUAGCUGACAUCUCCUGAGCAAGGCUGCUCUGAGUCGCGGUCAGUGUCUGCAAUGUGUGGCAUAGAUCUUUAUACUCUGAAAUGGGUAUGGCUAUUCUAAGCUUGGCUGAAGUAGAAGGCUCUGAUGCAGCUAGAAUAACUGGAGGGGUGCUGUGGGUGGCAGGAAAAGCAGAGGAUAUACCCUCUUGUAUGGGCUCUGUAGAUGCUCUCCUGGCAACUGGUAUCUCAACUGGCUAUGGGUCCUCUGACUGCUGUGGCUAUGGAAGCUCUGGAUGCUUUGCUCUAUAUGCUGUCAUAUUGGUCCACUUGUCGAGAGUGAAUACCUCUCGAUAUAUACGUUUGUGCUCCAGCUGAGGGUCUGAUGGAUACCCCAGAUGCUCCAAAAUUUGGCAUAGCAAUAUUGGGAAAAGAAGUGGAAUAGCAUCCGCUCGUAGUAGCUUCUUCCUAUGCACCUUCUCUUUAAAGUAGAAAAGGGCAACCAUAAUCAGAUGGUGAGGGCCAAAGAAAUAUCCCUCUGAUAUCCUGAACAGGGCCUCUAGCAGAACUCUUCUCCUCUACACCCAAUGCUGAAGUGGAUAAAUGUUGUGGCGCAGGAGUGCAUCAAUGAAGAACAUGCUCGGAGGAAGUUCCUUCCUCAAUAGAUAUGGAUUUUUGGAUGUUCCUCUGGAUGAUAUAUGAACCAUUUCAAGUUGGGGAGGAUUAAUCCAUACUCGGUAAUCCUCUAGACGGGCUGGCUCAUAUGGAAUAUGCAGGGCCUCUGCUAUGUGGCGAGCUCCUAAAAUACCAUGACAUCCGUCGAUGGUGAAGUGAAUAAGAGUAGGAUCUCUGACCUAAUUAGUAGCCAUGGACUGAUAGAAGUCUGUUGCUACUCGGGGAUAGAAAAAAUCCCUGGGGGUUAGUAAAUGCUCCAUGUGAUAUCUGUGCAGUAGAUGGAAUGAGUCUGCGAGCUCUGGCUGAAGCCUGAAGGUGGCUGUGUCAAAGCACAACUCAGAGUGAAAUGGUCGAGCUCGACAAUCCAAAUUUCCCUCAAUGGGCGGCUGAGGUUCUGCCGGAAGUUCUGAAGAUGGCUUCGGAGACGGCUCUGGAGACUGCUCUCUUAAGUCAAUGGGCUCUGUAUCUAUUACCCUGGCUUUCUUUUGCGGGGGACGGCCACCUGACUUGGUCUAAUAACGCCUCGCUGGAGGACUCAACGGCGCGGGUUCAAGCGGAGGCGGGACGGCUACUUGUCGCGGAGGCUCUAGUGCGGAGCCUUGAACAGGCGCCUCUCACGCGACUCUCUUGCGGCCGAACGGAAAUGAUGACUUUGCUCCUCUAGUUCGUGCCAUGGUGGACUGAAGAAAAUGGCCAGAGGUGAUGGCCGGUGGCUCGCACGGCUUCGCGUGAGAGAGCGAACAAAUGGUUGCUGAUUACUACUCAAAACAUGCUAUUUUGUAGCUUGUAAUUAGCUCUUUUAAACACCAUUGAGUAGUAAUUAUUACCUUUUAACCCAAUUAGUAUGUUAGGAGCCCUUGCAAUCGUUUCUAACAAUUGUGUUAAGUUUUGGUGCUUUUUGAUAGCUUUAUGCUCACCAAAGCAAUUUAAGAAUGAGGGAGAGCUAUUUAUAGUUCAGGGCAAAGCUUUUGAAAGCUUAAAUUUAUGAAGAAAUCAAGCUAUGGAGCCUCAUAAUCCUUUGCCUUAAUCGUUCAAAGUUUACAAGGGAGAAACAAUGGAGAAGAAGAAAACAGGGGAUGAAAACAGGGGACACAACUGCAGUCUUUUAGUGCACUUACCAAAGUCCAUUCUUUACAUUCUAUAUACCAUUUCGAAGCUCAGAAAGUCAAGAAUCUAAUGGUCCAAACCACGUAUGAUUUGGAGCUGAAAUGAGGAAGAUAUGGACUUCGGAAGACAACUGCAUCAAGCUGAGCGAAAAUUUCGCACACCUCAAAACCAAGGUGCGAAAUCCUCAGUCCACUGUGCGAGAAUUUCGCACACCUCAAACCAAUGUGCGAAAUUGGAACUCAGCGUGCGAAAAUUGGAUAUUUUUGCCGACUCUUUUUCUUCUGAUAUUUUUGUGUCUAAAUUUCCAUUUUCUCCUUGUAUUCAACCAACCAUGUAAUUCCUUAGCUAGGAAGUAGCCAAGGAAGGGUAAAACUACCUUCCUAUAUAAAUUCUCUUGUAAUCACUGAAAAGAAAUGAUCUUCGGAGCUUUUCUCCAGGAGACCAACUAAUGUAACCUUGAUACUUAGUGAAAUACAAGGAUCUCUUUUGCUUUCUUUUUCUCUCUUCUAUUUUCUAUUUUCUUGCAAGCCAAACACCCUCUGAGGAUGUUUUCCCAGAGGAUGAGAGGCUAAACAACAGUUUCUUGGAUUAAAGGAAGCUAGGUGAAAAGUCCAGAUUAAAAGGUGGAAAGUUUCCGUGCAUUAAAUUCAGGUAGUUGGAGUCCAUAAAUGGUUUUUAAAGCCAAGGUUUUGCCUUAAAUCCCUUUGAAUCACUUUGACUGGCCAAUACAUGGUAAGCUUAAGGUCUCUGUGGAUGCUUAUUGCUAGAUCCAUAUCAGUCCAUUAGUUAUCAUGUACGAGCCAUUGGAAAGUGAUUCAAGGUGAUAGCCCAUAGUGUCUUAAGCCAUUAAUGGAUCUUGACUACCAUCUCUAGUGACUUUUUAUGGAUUAAAACUUCAUUGUCAAACCUAUACCGGUUCGGGAAAUAACUAUAGGUUAAAUCCCCAAUGCGAGGAGAAAAAUCCGGAAUUUUCCACUUUGCAUCUGGAACUUGAACCUAGCAACCUUUAGCUCCGGGAGACUUUCUUUCUUACACUUUUUACUUAGUUCUAUGUGAGUUUAGUUUAAAUCACCACUUUCAAAACAAUUUUAUUUUCUUUUAAACUUCAAGUUUGUGCUAAAGGAAAUCAUCAGAAUCAAUUUCUAAUUUAGAGUCUGUCAUUGGUAGAGUGAAAACCCAUCCCUGAGUUCGACCCUAGAACUGCUAUACUAUAGUAGCUUUGCUACUCCAGUAUAAGGUCAUAGGUUUUAUAAAUAUUUUUGAUUAAAAGAUCCGGCUGGGAAGUCAAGCGAAGAAUCAAAUGGCGCCGUUGCCGGGGAUGGUGCCACAAUACAGUGAUACAACCUUUUAGAGGCUACUUGUGAUUUUUAUCACAAGUUAGGUGAAUUCCUUUUUCACUAAUUUCAUUUUCUUUCAUUUCCCUGUUGUUAAUUUUAUUUUCAUUUUCUUCCUAACUUUAACCUUUUUUCUAGAUUCCUUUUGUUUUUGUUGUUUUUGUCUUAUUUCAGGUAUUGUAACUUGUGUAUGCCCUAUUGGAUUAGGGACCAAGAGGGAAGAUUAGUAAGGAUUGAGAAUCCUCAAGACACAGAGUUGGAUAUCUGUGUAAAUAUCAUGGACCCUCCACCAGAGGAUCAGAAUUCUCAACAAGGUCAAGGGGGUAAUCCUAAUGCAUACCUAUCCAUGAGGGAUAGAAUGCAUCCCCCAAGGAUGAGUGCACCCUCAUGCAUCCUGCCCCCUCUUGAGCAGUUAGUUAUAAGACCCCAUAUUGUACCCCUCCUACCAACUUUCCAUGGAAUGGAGAGUGAGAAUCCAUAUGCUCACAUUAAGGAGUUUGAGGAGGUAUGUAAUACUUUUAGAGAGGGAGGAGCUUCAAUAGACUUGAUGAGACNNNNNNNNNNNNNNNNNNNNNNNNNNNNNNNNNNNNNNNNNNNNNNNNNNNNNNNNNNNNNNNNNNNNNNNNNNNNNNNNNNNNNNNNNNNNNNNNNNNNNNNNNNNNNNNNNNNNNNNNNNNNNNNNNNNNNNNNNNNNNNNNNNNNNNNNNNNNNNNNNNNNNNNNNNNNNNNNNNNNNNNNNNNNNNNNNNNNNNNNNNNNNNNNNNNNNNNNNNNNNNNNNNNNNNNNNNNNNNNNNNNNNNNNNNNNNNNNNNNNNNNNNNNNNNNNNNNNNNNNNNNNNNNNNNNNNNNNNNNNNNNNNNNNNNNNNNNNNNNNNNNNNNNNNNNNNNNNNNNNNNNNNNNNNNNNNNNNNNNNNNNNNNNNNNNNNNNNNNNNNNNNNNNNNNNNNNNNNNNNNNNNNNNNNNNNNNNNNNNNNNNNNNNNNNNNNNNNNNNNNNNNNNNNNNNNNNNNNNNNNNNNNNNNNNNNNNNNNNNNNNNNNNNNNNNNNNNNNNNNNNNNNNNNNNNNNNNNNNNNNNNNNNNNNNNNNNNNNNNNNNNNNNNNNNNNNNNNNNNNNNNNNNNNNNNNNNNNNNNNAAGAAGAGAAGAGUGGGAAGAAAAGUGCAUCCAAAUCAAGCAUUGAGGAAGAACCAAGGAUAGUGAUUAAGGAGGAUAUGAUGAAGAAACAUAUGCCUCCCCCUUUUCCUCAAACUUUACAUGGAAAGAAAGAAGUCAAGAAUUCAUCAGAAAUUCUUGAAGUGCUGAGACAAGUGAAGGUGAAUAUACCUUUACUUGAUAUGAUCAAGCAAGUCCCCACAUAUGCAAAGUUUCUAAAGGACUUGUGCACAGUCAAGAGAGGUUUACAGGUGACAAAGAAUGCAUUCCUCACUGAGCAAGUAAGUGCUAUCAUCCAGAGUAAGUCCCCAGUUAAGUAUAAAGAUCCGGGAUGUCCCACCAUAUCAGUCAACAUUGGAGGGACACAUGUGGAAAAAGCUUUAUUAGAUUUGGGAGCAAGUGUGAAUUUGCUCCCAUACUCUGUUUAUAAACAACUGGGACUGGGAGGAUUAAAGCCUACAACCAUGACUCUCUCUUUAGCUGAUAGGUCAGUCAAAAUCCCAAGGGGUGUGAUAGAGGAUGUUCUAGUUCAAGUGGACAAAUUCUACUAUCCUGUGGAUUUUGUGGUGCUUGAUACUGAUUCCUCUGUCAAAGAAGAAAAUUAUGUGCCAAUCAUCCUAGGGAGACCUUUUCUAGCUACCUCAAAUGCCAUCGUUAACUAUAGGAAUGGGGUGAUGCAGCUCACAUUUGGAAACAUGACUUUGGAAGUAAACAUAUUCCACUUAUGUAAGAGGCAUCUUUACCCUGAAGAGGAAGAAGGAUUUGAGGAAGUAUGCUUGAUCAACACUUUGGUUGAAGAGCACUGUGACAAGAGUUUAGAGGAGAGCUUGAAUGAAAACCUGGAAGUCCUUGAAGAUGGGUUCCCUGAACCCUCUGAUGUGCUAGCCAUUAUGUCUCCUUGGAGGAGACGGGAAGAGAUCUUACCACUGUUCAACCAUGAAGACUCUGAAGGAGUUGCUGUGGAGGACCCUCCAAAGCUUAUUUUAAAGCCACUUCCUGUGGAGUUGAAGUAUGCAUACUUGGAGGAUGAUGAAAAAUGUCCAGUAGUGGUUGCCUCAACCCUCACUAGUGAUCAAGAGGAUAGUCUUUUAGGAGUCCUCAGAAAAUGUAAGAAAGCCAUUGGAUGGCAAAUUUCUGAUCUGAAAGGGAUUAGCCCUUUGGUGUGCACCCAUCAUAUUUAUAUGGAGGAUGAUGCAAAACCAGUGAGGCAACCCCAAAGGAGACUGAAUCCUCACAUGCAAGAGGUGGUGAGGAGUGAAGUUUUGAAGCUACUUCAAGCUGGGAUCAUCUAUCCCAUUUCAGACAGCUUGUGGGUGAGUCCCACCCAAGUAGUCCCAAAGAAAUCUGGAAUCACUGUGAUCCAGAAUGAGAAAGGGGAAGAAGUCUCUACACGUCCUACUUCAGGAUGGAGGGUGUGUAUAGACUAUAGGAGGUUGAAUUCAGUAACUAGGAAGGACCAUUUUCCACUGCCUUUCAUGGACCAAGUCCUUGAGAGAGUCUCAGGACAUCCUUUCUAUUGUUUUCUAGAUGGUUAUUCAGGGUACUUCCAAAUAGAAAUUGAUUUGGAAGAUCAAGAGAAAACAACCUUCACUUGUCCCUUUGGUACUUUUGCAUAUAGGAGAAUGCCCUUUGGUCUAUGUAAUGCUCCUGCAACUUUCCAAAGAUGCAUGCUAAGCAUCUUCAGUGAUAUGGUAGAACGCAUCAUGGAAGUUUUCAUGGAUGACAUCACUGUAUAUGGAAGUUCUUAUGGGGAGUGUUUGAUGCAUUUAGAAGCUGUUCUCCAUAGAUGUAUUGAGAAAGACCUAGUGCUAAAUUGGGAGAAGUGCCAUUUUAUGGUACAAAAAGGAAUUGUCUUAGGACAUAUCAUCUCCAAAAAUGGCAUUGAGGUAGAUAAGGCAAAGGUGGAACUUAUUGUUAAGUUGCCACCUCCCACAAAUGUUAAAGGAAUUAGGCAAUUCCUUGGACAUGCAGGAUUCUACAGGAGGUUUAUUAAGGAUUUCUCAAAAAUCUCAAAACCUCUGUGUGAGCUUUUGGUAAAGGAUGCCAAGUUUGUGUGGGAUGAGAAGUGUCAGAGAAGUUUUGAGGAAUUGAAGCAAUUCCUCACAACUGCACCAAUAGUGAGAGCCCUAAAUUGGAAAUUACCUUUUGAGGUAAUGUGUGAUUCAAGUGAUCUUGCUAUGGGGGCUGUUUUAGGGCAAAGAGAAGAUGGAAAGCCCUAUGUGAUUUAUUAUGCAAGCAGAACUUUGAAUGAGGCUCAAAAGAACUACACAACUACUGAGAAGGAGUUGUUGGCUGUAGUUUUUGCCUUGGAUAAGUUUCGUGCUUAUUUGGUAGGGUCCUCUAUAGUAGUGUUCACUGACCAUUCUGCUUUGAAGUACUUGCUAACCAAGCAGGAUGCCAAGGCAAGAUUGAUAAGAUGGAUUCUUUUGCUCCAAGAAUUCAAUCUCCAAAUCAGGGAUAAAAAGGGGGUAGAAAAUGUGGUAGCUGACCACUUGUCCAGACUAGUGAUAUCACAUGACUCACAUGGUCUACCUAUCAAUGAUGACUUCCCUGAGGAGUCUCUCAUGUCAGUAGAUUUAGCUCCAUGGUAUUCUCACAUUGCAAACUUUUUGGUUACUGGAGAAGUACCAAGUGAGUGGAGUGCUCAAGACAAGAGGCAUUUCUUGGCUAAGAUCCAUGCCUAUUAUUGGGAGGAACCUUUUCUUUUCAAAUAUUGUGCAGAUCAAAUUAUAAGGAAAUGUGUUCCUGAGCAAGAGCAAUCGGGAAUUCUUUCCCAUUGCCAUGAUAAUGCAUGUGGAGGUCAUUUUGCCUCCCAGAAAACAGCUAUGAAAGUGAUCCAAUCAGGCUUCUGGUGGCCCUCUCUUUUCAAGGAUGCCCAUUCUAUGUGUAAGGCAUGUGAUCGGUGUCAAAGGCUUGGUAAGCUAACACGCCGAAAUAUGAUGCCCUUGAACCCCAUUUUAAUAGUGGAUAUCUUUGAUGUCUGGGGUAUAGACUUCAUGGGACCAUUUCCAAUGUCGUUUGGACAUUCCUACAUCUUGGUAGGAGUGGAUUAUGUCUCUAAGUGGGUAGAGGCAAUCCCAUGUAGGAGCAAUGAUCAUAAAGUGGUACUUAAAUUCCUCAAGGACAACAUCUUUGCAAGAUUUGGAGUGCCAAAGGCCAUUAUAAGUGACGGGGGAACCCACUUUUGCAAUAAAACUUUUGAGACUCUUCUAGCCAAGUAUGGGGUUAAGCAUAAGGUAGCUACACCUUAUCACCCUCAAACUAGUGGCCAAGUUGAGUUAGCCAACCGUGAGAUCAAGAAUAUAUUGAUGAAGGUGGUCAAUGUGAAUAGGAAGGAUUGGUCUAUCAAGCUCCUGGAUUCCUUAUGGGCUUAUAGGACCGCUUACAAGACCAUUCUAGGAAUGUCUCCCUAUCGCCUUGUUUAUGGCAAAGCGUGUCACCUUCCAGUGGAAAUUGAGUAUAAAGCAUGGUGGGCAAUCAAAAAUCUCAACAUGGAUUUGUCAAGAGCCGGGUUAAAGAGAUGUUUAGAUUUGAAUGAAUUAGAGGAAUUGAGGAAUGAUGCAUACCUCAAUUCAAAAAUUGCAAAAGCAAGAUUGAAAAAAUGGCAUGAUCAGUUGGUAAAUCAGAAGAAUUUUACCAAAGGACAAAAAGUUUUGCUUUAUGACUCUAAACUUCAUCUCUUUCCAGGAAAGUUGAAAUCCAGGUGGACGGGUCCUUUCAUAAUUCAUGAAGUGCAUCCCAACGGAGUGGUGGAAAUACUCAAUCCCACAGGCAAUCAAACCUUCAAAGUCAAUGGCCAUCGUCUCAAGCCAUUCUUAGAGCCUUACAGUACAGACAAGGAGGAGAUCCACCUCCUUGAACCACCACAACUUUGAGGAAAAACAGGGUAUCAUGGGCUAAAGAAGUCCAUGAAUUUUUUGUUAUAGUUUUAUAGUUAUAUUAGUAUUUUUAUUUCUUUAUAUUUUAAUUUUCUCCUAAUCUUAGUUUAUAUUGUCUUAAUUCAAGUUAAUUUUGAUGAUAAAUUUUAGAAAAAAAUCAUGAAAGAUGGGGAGAGCUCGUCAAAAGCAGCCAAGGGGAGAAAAACCAAGGAAACAGAGCACCUAAUUUCAAGGUGCCAAAUUUUCGCACACCUGAUUUCAAGGUGCGAAAAUUUCGCACACCCAAAACCAAGGUGCGAAAUCCUUGGGCCAAAAGAAGCCAUUUUCGCACACCCCUACCUCAAGGUGCGAAAUCCCUUUUCAAGGUGCGAAUUUCCUAAAAUCCAAUUUCGCACACCACUGUGGAAGGUGCGAAAAUUUUCGCACUGUGCGAAAUCCUCUCCUGGCACACGUGUGCCAAUUUCGCACACCUCAAGCUGAUUUUCGCACUGUGCGAAAUAGUGUGCGAAAAUUUCGCACACCACUAUUCAAGGUGCGAAAAUUUAGCACACCUCUUUUUAACGUGCGAAAUCAUCAGCCAAAGGGGUGCCAUUUUCGCACACUCAAUUCCAAGGUGCGAAAUUUACAGGCCAAGGUGCGAAAAUUUCGCACGGUAAAAUUUUAACUUCUAAAAAUUUAAAACCGACUUUUAAAUUAAAAUUUUACCCCCGAAAUUGUGCCUAACGUCCAAAAACGACUUUUCGGUUGCCUUGGAAAAUUUUAAAAGAUCAGAAACCCCUUAAACCUCAUUCCUAUAUAAACCCCUGAAGUCCAGAAGCUCAAAGGACUCUCCUAAGCACCAGUUGAAAAACCUCUGGAAUCCCGAAAACCCAUCUCCCUUCAUUUCGGCCAUGGCAAAGACCAGAGGAGGCCAUUCCGCCUCCCAGUCCUCACCGACACCUCGACCACAGCGAGCCACCAUGGGAGCCGUGCCUUCACCUCCUGUUCAGGCCCCGGCCAUUCCCCCAUCUGAGGGGGAAGUUCCUUCUCAGCGCCGGUACCCCACUCGGAGGCCACCCACGGAACCUGUGCCUCCACCCGAACAGGCCACGAGCCCUGUUUCUCGGCCCCCUGUGAAAAGGUCCAGGUUCUCUGGUCCUGGAGAGCCAUCCCACGCACCUCAGCCAGAGCCAGCUACAGAGGAACCUCGGAUUCCAGUGGACAUGCCUCCCGAGGCCAUUAUUAGGCGUCCCAUGAUAGCCGGACCACCGAUUGAGGGUAACUUGGAUUGCAGAGAUCAACCCUUCCAUUCCGAGACCUACUUUGAUAUAGAGGCCCUCAGACAGCAGCCAGAGCUCAGAGAUUCAUUCCGACUGCUGCAGAGGUAUCACAUGGAGUCCUUUCUCACUCCUAGGCAAUUCUACUAUCCCAGAGUAGUUAUUGAUUUUUAUCAAUCUAUGACUACUCGAGGUCUCCGCAAUCCUACCCUCAUCCAGUUUACUAUAGACGGACGUCAGGGUGCCAUUGGAGCUCGUCACAUUGCUGAGGCCCUCCAUAUACCUUAUGAGCCCGUAUUUCAGGCAGAUUUCAGGGAGUGGUCCUCAUUUUCUCAGAGCGACAUGGUCCGCAUUUUGUCCAGGGGGACUUCUACAGCCUCGGUAUUGACUAGGAGAGAGCUUCCAUCUGGGAUGCUCCUCAUUGAUGUGCUCCUGCGUGCCAACCUAUUCCCCCUUCAGCAUAAAGUUCAGAGGAGAUGAGCUAUACUUGAGGCAUUAUUCAGGAUUUCUGAGGGCUAUUUCUUCGGCCCUCAUCAUUUGAUUAUGACUUCUCUUCUUCAUUUUGAAGAAAAAGUCCAUCAGAAGAAGCUGCAGAGGGCAGAUGGCAUCCCAUUACUUUUUCCGAGGCUCCUCUGCCAGAUUUUAGAGCACUUGGGCUAUCCUGAAGAGCCCCGUCUUGAGAGGCGCCGCCAUUGCCGAGAGGACUUCUCUCUCGACAAAUGGCAUCACUUGGUAGCCUACUUUGCACCUCAGGGAGCCCCAGCUGUACAUGCACCUCCAGAGCUACCCCGAGAUGAGCAGAUACCUCAAGCCCCGCAGGAUGAGAUUCUCACAGAGACACCACCUCCUGCCCCUGCAGCACAUCCCUCAGAGCAUAUUCCUGAGCCUGUACAUCCUAUUUCUCCUAUCACUCAGGGUGCUCCACCAGUCGCGCCAGCUACCCCAGCACCUCCUCCUCCAUCUGAGCCCACUGUCACCAUUUCUCUUACGGAAUUCAGAGGCUUAGAGCGUUCAUUGCGGACACUGAGCACUGCUCAGGAUUCUAUUAUCCACCAGAUGGCCACUAUUCGGGCACACCAGGAUCAGAUCAUUGCUACUCAGGCCCAGCAUACCACGAUCCUUCAUCAGAUUCAGCAGCAUCUGAGUAUGCAGACCCCUCAUGGGUAUGAUAGGUCUGCACCAUCCGAGCCUCUAGUGCCAGAUGAGGAGAGCUUGCCAGCUGAGCAGCCUAUACCAGAGGAGGAGAUCAGAGCAGAGCCAUCACAUGACCCCACUCAUAUCUGAUCUUUUUAUGUUUUACUUGUUUUUAUUUUAGACUUGUAAAUCCCAUCUUUUGCAUGUGUUAUAAAUUGGGAUUGGAAGUAUUACUUGAAAUCAUACAUUGUAUAUUUCUUUUACAAGUAAUAUAUAUAUAUAUAUAUAUAUAUAUAUAUAUAUAUAUAUAUAUAUAUAUAUAUAUAUAUAUCCUUUUUGAUUAUAUUCCCUUUUCUCAUUACUCUUUUGUCCUUGGAACAUGUGGUUUAAGGUACUCCAUACCUCCUUUACACUCAGACUUUGUCUCACUCAGGAGGUACCACUUCCUCCCUUUAUUUUUAAUCACUUUUGAAACAUUGGGGACAAUGUUCAACUUGGUUGGGGGGGGGGGGGGGGGGAGAAUUAAGAAAGGAAGUUUUGUUGUCAAUAUUAAGUUAUUUUGGUAUUUUAGUUAAUUUUUGCUUAAAUUUUAAAUUUUUUAAAAGUUUUUUGAAUCAUUCUCUCUGGUUGUUAAAGAUAAUUUCUCAAAAAUAAAAUAGGAUAAGUCGAGUUUUAACUUAAUUAUUUAAGUCUUAGAGUUUGUUUUAUGCUUUCAAAGUUGAUAAUCUAUUGAAGCCUCUUUGAUUUUGAACUUUCUUCUUCCAUUUCGAGCUUUUACACACACUGUGCACAUUAGAUCCCGGAUAUAAGAUGUAAAACUUUCUCACUUUCUAAGCUUAGGAAAAUUUUGACUUGGUUUAUUACUUAACCUCUUUUUAAUAGUGUUGGGACACCUCAUAAAGACCAAUGAGUCUUAGAAAAAGACCAAUGAGUCUUAGAAAAAGACCAAUGAGUCUUAGAAGAAGAAAAAGAGAAUAAGCUUCUAUUCUUUCCUUGAAACCUAAGUAUGAUCCGAAGGGGUGGCGAAAGCCUUUAAAACCCGAUGCCCUAAACCUUGAUUGGUUGGGAGUCAUCGAUCCUCUGCUUGCUACAUAGGUGAAUUGGUUAAGUUUAGUAAGUAAAAAGAAUUGUGAAUAAGAAGGUGUGUUCUGAACCUAUUAAGAGUUGGUUAAUGUUGCCAAUAUCCGAGAAAAGCUUAGGUUGGAGGGUGAGGAUAGUUGUAUAUACUAUAUCCGGAAGCUAAUUUCAUUAACACUUAGCUUAUUAUGGAAGAGUUUGAUUUGAAACCUUGAGAGUAGAGAUUCUUUUGAUACUUAAUUGCAUAAUCUCCACUCUUUGUACUUUUUGUUUAAGUUUAAGCUUUGAUAACUCCUAUUGCAUUUUUAAUCUUCAUAUCUUUAGUUCACCAGGUGAGAUGUGUUUGGAUAUCAGUCAUGCCACUCAAUUAUUUUUUGGAAUGAAUUGCAUGACCUCUUUUAUAUAUUUUAUUACGUUUGCUUAGUUUUUCUCUCCUUAAUUGCUAAGGGACUAGCAAUAUGUCGGUUGGGGGGAGUGAUUACUACUCAAAACAUGCUAUUUUGUAGCUUGUAAUUAGCUCUUUUAAACACCAUUGAGUAGUAAUUAUUACCUUUUAACCCAAUUAGUAUGUUAGGAGCCCUUGCAAUCGUUUCUAACAAUUGUGUUAAGUUUUGGUGCUUUUUGAUAGCUUUAUGCUCACCAAAGCAAUUUAAGAAUGAGGGAGAGCUAUUUAUAGUUCAGGGCAAAGCUUUUGAAAGCUUAAAUUUAUGAAGAAAUCAAGCUAUGGAGCCUCAUAAUCCUUUGCCUUAAUCGUUCAAAGUUUACAAGGGAGAAACAAUGGAGAAGAAGAAAACAGGGGAUGAAAAUAGGGGACACAGCUGCAGUCUUUUAGUGCACUUUUGGAGCACUUACCAAAGUCCAUUCUUUACAUUCUAUAUACCAUUUCGAAGCUCAGAAAGUCAAGAAUCCAAUGGUCCAAACCACGUAUGAUUUGGAGCUGAAAUGAGGAAGAUAUGGACUUCGGAAGACAACUGCAUCAAGCUGAGCGAAAAUUUCGCACACCUCAAAACCAAGGUGCGAAAUCCUCAGUCCACUGUGCGAGAAUUUCGCACACCUCAAACCAAUGUGCAAAAUUGGAACUCAGCGUGCGAAAAUUGGAUAUUUUUGCCGACUCUUUUUCUUCUGAUAUUUUUGUGUCUAAAUUUCCAUUUUCUCCUUGUAUUCAACCAAUCAUGUAAUUCCUUAGCUAGGAAGUAGCCAAGGAAGGGUAAAACUACCUUCCUAUAUAAAUUCUCUUGUAAUCACUGAAAAGAAAUGAUCUUCGGAGCUUUUCUCCAGGAGACCAACUAAUGUAACCUUGAUACUUAGUGAAAUACAAGGAUCUCUUUUGCUUUCUUUUUCUCUCUUCUAUUUUCUAUUUUCUUGCAAGCCAAACACCCUCUGAGGAUGUUUUCCCAGAGGAUGAGAGGCUAAACAACAGUUUCUUGGAUUAAAGGAAGCUAGGUGAAAAGUCCAGAUUAAAAGGUGGAAAGUUUCCGUGCAUUAAAUUCAGGUAGUUAGAGUCCAUAAAUGGUUUUUAAAGCCAAGGUUUUGCCUUAAAUCCCUUUGAAUCACUUUGACUGGCCAAUACAUGGUAAGCUUAAGGUCUCUGUGGAUGCUUAUUGCUAGAUCCAUAUCAGUCCAUUAGUUAUCAUGUACGAGCCAUUGGAAAGUGAUUCAAGGUGAUAGCCCAUAGUGUCUUAAGCCAUUAAUGGAUCUUGACUACCAUCUCUAGUGACUUUUUAUGGAUUAGAACUUCAUUGUCAAACCUAUACCGGUUUGGGAAAUAACUAUAGGUUAAAUCCCCAAUGCGAGGAGAAAAAUCCGGAAUUUUCCACUUUGCAUCUGGAACUUGAACCUAGCAACCUUUAGCUCCGGGAGACUUUCUUUCUUACACUUUUUACUUAGUUCUAUGUGAGUUUAGUUUAAAUCACCACUUUCAAAACAAUUUUAUUUUCUUUUAAACUUCAAGUUUGUGCUAAAGGAAAUCAUCAGAAUCAAUUUCUAAUUUAGAGUCUGUCAUUGGUAGAGUGAAAACCCAUCCCUGAGUUCGACCCUAGAACUGCUAUACUAUAGUAGCUUUGCUACUCCAGUAUAAGGUCAUAGGUUUUAUAAAUAUUUUUGAUUAAAAGAUCCGGCUGGGAAGUCAAGCGAAGAAUCAGUUGCUCUAGUGUUCUUCCUUUCUGAACCCUUUUGGCAGCUUAAAUGACCAAUUUUUAUAUAAAAAAUAAAGUAAUAUCAAGGGUCGUUUUCGUAGCCCAUUUCGCAGCUGCAAAAUGGGGAGAACUGUGUUGCGAAAUGGCACUCGUGUGCCAAGAGGGUGCUUCACAGCUGUGAAAUUUUUCGUAGAGAGGGGUCUGAGGUUGCGAAAUGAUUUCGCAACAAAGUGGCGAUUUCGCAGAGGCUUCUUUUAGGUUGCGAAAUCUUGCAGACCUCUGCUUUUCCCCUGUUUUACACUCUUUAUUGCGCCAUACGACUUUCCUUUAAUUUUUUUUGCAAUUCCUCCUACAUAACAUCAUUCAAAAAGACUAAGUUACAUAUAAAUACACAACUUAAAAUCAAAAAUUAAAAUCAAAAGAAUUGAUAAAGCUUUGAAAUUAACAAAAUUAACAAAAACAAAACAAAAAAAAUUAUGGACUUUGGUGAAACCAAGCCCAUCUAACCCUUUUAUGAUUAGGCUUUCUAUGGCUCAAGGAGGUUGAUUUCCUCCUUUUCUGGUUUGAAUGGCUCAAUGAAUGGCUUGAGACGAUGACCAUUGACCUUGAAAAUGUCAGUGCUUUUGGAAUUCAGUAAUUCCACCACUCCAUUGGGUUGCACUUGGUGAAUAAUGAAAGGGUCUAUCCACCUUGACUUGAGCUUCCCUGGAAAGACAUGGAGUCUUGAAUCAUAAAGCAAGACUCUUUGUCCUUUAUGGAAUUCUUUGUUGGAGAUUAAUUGAUCAUGCCAUCUCUUCAUCCUCUGUUUUGCAACUUCGGAAUUGAUGUAAGCAUCAUUUCUUAAUUCCUCCAUCUCAUUAAGGUCUAAGCACCUUUUUGCCCCAGCUCUGAUCAAGUCCAUGUUCAACUUUUUGAUUGCCCACCAAGCUUUAUAUUCAACUUCCACAGGGAGAUGGCAUGCUUUGCCAUAGACUAGGCAAUAAGGAGACAUACCAAGAAUAGUCUUGUAAGCUGUUCUGUAUGCCCAUAGCGAAUCAUGAAGCUUAAUAGACCAAUCUUUUCUGCUCAUGAUCACCACCUUCAUCAAUAUAUUCUUGAUUUCCCUAUUUGCUAGCUCCACUUGCCCGGAAGUUUGAGGAUGAUAAGGCGUAGCUACCUUAUGCUUCACUCCAUACUUGGCUAAUAGGGUUUCAAAAGGUUUGUUGCAAAAAUGAGUACCUCCAUCACUGAUUAUGGCCUUGGGCACCCCAAAUAUUGAGAAGAUGUUCUCCUUAAGAAAUUUGAGAACCACCCUGUGAUCAUUAUGUUUACAAGGAAUUGCCUCGACCCAUUUAGAAACAUAGUCCACCCCCACCAAGAUAUAAAAGUUACCAAAAGACAUUGGGAAAGGUCCCAUGAAGUCAAUACCCCAAACAUCAAAUAGAUCAACUAUUAGAAUGGGGUUCAUAGGCAUUUGAUUACUUUUUGUAAACUUCCCAAGCCUUUGGCAUCUAUCACAACUCCUACACAUGAUGUGGGCAUCUUUGAAAAGCGAUGGCCAAGUAAACCCUGAUUGCAACACCUUCAUGGCUAUUUUCUGAGAGGCAAAGUGGCCUCCACCUGCAUUUUCAUGGCAAUGGCUGAGGAUCCCUUGUUGCUCUUCUUUAGGGACACACUUUCUUAUGAUCUGAUCUGCACAAUACUUGAAAAGGAAAGGCUUUUCCCAAUAAUAAGCAUGAAUUUUUGCAAAGAAGUGCUUCCUGUCUUGUGCAUUCCACUCACUUGGAACUUCACCAGUAACUAAAUAGUUAGCGAUAUGAGCAUACCAAGGAGCUUUCUCUAGCAACAUAAGUGAUUCCUCAGGAAAGUCAUCAUUAAUAGGUAAGACAUGAGAAUUAUGUGCUAUAACUAACCUUGACAGGUGGUCAGCUACCACAUUCUCCACCCCUUUCUUGUCUCUGAUUUGGAGAUCGAACUCUUGUAACAAAAGAAUCCAUCUAAUCAACCUUAAUUUUGCAUCUUGCUUUGUCAAUAAAUACUUCAAGGCUGAAUGGUCAGUGAAAACAAUGAUGAAAGACCCUACCAAAUAAGCACGAAAUUUGUCUAAGGCAAACACCACAGCUAACAAUUCUUUCUCUGUAGUUGUGUAGUUUCUUUGAGCCUCAUUCAAUGUUUUGCUUGCAUAGUAGAUCACAUAGGGCUUCCCAUCUUCUCUUUGGCCAAGUACAGCUCCUAUAGCAAAGUCACUGGCAUCACACAUUACUUCAAAGGGUAAUUGCCAGUUAGGAGCCCUCACUAUUGGAGCGGUUGUUAAGAAUUGCUUUAGUUGAUCAAAGCUCUUUUGACAUCUUUCAUCCCAUAUAAACUUAGCAUCCUUAGCCAAAAGCUCACAAAGAGGUUUUGAAAGAUUAGAGAAAUCUUUUAUAAAUCUCCUAUAGAACCCUGCAUGGCCAAGAAAUUGUCUUACUUUGUUCAUAGUUGUUGGGGAUGGCAAUUUGACAAUAAGCUUCACCUUUGCUUUAUCAACUUCAAUGCCUUUCUUGGAGAUGAUAUGGCCAAGGACAAUUCCUUGACGUACCAUAAAAUGGCAUUUCUUCCAGUUGAGCACCAAGUAUUUUUCAAUGCAUCUAUUAAGAACUGCUUCCAAAUUGACUAAGCAUUCCUCAUAUGUACCUCCAUAUAUGGUAAUGUCAUCCAUGAAAACCUCCAUAAUUCGCUCCACCAUAUCACUGAAAAUACUAAGCAUACAUCUUUGGAAUGUUGCAGGUGCAUUGCAUAAACCAAAAGACAUUCUUCUGUAAGCAAAUGUUCCAAAUGGACAUGUGAAAGUGGUCUUCUCCUGAUCUUCCACAACAAUUUCAAUUUGAAAAUAUCCGAAGUACCCGUCCAAGAAACAAUAAAAAGGAUGGCCAGAGACUCUCUCCAGCACCUAAUCAAUAAACGGCAAUGGAAAAUGAUAUUUCCUUGUCACAGCAUUCAACUUCCGAUAAUCAAUACACACCCUCCAACCUGAAGUGAGGCGUGUAGCAAUUUCUUCUCCUUUUUCAUUCUGAACCAUAGUAAUCCCUGACUUCUUUGGUACCACUUGAGUAGGGCUCACCCAAGGGCUGUCAGAUAUGGGAUAAAUAAUACCUGCUUGAAGUAGCUUCAGCACUUUAGCUCGCACCACCUCUUGCAAAUGAGGAUUCAAUCUUCUUUGAGGUUGACGAAUUGGUUUAGCUUCUUCCUCCAUAUAAAUGUGAUGUGUACAAACCAAAGGACUGAUUCCUUUCAAGUCAGAGAUUUGCCAUCCUAUUGCUUUCUUACACCUCUUGAGAACUUCAAGUAAACAGUUCUCCUGAUGAUUAGUAAGAGAUGAAGAUAUAACAAUAGGACAUUGAUUAUUUUCUUCAAGGUAUGUAUAUUUCAGCUCCAUGGGCAGAGACUUCAGAUUGAGCUUUGGGGUCUCUUCUUGAGCAGCUUCUCCUUCCUCUUUAUUGAACAAAGGUAGAAUCUCUUCUCUUCUCCUCCAACCUUGUAGAGUAGCAAGCACUUCAGGGGGUUCAGACAACCCUUCUUCAAGAUCCCCAAGACUUUCAUUCAGCUCGUCUUAUAUAUUCUGAUUACAAUGCUCCUCCACUAGAGCGUCAAUAAUGCAUACCUCUUCUGGACCUUCUUCUUCUUCCGAAGUGAUUUGCUUUUUAGACAUAUGAAAAAUGUUGAGUUCAAGUGUCAUGUUGCCAAAAGUGAGUUGCAUGAGUCCAUUCCUACAAUUGAUGAUUGCAUUCGAGGUAGCAAGAAAUGGUCUUCCAAGGAUGAUAGGAACUGAAUUAGCUUCCUUUACAGUAGGAUCCGUAUCAAGAACAACAAAAUCUAAUGGAUAGUAGAAAUUAUCAACUUGAACUAAGACAUCCUCAAUUACCCCCCUUAGAAUUUUUACUGAUCUAUCUACUAGAGAUAGAAUGAUUGAUGUUGGCUUCAAUUCACCAAGUCCCAAUUGCUUGUAGACAGAGUAUGGUAGCAAAUUCACACUUGCUCCCAAGUCUAACAAAGCUUUCUCCACUACCUUUCCUCCAAUCAUGAUUGAAAUGGUAGGACAUCCCGGAUCUUUGUACUUCAAAGGAGACUUGCAUUGUAUGAUUGCACUUACUUGCUCAGUCAAGAAGGCUUUCUUAUUCACAUUCAACCCUUUUUUGAUAGUACACAAGUCUUUUAGGAAUUUCGCAUAUGUUGGAACUUGCUUAAUCAUAUCUAGUAGUGGGAUAUUGACUUUCACUUGCCUCAAUACUUCAAGGAUUUCAGAUGCAUUUUUUAUCCCCUUUUUCCCAUGCAAAGCUUGAGGAAAAGGUGGAGAUGUGUGUUUCUUCAUCAAUUCUUCCUUAAUAAGGUCUUUCUCCGGAUUUAUAUUUAUUGUUGAAUCACGAUCCUCCUUCUCUUCACUGACAUUUUUCUUCUUUCCUUUCAUUUCCUCCCCCUUCUUUGUUUCUUCUUCAACAUCAACAUGUGGCUUGGGUGUUGGUGGCUCAACCUUCUUACCACUCCUUAGAGUGAUCAAGGCUUUAACAUCUUUCACCUAUGACGAUUCUCCAUCAUGGAUUUCCACUUCAUGGAUACCCUUGGGGUUUUGGUGAGGUUGAGAAGGAAAUCUACCCUUCUCUUGCACUGUGUUCAAGUUAGUGAGCCUUGAGAUUGAGUAUUGGAGAUUAUCUAUCUUCUGAGAUAAGUCAUUUUGCAUCCCAUCCAUCCUUUUAUUCAAUGUAUUCUCUACACUGUCAAUUCUUUGACUGAGUUGAGCAUUGAUAGAUUUUUGGUCUCCAACAAAAUCUCCCACAACCUUGUUGAAAUUCACUAUUGCUUGUUGAAGACUUGAAGCUUGUUGAGAUGGUUGAGGCUGUUGGUAUUGAGGUGCUCUUGGCUUCCAUGAAAAAUUUGGAUGGUUCCUCCAACUUNNNNNNNNNNNNNNNNNNNNNNNNNNNNNNNNNNNNNNNNNNNNNNNNNNNNNNNNNNNNNNNNNNNNNNNNNNNNNNNNNNNNNNNNNNNNNNNNNNNNNNNNNNNNNNNNNNNNNNNNNNNNNNNNNNNNNNNNNNNNNNNNNNNNNNNNNNNNNNNNNNNNNNNNNNNNNNNNNNNNNNNNNNNNNNNNNNNNNNNNNNNNNNNNNNNNNNNNNNNNNNNNNNNNNNNNNNNNNNNNNNNNNNNNNNNNNNNNNNNNNNNNNNNNNNNNNNNNNNNNNNNNNNNNNNNNNNNNNNNNNNNNAAUUCCAAUUCCUUGUUAUCAGGUGUUUCACGUUUAACAAGCCUUCCUCCACUAUCUUGUAUCCAAUUUGGCAUACACAACUAGUAUCAACUGCAACAAAAACAAAAACAAAAGAAAACAAAAGAAAAUAAAAAUAUAAAAAGACUUAGAUUAACUAAAACUAAAUUAAAAGAUAUGUUAGAAUAUGAACAAGUAAAAAAAAAAAUUAAAAGAGUUAGUAAAAUGAAAGAAAAAUCACCAAACUUGUAAUGAAAAUCACAAGUAAUAUGAAAUAAUAUCACUGUGAAGUUGGCACCUUCCCUUGCAGCGGCGCCAUUUGAUUCAUUCCCAAUUGGUGUAUCAUGAGUUUAAUCCUCAAACGGGAGUAAUCAACAAAAUUUAUAACCUAUAUCACCAUGCACUAGGAUAGCCUUAGCUAAUAUAGCAUAAUGGCUCUAAGAUCGUUCACUGGGAAGGGUUUUCAACUUACAACUGAUACCAAUUUAAAGUUGAAUUGGUACUUUUUCAUUUCAAGGUUAGCUUAAGAAGAAAACAUAAACUUUGGUUGAAAAAUGAUUUGUUUUAAGCUAACUAAAAAGAAAGUAAUGGGAAUUACUUAUGAAGAAGCGUUCCUUGGAGUUUUAGGUUCAUUGGGGUCAAGCUCCUUAUGCAAAAACAAAGCUCUGGUCACUUGAAUCUUUUCCUCACAUUAGAGAAUUAACAUAUAGUUAAUUCUCUAACCGGUGUUGUACAAAUGUUUCCCUUUAAUGGAUUUCAGCACUAAUUUCCUCUCACUGAUGCAACUUGCAAUGGCUCGUGCCUCUCACCUAGCAUUUGCCAUUCAAGGUGAUCAUUAACCUUGGACUUCCCUUCUCAAGCUCGCAAGAGAUAACUAAUGGAUGUCUCCUUAGAGUCCAAAAGCUUACCAAGUGUUGGCAAUUCUAAAAAAUCCUACCUUCAAGUCACCUCCCAAAGGCUCGCAAGAGAUAAACUAGUGCAUUUCCAUGGACGGAGAUCACUUGCCUUACCAAGUGUUAGCCCAGGUGAAUUGAAUGCGUUUUAAGUUAACUAAAAACAUAGAAAUCAUUAACGGGUCACACUUUCUCUUCAUUAACAGCUGAAACAACAAAACUACCAAUUCUUGCAUUCGGGUCGAUAGAAGCUCCUCCCUCUCGGAAUGUAUUACAAACAUCUUCAAAUUCCUUGAUAUGGGCAUAGGGAUUCUCACUUUCCAUUCCAUAAAAAGUUGGUAGAAGUGGCACAAUAUGGGGUCUGAUCACUAGUUGCUCUGUAGGGGGCACUAUACAUGAUGGUGCACUCAUACGAGGUGGAUGCAUGCGGUCCCUCAUUGAUCUGAAUUCAUUGGGAUUGUCCUGAUGACCAUGGUGACUAUGCUGAUCUUCAGGUGUAGCUUCCAUGAUAUUCAAGGUUAAUUCCAAUUCCUUGUUAUGAGGUGUAUCAAGUUUGACAAGCCUUCUUCCACUAUCUCGUAUCCACUUUGGCAUACACAACUAGUAUCAACUGUAACUAAAAUGAAAAUAAAAGAAAACAAAAGAAAACAGGGCUACCAAAAAAAAAACUAAAAUAGACUAAACUGAAUUUAAAAGAUAUAUUAGAUUAUGAACAAGUAAAGAUACAAUAAAAUAAAAUAAAAAAAUUAGUAAAAUGAAAGAAAAGUUACCAAACUUGGGAUGAAAAUCACAAGUACUCUGAAAUAAUAUCACUAUGAAGUUGACACCUUCCCCAGCAACGGCGCCAUUUGAUUCGUGCCCACUUGGUGUAUCAGCUCAUUCAUGUCCAGCUGGUGCUCCUUGAUUGAGGGAGUAAUCAACAAAAUUUAUAACCUAUUACACCAUGAACUAGGGUAGCAAAGACAAAGCUACUAUAGCAUAGUGGCUCUAGGAUCGUUCACUGGGAAGGGUUUUCAAUUCAUAAAUGAUACCAAUUCAAAGCUGAAUUGGUGCAUUUUCAUUUCAAGGUUAGCUUUAAAAGAAAACAUAAUUUUUGGAUGAAAAAGGUUUAGUUUAAACUAACGGUAAAGAAAGUAAUAGAAAUUACUUAUGAAGAAAAACAUUCCUUGGAGGUUUAGGUUCAUAGGAGAGGUUUCUCGUGCAAAAACAGACCUCCGGUCACUUGGUUCAUUUCCUCGCAUUAGGGAAUUAACAUAUAGUCAAUUCUCUAAUCGAUGUUGUACAGAUGCUUCCCUUUAAUGGGUUCAAACACUAAAUCCCUCUCACUGAUGCACCUUGCAAUGGCUCAUACCUCUCACCUAGCACUUGCCAUUCAAGGUGAUCUUUAACCUUGGAUUACCCAUCAAAAGCUCGCAAGAGAUAACUAAUGGAUGUCUCCUUAGAGUCCAAAAGCUUACCAAGUGUUGGCUAUUCUAGAAAAUCCUACCUUCAAACCACCUUCCAAAGGCUCACAAGAGAUAAAUUAGUGCAUCUCUAUGGAUGGAGACCACUUGCCUUAUCAAGUGUUGGCCCAAGUGAUUUAAAGGCGUUUUAAGUUAACUAAAAACAUAGAAAUCAUUAACGGGUCACACUUUCUCUUCAUUAAUGGCUGAAACCACAAAGCUACUAAUUAUUGCACUUGGAACCUUUCCCGACAACCUUAACUCUAAGGAACUAAAAGUCUAGCCACUCAUUCUCUGAGGAAACAUCCUCAAAGCUUCUUUGGCUAGUAAGAAAAUACAGUUAAAAUGAGAAGGUAAAGCAGAGCAAAGCUCUGUAUUUUACUUCUUUACAAAACUGUACAAAGGAUCGAUCAUCUUCUCUUUUCUUCUCUCUCCUCCUCGAGAACAGGCUCCCAAGAGAUAAAUAUAUGAAAAAUUACAGAAUAUCUAAAAAAGAUUAUUCACCCUUUUUCCAAACUUAAUAACUAAGGAAUCCUAUAAUUGGUGGAUUACAAGGAGAUUUUGGGAAUUUAGAUAACAAAUAUCUAAAGCAAAAUAUCUCAAAAUAUUGGUGGCAAAUAUCAAGAAGUUUCAGGAGAACACAACAGCACUGUGCAGAAUGGCUGCUCUCCCAUCCGGCGUCAGAAUUCCGGAAGUGAACUUUCGGGUGGAAAGUGCACGGCAGCCAGUGCAAAAUGGUGGCGCCUAUCCGAGUACAAAUUGGUGGCAGCUGGGUACAAAAUGGCGGCGCGCAUCCGGGUACAAUUUGGCGGCAUCCGGGUACAAUUCCUACCCGAAAAUGUUUGUCCAGAUGCCCUCCGAUGGUAUAUCCGGAUACCCUGUCCGGGUAUACUCCUUGCAUGGAUUCCAAAGAACUCUCCUUAAUCUUGGAUUGCUUUGGUGAUCAAAAAGGCUAUCAAAACACCAAAACUUAACACAUUUUUUAUUAGAAUUGAUUGCAAGGGUCCUUAACAUGCCAAUUGAGUUAAAAGGUGAUAACUACUACUCAAAAGUGUUUAGAAGAUUUAAUUACAAGCUAUGAAAUAGCACUUUUUGAGUAGUAAUCAGUGGUUGUUGGCAUCAAGUGAUUGUGAGUAUCUAUGGGACACAUCCUAAUGGAUGAGACGCUAACAUAGUGGUUAAAUAGUCACACAGAUGUCUUUGGAAGACUAUUGCACAAGUUUUUCAGGGUUCCUCCCCAUAUAUUCGUCUUGUGGUGGGGAAUGAGGAGAGAAUCCGUUUUUGGGAAGAUAUUUGGUGGGGUGACCAACCUUUGUGCUCACAUUUACCUAGUCUUUAUAAAAUUAUUUCUAUGGUAAACCCCACCAUUUCAAUUGUCUUUAGCAAUUCCUAUCCACUCUCUUAGAAUUUUAAACUUUUGUCGCAAUCUCAAUUAUGUAGAAAUUGAACUCCUUAAGAGACCGAUGUCCUCCCUUAGUUCAAUGCAUUUAUCCAUUUCUGUGGCAAAUUCAAAAGCUUGGUCUUUGUCCUCUCCAAGCUUGUUUACUGUUAAAUCUUUUUUCUUGGCUUUGUCCAAUUUCUCAAAUCUCGCCUUAUUCCUUCUAGUUGGAGAUCAAAAGCCCUUUCAAAGGUUAAGGCCCUUGCUUGCUUAGUAGCACAUAGGAAGGUAAACACCAAUGACAUGCUACAGUUGAGAAGACCCUACAAAUCCCUUUGUCCUCAAUGGUGCAUUUUAUGCAAAGGAAAUGGAAAAUUGAUUGACCACAUUUUUCUACAUUACCCAUUAAUUAUUGGGCUAUGGCACAAGCUCCUCAACCUAACAAGGUUGGAUUGGGUUCCACCAAGGAGUAUUGGAGACAUAAUGAUUAUUUCUUUUAAAGGUUUAGGGAAUUCAAUCAGAGAUAAGACAUUUUGGAAAAUUUCUUGCUUCACCUUAUUGUGGAUUAUGUGGUAAGAGAGAAAUGCUAGGAUUUUUUAGGAUAAGGGGAGACUAGAAGAAAUGUUAUAGGAUUUACUUCACUUCUAUUCCUCUCAAUGGGCCUCUUGUACUGUUACUUUUAGAGGAGUUCCUCCUAGUGUUAUACAAUUGAAUUGGCUCGCAAUUUGUGAUUCAAAAGUUUGAGAUAGUUAGGGGUUUUCUUUAUAUAUAGUUUUGUAUAAAGGGGUGUCUUCUUACUUUGAUCAGAUUUUUUAUUUUGAGAGUAGGAUCUUUCAUCCUUUUCUUAUACCUUUACUAUUAUUAAUAUAAUUUUAUUUCAUUUCUAAUAAAAAAAAUGAUACUUAUAUUGGUUAAGAAUCAAAUAGGUAAAUAUAUUUAUAUUCUUCAUUGUCUUACUAUUACCUUGUUUUUUGCCUUUUGACUUAUGCUAAAAGGAGUCCUAUUGUCGUGACAUUGCCUUUUGCUUUGAACAACACUAUCUUAGAUACAUCUUUUUGAGGUUAUCACAAAUGAUGGCAUUGAUAUACAAUGGAUUCAAGUAGUAGUUUGUCAACCUUCUCCCUCUACAGCAAAUAAUAAAUAACUAAAAUUAUUAUUUGCCUACACAACUGAGCCACAUUCAUAAAACAUUAAGGAUAAAUGAAGGUACGCAAUAGGUAAGAUCUAUUAAGAUAAUAGAAAUGAAUCGAUCAUACACAGGUGAAAUUUAACUUCCAAGUCUUAUAUGGUAAACUCUACAUUUCAUAAACAAAUGUCUUUUAUUUUUUUCCUGAUAGGUAGUUCAGUAAAUGAAGUUAUUAUAAGUAUGUCACGAGAAUGGUAAAGAGAGAUAAGAAAUCCAACAAAGAAAUAUAAGCAAACAAUAAGUAAAAUAUAAUCAUGAGAAUGGUAGAAAGAACUGAUAAUUCGACCAUCAACAUUACCACCUUUACAAAUGCAAGAGAUAGAACAAUGUUUACCAUCUUUUAAGUUUAAUUAAUGAAUGCUAAUAAAUCCUCCUUAAAACCUUUCCUAGAAAAUGGAGAAAAAAAACCAUAUAAAAAGUUACCUCUUGAGAAACAUCAGCUUUCUCCAUUUGAACAAAAACUUUAGAUCUCUACCUUUUCAAACUAAGCUUCUAGAAAGAUGACAUAGACUUCUUUUUUUCUAAAAGUUUUGUAAGAAAAAUAUAAGACUUCUUUCCUUUGGUUUCUUUUCAAUAAAAUCUUUCUUUAUGUUCUAAUCCAAAUCCUCAAAUCCAAUCCAUUUCUUUCCAUCUAAUUUUGUUUGGAACUCAAAAGCCCCUUUAAAGGUCAAGACCUUUGCUUGGUUGGUGGUACACAAGGUAAAAUAUGUGAGAAAAUCCUACAAAUCCCUUAAUCUGCAUUAGUGCAUUUUAUGCAAAGGAAGUGGAGAAUCGUUUGACCAUCUUUUUCUAUAUUGUCCAUUAACUUUGGGUCUUUGGCAUAAACUCUUCAAUUUAGCCAAUUUGACUUGGGUGUAACCGAGGAGUAUUGGAAAUAUGAUGUUUAUCUCUUUUAAAGAAUUGGGGUUUUCAUUGAGAGGUAUGACCCUUUGACAAAUUGCUUGCCUCACUAUUAUUUGCAUCGUGUGGCAAGAGAGAAACACUAGAAUUUUUUAACAUAAAUGGAGAAUGGAAGAGACGUUGUGGGAUAUACUUUAUUACUACUCCUCUCUUUGGGCCUCAUGUUCCAUCUCUUUUAGGGGAGUUCCACUUAAUUUUCAACCAAGUUGACUUUCAAUUUGUAAUUCAUAGUGGAACAGUAUACUCUUACUUUGAUUAGGUUUUGUAUUUUGAGAGAAUAACCCUUUUUCCUUCUCUCUUUCUUUUAAUCAAUAAAAAUUCAUCUUUAUUUCUGAUAAAAAAAAGGAAAAAAGAAAAAAAAAAUAGAGGACUUCUUUUAACACCAUUCCCUGAUCAUACAACUUGGUCUAAUAUAAUGUGUAACAAAAAGCACUACUAACCAUUAUAUAAACAUGAUGAUCAGGACGUCUCUCAUCCCAUUUGCACUAUCACUCAAAUCUCGCCAUUGCAUCCCAUCAGUCCCCAUAUGAUUCACUUUAAAAGAGUAUUGCACAAACUCAUAUAAACCCCAGUAUAGAGAAAAACCACGAUACAACUCCAUAACUAUUAUCCAACCAUUUGCAAUAAGAAAAAAAUAAUGUUUCAAAAUAAUUAUUGCAAAACAUCACAAAGCAAUGCCACCAAAAUAACCUAACAAAAUUGACAUCUUUAAAUAAUCGGUAAAAACAUUCAACUAAUGUUUUUUAGAUAACAUAAGAUGUUGGAAUAAUGGAAAACAACAAGAACAUAACAUACCAUGUUAUAUUAUCAAAUGAUUCAAGACACAGAAAGAGAUUUUGAAUUGUAUAAUAUAAAUACUAACAAGAGCAACAAAAAAUAACUUGCAUUGCAAUAGCUCAAAUCUAAGGUAAUAGUGGAAUGACCCUUAAAAAACAUUGAUCCUUAUGGACGGAAUAGAGUUGACACCCAGAGUCCACCAUAAUUUCUAUUUUCCUAAUUGUGUUGCAUAUUUAGUAAGGGUAUUUUGAAAAGUCAAAUAAAAGUUUUGGCACCUUUAUCAAAAGCAUCAAUGAGGAGAGAUCCCAUGAGAAGCUAAAAAUGGGUACUUUUUAUUAUUACUAUUUAUUUCCUUUUGAGGGGUGAGGUUGUUAACCCUUGUAGGUUUGUAGAGUUUUGAUGAAGAGCAAGAGAUUUUAGGCUUUGGCAAGUAUAAAGAGUUCAUAUUGUUGACAUGAGAGGUUUCAGACUUGGAAAUUCAAGCAUGACCACAUUGUCUCAAACAAAAUGGUGUCAUUUUUGUAGCUGUAAAGUCUAAAUGAACUCUCCCUGCAUCUCACAUCAGAGGUUCACUAUUGUGAUGAAACUUUUGUUCAUUGUAAGAAAGAUCCUACCCCCUGCAUUUCAAUGUAGGACAUGUCCCCACACCUAACUCUAAUUGCCACAUGCAUUUGCAUGCAGCCACAUGAAAGAAAUUCCAAAAGUAAUUUAUUGUUGACUCAGACAAGGACCUACCCUACCCAUACAUCUUUGUGUAGUCCCUACCACAUCCCACCAUAACUAGGAUUUGUUGAGGCAGAAUUAGGUGCAUGUUCUGAACCAGUUCUACAAACAAUUUGAAGUCAUUAAAAUCCUUUUCCUCAAGACUAAACCUGAUAUCAACAUAAUUCAUAGUAAUUUGACUAAGAUUAACAAUGAAAUUGAAAUCAAAUUAAAAAAUUUACCAAUAUUAAAACUAAAAUUGACAUAACUUGGAACCAAAAAAAUAAGUUUUAACCACAUAGAAGUAGAAUUGGCCCUUUAGAAGAAGUCAAUUAGAACACAAAUUUCUAUCAAGAAAUGAUAUGCUAAAAGAAACAUGAUCAAAGUACAUUCAGAAAGCCAUGAGAACUUAUUGUCAGACCUUAUUUUCAAAAUGUCUUCCACUUACUUGGGAAUGAUGUAUCUUGAACAAAGAACUAAAAAAGAAAGCUUCCUAAGAGCCCUAUUCCAAAGACGUAAAUAUAUCCAACUACUACAAUCAUCAAAUUUCCAUGAGAACAUUUGUUAGUUAAGCAAGUGUUUAGGGGAUAAAAAACAAGAUCUUGCCCACAACUAUAAAUGACAUCAAUUAGUCGUGGCCCAACCUGUGGUAGCCUUAAUGUUUGUAAAUGUUGGAACUACUAGAAAGGCCAGCGAAAUUUGCCAAUUUAUAAUAUAUAAAGUAAAACACAAGUUAGAUGUUGUAGUCAUUCAAAGUGAAGAAUUUAAAACCUGCAAAGAAGUCAAAUGCUUUGUAAACAAAAAAAACAAACAGGAAAAAAAGAGAGAGACUUUUAUCCAACCAUUUUAUUUUUCUUAUUGAAAGUGGUUUAUUCAUGUAAAAUGAAAAUUAUAUACAAAACAUUGAGAUCUACCACACAAUUUCUCCAGGAAACAUGGGAACAUGAAGUGGAGUUAAAUUCAUGUGCCUUAAAUUUCUUGAUAAUCUAUCAUACACAUAGUUCACUUUCAUUUACUAGAACUCUUUGUUUUCUUUGCGGGCCAAUGAAGUAACACUAGUCAAAAGGCUCAAAUUUGUUUGGGAAAUCACCAUACUUGUGUGGUAGUUGCACUGAACCAUGUUAUAAAUGUGGUUGUCAAUCUGGAUUAGAGAUAAACAACUCAAAUUAGGGAAAUUGUAUAAAUGUUUUCCAAGGAAAAACAGUUGAAAUCCAAAAGCAAAAAAGGCAAUGCACCAUCAUUAUGAGUUAAAGGCUACACUCAAUCCUGCCUUUCCAUUUUCCAUAGACCAUCAGCAAUUUUUGCAGCCACAUCUAAUAGUAUAGUCAUUCUAUUUGCCCCCAUAUCCUACAAACACUACCCAAAAAUCAAAUUAGGAAAGUUAUAUUGACAAAAAAUUCUUGAAAUUUUUGAAGACAUGCUUAGGACUAGUAAUGUGGUGUCAUAAAUUUUUUAGUUGUUUUGAAUGUUUCAAAGUUGUUGUUGCUAGCUUUUAGGUGUUGGUUGUUUUUCUAUUUUGCAUGUUUUGUUCAUGGCUUAAUCCUUUGUCCAUGUUUAUAGUGGGUAGUUGUCGAUUAAGUUUUUAUUAUAAUUUCUGAUUAUUAAUAAAUUAUUGUUGUUCUAGUUUCUUUUACUUCUACAAUAUCUUUGUAUUUUUCUUCAUCCUUGUUUUUUCUAUAAAAAAAAAAAAAAGUACAAUUGGUAUCAGUGUUUCUACUCUUAAGGGACCAGUGGUGUUUAGGUUGAGUUCUCAAAGAUGCCAUGGAAGCUAAAUCAAGCUUUUCUUCAAUCGCUUCUCCAGUCUUCGAUGGUGACAAUUAUCAAUUCUAGGUCAUUACGAUGGAGACAUACCUUGAUGCUAUGGACCUCUAUGAAGCUAUGGAAAAGGAUUAUGAAAUCAUUUCUCUUCCAAACAAAUCUGAUGAUGGCUCAGAUUAAGCAUCACAAGGAAAGCAAAACAAAGAAGUCUAAGGCAAAAGCCUACUUGUUUGUUGUCGUUUCUUCCACAAUCUUCACUCGCAUCAUGUCAUUAAGAUCAACAAAGGUGAUAUGGGAUUAUCUCAAGAUGGAAUACGAGGAAGAUGAAAGAAUAAGAGGAAUGCAAGUUUUGAAUCUAAUUCGGGACUUUGAGUUGCAGAAGAUGAAGGAGACUGGAUCCAUCAAAGAGUAUUCUGAUAGGUAGCUUAACAUUGCAAACUAAGUUAGAUUACUUGGUUCUUCCUUACCAGACUCAAGGACAGUUGAAAAAAAUCCUUGUGACAGUGCCUGAAAGAUUUGAGGCAUCCAUUACAACCUUAGAAAACACUAAGGACUUCUCAAUGAUCACACUCGCAGAGCUUUUAAAUGCACUACAAGCACAGGAGCAAAGAAGAGUUAUGAGUCAGGACGGUGCUAUCGAGGGAGCUUUACCAAUCAAGCAUCACGUGAAUGCAAGAAAUAACAAGAACAAAAAGGGGAAAACAUCAAGGCUCAAAUGGAGAAUAAACAACCAACAACAAUAAGAGCAAAGCUGGAAACAAAAAAGAACAGCAUCCUCUGUGUCAACAUUGUGGUGGAAAAUCUCAUCUGCAUUUCAAAUGCUGGAGAAGACCUAACACCAAGUGCACCAAAUGCAACCAGAUGGGGCAUGAAACUGUCAUCUGCAAAAACAAAAAUCAACAACAUGGUAAAGAGGCACAUGUUGCUGAUCAAGUGGAGGAUCAACUGUUCGUGGUUGCAUGUUUCUCUAGCAUGGAAUCAAAUGAGAGUUGGCUCAUUGACAGUGGUUAUACUAGGCUCUAAAUGGAAAAAGAAUGACUUUGGGUCAUAAAUGAAAAAUGACUCUUGGUCAUGAGUGAUUCGUGCCCAAUUGGUGUCUCAGCUGAUUCGUGUCCAGCUGGUGCUCCUUGAUUGAGGGAGUAAUCAACAAAAUUUAUAACCUAUUACACCAUGAACUAGGGUAGCAAAGACAAAGCUACUAUAGCAUAGUGGCUCUAGGAUCGUUCACUGGGAUGUGUUUUCACUUCACAAAUGAUAUUAAUUCAAAGCUGAAUUGGUGCCUUUUCAUUUCAAGGUUAUCUUUAAAAGAAAACAUAAAGAUGUUUGAAUGAAAAAGUUUGGUUUUAAACUAACCACAAAAAGUAACUGAUUUUACUUACAAAGAAAAAUGUUUCUUGGAGUUUCAGAUCACUAGGCUCAGAUUCCUCAUACAAAAAGGGAGUUCUGGUCACUUGUUUCUUUUCCUCGCAUUAGAGAAUUAACAUAUAGUUAAUUCUCUAAUCGGUAUUGUACAGAUGCUUCCCAUUAAUGGGUUCAAACACUAAAUCCCUCUCACUGAUGCAACUUGCAAUGGCUCAUGCCUCUUACCUAGCACUUGCCAUUCAAGAUGAUCUUUAACCUUGGAUUACCCGUCAAAAGCUCUCAAGAGAUAACUAAUGGAUGUCUCCUUGGAGUCCAAAAGCUUACCAAGUGUUGGCUAUUCUAGAAAAUCCUACCUUCAAGUCACCUCCCAAAAGCUCGCAAGAGAUAAACUAGUGCAUCUCCAUGGACGGAGAUCACUUGCCUUACCAAGUGUUGGCUCAGGUGAAUUAAAGGCGUUUUAAGUUAACUAAAAAGAUAAAAACCAUUAACGGGUCACACUUUCUCUUCAUUAAAAACUAAAACAACAAAACUUCCAAUUUAUGCAUGCGGAAACUUACCCGGAUUUCCUCACUCCAAGAGACGAAAAGCCUAGCCUCUCAUCCUCUGAGGAAAAAUCCUCAGAGUUUGGUUAACAAGAAAAUGAAAAUGAAAGAGAAGGAAAAACAGAGCAAGGCUUUGUAUAUUCUAUAUAUUUAUAUAUCUAUCUCCCGUCGGAUUACAUGAUGAUUUUGAGAAAAAGCUCCCGAGAGCUAUAUAUAAAGAAAAUUACAAAACAAAAUAUCUGAAGUUAUUCACCCCUUUUCCAAACUUAAUAACUAAGGAAUCCUAUAAUUGGUGGGUUACAAGGAGAAGAAUGGAAAUUUAUACAAAAAUAUCUGAAGAAAAAUAUCCAAAAGUGUCUGUCGCAACUAUCGGGAAGCUUCAGGUGAACACCCGUGCACUGUGCAAACUGGCUGCGAAAUUCUCGCAACAAAAGGCUGAUUUCGCAGCCGUGCAAAAAUCUUCCUUCAGCUUGGAGUGAUCUUCUUGCAAUGGCUGUAACUCCUUCUUUUCAACUCUGAAUCGCGCACCGUUUGAAGCAUUAGAUUUUUAACUUCCUGAGCUUUGAAAUGGUAUAUAGCAUGUAGAAAAUGGACUUCGGUAAGUGCUCCAAAAGUGGCUGACAUUACUGUCAUCAAGAAUACUUCAUGGCAGAUUUCUCUUUGCUUCCCCUCCUUGCAUUCCGGAUUUGCUUAUGGAAAAGGACUUCAAAGCUUUGGUUCUUCAUGUUUCUGAGCUUUCCAUUGCUUUGCCAUGGAUUCCAAAGAACUCUCCUCAAUCUUGGAUUGCUUUGGUGAUAAAAAAACUAUAAAAACACCAAAACUUAACACAAUUUGAUUAGAAUUGAUUGCAAGGGUCCUUAACAUGCCAAUUGAGUUAAAAGGUAAUAACUACUACUCAAAAGUGUUUAAAAGAGUUAAUUACAAGCUAUGAAAUAGCACUUUUUGAGUUGUAAUCAAUGAGCUCUAGGCUCUAAAUGGAAAAAAAUGACUCUAUGUCAUAAAUGAAAAAUGACUCUCGAUCUUGAGCUUUGUGCUCUAAAUGGAAAAAAAAAAUGAAUCUGGGUCGUAGAUGAAAAAUGAAUCUGGGUCAUGAGCUCUGGGCUCUAAAUGGAAAAAAAAACACAUGACAAGGAUCUAUUCAAGGAACUAAGAAACACAAACACAUCGAAGGUUCGAAUUGGAAAUGACUAGUACAUAACCGUGGAAGGAAAUGGAACUGUUGCAAUUUCAAGUUGUUCAAGUACAAAGCUCAUUUCUGAUGUGUUGUAUGUCCCUGAAAUAGAUCAAAAUUUGUUAGGCGAUGGACAACUAAUUGAAAAGGAUUAUAAAGUUGUGUUUGAAGACAAAAGUUGCUUGAUUAAAGAUGUGGUUGGCCAAGAUAUUUUCAAGGUAAAAAUGAGAGGGAAAAGUUUUACUCUAAAUCCAUUAGAGGAGGAGCAAACUGCUUUCCCAAUCAAAGAAAAUAUCAUAGAUGUGUGGCACAAAAGGCUUGGGCAUUAUCAUCAUUAGGGGCUAUUACAAAUGAAAUCUAAGAUGAUGGUGAAUGACCUUCCAGACCUUGAUGAUCACAUUCUAAAUUGCAAAGCAUGUCUGUUUGGAAAGCAAAAUAGAAAACCAUUCCCCAAGGCGGCAUAGAGAGCAUUAAAGAAGCUGCAAUUGAUUCAUUCAAACAUUGCAGACCCUUAAAGAACACCUUCUCUAAAAGACAGUCUUCAUUAUGUUGUAUUUAUUGAUGAUUUUACUCAAAUGUGUUGGAUUUUUUUUUAAAGCAUAAAUUGGAGGUAGCACAAGUCUUCUAGAAAUUUAAAGUCAAAGUUCAAAAUGAGAGUGGUUGUAGAAUUCAAACACUCAUAUCAAAUAAUGGCAAGGAAUACACAUCUGAAUCAUUCAAUCGAUUUUGCAAGCAGGCAAACAUUCAACAUCAAUUUACCACUCCAUAUACUCUACAACAAAAUUGAGUAAGUGAAAGACGGAACAGAUACAUUUUGGAGAUGACAAGAUGUAUGUUACAUAAGAAGAAUCUACUUAAGCAGUUUUGGGCAGAAGUAGCAUACACAAUUGUCUUCUUGCAAAACAGGCUUCCCACAAGAGCAGUGAAGGAUCAAACACCCUUUGAGGCGUGGUAUGGCUAUAAACCAUCCUUACACUUUUUUAAAAUAUUUGGUUGUUUGUGCUUCACUCACAUUCCACAAAUCAAGAGAGAUAAGUUGAAUAAAAGAGCACUUCUAGGCAUCUUCAUUAGUCACAGCUUAGUUAUAAAAGCUUAUAAUGUUUUUCAACCAUAAACUGGAAAUAUUGUUAUAAGCAAGGAUGUGCACUUUGUGGAAAAUGAAAAAUGGAACUGGGAAGAUGCAAAAUAGAAUAAUGGAGAUUAGCAGAAUGACAUGGUAUAUGAUGUUUCGGUUAGAGGCACGAGGUUGCUUUCUGAUGUAUAUCAAAGAUGCAAUAUUGUUGUAUGUGAACCUGUAGACUAUGAAAAAGCAAUGAAGAAUCAGAAUUGGAUGAUUGCAAUGAAGGAGGAGCUAUCAAUGAUGAAAAAAAAAAACAAAACAUGGAUUCUUGUUGAAAGGCCUAGAGAUAGGAAGGUGAUUGGAGUUAAAUGGGUGUAUAGAACUAAGCUUAAUGUUGAUGGUUCUAUUAAAAAAAAAAAAAAAAAAAAACAAGACUUGUUGUGAAAGGUUAUAAUCAAAUUUUUUGUGCGGACUACUUGGAUACCUUUGCUCCAGUUGCUUGAUUAGAUACCAUCAGGUUGCUGCUUGUUGUAGCUGCUUAAAAGGAUUGGAGAGUGUAUCAACUCAAUGUCAUGUACCUUCUUAAAUGAUUACUUGAGGAAAAAAUCUAUGUUGAGCAACUUGAGGGCUUUGUGAAGAAAGGAGAAGAAUACAAGGUUUAUCUUCUCAAGAAGGCUCUUUAUGGCCUGAAACAAGCUCCAAGAACUUGGUAUAGCAGAAUCGAUGAACAUUUGUUGAAUUUAGGAUUUGCUAAAAGCUUAUCUGAAUCAACAUUGUAUGUCAAGCACAACGGAGCUGGCAUUCUUAUCAUCUCACUGUACGUGGAUGAUCUGCUUGUGACUGGGAACCAAACUAGUCUUGUGGAGAAGUUUAAGCUAGAGAUGAUGGAAUUUUUUUAGAUGGUGGAUCUAGGUUUGAUGAAUUUUUUCCUUGGAAUGGAAAUCAAAUAGAGUGAACAUGAAGUUUUUAUUUGUCAAAAAAAAUACGCCAAAGAGAUACUUAAGAAGUUCAAAUUAGAUGAAUGCAAGGAGAUAAGAACUCCUAUAAAUCAAAAGGAGAAGCUCAGUAAAGAUGAUGGAACUGACAAGAUUGAUCAUGCAUAUUUUAGAAGCAUGAUUGGUUGCUUGAUGUAUUUCAUAGCAACAAGGCUUAACAUCUUGAAUGUUGUAAGCAUUUUGUCUCAUUUUAUACAUUGUGCAAGUGAAAUUCAUCUCAAGGUAGCAAAGAGGGUGAUUAGAUAUGUUAAAGGCACCUUUGACUUUGGCAUCAAAUUUACGAGAAGCAAAGAGUUCGAGUUGGUUGGUUUUUCAGAUAGUGAUUGAGGAGGCUCCAUUGAUGAUAUGAGGAGUACUUCAGGUUACUGUUUCACUUUUGGUUAUGGUUUUUUCUCUUGGUGCUUGAAAAAAACAAGAAAUUAUAGCCUAAUCUACAAUUGAAGCAGAGUUUAUUGUUGCCACAACUACAACAAAUCAAGCUAUUUGGCUAAGGAAGAUCUUAAAUGAUCUUAACAUGGAGCAAAAGGAAAGCACGAAGAUACUUAUUGAUAACCAAGCUAUCAUUGUUAUCUCUCAUAAUCCUGUGUUUCAUGGGAAAACUAAGCAUUUUAAUAUUAAGUUAUUCUUCUUAAGAGAAGUGCAGAAAGAUGGAGAUGUGAUUCUUCUCUAUUGCAAAACAAAAGAUCAGGUUGUGGAUGUUUUCACCAAGCCACUGCAAGUUAGCAAAUUUGAAUUUCUAAGGACAAAACUUGGUGUUUGCAAUUCUUGAAGCAAGGAGGAGGGUUGAAGAUGUGCUUAUGACAACUAAUGUGGUUUCAUAAAUUUUUUAGUUGUUUUGAAAGUUUAAAGUUAUUGUUGUUAGCUUUUAGGUGUUGAUUAUUUUCUGUUUUGCAUGUUUUGUUCAUGGUUUAAUCCUUUGUCCACGUUUAUAGUGGGUAGUUGUUGAUUAAGUUUUUAUUAUAAUUUCUGAUGAUUAAUGAAUUAUUGUUGUUAUGGUUUGUUUUACUUUUUCAAUAUCUUUCUAUUUUUCUUCAUCCCUAUUUAAAAAAAAAAAAAAAACUAUAGAAAUCAACAUAAAUCAUGUGGUUUGUUCAUCAUGCUAAUUAAAGAUUUUUUUAACAACAUAGAGCAACAAUCAACUUCACUAAAGCUACCUGCAUCAAGUGCUUUAUUCAACUAUAAAUAGGUUUCAAUAUGAAGAGAAUUUCCCUUAUCCAAUUUAUGUUGCAUGUUUAUUAUAUCGAGACAUCUUUGCAACAAAAUAGAUUAACAUUCAACUUACUUGAUAUGUGAUCAAAUCCAAAUUAACUGCCUACACAACCUGUCUUCAGAUUUUGCAAUUAAUAACAUAGGCUAGGAACCCAGCCAUGGGAUCUAACACUACAAACUACAACCAAUAAAAUAGAUAUAGGAAACAAUUAUUGUCAGAAUCAAAGGAUAAAUGAAUAAGGCUACAUUGUGGUGAGAAAGAAUAUGAACACAUGUUCCAUUGAGUCCAUUUCAUAUAAUGUUAGACAUGUCCUAAUGGAUUAAAUGUCAUUAGCAAAGACAUCAAAAGUAUGAUGAAAAAGAGGAAGUCCAGUAGUAAUCAUUAAUAUAAACUAGUCUAUGAUGCAAGUUAAUGUGGAAUAUUGUCUUGACCUUACAAAUUCUUCUAAAUUGGAUUUUUUUUUUAAAAGCACAAAUAAUGACAUUCAUUAUGGGAUCAUACUUAGCUACCACACAUGCUAGCUAGAGUUCAUGCAUGGACGAGUGGGAGUUAAUAGUAGGCAUCAAAUGGAACUUGUCCCUUAGAUGUCAUCUAGGAUCCUAAACUUGAAGUCUAAGAGUUCCCUUUUAGGUUUAACACCAUUGGUCAUAUAGCCUAAAGAAUUGGAAGACUAACAAAUUCAGAAAUGUAAUGAGAUAUAGUUGGCAUAUGAAAGUGAUAACCUUGAAGUCAAGAUCAUUCAAUCAACCAAACAAUGAUCUAAAGGCAUUUUAAGUAGGAGCCAAGGAGCACAGUGGCUCAGGAAGAGCCACGAAGAUGUCUUCUUUCGAUAAGGAAUAGUUAGAUCAACUUUACAAACUUUUCAAUCUAUACAAUUCUCAAACAACAUGUCUUCCUUUUAUUCUUUGACCUAAAAAGGUUACUACUAUCAAGUUAUUGAAUUUAAUGUAUUUGCUACUUCUAGUUGUCCAAGGAUCACAAAUUCUAAUGCAACUAAUCAUAAGACUAGGUGUGCUAAAUUAAUUUUCUCUCAUAGUUCGUGCAUAGGAAACCAGAAAAUCAAGACAAUUGAUGGUUCUCUUUUAGCAAUUGCUAGGAAAUGAUCAAUAGCUAUUUCAAAAUCUCUUAUUCUUCAUAAAUGUGAAAUAUUUGUUUCCAAAUUUUUCAAAAAUAAAAACCCAUCAGAAUAUGAAGUUGAAGUGUGAAUUUGGAGAUAAACAUGUAUCCCACACAAACAAUGAAACAUGUAAUCAUUCAAAAAGAGGGUAGUUAUGCAACACAUAGUCAUGCAAAAUAGAUAUAUACCAAUAGAAGCGAAUACAAACAAGAGCAGAUAUAUAUAUAUAUAUAUAUAUAUAUGAACAGAUAUAGACAAGCAUAAGCAGAUAUAAACAAACAUGAACAUAUAUAAACAUGAACAGAUACAUGCAAACACAAACAUAUAUAUAUAUAAGCAAAUACACACAAAUAUGAGCAGAUGUAUACAAGCAUUAGAAGAUAUAUAUAAAUAAGCACAAGCAGAUAUAUACGAGUAUGAGUAGAUAUAAGCAUGAAUAGAUGUAAAUACAAAUAGAAAUAAAUAUGAGUAGAUAGAUACAAGCAUAAACAAAUGUAAAAAGAUAUACACAUGUGUGAGUAAACAUAUAUAAGAUAAACAGAUAUAAACAAGCAUGAGUAGAUAUGCACCUAAACAAAUAUAUAAAAAUAAGAAUGAAGAAAUAAAUAAAUAAAUGGUGAGAUACAAUAAUACACAUAUACUAUAUAGAUACAAAAUAAUCAUGUCAGACUCUCACAUGCCCUAAAACACACAAGCAUACAACAAAGGCACAAUGAGAGGGUAUCCACUGAUCGACUAAUCAAAUAUCAUAUUUCCUUCAACUCAAGUUCAAGAUUGAUUUUCUAUGAAGCCAAAGAUUUUGGGUUCGAUCCCUAGUAGAUUCGCUAAUUUGUGGACUCACAUUUUUCAUGUGCACUCCCACUCAAUGGCGAGACUUGCUUUUUAUUGUGAGAAACUGAUUUUUAAGGGAAAAAAAUUAAAGUCGCCACUUAUUUUUAUUAUCUUUUUAAAGGAAAAUAAAAUAAAAAAAUAAAACCCUAAGAAAAAUGACUCUUCAAGUUUUGAAAAAGACUGUCUUUGAAAAACUUAUAUCUAAGUCUGGGGAUCAGGUUACCUAUUAGGAAGAUACAUUGAUUAAGCAAUAGCACUCCACUAAGCUCGUAUAUCUACGAUCUUUAUUAAGCGAAUGGAGGGAAUCAUGUCAAUUGAUUGAUUAAUUAAGGUUACCAAUAAUAGGACAACAAGAUACAUAUAAGUCAUGAGGUGGAAAAAGAGUACACAAGAAUGUACACAAUUAAUGAAUGUGAAAAGCACAAAAUAAAUUUUAAUUAUUGGUUAAAGUUGCAACAUUUCAAAGGAAUUUCAGAAGAAAUUUAUUUUUAUUGGUAAUAAUUCUCAAUUAAAGAUUUCAAACUUAUUUACUCACAAAGUUUCAAUUUAUUUACAAAAUAUUCGAUUUUUAUUCACAUCUAAAAUUAAUUAAAAAAAAUUCUUGAUUUUGAUUGAAUUCGAACUUAUUAAAGAGAAGAGUUUCAAUUUGAUUUUCUAUUUAUAAAGAAAUGAUUUUGGCUUACACUUUAUUAGAAAAGCAAGAUUUUGCAAUUAUAAAGAAACAUCAAUUCUAUUUUUGGAAAAAUGAUUUUUACAAGGAAAAGAGUUUAAUUAUUUGAAUUCUAAGAACAAAAUUUCAAUUUACUAAGAAAACAAAUUUUUACAACUUUUAUUAACGAAAAAUAUUUCCAAAUCAAAUUUAUCUGGAAAGAGAAAUUUUUACAACUUUUAUUUUCGUUAGAUUUUUAUUAAAACAAUUUUCAAGAUUUUUUUUUAUUAAAAAAAUUUUUGGAACUUGAUUCAAACCAUUUUGAAAUUCUUCAUUAAAAUAAAAUUUAGAAUUUUUAUUAAGCAAACUUUUGGAACAUUUUAUCAAACAUAAACUUAGAGAACUUUAAUUUAAGACAAUUUUUUUAAGAAACUUUAAUUUAAAACAAAUUUUAGAGACUUUGAUUAAAACACCAACUUUGAGAAAAUUUACUAAAACACUUUGUUAAUUUUUUAGACUAACUUUAAGGGUUUUUAUUAAACAAAUUUUAGAAUUUAUUUAAGACAAACUUUGAGAAUUUAUUAAGACAGUCAUUAAAACUUCUAAUACUUUUAUGGAAACAAACUUUAAGUAAAUUUAAAAGGCAUAACUUUGAGAACAAUUAUUAAAACAUUUAUUUUGAAAAUUUUAAUUAAACCAAAUUUGAGAACUUUCAUGAUUACGACUUUUAUGAAAACAAACUUUGAGGAUAUGUAUUUAAACACUUAUUUUGAGAAUUUGCAUUAAACAAACCUUAUUUUUUUUAAAAACAAUUUUUUAAAGAACAUUUAUUAAAACACAAUUUUCAAUUAACAAAGUUAUUAUAAAAUGACUUUCUAAAGAACAUUUAUUAAAACACAAUUUUAUGCAAACAAACUUAAUAAAAAAACGAUUUUCUAAGGGACAUUUAUUAAAACACAAUUUUUAGCUAACAAAUUUAUUUAAAACCAAUUUCUAAAGAACAUAUAUUAAAACACAAUUUUCAACUAACAAAUUUAUUAAAAACUGUUUUUUUAAAAGAAUAUUUAUUAAAACACAAUUCUCAAACUUAUUAUAGAAAAUGAUUUUCUAAAGAACAUUUAUUAAAACACUUUUUUCAUAAUUUUCAUUAAAUGGACUAUACAAAUUUUGAUGAUUUGUAUUAAAAAAACAAAUUUCUAGAUUUAUUAAAACACAAAUUUUUGGAUUAUUAAAUUUAAAUCCAUUUUCUAAAUAUAUUUUAAAAAAUCAAUUUCUUGAAUUAUUUUAUUAAAAAAGGAAUUUUAUGAAUUUAUUUAAAAAAUGAUUUUUUUAAUUAUUUAUAUUAAACUAAAUUACUGAAUUUAGUAUAAAAAAAAAACAGUUCUUCCAAAUUAUUUUAUUAAAACAAAUUUUCUACAAUUUAUUGAAUAAAAUAAAGAAAAACUCAAGCAAUAAAGAUAAGUUAAAACCCAAACAUGGCAAGAAAUGAAAUAUGAGACAAAAAAGACUAACAUAAAUAGAAUUAUAGAAAAUUUAAGAUAAAGUGAAAUAUGAGGUAACAAGAUUAACAUAAAUAAAAUUACAAAAAUUUAAAAUAGAAUGAAUUAUGAGACAACAAGACUAACAUAAACAGAAUUAUAAAAAAAUUAGGACAAAAUUUACACAAAUAUAGAAAACUUGAAACAAAAUACAAUACGUAUAAUAACACAUGUCAACACAUUUCAAUAGAAUAAUAAAUAAAAAUGACAAACAUAUAGAUGAGCUGAAAAGUUUAGGUAAAUGUGCAUACAUUCAAAAUGUAGAGUAUAAUGAACAGAUAACCCAACCAAGUAGAGAACUGAAUAAAAGAGAUGGACAAAAUAUUCAACUACCAAAAUGCUCACAAAUAUAAUAAAUAUAAAACAAUAUUAAUCUAAGAAAUCCUAAAAAGAACAUAAACAAAAUACAAAUAAAGAGAUGAGGAAGAAAUAACUUACCUAAAUGGAACCCUAAAUCAAUCAGGCCUCUCCAAACCUCCAAAAGCAACUCCAAGAUACAAUUACAGUAUAAAAAAAUAAAAAAUAAAUAAAAAUGGACAACCCCAAAGUAAAUACACAAUAAGGAAAAACUCUUUCUUAUUAACGAUAUACAAUAAAGAAAUAAAGAAUCUCCAAAAAAAAAAAAAAAAAAAGAACCAAAAAAAACAAAGUAAUGACACUUCUUCUCUCUUUAGCCGUCCUAUUUGCUUAGGGUUUGUUUGCCCUUUAAAUACAAUUUUUAAGACUUCCUCUCUAAGAAAUCCCAUGGGCCCACAACCUAAAAUUUAAAUACCUACAACCCAAUUAAAAUAAAAUAACCCAAACCCAUAACUUAAAAUCUAAAUAUUCACAAUCCAAUUAAAAUAAAAUAACUCGAACCCACAACUUAAAAUCUAAAUACCCACAACCCAAUUAAAAUAAAAUAAGCCAAGCCCAAUUAAAAUAAAGUAACCGAGGCCCACAACAUAAAAUCUAAAUACCCACAACCUAAAUAAAAUAAAAUAACCCAAGCCCAAUUAUAAGGAAAUUUGAAUAUCAAUUAUGCAAUUUUUGGAAAAAAUAAAUAAAUUCAACCUCAUGAAAUUUCUAACAAGUAAAUGAAUAGAUAAGUAAAUAUAAAAAAAAAAAUAGACAAAAUAAAUAAAUAAUAUAAAACAACAACAACAAUAAUAAUAUAGACACUAAACACUGCAAUCGAAAUUCAAAUGUUAACUUAGUGUAAUUAAUGAUAAAAAAGAAAUGUCGAAAUCCCACGAGUAAAUAUUAAAAAUUCAAUCCAAGCAAUCAUAAAAUGAAAACAAAAACAAAAAAAAAUCAAGCCCAAUACUCACUUAAACUCAUAAUCAUGUAAUCAAAACUCAAGAAACAAACCUAAGUGCACUAAGCCUAAAGAAUCUAAGUGAACCUAAGAGGGUUGGGUUGACUUACCUAAAAUGUACCCAAGUGAUCUAAAUGGAAAAAUCUAUAUGUGAACUAAGUGGAAUUUAACCUAAAAAGGUGUCUAAAUGGGUGUAGGUGAGCCUAGAUGAGCCUAAGUGGGCAUGGUGUCCUAGGAAAUGCCUAAUUAUGUUGUCUUAAAAAGGAAAGUGCACCUAAAAGGUCUAACUUAAAAGAAAAAGGAAAAAAAAAAACAACCUAGAUCUAAUUUGAGGUUGCCAAUGGUCACAAUGAGGGGCCACAUAAAUCCCUCAACUAAAGUCUAGAAGGUGGCUCAAAAAAGUAAGUUGUAUGAGUAGCAAUGGGCCACCAAGGAACUACUAUGGGCCAUUGGAAAAGCACUUAACAGAGCACAAGAGAAGCACAAGAAUAUACCUAGUAUCUUAUGUACUUGAAUGACAAAAUUGAGGGUUUACAAACAUGAACUCUAUUAGGCGUAGACACGAUCUACACUUGGGUAAACACUACUGGUUGAGAAACAUAUUUGAGCUAUUAGAGAGAUACUGGGCAUUAGGCGAUGAUUCAUGUACUCGCUAAAGUCAUCAAAUAAGUAUUCUGACAUGACCAUGUGUACCAUAGAAGGUUAGUGGAGACAUUGGGUUGAUGAAUCUAAGAAUCCUAUCAAAGAACUAAAUUCAUUAGGUGUACAAGUACUUUAUAGAAAAUCAUUGUCCAUUCGUCGAUACAAUCACAUCAGUUUAGCCAAAGUACUAAGCAAGAUUAACGAGAAAAAUGAUAGGAUGACUUACAAGAAAAAUAGGGUAAUUAUGCUACAAGUAGCACACAACAAGGCCAUUGCAAAUGUUGAGGAACUAAGUGCAGAAGACAAAAAUGAAAUUCUCUCUUUAUCGCAAUGCAAAUCGGACUUUGAAUAACCAAAUGGCUUCAAAAUAAUUGUCUAAUUUAUUUUCCUCCUCACAUUACAACAAGAUCUUAAUAGUGUAUGUGGAUGUCACAAUUUGUCAAUCUUACCACCAACGUUGAUAAGAUUCACAUAUUGCAUGUGUUAGGGAAUCAAAUAUAGUCGUUUUGAAAACCUUGCAGGAUAGUACAAUAGGAAGACAUAGAUUAGGUGAAGUAGACUUUGUUGUGAAAAAAAAUUGAAAUAAAUUUUACAAUUGACUGAAAGUGAUGGUUCGCUACAACACCAUUAUUCAUAUCAAAUCUAACUUCACAAUUACGAUUUUAUCAGUCCCACCUAUCUUAAUUCAAACCUAUAUAUGAUUUUGCUUUUUGUUGUAUUGCAAGUAGACCCUCAAGCCAAUCUUACAAGUAAGCCUUCCAACCAAUCUUCAAAGUCUAUAAAUGAUUUUAUCUUUAAACACCAUUGCUUGGUUCUAUGCACCAUAUAAACACCUUGAUUUACAACGUAGAUUAAGCAUAUUGUUGAGGAAUAUGUAUGUGAAUGAAAUGGCACUUGAUAUUUUUCAUUUAAAUAUGUCUAUCAAUGUUUUAAACAAAUAUGGAUCAAAUCCUACAUGCAUAGAUCUCCUUUGUUUUCAUCAUUAUUAACAAAUACAUGUAUAGUUGUGCUUACAAGAAGGCGUAAAUGGGAAACGAAGACAAGUUCUAUGUUGUUUUUGUUGGGAGGAGACAAAGCGUGUGCACAAUCUUGGCAUGAAUGCUAAGAGCAAGUUGUUCGUUACAAGGGUAUGCUUACAAAUCAUGCAAAACCCAUCAUGAGAUUGUAUUAGCUUGGGUUAUGUACAAACCUUGAUGGAAAAGACCUAAAACAUCAACUCAAUCAUCCUCAAUGAAGAUGUUAAGCAACUAAUUGGGUCACCAAAGGAUGACGAAGUAAUCAAGAGGACCAAAGAUCACAAAACAAAUUUCCUUGGUGCUUUUCUACUCGAAUGUUGUGUAACAUUCACAAUCAUGUUUAUCAUUCAAAAAUUGUUUUAGUUAUGUUCAAUAGUGAUAUGACUAUGCUAUGCUUUGCGUAUGUUGUUAUUUUUUAUAAAGAUUAGGAGCCAAAUAUUGUCAUUCAAAAGUUGUAUUACAUUUCUUCCAAUGAAUGGUACUAGUUUGUUAUGGAUUUCCAUCAUUUUGAUUUCACAAAAAAAAAAGUUGGAAGACUUAAAUAGCAUGGUUAAUUCUCCUUCAUAAGGUAUUGGAAUGAGCAAAGAAAGAAUAUUACUAAAACUAAAAAAAGAAGAUAUGCAGUUACAAAUUUUAGAUGAUGAAAUUUAAAAAUAAGAGUCAAAAGUGUUUUUCAAAAUCUCUUGAAAUCUUUCAAGAAAGGUAGCCUUAUACACCCCUUGUAUAAUUAGUAUAUCUGCAUUGUACACUUAGUGUAAAUACCUUACACAUUGGCACACUUCCAUAAAAUUAGUAGUGAAUGUGUGCAUAUGGGUGGGUUAACCAUGUUUCCAUUCUGAUGGCUCAAAGAAAAGAGAAAAAUUGAACCCAAAUUUUGUUUCCUAUUCAUCAUUUGUGGAGUAAGUAAUCAAAUGAACAAAUAUGAGGUCGAUAAAGUGCAUAGGAUGAGUGUCAAAUCAAGCAAUGCACAUGAGGAAUGUCCCUCAUCCUUGGCCAAGGGAAAUAAGUGAGCAAGUUUUUCAAAAGCCCUUGAAAUCCUUUAAGAAAUGUAGCCUUGUACACCCCUUAUACAAUUAGUACAUCUACCUUGUACACUUAGUGUGAAUAUCUUGUAUAGUGAUACAAAUUCUAUAGACCUAGUAGUGAAUGUGUGGAUGCGUUAACCAUGUUUCCAUUUUCAUGGCUUAAAAAAAAGGAAAAAAUUGAACCGAAAUUUUCUUUCUCAUUCAUCAUAGUUAGGUACAUAAUUGAAUGAACUUGUAUGAGUUCAAUAACAUGCAUGGAAUGAGUGUGUGAUCAACCAAUGCAUAUGAGGAAUAUCCUCUAUCCUUAACCACAGGAAAUGAGCAAGCAAGUUUUUCAAAAUCCCUUGAAAUCCUUCAACAAAGGUAGCUUUGUACACCCCUUAUACAGUAGUACAUUUGCCUUGUACAUUUAGUGUAAAUAUCUUUUAAAGUGGCACAAAUUCCAUACACUUAGUAGUGAAUGUGUGCAUAUCGGUGUGUUAACCAUGUUUCCAUUCUCAUGGCUCAAAAAAAUAGGAAAAUUGGACCUAAAUUUUGGUUCCCAUUCAUCAUUAGUUAGGUGUGUAAUCGAAUGAAUAUACAUGAGGUAGAUAAAGUGCAUGAGAUGAGUGUGUGAUCAAGCAAUGUGUGUGAAGAAUGUCCCCCAUCCUUGGCCAAGGAAAAUGAGCAAAUGAGUUUUUCAAAAUCCCUUGAAAUCUUUCAAGAAAUGUAGCAUUGUACACCUCUUGUAUAGAUAGUACAUUUGCCUUGUACUCUUAAUGUGAAUACCUUGUACAAUGUGGCACAAAUUCCAUAGACCUUGUACAGUGUGUACAAUGUGAAUACCUCAUACAACUUCUAGUAAAUGUCUACCCGUAAGUGGGUUAACCAUGUUUUCAAUGUUUUGGUUCAAAAUAAAGGAAGGAAAUUUUAAUCCAAAUUUUGUUUGAAAAUGAUCAUUGGUCAGAUCAGUAUUCAAAUAACAAUGUGAAAAUGUAACAAAGUGCAUGAGAUGAGUGUGUAAUCUAGGAGUGUGUGGCAUGAGAUUGUUAAGUCCUUAGGUUACAAGAAAAAAAGGGUGUCAUUCAUAAUCGAUUAAAAUACUACAAAAAAGGUAGCAUUGUAUACCCCUUGUAUAGUUAGUAGAUUGACCUUUCUUGGGAUAAGGGGCUUUUCAUGGAAUAAAUUUCGCUAAUUAUUUCUAAGCAUUUUUUAAAAAAAAAAAAUAAUCACUACACCACAUCUAAAAAAAAAAAUCCUAAGAUACUAGGAAUGCAUUUGAGUUUGUUUCUACUCGAAGUGCUUUCUUAGAAAAUAUUUUUAGGAGAAUCACCUAAAAUGUGUCUCCAAAAAACACAAAAAGUGACUUUUAACACUACAAGUGACUUUUCCUAGGAUUCUUUUGGUUGCCUUUAAGGAAAUAUCUAAGUUUACAUUCACAUCAUUUAACCACUUUGAUAGGCAAGCAAGAAGUAAAGUUCUGUAGAGUUGUGAUAAUUUAGUCAGAGUCUGAGUAAUCUAGAUAAAAUGGAAUACUCCAAUUAUUUUAGAACAUGUAUAAUACUGUUGAACUCAAGAGUGGCCAGUUUGGGAAGUCAAAAGGUGUGAUCCUAUUUUUAGACACAAUGGAUCCUUCUUCCUAAUGGAAGCUUAAAGCUUUAUUUUGAUAGAUGGACAGUUUGUACCCUAAGAUAAAUGGGUAUUGGAGAAUUAUUUGAGAUCACAGGAAGAACACUGGUGGGCCUUUUCUAGAUUAGAUAGGAUAAAGACAAAAAUUUAAGCCAAGAUCCUAACCUUACUUGAGCACAUUAGAAAGGCCCUUUCUUUGGGAAUUGGGAACCUGUAGGUGAAAGGAGACUCAGAAAUAGUCAUUGUACAGGCCAUAAGGGGGAAUAGAGGUACCUAGUGUUGUAAACAUUAGAUGAGAUGGUCCAAUCACAUUUUCUAGUCAGAAUUUAUUCAAAAGUAGUCGGGUUUCUUCAAGCCAAAAUUAUGUAGUAUUGGCAAUUCAGUGAACAUAAUGCUAGAGUUGUACUUGUGGUCAAACAUAAAGAAACUCUCACCCAAUCCUUGAACGCUAAAGAAUUUGAAGAGAGUAAGCUACACCAUGAGGUUUGAGAGGAGAACAUUUUUGAGAUAAAUUCCUCUUCAUUUGUUCCCAAAUCACAAUAUUCACUUUCAGAUGAAAACUUUGAUUUUGAACCAUUUUUUUAAAACCUUUAUUAGUUUAUAAACUUUUCUAGAGAUUAUACCAGUGCUUCUGACAAGCAGAACUAAUGAGGGCAAUGGCUCUCAUAGAUCCAUAUCAUGAAGGACUGCAGUUCAUGGAUUUAAAUUUUGAAGAACAGUAGUUUCAAGAACUCAUAUUUUGAAGAACAGUAGUUGGAUCAGGGAGUCAGAAAUCUGCUAGAAGGUGGUUUGGGGAGGUUUUUAUUUCUCAUGGAUUCUUAGAUUAGAUAUGAGAUUCAAGAAAAUAAAGUUGAUGUAUUGAAUAGAGGUUCAAUUAGGUAUCCUGAAUUUCAAUGUUUCUAUGUUAAUUACUGUCUCCUUAUUUUCCUUACUUUCAUGAUCAUUAUAUUUAUUUGAUUAGGUUAAUUAAAUUAUAGAUAUGAGAUUUGGUACAUCUUAGAUUAAAUUUACACCUUAAAACUAAGAAUUGAAGGAAGGCACACAUUUAUUUCACAAAUGAGAAUGUCUAUUUAUAGGCUUACAACCAAACGGAAAUUGUAAAAAAAUAUCAGCUAACUAUCAGAUUUUAUUGGCACUACUUCUACUAAGUGAAAACAGAAAAUUAUGGAGCAAGAAUAUGAUAUGAAACAAUAACAAAUACUAAAUCUAACUAAGACUUUUUCAAACUUCAGAAGCAAACUCUUAUGAGUUCUAACAUUCCUCCUUGAGAUUUGCCUUGGACAUGCCAAGCUUCAACCUUAGGAACUCCAGCCUUGAUUUAGGAAGUGCCUUAGUCAUUAUGUUAGCAAGUUGCACAUCAAUUGAGAAUAAUGCAACUUGACAAGUGAAUUCUUUUCAGCUUCCCUUAUAGAGUGAAAUUUUACAUUUAUGUGCUUGGUCCUGCCAUGUUGGAUAAGAUUUUGAGCAAUGGCAAUGGCUGACUUGUUGUCACAGUAAAGCUUUGUUGGUAAGCUUUGUUCCUGGCCUCGAUCAGCAAGCAAUUUCCUUAACCAUGUUCCUUGAUUUGUAGCAGCUGCUAAGGAGAUAUACUCAGCUUCUGCAAUUGAUUGUGCCACUACUUCUUACUUUCUUGAAUUCCAGCAAAUGACACAUGAACCGAUUGUAAAUACAUAACCUAAAGUGCUCUUCAUGUCAUCAACACUUCCUGCCUAAUCACUAUCAGCAUAGCCAUCUAGCUUAACUCCUCCUAUCUUUAAAUACCAGAUGCCAAGAUUUAUUGUACCUCUAACAUACUUCAACACCCUUUUUACAACUCCCAUGUGAACAUUGCUUGGUGAACUCAUGAAUCUUGAAAGCAAACCAACUAGAAACAUCAAGUCAGGUUUGGUUGCUGUCAAGUAUAGUAGGUUGCCUACCAACCUUCUAUAUGCAGAGGGUUCCUCAAGUUUCUCACCAUCAUUCUUCAAAAUUUUCUCAUUUUGUGCUAGCAGAGUUGCUACUUCUUUGCAUGAUUCUAGCUUGAAUUUCUUGAGAAUAUCAUCAACAUAUUUUCUCUAUGAAAUGAAGAUACCUGAGCUGCAUUGGUAUAUUUCCAUUCCAAGGAAGUAGUUCAUGAUGCCAAGGUCAGACAUCUCAAAUACAUCUUGCAUUUCCAUUUUGAACUCUAUCAGCAAUCAUACAUUGCUUCCAGUCACUAGCAUGUCAUCAACAUAAAGUGACACUACCAAUUGCAAACCAUCCUCAUUUUCUUUCAAAUACAAAGUAGCUUCAUUUUCACUCCUCCUAAACCCAAAUUGGAUUAGGUGAGAGUCAAUUAUGCUAUACCAGGCCCUUGGUGCUUGCUUCAAACCAUAGAGAGCCUUGUGCGGCUUGUACACUUUGUGUUCAUGCCUAGUAACCUCAAAGUCUUCUGGUUGUUGAACAUAAAUUUCUUCAAGAAGUAUACCAUUUAGAAAAGCUGACUUGACAUCUAAAUGGUACACUUUCCAUCCCAUUUGACCAACAAGUGCAAAUAGUAGCCUUAUAGUGUCAUGUUUGGCUACUAGUGCAAAUAUAUCACCAUAGUCCACUCCAGCAACUUGAGCAAAACCCUUCACAACCAAUCUAGCCUUGUGCUUGAAUAUUAAACCAUCUGAAUUGAAUUUGGUUCUGAAAACCCAUUUUACACCAAUUGCCUUCUUAGCUUCAGGUAAUUCUGUUAACUUCCAAGUUCCAUUUCUUUCAAUAACAUCAAUUUCAACUUUCAUAGCCUCAAUUCAUUCUGGAAAUCUUGCAACUUAUGUGUAACAUGUAGGCUCAACAUGUACAAGAUUGCACCUCUCAUACACAUAGAUCAUGGCCUUACCUUAAGCACUGGUGUGUCUGAAGUUGCUUCAAUAUCAAGUGGAUCUUCAAUACUUGUACUUUCUACUGUUGGUUCAAGAAUAGAUGGAGUGGUUUGAUCACAUUUAUGGGCUUUCUUCAAGUCCCAAUUCUAGUAGGAAUUUUCAUCAAAGUGCACAUCUUUACUUAUCAAUUUUCAUUAUACUCAAGCUAUAAAUUAUGUAACCUUUUGAUUCUACUGCAUACCCAACAAAAACACCUUUCUCAGCUCUUUCAUCAAGCUUGCCUCUCUUGAUAGAUGGCACAUGAAGGUAACAUAAUGAGCCAAACACUUUCAGGUGCUUGACAAAUGGUUUUACACUAGACCAUGCCUCUAUUGGUGUUUUGCUCUGAAUAGACUUAGUCGGUAGUAUGUUAAGAAAAUAUACUAAGGUGCUAAUUGUUUCAGCCCACAAAAGCUUUGGUAGCUUCUUCCCGAAUAGCAUGCACUUUGCCAUCUCCAUUACCGUUUUGUUCUUCCUCACAAAGACUCCAUUAUGCUACGGUGAGUAUCGAGCUGUCAGCCGGUGUACAAUUCUAGUUUCUUAACAAAAAACAUUGAACUCUUUUGAGGUGUAAUCAUCAAUAAAUAGUGCAAAAUAAACAUUGUUGCUCAAUGAGGUUGUGCACAUUGGUCCACAAAUAUCUUAAUGAACUAAUUCCAACUUGUGAGUAGCUUUCUUGGACAUAUUUUGAGGGAAUGAUUUGCGAUGUUGCUUCCCUAGAUCACAACUUUCACAAGUUUGAGCAUUAAUUGUGAUUUCAAGCAUGUCUUCAACCAUACCAGCUUCUUGCAUGAACUUCAAUGACUUCAAGUUGAAAUGACCAUAUCUUUUGUGCCAAACAACACUCUCAUCAAUCUUGGCACUAAAGACAUGAUCUUCAACUAAAUCAAGCUUCAAAUAAAAGUUAUUUCCAUUCAUUUGAAUUUUUGCUAUCUCUGUUCCAUGUACAUCAGUGAUAAAACAAACAUUUUCUUUAAAAGAUACUGCAUAUCCAUUUCUUAACAUUUGUGUAACACUAAGAAGAUUUUGAUCUAGUUCUGGAAUGUAAAAAACAUUAGUGACAAUUUUUGUACCUCUCUUGGUGCUAAUAGCAAUUGUCCAUUUUCCUUUGGCCUGCACAAUUUCACAAUUUCCUAACUUAACCUUUGGUUGAACUAAUCUAUCAAUGGAGGUAAAAAUUGAUAAAUGUUUGGUCAUGUGAUUGGUGCAGCCACUGUCAAUGAGUCAAGUAUUAAGUUUAUGAGAACUGAGUACUUGUGAUGCCAUAAAUAAAUGCUCAUCAUCAUCUUUGUCUUCUUAAAUCAUAUUUUCAUGUUGUUUGUGUUUGCUGUUGAGAUUGUUUUUUCUUGGCUCUGCAAUACUUCUCACUGUGGCCAAUUUUAUUAUAUAAAUUACAAUUAAAAUGAGGUUUACCUUUGUACCAACAAUCUUUCUCAACAUGGUUGGUUCUGCUGCAAUGAAAGCAACGCAAAAAGUUUUCUUUUUUGAAGAUCCUUCAAUUUUCCCUUUGUUGUUCUUAAAGAACUUAUUUCCUUAUAGGUUUCCAGAACUCUUUCCCUUAUGAUUUGCUUGAAAGCACCUUCAGUAGCUUCAUCACCUCUCAUUAAGACCCUUUGCUCCUAUGCAUGAUGAUUCAUGCCCAAUUGGUGUCUCAGCUGAUUCAUGUCCAGCUGGUGCUCCUUGUUUGAGGGAGUAAUCAACAAAAUUUAUAACCUAUUACACCAUUAACUAGGGUAGCAAAGAAAAAGCUACUAUAGUAUAGUGGCUCUAGGAUCGUUCACUCGGAAGGGUUUCCAAAUUACAAAUGAUACCAAUUCAAAGUGAAUUGGUACUUUUUCAUUUCAAGGUUAGCUCAAGAAAUAAAACAAAAACUUUGAUUGGUAAAGAUUUAGAUUUAAAAUGACUACAAAGCAAGUGAUGGAAAUUACUUAGGAAGAAAAACAUUCCUUGGAGGGUCAGGUUCACUGGGGAGGUUCCUCAUGCAAAAGACAUAGCUCAGGUUAGUUGGUUCAUUUCCUCGCGUGAGAGAAUCAACAUAUAGUCAAUUCUCUAACCGGUGUUGUACAUAUACAUCCUUUAAUUAGAUUUCAGCUUUAAUUCUCUCACUGAUGCAACUUGCAACAGUUCGAGCCUCUCACUAAGCCUUAACCAUUUAAGGUGAUCUUUAACCUUGGACUUCCUUUCUCAAGCUCGCAAGAGAUAACUAAUGGAUGUCUCCUUGGAGUCCAAAAGCUUACCAAGUGUUGGCAAUUCCAAAAAAUCCUACCUUCAAGUCACCUCUCAGAGGCUCGCAAGGGGUAAACUAGUGCAUCUCCAUGGUUGGAGAUCACUUGCCUUACCAAGUGUUGGCUCAGGUGACUCUAAGGUGUUUUAAGUUAACUAAAAACAUAGAAAUCACUAAAGGAUUUCACUUCCUCUUCAUUCAUGGCUGAAACCAUAAAGCUCUGCAUUCUUGCACUUGGAACCUUUCCCGGCAACCUUAGCUCCAAGGAACUAAAGGUUUAGUUACUCAUUCUCUGGAGAAACUUCCUCAGAGAGUGCAUAACUUAGAAAAAAAUGAAAAAUACAAAGUGAGAAGGUAAGGCAAAAAAAAGGUCCUCACUUUCCUCCUCGAGAACAGGCUCUCGAGAGAUAUUUAUAUCAACAAAAACAAAUACUAAUUAUUACAUGGAUAUUUACUCUUUUUACUAACUUAAAAGCUAAGGAAUCUUAUAAUUGGUGGCUUUCAAGGAGAAUUUUGGGAUUUAGAGAACAAAAAUCUGAUGAAAAAUAUCUCCCAAUGUCAGAAGCAAAUAUCAGGACGCACUAAGGAUCAUUUCACAAGUGAAAAUGAUGUCUGCGAGAUUUCAUAGAGGCACAAAAAGGGCUGCGAAAUCAUUUUGCAACAAACGGCUAAUCUCGCAGCGCUGCGAAGUUGGCUUUCAGCUUGCGGUGUUCGGCUUCCAACGUGUCACAUAUAUCGGGAAACUUCAGGAGGAAUUCCACAACACUGUGCAAAAAGGCUACGAAAUCAUUUCGCAACAAAAGGGUGAUUUCGCAACACUUUGCAAAAUUCUUCCUUCAACUUAGAGUGAUUAACUUGAAAUGGCUGUAACUUCUUCAUUUUAACUCCAAAUUGCGUACCGUUUGAAGCAUUGGAUUGUUAACUUCCUGAGCUUCGAAACAACAUAUAGUAUACAUGAAUUAGACUUCAGAAAGUUCUCCCAAAGUGGCUGACAUGACUGUCAUCAAGAAUAUGCUUCAUGACAUAUUUCUCUUUGCUUCUUCUCCUUACAUUCUGGAUUUACUCAUGGCAUCAAAGGACUUCAAAGCUUUAGUUCUUCACGUUUCUGAGCUUCAAAUUGCUUUUCCAAAGAUUCCACAUAACUCUCCUCAAUCUCGGAUUGCUUUGGUGAUCAAAAAGGCUAUCAAAACACCAAAACUUAACACAUAUUGAUUAGAAGUGCUUGCAAAGGUCCUUAAUAUGUUAAUUGGGUUAAAAGGCAAUAACUACUACUCAAAAGUGUUUAAAAGAGUUAAUUACAAGUUAUGAAAUAGCACAUUUUGAGUAGUAAUCACUCCCCCCAACCGACAUAUUGCUAGUCCCUUAGCAAUGAAGGAGAGAAAAAUAAAAAUAAAAAUUACUAUAAUUUACAACAUCAUGCUAAUUACUUCAAAAAAUUUUAAGUGGCAUGAUGAUCUAACUCCCACAUGGAACAUUGAAGAAAUAUAAACUCAAAUUCAACAAGAGUUAUCAAAAACUUUGCUAAACACUAUUAAUCAAGGGAAUGCAUUAUGCAAACUGAAGUUUUAAAAUCAUUUUCACUUUCAAAGAACCAAACUUUAUUCUUCCACAAAAAUCUAAGUGUAUGAUUCCUUAGCUUCCGAAUAUAGUAUGCUAAACUAAUCUCUCCCCCCAACCUAUCUCUUUUUAACACUUAGCAAACUGACCAAAUUCAAUAGGCAGAGAACACACUUUUAUUUUUUUUUUUUAAAGAGGCUUAAAGGGGAGUUCUUUCUGAAUUGUCCAUAUAACGGGGGUCCAUCUAUGACUCCCAACCAAUUAAGGUUUAGGGCAUCAAGUUUUAAGGAUCUUUCAACCACUAACUCCUCGAAUUUUACCCUGGACUUUUGAGAAUGAUUGAUUUUUUAAUACCCAAGCACCUAACAUAUGCUAACUCCACCUAUCCACCCUUGUAACGAGCAUUGAGUUCGGUGACUCCCAACCAAUUAAGGCUUAGGGCACCAGGUUUUAAAGAUUUUCACCAUAUACCCCUCAAACCUUGCUCGGGUUUCAAGACAAGCAAACAUUUUUCUUUCUUUAUUUCAAAGGCUCAUUGGCCUUUCAUAAGGUGUCUCAACUUUAUCAAAUGAGGUCAAAUGUACCAAGUCCCAAAAUUUUCCUAAGUCAAGAGGGAAAUAGUUUUUCAUCUUAUACUCGGAACCUAUUGUGCACAGUGUGUGAAUAGCUUAAAGUGGAAGAACUAAACUUGAUUUCAAGAGAAGCUUCAACAAUUGAACCACUUUAGUAAGCAUAAUCCAUACUCUAAGUCAAGUGAAAAGCAACAAUUCAAUUUCUUCUGAUUUAAUUUGAAAAUUUUUCCUCAAAAUCCAUGGAGAUUAGAGUGGACUGUAAAAGAUUACAACUAAUUUAUCAACAUAAUUGCAUUACCAAAAUAACUUAGCAUACUUCCUUCUUCAUUUCUCCCCCCCCCCCCCCCAACCGAACUGAGCAUUGUCCUCAAUGUGAUAUGGGUGAUUGCAAUUAAAGGGAGGAAGUGAUACCUCCUGAGUGAUGUCAAUUUCGAAUACUGAUUGGAGAAACCACAUGUUUCAAAAACAAUAAAAGAUAUGAGUAGAGGAAUUAGGAUAAAAUAAUGCUAAGAAUACUAAAAAAUUGAUAGAUUUGUAUUACUUCAUUUGAUGAAAAUACAAAAAGAGAACAAGUAAUACAAUUAAUCCCAGUAUAUAAUAUCAAAAGCAUGGGAUUUCUAAAGCUACUCCAGUAAGGAAAAUAUAAGGGAAAUACAUAAAGGACAUAUAUAAAGGAAACUAUGAAAAUGAUCAGAUGGUAGUUGGAGGAUGAUGUGAAGAUGAUGGCUCAGCUGCCUCUGCCUCUCCUAUAGUCGGCUCCUCAGGAGGCAUAGUCUGAUGUACAAAAGGAGGGGCCUGUGAUGGCUCUGGUGGGAUAGGAAUGGAGUGCUCAGCAGGUGAUAUAAUACCCAGAUGAUGCUGAAUCUGCCUCAAGAUGGCGGUGUGCUGGGUCUAAGUGACGAACAUCUGCUCUUGGCAUGCUCUAAUGGCUGCCAUCUCCUGAGCAAGGCUGCUGUGAGAUGCAGUGAGAGUCUGCAGUGAGCGACAUAACUCCCUAUACUCAGAAAUGGGAAUGGCCAUCCUGGGCUCAGCUGAAGAAGAUGGUUGUGAUGAGGCUGGAGUGACUGGAGGGGCUCUGGAUAUGACAGGAGAGGCAAUGGGUAUACCCUCAAGUAUCUCAGCUGGCUGUGGCCGCCCUGGCUGCUCAACUCUAUAUGCUGUCAUAUUGUUCCAUUUGUCGAGAGUGAAGACCUCUCGGCAAAUACAUUUGUGCUCCAAAUGAGGAUAUGAUGGAUACCCCAGAUGCUCUAGAAUCUGGCAUAGCAGCCGUGGAAAGAGAAGUGGAAUGGCAUCAGCUCUAUGCAGCUUCUUCUUAUGCAACUUCUCUUCCAAAUAGAGAAGGGCAACCAUAAUUAGGUGGUGAGGGCCAAAGAAAUAUCCCUCAGAAAUCUUGAAUAGGGCCUCCAAAAGUACUCCUCUCCUCUGAGUCCAAUGCUGGAGUGGGUAGAUGUUAUGACGUAGAAAUGCAUCAAUAAGAAACAUGUUUGGAGGAAGUUCCCCCCUCAACAAAUGUGGACGUGUGGAAGCUCCUCUGGACAAGGUAUGUACCAUCUCCAGCUCAGUGGGACUAGUCCACACUCUAAAAUCUUCAAAAUGAGUUGGCUCAUAUGGUAUAUGCAAGGCCUCUACUAUAUGGCGAGCUCCCAAAAUGCCAUGCCGACCAUCUAUAGUAAAAUAAAUUAAAGUAGGAUCUCUGACCUGCUUGGUAGUCAUGAACUGAUAAAAAUCCAUGGCUACCCUGGGGUAGAAGAAGUCUCUAGGGGCCAGCAGCUGCACCAUAUGAUAUCUACGCAAUAGGCGGAAAGAAUCCGCUAGCUCCGACCUCAAUUGGAAGGUUGCUGUGUUAAAGCACAGCUCAAAGUGGAAUGGCCACGCUCUGCAGUCCAAAUUCCCUUCUAUUAGCGGUUGAGUGAGCAUUGGACGCCUAAUUAUCACUUCAGGAGCUACCCCAGAUGGAAUUUGGGGUUCAGAAAGUGGCGGCUAGAGCUCCUGAGGCUGUGCUGGCGGCGCCGGAGAUGGCACCAGAGAUGGCGCUGGAGAGGGCUCUGGUGAGGGAACCGGGGACUGCUCUGUUAAGUCUAUAGGCUCUGAGCUUUCAACCCUGGCCCUCCUUUGCAGGGGUCGACCCCCUGACCUAGUAAGAUAACGCCUCGCCGAAGGCUUCUGCGGCACGGGCUUCGCCGGAGGGAAAACAACUUUUGGCCAUGGAGGUUCAGAGGUAGGAUCUGGAAUGGGCUCCUCUCGCGGAACUCAUUUGCGGCUGGAAGGAGAGGAGGACUUGGCUCCUCUGGUUCACACCAUUUCGGAUUACCGAAAUUUAGCUGGAAGUGAUGACCGGAGAAGAUGAUCGAAGGUUUGCACGACGUCGGGCUCGGGCAAGGAGAUGAACAGUCAGCAACUAUGGCGCGCUCUCUUUUUGAAAUCCUUUCGCAGCUCAAAUGACCGGUAUAUAUAAAAAUAACGGAAUAUUAAGGGUCAUUUUGAGUUUCGCAAAAAAAAAACCAAUUUCGCAGCAAAAAGCUAUUUUCGCAGCCUACUUCGUAGUCCGUUUCUCAGUUGCGAAAUGAGUGUCACUGUGCUGCGAAAUGGCACUCGUGUGCCAAAAUCAAUUUCGCAACUGCGAAAUACCCUGCGGAAUGGAACUUUGGAUGCGAAAUCAGGGAUUUUCAUGCUUUAUAGCUUCGCAGCCAUUUUGCAGCUGCGAAUUGGGGGCUCCUGUGCUACAAAGUGGCACUCGUGUGCCAAAAUCGGUUUCGCAGAAGAGUCAAAUGAGUUGCGAAAUGAUUUCGCAAAGGAUGGCCGCUUUCGCAGAGACAUGCUGAUUUCGCAGCAGCUUCGUUUAAGUUGCGAAAUGGUUUCGCAACGAAGUGCUAAUUUCGCAGAGGAUUUCCUUAGGCUGCGAAGUCUCGCAGAGCCUUGUUUUUGCUCUGUUUACACUCUGUUUUUGCUCUAUUUUUGGUCCGAUUUUGCUCCGGUUUCUUUCUUUCAAUUUCUUUGCAUUUUAUCCCACCUGAGAUCAUUCAAAAACAUUAAAUUACAUUAAAAAAAACAUACUUUAAGAUAAAAAAUUAAAAUGAAAAGUAUGGAAAAAAACUUUGAAAUUUACAAAAUUUACAAAAAUUUUGGACUUUGGUAAAACCAAGUCCAUCAAACCCUUAUUUGCUUAGGCUUUUUGUGGCUCAAGGAGGUUGAUUUCCUCAUUUUCUGGUUUGAAUGGCUCCAUGAACGACUUGAGACGAUAUCCAUUGACUCUAAAGGUAUCUUUGCCAUUGGAAUUCAAUAAUUCCACCACUCCAUUGACAUAUACUUGGUGAAUAAUGAACGGCCCUAUCCACCUUGACUUGAGCUUUCCAGGAAAGAUAUGGAGUCUUGUGUCAUAAAGUAAAAAUCUUUGUCCUUUCUGAAAUUCUUUGUUGGAGAUUAGUUGAUCAUGUCAUUUCUUCAUCCUCUGUUUUGCAACUUUGGAAUUGAUAUAAGCAUCAUUUCUUAAUUCCUCCAUCUCAUUAAGGUCUAGACACCUCUUUGCUCCGGCUCUGAUCAAGUCCAUGUUCAGCUUCUUUAUUGCCCACCAAGCUUUGUAUUCAACUUCCACAAGGAGAUGGCAUGCUUUGCCAUAGAAAAUACGAUAGGGAGACAUGUCGAGAAUAGUCUUAUAAGUUGUUCUAUACGCCCAUAAUGAAUCAUGAAGCCUAAUAGACCAAUCUUUUCUACUUGCAUUCACCACUUUCAUCAAUAUGUUCUUUAUUUCCCUGUUAGCUAGCUCAACUUGCCCCGAAGUCUGAGGAUGAUAAGGCGUAGCUACCUUAUGCUUCACUCCAUACUUGGAUAAUAGAGCUUCAAAAGGUUUGUUGCAAAAAUGAGCACCUUCAUCACUGAUUAUGGCUUUGGGCACCCCAAAUCUUGAGAAAAUGUUCUCUUUAAGGAAUUUGAGAACCACCCUAUGAUCAUUUUGUCUACAAGGGAUUGCCUCAACCCAUUUAGAAACAUAAUCCACCCCCACCAACAUGUAAGAAUUACCAAAAGACAUUGGGAAAGGCCCCAUGAAGUCAAUACCUCAUACAUCAAAUAGCUCAACUAUUAGAAUGGGGUUCAUAGGCAUUUGAUUCCUUUUUGUUAGCUUUCCAAGCCUUUGGCAUCUAUCACAACUUCUAUACAUGAUGUGGGCAUCUUUGAAAAGAGAUGGCCAAGUAAACCCUGAUUGCAACACCUUCAUGGUUGUUUUCUGAGAGGCAAAGUGACCUCCACAUGCAUUCUCAUGACAAUGGUUUAGAAUCCCUUGCUGCUCAUCUUCAGGGACACACUUCCUUAUGAUCUGAUCUGCACAAUACUUAAAAAGGAAAGGCUCUUCCCAAUAAUAAGCAUGAAUUUUUGAAAAGAAGUGCUUCCUGUCCUGUGCAUUCCACUCACUUGGAAUUUCACCAGUAACUAGAUAAUUAGCAAUAUGAGCAUACCAAGGAGUUUUUACUAGGAACAUAAGUGAUUCCUCAGGAAAGUCAUCAUUAAUAGGCAAGGAAUAGGAAUUAUGUGUUAUAACUAACCUUGAAAGAUGGUCAGCUACCACAUUCUCCACUCAUUUCUUAUCUUUGAUUUGGAGAUCGAAUUCUUGUAGCAAAAGAAUCCAUCUAAUCAACCUUGCUUUUGCAUCUUGCUUUGUCAAUAAAUACUUCAAGGCUGAAUGGUCAAUGAAAACAAUGAUGAAAGACCCCACUAAAUAAGCAUGAAAUUUGUCCAAGGCAAAUACCACAGCUAUCAAUUCUUUCUUUGUAGUUAUGUAGUUCCUUUGAGCUUCAUUCAGUGUUUUGCUUGCAUAGUAGAUCACAUAGGGCUUCCCAUCUUCUCUUUGGCCAAGCACAGCUCCUAUAGCAAAGUCACUGGUAUCACACAUCAGUUCAAAGGGUAGUUGCCAGUUAGGGGCUCUCACUAUUGGAGUUGUUGUUAAAAAUUUCUUCAGUUGAUCAAAGCUAUUUUGACAUCUUUCAUGCCAUAUAAACUUAGCAUCCUUAGCUAACAGCUCACAAAGAGGUUUUGAAAGACUUGAAAAACCUUUUAUAAACCUCCUAUAGAACCCUGCAUGGCCAAGGAACUGUCUUACUCCUUUCACAGUUGUUGGGGAUGGUAAUUUGACAAUAAGCUCCACCUUUGCUUUAUCAACUUCAAUGCCUUUUUCGGAGAUAAUAUGGCCAAGGACAAUUCCUUGACGUACCAUAAAAUGGCAUUUCUCCCAGUUGAGCACCAAGUCUUUUUCAAUUCAUCUGUGAAGAACCGCUUCCAAAUUGAUUAAGCAUUCCUCAAAUGUACCUCCAUAUACGGUGAUGUCAUCCAUGAAAACCUCCAUAAUUCGCUCCACCAUAUCACUGAAAAUACUCAACAUACAUCUUUGAAAUGUUGCAGGUGCAUUGCAUAAACCAAAUGGCAUCCUUCUGUAAGCAUAUGUUCCAAAUGGACAUGUAAAGGUGGUUUUUUCCUAAUCUUCCACAUCAAUUUCAAUCUGAAAAUACCCUGAAUACCUGUCCAAGAAACAAUAAAACGGAUGGCCAGAGACUUUCUCCAGCACUUGGUCAAUAAAUGGCAAUGGAAAAUGAUCUUUCCUGGUUACAGCAUUCAACUUUCUAUAAUCAAUACACACCCUCCAACCUGAAGUGAGGCGUGUAGUAAUUUCUUCCCCUUUUUCGUUCUGAACCACAGCAAUCCCUGCCUUCUUUGGUACCACUUGAGUAGGACUCACCCAAGGGCUAUCAGAUAUAGGGUAAAUAAUGCCUGCUUGAAGUAGCUUCAGCACCUCAGCUCGCACCACCUCUUGUAAAUGAGGAUUCAAUCUUCUUUGAAGUUGACGAAUUGGCUUUGCUUCCUCCUCCAUAUAUAUAUGAUGCGUGCAAACUAAAGGACUAAUGCCUUUCAAGUCGGAUAUUUGCCAUCCUAUUGCCUUCUUACACCUCUUGAGAACUUGCAGUAAAGACUUCUCUUGAUGACUGGUCAGAGAUGAAGAUAUUACAACAGGACAUUGAUUAUUUUCCUCAAGGUAUGUAUAUUUCAGCUCCACGGGUAGAGGCUUCAGAUUGAGUUUUGGAGUUUCUUUUUCAGCAACUGCCUCUUCUUCUUUAUUGAACAAAGGUAGAAUCUCUUCUAUCCUUCUCCAACAUUGUAGAGUAGCAAGCACAUUAGGAGGUUCAGACAAACCUUUCUCAAAAUCCACAAGACUUUCAUUCAGCUUGUCCUGCAUAUUCUGAUUACAGUGCUCCUCUACCAAAGUGUCAAUGAUGCACACCUCUUCUGGACCCUCUUCUUCUUCCGGAGUGGUUUGCUUUUUAGACAUAUAGAAGAUAUUGAGAUCAAGUGUCAUGUUGCCAAAAGUGAGUUGCAUAAGCCCAUUCCUACAGUUGAUGAUUGCAUUUGAGGUAGCAAGGAAUGACCUUCCAAGGAUGAUAGGAACUAAAUUAGCUUCCUUUACAGUAGGGUCUGUAUCAAGAACAAUAAAAUCUACCGGAUAGUAGAAAUUAUCAACUUGAACCAAGACAUCCUCAAUUACCCCCCUUGGAAUUUUUACUGAUCUAUCUGCUAGAGAUAGAGUGAUUGUCAUUGGCUUCAACUCACCAAGUCCCAAUUGCUUGUAGACAGAGUAUGGAAGCAAAUUCACACUUGCUCCCAAGUCUAACAAAGCUUUCUCCACUACCUUUUCUCCAAUCAUGACUGAAAUGGUAGGACUUCCCGGAUCUUUGUACUUCAAUGGAGACUUACAUUGUAAGAUUGCACUUACUUGCUCAGUCAAGAAGGCUUUCUUAUUUACAGUCAACCCAUUUUUAAUAGUACAUAAAUCCUUUAGGAACUUUGCAUAUGUUGGAACUUGUUUAAUCAUAUCCAGCAAUGGGAUAUUGACUUUCACUUGUCUCAAUACUUCAAGAAUUUCAAAUGCAUUUCUAAUCCCAUUUUUCCCAUGCAAUGCUUGAGGAAAAGGAGGAGAAGUUGAUUUUUUAAGCAUUUCUUCUUUUUGAAGCUCCUUCUCUGGAAUUGCAUUCAUUGUUGAAUCAUAGUCCUUCUUCUUUUCACUGAUCUCACUCUCUUUGUCUUCCAUUUCCUCCCCUUUCUUUAUCUCUUCUUCUUUCUCAACAUGUGGCUUGGGUGUUGGCUUCUCAAUUUUUUUACCACUCCUUAAAGUGAUCAAGGCUUUGACAUCUUUCAUCUGUGAUGAUUCUCCCUCAAGGCUUUCCACUUCAUGGACACCCUUGGGGUUUUGGUGGGGUUGAGAAGGAAAUCUUCUCUUUUCUUGUACUGUGUUCAAAUUUGUGAGCCUUGAAAUUGAGUAUUGGAGAUUAUCAAACUUUUGGGAUAUAUCAUUUUGCAUUUCAUCCAUCAUUUUAUUCAAAGUACUCUCCACUCUGUCAAUUCUUUGAUUGAGUUGAGCAUUGAUGGCUUCUUGGUUUCCAACAAAAUCUCCCACUACCUUGCUGAGAUUUGCUAUUGCUUGUUCAAGACUUGAAGAUUGUUGAGAUGGUUGAUCCAGCUGUUGGUACUGAGCUGCUCUAGCCUUCCAUGAGAAAUUUGGAUGAUUCCUCCAACUUGAGUUGUAAGUAUUUCCAUAAGGCGCAUUGUUAUUAAGCUUGAAUUGUCCAACAAGAUUUGCUUGAUCUCUAAACAUUUCCCUUUCAGCUGAAAUUGCAGGGCAUUCCUCCACCAAAUGUUCAUAUGAUUGACAAUUAGGACAAAGCUUCACUUGCACUAGUGCUUCAGCAACAGCUUGCACUUCAUGCACUUUCUUCAGUUCCAGCUCCUCCAAUCUUCUUGUCACAGCUGCCAAUUUUGCUUUCAUAUCAUCAUCUUCUUUCAAGGUAUACAUCCCAGCCUUAGCAUUAAAAGCACUCAGUUGAGACUUCAUCUUCCCCACUUCUCUUUUGAUUGGUUCAUCCCAUCCCCUUGAAACUUCAGCUACAUAGUUCAAGAAAUCCAUAGCUUCCUCCGGAUUUUUGCUCAUGAAAUCUCCUCCACACAUUGUCUUGAGGAGUUGCUUCAUUAAGGAAGACAUCCCAUCAUAAAAAUAGCUCACCAAUAGCCAAGUAUCAAAUCCAUGGUGAGGGCAAGCAUUUAUAGCUUCCAUGUAUCUUUCCCAACACUCAUAGAAUUUCUCAUUCUCUUUAGCUGAGAAAUUUGAAAUUUGCCUUUUCAAGCCAUUUGUUCUAUGAGUGGGAACAAAUUUCUUGAGGAAUUCAGCUUGUAAGUCAGUCCAAGUGCGGAUACUCCUUGGCCUUAAAGAAUUAAGCCAAAUUUUGGCCUUAUCCUUUAAAGUAAAAGGAAAUAACUUAAGCCUCAUCAAAUCAAUUGAAGCUCCUCCCUCUUGGAAUGUAUUACAAACAUUUUCAAAUUCCUUGAUGUGUGCAUAGGGAUUCUCACUUUCCAUCCCAUGGAAAGUUGGUAGAAGUGGAACAAGAUACGGUCUGAUCACUAGCUGCUCUGUAGGGGGCACUAUACAUGAUGGUGCACUCAUACGAGGUGGAUGCAUACGAUCCCUCAUUGAUCUGAAUUCAUUAAGAUUGUCUUGACGACCUUGGUGACUAUGUUGAUCUUCAGGUGUAGCUUCCAUGAUAUUCAAGCUCAAUUCCAAUUCCUUGUUAUGAGGUGUAUCACGUUUAACAAGCCUUCCUCCAUUGUCUCGUAUCCAAUUUGGCAUACACAACUAGUAUCUAUCUGUAACUAAAAUGAAAAUAAAGGACAACAAAAGGAAACAGGGCUACAACAACAAAAUUAAACUAAGCUGAAUUUAAAAGAUAAAUUUGGAUUAUGAAUUAGUAAAGAAAGAAUGAGAAUUAGUAAAAUGAAAGAAACGUUACCAAACUUGUGAUGAAAAUCACAAGUGCUCUGAAAUAGUAUCACUAUAAACUUGACACCUUCCCCGGCAACGGCGCUAUUUGAUUCAUGCCCAAUUGGUGUCUCAGUUGAUUCAUGUCCAGCUGGUGCUCCUUGUUUGAGGGAGUAAUCAACAAAAUUUAUAACCUAUUACACCAUAUACUAGGGUAGCAAAGAAAAAGCUACUAUAGUAUAGUGGCUCUAGGAUCGUUCACUCGGAAGGGUUUCCAAAUUACAAAUGAUACCAAUUCAAAGUGAAUUAGUACAUUUUCAUUUCAAGGUUAGCUCAAGAAAUAAAACAAAAACUUUGAUUGGUAAAGAUUUAGAUUUAAAAUGACUACAAAGCAAGUGAUGGAAAUUACUUAGGAAGAAAAACAUUCCUUGGAGGGUCAGGUUCACUGGGGAGGUUCCUCAUGCAAAAGACAUAGCUCAGGUCAGUUGGUUCAUUUCCUCGCAUGAGAGAAUCAACAUAUAGUCAAUUCUCUAACCGGUGUUGUACAGAUACAUCCUUUAAUUAGAUUUCAGCUUUAAUUCUCUCACUGAUGCAACUUGCAACGGUUCGAGCCUCUCACUAAGCCUUAACCAUUCAAGGUGAUCUUUAACCUUGGACUUCCCUUCUCAAGCUCGCAAGAGAUAACUAAUGGAUGUCUCCUUGGAGUCCAAAAGCUUACCAAGUGUUGGCAAUUCCAGAAAAUCCUACCUUCAAGUCACCUCCCAGAGGCUCGCAAGGGGUAAACUAGUGCAUCUCCAUGGUUGGAGAUCACUUGCCUUACCAAGUGUUGGCCCAGGUGACUCUAAGGUGUUUUAAGUUAACUAAAAACAUAGAAAUCACUAAAGGAUUUCACUUCCUCUUCAUUCAUGGUUGAAACCAUAAAGCUCUGCAUUCUUGCACUUGGAACCUUUCCCGGCAACCUUAGCUCCAAGGAACUAAAGGUUUAGUUACUCAUUCUCUGGAGAAACUUCAUCAGAGACUGCAUAACUUAGAAAAAAAAUGAAAAAUACAAAGUGAGAAGGUAAGGCAAAACAAAGGUCCUCACUUUUACUUGCUUUCAAACUUUUACAUAAGGGUUCCUCCCUGAGAACAGGCUCUCGAGAGCUAUUUAUAUAAACAAAAACAAAUACUAAUUAUGACAUGGAUAUUUACUCUUUUUACUAACUUAAAAGCUAAGGAAUCUUAUAAUUGGUGGCUUUCAAGGAGAAUUUUGGAAUUUAGACAACAAAAAUCUGAUGAAAAAUAUCUCCCAAUGUCGAUAGCAAAUAUCGGGAUGCACUAAGGAUCAUUUCGCAAGUGAAAAUGAUGUCUGCGAGAUUUCAUAGAGGCACAAAAAGGGUUGCGAAAUCAUUUCGCAACAAAAGACUAAUCUCGUAGCGCUGCGAAGUUGGCUUUCAGCUUGCAGUGUUCGACUUCCAACGUGUCACAUAUAUCGGGAAACUUCAGGAGGAAUUCCACAGCACUGUGGAAAAAGGCUGCAAAAUCAUUUCGCAACAAAAGGGUGAUUUCGCAACACUUUGCAAAAUUCUUCCUUCAGCUUACAGUGAUUAACUUGCAAUGGCUGUAACUUCUUCAUUUCAACUCCAAAUUGCACACUGUUUAAAGAAUUGGAUUGUUAACUUCCUGAGCUUCGAAACAACAUAUAGCAUGCAUAAAUUAGACUUCAGGAAGUGCUCCAAAAGUGGCUAACAUGACUGUCAUCAAGAAUAUGCUUCAUGACAUAUUUCUCUUUGCUUCUUCUCCUUACAUUCCGGAUUUACUAAUGGUAGCAAAGGACUUCAAAGCUUUAGUUCUUCACGUUUCUGAGCUUAAAAUUGCUUUGCCAAAGAUUCCACAUAACUCUCCUCAAUCUCGGAUUGCUUUGGUGAUCAAAAAGGCUAUCAAAACACCAAAACUUAACACAUAUUGAUUAGAAGUGCUUGCAAAGGUCCUUAAUAUGUUAAUUGGGUUAAAAGGCAAUAACUACUACUCAAAAGUGUUUAAAAGAGUUAAUUAUAAGCUAUGAAAUAGCACAUUUUGAGUAGUAAUCACAUGAAGCUUGCUGGUUAACUCUACAAUUGUGAGACUUUGAAAGUCACAAGGCUCUUCAAUUGCAAAGAUCUUAGCUUCAAACUUUUAAGGGACUGAAACCAUGAUCUUUUCUACCACCUUUUGAUCUAUAAAUUCCUCACCAAGAAGCCUAUUUGGUUUACAACAUCCAUUAACCUGCUAGAAUAAUCUUUCAUAGAUUCGUUGUCUUUCAUCUUCAUCAACUCAAACUCUCUCUUCAAUGUGAGGAGCCUGACAGUUUUAACUCUGUGACUGCCCUCAAAUUCAUCUUGAAGCUUGUCCCAUACCUAUUUAGUUGUUUCCAAGUCCAUGAUUUUGGUGAAGAUGUGGUCUGCAAGUCCUGAAUGUAGGCAGAUGAUGGCUUUGUCUUUUUUUAGUUUUUCCUCAUCAUGUGCUUUCAUCUGAGCAACUAUAAGAUUUGCUCCCAAUGGUGGUGGAUCAGCUUCAGACAUCACAACAUUCCACAAACCUUGAGACCUUAAGUAAAACAUCAUUUUGACAAUCCAAAUGUGAUAGUGUUCACCAUUAAACAUUGGAACUACAGAGGAAGUACUGUUGGAAGUAGACAUGUUUGCACCAUAGCUGCUUGAAAAAAAAAAUCACUCAACCUCACUGUGUUUAGCACUCAAAACACUGAAAGAAACUUUGUCUCACAGCCCAUAGGAACAGAGCUCUGAUACCACUAUCAGAAUCUGUAGAAAAAAUAAAGAAAUCAGGAACUAGAACUUGCAGAGAAAAAUAAAUAAUUUGAGAGUUAAGAAUUGAAGGAAGGCACACAUCUAUUUCACAAAUGAGAAUGCCUAUUUAUAGGCUUACAACCAAACGAAAAUUGCAAAAAAAUCUCAACUACUGGCACUACUUCUACUAACUGAAAAUAGAACAUUAUGGAGCAAGAAUCUGAUAUGAAACAAUAACAAAGACUAAGUCUAACUAAGACUUUUUCAAACUUCAAAGGCAAACUCUCAUGAGUUCUAACAGUUCUUUAUGAAUACAUUGCAAUACUUGCUAUUCACAACAAGGGAAUAAACAUAGCAGAAAGAAAUGAAGUAAAAGAUCAGGGGAAGUUCUGUAGAAACAAAAAACAGUUUGCAAAACAAACAUGAAUUUCAACAGAUAAUAAUUGCACAUACUGUAUAUAAGCAUCUAGGAACGUCAACAAAAUGCUCAAUGGUUCCAGAAACUGAAAAAUGAAAGCGAUGGUAAUCCUGCAACAAUUUGGAAUUCAAUAAUUGAACCAUAUGAUAUGAAAAGUCUUUAUCCUACAAAGCAAUAAAGACAAGUUCCAUGGUGCGAAACGGAAUAUCACCAAGGUUCCAUUAAUAAAAAAACUAAAUCAAAUUUCUUUUCCUAAAAGACCUUGAAUCGAAAACUUCUAACUCUAUAGAGAAAUAAAUAAUGAUCCUAGAAAAUAAGAGAUCACCCAAAAUAAAAAAUUUUAAAUAAAACUGUGAGAAGGAAAAAAAAUAAAAAAAUAAAAAUAAAAACACACCUAUGGAAGCAUCCCAAUACUAUAUAAUUAGAUAAUUACAUAAUAUUCAGAUUGUAUACUGCUUAACAAGAAGGAAUUAUCUAGAGUGGUUACAACUAGUGAGGAUGGUUUUAAAAGGCAAGGGAAAAAUAAGUCAUCUCAUUGGAACAUGCCUAAAACAUGAAGAUUUGCUAUUCAUUGUUUGGGACAAAGAAGAUUCUAUGAUUAUGUCAUAGUUAUGGAAUUCAAUGUUACUUGAAAUCAACAGAAGAUGCAAUUUGGGAAACCAUUUGGCAAAGGUACUAAAAAAUACAAGAUACUGCCUGAAUUUGUGAAUUGAAUAUUAAAAUCUCCAUUACAAAACAGGGUAGCUGAUCGAUUAUUGAGUAUUACAAUGUGAUGAAGAGUCUAUGGCAAGAGGUAGACUAUAAUCAAACAUUCAAAUGAAGUGUUUUCUAUCAUUCAUACUGAAGAAAGUUGAAAAGGGGUGAUGCUUGAUCCACCACCAGUGGAUGGAUCAACCAUGAUUGUAAAAAAACCAAGUGGAGGAGCCAAACUAAAUGGUACAAAUCAGAAUGCUAGCAUGGAGCAAGGAAGACAGGAGUCAAUGAAAAACUUAAUAAAGAAGAAACUAUGGUGCUCGUACAACAAGAAAGCAUGUCACACCAAAGAAAAAUGUGGGAAACUUCAUGGAAAACUACAAGGUCUCAAUCGGAGUGAUGGUAUGAGGAUCUCAUACUUCUUACAUCAUAACUAUUUUUUUCUCUUCAAUAGAAGUACAUCUUCUAACCAUUAGUUUCAUUUUACCUUGUCAAAAUUGAAAAAGUUGAGACUAAAACAACCUCUAAAAGAUGUGUAGCUCUUAGAUCGCAAAUAGUCAAAGCGAUAGAAAAUACCUUAAUUCAAAAUCUUAGAGAAUCUUUAACAGAUUUAAAUGGUGGUAGACGACUAUCUACAGCACAUACAGCAAUAUCAUCACGUUCCGUGAAGGCAAUUGUUCUAGCACCGGGUUUCAACUCUCUUAUAAGAAAUUCAUUGAAUGUCUGCAUAUAUAAGUUAAAAUUCAACUAUAGUAACUGUUCCAUUAUAGAAAUGAUACCAAGAUCCAAAAAUGGUAAUAACAAUAACCUCACCAUCAACUAAGAAGGUUAAAAACCAACAAAACCACAGGGGAAGUGAUAUUGCUCCAUCUCUGUGCAAAAAUCUACUUUCGUCUUUCAAUUCCAAGCUAAGCAAUAAAAAUUUAUAUGUUCCAUCUUGAGAGGGGAAUGUCCUUGUUAAUGAGGGUAUUAUUGAGUAUUAAAUUUAUUAUAAGUGUACAGUAUAUAUAGUUUAUUACUGCAGUUUAUUAUUUUUCUAAUCAAUAAAAACAAGAAGAACAAACACGUUCUCUUUUCCGAUUCUUGUUGUCUAACAAGAUACACAUAAGAUUUAACACAAACAUUAUAAAUUGAUUCGUCCCUCAUGCAGUCAUGCCAUUUGAUUCUGGCUUAAACGAGUGUUAUCAACAAAAUUUAUAAAACCUAAAUCACCGUACACUAGGGUUGCAUAGCUAACAUAGUAUAGUGGCUCUAGGAUCGUCCAUAGGGAUGGGUUUUCAUCGUACAACUGACUUUAGUGAAGGAAAUAAAAUGGUGUUUUUCCUUAUGAAAAUUAACUUUUGAAGAAAAUGGAAUUGUGGUUGCAAAUAUUGAUUUUAAGUUAAGCAAAAAUAAGAAGUGAAGUUAACUACAAAGAAAAGGUCUCUUGGAGCUUUAGGUCACUAGGAUCGGGUUCCUUAGGCAAAGGGGGAGAUUCCGGAUCUUCUCCUUACAUUGGGGACAAUAACAUAAAGGAUGGUUAUCUCCCAAACCAAUUUUGUAUUUAGCAGUUAAGACUUGAUCCAAAGGGUUCAUGAAAAAUGGUAAUUGCUUCCCAUUAAUGGCUUCAAACGCUAAAGACCCUCACCUUGAACCACCUUACAAUGGCUCGUAAAUGAUAAAUAAUAGACAUCCAUGGAUCUAGCAAUAAGCAUCCAUAGAAUCCGAAAAGCUUACCAAGUAUUGGCCAUUCAAGGUGAUUUUAAGGGAUUUAAAGCUAAACCUUGAAAUAAAAACAAUUAAUGGUUAACAACUACAUUCAUUUAAAGCAAGGACAACUCCCACCUUUGCAUUCAAGUCCUUCACCUAGUUUCUAUCACUCCAAGAAACGUAAAACCUAGCCACUCAUCCCCUGAGAAAUCAUCCUCAAAGGUUGUUUGGCUAGAAAGAAAAGUGAAAAACAAAAUGAGAAGGAAAGGCAGAGCAAAAACUCUGUAUAUUUCUUACUACGGGGAUUUUUUAAGUGUCAUCCUCUUCUUUUUUCGAGGUUAUACAAAGAGAGAUAUAUAGAGAGGGGUCUUUCUAACCAAGAAAUCCUAUCAUUGGUUGAUUACAAGGAUAAAAUAGGAAAUUACACAAAAUAUCUGGAGAUAAAAAUCUAACGGAGUCGGUGCACAGGAAGAUUUCACAUACCAUGCGAAAUUUCGCAUGGUGUGCAAAAUUGUCUUUCACUCAGUCCCGCUCUUAGUCCUGUAACUACUCCUCUUGAUUUCGCAUGUUGUGCGAAAUUUUCGCAUAGCCAUGCGAAACUGCUGGUUGUUGGAUUUCUUCCUCUGGUUUUCUUUCUUGCAUCUCUAAUUGGCUUGGCAAAAGGCUAUGAAGUGCUCCAAGAUUCUGAUUCUUCAUGUAUUUGAGCUUCAACUUGCAUUGCCAUGGAUUUCACAAAAUUCUCCCUCAUUCUUGGCUUGUUUCAAUGAUCAAAUAGCUACCAAAAACACUAAAACUUGCCAAAAACUUAUUAAUAACCCUUGCUAUGUUCCUUAAUGUGCCAAUUGAGUUAAAAGGUAUUAACUACUACUCAAAAGUGUUCAAAACAGUUAGUUUCAAGCUAUAAAAUAGUAAUUUUUGAGUAGUAAUCAUAAAUCCUUCAGUAAACAUAUCAAUCAGAAAAUUAUUAGCAUGAAGUUGAAAUGAAGGCAGUCUAAUGUGCCAUAGAAAAAUAGAGAUAAUAUAGUCAACAAUCAUUAAACAAGAUAGAAAUGAGAAUUCAUGUGUGCAUCAGGGAGGAAAAAGUAUCACCAAUCUAUUUCAGAGUCCCACACUACCUUAAAAUGUUCCAAAGGGUACUUGACUUCAUCCAACUUGAUUUGAUCCUACAAACCAUGCUGAAUUAAAUUAGAACUGAAGUAUGCUCUUCAAUACCUGUGAUCUCAGCAUUUAAAUGUUCAAAGGAAUGUAGUUUAAUAUACAUAUCUAUAAUUAGGCCACCAUGAAUAAUGAACCACAUAUAGGUAUACAUCUCUACUAGAGAAAAGGAAGGCAAACAUUCUCAAACAACAAACAGGAAGCAUACCACAUAUAUGCAGCACGGCUUCUACUUUAACAAAUAUUAUUUAUGAGAGAGAGAGUACUUUGCACAUAUUCUAUUGAUCAAUAUUUUGGCAAAUUGUAUUUAUUGAAAUAUCAAAUAGAUAAAAAGGGUCAUCAAAAAUGUAUUUGGUUAAUAAUUAAUGAUAGAGCUGAUUACGAAUUUAUGUGCUUCUAUAUAGAACUAAGUCUUACAACAUAAAUGACGUGGGCAUUUAAUACAAGUAAUAGAAUGCAAUCAAAAUAUAUGUUUUUGUGAGGAUUCCAUCAAUCUUUUUGAGUAAUUAUGUUGUAAGGAUCCAGUUGUGCUAAAGAAUUAUUUCAAACUCAGUUAUCAACCAUUUCAUAAGUAAUUGAAAUCAUUUCAUGGAAGUUAGAAAUCAUGGUAACAAGAUUAUAGUUCAUUCAUUAAGAGAGAUUGUCAUGUCUCAAAGAACUUAAUGAAUUUGGGUAUAUUUUUAGCAGAUUCAACUGAAUUCAUUCACUUUCCCUGCUUUUCAGAAAUGCUUUGCAAAUAGAGAAACAAUUUAAGUUGUGCAAGAAAUUAAAUAUUGAUUAUUCAUUGCAUAUAUUUUGUUUCCGAAUAGACAUUUAAAGUGCAUUCAAGGAAAUCUAUUUACAGUCAGAAGAAGAAAAAAACAGCAAAAAUGUGUAAAAGCAGUGAAGCCUCUACAUAACAAUGAACAGUUCCAUUAUGGUAUAUAAUAGUGUGAAUGACAAUUUUAAAACUUUAGUCAGAGUACAUGUUAUUGUUAACAAAAAGUCACUAAAAGGUUAGAAUGAAAUGUAUCUCUUUAAACAAAAUGGCACAAGAUCACCAGAAAGGCAGUUGAAACCAAUAAGGAAUGUAUGAUUGAUUACUACUCAAAACAUGCUAUUUUGUAGCUUGUAAUUAGCUCUUUUAAACACCCUUGAGUAGUAAUUAUUACCUUUUAACUCAAUUAGCAUGUUAGGGACCCUUGCAAUCUUUUCUAAUCAAAUUGUGUUAAGUUUUGGUGCUUUUUGAUAGCUUUAUGCUCACCAAAGCAAUUAAAGAAUGAGGGAGAGCUAUAUAUAGUUCAUGGAAAAGCUUUUGGAAGCUCAAAUUUAUAAAGAAACCAAGCUUUGGAGCCUCAUAGUGCUUUGCCUUAGUCGUUCAAAGUAUGCAAGGAAAGAACAAUGGAGAAGAGGAAAACAGGGUAAGGAAAACAGGGGACACAACUGCAGUCUUCCUUCGCACUUUUGGAGCACUUUCUGAAGUCCAUUUUCUACAUUCUAUAUACCCUUUCAAAUCUCAGGAAGUCAAGAAUCCAGCGCUUCAAACCGUGUACGAUUUGGAGCUAAAAUGAGGAAGAUAUGGCCUUCGGAAGACAACUGCAUCAAGCUGAGGGACAAUUUCGCACCUUGCGAAAUUGGAACUCCAACGUGCGAAAUUUAAAGUGGAUGGCAGCUGUGUAGUCGCGGUGAAGCCCAACAUGCGGAGUUGAUUUUGCAAAUUGUGGACUUGGAUCUCAACAUGCGAAAGUGAAUUCUAAGUUGUGAAAUCAACUUGCGAAAUUUUCGCAAGUCACCAUGCAACAUGCGAAACUGGGAUAUUUAUGCCGACUCUUUUUCUUCUGAUAUUUUUGUGUCUAAAUUUCCAUUUUCUCCUUGUAUUCAGACACUCAUGUAAUUCCUUAGCUAGGAAGUAUCCAAGGAAGGGUAAAAUUACCUUCCUAUAUAAACUCUCUUGUAAACACUGAAAAAGGAAUCUCGAGGAGCUUUCUCCAAGAGACCAACUUAUGUAAAUUUUACGCUUAGUGAAAUACAGAGAUCUCUUUUGCUUUCUUUUUCUCUCUACUAUUUUAUUUUUCUUGGAAGCCAAACAGCCUCUGAGGAUGUUUUCCCAGAGGAUGAGAGGCUAAACUUAUAGUUUCUUGGAGUUAAGGAAACUAGGUGAAAAGUCCAGAUGAAAAGGUGGAAAGCUUCCGUGAAUUAAAUUCAGGUAGUUGGAGUUCAUAAAUGGCUUCUAAAUCCAAAGUAUUACUUUAAAUCCCUUAGAAUCACUUUGAAUGGCCAAUACAUGGUAAGCUUCAGGUCUCUGUGGAUGCUUAUUGCUAGAUCCAUACCAGUCCAUUAGUUAUCAUGUACGAGCCAUUGGAAAGUGGUUCAAGGUGAAGACCCAUAGUGUCUAAAGCCAUUAAUGAACCUUGACUAUCAUUUCUAUUGACUUUUUAUGGAUUAAAUCUUCAUUGUUAAACAUAUACCGGUUCGGGAAAUAACUAUAGGUUAAAUCCCCAAUGUGAGGAGAAAAAUCCGGAAUUUUCCACUUUGCAUUCUGAACUUGAUCCUUGCAACACUUAGCUCCGGGAGACUUUCUUUCUUCCAUUUUUACUUAGUUAUAUGUUAGUUUAGUUUCAAUCACCACUUUCAAAACAAAUUUUAUUUUCUUUUAAACUUCAAUUUUAUGAUAAAGGAAAUCAUCAGACUCAAUUUCUAAUCUAGAGUCUGUCACUGAUAGAGUAAAAACCCAUCCCUGAGUUCGACCCUAGAGCUGCUAUACUAUAGUAGCUUUGCUACGCCAGUAUAAGGUCAUAGAAUUUAUAAAUAUUUUUUAUUAAAAGACCCGAUUGGGCUCGAAUCAAAUGGCGCCGUUGCCGGGGAUGGUGCCACUUUGCAAUGAUAUGAUCUUAUGAGAAGACUUGUGAUUUUCAUCACAAGUUUGGUGAAUUCCUUUUUCACUAACUUCAUUUCCUCUCUUUUAAUUGUAGAAUUUCUUUUGUUAAGUUUACUUUCAUUUUUUUUCUAACCUUAACUUUCAUCUAGCUUUCUUUUCUUUUUGUUAUCUUUGUUUUGUUUUUCAGAGAAGUUACAACUUGUGCAUGCCCUAUUGGAUUCGGGACCAAGAGGGAAGGCUAGUAAGGAUAGAGAAUCCUCAGGACACAGAGUUGGAUAUUUGUGUAAACAUCAUGGACCCUCCACAAGAGGAUCAGAAUUCUCAACAUGGUCAAAGGGGUAAUCCAAAUGCAUAUCUAUCCAUGAGGGAUAGAAUGCACCCACCAAGAAUGAGUGCACCCUCAUGCAUCGUACCUCCUCUUGAGCAGCUGAUUAUAAGGCCCCAUAUUGUGCCCCUCUUACCAAAUUUCCAUAGAAUGGGGAGUGAGAAUCCAUAUGCCCACAUCAAGGAGUUUGAGGAGGUGUGCAAUACCUUUAGAGAUGAAGGAGCUUCAAUAGACUUGAUGAGACUCAAGCUAUUCCCUUUUACUUUGAAGGACAAGGAAAAAAUAUGGCUUAAUUCUUUAAGGCCAAGGAGCAUAAGGAAUUGGGUUGAUCUUCAGGCCGAAUUUUGAAGAAAUUUUUCCCCACCCAUAGGACCAAUGGGUUGAAGAGACAAAUCUCAAACUUUUCUGCAAAAGAAAAUGAGAAGUUCCAUGAAUGUUGGGAGAGGUAUAUGGAAUCCAUAAAUGCUUGUCCUCAUCAUGGUUUUGAUACAUGGCUCUUGGUGAGCUAUUUUUAUGAUGGGAUGUCUUCCUCCAUGAAGCAAAUUCUUGAAACCAUGUGUGGGGGAGAUUUUAUGAGUAAGAAUCGGGAAGAAGCCAUGGACUUUUUAAAUUAUGUGUCUGAGGUGUCAAGAGGAUGGGAUGAGCCCAACUCAAGAGAGAAAGGAAAGUUUCCCUCUCAACAAACCCAAAAUCCAAAGGCUGGAAUGUACAUGUUAAGUGAAGACAUGGACAUGAAAGCUAAAGUGGCAACAAUAGCAAGGAGGUUGGAAGAACUUGAGUUGAAAAAGAUGCAUGAAGUCCAAGCCAUUUCCGAGACCCAAACCCAUGUCAUGCCAUGCACCAUUUUCCAAUCAUGUGAUCAUGUGGUAGAUGAGUGCCCAACCAUGCCAGCCGUGAGGGAGAUGUUAGGUGAUCAAGUCAAUGUCGUGGGGCAAUUUAGGCCCAAUAACAGUGCAUCUUAUGGAAACACCUAUAAUUCAAGCUGGAGAAACCAUCCAAAUUUUUCUUGGAAACCAAGGCCACCUCCAUACCAACCACAAGGCCAAACCCAAGCACCUCAACAAACCUCUUCAGUGGAGCAAGCCAUUGUGAACCUGAGUAAAGUCAUGGGUGACUUUGUGGGUGAACAAAAGGCAAUCAACUCCCAAUUGCAUCAAAAGAUUGAAAAUGUUGAGAGUUCUUAAAUUAAGAGAAUGGAGGGGAUGCAAAAUGAUCUAUCUCAGAAGAUAGAUAAUAUUCAGUACUCCAUCUCUAGGCUUACCAACCUCAACACAGUGAAUGAGAAGGGAAAGUUUCCCUCUUAACCAAGCCAAAAUCCCAAGGGUGUUCAUGAAGUUGAAACCCAAGAUGGUGAGUCUUCAAAUUUGAGAGAGGUCAAAGUUGUAAUCACUUUGAGGAGUGGGAAGGAGGUUGAUCAACCCUUGCCUAACGUGGGGCAUGAUGAAGAACUCAUGUCAAAGAGACCCUUGAUUAAAGAGAGCAAUAACCAAGAAGAGAAGAGUGGGAAGAAAAGUGCAUCCAAAACAAGCAUUGAAGAAGAACCAAGGAUAGUGAUUAAAGAGGAUAUGAUGAAGAAACAUAUGCCUCCUCCUUUUCCUCAAGCUUUACAUGGAAAGAAUGAAAUCAAGAAUUCAUCAUAAAUUCUUGAAGUUUUGAGACAAGUGAAGGUUAAUAUACCCUUACUUGAUAUGAUCAAGCAAGUCCCCACAUAUGCAAAGUUUCUAAAGGACUUGUGCACAGUCAAGAGAGGGUUACAGGUGACAAAGAAUGCAUUCCUCACUGAGCAAGUAAGUGCUAUCAUUCAGAGUAAGUCCCCAGUUAAGUAUAAAGAUCCAGGAUGCCCCACCAUUUCAGUCAACAUUGGAGGGACACAUGUGGAGAAGGCUUUACUAGACUUGGGGGCAAGUGUGAAUUUGCUUCCAUACUCUGUGUAUAAGCAACUGGGACUUGGAGGAUUGAAGCCCACAACCAUGACCCUCUCCUUAGUUGAUAGGUCAGUCAAAAUCCCAAGGGGGGUGAUAGAGGAUGUUCUAGUUCAAGUGGACAAAUUCUACUAUCCUGUGGAUUUUGUAGUGCUUGAUACUGAUUCCACUGUCAAGGAAGAAAAUUAUGUGCCAAUCAUCCUCGGGAGGCCUUUCCUAGCUACCUCCAAUGCCAUCAUUAAUUGUAGGAAUGGGGUGAUGCAGCUCACAUUUGGAAACAUGACCUUGGAAUUAAACAUAUUCCACCUAUGCAAAAGGCAUCUUCACCCCGAAGAGGAGGAAGGAUUUGAGGAGGUGUGCUUGAUCAACACUUUGGUUGAAGAGCACUGUGACAAGAAUUUAGAGAAGAGCUUGAAGAUGGGUUACCUGAACCCUCUGAUGUGCUAGCCAUCAUGUCUCCUUGGAAGAGACGGAAAGAGAUCUUACCAUUGUUCAAUAAGGAGGACUCACAAAGAGUAGCUGUGAAGGACCCUCCAAAGUUUGUUUUAAAGCCGCUUCCUGUUGAUUUGAAGUAUGCAUACUUGGAGGAAGAUGAGAAAUGUCCAGUGGUGGUUUCCUCAACUCUAACUAGUGAUCAAGAGGAUAGUCUUUUGGGAGUCCUCAGAAAAUGCAAGAAAGCCAUUGGAUGGCAAAUUUCUGAUCUGAAAGGGAUUAGCCCUUUGGUGUGCACCCACCAUAUCUAUAUGGAGGACGAUGCAAAACCAGUGAGGCAGCCCCAAAGGAGGUUGAAUCCUCACAUGCAAGAGGUGGUGAGGGGUGAAGUUCUGAAGCUACUUCAAGCUGGAAUCAUAUAUCCCAUUUCAGACAGCUUGUGGGUGAGCCCCACCCAAGUAGUCCCAAAGAAAUCUGGAAUUACUGUGAUCCAGAAUGAGAAAGGGGAGGAAGUCUCUACACGUCCUACCUCAGGAUGGAGGGUGUGUAUAGACUAUAGGAGGUUGAAUUCAGUGACUAGGAAGGACCAUUUCCCAUUGCCUUUCAUGGACCAAGUCCUUGAGAGAGUCUCAGGACAUCCUUUCUAUUGUUUUCUGGAUGGUUACUCAGGGUACUUCCAAAUAGAGAUUGAUUUAGAAGAUCAAGAAAAGACAACCUUCACUUACCCCUUUGGUACUUUUGCAUAUAGGAGGAUGCCUUUUGGUCUAUGUAAUGCUCCUGCGACUUUCCAAAGAUGUAUGCUAAGCAUCUUUAGUGAUAUGGUGGAACGCAUCAUGGAAGUCUUCAUGGAUGACAUCACUGUAUAUGGAAGUUCUUAUGAGGAGUGUUUGUUGCAUUUAGAAGCUGUUCUCCACAGAUGUAUUGAGAAAGACCUAGUGCUAAAUUGGGAGAAGUGCCAUUUUAUGGUACAACAAGGAAUUGUCUUAGGACAUAUCAUCUCCAAGAAUGGCAUUGAGGUAGAUAAGGCAAAGGUGGAGCUAAUUGUUAAGUUGCCACCUCCCACAAAUGUUAAAGGAAUUAGACAAUUCCUAGGACAUGCCGGGUUCUAUAGGAGGUUCAUUAAGGAUUUCUCAAAAAUCUCAAAGCCUCUUUGUGAACUCUUGGUAAAGGAUGCCAAGUUUGUGUGGGAUGAGAAGUGUCAGAAGAGUUUUGAGGAAUUGAAGCAAUUCCUCACAACUGCACCAAUAGUGAGAGCCCCAAAUUGGAAAUUACCUUUUGAGGUAAUGUGUGAUUCAAGUGAUCUUGCUAUGGGGGCUUUCUUGGGGCAAAGAGAGGUUGGAAAGCCCUAUGUGAUUUAUUAUGUAAGCAAAACUUUGAAUGAGGCUCAAAGGAACUACACAACUACUAAGAAGGAGUUGUUGGCAGUAGUUUUUGCCUUGGAUAAGUUUUGUGCUUAUUUGGUAGGGUCCUCUAUAGUGGUGUUCACUGACCAUUCCGCUUUGAAGUACUUGCUAACCAAGCAAGAUGCCAAGGCAAGAUUGAUAAGAUGGAUCCUUUUGCUCCAAGAAUUCAAUCUCCAAAUCCGGGAUAAAAAGGGGGUAGAAAAUGUGGUAGCUGACCACUUGUCAAGACUUGUGAUAGCACAUGACUCACAUGGUCUGCCUAUCAAUGAUGACUUCCCUGAGGAGUCUCUCGUGUCAAUAGAGGUAGCUCCAUGGUAUUCUCACAUUGAAAAUUUCUUGGUUACUAGAGAAGUUCCAAGUGAGUGGAGUGCCCAAGACAAGAGGCAUUUCUUUGCUAAGAUCCAUGCCUAUUAUUGGGAGGAGCCUUUUCUCUUCAAAUAUUGUGCGGAUCAAACCAUAAGGAAAUGUGUUCCUAAACAAGAGCAAUCAGGAAUUCUUUUCCAUUGCCAUGAUAAUGCAUGUGGAGGUCAUUUUGCCUCCCAGAAAAUAGCUAUGAAAGUGAUCCAAUCAGGUUUUUGGUGGCCCUCUCUUUUCAAGGAUGCCCACUCUAUGUGCAAGGGAUGUGAUUGGUGUCAAAGGCUUGGUAAGCUAACACGCCGAAAUAUGAUGCCCUUGAACCCCAUCUUAAUAGUGGAUGUCUUUGAUGUUUGGGGAAUAGACUUCAUGGGACCAUUUCCAAUGUCGUUUGGACAUUCCUACAUUUUGGUGGGAGUGGAUUAUGUCUCUAAGUGGGUAGAAGCAAUCCUCAAGGACAUUCCUACAUGUAGGCACAAUGAUCAUAAGGUGGUUCUUAAAUUCCUCAAGGACAACAUCUUUGCAAGAUUUGGAGUACCAAAGGCCAUUAUAAGUGAUGGAGGAACCCACUUUUGUAAUAAACCUUUUGAGACUUUUCUAGCCAAAUAUGGGGUUAAGCACAAGGUAGCUACACCUUAUCACCCUCAAACAAGUGGCCAAGUUGAGUUAGCCAACCGGGAGAUCAAGAAUAUAUUGAUGAAGGUGGUGAAUGUGAAUAGGAAGGAUUGGUCUAUUAAGCUCUUGGAUUCCUUAUAGGCUUAUAGGACCGCUUACAAGACCAUUCUUGGAAUGUCUCCUUAUCGCCUUAUUUAUGGCAAAGCGUGUCAUCUUCCAGUGGAGAUUGAAUAUAAAGCAUGGUGGGCAAUCAAGAAGCUCAACAUGGAUUUGACAAGAGCCGGGUUAAAGAGAUGUUUAGAUUUGAAUGAAUUGGAGGAAAUGAGGAAUGAUGCUUACCUCAAUUCAAAAAUUGCAAAAGCAAGGUUGAAAAAAUGGCAUGAUCAGUUGGUAAAUCUGAAGAAUUUUACCAAGGGCCAAAGAGUCUUGCUUUAUGAUUCUAAACUUCAUCUUUUUCCAGGAAAAUUGAAAUCCAGGUGGACGGGUCCUUUCAUAGUUCAUGAAGUGCAACCCAAUGGAGUGGUGGAAGUAUUCAAUUCCAAAGGCAAUCAAACCUUCAAAGUCAAUGGCCAUCGUCUCAAGCCAUUCAUAGAGCCUUACAAUGCAGACAAGGAGGAAAUCAACCUCCUUGAACCACAACAACUUUGAGGGAAAGCAGGGUUUCAUGGACUAUAUAAGUCCAUGAAUUUUUAUAGUUUUAUAGUUGAAUUUUUAUUAUUUCUAUUUCUUUUUAUUUUAAUUCUUGCUCAAACUUGGUUUAUUUUGUCUUAAUUCAAGUCAAUUUUGAUGUUAAAUUUUAGAAAAAAAUCAAGAAAAGUGUGGAGAAGCCUUCAAAAGCAAGACAGGGGAGCAAAACAAGGGAACAGAGCACUACAAUUCAAGGUGCGAAAUUUUCGCACGAUGGAUUCCAACAUGCGAAAAUUCAUUUCAAGGUACGAAUUUCUAAAACUUAAAUUUCGCACACCCCUGUUCAAGGUGCGAAAAUUUUCGCACCGUGCGAAACUCCCUCCUGGCACACGAGUGCCAUUUCGCACACCUCAAGCUACUUUUCGCACCGUGCGAAUCAAGGUGCGAAAAUUUCGCAUGAUGCAAUCCAAGGUACGAAAUUCACUCCAGUGUGCGAAAUAAGGUGCGAAUUCCCUGAAUGAAAAAUUCGCACACCCCUGUUCAAGGUGCGAAAAUUUUCGUACCGUGCGAAACUCUCUCCUAGCACACGAGUGCCAUUUCGCACACCUCGAGCUACUUUUCGCACCGUGAGAAACAAGGUGCGAAAUGCAAUUCAAGGUGUGAAUUUCUCAGUUCAAAGUGCGAAAUUUUCGCACGAUGCAAUCCAAGGUGCAAAAUUUUCAAUGUAAGCUUCAGGUCUCUGUGGAUGCUUAUUGCUAGAUCCAUACCAGUCCAUUAGUUAUCAUGUACGAGCCAUUGGAAAGUGGUUCAAGGUGAAGACCCAUAGUGUCUAAAGCCAUUAAUGAACCUUGACUAUCAUUUCUAUUGACUUUUUGUGGAUUAAAUCUUCAUUGUUAAACAUAUACCGGUUCGGGAAAUAACUAUAGGUUAAAUCCCCAAUGCGAGGAGAAAAAUCCGGAAUUUUCCACUUUGCAUUCUGAACUUGAUCCUAGCAACCCUUAGCUCCGGGAGACUUUCUUUCUUCCAUUUUUACUUAGUUAUAUGUUAGUUUAGUUUCAAUCACCACUUUCAAAACAAAUUUUAUUUUCUUUUAAACUUCAAGUUUAUGAUAAAGGAAAUCAUCAGACUCAAUUUCUAAUCUAGAGUCUGUCACUGAUAGAGUGAAAACCCAUCCCUGAGUUCAACCCUAGAGCUGCUAUACUAUAGUAGCUUUGCUACGCCAAUAUAAGGUCAUAGGAUUUAUAAAUAUUUUUUAUUAAAAGACCCGACUGGGCUCGAAUCAAUGAUUGCUUUACAUGGCAUGACCAUAAACACUAACCAAUGUCUUACUAAUUUUUUAUCUUUGAGACAUUAAACCUGUCGUUCUGAGCAUAAUGUUUUUAGACAAAGAUGAUUAAAUUAGUCACCCUUUAAAUGUAUCUGUCUAUUACAGAGAAGUUAUGAUCCUUGCAGGCUCUAAUUGCAUUCCAAAGGAUUAUGAUCCAAGAGAAAAACAAGUAGUUAUAAUUAACAUAAGUUUUUAGAACAACUAGUCAAUAAAUCAGAGUUACAGGGAACACCCCAAGGCAACAAGAUGUUAAUAUGAGAAUAUGGGAGGCUCAAUUCAAAGCUCAGAACUAUUAUUAUGAAAAAAUUUUAAAAAGGAAACAAGAAUUUCAUUGUAGGAAAAUUAUGGUUGUUGAUGCACAUUCUCUUGAUAACAAUCUUGUUAGGUUGGAUGUAUCGUAUGCCAUGACGUACAACAUUAAAAAUCUUCACCACAAUGUACUUGCAACAAUGCUUUCCAUCCACAGGAAUCUUUCUAGUUUUGCUAGACAAGUCUCUUGACUUGUAGCAAUAUUCCAGCCACAACAUUUUUUCUUGAAUACAUGUCGAACACAUAUCCAUGGCAUGUUAACAUGUGUGUGUAUAUACCUAUCCUUCUAUUUGUCCAUCUAUAUAUAAGGGAAACAAGAAAAAUCAUUUAUUAAAAAAGUGAGAGUGACUACAUGAAACAGUGAGUAUCCUUCAAGAGAGCUGUCUGAAAAAGAAAAGAAAAAACAAAACAUUUAUACAUCCCCAAAAGACCUAACAGAAGAACCAAACAAAAGAACCCACAUUGUGAAUGCUUUAGAAUGAAGAGGAGGUCUCCAAUAGAAAACUUAACUACUAUAGCUCCUUCCAAAGCCCAGUGAUUCACUAACUGGUUAACCAACUGAGGAUUCCAACUAAAGAAAUAAUAUAAACGUCUAAAGAGCUCAACAAUUUUGCGACUUCAAGCAUGAAAAUUCCUUCUCAGUCCUUGGGUCACUUAAGAAAGGCAAUAGCCAAAGGCCCCUGGACCAAAAUAUUUUUAAAAAAAAACUCAAUAGUAAUUAAAGAUUCACUAAUCCUGCUAGGCAAGUAAGUAUUCCCUCCACAAUGGCAAAAUUGAACCUGCUAGCUUAGAGAAAGCUAUCAACACCUAUGCCUCUAUAAUCUAGGAGAACUCCCUCAAUUCCUAUUUGCACUAGGUUACCUAGAGAACAACAAUCAACAAUAAGUUUGAGGCAACCAAGGAAUGGAACUACCCCUAAUUCAUUUUGGCAAUGUCAUAGAAACAAACAUCUCUUUGAUCCCGCAAAAUCAAACUAAUAGGAUGCAAGAGAAUUCUUUAGUUAUAGAAGCUCAAAUAAAGGAGAGAUGGUAUACAUUGUUGACAAUUACAAUCAAAUUAACCAUUAUAAAAUGUUAGUGUAUUAGAUUAGAUUUGUUAGAGAAUUUAAAUUAGUCAAGUUAUUUGAAUUCACUUCUACUUUUGUCAUUUCAGAUUAUGUCGGAUUAGGAUUUUUAUGUUUUUUUAAAAUUCAAAUAAGGGCACAUUGUUAUCUAUAACAAUUCUGUCGUGAUCCUAGGAGUGUAAUUUCAAGGUUUGGUUGAUAACCCUAAUUUAAGGUGGUGUUUGUUUUUUUGGCUUUUUGCUGAAAAUAAUUUAUUUUCAGAAUUUAGAUUGUUUAUUUUUCUACUUUUUCAUAACUUAUUAUAAACUUUUUACUGAAUAUAAAAAGUCAAAAUAUAUAGCUUUUUCUAAAUAGAAAAAAUAAUAUAUUGAUUUUUCUUUACUUUUUAAUAUUUAAUAUAAAUAAAAUACUAUAAAAAAACAAACAACUUAAUAUUUAACACUAUUAAGCAUUAAGGUUCUAUUUAGAAUUAAGUAAAAAAACAAACACCACAAAUGUAUUGCCCUAAAAUAAUAAGAUGAUGAUGCAAAUUAGUUUUAGAUAUGCUUUUAUGGUAUCAGAGCCUUGAACUUUGAAAAAUACCUAUGGCAAAAACAACCAUGACAGGGUCCUCACGUCGAGAUGACUCCACAUCUACGACAUCUAAUCAAUCCCACGCCAAUUAGUCUGUCACGACAUUUUCUAGCGAGGACAACAACUGUAACAACCCGCACCCAACCAUAUAGAUAUUGUCCGCUUUAGGCCUAAGGGGCCCUCACGGCUUUAAAACGCGUCUACUUGGUUAAGAGGAGCCUCUACAUAUAUAGCGCCAGGAACUUGCUCCCCUAUCCCUGUCACGCCCCAAGACCCACUCCAAGGGCGUGACGAUCAUUUCACACUUCAAACCCGAAGGCUUAUAGUGUAACCUGAUCCAAACAAUUAUCUUGUAAACCGAAGUUACCAAUUACCAAAUACCUGUUCAGAGUAGCGGAACAAAAUCUAAAAUCCUCAAAAUUCAAUUUCAAAACUAAAACAUCCACUAUCCAAAAUUCAUUGUCCAAAAAUUUGCAAACUUAAACAAUUCAAGUACUAGAGCAAAUUUCAAAAUCUCCAAAACUCAACCUUGAUCUAACAUAAAAGUUGAAGGAUCAAUAUCCAAAUAACUUCCAAAUACUAAAAUGUCCAAAUGAACACAACUAACAGUUAAACAAAAUCCAACAUAAAAUCCUAAGUCAAAUCUUAAUGAUGACCAUUUCUCAGCCUAGCCAUCACUCCUCACCCGAACUAAGGGUACCUGAAAAGUAGUCAACAAAUGGGAAUGAGCUCACAACCCAAUAAGGAACAUUAAUGCAGUCCAUGGAUCAAACAUUUCAAACUCACUUGCAAAAUAGGAGAUAUUGUAAUCAAUCAUUUUCAUAAAGUUGUGAGUAAAUUUUUUUUUUUUUUUUUUUUUUUGCCAAUACAUUCAAAAUUUCUAACUGUAUGCAUUUAUUUAUGAUUCAAACAAUUUCAUAUCAAUUCAAUCAAAAUAUUCCAAUAAUUUAUUUUCUCUGGUCGUCAAACAUCAAAGGGUGUCCAGUUAGGUAGGACUUUUCAAAUGAGUGGCUAGCCUCAAAUUGUUCCUUUAAGGUGGACGGAACCAAACACUACUAGUACUAGUAACCUCUAACCAAAACCCCUAGAGGUUGGGGUUCAAAUCAAUUACAUUUCCCACCAAGAAAUGUAAAGGUCAACUAUUAUAUCCCAUUGACAAGGGCCAAAAGUCAACUAUUAUAUCCCGUUGACAAGGGCCAAACAAACGAGAGUCAAAUAUUUAUUUCAUUUAUUCAAAUUUACAACAUAUAAUAUCUCCACAUUUAUUUGUCAAAAACAUAAUAUAAAAUAAUAACAUACUUUUCAUGCAAAACAGAUUUGAUCCAUGCAUAAAACGGAAUAUAACUCAAACGUUUUCAAAUAAUGUAUAUAUAUAUAAUUGUUUCAAAAAAAGAAUUUAACAACUACAUUAAUUUCCCUUACCUCAAAAGAAGUCCUCAAAAACUUUGGAGAGAAAAUAAUCCUGAAAAUCUACUCUUCACCUAACAAAAUAUAAGGGGAAUAACUAUUACUAUUUAUCUAAAAUUAUAGGUUUGACAAUCCUAAAAUUUUAGGUAUUCAAAUUAAUAUAUAUAUAUAUAUAUAUAUAUAUAUAUAUAUAUAUAUAUAUAUAUAUAUAUAUUAUUUAUGAAAGAUAAUUUAAUCUAUUCAUAUUUUAAAAAUUAAUAAAUUUCUAAUUCAUAUAAAACUAAAUUUAUUUAUUUAUUUAUUUCUUGGGACGCAACUUAAUUAAACUAUAAUUUAUUUUAAUAAUUAAUUUCUAUGUUAUUUAUUAACUUACGCUCAUAAUUACAAUAUCAAAAAAAAAAAAAUUACUUCCUUUUUAUUUAAAACUUCUAUUCUCUCAUUUUAUUUUUUAAACAUAAACUUUAUUCCCAAUAAUACUCCAUUAUUGCCAACAAAAAUAAUAGACAUAUAUAUAUAUAUACUAACAACACUUUUCAUCCGUACACACACCCACACCCCAUAUAUAUAUAUAUUAUUUUUUUUUUUUCAUUCUCCAAUUCCAGUGUGCACACGCGUCCUCCAUUUUUAUUUUUAUUUUAUCCUUAAGCCAUUCUCCAAUUCCACAGUGUGCACACACGUCUUCCAGGUUUUUUUUUUCCCUAAAAACUUAAGAAUUUCCAAUUUCCAACAAUAAAUCAAAAUCUUAAAUUUUCAUUAUUUUGACAUUAAAACGAAUUAAAAAAAAAAAAAAACUAACCCUAAUCUAGAUUUGGGGUUUUCCAAAAAAAAAUAUAUCUAAUGUGCUUGAAAUUAACUAAUGAAUCUAAAAUAAUAAUCUAAGGGUUAGAAUUUUACCUAUAGAGGUUUGUUCUUCAAAUCUUGAAAUCUGACCUCAACUUCACGUUCUUUGGAAACUCUCUGCGAAUAGGAAUACGAUUCAGAAAAAAACAGGAAGAAGAGAAUUUUCUAUUUAUACCUAAGGCAUUAUUCGUAAAAUUACCUUUUCACCCCUCUUCCAUUUUAUUAAAUUAAUUAAUUAAUUAAUUUAAUAUAAUUAUUAUGAAUUUCCUAAAUUAACCUUUUAAGAAAAAACUUUGGGCGUUACAUCCUCCCCUCCUUAACAAAAGUUUAGUCCUCUAAACUUGACAUACCUGAGUCUUGAAAUAAUUGAGGAUGCUUUUCUCUCAUCUCUUCUUCUAACACCCAAGUGGCCUCUCGGAUACUAUGAUUGCUCCACUGGACCUUUACCAACUUGACAACAGCAUGUCGUAGUACCUUAUCCAUCACAUCCACAAUUCGAACGGGUACCUCUUCAUAGGUCAAGUCCUCAGAAAUUUGAAUAGGCUCCAACUCCACAACAUGAGAGGGAUCAUAAAUAUAUUUCCUCAAGGUUGAAACAUGGAAUACAUUAUGAAUCUUAGAUAGACUUAGGGGCAAGGCCACUUUAUAAGCCAAAGUGCCUACUUUUUCUAAUACCUCAAAUGGUCCCACAAAACGAGGACUGAGUUUUCCUUUUCUUCCAAAUCUCAUUAUAGACUUCAUAGGUGAAACUUUCAAGAAAACAUGAUCACCCACCUCAAACUCCAAAUCUCGUAUGUGAUUAUCAACAUAACUCUUCUGUCUACUUUGUGCUGCUUUCAAUCUUUCCUUAAUUAAAUAGACCUUUUCAACAAUCAACUGCACAAGUUCAGGCCCCAAAAGUUUCUUCUCUCCAACAUCAUCCCAACAAACAGGAGAUUGACAUCUUCUACCAUACAAUGCCUCAAAAGGUGCCAUCCCAAUGCUAGCUUGAAAGCUAUUAUCAUAGGUAAACUCCACUAGGGGCAAAUAAUCAUCCCAAUUACCUUUUAGGUCCAAAGCACAAGCUCUCAACAAAUCUUCCAAGACCUGAAUUACCCUCUCUGAUUGACCAUCAAUCUGCGGAUGAAAAGCAGUACUAAAACUCAACUUAGUACCUAAUGCUUUCUGUAAACUAUGCCAAAAUCUGGAAGUGAAACGAUGAUCUCUGUCAGAUACUAUAGAAACAGGUACACCAUGCAUUCUCACAAUCUCCUUAAUAUAAAGAGAAGCCAAACGAUCCGUAGAAAAAUUAACUUUCAUAGGUAGAAAAUGAGUAGACUUUGUCAAUCGAUCAACAAUCACCCAAAUUGCAUUAUUACCCCCUAAGGUCCUUGGUAACCCAGUCACAAAAUCCAUAGUAAUAUGUUCCCAUUUCCACUCGGGAAUAGAAAAUGGUUGCAAAAACCCUGCUGGUCGUUGAUGCUCAGCUUUCACUUGUUGACACACCAAACACUGAGCCACAAAUUGCGCAAUAUCUUGCUUCAUUCCUGACCACCAAUAAUUCUGUCUCAAAUCUUUGUACAUCUUUGUCCCUCCUGGGUGGAUCACAAGCCUAGAACAAUGAGCUUCCUCCAAAAGCUCUCUCCUUAAGUCUCCAUCAUUUGGGACACAAAGUCUAGUCCUAAACCUCAAAACCCCAUCAUCUGAUAAAACAAAGUCAGGCUUACUACCCUUUUUAACAUCUUCCAUAAGUUGCACUAAAUUCAAAUCAUUCUUUUGUAAGGCCUUAAUUCUCCCAACUAAGUCUGGCUGCACUCUAAAGUUCGCCAUAAGAGCUCCCGAGUCUAAAACUCUGAUAUGAACUUGUAAACUCCUCAAAUCUCCCAAUAAUUGCCUCUAACAACCUCUAAUAACUGCUAAGGAACUAAGAGAUUUCUUGCUUAAGGCGUCAGCCACAACAUUUGCUUUCCCUGUGUGAUAUUGAAUAAUGCAGUCAUAGUCUUUAAGUAGUUCAAUCCACCUCAUCUAUCUCAUGUUCAACUCCUUUUGGGAAAAUAAAUACUUCAAGCUCUUAUGAUCUGUGAAUAUCUCACAAGUUUCACUAAAAAGAAAAUGUCUCCAUGUCUUAAGUGCAAAAACCACUACAACUAACUCCAAAUCAUGAGUAGGAUAAUUUCGUUCAUAAGGCUUCAAUUGCCUAGAAGCAUAAGCUACAACUUUCCCAUGUUGCAUAAGAACACAACCCAAACCCUGAUGAGAUGCAUCACUAUACACCACAAACCCUCCUAAACCGAAAGGGAUAGUCAAAAUAGGAGUUGUCACCAAUUUGUUCUUUAACUCUUGGAAACUACAUUCACAAUCAUCAGACCACUCAAACUUAACCCCUUUCUGAGUCAAACUAGUUAGAGGUAGGGCAAUCUUAGAGAACCCCUCAAUAAACCGCCUAUAAUAACCAAUCAAUCCCAAGAAACUUCAAAUCUCAAUCACAGUAGUAGGUCUCCUCCAAUUUGACACAGUAUCUACCUUUCCAGGAUCAACUGAGAUGCCAUCCUUGGUCACCACAUGCCCAAGGAAAGAAACUCUGUCUAACCAAAACUCACACUUCUUGAGUUUAGAAUACAAUCGCUUAUCUCUGAGAGUCUGUAAUACAAUACUCAAAUGACGCUCAUGCUCUUCCCUACUCUUUGAGUACACCAAAAUAUCAUCUAUAAAAACUACCACAAAUUGAUCUAGAUAGGGCUUGAAUACCCUAUUCAUUAAGUUCAUAAAAGCAGCAGGUGCAUUAGUCAAACCAAAAGGCAUAACCAAAAACUCAUAAUGCCCAUAGCUAGUUCGAAAAGCAGUCUUAGGUAUAUCUUCCCCUCUAACCCUUAACUGAUGAUAACCAGACCGAAGAUCAAUCUUAGAGAAUACACAGCACCUUGAAGCUGAUCAAACAAAUCAUCAAUCCGAGGAAGGGGAUACCUNNNNNNNNNNNNNNNNNNNNNNNNNNNNNNNNNNNNNNNNNNNNNNNNNNNNNNNNNNNNNNNNNNNNNNNNNNNNNNNNNNNNNNNNNNNNNNNNNNNNUCACCGUCACUUUAUUCAAUUCUCUAUAAUCAAUGCAAAGUCUCAUAGAUCCAUCAUUUUUCUUUACAAAUAAAACAAGACCUCCCCAAGGUGAAACACUAGGCCUAAUGAAGCCCUUAUCUAACAACUCUUGGAGUUGAAUCUUCAACUCCUUAAGCUCCAUAGGUGCUGAUUACUACUCAAAACAUGCUAUUUUGUAGCUUGUAAUUAGCUCUUUUAAACACCCUUGAGUAGUAAUUAUUACCUUUUAACCCAAUUAACAUGUUAGGGACCCUUGCAAUCAUUUCUAACAAUUGUGUUAAGUUUUGGUGCUUUUUGAUAGCUUUAUGCUCACCAAAGCAAUUUAAGAAUGAGGGAGAGCUAUUUAUAGUUCAUGGAAAAGCUUUUGAAAGCUUAAAUUUAUGAAGAAAUCAAGCUAUGGAGCCUCAUAAUCCUUUGCCUUAGUCGUUCAAAGUAUACAAGGAAGAAACAAUGGAGAAGAGGAAAACAGGGGAUGAAAACAGGGGACACAGCUGCAGUCCUUCAUUGCACUUUUGGAGCACUUUCCGAAGUCCAUAUUUUACAUUCUACAUACCAUUUCAAAGCUCCGAAAGUCAAGAAUCCAACGGUUCAAACCAUGUACGAUUUGGAGCUGAAAUGAGAAAGAUAUGGCCUUUGGAAGACAACUGCAUCAAGCUGAGGGAUAAUUUCGCACGAUGGAAAUCAAGGUGCGAAUUCCUCAGUCCACUGUGCGAAAAUUUCGCACACCUCAAAUCAAAGUGCGAAAUUGGAACUCCAGCGUGCGAAAAUUGGAUAUUUUUGCCGACUCUUUUUCUUCUGAUAUUUUUGUGUCUAAAUUUCCAUUUUCUCCUUGUAUUCAACCACUCAUGUAAUUCCUUAGCUAGAAAGUAUCCAAGGAAGGGUAAAAUUACCUUCCUAUAUAAAUUCUCUUGUAAUCACUGAAAAUUGAUCUUUUCGGGGAGCUUUAUCCAGGAGAUCAACUGAUGUAAAUUUGAUACUUAGUGAAAUACAGAGAUCUCUUUUGCUUUCUUUUUCUCUCUUCUAUUUUCUAUUUUCUUGCAAGCCAAACACCCUCUGAAGAUGUUUUCCCAGAGGAUGAGAGGCUAAACAUUUAGUUUCUUGGAGUAAAGGAAGCUAGGUGAAAAGUCCAGAUUAAAACAUGGAAAGUUUCCGUGCAUUAAAUUCAGGUAGUUGGAGUCCAUAAAUGGUUUUUAAAGCCAAGGUUUUGCCUUAAAUCCCUUAGAAUCACUUUGACUGGCCAAUACAUGGUAAGCUUAAGGUCUCUGUGGAUGCUUAUUGCUAGAUCCAUAUCAGUCCAUUAGUUAUCAUGUACGAGCCAUAGGAAAGUGAUUCAAGGUGAUAGCCCAUAGUGUCUUAAGCCAUUAAUGGACCUUGACUACCAUCUUUAGUGACUUUUUAUGGAUUAAAACUUCAUUGUCAAACCUAUACCGGUUCGGGAAAUAACUAUAGGUUAAAUCCCCAAUGCGAGGAGAAAAAUCCGGAAUUUUCCACUUUGCAUCUGGAACUUGAACCUAGCAACCUUUAGCUCCGGGAGACUUUCUUUCUUCCACUUUUUACUUAGUUCUAUGUGAGUUUGGUUUAAAUCACCACUUUCAAAACAAUUUUAUUUUCUUUUAAAUUUCAAGUUUGUGCUAAAGGAAAUCAUCAGAAUCAAUUCCUAAUUUAGAGUCCGUCACUGAUAGAGUGAAAACCCAUCCCUGAGUUCGACCCUAGAACUGCUAUACUAUAGUAGCUUUGCUACGCCAGUAUAAGGUCAUAGGUUUUAUAAAUGUUUUUGAUUAAAAGACCCGGCUGGGCAUCGAAUCAGGUGCCAUCCUAUAAGGGGCCUUAGAGAUAGGAGUUGUCCCUGGUGCCAAAUCAAUGGUGAACUCUACCUCCCUCUCUGGUGGCAAGCCAGGUAGAUCCUCUGGAAAAACAUCAGGAUAGUCCCUUACAAUGGGUAUGUAUUCCAACUUUAAAUCAUUUUCCUCAUUCACAACAUAAGUUAAAAAGCCUUGACAGUCUUUCCUGAGCAAAGAACUAGCUUGUAAGGCUGAGAUCACACGUAGUGGUUUGUCCACAUGCUUCCCCUCAAAACUAAAAUUAGGCUAAUUAGGAAUGCUAAAAGUCACUAUUUUCCCAAAACAAUCAAUAGAAGCAUGAUAAGAAGCUAACCAAUCCAUCCCCAAAAUCACAUCAAAAUCUUGAAGGUCUAGAAGUACUAAGUCAACUGUCAUCUCUCUAUACCCAACCAUCACACAACAAUCUCUAAUUAUUUUAUUAAGCACAACAAAAUCUCCCAAAGGAGUAGCAACAAAUAAAUCAAAUUCCAUAUUAUCAAUCGGCAUACCCAACAAACCAACAAAAGAUACGGAAACAAAAGAGUGUGUUGAUCCAGGAUCAAUUAAGGCUCUAGCAAAUAAGGUGUGAAUUUGAAGAGUACCUGUCACUACAUCAGACGUAACCUGAGCAUCUCUAUGAGUCAUAGCAAAUACCCACCCUUGAUCCCUGGGCUUUUGUCUAUCAUCUUUAUUCUCCUCCUUAGGCUUCCCAAAUACAAACUUCCUACUCUUUGGACAAUCCCGAACCAUAUGUCCCUAUUUUCCACAACCAAAGCAAGCUCCUGUCUCUCUAUAGCAUGGCCUACCCCCAUGCUUCUUGCCACAAGUAGGACAAAUCCCAUCUAAAUUUUGUGUUGUUUUUCCUUUAUUCUGAUGUCUACUUGGAGCAGACCUUUUAUGUGCUUGGUUACCAUGAGCACCAUCAUUUUUAUUCCUCUUCCUUUGUUGUUCCCUAUACUGGUGAAGCUCUUCAUUAUCCUUCUCUGCAAUAAGGGCUCUGUCUACCACCUCUGAAUAAACACUAAGUUUCAUAAUUGAUAUCUUAUUCUUCAGAUAAGGCUUCAGUCCAUCCUGAAACUUUAAUGUUUUUUCCUCCUCUGUGAUUACUACUCAAAAUGUGUUAUUUCAUAGCUUGUAAUUAACUCUUUUAAACACUUUUGAGUAGUAGUUAUUGCCUUUUAACCCAAUUAACAUAUUAAGGACCUUUGCAAGCACUUCUAAUCAAUAUGUGUUAAGUUUUGGUAUUUUGAUAGCCUUUUUGAUCACCAAAGCAAUCCGAGAUUGAGGAGAGUUAUGAGGAAUCUUGGGCAAAGCAAUUGGAAGCUCAGAAACAUGAAGAACUAAAGCUUGGAAGUCCUUUUCCAUAAGUAAAUCCAGAAUGCAAGGAGAAGAAGCAAAGAGAAUCUGCCAUAAAGCAUAUUCUUGAUGAUAGUAAUAUCAGCCACUUUUGGAGCACUUUAUGAAGGCCAAUUGAUGCAUGCUAUAUACCAUUUUAAAUCUCAGGAAUUUAACAAUCCAAUGCUUCAAACGGUACACAAUUCGGAGUUAAAACGAAGAAGUUACAGCCAUUACAAGUCAAUCACUCUAAGCUGAAAUAAGCAUUUUUUCAAAGUGUUGCGAAAUCACCCUUUUGUUGCGAAAUCACCCUUUUGUUGCGAAAUGAUUUCGCAACCUUUUUGAACAGUGUUGUGGAUUUCCUCCUGAAGUUGCCCGAUAUAUGCCGCACGUUGGAAGCUGAGAGCCUCAAGGUGAAAGCCAACUUCGCAGAGCUGCGAGAUUAGCCUUUUGCUGCGAAGUGAUUUUGCAGCCCUUUUUGUGUGUCUGCGAAAUCUCGCAGACAUCAUUUUCUCUUGCGAAAUGGUCCUUAGUGCUUCCCGAUAUUUGCUACCAACAUUGGGAGAUAUUUUCCAUCAGAUUUUUGUUGUCUAAAUCCCAAAAUUCUCCUUGUAAGCCACCAAUUACAAGAUUCCUUAGCUUUUAAGUUAGGAAAAAGAGUAAAUAUCCAUGUAAUAAUUAGUUUUGUAUUAUGUUUAUAUAAGUACCUCUCGAGAGCCUGUUCUCAGAGAGGAGAAACCUUUUUGUAAAAGUUUGAAAGCAAGUAAAGUUCAGGCCCUUUGUUUUGCCUUACCUUCUCACUUUGUUUUUUUCAUCUUUUUCUAAGUUAUGAACUCUCUGAGGAAUUUUCCCCAGAGAAUGAGUAACUAAACCUUUAGUUCCUUGGAGCUAAGGUUGCCGGGGAAGGUUCCAAGUGCAAGAAUGCAAAGCUUUGUGGUUUCAACCAUUAAUGAAGAGGAAGUGAAAUCCUUUAGUGAUUUCUAUGUUUUUAGUUAACUUAAAACACCUUAGAGUCACCUAGGCCAACACUUGGUAAGGCAAGUGAUCUCCAACCAAGGAGAUGCACUAGUUUACCCCUUGCGAGCCUCUGGGAGGUGACUUUAAGGUAGGAUUUUUUGGAAUUACCAACACUUGGUAAGCUUUUGGACUCUAAGGAGACAUCCAUUAGUUAUCUCUUGCGAGCUUGAGAAGGGAAUUCCAAGGUUAAAGAUCACCUUGAAUGGUUAAGGCUUAGUGAGAGGCUUGAACCAUUGCAAGUUGUAUCAGUGAGAGAAUUAAAGUUGAAAUCUAAUUAAAGGAUGUAUCUGUACACCACCGGUUAGAGAAUUGACUAUAUGUUGAAUCUUUAACGCGAGGAAAUGAACCAUCUGACCAGAGCUAUGUCUUUUGCAUGAGGAACCACCCCAAUGAACCUGACCCUCCAAGGAAUGUUUUUCCUCCUAAGUUAUUCCCAUUACUUGUUUUAUAGUUAGUUUAAAUCUAAAUCUUUGCCAAUCAAAGUUUGUAUUUUAUUUCUUAAGCUAGCCUUGAAAUGAAACAAGACCAAUUCACUUUGAAUUGGUAUCAUUGAUAACUUGCUAAUCCUUCCCAGUGAACGAUCCUAGAGCCACUAUGCUAUAAUAGUUUUUUCUUUGCUACCCUAGUAUAUGGUGUAAUAGGUUAUAAAUUUUGUUGAUUACUCCCUCAAUCAAGGAGCACCAGCUGGACAUAAAUCAGCUGAGACACCAAUUGGGCACGAAUCAAAUGGCGUCGUUGCCAGGGAAGUGUGUCAAACCAGUGAUACCAUUUUAGAGCACUUGUGAUUUUUCAUCACAAGUUUGGUAACGUUUCUUUCACUUUACUAAUUCUCAUUCUUUCUUUAUUUAUUCAUAAUCCAAGUUUAUCUUUUAAAUUUAGCUUAGUUUAAUUUUGUUGUUGUAGCUCUGUUUCCUUUUGUUGUCCUUUAUUUUCAUUUAAGUUACAGAUAGAUGCUAGUUGUGUAUGCCAAAGUGGAUACGAGACAGUGGAGGAAGGCUUGUUAAGUGUGAUACACUUCAUAACAAAGAAUUCGAAUUGAGCUUGAAUAUCAUGGAAGCUACACCUGAAGAUCAGCAUAGUCACCAAGGUCGUCAAGAUAAUCUCAAUGAAUUCAGAUCAAUGAGGGACCGCAUGCAUCCACCUCGUAUGAGUGCACCAUCAUGUAUAGUGCUCCCUACAGACCAGCUAGUGAUCAGACCGUAUCUUGUUCCACUUCUACCAACUUUCCAUGGGAUGGAAAGUGAGAAUCCCUAUGCACACAUCAAGGAAUUUGAAGAUGUUUGUAAUACAUUCCAAGAGGGAGGAGCUUCAAUUGAUUUGAUGAGGCUUAAGUUAUUUCCUUUUACUUUAAAGGAUAAGGCCAAAAUUUGGCUUAAUUCUUUAAGGCCAAGGAGUAUCCGCACUUGGACUAACUUACAAGCUGAAUUCCUCAAGAAAUUUUUUCCCACUCAUAGAACAAAUGGCUUGAAAAGGCAAAUUUCAAAUUUCUCAGCUAAAAAGAAUGGGAAAUUCUAUGAGUGUUGGGAAAGAUAUAUGGAAGCUAUAAAUGCUUGCCCUCACCAUGGCUUUGAUACUUGGUUAUUGGUGAGCUAUUUUUAUGAUGGGAUGUCCUCCUCAAUGAAGCAACUCCUUGAGACAAUGUGUGGAGGAGAUUUCAUGAGCAAAAAUCUAGAGGAAGCUAUGGAUUUCUUGAGCUAUGUAGCUGAAGUUUCAAGGGGAUGGGAUGAACCAACCAAAGGAGAAGUGGGUAAGAUGAAGUCUCAACUGAGUGCUUUCAAUGCUAAAGCUGGAAUGUAUACCUUGAAAGAAGAUGAUGACAUGAAAGCAAAGUUGGCAGCUAUGACAAGAAGAUUGGAGGAGCUGGAGCUGAAAAGAAUACAUGAAGUGCAAGUUGUUGCUGAAGCACCAUUGCAAGUGAAGUUGUGUCCCAAUUUUCAAUCAUAUGAACAUUUGGUGGAGGAAUGUCUUGCAAUUUCAGCUGAAAGGGAAAUGUUCAGAGAUGAAGCAAAUUUUGUUGGACAAUUCAAGCCCAAUAACAAUGCGUCUUAUGGAAAUACUUACAACUCAAGUUGGAGGAAUCAUCCAAAUUUCUCAUGGAAGGCCAGAGCAACUCAGUACCAACAGCCGGAUCCACCAUAUCAACAAUCUUCGAGUCUUGAACAAGCAAUAACGAAUCUCAGCAAGGUAGUGGGAGAUUUUGUUGGAAACUAAGAAGCCACCAAUGCUCAAAUCAAUCAAAGAAUUGACAGAGUGGAGAGUACUUUGAAUAAAAGGAUGGAUGGAAUGCAAAAUGAUAUAUCUCAAAACUUUGAUAAUAUCCAAUACUCAAUUUCAAGGCUCACAAAUUUGAACACAGUGCAAGAAAAUGGAAGAUUUCCUUCUCAACCCCACCAAAACCCCAAGGGUGUCCAUGAAGUGGAAAGCCAAGAGGGAGAAUCAUCACAGAUGAAAGAUGUCAAAGCCUUAAUCACUCUAAGGAGUGGUAAAAAAAUUGAGAAGCCAACACUCAAUAUGUUGAGAAAGAAUAAGAAAACAUAAAGAAAGGGGAAGAAAUGGAAGAAAAAGAAAGUGAGAUCAGUGAAAAGAAAAAGGACUAUGAUUCAACAAUGAAUGUAAUUCAAGAGAAGGAACUUCUGAAUGAAGAAAUGCUGAAGAAGUCAACUUCUCCUCCUUUUCCUCAAGCAUUGCAUAGGAAAAAGGGGAUUAGAAAUGCAGCUGAAAUCCUUGAGGUAUUGAGACAAGUGAAAGUCAAUAUCCCACUGCUGGAUAUGAUUAAACAAGUUCCAACAUAUGCAAAAUUCCUAAAGGACUUAUGUACUAUCAAAAGAGGGUUGACUGUAAACAAGAAAGCCUUCUUAACUGAGCAAGUAAGUGCAAUCUUACAAUGUAAGUCUCCUUUGAAGUACAAAGAUCCGGGAAGUCCUACCAUUUCAGUCAUGAUUGGAGGGAAGGUAGUGGAGAAAGCUUUGUUAGACUUGGGAGCAAGUGUGAAUUUGCUUCCAUAUUCCGUCUACAAGCAAUUAGGACUUGGUGAGUUGAAGCCAACGACAAUCACUCUAUCUCUAGUAGAUAGAUCAGUAAAAAUUCCAAGGGGGGUAAUUGAGGAUGUCUUGGUUCAAGUUGAUAAUUUCUACUAUCCAGUAGAUUUUAUUGUUCUUGAUACAGAUCCUAUUGUAAAGGAAGCUAAUUUAGUUCCUAUCAUCCUUGGAAGGCCAUUUCUUGCUACCUCAAAUGCAAUCAUCAACUGCAGGAAUGGGCUGAUGCAACUCACUUUUGGCAACAUGACACUUGAUCUCAAUAUCUUCUAUAUGUCUAAAAAGUAAACCACUCUGGAAGAAGAAGAGGGUCCAGAAGAGGUGUGCAUUAUUGACACUCUGGUGGAGGAGCACUGUAAUCAGAAUAUGCAAGACAAGCUGAAUGAAAGUCUUAUGGAUUCUGAGGAAGGUUUGUCUGAACCCCCUAAUGUGCUUGCUACUCUACAAAGUUGGAGAAGGAUAGAAGAGAUUCUACAUUUGUUCAAUAAAGAAGAAGAGACAAUUGCUGAAAAAGAAACUCCAAAACUCAAUCUGAAGCCUCUACCUGUGGAGCUGAAAUAUACAUAUCUUGAGGAAGAUAAUCAAUGUCCUGUUGUAAUAUCUUCAUCUCUAACCAGUCAUCAAGAGAAUUGUUUAAUGGAAGUUCUCAAGAGGUGUAAGAAGACAAUAGGAUGGCAAAUAUCUGACUUGAAAGGCAUUAGUCCUUUAGUUUGCACUCAUCAUAUAUAUAUGGAGGAGGAAGCAAAGCCAAUUCGUCAACUUCAAAGAAGAUUGAAUCCUCAUUUACAAGAGGUGAUACGAGCUGAGGUGCUGAAGCUACUUCAAGCAGGUAUUAUCUAUCCUAUAUCCGAUAGCCCUUGGGUGAGUCCUAUUCAAGUGGUACCAAAGAAGUCAGGGAUUACUGUGGUUCAGAACGAGAAAGGGGAAGAAAUUACUACACGCCUCACUUCAGGUUGGAGGGUGUGUAUUGAUUAUAGAAAGUUGAAUGUUGUAACCAGGAAAGAUCAUUUUCCAUUGCCAUUUAUUGACCAAGUGCUACAGAAAGUCUCUGGACAUCCGUUCUAUUGCUUCUUGGACGGGUAUUCAGGGUAUUUUCAUAUUGAAAUUGAUGUGGAAGAUCAGGAAAAGACCACUUUUACAUGUCCAUUUGGAACAUAUGCUUACAGAAGAAUGCCUUUUGGUUUAUGCAAUGCACCUGCUACAUUUCAAAGAUGUAUGUUGAGUAUUUUCAGUGAUAUGGUGGAGCGAAUUAUGGAAGUUUUCAUGGAUGAAAUCACCGUAUAUGGAGGUACAUUUGAGGAAUGCUUAAUUAAUUUGGAAGCAGUUCUUCACAGAUGCAUUGAAAAAGACCUGGUGCUUAAUUGGGAGAAAUGUCAUUUUAUGGUACGUCAAGGAAUUGUCCUUGGCCAUAUCAUCUCCGAAAAAGGCAUUGAAGUUGAUAAAGCAAAGGUGGAGCUUAUUGUCAAAUUACCAUCACCAACAACUGUAAAAGGAGUAAGGCAGUUCCUUGGCCAUGCAGGGUUCUAUAGGAGGUUUAUAAAAGGUUUUUCAAGUCUUUUAAAACCUCUUUGUGAGCUGUUAGCUAAGGAUGCUAAGUUUAUAUGGGAUGAAAGAUGUCAAAAUAGUUUUGAUCAACUGAAGAAAUUUUUAACAACAACUCCAAUAGUGAGGUCCCUUAACUGGCAAUGACCCUUUGAACUGAUGUGUGAUGCCAGUGACUUUGCUAUAGGAGUUGUGCUUGGCCAAAGAGAAGAUGGGAAGCCCUAUGUGAUCUACUAUGCAAGCAAAACACUGAAUGAAGCUCAAAGGAACUACACAACUACAGAGAAAGAAUUGUUAGUUGUGGUAUUUGCUUUGGACAAAUUUCAUGCUUAUUUAGUGGGGUCUUUCAUCAUUGUCUUUACUGAUCAUUCAGCCUUGAAGUAUUUAUUGACAAAGCAAGAUACAAAAGCAAGGUUGAUUAGAUGGAUUCUUUUGCUACAAGAAUUCGAUCUCCAAAUCAAAUAUAAGAAAGGAGUGGAGAAUGUGGUAGCUGACCACCUUUCAAGGUUAGUUAUAGCACAUAAUUCCCAUCCCUUUCUUAUUAAUGAUGAUUUUCCUAAAGAAUCACUCAUGUUCCUAGUGAAAACUCCUUGGUAUGCUCAUAUUGCUAAUUAUUUAGUUACUGGUGAAAUUCCAAGUGAGUGGAAUGCAUAGGACAGGAAGCACUUCUUUGCAAAAAUUCAUGCUUAUUAUUGGGAAGAGCCCUUUAUUUUUAAGUAUUGUGCAGAUCAGAUCAUAAGGAAGUGUGUCCCUGAAGAUGAGCAACAAGGGAUUCUAAACCAUUGUCAUGAGAAUGCAUGUGGAGGCCACUUCGCCUCUCAGAAAACUGCCAUGAAGGUGUUGCAAUCAGGGUUUACUUGGCUAUCUCUUUUCAAAGAUGCCCACAUCAUGGGUAGAAGUUGUGAUAGAUGCCAAAGGCUUGGAAAGCUAACAAAAAGAAAUCAAAUGCCUAUGAACCCCAUUCUAAUAGUUGAGCUAUUUGAUGUAUGGGGUAUUGACUUCAUGGGGCCAUUCCCAAUGUCUUUUGGUAAUUCUUACAUCUUGGUGGGGGUGGAUUAUGUUUCUAAAUGGGUUGAGGCAAUCCCCUGUAAACAAAAUGACCACAGAGUGGUUCUCAAGUUUCUUAAAGAGAACAUUUUCUCGAGAUUUGGGGUACCCAAAGCCAUAAUCAGUGAUGAAGGUGCUCCUUUUUGCAACAAACCUUUUGAAGCUCUAUUAUCCAAGUAUGGAGUGAAGCAUAAGGUAGCUACACCUUAUCAUCCUCAGACUUCCGGGCAAGUUGAGCUAGCUAACAGGGAAAUAAAGAACAUAUUGAUGAAAGUGGUGAAUUCAAGCAGAAAAGAUUGGUCUAUUAGGCUUCAUGAUUCAUUGUGGGCAUAUAGAACAGCUUAUAAGACUAUUCUUGGCAUGUCUCCCUAUCGUCUUGUCUAUGGCAAAGCAUGCCAUCUCCCUGUGGAAGUUGAAUACAAAGCUUGGUGGGCAAUAAAGAAGCUAAACAUGGACUUGAUUAGAGCCGGAGCAAAGAGAUGUCUAGACCUUAAUGAGAUGGAGGAAUUAAGAAAUGAUACUUAUAUCAAUUCCAGAGUUGCAAAACAGAGGAUGAAGAAGUGGCAUGAUCAACUAAUCUCCAACAAGGAAUUUCAGAAAGGACAAAGAGUUUUACUGUAUGACACAAGACUUCAUAUCUUUCCUGGGAAGCUCAAGUCAAGGUGGAUAGGCCUGUUCAUUAUUCACCAAGUAUAUGUCAAUGGAGUGGUGGAAUUAUUGAAUUCCAAUGGCAAAGACACCUUUAGAGUCAAUGGAUAUCGUCUCAAGCCAUUCAUGGAGCCAUUCAAACCAGAAAAGGAGGAAAUCAACCUCCUUGAGCCAUAAAAAUCCUAAGUAAAAAAGGGUUUGGUGGACGUGGUUUUACCACAGUCCAAAAUUUUUGUAAAGUUUGUAAAUUUCAAAGUUUUUUCCAUACUUUUGAUCUUAGUUUUUUAUCUUAAAAUUAUGUUUUUAUAUGUGUUUUAAACUUUUUGAAUGAUCUUAGGUGGAAGAGAUUAUAAAGAAAUUGAAAGGAAGAAAUCGGAGCGAAAUCGGAGCAAAAACAGAGAAAAAAUAGAGCAAAAACAAGGCUCUGCGAGACUUCGCAGCCUAAGGAAAUCUUUUGCGAAAUAAGCACUUUGCUGCCAAACCAUUCCGCAACUCAUUGGAAUUCUCUGCGAAAAUUUUCGCAGCUGCGAAGUCGAGUUUGGCACAUGAGUGCCACUUUGCAGCACAGGAGCCCCCAUUUCGCAGCUGCGAAACGGUUGCAAAGCUCUAAAGCGUGAAAAUCCUUGAUUUCGCAACCAAAGUUCCAUUCCGCAGGGUAUUUCGCAAUUGUGAAAGAAAUUUUGGCACACGUGUGCCACUUCGCAGCACAGUGACACUCAAUUCGCAACUGCGAAACGCAUUGCGAAGUUGGCUGCGAAAAUGACUUUUUGCUGCGAAAUUAGCAUUUUUCUGCGAAACUCAAAAUGACCCUUAAUAUUCCGUUAUUUUUAUAUGUAUCGGUCAUUUGAGCUGCAAAAGUGUUUCAAAAAGAGAACGCGCCAUAGUUGCUGACUGUUCAUCUCCUUGCCUGAGCCCGACGUCGUGCGAACCUCUGAUCAUCUUCUCCGGUCAUCACUUCCGACCAAAUUUUUGGCAAUCCGAAAUGGCGCGAACCAGAGGAGCCAAAUCUUCCUCUCUUUCAAGCCGCAAGAGAGUCCCGCGAGGGAAGCCCGUUCCAGAACCCACCUCUGAACCUCCGCAGCAAAAAGUUGUUUCCCCUUCGACGAAGCCCGCACCGCAGAAGCCUCCGGCGAGGUGUUAUCUCACCAGGUCAGGGGGUCGGCCCCUGCAAAAGAGAGCCAGGGUUGAAAGCUCAGAGCCCAUUGACUUAACGGAGCAGUCCCCAAAACCUUCACUAGUUCCAUCUCCAGUGCCAUCUCCGGUUCCAUCUCCAGCGCCGCCAACAGAGCCUCAAGAGCCUCAGCCGCCACUUCCCGAACCCCAAAUUACAUCUGAAAUAGCUCCUGAAGCAAUAAUCAGGCGGUCGAUGCUGACGCAGCCGCCAAUUGAAGGGAACUUGGAUUGUAGAGCUCGACCAUUCCACUCUGAGUUGUGCUUUGAAACAGCCACCUUCCAAUUAAGGUCGGAGCUUGCGGAUUCUUUCCGCCUAUUGCGUAGAUAUCAUAUGGAGCAGCUGCUGGCCCCUAGAGACUUCUUCUACCCCAGGGUAGCCAUGGAUUUUUAUCAGUCCGUGAAUACCAAGCAGGUCAAAGAUCCUACUUUAAUCCAUUUUACUAUAGAUGGUCGGCAUGGCAUUUUGGGAGCUCGCCAUAUAGCAGAGGCCCUCCAUAUACCAUAUGAGCCAACUCAUUUUGAGGAUUUCAGAGUGUGGACUAGUCCCACUGAGCUGGAGAUGGUACAUACCUUGUUUAGAGGAGCUUCCACGCGUCCACAUCUGUUGAGGGGAGAACUUCCUCCAAGCAUGUUUCUUAUUAAUGCAUUUCUCUGUCAUAACAUCUACCCACUCCAGCAUUGGACUCAGAGGAGAGGAAUUCUUUUGGAGGCUCUAUUCAAAAUUUCUGAGGGAUAUUUCUUUGGCCCUCACCACCUGAUUAUGGCUGCCCUUCUCUAUUUCGAAGAGAAGAUCCAUAAGAAGAAGUUGCAGAGAGCUGAUGCCAUUCCUCUUCUCUUUCCAAGGCUGCUGUGCCAGAUUUUGGAGCACCUAGGGUAUCCAACAGAGCCUUAGUUGGAGCGCAAGCGCAUUUGCUAAGAGGUAUUUACUCUCGACAAAUGGAACAACAUGACAACCUAUAGAGUUGAGCAGCCAGAGCGCCCACAGCCAGCUGCUAGGAGAGCAUCCCCACGACACAUAAAUGAGGGUAUACCUAUUGCUUCUCCUACCAUCACCAGAGCCCCUCCAGUCACUCCAGCCUCAUCACAGCCAUCUUCUUUAGCUGAGCCGAGGAUGGCCAUUCCUAUUUCUGAGUAUAGGGAGUUAUGCCACUCACUGCAGAUCCUCACCGCUUCUCAGAGCAUCCUCACUCAGCAAAUCAUAGCUCUUAGUGCUCAUCAAGAGCAUAUUAUCGCCACUCAAACCCAACACAUUGCCAUCCUGAGGCAAAUUCAGCAUCAUCUGGGUAUUAUAUCACCUCCUGAGCACUCCAUUCCUAUCCCACCAGAGCCAUCAUAGGCCCCUCCUAUUGUACAUCAGACUAUGCCUUCUGAGGAGCCGACUACAGGAGAGGCAGAGGCAGCUGAGCCAUCAUCUCCACAUCAUCCUCCAGCCACCAUCUGAUCAUUUUCAUAGUUUCCUUUAUAUAUGUCCUUUAUGCAUUUCCUUUAUGUAUUUCCCUUAUAUUUUCCUUACUGGAGUAGCUCUAGAAAUCCCAUGCUUUUGAUAUUAUAUACUGGGAUUAAUUGUAUUACUUGUUCUCUUUAUGUAUUUUCAUCAAAUGAAGUAAUACAAAUCUAUCAAUUUUUUAGUACUCUUAGCAUUAUUUUAUCCUAAUUCCUCUACUCAUAUCUUUUAUUGUUUUUGAAACAUGUGUUUUCUCCAAUCAGUUUUCGAUAUCACUCAGGAGGUACCACUUCCUCCCUUUAAUUGCAAACACCUAUAUCACAUUGAGGACAAUGCUCAGUUCGGUUGGGGGGGGGGAGAGAGAGAGAGAGAGAAAUGAGGAAGGAAGUAUGCUAAAUCUUUUUGGUAAUGCAAUUAUAUUAAUAAAUCAGUUAUAGUUUUUGCUUUUUAUUCUAAUCUCCAUGGAUUUUGAGGAAAAAUUUUCAAAAUGAAACAGGAGAAAUUGAACUGUUGCUUUUUCACUUGACUUAGAGUAUGGAUUAUGCUUACUAAAGUGGUUCAAUUGUUGAAGCUUCUAUUGAAAUUGAGUUUAGUUCUUCCACUUUAAGCUAUCCACACACUGUGCACAAUAGAUUCCGAUUAUAAGAUGAAAAACUAUUUCCCUCUUGACUUAGAAAAAAUUUUGGAACUUGGUACCUUUGACCUCAUUUGAUAAAGUUGAGACACCUUAUGAAAGGCCAAUGAGCCUUUGAAAUAAAGAAAGAAAAAUGUUUGCUUGCCUUGAAACCCGAGCAAGGUUUGAGGGGUAUAUGAUGAAAAUCUUUAAAACCUAGUGCCCUAAGCCUUAAUUGGUUGGGAGUCACCGACCUCAAUGCUCGUUACAAGGGUGGAUAGGUGGAGUUAGCAUAUGGUAGGUGCUUAGGUAUUAAAAAUUCAUUCUCAAAAGUCCGGGGUAAAAUCCGAGGAGUUAGUGGUUGAAAGAUCCUUAAAGCUUGAUGCCCUAAACCUUAAUUGGUUGGGAGUCAUCAAUGGACCCCGGUUACAUGGACAAUUCAGAAAAGAAUACCCCUUAAGCCUUGUAAAAAAAAAAAGUGUGUUCUCUGCCUAUUGAAUUUGGUCAGUUUGCUAAGUGUUGAAAAGAGAUAGGUUGGGGGGAGAGAUUAGUUUAGCAUACUAUAUUCGGAAGCUAAGGAAUCACACACUUAGAUUUUUGUGGAAGAAUAAAGUUUGGUUCUUUGGAAGUGAAAAUGAUUUUAAAACUUCAGUUUGCAUAAUGCAUUCCCUUGAUUAAUAGUGUUUAGCAUAGUAUGUGAUAACUCUUGUUGAAAUUUGGGUUUAUAUUUCUUCAAUGUUCCAUGUGGGAGUUAGAUCAUCAUGCCACUUAAAUUUUUUUGAAGUAAUCAGCAUGAUGUUGUAAAUUAUAGUAAUUUUUAUUUUUAUUUUUAUCUCCUUCAUUGCUAAGGGACUAGCAAUAUGUCGAUUGGGGGGAGUGAUUACUACUCAAAAUGUGCUAUUUCAUAGCUUGUAAUUAACUCUUUUAAACACUUUUGAGUAGUAGUUAUUGCCUUUUAACCCAAUUAACAUAUUAAGGACCUUUGCAGGCACUUCUAAUCAAUAUGUGUUAAGUUUUGGUAUUUUGAUAGCCUUUUUUAUCACCAAAGCAAUCCGAGAUUGAGGAGAGUUAUGAGGAAUCUUGGGCAAAGCAAUUGGAAGCUCAGAAACAUGAAGAACCAAAGCUUGGAAGUCCUUUGCCAUAAGUAAAUCCAGAAUGCAAGGAGAAAAAGCAAAGAGAAUCUGCCAUAAAGCAUAUUCUUGAUGACAGUCAUAUCAGCCACUUUUGGAGCACUUUAUGAAGGCCAAUUGAUGCAUGCUAUAUACUAUUUUAAAGCUCAGGAAGUCAAAAAUCCAAUUCUUCAAACGGUGCAUAAUUCGGAGUUGAAACGAAGAAGUUACAACCACUACAACUCAAUCACUCUAAGCUGAAAGAAGCAUUUUUUCAAAGUGUUGCGAAAUCACCCUUUUGUUGCGAAAUGAUUUCGCAACCUUUUUGAACAGUGUUGUGGAUUUCCUCCUGAAGUUGCCCGAUAUAUGCCGCACGUUGGAAGCUGAGAGCCUCAAGGUGAAAGCCAACUUCGCAGAGCUGCGAGAUUAGCCUUUUGCUGCGAAGUGAUUUCGCAGCCCUUUUUGUGUGUCUGCGAAAUCUCGCAGACAUCAUUUUCUCUUGCGAAAUGGUCCUUAGUGCUUCCCGAUAUUUGCUACCAACAUUGGGAGAUAUUUUCCAUCAGAUUUUUGUUGUCUAAAUCCCAAAAUUCUCCUUGUAAGCCACCAAUUACAAGAUUCCUUAGCUUUUAAUUAGGAAAAAUAGUAAAUAUCCAUGUAAUAAUUAGUUUUGUAUUAUGUUUAUAUAAAUACCUCUCGAGAGCCUGUUCUCAGAGAGGAGAAACCUUUUUGUAAAAGUUUGAAAGCAAGUAAAGUUCAAGCCCUUUGUUUUGCCUUACCUUCUCACUUUGUUUUUUUUCAUAUUUUUCUAAGUUAUGAACUCUCUGAGGAAUUUUCCCCAGAGAAUGAGUAACUAAACCUUUAGUUCCUUGGAGCUAAGGUUGCCGGGGAAGGUUCCAAGUGCAAGAAUGCAAAGCUUUGUGGUUUCAGCCAUUAAUGAAGAGGAAGUGAAAUCCUUUAGUGAUUUCUAUGUUUUUAGUUAACUUAAAACACCUUAAAGUCACCUAGGCCAACACUUGGUAAGGCAAGUGAUCUUCAACCAAGGAGAUGCACUAGUUUACCCCUUGCGAGCCUCUGGGAGGUGACUUUAAGGUAGGAUUUUCUGGAAUUACCAACACUUGGUAAGCUUUUGGACUCCAAGGAGACAUCCAUUAGUUAUCUCUUGCGAGCUUGAGAAGGGAAGUCCAAGGUUAAAGAUCACCUUGAAUGGUUAAGGCUUAGUGAGAGGCUUGAACCAUUGCAAGUUGUAUCAGUGAGAGAAUUAAAGUUGAAAUCUAAUUAAAGGAUGUAUCUAUACAUCACCGGUUAGAGAAUUGACUAUACGUUGAAUCUCUAACGCGAGGAAAUGAACCAUCUGACCAGAGCUAUGUCUUUUUCAUGAGGGACCACCCCAAUGAACCUGACCCUCCAAGGAAUGUUUUUCCUCCUAAGUUAUUCCCAUUACUUGUUUUAUAGUUAGUUUAAAUCUAAAUCUUUUCCAAUCAAAGUUUGUAUUUUAUUUCUUAAGCUAGCCUUGAAAUGAAACAAGACCAAUUCACUUUGAAUUGGUAUCAUUGAUAACUUGCUAAUCCUUCCCAGUGAACGAUCCUAGAGCUGCUAUGCUAUAGUAGCUUUUUCUUUGCUACCCUAGUAUAUGGUGUAAUAGGUUAUAAAUUUUGUUGAUUACUCUCUCAAUCAAGGAGCACCAGCUGGACAUAAAUCAGUUGAAACACCAAUUGGGCAUGAAUCACUCUGUAGCAAUCAACUGUGGGGCAAAACGUGAUAGUUCAGUAAACUUAGCCUCAUAUUGGGCCACAUUCAAAUCCCCCUGUUCCAAACGGACAAACUCUCCCACCUUUUGUCGUCGAACAUUGUUAGGAAAGUACUUCUUAUAAAAAGCCUCCCUAAACUGACUCCAAAUAAUAGGCCCCUAACCCUCCAAAAGCCUCUUAGUCAUGUGCCACCAAUGGUCUGCCUUUUUGUCUAGCAUAAAUGCUGCAUAUGAGGCUUUUUGCUCCUCAAAACAAUCAAUGACAUCAAAGAAUUUCUCUAUCUUCAUAAUCCAAGCCUCUGCCUCUGUUGGAUCUAAAGUACCAGAAAAGUAAGGGGGACCCAACUUCUUAAAGUCGUUAAAGGAGCUAUCCCUAGUAGAUGAGGAUUGUCCUUGACCAUUAUUUCUAGUAGCUCUAGCCUAACGCUCAACCAAGCCAGCCAAAGUCCCUAAAUAUCUAUAAAGCCCUUCAAUACUCAUAGGGGGCAAAGCCUCAGGUGGAGGAGGUAUAUCAUCAUUAGCCUGAUUGUUUUGGGAAGAUAUAGGUCUCCUUGGUGGCAUGGUGUCCUAUAAAGCAACAGGUAUAACUAAAUUAGUCACUAAGAAGUCAAAUAAGCAAAUCAGAAUUGUAAGGAAUAAAAGGAAUCAGACUAGAUGAAGUUGAAACUUAAACUAAUGCGUCACUCAUCUAUUCUCAAAGGUAAACUAAACAAGUUCCCAUCAAGAUCACAACCUGGCUCUAAUACCACUCAUAACAACCCGCACCCAACCAUGUAGAUAUUGUCCGCUUUGGGUUCAAGGGACCCUCAUGGAUUUAAAACGCGUCUACUUGGUUAAGAGGAGCCUAUACAUAUAUAGCGCUAGGAACUUGCUCCUCUAUCCGAUGUGGGACAUCACAUCCUUGGCUUUCUUAAGAAAUAGAUAUUGGUGGCUAAUCUUAGGUUCCAUCGAGUUAAUUAACCAGACAUGCACUAUGGAAUUUUCGGCAAACCAAAUUUUAUAUGCUAGAUUAGUUGCUACUGGAGCUUUGACUUUACCAGUGAGGUACUCAAAUUUGCCUCUACCACAUAUAACAAUCUUCACGGAUUGGGACCAUUGAAGGUAAUUUUUGCCAUUCAGCUUAUACACUGUAAUCUCGAGUGAGUUGUUGUAACGACCCGCAUCCAACCAUGUAGAUAUUGUCCGCUUUGGGCCCAAGGGGCCCUCACGGCUUUAAAACGCGUCUACUUGGUUAAGAGGAGCCUCUACAUAUAUAGCACCAGGAACUUGCUCCCCUAUCCGAUGUGGGACAUCACAAAUACCCUCCUCAUGCAGACACAACGUCCUCGUUGUGUCCCAUGGGAUUGAGAGGCCAAAAUAGGCAAACACCCCUUAUGGGGACAAACAAACCCCCACACCGGGGUCGGGGAUCGACUCUGAUACCAUUUGUAACGACCCACAACCAACCAUGUAGAUAUUGUUUGCUUUGGGCCCAAGGGGCCCUCACGACUUUAAAACGCGUCUACUUGGUUAAGAGAAGCCUCUACAUAUAUAGCGCCAGGAACUUGCUCCCCUAUCCGAUGUGGGACAUCACAAAGGAUGUGUGGCAUAUUGCCCAACGAAUGUACUCCGAUCUUGGCAACGUGUCACAGGUGUUUGAAAUUUGGUCAAAAUUAAAGGAGAUGAAGCAAACCGCCUAGUCGGUUACUCAGUAUUUCACUGACUUGGAGGAUAAGUGGCAAGAAUUGGAUUUUCUUCUUGAUGAAAACUCAGUGUGUGCAACCUGUAGUGUGAAGCAAUAACAAAAUCUUGAGAAAGAAUGGGUGUAUGAUUUUCUUGUUGGAUUAAACCGAGAUCUUGAUGAAGUCCGAGGAUGUGUUUUGAGUCAAGUUCCUUUCCCAACAAUUGAUGAAGCCUUUGCUAAAGUACAUAGAGAAGAAAAUCUUCGAAAAGUUAUGCUGUCUGAAGGACUGCCGAGUGCAUCACCAAUAGAUCGAAAGCUCGGCCUUGAUGACCAAAAACAACUUGCAACCAAGAAAGAACAACAACAAUUCAAGAACAUCAUGCCGAGGAGAACGAAUGUGGUGUGAUCAAUGUAGUCGCCAUGGACACACCAAGGAUAUAUGCUGGAAGAUUCAUAGAAAACCUGCAAAUUGGGUUCUCAGGAGAUAGACUGAAAACCGAGACUUUCAAGCUCAAUCAAACCAAGACAAGCAAGGAAUAGAUUCUUCAACACAACAUCAAUCUACAAAUUCAUCAAUUCCGUUCAACAAGGAACAACUUGUGCAAUUCUACCGUCUUCUCAAUCCAUCACCAGCCCCAUCUUUGUCAACUCCUGAUCUAGGGCCAUGUUCUAUAGCAAAAUUUAGUAACCACUCAGCCCUAACAUAUUUGGUUCACUCUAAGGAACCUUGGAUCAUUGAUUUCGGUGCCUCAACCGUAUGACAGGUGGUUCUCAUUUUUUCCUCUCUUAUAAUUCAUGUCCUAGUUCUAUUAAAAUAAAAAUUGCAUAUGGAUCUUUAUCUUCAAUUGCUGGAAUAGGUUCAAUAAGAGUCUUCAAGCAUUUAAUUCUUCACUCAAUCCUUCAUGUUCCUACCUUAAAAUGCAAUUUUUUAUCCAUUAGUAAAAUCACUCGUGAUAAUAAUUGUGUUGCUAACUUUCAUUCUUCAAUGUGUCAAUUUCAGGACCUAUCAUCAAGGAGGAUGAUUGGCAAUUCUAGAAUUCAUGAAGGGCUUUAUCUUGAGAACACAAAGUAUGAGGGUCGACAAGAUUUUGCAUUAGGGGUUACAUCAGUUUCUGUUUUUAGUGAUAGGGAAAUAAUGUUGUGGCAUCAUCGACUUGAUCACCCUAAUUUGGUGUACUUAAAAACAUUUGUUACCUUCGUUGUUUAAACAUGAAGAUUCUAUUUCUUUCAUUUAUGAUAUAUGUCAAUUUGCAAAAAAUACUCGAGUACCAUUUUCUCCAAAACCCUAUACACCCUUAAUGCAUUUUACCUUAAUUCACAGCGAUAUCCGAGGUCCAUCCAAAGUUACCACAAUGCAUGGAAAAUGGUGAUUUGUGACAUUUAUUGAUGAUCAUACAAGAUUCACUUGGAUAUAUCUCCUUUGAGAUAAAUUAGAGACAAUGAUCAUACAAAAUUUCUACAAUAUGGUCCAAACCCAAUUUCAGAAAAAUAUUUGUCUUACGAAGUGACAAUGGGAGAGAAUAUUUUUAAUCUAUCUUGGGAGAUUAUUUAUUGCAUAAGUGAAUUGUUCACCAAAGCUCGUGUGUUGACACCCCGCAACAGAAUGGUGUCUUAGAAAGAAAUAAUAGACAUUUAUUAGGCGUGGCUCGUGCUCUUAUGUUUACAAUGAAUGUUCCCAAAUAUUUGUGGGGGGAUGUCAUUUUAACCAUUGCAUUUCUCAUUAACCAUCUACCUAGUCGCACCUUGACCUUUAAAUCCCCACUAUCCAUGGUUUCACACAUGUUCCCACAUCUCAAUAUGCUUACAAAUACCCUUCCACUCAAAACAUCUGGUUGCAUUGCAUUUGUCCACAUUCAUUCUCAACACCAAACCAAACUUGAUCCUCGAGCCAUCAAAACAAUCUUUCUUGGUUAUUCUCCAACCUAAAAAGGGUAUCAGUGUUACUAUCCCCAAACCAAGAAAAUGUUUGUCACCCAAGAUGUCUUAUUUUUUUUUAAGAAAUCUCGUAUUAUUCACAUACUUCGCUUUAAGGGGAGAAUCGAGACAGAGAAGCUCCUAUGUGGGAUUAGGAUACCAUUGUUUUACUCAUAUUUGAGAUCCCAUUGCAACUUGCAAUAUUACCCGAGACUGUGGCUACUCCAUCCAUCAUACCCGAGCUUACCUCAUCUAAAACCUCACCACCAACUAAAACAUUGUCAGAGUAUUCACCUGCAGUACCAAUCCCAGCAGCAAAGGUAAAUCCAACCAUACCAAAUUAGCAAAAGUUAUAGGUUUACUCUUGGAAAAAGAGUUCUCAAGGGAAUAAGCCACUCGCGAGCAUUGUGCACUGUUCGAAAUCUAAACCUAUGUUAGGAAGUGGGUCUUCAUCCUUAGGUAAUCUUGAAACCAUUUCUGAUAGACUAAAUGAACCUAUUGCACUUAGAAAAGGUGUUAGGUCAUGUACACAACAUCCUAAUUCUAAAUUUGUGUAAUAUGAUAAUCUAUCUCAUUCAUUUCAUGCCUUUACCGCAAAAUCUUUUUAGAAUUGAUGUUCUUAGGACAAUAGAAGAUGUUUUAGUUGUUCCCAAAUGGAAAAAUGUUGUUCUUAAGGAGAUGUGAGCCCUUGAAAAGAAUGAUACAUGGAGUUUGGUGGAAUUACCACAAGACAAGAGUGUGGUUGGAUGCAAAUGGGUGUUCCCUAUUAAGGUGAGACUAGAUGGCUCAAUUGAGAGAUACGAAGCACGAUUGGUUGCAAAAGGUUUCACACAAACAUAUAGUAUCUAUACUGAGACAUUUUCUCCCAUUACAAAGCUCAACACAAUUCGUGUCUUAUUAUCACUAACAGCAAAUUUGGACUCACCAUUGUAUUAACUCGAUGUGAAGAAUGCAUUAUUAAAUGGAUAAUUGGAGGAAGAAGUGUAUAUAAGCCUACCACCCGACUUUGAAGAAGAUAAAAAGGGCAAAAUGGUAUGCAAACCGAAGAAGUCUCUAUAUGGUCUCAAGCAAUCUUUGCGUGCAUGGUUUGAAAGAUUCUCAAAAGUGAUCAAGAGUCAUGAAUAUUAACAAGGGCAAACUGAUCAUACUUUGUUUGACAAACACUCAUCCAACAAAAGGGUUACAAUCCUGAUAGUAUAUGUUGAUGGCAUAAUACUUAUAGGAGAUGGCUUCAAUGAAAUGGAGGAGAUCAAAAUAUUAAUGGCAAUGGAGUUCGAGAUUAAAGAUAUUGGAACUAUGAAAUGAAAUGAAAUUAUUCAAGGAGGACAAUGGAAUGAAAUUACUCAAGGAGGACAAUGGGAAUUAAAAGAUUUAUCAAAUCCAAAACCAAUAAAACCUUUGACAAAUCCUUAAAAAAUUAUACAACAUACAAAUGGUACUAUUCAAAUAGAAUUUAGUCCAGCUUCAAAAUAUUCAUUUACUCAAGAAUUUUUUUUGUACAAGACUUUCUACUUCAAGUACAAAUUUGAAAAGCGUUAAUUUUGCUCCAAAUAUUCCUAUUCCUAUUUAUCAAUAACAAGAAUCUCCUCCUAUGUCUCCUACUCAUUGUGUUAUGCGUCAUUCUCAAGUCAAUAUUAUUCAUAAGAAAAAUUAUAAGAGAACUCUUUUUAAGCCAAACAUUGAAUGGAUAAAAUUAGAUUAUUUCUCUCCUUACAAUAACCCUAGAAGAACAUAUUUUCAAACACUUCUUCCUCAAGCUAGAAAUGCUUUAAGAAAACACAAUGAAAAUUAUAUGAAUAAAAAGAAAAUAACAAUUCCUUUUUUCCAUUGGUUUUUCAAACUUAGAAAGAAACAAAAGCAAAUUAUAACUUUAAGAUAUGAAGAAGGAUAUCAACUAGCAUUGAAACAUAGAGAAUAAUUCAAAAAAGAAUUUCAACAAUAACCUCAGAAUUAGGUUCUCAACCACCCCUAAAUAAUCAUUAAUUGAAUUCUGAUUAUAAUUCUAUUUCUGUUUCACCCUUUAAAAUCCCAAGAACAAAAUAUGAAUAAAGUUUCAUAAUUUACAAAGAUAUUAGACAAGCUCAAUAACAAUUAAAUUAUAUAAAUAAUUAUCUUCAACAUCUGAAUCAAUAAACUAAAAAAAAAAAAAAAUUCUCAAAUUUUGUUUUCUUCAACCCCAGGAGGGAGGAUAGGAGAAGCAUCAAAAUCGUCAAUUUUUCCUCAACUCUAUCAUUAUCAUCAUCAUCAUCAUCUUCUGUUAAGUUUUUAGACCAAGCUUUCAUUAUUCCUAUAAAUGCUACUAAGUAAAAAAUACAACUCUCUACUCCAACAAAAACAAUGUUAAAAGAAAUACAACUUAGAUUAGAUAAACUUAGUAUUAAUGGUAUCAAUCAAAAUAUGAAUCAAAUUCAAACCAUAACUAAAGAUAAAUCAAAAUGACUCCAAAUUCACACCUCCUUUAAUAGUUGAUACAAUAUCUAAUAAUUUGGUAAGUAGAAAAAAUUAUUAUUCAAAGCCUAUUUUUCCUUAUGUACAAUUAAAAGAAAGAAAUUAUUAAUUAGCUGCAAGUUAUAAUGGUAGUAGUUUUUAUUAAUGAAAUAUAGAUGGUAUGAGUGAACAUCAAAUAAUUAACCUACUUCAUGAAAUAAUGAUGGUUGUUAUGCUUAUAGAACCAAGACUAAUAAUUAUGAUUUUCAUGUUGUGGGUGGCUUAUUAAUAGGGUUCAUUAAUUUACUUAAAGGAUGAUGGGAUCAUUAUUUGAGUCAAAAUGAUAGAGAAUUGAUUACUACUCAAAAAGUGCUAUUUGAUAGCUUGUAAUUAACUCUUUUAAACACUUUUGAAUAGUAAUUAUUGCCUUUUAACCCAAUUGACAUAUUAAGGACCUUUGCAAUCACUUCUAAUCACUUUGUCUAAGUUUUGGUGUUUUUGUUAGUAAUUUGAUCACCAAAGCAAUGCAAGAUGGAGGAGAGUUAUUUGGAAUCCAUGGCAAAGCAAUGGAAAGCUCAGAAACAUGAAGAAUCAGAGCUUUGAAGCCUUAAAGUCCUUUGCCAUAACCAAUCCGGAAUGCAAGGAGGAGAAGUAAAGAGAGAAUCUACCUUGAAGCAUUCUUGAUGACAGUAAUUUCAGCCACUUUUGGAGUACUUCCUGAAGUCCAAUUUAUGCAUGCUUUAUGUCGUUUCGAAGAUCGGGAAGUCAACAAUCCAAUGCUUCAAACGGUUUGCAAAUCAGAGUUGAAAUGAAGAAGUUAGAGCCAAUGGAAGCAGAUCACUCCAAGCUGAAGGCCAAUUUCGCAGGGCUGCGAAAUCAGCCUUUGGCUGCGAAAUCAGCCUUGGCUGCGAAAUGAUUUCGCAGCCAUCUUGUUCGUCUGCGAAAUUUCGCAGCCAUUUUGUGCGCCUGCGAAAUUCUCCUAAGUGCUUCCAGAUAUUUGCGACUAACGUUUUUUGUUAUUUUGCCUCAGAUAUUUGUUGUCUAAAUCCCAAUUCUCUCCUUGUAAUCCACCAAUUAGAUGAUUCCUUAGUUGUUAAGCAAGGAUACAGGGGUAAACAACCUGAUAUGUAUUAUUUUGUAAUUUUCAUUUUAAGGACAUCGGGGAACUUUCCCCAGGAGACCAACUUAUGUAAAUUUUACACUUAGCUAAAUACGAAGUAUCUUUUGCUUUCUUUUUCUCUCUACUAUUUUCUAUUUUCUUAGUAGCCAAACAUCCUUGGAGGAUGAAAUCCCCAAGGAUGAGAGGCUAAAACCUUUUAGUUUCUUGAAGUAAUGGAUGCCAUGUGAAGCUCCCGUGUCAGGAUGGAGAUUUCCAAGCCAUGAAUGUAAGUAGCUGAGCGUCAUAAAUGUUUUCAUUCAAAGUAAAGCUUUUAAUCCCUCUGACUUGCUUUGAAUGACCAAUACUUGAUAACCUUUUGGUCUCAGUGGAUUCUUAUUGUUAGAUCCACUGACGUUCAUUAGUUAUCUCCUACGAGCCAUUGUAUUGCAAGUCGAGGAGAUGACCUAUUCAUUAAAAGAGCAUUUAUGAGGUUCAACUACCCUUUUUGUAAGUUUUCAAGGACUAAAACUUAGUUGUUAAACACAUACCGGUUCGGGAAGUAAGCAUCACCUGAGUUGCUUCCCCAACUCGAGGUGAAAAGUUCCAAAAUCUCCAUUUUUACACGGUGAGUUAAGCAUGGCUAUCCAAAGCUUUGAGAAACUUCUUUUUCCAUCUUUUAACCUAUUUGCAUGUUAGUUUAGUUUACAACACCUUCAUCUUUUUAUGUUUUCAUCUUAACCUAAUCUUUAUUAAGAAAAGUUCACUCCAUCCUCCGAACUUCACCAGUUAAAGUAAAAACCCUUCCCAGUGUUCGAUCCUAGAGCCACUAUGCUAUAGUAGCUUUGCUACUUUAGUGUAAGGACGUUAGGUAUAAAUUUUGUUGAUACCCUUACAUGCCAAGCUACCAAGAGUCGGGUUGUCAAGAAUAUAUAUUAAAUGUGAAAAAGAUAAUAAUUAAAGAAGAAGGAACAUUAGUCCAAACUUAUGAGGAAGAUGUUGUCAAUACUUUAAUAUUUGCAAUAACAAAAUAUUUUAUAGGGGAUUCAGUAUAUUUUCAAGAAAUAACAUUUGAAAUUCUCAAUAAUCUUAGAUGUCCAAAACUUCAAGAUUUCAAGUAGUAUAAAGAUAUGUUUUUAGUCAAAGUCGUGGCUAAAACUAAUUGUGGAAGCAUUAUUGGAAAGAAAAAUUUAUAUUAGGGUUACCCACUUUAUUUUCUGAAAAAGUUAGACAAAGAACUAGAAAUGUAUAUAAUGAAAGAAUUCCUUAUGAGUCAUUAACAUAUAUAUGGAGAAUUAAUUACCUUUAUCAAUAAUGAAGUUUUAUCUUUCUAUACUGAUCUCAAACUAAAGAGUCAAAUGAAAAAAGAGAAACAAGAUAGUAAGAAAGAGUUAGGAAAAUUUUGCUCAUAUUAUGGAUACGACACUAUAGUAGCCCAUUCAAAAAGGAAAAAUAAACAAAAUAACAUAGAAGGCAAUAAAUCAUCAACUAAGUCAAAAUUCCAAAAGAAAUUUCUAAAAAAUACUAAUAGAUCAAAAUCUUCUAAUAAAACAACUUUAAAAAAGAAGACACCAACAUGUUAUAAAUAUGGAAAAGUAGGUCAUUAUUCAAAAGAUUGUCAAUUAGAAAAUAAAAUUAAUUAAUUAGAAAUAAGUGAUAAACUAAAAAAAUUAAUUAUAGGAUUAAUGAUCAAUGAAGAAGAAGACUAUUCAAUUGAAUACUAUGAAGCAGAAGAAGAAAAUCAAAUGUUAAUAAUUCAAGAAAUGUCAAUUGAAGAGUCCAAUCAAGAUGAAUCAGAAAAUGAAAAGGAAUGUGAUGAUAUUUUUGUAUGCUCUUAUAAAUCAAUAAAUUUGAUUUCAAAAAAUUCAAAAACUUCCUUGAACAUUUUUAUUCAUAAUCAUGUCACUCAUAAAUUCGAUAUAUUUUCAAUUUUGGUAUAUUAAAGAUAGGCUGUUUAGAUAUCUUAAUUAUAUGUCAAAAAAUAUACUAACAUUUAAAUUUUUCUUAUAGAUGGAGCAAGAACGGAUAAGUGCUACAGUCAACAAGGAAUUGCAUUAUGUUUUAAACCUUUGUUUCACUUAGGUUUAGAUAUUCCUGUGUGUGUUUGCUUGAGAGACGCUAGGGCAAUAAAAUUUACUGAUUCUAUCUUUAGUAUGAUUGAUUUAAACCUUGCAAAUGGUCCUAUUUAUUUUAACUGUUAUCCAAAUUUUUCCAUGAACAUAAAUGAUUCAAGUAUUUUAUCAAGACAAACUUACAUUCUUGUCUUUCUAAUGGAAUUUCCCUAUACAAGGGAUCAAGUUUUGGAUACUUACUUUUUGUGUUGCCAUAAUGAGAAGUUAAUUUUACUACACAAUAAAAGGUAAGUCAUAACUUUUAAGUUAACAACUUAACAACAAUAUAAGUUAAGGUCCAGUUAAGUUAUUAAGUCAUAACUAUUAAGUUUUAUCAAACACCCAAUUCUAUGUUGUAAUUUAAAAAAAUGACAAGAUAAUAAAAACUUAGAUGGACAUUGAAUGCUUUUCUUCUUAUUUUUUUAAAUUAAUUUUAUUUUAAAAAAUGUAAAAUAUAAAGAUUCUUUAAUAAUGCUUUUAAUUUUUGUAAGCAAUAAAUAUGUUUAUAGUUUUAAUCCUAUAUUUGAGUUUUGAAAACAAAAUAUUAAAAUGUGUGUUGAUAAAGAUGUAAUAAUAUGUAGAAAAUCAAGGGAUAAUUUUCAAUUAUUUCUUCGUAAUUUUUAUUGAUGGUUUUAUCCAUAUAUAGUAACCUUUUAUAAAAUAACACUCUUAAGAGGAAAAUUAUUAUCCUAAUAGGGUGAUUGAUUUAUUAACAAAUAAAAAUUUAUUAAUUUAAAGAUCAUCUUUCUUAUGUAUGGUAUAAUUGUAGAAGAUAGAAAGAUUUCUAAACAAAGAAAUAUGGUGUAAAAACUUAAUAUCCUAAAAAAUAAAAAAGAUUUCAAGUAUGUUAUUUAUCAAAUCACUUCGGAUUCAAUCCUACUUCAAUUUUGUGGACAACUUGAGGAGGAAGUUGUUUAAAAUAAUUUCAUUUUGUUGUAUUAUAAGGAGAAAAAUAAUUAUUUAAAUAAUUAAUUAUAAACUCAAAUCUAUUUUUAAAAUAAGUUACUCUUAAAAGUGUUUGAUAAAACUUAAUACUUAUUACUUAAUGACUUAAAUUGAUUUUAGGUUAAAUUAUACUUAAUUUGUUAACUUAAAAUUUAUUACUUAAUUCUUAUUUAAUUAAAUUUAUUUGAUAAAAUUAACUUAAAACAUGUUUUAAACCAUCAAAUUGAUAUAUUUAUCAUCAUAAAUUAUAUCUAAAGUAAAAGAAUUUGAGUAACAGUGGAGGUUAUAAAGUAGCAAAAGAGAUCAUUAAGGUAAUUAGGGUAAAUGAGGGUAAAAUUGUUAAAAAAAAAAAUUUAUAAAUAAAUUAAUUAUUUUUACAUAUUACUUAAAGUUGUUUUUAAUUUUAAGUAAUAAAUAUACUUAAUAUAUUUAAAUUAGUAAGUCAUUUUAAGUUAUUAAAUUGGUUUACCAAACAUUCACUUAAUUCUGGUAAUUGAAUUGAAAAUUUCUUAGAAGCAUCCAAUAAUCUCAUGGGAUGGUGUAGACCCCCAUUUUGGGAGCACUUUCUUUUUGAAUUUGUUGUAGCUUAUUUGGCCAGAUGGAGCAUUUCUAGGAGGCCACGUGUCAAUCCCUGAUUGGCUAUCAUGGAAUCAAAACAGUGUUUUUGAAAGCCAAUCAGAGAUUGACACCUGGCAAGGAGGAAUCUGCAAAAGCUGUAGGUUGUUGAGGAGCAGGCCAGCUGGAGAGGAGCGUUUCUUUUGGCAGGGGGGAGGCUUUUGUUUAGGUUUUUAGGAGGGGAGGAAUGAUUCGAAGGGGAAGCCAGCUGCAUCUGAAGGGGGGCAGAAAGUAAAGCUUGGAAGGCAAGCUGUUCACAGGGACUAGUGAGAGGAGGAUACUUGGUGAGAGGAGGAUACUUGGUGAGAGAUAUUUUUGGAGAGGAUUCUGGGGACUCGAAGGAGUUCUGCAGAGGGAGGGGAGCUUCCAUUGCCAUUGUAGAGAUUUUCUUGGGGAAGGCGUCCAAGGAAAAGAAGCCAGAGCAAGGGAAGCAGCACGGGUAUGGUUUCUAUCAACUGGAUCCCUUUGUUUUCAUGCCGUUUUAUUACGUUUUCCAGGAUUACUGAAAUUUUUAUCUGGGUGAUUGGAUGAGAGCAUUGGGGCUCUGUUAUGCUUUUGCGAAGUCUGAGUUUGUUCACCCUCUUCUUUGAGCUUAAUUUCUAACUCAUUUUUUUUUAUCUCUGUUUUAAAAUCUCCCGUGAAGCAUUUGCAGUCACACUUUGGUUUCUCUUUGCAAACUAUUUGAAACCCAUUUUGACUCACCCCUGUAUCUAAGCACGUUGACAGAAACAUGAAACGUAGCUUUUACAAAAUCCAGUGUGUUCCUAUUCUUCAUGCUCUGUUUUUGUUACCUUCCUCUGUUCCUGGUACUUGGCCAUGGUGUGCAUCAGAUUUUUGAGGAGUAAGGAAAGGUAAGAGAUAUAUUUCCAGCCAGUAUGUAUGAGAAGCAACAGCAUGCUUGUCCAGUUGUGAAAACUCUAAAAACGGCUCAUGGAUGCUGAAGAUUCAGCCGUUCAGUGGUCCUCCAGUCAGUAUGUAGCGACAACAUGAUCUCAAGUUUCAUCACUAGCCAGGUUUUGAGGUUACUAGACUUUCUGAAACUGAGGGUGACCUGCACACCAAGGGUGGUGCUGAUAAUCACACCUGAAAUGGGAUGGAUAUGGGUAAUCGAGCGCACCUUUUCGGCAUGGAAGGUUGACGAAAGAAUUGAGAAAGGAAUAAAGCAAACAAAGCUGCCUGUUCCAUGCCCCUUCUGCCCAUUCAAUUAUUCUCCAUGUCUUUCAUGCCCAUAGACCCCUUUCUCUCUCUAACCAUUGUACCCACUUCUCGUGCACACCCUCACCUCUCAUGCACCCAUGUUUAUUACCUUUCAUCAUCCCCAUGCUCAUAUCCUCAUCCUUCAUGUUCCUCCAUACCCACAUUAUACCCAUGUCCCCGUCCAUCACCUCAUCAUACCUCUACCAUUCAUUUCCCUUCCACCCUACUCAUGCAUGCGGCUAUGGCUACUCUCCAUACUUCCCACACCCAUAAUACCCACGUUUCCUGCACUUCAUUCCCGCCACCCUUUGAGUCACCCCAGUUUCACAUUUGGUGCGCCAGACCUCCAUCACAGUUGUAGAGACCCUUCAAGCCAUUGAAAGUGACCAAGUGAGUAAAGAAGGUUGGCAUUGCUGGGAAAUAUGGCACUCAUUAUGGGGAUAGUUGGCAUAAUCAGAUUGAGAAGAUGAAAGUCAGUCGACGUAGCAAAUGCUUAUGUGAAUUUUGAGGAAAGUAUGCAGUGAAGAUAAAAACUGUAGGGAUUUGGGACUGUAAGGUUUGUGGCAAAGAUAAAGCAAGCCAAGCUAUUCUUGAAUGACCCACGCCAUGUCAUUCUCCGCCAUGCUCCUCCGCCACUGCAUCAUUUCACUCUCCGCUCAAUCAGCGGAGCAAGUCCAUGUCAGGUGUCGAAACUGUAAAGCUGCUGCUCCAAAAUCCCAAGAGUGGCUGUGAUAGCCAAAUGUGACCCACGCCAUGUCAGGUACGUGACCUGCUGCCUGAUGUACCGAGGUGAUGUGAUGCCCAAGGGCGUGAAUGUAGUUGUAGCCACCAUCAAGACAAGGCGCAUUACCCAGUUUGUUGAUUGGUGCCCCGCUGGAUUCAAGAGCAGCAUCAACUACCAGCCACCAACUGUUGUUCCAGGGGUGAACCUUCCCUUGCAUGCGAAAAAUGCAUUAAGUGGCCAAGAAUCCUUACAAAUGCAGUACCUUAGGUGCCCCAACAGCGUUCUGGGUUUACCAAACAGCAACUAUAUGUUCUUAAGGCUCAAAUACUCGCAUUUCAGCGCUUAAAGAAAAGAGAAGGUACUUUUCCUCAAGAGCGUCUUCGAUCUAUUGCUCUAUCACCGCUGGAAUCACAGUUAUGGCAGGCAUUUCUUCCUACCACAGCAAUUAAUCAAGAUAAAUCUGUUGUGAAGAAAAUUAUUGAAAUUAAUCCCUACAUGCUUGGCAUAGUGGCUGGAAGAGAUGCUGAUUUCCAGUUUUGGCAUAGAAAUUUGGGCAUUAAGUGCCGAUUGCAUGAACUUACCAAUGAGCGAGGGAUUUCAGCUACAGGGGUUUCAAAGCAAGCUGGAAGUGAAUAGUCUGGACGUUUAUAAGAAUGAUAAAUCCUUGAAGCACCGCUCUCCUCUCCUGUAUCUACAGCCACGAGAACCGCGUUGUUUGAGACGUCGGGAUCGACGUGGCUAGGCGGCUGCUGGUGUUUGAGGUUGUAUCUUCCAGUUCCUUCUUCUCCUCCUUGAUUGCUCAAGGCUUGAAGCUCGCCAUCAAUCUCCUCAAUAGUAAGGAUGUGGACGAGGCCUUUAGGGCUCAUAUCAAUCUCAAAGCCCUGAGGUUUGGGAUGUUGAGAUCCACCAUGGGAUAGGUGCUCGGGUGCUUUUCUUGGAGGUUUUCUUUGAUAACAAAGAUGAGGGACCGGGUGCGAAGACUAUAGAGUAUCCUGCAGAACACUCUAAGGCAUAUACGGGUUAUGCAUCAAACAUGGGGAUAAUUGGAAAAUCUGAUUAUGACCGAAUCCGCAGGGUGCUUCCGGUGCGUGAAGUAGCAAUGAGGCUUUGUGGCACCUUUGAGACCCUUUCUGUCUUUCCCGCUCGGCAUGCAUGGCCACCUUUGGUGGGCCACUGCUUAAGCCCACGUGCCACACCCCUGUAUUCCCAUGCAUUUGUUUUCAAAAAUUGAUUCUAAUCAUUUUCCACUAAUCAUGCAUCUUUUACUUUAUUUUUUUUACUUUUAUUCAUAUUUUCAUUUUUAUUUUUUUUAAAUACUUUCCUAAACUCUAGUUUGUAAAUUUUUUAUUUUUUAUUUUUUUUAUUUUUUAUUUUUUUCAAAUUCAUUUUCUUUUUCUUUUUUAAUAAUUUCAUCUCUUUUAAUUUCUCAUCCUUAGUUUUUUUUGUUUAGGUUCCAAGAAUCCGCUUUUCAAUAAAAUUUGGCCGCCACUUUCGAAUUUUUCAUGAUUUUAAAACGUUUUAAAAUAAACAUGAAUUUAUUCUCGUAAUUCCUAGCGAUGGAAUUUAUGAAAUCAAUUCAUGCAAAAAUAAACGGGCUUUGGUGGGGGCCCAACAUAUGUGAUUGAUUGAUUAAUUGAUUGAUUUGAUUGCCAUGCAUGAAUGAUUUAUUCUGCUCUAUGAUAUGCAUGUGACUAUUCCUUAAUUGUGCACUAAUCUCACUUCUUGAUAGCGCAUUGAAGAUCGUUGCCCAGGUACACAUCUAUUCUUAUUCCGAUCUUGCUAUAUGCAUGUUUUGAUACUCAUAUGUGCAUGAUUGAUUUGAGUAUUUAUUGAUUUCCUCAUCAUUGCCACACCAGCUUCAUUCUAUUAGUAGAGACCCGACAUUAGGGACUUAGAGGGGUGCUAUGGUCUUUACCGUACCUUCCCGAUAAGUAACCUGACCCCCGAAUCCGAUCCGGUUUUCACAGACCACCUUUUCCAAAAAUCAGGAGUCACACUUAGGGUUUUCUUUCUUAUUUUGUUUACCCUUUAAAAAUAAAAACAAAAAUAAGUGGCGACUCCAAGUCAUUUUCUUAAUCAAUAAAAAUCAAUUUUUCAAAUAAAAAUCGAGCUCGCCAUUCGAGUGGGAAACGCAUCGAGAACGAAAUGCGGGGUCCACAGAUGGUUAUUUCAUUUAUUUAUAGUUAUUUUUAAUUUAGAUUUUUUUUUAUACUAGCAUAAUUUAUUAAUCUUAAAUUUAUUUUUUUAUUUUUCCUUUAUUUUUUAUUCAUUUAUUUUUUCAUGUAAGGAUUUUCCCUCACAUUCUUAGGAGGCGAACAUAACCUUGGAGUGUGAUGACCUUCAUAAAUGUAUAAGAGGGCAAAAAGUAACAGGUAAAAAAGUAAAAAAGGGGAGAGAAAAAACAAGUAAAGAGAGGAAAGAGAGAAUGGGAACAGAAGCUGCAAAUUAACUCACCACCAAGACUCGUCUUCGUCUCGCGUUGCCUGAUUCUGGCGUAAAAUUCACCAUCGCAGUCACCGCCAUGCCUCCUCUUCUCAGAACAAAUCUGUGGCUGGGUCUGGGGAUCAUUUGAAUGCUACAGCAUCACAACCUGCUGGAAGCGGCCUAACUAGAGAAGAGUUUGCAAACUUACAACAACAACUUUAUCAAUUAUGUGCCAGAUUAGAGAAAGCUGGUAUUUUUUGGUGCUCUAAAUUCCACCAUUCGAGGCCAAACAAGGCAGAAUUUUUGAACUUACUAGUGGAGGAAUGUGAAAAAUUAGCCUACUAUGGUGGACUUCUAGCAAACUGUAGGGGACUUUUCAGAUGAAGAAGGUGGAGUUUUACCUUUGGAAGGGUAACCAACGUUUCAUUGUACUACAAAUCAGGAUCAAAAUCUAAACAUUAAGGUAGACAUUCCAUACUUUACUGGAGAGAUGCAACCAGAGGAGGUCUUAGGUUGGUUGAAUGAAGUUGAAAGGGUUUUUGAGUUUCUAAAUCUUCCAGAAAAUAAAAAAGUGAAGUUGGUGGCUAUAAAAUUGAAGGUGUAUGCUUCCUCUUGAUGGCAGCAAGUGUAGAUGAAAAGAGUCCAAUCUGGAAAGGAGAAAAUCUAGAGUUGGACUAAAAUGUAGUAGCAAAUCUGAAGUCAAUUCCUUCCAUUAAACUACAAAGGAAUUCUUUUUCAGCAAUACCAAGCACUGCAGCAAGGCCAACGUUCUGUGCGAGAAUAAACUAAUGAGUUUUACAAAAUACAGACUAGAGUACAACUAACUAAAAUGGAAGUGCAAGUCAUUCAUUGUUAUUUGAUGGGAUUGAGGCCAAAUGUUAGAAAUUUGGUGGAGCUAUAACCUUGUUGGACGCCAUCUGAUGCUGUUCGGUUGGCAAUGAAUGUUGAAAAUCAACAAAGAUGGUCCAACAACCACUCGAUUAAAAGUGCAUGGGGGCCUAAUCAAUUGGAGGAUAAUAGGUGGCAAGGAGAUGUCAAGCAGAAAUCAGUGGCAGUGAUCGAUGAUUUGCCGAAUUCUAGAUCAAACACUCACUUCCAAGCUCGCAACCAAGCCCAAGGGCAUGCAACAAUGAAAAAUCAUGUUCUUGGAAAUAGUAGUAACUCAUUGCAGUCUGCAGGACGCAGAAUAAUAUGUUAUAAAUAUGGAAAUGAGGGUCACAAAUCUUUUGAUUGCUGAAAACAAGCCAACAAUCUACUGAUCAAUGAAAAUGAAGGAGAGAAUAAUGAUAAUGAGGUAGGAAUGGAACCUUAAGGCGUUGGAGGGCUGCUGGAAUUCAUAGAAGAUGAAGUCAUAUAUGAAGACGAUGAUCUUCCAAAAGCAUCAAAAAGUGAUUGGCGGAGAAAUAAUAUUUUUAUAAGUAGAUGUUCUUCACAUGGGAGGCUUUGCAAUGUUAUUAUUGAUGCGGGAAGUUGUGAGAAUCUUGUUUCUAAAGAAAUGGUGAAGAAGCUCAACUUGGAAGUGCUACCACACCCAAAGCCGUAUUGAAUUGCUUGGUUCAAGAAAGGGGGUGAAGUAGAGUGUGGCAGUGUUUUCUUCCCUUCUCAAUUGGGAAAAACUAUUUAAAUCAAGUUUUAUGUGAUGUGGUGGAAAUGGAAGUCUGUCAUUUGUUACUUGGAAAUCCAUGGGAAUUUGACAAUAAAACUAUCCACCAUGGAGAGAAGAAUGUUUAUGCUUUCUACAAAAAUGGGCUUAAGGUAGUACUUGCCUUGAUGAAAGAAGAAGUGUUUGUUAAGUCUAAGGUCAAACAGAACAAUCUUGUGUAACUGUUCAAUGCUUUUUAAAUGAGUUUGAUGCUAAUGGAGUUUCCUUUUUGCUGUUGGCAAAAGAAGUCUUAGAAGACCAUCAAAAUGUUCCUAAUGAAACAAAGACAUUGCUAGAAAGUUUUGCAGAGGUAUUUUCUAUAGAGCUGCCAAGUGGAUUGCCUUCAAAAAUAAGCAUCCAGCACUACAUUGAUCUAGUACUAAGAGCCAGCCUACCAAACCUGCCACAUUAUAGAAUGCCUCUAAAAGAACAUGAAGAACUUCCAAGACAAGUGGAAGAGUUGCUGCAGAAGGGAUAUAUAAAGGAAUCAAAUAUAGCAAAUCUUUACUUAAGAGAGGUUGUGCGAUUGUGUGGAGUUCCAAAAUCAAUCACCUUAGAUCGAGACUCCAAGUUGCUCUCUCAUUUUUGGAGAACUUUAUGGAAAAAGUUUGGAACUAGGUUGCGGUAUAGUACUUUCUAUCAUCCUCAAAAUGGUGGACAAAGUGAGGUUGUCAAUAGAAGUUUGGGUGAUUUAUUGAGGUGGCUAUUUGGAGAAAAUCUUAAGUAAUGGGAAGUUGUGGUUGCACCAGUAGAAUUUGCCUAUAACUAUUCCAAGAAUCGAACUACAGGCAAAAUUCUUUUUGAAGUUGUUUAUGGGAAGCAACCAAUGCAUCCUUAUGAUUUAGCUCCUUUACUAGAAAUGGGAAGAAAUAGCUUAAAGCGUGAAAACAUGGUUGACUUAAUGAAAAAACUGCAUGAAGAAAUCAGAUUGAAGAUUGAGGAGUCGAAUGCGAAGUAUAAGAAAUAUGCAAAUCAAAAGAGGCAUAUAACCAAAGCUUUUCAGAAGGUGAUAUGGUGAUGGUGUACUUACAUAAGGAAGGAUUUCCAGCUAGCUCUUAUUUGAAGCUAAGUAAAAGAAAGAUGGGACCCUACAAAAUCAUCAAGAAGAUUGGGUAAAAUGCUUAUGUGGUUGAUUUUCCAAAACAUAUGGGAAUAGAUCCAAUAUUCAAUAAUUUAGAUUUAUAUUCUUACAUUGGUGAAAAUGUAAAAGGGGUUUCUAGCAGCACCAAACUCAAGGACGAGCUUCUUCUAAGGAGGGGAGAAUUAUGCAGUCAAUACUAGUCAAUUUAUGGUAGUUUGAAAACAUCAAAGGUUUGCAUGGGAAAAGUUUGUUAUUAAAUUAGAAGUCAAAAGGUUAGUUUUUUGUUAUUAAAAGCUAUUAAUGGUGUCUUGGAAACCUUCAGAAAGUAGUUGAGGGUUGUCAUUAUAAAAUGGAAGAACUUGCUUAUUGUAAGGACUCUUGAUGAUUAUCAAGAAAAAAUAUAUGAAGUGAUUAACCAGAUGUUCUUGGUUUGAGCUUUUUGCCAAGGGUUUUUCUUAAAUUUUUCCUUAAGAAAUCAUGGCUUCGAUGGUGGUUAGAGUAACUUGGUUGAAGUUUACUUGGAUAGCAGUUAUAAUAACUUUUUAGUUUUCAUCACAAACUCAUUGGCCAAUAAUUUCCUCAGCUUGUCCAUUUCAUUUGUAUGAUUUCUAGUCAAGAUAAUAUCAUCAAUAUAGACAAUAAAAAUAGUAAUCUUCCCAUUUAAAGAAUGUUUGUUGAAUAGAGUAUGAUCUGUUUGACCUUGUAUGUACCUAUGUUUCUUAACAACAUUAGUAAACCUAUCAAACCAUACUCUGGGAGAUUGUUUUAAGUCCAUUUGAGGAUUUCUAAAGUUUACAAACCUUACCAACAUUAGUUUUAUUCUCAAAUCUUGGAGGGAUUUUCAUAUAGACUUCAUUUUUUAGAUCUCUAUUGAGGAAAACAUUCUUGACAUCCAAUUGUUGAAGAAUCCAAUCUAGAUUGACUGUUAAUGUCAACAAUACUCUCGCGAUAUUAAUUUUGGCAACAAGGGUAAAUGUCUCUUGGUAGUCUAUGCUAUAGGUUUGAGUGAAUCCCUUGGCCACAAGUCUUGCCUUAUAUCGUUCUACACUUCCAUCUUACUUGUACUUAACGGUGAAGAUCCACUUAUAUCCAAUUGGUUGCUUCCUUUUUGGCAAGUCUGAUAAUUCCCAAGUCUCAUUCUUUUUCAAUGCCCUAAUUUCAUCAUCUAUAUCCUACCUCCAUUCAAGUUUUUCUAGAGUUUCAUGGAUACUCCUUGGAAUUUCUAUAUUUGACAUAUUAGUAACAAAUGCAUUAUAUUUUGAUGAUAAUUUUUCAUAGGAAAUAAAAUUAGAGAUUGAAUGUUGGGUGCGGAUCAGGUACGUAUCCCUCUUUUGCACUUUGGGGGGUUACAACAGGCCUGUCUGGAACUUCUUCUCCUUCUUCUACUAGGUCAGGGGAUUUUGUGUGGGAUUCCUAGAUGAGUGAGAUGGAAGGGGUGCUUAAUGACCCAAUGAAGUUUGAGACAAUGAAUGAGUUGUUGUGUAUGAUUCUUAAAGAUGAAGGUCUAUUGCUUUUCCUAAUCAUGAAGGGUUUUUCCUUUUGAAGAGAAGGGCAAAAUGAGGAGACCUUAAGAAAGUGAGGUGUAGAAAAUUUUCGCUUACAUGAUGAUAAGGAAAUCUUAGAAGAGGAAUUGCUUCCUCUUGAGUCACUGCAGUAGGAGAAGUGGGUGUGGAGAGAUCCCCUUAGGUGAAUAAAAAAUUCCUUUGGUUUUGUAAGUUUGUGGGGGUUUCAGUGGAAGGGUUUGAAGAGGGCAUUUAGAGAAUUCUUGUGGAAAUUGAGAGUAGGAGGUGCACUGCUAGUUCAUUGAAGGCUAGUAAAAGGGGUACUAUGUCCAUUUCAAGGAAGGAAAGAGAAUUAAAGGAUCUCAUUAGCACCAUUAAUUAUGACGGUGUUGCAAGAAGGAAAAUAGAGAUCGGGAAUGUGGGUAGGCAAAUUUUUGUAUUUCCUAAAUGAAGUUUAGGAUUUUGUCUUGGAAUGUUAGAGGCUUGCACUAUUCAGAUAAGAGGAAGGUAAUUGGGUCUAUGGUUAGGAAACUCAAACCGAAUUUGGUUUGUUUUUAGGAAACAAAGAUGAGGGAGAUGUCUAAUAGGUUUGUCAGAAGUUUGGGGGUUGGUAGGAACUUGGUUUGGGCAUCUUUAAAUGCAGGGGCACGACAGGAGGGGUUUUGUUAAUGUGGAAUAUGAGUAAGUUGGAAGGGUUGGAUGUUGAAGUGGGAUCUUUUUCUAUUUCUUAUCAGUUUAAAGACUAUGAGGAGGGCUUCAUUUGGGUGUUCUCUGGCUUAUAUGGACCUUUAAAAGGAAAUAAGAGAAGGGAGAAGUGGGAGGAGUUAGCCGCCGUAAGAGGGCUUUGGGAUCAGCUGUGAUACUUAGUAGGUGACUUUAAUGUGGUUUGAUUUCUAGUCAAAAGGAGUAAUUGUAGGUAGAUGACAUCCGCUAUGAGAGAAUUCUCCAACUUUAUUGAUGAGUUUAAACUUGUAGAUCUGCCUCAGGGGGGUGGGCGCGUGAGUGUUGGGGGUGUGGUUACACUUGGUAGUGGAGGGUAGAGUGGCUCACUCAAGGCUCAAUUGGACCGUUUCUUAUUCUUUGGUGGCUGGGAAGAUCUUGUAUUUUGGCUGAUGCGACAUUUGUAGCCAAGACCAAUCUCUGAUCAUUGCCCCAUGUUCUUAGAUUGUAGAGGUGAGAAAAGACAAAAACCCGUUUGGAUUUGAAAACAUGUGGCUAAGGUUGAAGGCUUUGUGAAUAAAAUUAAAGAGUGGUGGUAGACUUAAAUUUUAGGGGCAGUCACAGAUUUGUGCUUGCCAAGAAAUUACAAGCUUUGAAAAUCAACCCGAAGAAGUGGAAUAAAGAGGUACUUGGAAAUGUUUCAGCUAGGAAGGAUGAUGCUUUAGAGCAAAUAAACUAGUGGGAUAAUGUACAAAGGCUAAGACCCCUCGCUGAAGAGGAUAGGAGAAGUCAAAUGACAACUAAAGAUGAAUAUAAUCAUUUAGCCAUCCUAGAAGAGACCUUUUAGAGGUAGAAAUCAAGGGCCCUUUGGCUCAAGAAAGGAGAUAAUGACACCAGGUUUUUUCAUCACAUAGCUAAUGCAAUGAGAUGAGGAAAUUAUAGCAGCAGCCUUACUGUUAGGGGCAUUUGCCUAGAAAAAGAGCUUGAAGUGGGAAUUGGUUCCUACUUCAAAGCUAUGUUUGAAGAACCUCAAGUGCAAAGACCUGAUAUGGCUUCAGAGUUAUUUAUGAGAAUUGAUUCCAUGAAUAAUGGGGGAUGGGAGGGUCUGUUUUUAGAGGAGGAGGUAACCAAAUCAAUGUUAGAAUUAGGGGGUAAUAAGGCUCCUGGGUCGGAUGGGUUCUUGUUGGCCUUUGAGAAGUUUUGUUGACUUAUAGUAGAUGGAGAAGUUAUGCAGCUUUUUCUCUGGACAUUAAGGUGUACUCUAGGAGGAAGAAUAGAGGUCCAUAGGCGUUUGAAUCCAGGUGGAUUUGGUUUGGAGGGUUAGGGCUUGUGUGUUUUUCCAUGAAAAUCAUCAGUUGGAAUGUUAGGGGUUUGGGUUCAAGUAAUAAGCGAAGGGUGAUUAAAGAUUUCCUUAGGUUAGAGAAGCCGGAUGUUGUGAUGAUUCAGGAAACAAAAAAGGAGAAGUGCGACAGAAGGCUAGUGGGCAGUGUCUGGACGGUCAGAAAUAAGGAUUGGGUUAUUCUCCCGGCGUGUGGGGCUUCAGGUGGGAUUUUGUUCAUUUGGGACUCAAAAAAGUUGUGCAUGGAGGAGGUGGUAUUAGGCUCGUUCUCGAUAUCGGUCAAGUUCACCUUGGAGGGCUGUGGAUAUCUUUGGAUUUCUGCAGUUUAUGGUCCUAAUAGUCCCUCACUUAGGAAGGAUUUUUGGGUGGAACUUUAUGACAUUUAUGGUCUAACUUUUCCGUUGUGGUGUGUGGGCGGGGAUUUUAAUGUCAUAAGGAGAAGUUCAGAAAAAUUGGGGGGCUCUAGGCUAACUUCAAGCAUGAGGGACUUUGAUAGUUUUAUUAGUGAAAGUGAAUUACUUGAUCCACCUCUUCGGAACGCGUCAUUCACUUGGUCAAAUAUGCAAGAGUCUCCCGUGUGUAAGAGAUUAGACCGUUUUCUUUACUCAAAUGAGUGGGGGCAGCUAUUUCCCCAAAGGCAUUCAAGAAACCCUUAUCAGAAGGACCUCGGAUCAUUGGCCAAUUGCUUUGGAUACCAAUUCGUUCAUGUGGGGCCCAACUCCUUUUAGAUUUGAGAACAUGUGGCUGCAACAUCCUAGUUUCAAGGAGAACUUUAGAAAUUGGUGGAGGGGUUUUCAAGGAAAUGGAUGGGAAGGCCACAAGUUCAUGAGGAGAUUACAAUUUGUUAAAGCCAAAGCGAAGGAAUGGAAUAAGCUUUCUUUUGGAGUGCUUAAUGAAAAGAAAAAAAGUAUCCUCAAAGGAUUUAGCUAACUUAGACGCCAUCAAGCAGGAUGGGGGUCUCACCUCUGAAUUGUUAGUUCAAAGAGCCUUAAGAAAAGGGGAGCUAGAGGAAUUAAUUUUGAGGGAGGAAAUCCAUUGGAGACAAAAAGUUAGGGUGAAAUGGGUUAAGGAAGGGGAUUGCAACUCUAAGUUUUUUCAUAAAGUGGCUAAUGGCAGGCGAAAUAGGAAGUAUAUCAAGUCAUUGGAAAAUGAAAGGGGCUUAGUGUUGAAUAAUGCAGUGAGCAUCACAGAGGAGAUCUUACUCUACUUUGAAAAGCUCUACGCGAAUCCUAUAGGAGAGUCUUGGAGUAUUGAAGGUUUAGAUUGGUCCCCUAUUUCGGAAGAAAGUGCAAUAAGUUUGGUUGCCCCUUUUACUGAAGAAGAGAUUUCUAAGGCCAUAUUUCAGAUGGAUAGGGACAAGGCUCCGGGGCCUGAUGGCUUUACUAUUGCAGUAUUCCAAGACUGUUGGGAUGUGAUUAAGGAGGAUUUAGUGAGAGUGUUCGCAGAGUUUCAUAGGAGCGAAGUUAUCAAUCAAAGCACUAAUGCCUCUUUCAUUGUUCUUUUGCCCAAAAAGAGUACGACAAAGAAAAUCUCAGACUUUAGACCCAUUAGUUUGAUCACUAGUCUCUAUAAGAUAAUAGCCAAAGUGCUCUCAGGGCAUCUAAGAGGGGUCUUACAUGAAACCAUCCAUACUACUCAAGGCGCUUUUGUUCAAGGGAGACAAAUAAUGGAUGCAGUCCUCAUAGCAAAUGAGAUAGUGGAUGAGAGAAGACGAUCAGGGGAGGAAGGUGUCGUCUUUAAAAUUGAUUUUGAAAAGGCUUACGAUCACGUAAGGUGGGAUUUUUUAGAUCAAGUGUUAGAGAAGAAGGGGUUCAGUCCUAAAUGGAGGAAAUGGAUGAAUGGAUGUUUGUCCUCGGUAUCUUAUGCAGUAUUGGUGAAUGGUAACGCUAAAGGUUGGGUUAAGGCCUCGAGAGGAUUAAGACAAGGAGACCCUUUAUCCCCCUUUUUGUUUACUUUAGUAGCAGAUGUAUUGAGUAGGAUGCUUUUGAGAGCAGAGGAGAGAAAUAUGUUGGAGGGUUUUAGGGUGGGUAGAAACAGAACUAGGGUAUCUCAUUUGCAAUUUGCCGAUGACACCAUCUUCUUUUCUAACACUAGGGAGGAAGACUUGCAGACUCUAAAGAGUCUUUUGUUAGCAUUUGGGCAUAUUUCUGGACUUAAGGUCAAUUUAGACAAGAGUAAUAUUUAUGGCAUCAAUUUGGAUCAAGCUCAUAUUUCAAGAUUGGCUGAAACACUUGAAUGCAAGGCUUCUGGCUGGCCUAUACUAUAUCUGGGUUUUCCUUUGGGCGGGAACCCCCGGGCAGGAGGUUUUUGGGAUCCUGUGAUUGAGAGAAUUUCAAGAAGAUUAGAUGGUUGGCAAAAGGCAUACCUAUCCUUAGGAGGAAGGAUAACUCUCAUCCAAUCUUGCCUUACCCAUAUGCCCUGUUACUAUUUUUCUUUAUUUAAGUUACCCGCUUCAGUUGCUGCAAAAAUCGAGAGGUUGCAGAGGGAUUUUUUAUGGUCAGGGAUUGGGGAAGGCAAAAAGGAUCAUUUAGUCAGGUGGGAUGUCGUGUGUAAACCGAAGGAAAUAGGGGGUUUGGGUUUUGGGAAUAUUUCUCUGAGAAAUCUCGCUCUUUUAGGGAAAUGGUUGUGGAGGUACCCUAGAGAGGGUUCAGCUCUUUGGCAUCAGGUCAUACUAAGCAUCUAUGGUUCACACUCCAAUGGUUGGGAUGCCAACACAAUAGUUAGAUGGUCACAUCGCUGUCCUUGGAAGGCUAUUUCUCAAGUCUUUCAGGAGUUUUCCUCGUUUACUCGAUUUGUGGUAGGAAAUGGGGAAAAAAUUCGUUUCUGGGAAGAUUUGUGGUGGGGGGACCAACCUUUGGAAUCCCAAUAUCCAAGUCUAUUUAGAGUAGUCUUGGAUAAAAACAUACCUAUUUCUUCAGUUCUCGGUCCUACUCGUCCUUUCUCUUGGAAUUUAAAUUUCCGUCGUAACUUGUCAGAUUCUGAGAUUGAGGACUUAGAAGGCCUCAUGCGAUCUCUUGAUGGAGUGCAUUUAUCACUUUCGGUUCCAGAUGCCAGAUUGUGGCCCUUGUCUUCUUCAGGGCUUUUUUCAGUUAAAUAUUUCUUUCUAGCUUUAUCCCAAUUUUUUGGAUCUCCUUAGGUUUUUCCUUCUAAAUUCGUUUGGAAUUCUCAAAUUCCUUUCAAAGUGCAGUCCUUCAUCUGGUUAGUGGCACACAAGAAGGUGAAUACUAAUGACAUGCUACAAGUGAGAAGACCCUACAAAGCCCUUAGUCCGGAUAUUUGUAUUCUAUGCAUGAAGCAUGGGGAAUCAGCUGAUCAUAUUUUUCUUCAUUGCUCCUUGACAAUUGGGUUAUGGCACAGGUUAUUUCAGUUAGGUAAGAUGGAUUGGGUUCCCCCGAGAAGCAUCCUUGACAUGAUGUACAUCAAAUUCAAUGGAUUUGGUUCGUCUAAGAGGGGGAUAGCCUUGUGGCAAGCUGCAAACAUCGCUCUUAUUCGGAUUGUGUGGAUGGAAAGAAAUGCGAGGAUUUUUGAGGAUAAAGCAAGGAAUUCAGAGUCUCUAUGGGACUCUAUUGUUUUCCUUGCUUCUCUUUGGGCCUAUUGUUCCAAGGUUUUUAAGGGGACUCCCCUUAAUGCGAUACUUCUUGAUUGGAUAGCUGUGUGUACUCCAUAAGGAGUGGUUUUUUUAGAGUGUUUGCUUGUUUUUCAGUGUAUUUUACUAUAGUUUAGCUGUCUUUAGCAGGAGGAUUCCUCAUCCUUCUUUUGUACUUUUUAUCUAUCAAUAAAUCUUUGUGUCGUUUCCAAUAAAAAAAAAAAGUUAUGCAACUUUUUGAGGAAUUCCAUUCACAAAAUUUCGUAGCUCGCAGCCUGAACAUAACUUUUUUUAGCUUUAAUCUCGAAGAAGGAAGGGGUAGGUGACCUAUAGAACUUCAGGCCAAUUAGUCUUAUGGGGGAGUCUUUACAAAAUUCUUAAUAAAGUCGUAGCUAAUAGACUGAAAAUGGUGAUUGGAAAAGAGGUGUCGAAUAAGCCAGAAUGCAUUUUUGGGGGGUAGACAAAUUCUAAAUGUAGCCUUGGUAGUAAAUGCGGUGAUCGACUUAUGGAAAUGAAGUUCCAAUGCGGGGUUGGUUUGCAAGCUGGACAUAGAAAAUGCUUGUGACAAAGUAAAUUGGAAGUUCCUUCUUUCGGUUUUAGAGAAGAUGGGUUUCAGCCCCAAAUGGAGACGGUGGAUCCUCUUCUGUUUUCCUACUAUAAAACUAGUUGUUUUAGUUAGUGGCAAUCCCACAAACUUCUUCUCGACAUAUUGGGGGUUGAGGCAGGGGGACCCAUUUUCACCUUACCUAUUUGUUUUGAUUAUGGAAGCAUUCAACAGAUUAAUUGCUAAGGUUGAGGAGGGAGUUUUUAUUAAGGGUGUUAAGAUAGAAGGUAGAGGAGGAGAAGGGGUUCAAGUUUCUCACUUGUUAUUCGCUGAUGAUACUCUCCUCUUUUAUGAGGAUGAUGAAGAUCAAUUGAAAUAUUGGAAGUGGAUUGUCACUUGCUUCAAGUUGGUUUCAGGAUAAAAAAUAAAUUUGCAAAAAAGUGAAAUCAUUCCAGUAUGGGGCAUGGAGGAUGUGGACAAAGUUGUUGUCCUGUUCGGGUGCACUAUUGCCCUUGGACCCUCUCAUAGAUCAAUUGGUGUUUAGAGAAGCCUCAAUGUGAUUCAAGGGAAUGAUGAGUCAUGGAUAUGAGACUUAUUUUUCAAACUAGUUGCACAAGCGAUGGGAAAGUUUGUAAUGUGAUAAUCGAUAGUGGAAGUUGUACAAAUGUGGUGGCCAAAGAGAUGGUGACUAAGCUAAACUUGACAAUCAAACCUCUCCUUCAACCAUACAAAAUUCAGCUGUUCCAAAGGGGCAACGGUUUAAAAGUUACAAAGAGAUGUUUGGUUUCUUUCUCUAUUGGUAAGAACUACAAAGAUGAAGUUUGGUGUGAUGCUAUGCCAAUGGAUGCAUGCCAUUUGUUACUUAGAAGACCUUGGCAAUAUGAUCAAAAUGUGUCACAUUAUAGGUUUAAAAAUACUCACUCAUUUGUCAAGGAUGGUGGUCGGAUUGUUUUAACUCCCUUAAAGCCUAAAGUGAAAGAUUCCAAGGUGGUAGGAAAUUAUUUUCUAACAGGUUCACAACUAAAGAAAGUUUUGACUAAGCAAGAUGAAAUCUAUGCUCUCUUGGUUAUGGAUGCUUAUGCCACUCAACAAGCACCAUGUCAUGAGCUUUUGUUGCCUUUGUUGGAGGAGUUUAAGGACAUGAUACCUGAUGAGAUUCUUAUUGGUUUACCACCAAUGAGGAACAUUCAACACUGUAUUGAUCUUGUUCCAAGAGCUACCUUACCUAAUAAAGCAGUGUAUCGAAUGAAUUCAUUUCAACAAGCUGAAUUACAAAAGCUAGUGGAUCAUUUAAUAGCUAAGGGGCUGAUUCGAGAGAGUAUGAAUCCUUGUACUAUUCCGACUCUUUUAGUCUUAAAGAAGGGUGGUUCAUGGCGUAUGUGUAUUGACAAUAGAGCUAUCAACAAGAUCACUAUCAAGUACCAGUUUCCUAUUCCAAGAUUGGACGAUUUACUUGAUCAACUCUACAGUGCUAAGGUGUUCUCUAAGAUUGAUCUCUGAAGUGGUUAUCAUCAAUUCAAAACAAGGGAAGGAGAUGAAUGGAAAAUGGCAUUCAAAACUGGAAAUGGACUUUAUGAAUGGCUUAUGAUGCCAUUUGGGCUUUCAAAUGCACCAAGUACCUUCAUGAGGCUCAUAACACAUGUUCUUACACCUUACUUGGAAAGUUUGUGGUUGUAUACUUUGAUGACAUUCUCAUUUAUAACAAAUCUUUGCAGGACCAUAUGGAGCAUGUAAUAAGUGUUUUUCAAACCUUGAGGGAGUAAAGAAUUUUUGCUAACUUGCAAAAAUGUCAUUUCACCACAGAUAGCCUUAUUUUCUUGAGUUAUGUGGUGUCUGGUGCAAGAAUCAAGAUGGAUCCUAGCAAGGUGAAAGCAAUAGAAAGUUGGCUAGUUCCUAAAACUAUUCAUGAUGUACGGAGCUUCCAUGGGAUGGUCUCUUUCUAUAGGAGGUUUAUAAAGCAUUCCAGCACACUUGUAGUUGCUAUCACCGAAUGCCUUAAAGGAGGAGAUUUCAAGUGGACUAAGGAAGCCGAUGAAAGCUUUGAUCUUGUCAAGAGGAAGAUAACCACAGUUCCGGUUUUGAUAAAUUUGGAUUUCCAUAAAGUGUUUGAAGUAGAUUGUGAUGCAUCUAAUGUGGGAAUUGGUGUUGUAAUUAACUAAGAAGGUAAGCCCAUUGCUUUCUUUAGUGAAAAAUUGAACAAAGCCAUGACAAAGAGUUCUAUGUAAUAAUCCGAGCUCUUAGUCAUUGGAGUCACUACUUGCUGCCCAAAGAGUUUGUGCUCUAUUCAGACCAUGAGGCAUCGAAGUAUUUAAGCACCCAACACAAGCUAAGUGCACGACAUGCAAAAUGGGCAGAAUUUCUUCAAGUUUUUCAAUUUGUUCUCAAACAUAAAUUUGGACAAUUGAAUACAGUGGUUGAUGCACUAAGUCGAAGACAUGUUCUAUUAAACACUAUGCAAUCUAUGGUGAUUGGGUUUUGGAUUAUUAAAACUCUGUAUGAAGAUGAUUCUGACUUUGGCAAUCUUUGGAAAGCUUGUCUAAGUGGACCAAAGAACCAAUUCUUUAUUCAUGAUGGUAUUCUUUUUAGGGGUAAACAACCGUGUACCAAAAUGCUCACUUAGGGAAGCCAUAAUUCGUGAGGCUCAUGGUGGAGGACUUGCUGGACAAUUUGACCAAGACAAAACCUUAAUCAUGGUGCAAGAAAACUUCUAUUGGCCUAAGCUUAUGCAAGAUAUUCAGAAGAUUGUGGAGGGAUGUGUUGCUUGUCACAAAGCGAAGAUGCAUGGGAGCAAUGCCAGAUUAUAUACUCCUUCUCCAAUUCCAACAACACCUUAGGAGGAUGUGAGUAUGGAUUUCAUUGUGGGACUGCCUGGAACUCAAAAGAGGUAAAGAUUCAAUUGUGGUGGUAGUAGAAAGAUUUUCUAAAAUGACUCAUUUUGUUCCAUGCAACAAAACUUUGGAUGUCACUCAUGUUGCUGACCUUUAUUUCAAAGAAAUUGUUAAGCUUCAUGGCAUUCUUAAAACCAUCAUUUCUGACUGAGAUUCAAAAUUUUUGAGUCAUUUUUAGAGAACUAUUUGGAAAAAGUUGGGAACUAAGCUUCAAUUUAGUUCCUCUCAUCAUCCACAAACGGAUGGACAAACUUGAAUUGUUAAUACGUCUUUCGAAGUUGUGAUUAAGAGCUUGGUGAAAAUGAAUGUUAAGAGAAUGGGAGAGCUUGUUGCCUCAUGCCGAAUUUGGUUACAAUUGUUCAACAAGUCAAACUGCUAGUUCACCUUUUGAAGCAGUUUAUUGGAUGAAUCCUAUUGCCCCCUUGGAUUUAUCUCCCAAUUCAUAUUGACAACCAUUUUAGUGGGGAAGCUAAUGAAAUAGGUAAGUUCAUUAAGAAAAUUCAUGAGCAGGCGAGAAGCACGAUCUUGAAGCAAACUGAUAAAUACAAAAGGCAAGUUAAUAAGCAUAGCAAGAGAGUUGUGUUUCAAGAGGGAGCUUUGGUAUGGAUUCAUUUAAGAAAAGAAAGAUUUCCUAACAGGAAGUAUGCUAAACUUCAACCAAGAGCUGAUGGUCCAUUUAAAAUUGUUAAAGAAGAUUAAUGACAAUGCUUACAAGGUGGAGCUUCCUAGUGAUUAUGGAGUUUCAGCAACUUUCAAUGUCUCAGAUUUAUCUCCAUAUCAUGAAUAUGAGCCCCUAGACUCGAGGACAAGUUUUUUUCAACCAAUGGAGAAUGAUGUAGGUAAGCAGCCCAACCUGAGUGAUACAGGUAAGCAACCCAACAUGUGCCCACUUGAAGAUGCAAACGAGCCCAAUGUGAAUUCUCUUACAAAAGAGACAACCCAAUUUGGUUUAAUGGUCCAAGAAGUAAUUAAAGCCCAAAAGUUCAUAAUGGCGCCCGCUAUUUGGUUUAAUUAUUCAAUCAGUUGGUUUGUUAAUUAGUUAAUUAAUCUAGUCAUUGAUAGUUUCUUCAUUUCCUAUGCUUGGAGGAUUGUUCCAAGAUUAAAUAAAGUCUUUUCCUAUUCUUGGAUGGUUGUUCCAAGAUUAAAUAUGCUCAGUUUCAAAAUUGAAAGGACUUUUCAGAUUGUUAAGGAAAAAAAAAAACUAGGUGUUUGAUUUUUCUAUCAAAGUUCUUAUCUCUAAGGUGGAUUCCUUUGAGUGGUGAGCUUAAUUGUGAGUUCUUAUCUUUAAGGUGGUGAAUUUCUUAUCCUUAAGAGUGGUGAACUUGUGUUGUUAGCUUAUCAUUUUAUUUGCUUAAAACGGUAUCAUAAGGCAUCCUAAUAUACCUCACCAUGGUAAAACAAACCUCUCUUCACUCCCAGAUGGUCAAGUUGAUGGGAGUAUGAGAGAAAGUGCAAACACCUGAAAAGAUGAGAGCAGGUGUUGUCUCAGAUAUAACCAAUGGUGCUCUUCCUGUUCUAAAAGAUCCUAGUAUUACUUUCAAACCAAAUCACCCAAAGAAUGAAUUGUAUAAACCUCCUUUUACAACAAUCUUCUCCUGAGUUCCGCUCCUAGACUGUAGCAACCAAUAUAUUUGUAAGAUCUCUAGGUAGAGGGCAAGAAAUUCUGACCAAAACAAAAGGAACGCUCCUUACUGUAACCUAAGGCAAUGAGCCAAUGAAGGAAAAUUAGUCAAUAAUAUCUCUGCUCUCUAAUCACCAGUUACAUUUUUUAGGAAUGAUGUCUUUCUAGGACUUCCUAAGUUGUGGUGUGUGUAAAACCCCAACUCUGGUUGAUUGGGACUCUCUUAACUAGGGCGAUGGCCAAGGAUUUGCUCUUGAAGGGAAUGAUUAGAUUCACCCACUUGUUGCCAAAAGAUGGAGUUUUCUUUGUGAUCCUAGGGAGAUGAAGUCUCAAUUACAUAGGGUUGACCUUAUCACUCUUGAGGAUAAGUCCUUGAUUGAUAUCGAGGAAGGUGGUGGAGAUGUAUUAUAGGCCUCCCAAGUUGGUAUAUUUUUCACUAAGGUCAUGAUUCUGGAAGGUAACGAAGUUAUUGAUGGCCUUAGUUGUGGCUUACAGAACUAUCUCUCUUCCUGUGGUUCUCGCGUUGUUGAUUUCUUGAUAUAUGCUACCCUCAAACUUGUCCUUAAGUUGACUAAUUGAGUUGGUGAGUCCAAUUUGUUGUGAUUUGGCUUAUGAAAUGUCAUCAGCAUGAAUGAAUGGCUAGCAGUCAGAUAGAGAAGUGGCAGCAUGGUAGACACUACUCUAAAAUGCGUAACAGCUGGUUGACCAUUUCAAAUUCAAAUUCCUUUAGGCAUCUUGAAAAUAGGUUUUCCUUGCUAGUUGAGGAUGAGUUAGUGGUAAUGGUCUUAAUCCCCUCUUCAAGACAACGAUGUCUAUUUGGGUCGAUGCCCUUUAAGCUAUAAUGAAGUCUUUUAAAAGGCCCAAAGCCCCUGCCUUAACAGAUUAGCUUCAAUAUGCUUGUUGGUUCUUUAGUUUAGCCUAAGGGCCAAGGAUCUGAGGACUCCGUUCAACCCCAAAAUUCUAGUAUUGUGGCUUUUGGGCAAAGAAGAUAAUACACUACUUCUUUCUGCACAAUACAAUUGAGAUGUCAACUGCUACAUUUUGUGGUUACAUUUUCUAAAAGGUUGAUGUUUGUGUCUUUUGUUUUUUUCAUAGGAGUGUGUUGGUGUGUGAGAGUGCAAAGUUUAUUAGGUUUCCCAUUUUUUGAAAUAUUGUCAAAACAUCUACAAGUCAGGUUCCUAAGUGAUUCGAGCCUGCACAGGGUAGGGCUCUCUGGUUUAAGACAGAAUUUGGAAAUAGUUUUAAUAAUGAAGUUUUACAAAAACAAAACUUAAACGAGAUUAAUCGUUGAAACUCUCAGCUUGUGAACCAAAAAUAAAAAGAACUAAUAGUUGUAUAAUGGUUAGGUCGUUUCCAUAGGGAAUCUUUAAAUCAAUCAUACUAAAGGUAAGAGUUUUCAAGGGUGACCAGAAACUCAAAAGACAACAAACUCCAAGAGCAAAAAUUUACUAAAAUUCUCUCUUGCCUAACUCACCAACAACAUUCUGACCCUGUGCUUGUGGCUUUGGGAUCAAGCCAAGGGUUUCUACCAACUGGAGGGCUUUGGUUGACAUGAGCAUCAACCGCCUCAAUGAAAGAUUAACUCAGUUUGAUUGUUCCUUUUAGGUCCUUGCAAUAGGCCUGUGUUUGGUUUAUGGGUCCACCAGUGAUUAUUCCUUACAGUCCUCAUAUACUUUAACCCUAGUCAAUAGAGGCUCUUUGCAGUGCUCAUAACCACUAACCUAAGAAAGGUCCCUUUCAACCAUUCAUAGUUAAAUCAACAGUGAACUGAACUAAGAUAUGGAGAGCUUAACUCCCUUCACCCUUGAAAUGGAAAACACAAAAAAACCAAAACAUACAAUUGAAAAGACGCAAACACAAACAAACGCUCAAACUUAAAACUAAAAAAGAAAGAUUUACUAAAACAAGGAAAAGUUACAGAAAGGAAAAGAAACAGAGAACAACUAAAACAACCUAACUUAUUUCCCUAUUAAUCCCCUCUCCCCUUUGUUUAUUUACAGUUCCUGUAUUUAUAAGCAAUAGCCCACUUUUAAAUGGGGUGCACUUUAUGAUUUCUAUACAUGAUGGGGUGUGUGAUGUGCUUCCGUCUCAACGUGCUUGGGAAGUGCGCAAUUGUUGAAGCACCUAAGGGAAGUGUGCUAUUCAUCUAGGUAUCCUUUAGGAGUGCGCAAUCUAAGCAAAGUCCUUUAAGUGCGCUUCUUUGAAGUGCGCAAUCCAGGCCAUCACUUAAAAGCGUGCAAUCUAAACGCACUUUUUUAAGUGUGUAAUUUGGAUUAAUGCUCUUAGGGUGCACCAUCUACAAGGGGUUCUCCCUAGUGCGCUAUUGGAGGUCUUGCUCAGAUUGAAGUGCACUAUUAGUGAUAGUGUACCCCACUUAGGUACUCUUUCUCCAUGAAGUUUUGGAAAUGCACCAAACCUACCUUAAUUUUGCAAAAUCUCACAAAACAUAUCAAAUGGAUUUCUUUAAGGCAUUAACAUCAAAUUGAAGAACUAGGCUUGUUAUGAGUACCUCAAACACAUGACAUUUUUAAAGCCAUCCAAGUAUUUAAUUUGAGUUCUUGUCACUAACCGCAAGAAUCAUGAUUGAAAUAUAGUUUGGAAGGGAUUUGAGUGUUGUUUUUCAUAGGGAAAGUGAGUUGUUUUUUACAGUUUGGAAUACUACUAUCAACUCUUGAGAAAGAAGAGUGAAAAUGUGGUGUUGUGAAGAAAAUCAAAGGGGAAAAUUCUCUAAAUUUUAGUGAUGAAAAUGAGCAAUUAAUUGCUUGAAAAUUAACCGAAGGGAAAAUUAGGGAAUGAGAGAGUACCGCCUUCAUUACCUUGUCUCCUUGCAAUACAAUUAUUGUGAUCCAUGUCUAGGACCGACCCUACUUGAGGGUUUUUCAUCCCUUUGGUUAAUCCAAACAAUUCUAAGGGAGACUUGGGUAUAGCUACCUAAAGGCUCAUUACAUCGGAUAUCACUCUGCCAUCUACCAUCCACUCAAGACAUUCUCAAGUAGUGGUAGCAUGUGUUGACAAUAAUGAAGCAAUUUUCCUCUCCUUAACUAACCUAAAAUCAUGGCUUUGUAUUUCAGAUUCAGUGAAGAAGAAAAAUCAGUCACCUUGUUUACUCUACUUACAGCAAACUCAAGGGAAGAAGAAUUUUCUACUAGAAGUGUAGUAAACGUGAAGAAGAAAAACAUAUGCAUUUGCCGAAAAUUUUAAAUCCAAAUGCUCCUAGCAUCAAUUGAAAAUGAAAAGGUCUUUGCAUUGAAUAGGAAAAAGAAACUUAAAAUAAGAUAGUUCAAUUUUUUACAUAAAAGAACUAAGUGGUCAUCUUAGUCAAUGAGAUGGUUGUGCCUUAUUGCUCAUGAAAAUAUCCUAACUAAGCUUCCUUGCUUUCUCUUCUCUACUCCCUGUCUAUGUGUGUUGCUGUUGUCAUGCUUGUUAUUUAUAGAAGAAAGGGUUAAAGUGUAAAGACUUUCAACUAUAGUUGAAUUUCUGAAUAAGUUGAAUUUUAACUUUUAUACGCAGACAUUCAAUGAAUUUUUAUCAGAGAGUUGAAACCCAGUGCUAGACCAAUUGCCUGCACGGAACAUGAUGACGUUGCUGUAUGUGCUGCAGAUAGUCGUCUAACAGGAUUUAAAUCUUUUGAAGUUUCUCUAAGAUUUUGGAUUAAGGUAUUACCAUCACCCCGGUUGAGACCUUGUGGUUUUCCAUGAAAUUUCCCACAUUUUUCUUUGGUGUGACAUGCUUUCUUGCUGUACGAGCACCAUAGUUUCUUCUUUGUUAAGUUCUUCAUCAACUAUUGUUUUCCUUGCUCCAUGUUAACAUUAUGAUUCGUACCAUUUGGUUUGGCUCCUCCACUUGGUUUCUUUACAAUCAUGGUUGAUCCAUCCACUAGCGGUGUAUCAAGCAUCACCCCUUUUCAGCUUUCUUCAGCAUGGAUGAUAGAAAACACUUCAUUUGAAUGUUUGAUUAUAGUCUACCUCUUGCCAUAGACUCUUCAUCAUAUUGUAAUACUCGAUAAUCGAUCAGCUACCCUGUUUUGUAAUGGAGAUUUUAAUAUUCAAUUCAGGCAGCAUCCUGUAUUUUUUAGUUCCUUUGCCAAACGGUUUCCCAAAUUGCAUGUUCUAUUGAUUUCAGGUAACAUUGAAUUCCAUAACUAUGACAUAAUCAUAGAAUCUUCUUUGUCCCAAACAAUAAAUUGCAGAUCUUCAGGUUUUGGGCCUGUUCCAGUGAGAUGACUCAGUUUUCCCCUACCCUUUAAAAACGUCCUCACUAGUUGUGACCACUAUAGAUAAUUCCUUCUUGAUAAGCGGUAUACAAUCUGAAUAUUGUGAUAUUCUCUAGUCAUAUGGUUUUGGGAUGCUUCCACGGGUGACUAUGUAAUAUUGGUUAAUGGGGCUGGUAUGAUUUCUGACAUAUCCAAUAUUUGAAAGAUCCAAAAACGGAUUGAUUAGAUUCUGAAAAAAAUAAGAGAGUCGAAAAAAGCAAAAGACAACAAAGUACAUUUAUGGUGAUUAAGGCCGAAGAAUGAAUUUAGACAGGUUAUCAAUGACAAUGGAUCCCAGAGAGCAAAUUGCUUUGAUACCAUGAUGUGAGAAAUUCUAAACUGUCUUACUAAUAGUACAUAUUUAUGUGGUUACAUAAUCCUAUUCAUAAAAUUCAAAAUAUCAUUGGAAAUUAACUCUAACCAUCCCUGUAAAUUAGAAACACUCCUAAUAUAUAGAAAGUUUGACUUAUCAUAGUUGUACCAUAAUUUACCAAAUUUAAGGAUCUGAUGUUCUUCAACAUUUUAGUCUAUCCUUCUUUACCCUUUUAUCAUCCUUUCAAGGAUCAGCACACAUGGCAGAGAAGAGGUGACCUUGUACUGGCUGUCCAAAAGGUGACAUGGAACAAAAAUAAAAGCGGUCGAGGAUAUUUGACAUGAGAGACCCAUUUGAAAUCUGCUAUCAUGAACACCCUACACCCUUUUUUCUUAUUUAAGAAAAAGAAAAAGACUGAAAUAGGAGGAGCACACAUGGUAGAAAAGAUGUGGCCCCUUGACUGUUUCUCCAUUUAACUUAAAGGUUACACUGAACAAAAAUAAGAAGUUUAGGAUAUCAAACACUAGCUACCCAUUUGGAAAAAAAUGACUGUUUCAAGUCUAAAGAAAAAUAAAUAGACACAUUUGGCAGCCAUUGCGGGACUAAAACAAUAAGAUGGUACAUGUUUCAAUUUGGGCCAUAAUUCUCAUUCCUACAACCUAAACAUGGUGAUGGUGUUACAAUGCAAAAUUCACCAAUCCUUCUUCAAACUCUUUUGAGUUUUCCCUUGACAAUGUUCUGGUGAAAAGUCCAAGAAAGCCCAAAGAAAAGGAACAGAAAUGCUCACGCUUCUCUCAAGUCUCAUCUGCUGGUCCCCACCCAAAAUCUGGCCCCAAGCUUCUUUCCAAACAAAGGCUGAAAAUUCUCCCCUGCCUACCUGAAGUCAAUCUCAAAAGAUUGGUUGAUAAAAGAAGUGGACAAAGGAAAAAGUAUGCCCAUACUUUCUAACCAAUAUCCAUCAUUAGACUGGUAGCGAAGAAGACUGGAUUCCAAAAGGAUGCUGUGAGAUAUUCUGAAAGAUCACCCAUGACAUUUUCAACAUACUGUGAAGUUGAAGACCGAAAGAUAAACACAAAGCAUGAAAGCAUGGACAUGAGAAACUUGGAAUAGCAGAAAUGGAAAGCAGCAUAUGCCUUAGCAGUGCAAUUUUGUCUCUGUGUUUGUCAUGUAUGUGGUUGGGAGUGGUGCCUUCCAUUUCUAGUGCACAGACAGACACCAUCAAACCUGGGGAAGAGCUUCAAUUCUCGGAAAAAUUACUGGUUUCUGCAAAAGGGACUUUUACUCUAGGCUUCUUCAGCCUGGAAUUUGGCAGUUAUUUAGGAAUAUGGUACACAACUGAUGAUUUGUAUUGCCACCAUAUAUUUAUUAGAUAUAGAGUCAACUAGGUUUCCCUCAAGGUAAUCUUUUUCAAAGCACAACAGAAGCUGAUUUGGUACCAUUUGAAACAUAGUUUUAACCUAUAGCCUGUGGCCCUAUUUGCCUUCUUUUUUUUUUCUGGGAAAUUUAUCUAACCAUACACCAAAUACCAAAAUUUUGCCUUUUAGAAACUUUGUUUUUUACUUUUGAAAUUUAGUGGAUUUUGGGGGAAAUAAAUGUCUUUCCAUACACUGUAAUAAUAAUGUUGGGAUCCUUCCAAAAAUGCCCUCAUGCACUUUGACAGCUCUCUUAGUUGGAUCACCCACUUGGAAAAUUCACGUAAGCAAGGUCCAAGUUAGCUACCUAUAGCAGUUGAUGACAAGGCUCAUGUACAUGUCAUCAUCCAACUAGACACUUCACAUGGAUUGAUUUUUUAAAACAUAUUUACCCCCAAAUGUCUUCUUCUCUCUUCAACCAACCCUAACACCAAAAACACAUGUUUUUUCUUCUUCAUUCAUAGGCACAACCCAUCACAAGGCGAAACGAUCCAUAAAAAAAUCUGGUGGCUUCUCAAUUUGCCAUAACCCAUUAACCCCAAACAAACCUCCAAACAAGAUCCCUUAUUUUAUUUCUCCUCCAUCACCAUAAGAAAGACAACAUCAUCAUUUUCCCACCAAACAUCAAUUCGAAAACAAAAGUCCAAGUGUGAAACCCCUAACAAAGCCUAGGUAGACAAAGAGCCCCUUUCCUUUUUCUCAUUUCAACAUCGACAAAGUCAUUUCUUCCCUUCUUGUACUUCCUCUUUUGCUUUUGCGUUGAAAAAUGAGAAAGAAAGCAAUUGAGAGAAAAAGGGAACAAAGCAAUUCAAUAUUGUAGUUGCAUUUAACUUUUAAAGUAAGGGUUUUUCCAGAUGAUAUAUGUAUUUUAUUAAAUUUUGUAAUAACUAUUUAUUUUGAUUUGUCAUUUUGAUUCUUUGAGAUUUGAAUACUGUCAUAGUUAUGUGAUUUGUGGAAUUUUGUGAUUUAAACUUAAUUACAUUGCAUAUUUGUACAUGUUGAAUGUUCAUUAAUAUUGUAUUCAAUUUUAUAUUUUAAUUUAUUUAGGGUUUAUUUGAAAUGAAAUAUGGUUUGAAAUUUGAUAAAUGAUAGGAAAAUGAGAUGGUGGUAAGUUAUAUUGAUUUUGUUUUAUUUUCUGAAUUGUUGUGUCUGUGUUGUACAUGGUUGUUGGGAAGAAUAUAGAAAAGAGAAGAAAAAUAUGACUAUUGAAUGAGAAGGGAAUACAAUUUGUAUAUGGGAUUCAAGAUGUUUUGUUGUUUAAUGUUGUUUAUAUGGGAUUCCAAAAUGAGUAGGUUGAGUUUUUUUUUAUAGUUGUUAAUUGAUGAAUUUAAUGCAUAGGAAAAGAAUUCAUGUUUAGUCAUAAGUAAAAUGAGUAUAAAUUUUAAAAAUGAUUGGGAGUACAGUUUGAAUAAAUUUCUUCAUAAAAGUUUUGAAUUUGUAAUGAAUGAGGGUUGAAUUGAAAAAGAAAAUAAAACAAAUGUAGUAAAGCAGACAUGAAUUUAUGUUGGAAUUAGGAAAAAUAGUAGUGGAGCCUUAGAUGGAAAUCUGAUGCUCACUGUCAUAAAUAUGAAAUUUGUUUUGUUUAUAUGUGUGUAAUGGUCAUAGUAGGUGUUUACCCUUGGAUGAAGAGGUUGACUGUAAUUAAGGUAAUGACAUUUGGAUGAAAUAAUUGUUUUUGUAAGAGGUUGCAGUAAGUAAUUAGUGGUUGACCCAUUUGUUUGGAGGUAGGCCCUUAAUUGUAAACAUUGUUGUGGUCUAAUCUAGGCAAUAAGCAAAAUAAAGGAAGACCCAUUGUUUUAGGGGUUGGCCCGAUAAUAGGGCCAUUAGCAUAAUUUAGCUUGAAAAAUUACAAAAACAAUGGUUGGCCUAUGAAUUGAGAGGUUCACUUCCCAACUUAUAUAACAUAACAAAUUACUACCAAAUGAAAUAGAAUAAUUGCAUUAUUUAAUGUUAAGUAUACGCUAUGCAUGUUCAUAUUUACAACAUUAAUUGAAGACCAUGAAAUGUAAAUGAAGCUCACUUGUAAAGUUCCAAAGAUAAACGAUGUAUUAGUAAUUUGGUCAUAAGUGUGAUAAUCAGUUUUGUUAUAAGUAAUUUGGUUUAAGCAGUGUUAUUAAAAAAUUAGUUAAUUGUUUCAGCUUGACUAAAGGUUCAUGUUUCUAAGACAUGAUCGAGUAUCAUUUAAAUGGAUCCAAGUAAUACAAUUUAUUAUUAUCUGCACAUUGAAAGAGAGCUAGUAAGGGGUGAACAUGGCAGUAUGGAAUAUAUGGGUGGGAGACGAGAGAGUAUAAGUUCAGAACGAUCAAUGACAUAUAAUGAUUUUGUUUCAAGGAUUUGUGGGAAAAUGAACAUUGAUAUAGUGGGACCAACAUUUUCAUACACUCUUCCAUUUGAUCUAUAUGCACUUCAACCAUUGAAAAAUGAUGAAGACUUGACAAACAUGUUUCAAUUUAGUGACUAAUUCACACGUGUAUAUAUAUGUUUAGCAUCAACAGUUGAAGGCGAUGAAACGGUUGACAAUGGAGGACAAAUGUAAGUUUAUCAAAAGAAUAUCUAAUCUUAAAUGAUUUCGUGUAUUUAUUUAUUUAUUAAUAUUUAUGUUUAUUCAUUAGAUGAUAAGUUGAUAAAUAAACAUAUUUAUAAUGCAGAUUGAACGAAACAAUGGUAAGGUCAAACUCACUGGUCCCAUAUUCAACAUGGGAUGUUGAUAUUAAUUAUAAUGCAAUCACGAGGAUUUUAUCAAAGAUGUGUUGAAUCACAUGUUGGUCCACUAGAGUCGAGUUAUUUUGAGAGUGCAAUAUUGGGUAGUGGGCAUACCUUUUCAACUGCAAAUGACUUUUGAGAUGCAAUAUAUCUCAUGUCAAUAGGAAACCAUUUUAGAUAUAAGUUUAGGAGGAAUUGCCUUAAGCAUAUGACUGUAAUAUGUGUUAUUGAAGGAUGACCUUGGAAAGUAACUACUUGUGUUGUUGGGAGAACAAAAAUAAUUCAGGUGCAUACAUUUAUAAAUGAACUUAACCACUCUUUAGAAGAUGUGUCAGUUUCUAAACCAAUAGUUCGUUGUAAUCGAGCCACAACUAUGAUUGAUAAUGUUAUUCGUUCAAAUCCAAAUUACUUGUCUCGUCAAAUAUGUAAAGACUUUCAUCGACAAUACAAAAUGCAAUUGAAUUAUUGUCAAGCAUGGAACUUGAAAGAGAAGGCUAAAGAACAAAAUCAUGAUGUGCCCCAAUGUUCAUAUAAGUUGUUGCCUUGGUUGUGUACAAGGCUUAUUGAAACAAAUCCAGGGACGAUUGCUGAAUAUAAAUGUUCGGAUGAUGGUCAUUUCAUGCAAUUGUUUGUUGCCCUUUCAGUGUCAUUACAUGGGUUUAAAAUGGGGUGUCGCCCUAUUAUAUCAACAGAUUCAUCCCACAUGAGUGAGUCAUACAAGGGUGCUUUAUUUUUAGCUUCUUCGUAUGAUGCUAACAAUGUCAUGUUUCCACUUGAUUAUUGCUUAUUUAGCUCCGAGAAUUACGAGGAUUGGCUUUGGUUCUUAGAGAAAUUGAAGAUGGUCAUAGGUGAAACAAAGGUUAUAAUAAUAUCUAAUAGGCACGAUGGAAUUAUCUGUAGUGUUUUAGAUGUAUUCAGCAGUGAAAAUCAUGCACAUUGCUAUCAUCACAUUAAAGAAAACUUUAGUAGCUUACUAACAAAGUUGAACACUAAAUGGAGGAAAAUAAAGGAAAAUGCUUUGCAAAUGCUCGAUUCUAUCACCUAUUCUAGGUUAGAUUGUGAUUAUGAGGUUACAAUGGAUACUUUAAGGACAUUUAAUCAUGAUUUGGCAAAGUGGGUUGAAAAAAAUAACCCUCAACAUUGGGCAAUCUCUAAAUUUAAGACGCGUUGGGAUAAGAUGACAAAUAAUCUAGCUAAGUCUUUCAAUUCUUGGUUAAGACAUGAAUGACACCAUAACAUUUGUGUUUUCUUCAUUGAGCAUAUGGAUAAGUUAGGAUCUCUUUUAUUCGAGCACAAAAAUGGACUUGCAAAAUGGAAUGGGUGCAUUAGUCCUAAAAUAGAAUAAAAUAUUGCAUUGAACAUUGCAAAAGGUGAAAAUUAUAUCACCUAUUUACACUUGGGUAGUUCGAUGAAAGUAUCCAAUGGAAAAGUAUUCUUGGAAAUGGACUUAAUGAAGUGAACUUGCACAUACAAAGCAUGGCAAAUGUCUGGAAUCCCAUGUGAUCACGAUUGUGUAACAAUACGAAGAAUGGGGUUCGAUGUAUCUGAUUAUGUUGAUGACUGGUAUAAGUACAAUUUGCAAGAGAAUAUAUACUCUGGAAGCAUGUGUACUUUGGUAACGCAUGACAUGCCAAUGAUUGAUGAAGAUGGAACCGUUCGUGAUGCCUUGGGUCAUACUUAUCCUUUUCUUAAUCUUUCAACCACAAAGCAAUCUCCUGGAAGACCUAAGAAACAUCAAAUUAAGUCUCAAUUCAUGUAAAAAAAAAAAAAAAAAACGGUUCAUUGUUCUCGUUGUAAUGAGCCUGGGCAUAAUUGUGCUACAUGCAACAACCCAUUGUCGUAACUAUUUAAUUAAACUUCAUAAUGUAACAUCGACUUUAUAUUAGUGUGUAAUAAUUUGGUAAUCUUCAUCGUUGUUUCUCUGAUUAUAAGCAAUGACUAAUUUAUUGGAUUUGUAGUGUUUGGUGUACACAUAUUGUGAUUAUAUCUUGUUCUUCAAUAUUAUGGGAUAUGUUACAUGAUAAUAUAAUUGCAAUAACAAAAUGUGUACCUUGGUGAUGAUUGUUCAAAGAUGUCAUUAAGUCACAUAGAUUCACAUGGAAAAACAAAUUGUUAACUAGUGGGCAUAAUCGUGGAUGACCUUUACAUGUAUGGGUUGUCGUUUUUUGGCUGAUGACCCUUAAUCAUAUUAUUUAGUUUUGUGGGAAGUGGUCAGUAACCAAAAUAAGGGCCAACCUAUUAGGUCAUAAGCAGUCUUAUCGUUUUUCUUAUUUAAAAUUGGUUUUGUGUUAUGUGAGGAGUCGGUAAAAGGGAGGUUGACCCAUUGACACCAUGGGAAGGCAUUCGAACGUUUACACUAUACAGUUAGAAUUAAUGGAAUUUCUUUUAUACAAUAACAUUAGUUUGGUAUGUUAUGUGCAGAAGUUGAUCUAAGGGCGCACCCUCCAUUUCAAAGGCAUGCCUAUGUGUGAAUGACAUUAUAUUACCAUGUUAUAUACAGAAGGCAAAGUAGGGGCACACCCUUCGUUGCAUAGGCAUGGGCAUGGGUAUGAUAACAUUAUUUUGGUAUGUUAUUUGUUAUACACAAACUAGGAGCACACCAUUGAUUUUAGAGGCAUGCCUAUUUGUGAAACCAUUAUAUUGGUAGGCUAUGUGCAGUAGUCAACCUAAGGGCACAACCUUCAUGGAAGACGCAUGAAUGUGGGUGAAAAACUUGAUUUUUUUAAGCUAUGUGCAGUAGGAAAAAUAUAGGCAUGACUCUAUCGGAGGCAUGCCUUCAAGAUGACUAGAUUUAAGGUGUGUGUUGGGCAGUAAGGCAAAUAGAGGCAUGUCGAUAGCUUGAAAGGUUGACCCUUUACGUUCAUAUGAAAUAAGCGACCACCAAAGGAAUAAAUGAACAAAAGUUAUGCAUUAUCAAAUGUUUGGUAAAGACCAUAUGUUCUAAAGUUUAGCAUAGUAAUGUCAUACCAUCUAGUGUUAAUGAAGUUUAGUUGUAUUUUUUAUAAUCUAAGCAAGACAUUAAUCAUAAUGACAAUAGGUGUGAAUGUGACAAUUGUUAUAGUUAAUUAAUUUUGGCAUGGUUAGUUACAAAUACUAUUAUAAGCAAUUAAAUACCUAAUGGGGUCCAAGAAAGGGAUUAAAAUAAUUUAUGCUUAUUUUAUGAAUGAUGUAAUUCUUUUUGUAAGAAAUAUAUGUAUUAUUGCACAUAUUAACGUACACACACGCGCGUGCGCGCGCGCACACACACACACACACACACACACACAUAUAUAUAUAUAUAUAUAUAUAUAUAUAGAUGUAUUAAAGUAAGAAGGCAUGAGGUCUCAGAUUGAUGUUAAAAAAAUGUACAAUACUUUAUUAAAGUUAAUAAAGAACAGAUUGAUCUUAAAGAUAUAUGAAACAUUGUGGAUGAUAUUACGAUGGUUUGAAACUCUGUUAAAUGGUGGUGAACGACUUCCCAUCAGUUCCUAUGGGUUCUCGGUAGCAUGAGGCCUUGAAAUACCAAAAUUUCUUACAAAUGUACCAAAUUUUAUAAAAUAAAAUAAAAAAUGUACCAAAAGUUGUAAAUGAUGUAGCAAAAUUUGUCAAGGAUGUACCAAGGGUUUAAAAGUCUGUUCAAGAGUAGUGAACGACCUUUCAUCAAUUAACAUAGAUCCUUAAAUGAAAUAAUGGAUCAUAGGUGAUAAGAUGGGUGUUUCAAUGGCAAUAGGAUUAAAUGUACCAAAUUUUAUAAGGGGUCUCGACAACAAUAGGAUCGGAUGUACCAAAUUUUAUGAAGAAUGUAUCAAAUUUUGUGAAGGAUGUACCAAGGGUUCCAACGUGCAUUCAGAUAUGAGGAACAACCCCCAAGCACUUCCUUAUAGGUUCUCAAAUGAAAUUAUGGACCUUAAGUGAUAAGAUGGGGGUCCUAGAAGUAAUAGGAUGGGAUAUACCCAUAUUUUAUAAAAGAUGUACCAAAUUUUAUGAAGAAUGUACCAAGGGUUCCAAAGUGCACUCAGAGGUGGGGAUCGACCCCCAAUCACAUCUUUAUGGAUUCCCAAAUGAAAUUAUGAACCAUCUAUGUCCAAAUGGGAGUCUUGAAAGCAAUAGGAUUGGAUGUACCAAAUUUUGUGAACCAUGUACCAAGGGUUCCAAAGUGCAUUUCGAGGUGGGGAUCGACCACCAAUCACUUCCUUAUGGGUUCCGAAAUGAAAUUAUAGACCCUAGGUGAUAAGAUGGGGGUCCUGGAAGAAAUAGGAUGAGAUGUACCAAAUUUUGUGAAAAAUGUAUCAAAUUUUGUGAAUAAUGUAUCAAGGGUUCCAAAGUGCGUUCUGAGGUGGGGAUCGACUCCCAAUCACUUUCUUAUUGGUUCCAAAAUGAAAUUAUGAACCAUGAGUUAUAAAAUGGGAGUCUCGACAACAAUAGGAUCGGAUGUACCAAAUUUUGUGAAGAAUGUACCAAAUUUUCCAAAGCAUGUUUCAAGGUGGGGACCAGCCACGAAUCACUUCCUUAUGGGUUUCCAAAUGAAAUUAUGGACCCUAGGUGAUAAGAUGGGGGUCCCGAAAGCAAUAGGAUGGGAUAUACCAAAUUUUACAAAGGAUGUACCAAAUUUUAUGAAGAAUGUACCAAGGGUUCCAAAGUGCACUCAGAGGUGGGGAUCGACCCCCAAUCACAUCUUUAUGGAUUCCCAAAUGAAAUUAUGAACCAUCUAUGUCCAAAUGGGAGUCUUGAAAGUAAUAGGAUUGGAUGUACCAAAUUUUGUGAAGCAUGUACCAGAUUUUAUGAAAGAUGUACCAAGGGUUCCAAAGUGCAUUUCGAGGUGGGGAUCGACCACCAAUCACUUCCUUAUGGGUUCCGAAAUGAAAUUAUAGACCCUAGGUGAUAAGAUGGGGGUCCUGGAAGAAAUAGGAUGAGAUGUACCAAAUUUUGUGAAAAAUGUAUCAAAUUUUGUGAAUAAUGUAUCAAGGGUUCCAAAGUGCGUUCUGAGGUGGGGAUCGACUCCCAAUCACUUUCUUAUUGGUUCCAAAAUGAAAUUAUGGACCAUGAGUUAUAAAAUGGGAGUCUCGACAACAAUAGGAUCGGAUGUACCAAAUUUUGUGAAGAAUGUACCAAAUUUUCCAAAGCAUGUUUCGAGGUGGGGAUCAGCCACGAAUCACUUCCUUAUGGGUUUCCAAAUGAAAUUAUGGACCCUAGGUGAUAAGAUGGGGGUCCCGAAAGCAAUAGGAUGGGAUAUACCAAAUUUUACAAAGGAUGUACCAAAUUUUUUUUAAGGAUGUACCAAGGGUUCCAAGGUGCUUUCUUAGGUGGGGAUUGACCCCCAAUCACUUUCUUAUGGGUUUCAAAAUGAAAUUAUGGACCAUAAGUGAUAAGAUGGGGGUCCCAACAAUAAUAAGAUCGAAUGUACCUUAGAUUUUUUUAACCGUGUUUCUUAGUAACUUGAUGAAAGUUAUGUACAUUUUUUAAAGUUAAUCCGAGACCUCAUGGCCUCUUACUUUAAUCUAUCUAUUCUUUUGAGAAAUUGACAUACAUCUAUUGUUUUACACACACACACACACACACACAUAUUCCUUACAAAAAGAUGCACUUCAUUCAUAUAAUAAGCAUAAAUUAUUUUAAUCCCUUAUGUCGACCUCAUUAGGUAUUUAAUUGCUUACAUAAAUAUUCGUAAUUAACCCUACCAAAACUAAUUACCUAUAACAAUAGUCUUAUUCACACCUAUAACCAUCAGAUAUUAAUGCCUCAUGUAAAUUAUGAACAAUUCAACUCAACUUCAAUAACACUUCAUGUUAUGACAUUAAUGUGCUAAAUAUUAGAACAUAUGGUCUCUACCAAACAUCAGAUAAUGCAUUACUUUUAUUUAUUUAUUUAUAUGGUGGCCACUUAUUUGAUAUGAUCGUCAAGGGCCAACCUUUCUAGCUUUGGGCAUGUCUCCAUUUGUCUUACUGCCCAACCCACAUAUCAAAUAUAAUCACUUUAAAGGCAUGCCAUAGACAUAAGAGGCAUGCUUAUCUUUUCUACUGCACAUAGCAUAACAAAUUUAAGUUUUCACCCACAUUCAUGCAUCUUGCAUGAGGAGUGCACCCCUAGUUUGACUAUUGCACAUAGCCUACCAAUAUAAUGUCUUCACCAAUAAGCAUGCCUCUUAAAUAAAUGGUGCACCCCUAGUUUGUGUAUUGUAUAUAGCAUACCAAAAUAAUGUUAUCAUACCCAUGGCAUGCCUUUGCAACAAAGGGUGUGCCCCUGGUUUGCCUUUUGCAUAUAGCAUACUAGUAUAAUGCCUUCGCACAUAGGCAUGCCUUUGAAAUGAAGGGUGUGCCCUUAGAUUGACUUCUAAAUAUACCAUAGUAAACUAAUGUUAUUAUUAUUUUUAAAACAAAUUCCAUUGCUUCUAAGGGUACAAUGUCCACAUUCGAAUGCCUUCCUAUUAAACAAUAAGUCAACCUUCCUUUUACCAACUACCCACAUAACACAAAACUAAAGGGUCGACCCUUAUUUUUGCUACUAACCACUUCAAACAAAACUAAUAAUAUGAUCAAGGGUUAUCAACCAUAAAACAGCAACCCCGCAUGUAUAGGUUAGUCACUAUUAUGCCCACUGGUUAACAAUCUUUUGUCUUUUAUUUUUAUUUUUUCCGAAAAGCUCUUGGGUGAAGUUUUUCACUUGAUUCCAACUAUUGUGCUAGUGCAUUUGUUUUCUAAAGAUCCCAAGUGUAGCAACCAGUGCUUCAUUGGUCACUUCUCUUAAGCUCUUCAAUUAGCUUACUCUUUUCCUUUAUAGUAGCCUUAAGUGCUUCAAGGCUAACACCCUCGAUUUCAUGGACAUAGUUUGCCUCCACCUUUGCAGUUCAUUUACUUAAAAACGUCAUAACAAUGAACCUCUUGUUGAAUCCUUCAACAUCAAUGGUUGUGAUAAUGGACACUUGUAUAUAAAUGAAUCCAUUGUUUUGGAAGAAGGCGUGAGUUGCAUGAUUAAGGGCAUUGCGGGUUCGCAUAAUGAAUGCCACCUGCAAGUUUUAAAGUAGAAAUUAAAACAAAAUGACCUAAUUAAUUUGUAGUCAAAGCAUUUAUCAUGGAUUUAGAUAAGAAGCUGGAUGGAACAAAAAGAUUAAUUAUGGUUGUUGCUUAUGGCUAUGUCAUUGACAAUUAAGAAGGUAUGCCCACUACCCAAUAUUGCACUUUCAAAAUGACUCGACUCUAGUAGACCAACAUCUGAUUCAACACAUCUUUGAUAAAAUUCUUGUGAUUGCAAUCUAAUAUCAUCAUCCUUUGUUAAAUAUGAGACUAUUAAGUUAGACCAAACAAUUGUUUUGUUCAAUUUGCAUUAUAAAUAUGUUUAUUUAUCAACUUAUCAUAUAAUGAAUGAACUUUUUUUCCUCAAUGAUUUUCAAUUCUAAAGAGCUUCCAUUUUUGUUAUAAAAAAAUUACUAAUUUAACAUUUCCUAAAAAUGAUCCAUUUCCAUAUUGAAAACAGUUUUUCAAUCAGGUUUCCCAACCCCCUAACCAAAUAUAUUUUCAGUGUCAUUUCCAUUUAUUUUCUUAAACAACCCUUUGCCAAACACCCCUAUAAUUUUGGAUCCUAUAAGCACAAAGCCCUACAAAUCAAAACCCACCAAGGUCACACUCUCUAAUACAAUUCCUCAUUUCAUCAAGUGAAAAAUCAACCCAAUUCAAUACCCACCAUCUAGAUCAACCCAAUUAACACUUCAAAAACAUUAAAAAAAAAUCAAGCCAAACCCAAAAAAUGCUCAUUAAUCACACCACAACCCAAACAAUCAAAUAAAACCCUCAUCAAAUCCUAUACUAACUUUGCACCAAGAAAACAAAACCACACGAAACACAAAACCCUAGUACAAGAUUAACUAAUUCAAUCAAAUUCACAUCCAACAGUUCACAAACAUGGCCAAAAACUAAAAUUCACAAGCCAAAUAAUUGCGAGUCAGACCUGAAAAUCAAGAACUGUACUUGUAACUUGACUUGUCUGAAAAUCCCAACUUUGAAGCCACCCAAAGUGCGCGAGAUAAGCAAAAUGGGUGCACAGGAUUAUAAAAGUAGACUCCCUUUAUGGGUUUUUUGAGUUAAGGUUUAAUUGAAGAGAGAAAAAGGCUAAAUCUCACUAUCUGUUUUGUUAUUUUUUGGCAAAUAUAUUUUUUUUUAAAUCAUUCCACGUGGAUUGUCUAGUUGGAUGGUGGCAUGGACAUGAGCCAUAUCAUUAGCUUAAGUGGGCAACUUACUUUGACUGUGCUCACAUGGCUUUUCCAAGUAGUUGAUCCAAUUGGAAGAGGUGUUAAAGUGUAGGAGGGCAUUUUUUAAAGGAUCUCAACAUCACUAUUACAGUGUAUGGAAAGGUAUUUAUUUUCCCUAAAAUCCACUAACCUUCAAAAGUAAAAAGUAAAAUUCCCAAAAAGCAAAUUUUUGCCCCCUAAUGUAUGGCUACAUAAAUUUCUUUUUUUUUUUCCUCCAUAACAUAUUAUAAUAGAUUGUACAUGUUUAUCUUAGCCAUGGUAUGAUAAAAAAUAUGUUAUAUGCUAUACGUAGAGAAAAACACUCCAAACGACCAAAGUAGAAAGUGGAGAUAGUUUAUGACUGAUCCUCGCUCAAUUUGCACAUAACACCACUAGUUAACCAAACUUCAUCCUCCAUGCUUCAAGUAAUCCAUAGCCAAGUUCUUCUCAAGAGACAUAGGUCAUUUAUGGAGACAUAGGUCUUCAAAUCUGAUGAUGGGAAAUGUCUACCUCCUCCUAAAGUGCAAGAUUUUACCAUGGUUUUAAAAACCAAACCAGACAGGUCGGUCCAACCGCCAACCAGUCAUGGUUCCAAUUCGGUCUGGUCAAUUGGGUCGAAAAGUGGUCGGAUCGAAAUUGGACCGAUUAAACCAGUGGUCCGAUCGGUAAUCGUUCGGUUCAAUUUUAUUUUUCCACUGUCAUCAUUUCCCAUCAACGGGACCCCCACCCUCCUUGCAAAGCCAUCCCCACGCUAGAAAAGCUCUUAUUGCCCAUUGGAACACCCCCCACCCCUAGAAACCACCCCCUUCCUCCUCGUUGGAACCCCUUUUUGUUUAUCGAAAUCCCUCCCACCCGACACUGGAAACUCUAUCCCCCAAAACCCCAUUGGAACCCUUUUUUGCCCACUCAUCUCCUCUCUUUUUCCAGAUUUUUUUAUUAGUAUUAUUUUUUACUUCAUCUCAUUAUUAUUAUUUUUCUUUUGUAUUAAUUAUUUUUUUAUUUCAUGAUGUUUAAAACUUAUGAUUUUAAUUUAAAUUAAUGAAAACAUUACAAUUUUAAAUAAAUUCCUAAUUUUAAAAUAAGUUUUUUAUUUAAAAAUGAAUUUUAAAUUUCUAAUUUGAAACUAAUUUUUUGAUUUUCAAAUAAAAUUUUAAUUUUUAAAUAAUAUAUUGUGGACCCUACAUUUCGGCUUAAUGCGUUUCCCACUCGAUGGUGAGCUCGAUUUUUUAUUUGAAAAUUUGAUUCUUAUUUGAUUAAGAAAACCGACUUGGAGUCGUCACUUAUUUUUUGUUUUAUUUUAAAAGGGUAAACAAAAUAAGAAAGAAAACCCUAAGUGUGACUCCUUGUUUUGGAAAAGGUGGUAUAUGAAAAACCGGAUUGGGCUCGGAGGUCAGAUUGCUUAUUGGGAAGGUACAGUACAGACCGUAGCACCCCUCUAAGUCCCUAUAGUCGGGUCUCUACUAAUAGAAUGAAGCUGACGUGGCAAUCAAUGAGAAAAUCAAGGGAUACUCACCUAAAUCAUGCACAAUAUGAAAAUCAAAACACGCAAUAGAGAUUGACUAGAAUGGGAGUGGAUGCGUACCUCGGCCACGAGCCACAAUGCGCUAUCAAGAAAUGGAAUUAGUGCACAAUUAAUGAAUACAAAAUAUAGCUCAUGCAUAUCGGAGUGCAAACGAAACUCAAGCGAAAUACAUUAAGCACAACAAUUUACAAUCAAAAGGAAUCAAACAUAGGGCCCCCACCAAAGCCCAAUUUUUCAUUCAUGAGCUAGUCUCACAAAUCCCGUGUUUUAGAAUUAUGAAGAAUUCAUUAUUGCUUACGUAAAAUCAAGAAGAUCAUAAGAUUAUUCAGGAACCGAAAUGGGAUUAAAACUAUUCGACUGAAGACUGGAUUCUUGGAGUUUAUUUGAAAAUUGGAGUAUUUGGAAUUAAAUUUAAAAGAUUAGAGCUCCUGUAAUUAAAUUGAAAUUUGUUAAAUAAGAUGAGAAAUGAACUUUAGGAAAUUGAUCUGCGAGAAUAUGGAUUUUGAAAGUUGAAUUUGUAAUAAUAGUAAUAAUAAGAAAUGAACUUUAAGAAAUUGGACUGCGAGAAUAUAGAUUUUGAAAGUUGAAUUAAUAAUAAUAAUAAUGAUAAGAAAUGAACUUUAAGAAAUUAAACUAUGAAAAUAUAUAUUUUGAAAGUUGAAUUAAUAAUAAUAGUAAUAAUAAUAAUAAUGAUAAUAAUACUGAUAAUAAUAAUGAUAAUAAUAGUAAUAAUAAUAAUAAUAAUAAUAAUAAUAAGAUUUUGAAAGUUGAAUUAAUAAUAAUAAUGAUAAUAAGAAUAAUAAUAAUAAUAAUAAUAAGAUUUUAAAAGUUGAAUUAAUAAUAAUAAUAAUAAUAAUAAUAAUAAUAAGAUUUUGAAAGUUAAAUUAAUAAUAAUAAUAAUAAUAAUAAUAAUAAUAAUAAUAAUAAUAAGAUUUGGAAAGUUGAAUUAAUAAUAAUAAUGAUAAUAAUAAGAUUUUGAAAGUGCUUUGGGUUCCAUCCUCAUCAUAAGCCCAAGUCUAUGAGCCCAAGUCCAUUCAUUAAAAGAGCUUUGGGCUCCAUCUCCAUCAAGCCCAUGUCCAUUCAUUAAAAGAAGCCCAUGUCCAUUCAUUAAAAGAGCCUUGGGCUCCAUCUCUAUCAAGCCCAUGUCCAUUCAUUAAAAGAAGCCCAUGUCCAUUCAUUAAAAGAGCCUUGGGCUCCAUCUCCAUCAAGCCCAUGUCCAUUCAUUAAAAGAGCCUUGAGCUCCAUCUCCAUUAAGCCCACGUCCAUUCAUUAAAAGAAGCCCAUGUCCGUUCAUUAAAAGAGCCUUGGGCUCCAUCUCCAUCAAGCCCACGUCCAUUCAUUAAAAGAACCUUGGGCUCCAUCUCCAUCAAGCCCAAGUCAUUAAACUAAAAGGAGCCUAGGUCCAUUCAUUAAAAGAAGCCCAUGUCCAUUCAUUAAAAAAGCCUUAGGCUCCAUCUCCAUCAAGCCCAAGUCAUUAAACUAAAAGGAGCCCAAGUCCAUAAGCUCAUUAAAUUAAAAGAAGCCUAGUCUGCCUCCAUCUCCAUCAUUCAUUAAAUUAAAAAGAGAGCCCAGGUCCAUAAGCCCAAACGACCCAAGCCUGCCUUCAAUCUCCCGCAAAGCUGGUUUUCCACUUGGGUGUCAUCUUCAGCCAAGGAGCCUCCACCACUGGCGACGCGAUGGAGAGGGAUGCGACGGCGACAAUGGCGGAGUAGACAACAUUUUGGGUGAGGGCGCUAGUGGCAGUCAGGAUGAUGGUGCAAAUGGUGGACUCGGUGCUUGGAGAGAAAUAAUGGGAAAUAAAAGUGUAAAGAGAGAAAAUAAAUAUCAUGAAUAAUGGGCUUGGCAGGCAAGGUGGGAUAAUAGAUGUGGUGGUGUGAUCAAACAAAAUGGGUUAAAGGAGUUUAGUGGGUAUGAAGACAAGGAUCAUGAAUGGUGGGAUGAUGAGCAAAAGCUAGUGAGAGAAUAUGGGUAUAGGAGGGGUGGAUUGGUUUGCAUGCAUUUUUCCAGCAACCUUUGGGCUUGGCAGCUGCUUUAGGUUUAGGCUCGGAAGCUUUGGGCUUAAAAUUCUGGCACAAGCAUAACAAGCUCCAAACCAAAGAGUAAACUAACAAUAACUGAUUGGAAAGAUGAACCUAAAUUCACAAUCACACAACAUGCAUCAUUACAAAGCAGAAACCAGAGACUAAUAAAAAAAGUUGUAUCAAUAUUAACCUUCUAAUGGAAUAAUAAACAACUUACAAGCUGUUUGGGAAGCAAGAAUUAUUGGGUCCUCAUGUCCAGGAAACUGCUUUUUUUUUUUUUUUUUUUUUGUUGACUAAAAGCAGCCCCCAUUUGUAGAAAAAGGAGAAACGCAUGACCCCUCGGUGCCCUUUUUUCCUGCCUCAGACAACAACCCCUUUUUCAUCAAAAACCCCCCCUCCACAAGUCAUGGACCUGCUCCUCUCUUCUCUGCCACCCUUGCUGCCACCAACAACCUCACCUCAAUUCUUUCCCAUCUCACCCACUCUCAUAAAAAAAUAAAAAUCCAUACUUUGCCUUGGGGUGCUUAACCAACCGGGGGGGGUCUACAAAUAUGCCCCUCUUCGGUAGAGUUCACGAGUGUAAGGAAUAUGAGCAUUAGAGUGAAAAGAAAGUGUGAAUAGUGAGUGGAAUGAAGUGAACUCUACCGAAGAACAAAGGAGACCCCCAAAAGGACACUAACGAGACAAAAACUCACUCAAACCAACAGAUGAGCAAAAGGGGUUUAACCCUAAGAGAAAAGCAGAUUUCUCAAAAUGCCUCUAAAGCCAAACAGAGGACUCAGGCUCCCUCUAAGACGUCUCCAAAAGUGACUCGAAAGACCAUAUCAAAGAUGAGUAACGGUCGAACCCCUCUGAAGUACAAAAAAGACUACCCCCAAAUGAGACUGCCUUAUGCGAACUUCAUGAGAAUGACUAGUGUAGGGUGUCCAACAACAUGACCGAAGUAAGUGUCGUGAACUCAAAGGUCACCGUGUCAUGAGCAAUGAAAAGGGGAAUCUGGAAGAGUGAUGACAAGUAGGCGAUAAGCACAGGGUAACAUGGUGAGGAAAAUGAGAAUAAAUGCAAACCCAUGAAAGCAAGAUGUGCAAUGCCAAUGAACAUGAAUGCCAGGGACUCUAACUCUGAAUGAUACGAAUGAGGAGAAAUGACUUUGAACGUCAAAACACAAGAAAGAUAAGGACUCAAGGUGCCCGAACGAAUAUGUACAAUGGCUAUGAACGCCAAACUAAAGAGAGAUGGUGGCAUCGAAUGCCUGAACGAGUGCGAAAGAUGGCUCUGAACGCCAACACUAAGAAAGAUUGACUUUGAGCGUCGAACUGAAAGUGUGACUCGAAACGCCAAACUGAGAUCAUGGCUCCGAGCGCUGAACGGAAGAAAUAUAUGAUAGUUCGGAGUGCCGAACUAGAAACAAACAAAAGCUCUGAAUGCUAAACUGAAGAUGUACAAAGGCUUUGAGUGCCUGAAAUGUGGCUCUGAAUGCCGGACUAAAAAUGCUGAUGGCUCAGAAUGCUGGGACUGAAGACGAUGAUGGCUCUGAACGCCGAAACUGAAGAUGAUGAUGGCUCUGAACGAAGAACUGAGAACAAUGAUGGCUCUGAACGCCAAAACUGAAAAUGGUGAUGGCUCUGAAUGCCGAAGCUGAGAAACGGUGAUGGCUCUGAACGCCAAGUCGUGAAUGGUAAUGACUUUGAAUGCCGAAGCUGAGAAACGGUGAUGACUCUAAGCGCCAAAACUGAGAAGAGAUAGUGGCUCUAAACGCCAAACUGUGAAUGUUGAUGGCUCUGAACACCAAUUUGAGAAGAAAUAAUGGCUCUGAAUGCCAAAUAGAAAAUGCUAAUUACUCUAAACACCGAACUGAGAAGAAAUAAUGGCUCUGAACGCUAAAUGAAAAAUGUUGAUAACUCUGAAUGCCGAGACUAAGAAGAAAUAGUGGCUCUGAACGCUGAUUACUACUCACUAAGUGCUAUUUCAUAGCUUGUAAUUAACUCUUUUAAACACUUUUGAGUAGUAGUUAUCACCUUUUAACCCGAUUAACAUAUUAAGGACCCUUGCAAUCAAUUCUAAUCAAAUUGUGUUAAGUUUUGGUGUUUUGAUAGCUUUUUGAAUACCAAAGCAAUCCAAGAUUGAGGAGAGUUCUUUGGAAUCCAUGGCAAAAGAUGUCCGGACAGGGCGUCCGGACACACCAUCGGAGGGCAGCGGAACGUGGGCUGUGGCAGGCUGUCGGAAUGACGUAGCAAGGCUUGUGCCCUUUAGCCAAUGAUCCAGACAACAUAUCUGGAUAGGAUAUGCUAUCGUCUAAGGUGUGAUGAACAUGAGUGCCAUGUGCUUCUCCUUGAGGGAGUCCGGAUAGGGGAGCACGUCGUGUGUCCUCUUGAAGAAUCCGGAUGGAGUUGCUCCGGAUAGCGAUGCGCGCUCCGUGUCAUCAGGGGGAGGGGUCCCUACACCUUGCACACACAGACAGCCCCCUUAUGACGUGUGGCAUCGCACAUUCCACCCGGAUGUCUCACAUCCGGAAUUCUUCAGUGAAGGGGAGGAGGACCAUGGUUCAACAGUGAAUGCAAAUCCGGAAAAAUAGCUUAUUAAGGAAGAAUUGAUGAAGAAACGCACAUCUCCACCUUUUCCUCAAGCUUUGCAUGGGAAAAAGGGGAUUAGAAAUGCAUCUAAAAUUCUUGAAGUAUUGAGACAAGUGAAAGUUAAUAUCCCACUGCUGGAUAUGAUUAAACAAGUUCCAAUGUAUGCAAAAUUCCUAAAGGACUUAUGUACUAUCAAAAGAGGCUUGAAUGUGAAUAAGAAAGCCUUUUUGACUGAGCAAGUGAGUGCCAUCAUACAAUGCAAAUCUCCUUUGAAGUACAAAGAUCCGGGAUGUCCUACCAUUUCAGUUAUGAUUGGAGGAAAGGUAGUGGAAAAAGCUUUGUUAGAUUUGGGAGCAAGUGUGAAUUUGUUGCCAUACUCUGUUUAUAAGCAAUUGGGACUUGGUGAGUUGAAGCCAACAUCAAUCACCCUAUCUCUAGCAGAUAGAUCAGUAAAAAUUCCAAGGGGGGUAAUUGAGGAUGUCUUAGUUCAAGUUGAUAAUUUCUACUAUUCGAUAGAUUUUGUUGUUCUUGAUAUGGAUCCUACUGUAAAGGAAGCUAAUUCAGUUCCUAUCAUCCUUGGAAGGCCAUUCCUUGCUACCUCAAAUGCAAUCAUCAAUUGUAGGAAUGGACUCAUGCAACUCACUUUUGGCAACAUGACACUUGAGCUCAACAUUUUUUAUAUGUCUAAAAAGCAAAUCACUCCGGAAGAAGAAGAAGGUCCAGAAGAGGUAUGCAUUAUCGACACUCUAGUGGAGGAGCACUGUAAUCAGAAUAUGCAAACAAGCUCUGAGGAUGUUUCCUCAGAGAAUGAGUGGCUAGACUUUUUGUUCCUUGGAGUUAAGGUUGUCGGGAAAGGUUCCAAGUGCAAGAAUUAAUAGCUUUGUGGUUUCAGCCAUUAAUGAAGAGAAAGUGCGAUCCUUUAAUGAUUUCUAUGUUUUUAGUUAACUUAAAACACCUUCAAUUCACUUGAGCCAACACUUGGUAAGGCAAGUGAUCUUCGUCCAUGGAGAGGCACUAGUUUACCUCUUGCGAGCUUUUGGGAAGUGACUUGAAGGUAGGAUUUUCUAAAAUUGCCAACACUUGGUAAGCUUUUGGACUCCAAGGAGACAUCCAUUAGUUAUCUCUUGCGAGCUUGAGAAGGGAAGUCCAAAGUUAAAGAUCACCUUGAAUGGCAAAUGCUAGGUGAGAGGCACGAGCCAUUGCAAGUUGCAUCAGUGAGAGGGAAUUAGAUCUGAAAUCCAUUUAAAGGAUACAUCUGUACAACACCGAUCAGAGAAUUGACUAUAUGUUAAUUCUCUAAUGCGAGGAAAUGAACCAAAUGACCAGAGCUCUGCCUUUGCAUGAGGAACCUCCCCUGUGAACCUAAACCUCCAAGGAAUGUUUUUCUUCAUAAGUAACUUCCAUUACUUCCUUUUCCGUUAGUUUAAACCUAAACCUUUUUCAACCAAAGUUUGUGUUUUAUUUCUUAAGCUAACCUUGAAAUGAAAGGGCAUCAAUUCACUUUGAAUUGGUAUCAUUUAUGAAUUGAAAACCCUUCCUAGUGAACGAUCCUAGAGCCACUAUGCUAUAGUAGCUUUGUCUUUGCUACCCUAGUUCAUGGUGUAAUAGGUUAUAAAUUUUGUUGAUUACUCCCUCAAUCAAGGAGCACCAGCUGGACAUGAAUCAGCUGAUACACCAAUUGGGCACGAAUCAAACGCCAAAUGGAAAAUGCUGAUGGCUCUGAACGCCGAACUGUGAAGAGAUAAUGGCUUUGAAUGCCAAAUGGGAAAUGUAUCAGGCUCUAAACACCGAGACUGAGAAGAAAUAGUGGCUCUGAACGCCAAAUGGAAAAUGUUGAUGGCUCUGAACGUCAAGACUGAGAAGAAAUAGUGGCUCUGAAUGCCAAAUGGAACAUGCUGAUGGCCCUGAACGCCGAGACUGAGAAGAAAUAGUGGCUCUGAAUGCUAAGUGAAAAAUGCUGAUGGCUCUGAAUGCCAAGACUGAGAAGAAAUAGUGGAUCUAAAUGCCAAAUGGAAAAUGUUGAUGGCCCUGAACGCCAAGACUGAGAAGAGAUAGUGGCUCUGAACGCCAAAUGGGAAAUGCUGAUGGCUCUGAACACCGAUCUAAGAAGAAAUAAUGGCUCUGAACGCCAAAUGGAAAAUACUGAUGGCUCUGAACGUCGAGACUGAGAAGAAAUAGUGGCUCUGAACGCCAAAUGGAACAUGCUGAUGGCCCUGAACGCUGAGACUGAGAAGAAAUAGUGGCUCUGAACGCCAAAUGGAACAUGUUGAUGGCCCUGAACACCAAGACUGAGAAGAAAUAGUGGCUCUGAAUGCCAAGUGAAAAAUUCUGAUGGCUUUGAAUGCCAAGACUGAGAAGAAAUAAUGGCUCUGAACGCCAAAUGGAAAAUGUUGAUGGCUAUGAAUGCCGAACUGAGAAGAAAUAGUGGCUCUGAAUGCCAAGUGAAAAAUGCUGGAGGGAAAUAUGCCCCAGUGUAGCGUGUCACCAAAACUCUCGAUCCAUCGGAAGGGUCUAGAAGAGACUCCAUAAGUCUCGAAAGAUGCUCGGCUAGUGAAUCGGGACGUUUAAAUCGCAUGAUCCACUAGGGAAUCUCUAGAAAAGUGAUAUGAUAAGGUAACUCCCGUGAUCUCAAUACAACCAUCUACGGAAGAAUCAUGGAUAGUAAGGCAAUCACAACCCGAACGUCCUGCCCCACUGAAAGCUCACCUCGAUGAAAAUCAAAGGAGUAGCGACCAGAUGUGGAGCUUGAAAAGCCCAAAAUUUGAAGAAGGUUGAACUGAACUAGAUCCAAAUGAACACCAUGUUGAAACAGGGAUGUGGGCCUUAAUUCAAAUUCAACCAAGCUAAGCUUGAAAACUAACUUUUUGUAACCGGGGGCUUUCUUUUAUGCUUCUCCAAUGUUUUCAGUCAGGAUUGCUAAAUUGACUGAUUGAAAUGAUAUGGUUAUGAGGCCUGGACCUAGGGCCAGUAUGAAUCCGCAUGAACUUGAUAAUGAGGCCCUAGCACUUAAACCUGUCUUUUGGUUCCAUGCUUGCAAGGAUUUACCACAACCCUCAAAACAAUGAGGCAAAUCAAACAAGAUUGCAGAAAAUUCUACGGUUUUGGGCUUCGAAGGAAGUUUAUGAUCAUGAUACAAUUUAUGGGCUUGAGGGUGAGAUGAUUGGUGGACCCCCAAGCAAUUCUUUCUCAGGCAUUGUUAAGGAGUUAUCUGCUAUUCCUGUGGAUUCUCUCAGCUGUUCCAGGCAGUGCCAUCCUCCCCCUUAUAAAACCAACCUCACAUCUCUCUCAUUCACAUUUCAUUCACAACAUAUAGAAUAGUGGGUUGAGACCUGAUUAUCUGAUUGUUGGGUAUUUCAAAAGACACAUUUCCACAAAUUUUUUUAUCAUACACAAUAAAAAAAUUGAAUUUUUACUCAAGGUGUCUCUUGAAGAGACACUUUCCAUAAUUCUAUAAAAUUAAAUUCAUAUUAAAGGUGUUUCUUUGAAGAGACAACUUCAAAAAAAUAAAAUAAAAUCUAUCUAUUAAUUAGUUUUAUCCUGAAUACAACUAAAUAUUUAAAUUUUAUCACAUGUAUACAUCAUAAUCAAUAUUUUGACCUUUCAAUAUGUGGACUUGUAUUUUUCACGAUGCAUCCAACUCAACUGGCGAGACUUGUUUUCUUUUAAUGAAAAAUUGUAUUUUAUAAAAUAUUGGAGUUGCCACUUACUUUUAUUUAUUUUUAAAGGGGAAAUUAAGUAAAAACAAAACCCCUAAAAUGACUCAUGAUUUUUGGAAAAGCUAUAUGCGAAAAACUCGAGUUUAGGUCUGUGGAUCAGGUUACCUAAUGAGAAGGUACCUCCAAAGAGGUAGCACCCCUCUAAGCCCUAACGAGGUCUCUACUACCUAAGUUGAGGGAAAUAUGACAAUUAGUCAAUUUAUUAUGGAUACCUAGAUGGGCUAAGGUGAUUUCGAAUGUUUGUUAAUUCUAACAUGCCAAACAAGGGUUCUAAACACAUUUAUAAAGAAAGGAUAGUAUGCAUACUUGAAUUGCAACUUAAGCGCUAUCACAAAACAUCAAUGGUUAGUUAAAAAAAACUCAAAACCUAUAUUUCACCCUAGUCUCUUAAUCAUACAUGGCAAGUCAACAAGCAAUAAAAAAGAUAUGAAAUGAAGAUGUGAAGGUAAGAAGCGUACCUAAAUAACGUAGAUAACUUACAAUGCGCUUCCACAAUACAUGGGAGGUUGAAUCAAAGUUAUAAUAACAGACAAUUAAAAAAAAGUAAUCCUAGUGUGUAUGGUGUCUGAAUAGCAUAACAGAAAUAACCAGAGUAUAAGGAAACACCAAUUAUAAAAAAAGUCAUGUAUACAACUCCAAAAAUCAAGGGUUAUGAUUAAAACAUGUAGCAAAAUGGGUAACGCACUAUUAUCAAAAGGAAAAUUAUAAAUUAAUAUUUAGGAACAUCAUUUGAUCAUGAAAAAUUAAGACAACCUUUCUAUUAUCUCUAUAUCACAAUACAAAAACCAACAACAAAUUAUGAGAUGUUAAAUGGUCUUGAAUUAAACAACAAUGCAGGCACGAUGCAAAACUUCUAGUCUAUAAUUAGAAUAAGGCAUCUUUAAGAAUAAAUCCUAAGAAAAAAAAAUAAAAUGGAAUUUGAUCAUACCAAAUCACAAAAGACUCUCGUCAAUGUCUAUAAAAACAUACCAAAGUUCAAGCAUUCAAUUAAAUAACAUAUUCAAUUCAAAAUAUCCAAAAGUUCCAAAAGGUCUAGAAUUUGGCAGAAAAUAGUAACCAAUGUAAACUAAAUUUUAAAAAUACCUAGAAGCCUUUUAAAUUCAUAAAAAAAACUCACACAAGUCAUUUAAGAUGUCUAGAUAGUCCAAAAAUUUAAUCCAAGGUCAGAAAGCAUUCAUAAGAAUUUUUAGAAUACUAUAAUAUAUCAGUUGUCAAGAUUCAGUCAUGUAAAGUGUGACUUUGAAAAAUCAUAUCUCCGUCAAGAAGACAUAUUUUUUUUUAAUAAUUUAUGUGUUAAAAUUCAAUUUCAAGAAUUCAAUAAUCUGGGAAAAAUAUUAAUUUAAAUUGAAAAGAUCAAAAGGUAAUUUAAUUUUUCAAAACAAGAUUGAGUGUCAAAAAUAAGGGGGAAAUUGAACCUUCUGAAAAAUUGAUUUAUAUCUUAUAAUUAGAAAACCAUAUUUGAUCUAAGCAAGAUUAUAUAAUCAAGUUCAAAGAGUCUAGAAUGUCAUGGAAUAGUUAGAAAAAUUGUAAAAGGGUAUUUAAGUUAUCAGAUUCCAAUUUAUGAAUACAGAAGUAAAGUGAACUAUCCACAAUUUCAAUGAAAAACUAUGUUUUGAAAAAAAAAAAAAAAACUUUGUAUGUAGGGAUCUAUUAAAUCCCAUUUUAAUUUCCAUUAAUUUAUCCAUAAAGACUCCAUUUAUUGCACUAUGAAACUUAAUUCAUGUAUACUCAAAACCAAAAUUCAUUUUAAAACUUUUUUUCAAAUAUGCAUACCGAAUAAAAUUGGUUGCAUGAAUUUUGGAAAAUUGAAUUUUCAUAACCUAACAAUGUUUAAGAUGAAUUUGAAAAUUUGAGAAUUAACUUUUUUUAGAAAGCUAGAUUGAAAAGCAUUUUGAAAACACUAACAAAUACAAAUAAUCACAUAAAAUCACACAACUAAAAGAAGAAAAUUCCUAAGGAAACAAAGUGGUGUGUGCUGAAAGUGAGUGAAUCAUGCUGAGUUGUGUGUGAUGAGAGUGGAAGUGUGGUUGAUGUGUGUGUGUUCAUAGUGGCAACUUGGUGGUCUCCUUCUCUAUACAGCUGUGUGUGCCUUCUUCAUCAGUUCGACUAGUGUGUGUUCUUCGAAAUUCAGUUGGUGGUGUUCUUUUUCACAAGCUUAUGCAAAUUCUCAAAAUUUAGCAAUCUGAUGCGUGCUUGUGCUAGCAACCUAGUGGUUUCAAAAUCUGAUGGUGUGAUAAUGUGUUUAUUGUUUUUCUCCUCACCACCAUGCACUAUCAACUCACCUCUCCACCAUUAACAGUCGUACACAAUCAGCUUGCCUCCCCAAAGUUCUAAAGAUUUCCCUCUAAAAAUUCCAAUAAUUCUUUUAUUCCCACCAAAAUUCAAAUUUGUCCACUAACAGCCACUUCUCUAAUACCUUCUCAUCCUCUUCCCUUCAAGCCAAAACCAUGCACUAAAUCCAUGUGACUCUAGAACAUUCUGUCGCCUUCUUUUUUCCAUACAUCGUGCACAAAACAACCUCCAUUCUAGAAAAAUCUAGUGCUCACACCAAUCCCCACCGUGUUCAUAAUCAGCUUAGGUGUUCCCCACACUCUAAUGCUCUCCACUUUAAAAAUUCUGAUUUUCAUAUUUCAUUCCUCCACCAAGCCAAAUCUGGUAUCAUCUCACCAAAUACCCAUACCUUUUCAUCCAAUCAUCAACUUCAUAUCGUUCUUUCAAACCAAUGCACUCAAUUUUAACCAUUUAAAAAAUGAAUUCACGCAUUCAUUCUUCCACCAGAAAAAAUCCCCUCAUUUCCAAUCCAUCAUUCCGGUGAUAUUUCUCAUACCCAUAUGCGUGUGUGCAUGGCUAUUUGUGGGUACAACCCAUGAAAACAAAUUGUGCAUGGAGCCCUUUGGUGUGCACAACUUUAAAAAAAUUUUGGGGGUCUCUCAAGAAAAUGGACUGUGCGUGUGUUGAAACAAUUUUCAAUGGAUGCAGUUGUGUUCCAAAUGACCUUCCAUAACACUCUCAUUCUAAAGGGGGCAUGUUGUGUCUUUCUUUUUUUCAAAACCCCGUCCUCUCCCUCAACAUUAACAAGAAACCAAACAAUAGGCAGAAAAGAACAAAAACACAUAAAUGACGUAGGUUAAAGAAAAAAAACAUAGAACCUAGCUCCAUUUCAUUGAUUCUCAAUGGGCUUUAAAUGGGUGAAACCAUUAGGAAGCUGAAGAAGCUCUCAAGGAACAAUUUUAAAACAAUCCAUGCAUCAAAUAUUUAUAGGAGAGGUUAAUGAAAGAAAAGAAACACAGUAAAACCCAAAACAGAGCAUGUGCGCAUACAUAAUCAUAUUCCACAAGAUAAACUUCAAGUAAUGCCUAACAAAGCAAUGAACAUGUCAAUAGCAAUACGCAUGCAGACACACCAAAUAUUUGCAAAGCUCAAUAUGCAUCCUCUAUUACCCACAAACAAAUAGACAAAUAAUGUCUAAGUAACAAACAGAACAAUAGUAAUGAGGAAUAAUCAAUUAAAAAAAAUGCAAAGAAACCAUACCUGAAGGUGCUCUUCUAAUCCUCCCUCGGAUUGGUCAGUUUUCCUUGUUCCCCUCUCCCCCUUCAGAGAAUCUUUUCUUGUCUCUUUUCUGUUUCUCUCCGCUCUUCCUAAAAAGUCAGAACCUCCACUUUCCUCUCUUUCAUUCCUUCCUCUCAAGGCUUUUCCAUCUCAUUUUCCUUAUCAAAAUCCUUCUUCUUGAAGGUUUCUCUAUGUCCCGUCGAAAAUCACCUCUCUUCCCCAUGUAAAAACCCUUUGGAAAUCCCCUCUUUCCUCCUUCCCCAUCAUCUCUUGCUUCCAUCGUAAGUUUUCUCACCUUCAAAUUUUUAUUUUUUUAUUUUAUUUUUAAAUAAAUAAAUAAAUGAUAACAAUAAUAAUAUCAAUAAUAAAAAUAGAUAAGUAACACAUAUUAAAAUGUGAUAAUAAUAAUAAUAAUAACCGUAGUAAUAAUAGUAAUAAUAAUAGAAACAAUAAUAACAAAAAUAAUUCUUACAAUGAUGAUAACAAAAAUAAACAAUGACUAAAAAAAUGAACAAAUAAUUAAAUAUAAGUAUGUGACACACAUUCACAAAGAAGAUCAUGCAACCUAUGCAAGCUACAUCAACCAUGCAAAUAACUUAUGGGUGUUGGAGUAAGCCUAAGUGGACUAGGUGCACCUAGACGGACCGGGUAUGCCUAAUGGGCUUAGGUAAACCUAAUGGGCCUAAAUAUGUCUAACCAAGCUAUUAUAAAAGUGUACCUAGUAUCCAAAGUGGCUCAAAGAGGUAAGUUAUAUGAGUAUCGAUGGGCCACCAGGAACUACUUCGGAGUGUUGAAAGAACAUUUAAUCAGGGCAUGUGACAAGGGGACAAAAUGGAGGGUUUACACAAUCCAAUAUCAAUCAAAAUGAGUAAACCAAAUGUCAAUUAAGUCGACACUUUCUAAAAUAGUAGCAAUACUAUUUUGUCUAAAAUAAUUCCAAAAUAGGUACAAUACUAUAGAUCUUAUGUUGUUAAUCAACAAUUACUAAAUCUAAAAUAGAGUAAGUAAUAAAUAUACAUUGUUACUAUUUGUCCAAAAUAAUAACAUGCAAAGUAUUAACAAUAUCCAAAAUAGAAAUCAUAUAUAGUAACAUCCUUAAUGUGUACAACACGAAUGAGCUUUCCUUUUUCGUUGUGGACGUCAAUGAUGUGCAUGUUUCACUAUUGGUUGUAGGGGGUUGACAUGUGCUCUCCCAUGUCCUUGAUGACCACGUUCCUCACCAUGUCCUCAACCACGAUAAUCCUCUUGUCCUUGUUGAUCAUCAUUUGUUGUAUGAACUAACUCCUCAUCAACCAAUGUAGUCUUUAAUGGUUAUGGUGAUGAUGCAACAAGUGGUACUACAAGUGAGGUGGAUGACACCUCCACAAGUGUAAUAGGAGUCUCCUCCAUAGGUGGUGGGUCAAUGACAAUCAAUGGUGCAUAUCUAAGAAUAGGUAUAUGCCUAGUCUCCCUCCCAUGAGCCCAUUUUCCUCUAGUUCAUACACCUCUUGAUCGAUGCUAGAGAUGUGUAGCAACAACAACACUAAAUCAAGUCUAAUCUUACAAAGGUGGAGGAGUGGAUGAUAUCAACUAUUGAUGAGGUGGUAGACUGAUGUCAGUUGAUGGUGCACAUAUAACAACUAGUGUAUGCCUAGUCUCCCUUUUAAUAGGCCCUUGUCCUAGUUUGUACGCCUCCUAAUCUAGGUUGGAGUUGUGUAGUAGCAUCAACACUAAAUAGAGCAUCUAAGUGAUCCAUCUCAUGUAUGCCCUCUAAUACAAUAGUACACAAUCUGUGAAUAUGCAUAUCAUUUGGAGGUGCAAUAUCAUAUAUAUGAUGUAUGAUGAAAUUUGUAAGUCAAAUAUGAGAUAAGUUAAAUUCUUAUAAAAAUAAAAUAAAUUUCAAUAAAAAGUGAAGACAUGCAAAUUACCAACAGCUCAUGGAAGGACCUAGUCUGAAUAAGAAAUAAAACAGUAAUGGAGAAGUACCACACCAUCUAUGGAUCAUAAUAUCCCAAUGGACCUAUAGCCAUCUUGCCCCUAGCAAUAUGUUUGCUCCUAGAGCCCCAACAUAGAAUAUUGUCUCGAUGUUGAAUAAUCCAAUCAACAUCAAGUCUACCUCUCAAAUCACAUUUAUGUAAGAUUGACUCAUUAUCACAUGGCUGAGAAAUCCCUUGACAAAAUCCAAACUGUCGUAAUACUCAGUCAAGUCUAUGUCAUUCAACUAUGUGGAAACAUAUUAAAGGUGAGAUAAUGCACCAUAUAUCUUUCUCAACUAUACAAUAGUCAAGAACUUCAACAUUCAUGUCAUCAACAUAAGGUUUUCAUUUAAUUUAUAGUAAAAAAAGGUUAGAUAUAAUCAAUGGUUUGAAAUUUCUUUAGAGAAAAAAGUUUAAGAAAUGAAUCAAACUUCUAUCACCUGAUCUACGGUAAGUCGAUCAAGCUAGUGCCUAUACCGAACUAAGACAUGCAUCGAUGUCGAAGUAGUACAAAACUCAUAUCUCCAACUAUAAAAAUAAAAAACAAAGAAUAAAAAAAAAUAAAUGUUAGAAUUUAAGUUUAUGUAUCCUCAUAAUAGUAAAUUGAUGGUAAUGAUGCAUAUGUACUGUAUGGUUGAUGGAGAUAAAGGCAGUUGGUCAUCAUAUGAAGCUAUAUGUAAACAAUGAGAUGCAAUAAAAGGGAACCUAUCCCAUACCCACAACUGGAGUAAAAACAGUAGACUAGAUAUAUCAUGUAUAUCACUUUAAGAUACUUGACACAAUUGUUGAUAAAGUCAAGCUAAAUAGACGUUACCCUAACUAUAGCUAUCAACAACCUCAAAAUCCUCUGGAAGAGGUUGAAACAUAAGAUACACCUUAUCUCUAGAGUUUUCUAAAAAAGAAAACCUCUAAUGAGUUGUAAGAUAUAUGCCUCAAUAUAAUGCCAAAUAGACUACUCAUCAACAUCUAGUGUCAAAAUAGGGAAGCUUUGACUUAACCAUGUAACAUGAAUAUGAUCGAUUGAUUUUGUCGAUUUAUCGUAUCAAAACACAAUUUAUAACCUAAUUCACUAUUCUAGAGUAGCUUGUACCCGAACAAAAAUGGUUUUAGUACAAACUAUCGUAGUAUAGUGGUUUUUAGGUGUCGUUCACUAGGAUGGAUUAUUCUCGGUAAUUAAGGAUUGAAUGAGAGGAUAAGAAAUGAUUGUGAUAAAGUGAAAUUUAUUUGAAAAUUCAUGGUCAAAAAUCAGUUUAACAAUGGUCUCAAAUUAAGAAAAACAAUGAAAUCUAAAAUAGAAGAAAAUUAAUAGGAACUGAAAUUCUCGGAGUUAGAAUUUUCUAGAAAACAAAUUCCACGGUGAAUAGAUGUUGAGAUCUAAUUUCCAUCAAGUUUUAUUGAAAACCUAAAUUUUCAUCUAAACCAAUUUUUUAUUUAACUUUAGGUCCAGAUCUAAUUUCUCUUCAAAUUAGGUCAUUCAAUCCAAGAGAUCAAUUCAAAUCAUAUAUUCAAUUCAUCUUAAAUUAUCUUCCAAUGAUUCAAAUAAUGCAACUAUUCAAUCUCAUCAAAUCUAGCUUUAAGAAUUUAAUGAGUUUACCUAGUUUGCAUUGUAGUAGUCAUCCAAGACAAUUUGAAGAGAAAAAUCCCCAAAAUUCAAUUAAUCAAUCAAUUGGAUCAAAUUACCUUUGUAAUUCAAGCUCAUUUAUCUAAUUCACCAUGAAUCUUGCUUUUAGAUCCUCAUUUCUCCGAGAAAAAUGAGAUUUAGCCACUCAUGCUUAGAGAUUUGGUCUCACAAGGCAUGUUAGCUAGUGAGAAAAUGAGAGAAAAUAAAGGAAAAUAGACAAUUCUAUUGAGAGAGAAAAUCUAGAAAAUUCUACAAUUAGAAGUGUCCAAAAAGCUUCUCACAUGAGAAAUUCAAGUUUCUAUUUAUAGGCCAAGGUCAAGUGGACACUUGGCAACCUCUCAUUGGUCUUCUAGAACCUUCCAAAUUUAAAGAAAUCUGGAAGUUUAACAUUUCGCAUGAAAUUCGGACAUUUCGCAUAAGAUAUUCACAUUUCGCACGAUCGUGCGAAAUUCUAAGGUGAGUGGUUACCGCAUGUUGAAACACUUUCUAGACCAUUUCGCAUGAUCAUGCGAAAUCAACUUACACAUCUUCCUUAGCUUGAAACCAAUUUUCCUUCUCUAGUUCAUUUCGUACAAUCAUGUGAAAUUUUUACAUGAUCAUGCGAAUCUGCAACAUUUGGUUUUUGAGCUUCUCUUUGUCAUUUAUUCCAUUUCCUUCUUUUGAUUCCACCUUAACUACUUCCAAUUAGCUCAAAUCCCGGUCCAAACCAAUUUCUUUACUUAUUUCAUUAUGCAUUUGGAUCACCAUCAACAUUAUUUGUUCUCUUCAAUUUGAGUCAUCUCUUGUCACCAAUUUAUCAAAAUCAUUCCUUGAAAUGACUCCAAAACUUCAUAAAACUUGUUAGUAACUCUUUCAAGGGAAACAACAUGUUAAUUGAGUGUUUUAGGCAUAAUUACUACUCAAAAUAUGUGAAACUCAUGAGAAUUAUUAUCUAAAAUAUGCUCUUUUUUAUGAUGAUGACAAUGUCCAAAGAAAACAUGAUUUCAAUGAUAAGUCAAUGAUUCACAUGGAGUUUUAAAAAUUUCACACAAGUGUGCAAACUAGACAAGAAGGUGAAGUGUGUUGCAACUACUCUCUUCUUUUAAAAGAAUUUGGCACAAUCAUGCAAAAAUUCGCAUGUACAUGCGAAUAAGUCAAGAGAGCUCUAUCUUAUUGUAGUCUUCAACAUAAUUUUUGCAUGGUCAUGCAAAUUGGUCCAGAGGCUUAAAACUGUUGCAGUCAUCCACAUCAGUUUCGCACAUUCAUACAAAAAUUUCACUUGAUCAUGCGAAAUGAGAUAAAGACUCAUUUUUUAGCAUUUUCAAAACUAUGAAAAUUCUCAUGUUUUUGGCAUGAAUUCCCCUAUUUUUUGCAUGAAUGUGCAAACCGGUGAUGGGCCAUUAAAACUCAUUUUUCCUUACUUCAUGCAUUCCAUCCAUCUAAAAAGUCCUUCAAAACACAAAUCAAAAAGUUGAAGUGGAUUUAUUUAAUGGAAACUAAAAAAAAAAAAAUCAAUCAAUCAAAAUUCAAAGGAAAGUGGAGAAAUGAGAAACCAUUGGGCUACUAGCCAUUGACAUGACUAAGCCCAUUAACCUUUACAUCAAUACUCGAUUUGGAUAUGGCUUGCAAACAAUGAAUUGAAUAACUCCUUGGUACUUAAGCUUUCCCGAAAAAAGAUGUGGCUUGAAAUAACCUUCUUUGAACUUGUUCUUUUGAAUAAGUUGGUCAUGCCAUUCCUUGAACUUCUUUUUCAUGGUCUUUGAAUUAUUGUGCAUACCAUGCUUCAUGGUUUUCACUUUCUUCAAGAUGAAAGACCAUUUCAUUAACUUCAAAGGUUGAAUUUCUUCAUUGAUCUUCCAAACUUCAAUCCGUUCAUUAGAAAUUGUUUCACCAAGUUUUGAAAAAUUAUCUUCAACCUUUUCUUUCACUAGCUCUUCCAUAGGCAAUUCAAUCAAAUAAGCCUCCAUAAGUUCCUCCUCUUUGGUACCAUGCUUCUUACGUGAAUGAAAAAUGUUCAUUUCAAUUGUCAUGUUACCAAAGGUAAGUUGCAUCAUCCCACUUCGACAAUUAAUCAAUGCAUUUUUUGUGGCAAGGAAAGGUCGACCAAGUAUAAUAGGAACAUGGUUGAGUCCACUAGUUUCUUGUUCUGUAUCAAGCACCACAAAAUCAACAAAAUAAUAGAAGUUAUUGAUUUGAAUCAACACAUCUUGAAUAAUUCAUUUUGGAAAUUUAAUCGAUCUAUCUACCAAUGAAAGUGUGAUGGAAGUAGACUUUAGUUGGACAUCCUGAAUCCUUAUACUUGAUUGGGGUCUUACAUUGAAUGAUUACACUAAUUUGUUCAAUCAAGAAAGCUUUUUUUUCAAAUGCAUUCCUCUCUUUAUGGUACACAAAUCCUUAAGAAACUUGGCAUAGGCUGGAACUUGUCUAAUCAUGUCAAGGAGUGGUAUAUUAACUUUUACUUGCUUUAAAACUUCAAAAAUUUCUAGAGCAUUAUUUACCACUUUCUUAGAUUGAAGAGCCAUGGGAAAAGGUGGAGCUAAGAGCAUAUCCUUGUUCAUUUUAGCUUCACUCUUCUUCUCUUUCAAAACUUUCAGCUUUUGUUCUUUUACUCUUCUCAUCAUCUUCAUUCUUCUCGUUCUUCUCUUUUGGUUUUGGCAUAGGUUGAUCAACUUGCUUACCACCUCUUAAGGUAAUGGUUGCUUUGAUUUCAUCCUCUUUAGUAGAACUUUCACUUGUCUCUCCAAUUUCAUGUACUCCACUUGGAUUUUGUUGGGGUUGUGAAUAAAAUUUUCCUUUUUCUUGCACCGUAUGCAUGCUUGUGAGUUUAGAAAUAGAAAAUUGCAUAUUAUCAAUCUUUUGUGUGAGAUUGGUUUACAAGCUAUCAAAUUUAUGAUUGAAAGAUGUCUUGACAUGAUCUAUCCUUUGAUUUACUUGAGUAUUGAUAUUCUUUUUAUCACUAAUAAAAUCUCCCAAAAUUUUACUCAAGUUUACAAUAGCUUGCUCAACCAAAGAAACUUGUUGUGGAGAGUCUUCCAUGAAUUAUUGGCUUUGUGAGUAUUAGCUUGAAGAAAAUUGCUCUUGUCCACAAUUCCAUGACAUGUUCAAAUGAUUCUCAACGAGUCUUUCCCCCAUAGCUGGUAUUGUAAGACAAUCACUCACUUCAUGUUCUAUAGAUUGACAACUAGAACAUUGCCCCAUGUAAAUUUGAUUGUCAUAUAUUGCAUUCACCUCAUGAAAUCCCUUACCUUCAAGUUCCUCUAGCCUUCUUGUCAAAGCUAUCAUUUUAGCUUGUAGAUCAACAUUUUCAUUCAACAUAUACAUUCCUCCAUUUCAAUUGCUUUGAGACUUGGACUUGUGUAAAUCCCUUUCAUGUGGCUCAUCCCAUGACCCUGAUAUUUCAACCACAUAAUUCAAAAAUUUAAAGGCAUCAUCAAGACUUUUGCUCAUAAAGUCACCUCCACAAAUGGUUUCUAGCAAUUGCUUCACAGUUGGCAACAUGCCCUCAUAGAAGUAACUCACCAACAUCCAUGUGUUAAAACCAUGAUGAGGACAAACAUUGACUACUUCCAUAUAUCUUUCCCAACAAGCAUAAAAAAUUUUAUUGUUCAAUGCCACAAAGUUGAUAAUUUGCCUUUUCAAGCCACUAGUGCGAUGUGUGGGAAAAAUUUUCUUCAAGAAGAUUGUUUAUAGUUCCAAACAUAACCUUAUGCUUUGGGGCCUGAAUGAGUUGAACCACAACUUAGCCUUAUCCUUCAAUGUGAAUAGAAAAAUCUUCAAUCUCAUAAGCUCUAUGGAUGCAGUCCCUUCUUGAAAAGUAUGACAUACUUCUUCAAAAUCCUUUAUAUGAGUUUAAGGAUUCUCAUUCCCCAUUCCAUGAAAUUGAGGGAGAAGUAGUACCAAGUGAGUUUUUAUCACAAUAGGCUCAUUAGGAAGAAUUAUACAAGAUACCACGCCUAUCCUUUGAGGAUGCAUAUAUUCUCUCAUUGAUCUAGACAUGUGAGAAUUAUCAUUGUUUGGUCUAUGAUGACUUUGUUGGUCUUUCCCUUGAUUUUCCAUUUCUUCAACAAUUGAAUCACAAACCAAAGAUGGUUAGCAAUGCAAGUCCUUUGCAAUCUCUCCCUCAAAAUUUAUUCUCAAUGUAGCAUGCAAUGGAGAGCCUACAAAACAAGCCAAAAACAAAAAAAAAACAAACCAAGAAGAACAAAAAGAGAAAUAAACGAUAAAAAUUGAAUAAAAAAUAAUAAGAAAAAUGAAGAAUUGGUAAAGAGAACUUCACCAAUCUUGUGAUGUGGAUCACAAGGGUUAAUCCUCACCAAAAAAAAAAAAUUGUCUCAAUCACCUUGGCACCAUCCCAAGCAACGACGUCAUUUUUUAUCAAUUGAUUUUUUCGAUUUAUUGCAUCAAAACACAAUUUAUAACCUAAUUCCCUAUUCUAGAGUAGCUUGUACCUGAACAAAAAUGGUUUUAGUACAAACUACCGUAGUAUAGUGGUUUUUAGGUGUCGUCCACUAGGAUGGAUUAUUCUUAGUAAUUAAGGAUUGAAUGAGAGGAUAAGAAAUGAUUGUGAUCGAGUGAAAUUUAUUUGAAAAUAUAUGGUGAAAAAUCAAUUUAACAAUAGUAUCAAAUUAAGAAGAAUAGUAAAAUGUAAAAUAGAAUAAAAUUAAUAGGAAAUGAAAUUCUCGGAGUUAGAAUAUUCUAGAAAACAAAUUCCAUGGUGAAUAGAUGUUGAGAUCUAAUUUUCAUCAAUUUAGAUUGAAAACCUAAAUUUUCAUCUAAACCGAUUUUUGAUUUAGUUUUAGGUCUAGAUCUAAUUUAUCUUCAAAUUAGGUCAUUUAAUCCAAGAGAUCAAUUCAAAUCAUAUAUUCAAUUUAUCUUAAAUUAUCUUCCAAUGAUUCACACAAUGUAACUAUUCAAUCUCAUUAAAUCUAGCUUUAAGAAUUUAAUGAAUCUACCUAGUUUGCAUUGUAGUAGUCCUCCAAGACAAUUUGAAGAGAAAAAUCCCCAAAAUUCAAUUAUUCAAUCAAUUGGAUCAAAUUACCUUUGUAAUUCAAGCUCACUUCUUUAAUUCACCAUGGAUCUUGCUUCUAAAUCAUCAUUUCUUCGAGAAAAAGGAGAUUUAGCCACUCAUGCUUGGAGAUUUGGUCUCACAAGGCAUGUUUGGCUAGUGAGAAAAUGAGAGAAAAUAAAGGAAAAUAUAGAAUUCUAUUGAGAGAGAAAAUCUGGAAAAUUCUACAAUUAAAAGUGUCCAAAAAGCUUCUCACGUGAGAAAUUCAAGUUUCUAUUUAUAGGCCAAGGUCAAGUAGACACUUAGUAACCUCUCAUUGGUCUUCUAGAACCUUCCAAAUUUAAAUAAAUCUGGAAGUUUAACAUUUCGCAUGAAAUCCGGACAUUUCGCAUAAGAUAUUCACAUUUCGCAUGAGUGUGCAAAAUUUUCACAUGAUCAUGCGAAAUUUUCGCAUGAUUAUGCGAAAUGAACUUACACAUCUUCCUUAGCUUGCAACCAAUUUUCCUCCUUUGGUUCUUUUCACAUGAUCAUGCGAAUAUGCAACAUUUGGUUUUUGAGCUUCCUUUUGUCAUUUCUUCCAUUCCUUCUUUUGAUUCCACUACCUCCAAUUAGCUCAAAUCCCAGUCCUAACCAAUUGCAUUACUUCUUUCAUUAUGCAUUUGGAUCAUCAUUAACAUUAUUUGUUCUCUUCAAUUUGAUUCAUCUCUUUUGUCACUAAUUUAUCAAAAUCAUACCUUGAAAUGACUCCAAAAUUUCAUAAAACUUGUUGUAACUCUUGCAAGGGAAACAACAUGUUAAUUGAGUGUUUUAGGCAUAAUUACUACUAAAAAAUGUGAAACUCAUGAGAAUUAUUAUAUAAAAUAUGCUCUUUUUUAGUAGUAAUCAGAAGGCAUUGCCCCUCUAUGUAUGUGUCCUCAGUAAUAAGACUUAAUAAAGAUGACACAUGUCUAUUAUUUGGACAUGUGCUACCAAUAACUACUACUCCAUCUACUGGUAGUUCAAGAAGAAUGGUAAUGUCUUGUAGUGUAAUUGUGCACUCCCCCUGAGGUAAGUGGAAAUUAUGAGUCUCUAGUUGCCAUAUUUCAAUAAAUACAGUAAUAAGGUGUCAAUCUAAGGAAAUGAAUCCUAAGCGUGCAACACCAUAGAAGCAUGUUUGCUAUAGUAAUGGAAUAAUACGUCCAUAUGGUGCACUGGUGUAAUGGAAAAUUACCUUACAAUGUCGACAAUAGAGUUCCUUUAAGUCAACACUUGUCCAUGCUAGAGAAGACCAGUGUGUGUCCUGUCCAUGUAGAAUUGUAAGAUCAAUGGUCCUAAAUCCAUUAUGCGAUACUGUUGGGAACCCUGGAUUGCUCCGUUCCCAUGCCCUGAAUCGCAUAAGGUGCAUGCAAACCUAUCAUAGGCUCUCUAAAUCUAUCGCAACGGAUAAACAUGUAUUAAAAAUGAUAAGAAUACAAUAGAAAACAUAGAUCUAAAGAGUAAAGUCACAUACCUUUGAUUUGAAUGUUCUUAGAUAGAUUCCAAUUGAUGUAGAUAACUCCAAAGUCGUAGUAGAUCUUGUGAACACCAUGAUCUUCCACCCGAUGACUCUUCUUUAUGUCUAAGCACUGAGAUGGUGGAGAUCUCAAGGGUAGAGGCUAGGGUUCUCUCUCUAGACUGGAGGGGAGAAUGGUAAGAGAUUGAAACCCUAACCUUUAAAGGGGUAUUUAUAGGCUUCUUAUUAGGCUUAAGUUACUUAAAACCACCAUGGGCUUGGGUCACUUAAUCUAGUCCAAAAAGGUUGCUAAUUGAUUGAUUAACCAUAUAGGGCCCUAAUUAAUCAAUUAGCCUAGUCCAAAGAUGCCACUCACUUAUCCCUGUGCAACCUUGUGUAAUUACCAAAAUGCCUUUGUACACAAAAGUGAACUAAAAACCCAUCCAACCCUCAUAAACCGUGUUAUCAAGGAAUAUGAGCUCAGAGCGGGGACCACUAUGACCCAUAGGAGUAUUGGCUCCCUCAUAAUCAAAUUCUGAAAUUGACUCAACAUCCCACUAUAGAGAGUCAACUACACUCUAGUACCUUAUGUAAAUUACAACGAGACACUAAGUGCUCAGGUUAGUGACCUACUAUCCACUAUAUGCAAACUCCCCAUGAAUUGGUGUCCAUAAUCUAUUGAAGUAGUGUUAUCACCUCUCAAAUCCUUGAGUUAUAGAUCCCACUUAUUAUGUGAUCAACUUACUCUAACUCUAAGGAGCAUAUGUCAAAUUCCACUAAAGGAAUUACUAUGGCCACAUAUUUCAUGAUCAUAUGUUCUUUAGAUCACCAAGGGGACACACUGUCUCAAUCCCAUGAGAUAUCAUGGUGUUUCUUUUGAGAAUACCUAUUGCCACCAGCCUCCAUCAAUAGUGACCCAAUCCAUAGGAAUAUAUAACCACUUUAAGGUCUCACCCAUUGUAGACCCUCAAUUUUGUUCCUUUAGCACAUGCCUUUAAGUUCAUUUCCAGUGUUCCACAAUAGUUCCUUGGUGGCCCGUAGCUACUCACACUACUUACCUUUCUUGAGCCACCUCGGAGACUCUAGUUAAGGGAUUGUCUAACCCCUUAUUGUGACCCUUGGCAGUUUUUAUUAGACUUAAGCUUUUCAUUCCUUUUUAGGAUAGUGCAUAGGCAUGUUUAGGUCACUUAGACAAUAUCCCGAUCACUUUAGGACACUUAGUUCAUUAGGCACCCACUUAGGCCCGUUUAAACACUUCAUCGGGCUUAACUUUUAUAUAUAUAUAUAACUUUUAUUAUUAUUAUUAUUAUUAUUGCAUGCAUUCGAUGAUUAUAUUUAUUUUGUUUAUUCAUUUUUAUUUUUACUCUUUAUUUGUUUAUUAUUAUUAUUGUCAUUAUUAUUAUUAUUACUAUUUUUAUUUUUAUUUUUAUUUUAUUUAUUUCACUUAUUGUCAUUAUUAUAACUUUUAUUAUUAUUAUUAUUAUUGUAAUAACUUUAAUACUCUAUAAUACCCUCAUUAACAAGGGCAUUCCCCCCUCAAGAUGGAACAUAUAAAUUUUCAUUGGUUAGCUUGGAAUUUUUAUCAGAGAGUUGAAACCCGGUGCUAGACCAAUUGCCUGCACGGAACAUGAUGACGUUGUUGUAUGUGCUGCAGAUGAUCGUCUAACAGCAUUUAAAUCUUUUGAAGUUUCUCUAAGAUUUUGGAUUACUGAAUUAUCUAUCGCUUUGAAUAUUUGUGAUCUAAGAGCUACACAUCUUUUAGAGGUUGUUUUGGUCUCAGCUUUUGCUAUUUUGAUUAGGUAAAAUGAAACUAAUGGUCAGAAGUACUUUCUGUUGAAGAGUAAAAAGUAGUUAUGAUGCAAGAAGUGUGAGCUCCUCGUACCAUCACCCCGGUUGAGACCUUGUGGUUUUCCAUGAAAUUUCCCACAUUUUUCUUUGGUGUGACAUGCUUUCUUGCUGUACGAGCACCAUAGUUUCUUCUUUGUUUAGUUCUUCAUCAACUCCUAUCUUCCUUGCUUCAUGUUAACAUUAUGAUUCGUACCAUUUGGUUUGGCUCCUCCACUUGGUUUCUUUACAAUCAUGGUUGAUCCAUCCACUAGUGGUGUAUCAAGCAUCACUUGUAGACCUCAAAAUUUGUCCUAAUUUUAUUUUUUACAUUAAUUUUUUAGCCCAAUUUUAAAUCUCGAUUACAUGUGUUAUUUUAGGCCUACUCGCCUUUUAAUUUUUAGUUUUCAUUAUUUUGUAAAUUAUUAUUAUUAUUAUUUUUAUUUUUAUUUUUAUUUUUACUUAUUAAUUUUAUUUGUUGUUAUUAUUAUUAUUAUUAUUAUUAUUAUAUUAUAUUAUAUUAUAUUAUAUUUUUAUUUUAUUUAUUUAUUAUUAUUAUUAUUUUUUUCUUUUUCCUCUCUCUUCCUUUUUCUCCUCCACCUACCCUCACCCACCCACUUCUUCUAUCUCCUCCCAUACUCCUCACCACCGGCCACUUUUCAUUUUUUCCCCCCUUUUCUUCCCUAACUUNNNNNNNNNNNNNNNNNNNNNNNNNNNNNNNNNNNNNNNNNNNNNNNNNNNNNNNNNNNNNNNNNNNNNNNNNNNNNNNNNNNNNNNNNNNNNNNNNNNNCCCUUUUUUUUCCAAAAUUUUCUAACACUUUUCCCUUUUCCCCCUUUCGGGACAAACCCAAACCCCCCCCCCCCCCCCCCCCUCCCCUCCCCUCCCCUCCCCUCCCUCAUCUCCCAUUAGAGGGUUUUUUUUUUUUUUCUUUCUUUCUUUCUUUGGCUACUACUCUUUCUGAAGACAGAGGGAACAGACCAAUUUUUAUUUUUAUUUUCAUUUUCUUUUCUUCCUUCAUUCCUCUUCUUCUUCCCCCCAUUUUUUCUUCUCUUCCUCCUCCAUUUUUUUUUUCCUUUUUUAUUUUUUCUCUUCCCGUUUUCCCAAGAGGGCCAACCCCCAUAUUUAUUUUUUAUCGACAAGAUCAUCGGUCGGGCGCCUUCAGCGAGCCCCAGUCAGCCGGCAACCUCCUCCAUUUUCUCCCAUUCUCUCACUUCCCGUAUCACUCAUUUUCCAUUAUUAUUAUUAUUAUCAUCAUCAUUGUUAUUGUUAUUAUUAUUAUUGUUAUUGUUAUUGUUAUUAUUAUUAUUGUUAUUGUUACUGAUGUUAUUUUAUUUUAUUUUAAUAGUAAUUGUUGUUUGUGAAAUUUGGAUUGUUGAAUUAAUUUGAAAUUUGUUAAUUUGGGUUUGUGGGUAUAUUGUAUUUGGUGAUUAAUUUGAGGAUAUUUGGAUUAUAUCUAUUGCAUAUUGUUUAUUUGAACUUGGGCUUAUUGUUAAGUUGUUAUUUGUUUAAGCUUAUUGGAUUGGGCUUGAAAUAUUAUUUCUCUUGACCAUAUUUUUUUUUUAUGUGGGCUUAUUAAUUGAUGUGAAUUUUGGGACCCAUAAUGUGGGUGGGAUUUGUUGAAUUAUUUGAAUAUUUGAUAUGGGCUUGGCCAAUUUGAAUUGUUUAAUUUGGACAUGGGACAAUUAUGGUGUAUAUUAAACUAGACUUAGAUUAUGAAAUAUUAAAUUUAGGUCUAGUAGAAUUUAUUUUAAUUUAUCCAAUUUUAGGUUUGGUUGACUGUGUUUGUAUUUUUUGUUAUUAAUUUGGAUGUUCUGGGUUAAGACCUAUAGUAAUUUGGACUCAUUUUAAUUGAAAAAAUUUAUGGGACUAAUUUGAAAUUGGAAUUUGGGUUUGAAUAUUUGUUUGGGAUUUUAUAUAUCUCUGGAUAUUUACAUUUGUGCUAUUUUUGUUUUUGCAUUGACCCAUUCUGUAAUCUUGUUGGCUGAGUACGAAUUGAUGACGUGUGGAGCUUGUUGUAAGUUUAUUUGGGUACAUAUUUUAUUUCCCACUUUUAUUUGGUUUUAUUUUAAUUAGUUCUUGUAAAUAUUUGUUCAUAUAUAUUUAUUGAAUGUGUACAGAAUUGAACAUCGAACAAAUUAUAAAUUUUGUUUAAAUGAGAGGAAGAAUUCAGUAAAUAUGUUCUAAUAAAAUACUAAUUUUAAAAUAUUCUUUUUAAUAAAAAAAAGUUUUUUUUUUCAUUAUUUAUAAAAAUUCAGAAAAAUACAUUUAGAAAAAUCCAAAAAAAUUUGUUUUUAAUAGAAUUCGAAAAAUUGUUUUUAAUGACAUUGUUAAAAAUUUCUUUGUUUAAUAAAAAUUGUCCAAAAAUUGUUUUGUAAAUAAAGUUGUUCCAAAAAUUAAUUUUUAAUAAAAUUGUCUAAAAAUAUUUUUUCAAAUGAAUUUUUUUUCCUUAAUUAAAAUGGGAUUAAAAGUGUUUCAAAAAUAGAGAAUUUAAAUCUUUGUUUUUCUUUCUAAUUAAAAUUUCUUUUGCAAAUAAAGUUAUGUCAUAUUAAAUAAUUUAUAAAAAUCACUCUUUUAAAUGAAAAUGAAUCUAAAUACUUUUGUAAAUAAAAUUGUAAAAAUUCAUUAUUUUCUAGUAAAAGCAAGUAAAAAUAAUUUUUGUACCCAAAUUGAAAUUUUGUAAUAAAUUCUUUUGAUACAAUAAGUGUAAAUAGCUUUUUUAAAAAUUGAAUACAACUGAAAUUGAGAAAAUAAAUUGAUUAUUUUUUAUAAGUAAAAAAAUUGAAAUCAUUAAUUCAAAAUCAUUUUUAAUAAAAUCCUUUGAAAUUUAUUUAAAACUUUUUUUAAUAUCUUUUAUUUAUUUAAUUCAAUAAAUCAUUUUGCAUAAUUCUCUUAUUAUUUAUUUUGUGUAUUUUGUAAUUAGAUUCCAUCAUUGUUUUUGUGCAUAUUAAUUUUCACCAUGACUUGUAUAUUGAUUAUUUUUCUUGAUAUCCAUAAUUAAUUAAUCAAUUGCCACAAUUUCCUCAAUUCAUUUAGUAGAGGUCGUAUGUAUACGGGCUUAGAGGGGUGCUAUGGCUCACCAUCGUACCUUCCCAAUGAGUAACCUGACCCCCAAACCUAGACUCGGUUUUUAAUAGACCCGGUUUUUCCUUUAGGAGUCACACUUAGGGUUUUUCUUUCUUAUUUUGUUUUUCCCUUUAAAAAUAAAACAAAAAUAAGCGGCGACUCCAAGUCUUUUUCUAAAAAUCAAAUUUUCACCCAACAAAAUAAAAAAAACGAGUUUUCGCCAUCAAGUGGGAACGCAUUGAGCAAAAUGUGGGGUCCAUAAAAUGGCGACUCCACUGGGGAAUCAUUUUAGAGGGUCAAACUUGAACUCGAGUUGAGGGAAAUGUGACAUUUGAUUGGUCGAUCAAUGGAUACCCCUAUUUAUGUGUUUUUGUAUGAUUGAGUGUUGAUUACACGUUGAGAACUUUGAUAUGUUUAUUCGUGAGGCAUGUUUAGUUAUUAUUGUUCAUUGGAGAUGUUCACAUAUUGAUUACAUCGAUUGAUUCUCUUACCUACUUUAGCAUAGUUACUCUUCUUGUUGUAUGAUUGUCUUAUUUUCCUUGACAUGCUAUUCUCAUUUUUGUAUAUCUUAUUCAUAUUGGCAUGAUUGAUUCUCUUUAUUGUAUAUUAUUUUGUUUAUCUCGACAUAUUGUUUAUUCUUGUUAUAUACUUAUCUUGCUUAUCAUAUUCUUGCCUAACUUGUGUGUAGAUAUGAGUGAUAUACCUGUUAUUUGCAUGACUGCUUGGUGCAUAACUGCUAUUCUUCUAUGUGAUGCAUGUAUUGCUUGUCUAUGCGAGACACACAUCUAUUCCCUUACCUCCAACUCCCUAGUCUCGGUUGACCUUGUUUCACUUGAUCUUGUAUUUGAUAUGAGACUUGUCACUUUGUUUGCUCUUCGAUCGAGCUAGCGGUUAGGAGUAGGGUUUAGUAACGGGCUAUAUCAAUGUUUGGAAGCAUUUUGGAGGAGGCCAACACGUUGAUGCUGAUGGGAGUCCAAUCUUUGAAGACUUGUAUAGCCCAGAGCUAGGUUUCAUGGAUAUUUGUGUGAUCAGUGUGUUUCUUUUUUCUACUUUAGCUUCAUAGGAUUUUCGAAUGCACCCACACCGUCAUUGCGCACUCUAGCGGACCAUUGAGAGUUGAGAGUUUUGAGAGGUUUCACCAUAAAAAAAACCCCUGGGAUGUCGAGGUAGUGCAUGUGUGGAGGUGAUGACCACCUUGCAUGGAAGUGUCCUGUCUCUUCGGAGGCGUGCAAAGGGUUGCGUACCAUCGGAGGGUAUGAUCGCUUCUGCUAGGGAUCUUUUAAAGUCCACCCAUAUCCAUUUAGAGCCACCUUGACCUCGUAGGUUGAACCGUAGAUCCUCCGAUUAGGACUCCCUUCAUACACGUGGGUGCAUCUGAGGGCCUUCAGAGCCUCUUUGAUCAUAGGUAGGAUUCAAUAUUCCUUCUUUUAGUCUCCAGUUAAGAGUGUACAAAGAUCAGUAUGGGUUUGAGUUACAGUCGGACAACCCUUCUACACUUUGAUGCCUUGCUCAUUCUAGUUCAGACUAGCAUUUCUUCCAUGUUUUCCAUGUGCAUAUCAUAUCUCGUGCUUCAUGCUCUUCAAGAUUGGUUCUUCAUUCUCGGUGUGGAUUUACCAUCUUGGGUUAGAGUAGAGGGGAGCUUAGUUCGAUUUUUCAAGAGAUCAGGCAUAGAUCAGCAGACUAUCAUAGUUGAUUAGUUCACGAAUGCCAUGGAUUCUAUUUAGGUAUCUUGUGUUUCAUGCUCUUCAGGAUUGGUUCUUCAUUCUUAGUGUGGAUUUGUCAUCUUGGGUCAGAGUAGAAGGAAGAUUAGUUUGCUUUUCCGAGAGAUCAAACAUGGAUCAGCGGGUUGUCACAAUUGAUCAGUUCAUGACUGCCAUGGCUUCUAUUUAGGAGGUCUUGGCUAGUCUCAGGCGGGAGAUAGACAGUCAACAGAUUAGAUAGCCCAUAGUUCAGAAUGAGAUGCCUUAUGACAACCACCUUCACUACUACCACCUGUUUCGACAAUAUCAUAGGCUCCACCCUAUAUAUUACAUGGUCAUUCUGAGGUUGCCCCGGUUGUAGUAGUCCAGACCACAGUCCUUGAGGAUACUUAUGCAUGUAUGGAUCAUAUUGAAUAGUGUAUCAGGCAGUUGAGAGUAUUUGACAGUUCAUCGACUUGGGAUGAUCUUGAUAGUAUACCAGUGGCCAGUCUACCGGCCAAGUUCAAGAUGCUUGACAUUAAGAGGUACAUGGGCAUUGGUUGUCCAUGUAUUCAUCUUCGACUCUAUAGUACUGUGAAGAGGGCCCAUGGGUUAGACGAGUCAUAGAUGAUCACCAUGUUUCCUUUAUCUCUGAGUAGCGCAGCCCAGCAUUAGUUCGCAUCUUUGGAGUCCUCACGACGCAAGUCAUGGGAUGACCUAGCUUAGGAGUUUCUUUGACAGUUUUCAUUUAGUACUGUCGUAGAUGUGUCGAGGAGAGAGCUUGAGGGUUUCAGACAAAGAUUAGAUGAGUUCAUUUCUUCCUUCAUCUCCCGCUGGUGGGGGAAGAUAGUAGAGAUUGUUGAUUGACCAUUAUAGAGAGGUGACUUUAGUCUUGAGGGUCAUAAGAGGAUUGAUUAAAGAUCCUAUAGGGAAGUUCAGACCCAACUGGAGCGGACCUUAUUUCAUCAGGAACUUGACCCUAGAGGGCACUACAUGGUUGAUGGAUUUAGAUGGAAACCAAUUCUUGGAGCCGACCAAUGUGGAUCAGCUAAAGAGGUACUAUGUUUGAGACCAUGGUCGUAGGAUGGGUGAUCAUCAUUUCGGUAAGCCAUAUACCUUGUUAUUCCCUUUUGAUAUAUAGUCCGUUGCUAGCCCAUUGAGUCUCGCAUGCAUAUUACAGUCUUUCUUUCUUAUCGCCUUGCUCACAUUUUUCACACUAGGAUAAGGGCCCUUUAGUGUAUGCAUUCAUUGUUUGGGAGUUCCAUGAGCCUUAGACCUAGGGGCGCAUACUUCUCAUUAUCUUUCCUUAUCACUGCAUCACUGCAUUCCAUUGUAUCUCAUUGGUUGUGUUCUUCAUCUAUUCUUUUUUUAUUCUAUCUACUACUUGUUUUGAUUCAUAUUCUUUCCACCCUGAGUGGUGAUCCUCCUCAGUUCAUUACACGGAGGGUAGUCACAUCAUUACCACUGUCUAUCCCACGGACACUAGUUCAGAGAUUCUUAGUUUGAGAAGGUCAUCUUGUCAGAGAGAGUUUUUGUUACCUUAGCGCUCGAGAGUGUGUCUAUCCAUUAUUGAUAUCAUCUUUGGGGCUUAUUUUGUUCAUAUUCAAGGUGUGUACAUUUGUAUAUAUGUAAAAAAAAAUGAAAAGAAAAAAAAUGAUGAAAAAAAAUGAAAUGAAAAAAAAUGAUGAAAAAAUUGAAAAAAAAAAUGAAUGAAAAAAAUGAAAAAAAAAAACUGCAUGUGUGUAUUAUUUUCUAUCAUUGAGUGUGUAUAUUGAUGUUCGAGGGUCACUUAAUUGAGUAUGUUUGUUGAUGGGAGUUCGUGUGUGAGCUUUCCGAGACCCUCCAUGCUUUGUAUUCAUUUUUAUUGUAUAUUUUGAGAAGGAGAUGAGUGACCUUCUCUUAGAAGCUCUAGGUCAUUGUCAUUGCAUCAUUACGUUCAUUGUUGAUGUGAGUUCACUCCAUGUCUGAUUUGAGUUGAUCACUACUCCUCUUUGUGUUAUUUGUUUCAUCAUCAUCCUCGUUUUUGCUUCUCAUUCAUCAUUUUCACUUCACGUCUUAUUCUUUUCUUACAACAACCCAUCUCGGGUUUGACACUCUCUUCGCAUCAUCAUUACACAUAUCAAUAUCAGUUCCUUUUGCUUCUUUUGUCUCCUCAUCAACAUCAUAUUCACAUUAGGCAUUCUCAGGUCUAUGGCUCAUAGGAUUCACUAUACAUGUUGCAUUUCAUAUAUGAGGGCAUGGGUUUUUUAUCAUUGGGUAUUUGAGCCUAGUUUUCCUUCAUUUCUAUCACCCUAUCACCUUGGCCUACAUUACGUUCCGUGUCUUAAGACCGCCCUGAGGCCAUGGGAUCAAAUGUCAUCUUCAACAGCCUCUACUUGGACAAGUGUUUGAGAUCUGGUUGAUAUUUGGAUGUCGUCAUGCUUCUUCUUCUGGGAGUCGCAUCUUUGAUGUUUAGAUCUGAUUCAGUUGUGUUUAGAUUACCGGGAUCAUGCAUUUGAUGAUGGAUGAUUUGAUGUCACCUAAUUUUCUAACUAUCACAUAUUCGAUGUCAUACAGGGGCAUAUUCCGUCUCGGGCGAGAUUUACAGAUCUUCACAGAGUUGCAUGCUCAUCUCCACUUGCAAGAUGUACGCUGAGAUGAUGGUCUAUUUGCUAUUUUUAUGAUGAUCCCUUAGUGGAGCCUAUGUGGAGCCAUUCAUCCAGACCCACAUUUCUCGAUAUUUGGUUGUUGUCAUGCUUUUUAUUCCAAGAAACGUUCCCUAGAUGUUUGGAUUUGAUUUGGAUCAUGGAGAUCGCAUGUUCGAUGAUGGAUGAUUCCAUGUCACCUGAUUUCUGACCUAUCGUACAUUCGAUGCCAUACUAUGGCAUAUUUUCGUCAUGGAUGAGAGUUAUAUAUCUUCAUGGAGCUGUGUGAUCACUCCCACUUACGGGAUAAUCAUCGAGACGAUGACCUGUUCACUAUUUUUAAGAUGAUUCCUCAGUGAAGCCUCCUUAGAGACAUCCAGCUAGGCCUGCACUUCUCGGCACUUAGAUGCCAUCAUGCUUCUCCAUCUGAGAAGUACAUCUUAGAUCUGUGGCUAUGAUUCAGUUAUGGGGUUUGGAUGACCAGGAUUGCAUAGUUGAUGAUUGAUGAUUUCAUGUCAUUUGAUUUUUCUGACCUGUCACACAUUCGAUGCCAUACUGGGGCAUAUUCGCCCUGUCGGUCGAGAUUUGUAGAUCCCCACUUAUUCGUAUGAUCAUCCCUAGUUAUGAUAUAUGCGCCAGGUUGAUGAUUCCAUUUCAUUUUAUCGUGAUUCUCUAUUGGAGCCUUUAUUGAGUCUUUCAGUCAGGCUCAUAUUUUCCGAUAUUGUCGUGAUUCUUGGGUGAAGUUACUCCAGGCGCAUAGGUUCCCACAACACCAUUUCAGUGGAGUACAUGUCAGAUCUUUUAUGCAUCCCCAUGGAGUUAUUCUUGAGUUAUCAGGACAGAUCAGGUACAUCUAAUGCCAUGCUGGGGCAUAUUCCUUCCUUUAGCUAUGGAGAUGAUCCUUCUCUCACGGAUCUAUUAUAGUUUUCAUCACUCGGCCGAGAGAUACUGUAUUUGCUUUACUGGUCACUAUUCUUGUGAUUUUCAUCGAAAUGAGCUUUCGAUGGAGCAUGACAUUCAGGUUGUGAUUGUCCCGCUAUCCAUGACUCCGCAGUAGAUUGUUUUGAUGAGAUCAUGGUAGUUACCCUAGCGGAUUAUUCUCUUAAGACUCCCUAGUGGAUUACCCAUUUGAGAUGACGAUGGAUUCCUCCAGCAGAGCAUUUCAAGAUAGAGACGUCUGACUCAUUGUGACAUCUCGUUAAGCCUCGUGAUCCAGACGGAUGGGUUGCACGACUAUGUUUAUAGUCGAUUUGAUCAUUCCAACUCGCUAGCAAAGCAUCUCUUGAGGCUCAUGGAGUCUCUUUUAUACCUUGUCAGAGGAUGGAGAGUUGUGGCGGCAUGCUACACUAGGGCAUAUUCCCUCCCCCCCCCCCCUCCUCAUCGUUUCCUUGUCGUUUGGAGUUCAGAGUUGCCAUCCAUUCUCGGAUACGAUGUACAGAGUCGUCCAUUUUCAACUUGGCGUUCAGAGCCACCAUGUCUUCUCAGUCACGACGUUUAAAGUCGUCUUUCUCAGCCUGACAUUCCUAGUUAUUAGUCUAGUUGGGCAUUCAAAUCCGUUGUUUCUGCUUGGCAUUCAUAGCUAUUAUUUUUAGUUUGGUGUUCAAAGCCACCACCUCUUUUCAAUUUGGCCUUCAGAGUCGUAUUUUCAUUUUGGCAUUUAAUGACACCAUCUUUCUUUAUUUUGGCAUUCAGAGUCGCAUAUUUAGUUUGGCGUUCAAAGCCGCAUUUUCAUUUCGGCAUUCAGAGCCACAUAUUUAUUUUGGCGUUCAGAUUCGUAUCUUCAGUUUGGUGUUCAGAGUCGUAUUUUCAUUUCGACGUCAAAGCUACCACCUUUUUCGUUUGGUGUUUAGAGUUGUUGUUCAUUUUCCAUUUGGCGUUGAGAGCCACAUUUUCAUUUUGACAUUCAGAUGCUUGUUGUUUUGUUCGACGUUCAGAGCCACAUCUUUAUUUCGGCGUUCAGGAGCCGCAUCUUAGUAUCGGCGUUCAGAGUCGCAUUCUCAAUAUCGGCGUUCAAAGUUGCAUUCUCAGUUUUGGCAUUUAGAGCCAUCAUCGAUUUUCAGUUUGAUGUUCAGAGUCGUAUUUUUAGUUUCGGCGUUCAGAGACAUCACUUCUUGGUAUCGGCGUUCAGAGCCAUCUUCAUCGCAUUUUCAGUUUCAGCGUUCAGAGCCAUCAUUGUCGUUUCUCAGUUUCGGCAUUUAGAGCCCUCAUUGUCGCUUCUCAGUUUCGGCAUUCAAAACCAUCAUCACUUCUUAUUUUAACGUUUAGAGUCACAUUCUCAAUUUCGACGUUCAGAGCCAUCAUCACUUCCCAGUUUGACGUUUAGAGUCACAUUCUCAGUUUUGGCGUUCAGAGCCAUCAUCGGUUUUUAGUUUGAUGUUCAGAGUUGUAUUUUCAAUUUCAGCGUUCAAAGCCAUCACCGUUUCUUAGUUUCGGCACUCAAAUCCAUCCUCGUCGCAUUUUCAGUUUCGGCGUUCAGAGCCAUCAUUGUCGCUUCUCAGUUUUGGCGUUCAAAGCCAUCAUUGCUUCUCAGUUUGACAUUCAGAGUCGUAUUCUCAGUUCCGGCGUUCAGAGCCAUCAUCACUUCCCAGUUUGACGUUCAAAGUCGCAUUCUCAGUUUUGGCAUUCAGAGCCAUCAUCAGUUUUCAGCUUGAUGUUCAGAGUCGUAUUUUCAGUUUCGGGGUUCAGAGUCAUCAUCAUUCCUUCUCAAUUUCACAUUCAGGGAUGUCAGUUCUCAAUUUAGUGUUCAAAGCCAUGCUUUCAGUUUGGUGUUUAGAGCCUCAUCUCUGGUUUGGCGUUUAGAGCCAUCAUCCUAUCAUGAUCGGGCAUUCAUUGCCACAUUUUCCACGUUUAGAGCUACGUUCCUAGCAUUCAGGACUGUCAGUUAAGUUUGGACAUUUAGAGCUUCGUCUUUAGUAUUUAGUGUUAUUAGUUUUUUUAGUUUGGCAUUCAGAGCCAUGUCUUCAGUUUGGUAUUCAGAGUUAUCAUGUCUUUCUUCAGUUAGGCGUUCAAAUCCACCAUAUCUCUUUCAAUUCGGUGUUUAGAGUUGCAUUUUCAUUUUGGCAUUCAGAGUCGUUGUUUGUUUCAGUUUCACAUUUAAAGUUGUGCUUGUAGUUUGACAUUCAGAGCCAUUAUUUAGCUUGGAAUUCAGAGCUGUCAUAAGAGCCAUCGUAUGUUUAGUUUGGCGUUCAGAGCUAUCAUUCACAAUUUUGCAUUCAGAGCCAUUGUUCACACUCAGCGUUCAGAGCCACCACAUCUCCACAGUUUGGAGUCUAAAAGUCAUCAUUCAUAGUCAGGCAUUCUGAGCCGUUGGUCAGCUUGGCAUUCAGAACCAUUAUAUCUUCAGCUCGACAUUUAGAGCCAUUAGUUAGCUUGGCAUUCAGAGCCAUCAUAUUUUUAGUUCAGCAUUUAGAGCCAUUGGUCAGCUUGGCAUUUAUAUGCCACCAUAUUUCUUCAGUUUGGCAUUUAGAGCCACCAUUUUCCUUUAGUUCAGCGUUCGGAGCCGCAUUCCUAGCAUUUAAAGUUGUCAUUCUCUUUUAGUUUGGUGCUCAAAGCCACAUUGCUAGCAUUUAGGGUUGUCAUUUUCUUUUAGUUUAGCAUUCACAGUCAUUUUCUUCACUUUAGAUGUUUAAAGCCCUGAGCUUGCAACCUAGAGUCGUUCUUUCAAUUUAGAGCCCUGAGCUCACGACCUAAAGUCGUUCAUUUCAUCUAUGACCCAGAGUGAUUCUUAGCAUUUAAAGCCCUGAGCUCACGACCCAGAGUCGUUCUUCUUAUUCAUGACCCAGAGUCAUUCUUUCCAUUUGGAGCCCUGAGCUCAUGACCUAGAGUCGUUCUUCUUAUUCAUGACCCAGAGUCAUUCUUUCCAUUUGGAGCCCUGAGCUCAUGACCUAGAGUCAUUUUUCUCAUUUAAGACCUAGAGUCUUUCCAAUCUUGAGCUGAGCCUUCAUCAUUUGGUCACCCAUGAGUGGCAUGACUUGGAGUUUGUGUAUCGCAUUCUCUUUCUAGUUGAUCAGUCAUAGAGCCUGGAGCUCAUAGCCCUAAGCUAUUCACCUAGCCCUGAGCCAUUCAUUGUAACCCUGAGCUACUCAUUACGUCAUGACCCAGAGUCAUUCAUGGCAUUUUGAGCCAUGACCUCACGACCCAGAGUCAUUCCUAUUCUUCACAUCCCUGAGAUGUUUCAUUUUCAUCAUUCUAGCCACCUAUGAGUGGCCUCGACCCGGCACCACGAGCAAGAAAGCAUCUUGAUUGGCCAUCCAUUUAAAGCCUUGAGCUCACGACCCAAAGUCGUUCUUCUCAUUUAUGACCCAGAGUCAUUCUUAGCAUUCAGAGCCCUUAGCUCAUGACCUAAAGUCAUUCUUCUUAUUUAUGAUCCAGAGUCAUUCUUAGCAUUUAGGGUCUGUUCACAAUUCAGAUCCAUUUUCACCAUUUAGGCAUUCAAAAUCACCAUUUUUCUUCAUAGGCGUUCAAAGUUGUCUUUUCCAGUUUUAGGCGUUCAAAGUUGUAUUUAUUAGCUUAAGGCAUUUAGAGCCGUAUUUUCCAGUUUUAGGAGUUCAAAGCCAUCUCUUUUGGUUUUAGGCGUUCAGAGCCAUGUCUUCAGUAUAGGCGUUCAAGGUCAUUUCUCCUAGUUUUAGGCAUUUGGAGCCACUUUCAUCAGUUUUAGGCAUUCUGAGCCAUCUCUAUCAGUUUUAGGCGUUUAGAGCCAUGUCUUCAAUUUGACAUUUAGAGUCAUUAUCUUCUUCAUUUUGACAUUUUAGAUCCAUCAUCUUCUUUAGUUUAGCAUUCAGAGUCAUGUCUUCAUUUUGGCAUUCAGAGCCAUUGUCCAUUUAAGCGUUCAAAGCCAUCAUGUUCCUUUAGUUUUGGCGUUCGGAGCCGUUAGGCAUACUCAUUUAGACAUUUAGAGACUCUUUGUUCUUGUUUUGGUUUAAGAGAGCCCAUGUCAUACUGGAACAAAUUUGGAGGUCUUUCUUAUUCUUCAGCAAAGUUCACUUCGUUUCGUUCGUGUAUAUACUCACUUUAUUCAUGAACUCUACCAAAGAGGGGCAUAUUUGUAGACCCCAAAAUUUGUCUCAAUUUUGUUUUUACAUUAAUUUUGAGCUCAAUUUUAAAUCCCGAUUACAUUUGUUAUUUUAGGCCCACUCACCCUUUAAUUUUUUGUUUUCAUUAUUUUGUAAAAAAAAUUUUAUCUUAUUUUAUUUUUAUUUUAUUUUUUUUACUUAUUAUUUUUAUUUGUUAUUAUUAUUAUUAUUAUAUUACAUUAUAUUAUAUUAUUUUUUUAUUUUUUUUAUUUUUUAUUUUAUUUUUUUCUCUCUCCUCUCUCUUCGUUUUUCUCCUCCACCUACCCUUACCCACCCACUUCUUCUCUCUCCUCCCAUACUCCUCACCACCAACCACUUUUCAUUUUUCCCUCAAUUUUUUUCCCUCUCACUUUUCUCUCUCUUCCCUGAAACUCCCUUUCCCCCCCCCCCAUCCCACCAUUUUUCUUUUCCCUCAAAUUUUUCCCUCCUUUUCUUCCCCAACUUCUCUACUACUCUUCCUCUCUUCCCCAUUUUUUCUUCUCUUCCUCCUCCAUUCUCUUUUUUUUUUCUUUUUUAGUUUUUCUCCUCCCGUUUUCUCAAGAGGGUCGGACCCCCAUUUUUAUUUUUUAUCGAGAAGAUCAUCGGUCGGGCACUGUCGGCGAGCCCCAGUCGGCUGACGACCUCCUCCCUUUUCUCUCAUUCUCUCACUUCCCGUAUCACUCAUUUUCCAUUAUUAUUAUUAUUAUUAUUAUUAUUAUUAUUAUUAUUAUUAUUAUUAUCAUCAUUAUUAUUGUUAUUAUUAUUGUUAUUAUUAUUAUUUUUAUUGUUAUUGUUGUUAUUUUAUUUUAUUUUAAUAGUAAUUGUUGUUUGUGAAAUUUGGAUUGUUGAAUUAAUAUGAAAUUUGGGGUUAAUUUGUUGUGGGUAGAUUAAUACGUAAUUUGAUUUUAUUUAUUGUUAGUGAAUUAAUUUGAAAUUUGUUAAUUUGGGUUUGUGGGUAUAUUGUAAUUGGUGAUUAAUUUGGGGAUAUUUGGAUUAUAUCGAUUGCAUAUUGUUUAUUUGAACUUGGGUCUAUUGUUAAGUUGUUAUUUGUUUAGGCUUAUUGGAUUGGGCUUGAAAUAUUGUUUCUCUUGACCAUGUAUUUUGUUUUAUGUGGGCUUGUUAAUUGAUGUGAAUUUUAGGACCCAUAAUGUUGGUGGGAUUUAUUGGAUUAUUUGAAUAUUUGAUAUGGGCUUGGCCAAUUUGAAUUGUUUAAUUUGGACAUGGGACAAUUGUGAUGUAUAUUAAACUAAGCUUAAAUUAUGAAAUAUUAUAUUUAGGUCUAGUAGAAUUUAUUUUAAUUUAUCUCAUUUUAGGUUUGGUUGAUUGUGUUUGUAUUUUUUGUUAUUAAUUUAGAUGUUCUGGGUUAAGACCUAUGGUAAUUUGGACUCAUUUUAAUUGACGAAAUUUAUGGGACUAAUUUGAAAUUAGAAUUUGGGUUUGAAUAUUUGUUUAGGAUUUUAUACAUCUCUGGAUAUUUACAUUUGUGUUAUUUUUUGUUUUUGCAUAGACCCAUUCUACAAUCUUGUUGGCUGAGUACAAAUUGAUGACACGUGGAGCUUGUCGUAAGUUUAUUUGGGUACAUAUUUUAUUUCCCACUUUUAUUUGGUUUUAUUUUAAUUAAUUCUUGUAAAUAUUUGUUCGUAUAUAUUUAUUGAGUGUGUACAAAAUUGAACAGCGAACAAAUUAGAAAUUUUGUUUAAAUGAGAGAAAGAAUUCAGUAAAUAUGUUCUAAUAAAAUACUAAUUUUAAAAUGUUCUUUUUAAUAAAAGAAAGUUUUUUUUUCAUUAUUUAUAAAAAUUCAGAAAAAUGCAUUUAGAAAAAUCCAAAAAAUUGUUUUUAAUAGAAUUCGAAAAAUUGUUUUUAAUGACAUUGUUCAAAAAUUUCUUUGUUUAAUAAAAAUUGUCCAAAAAUUGUUUUGUAAAUAAAGUUGUUCCAAAAAUUAAUUUUUAAUAAAAUUGUCUAAAAAUAUUUUUUCAAAUGAAUUUUUUUUCCUUAAUUAAAAUGGGAUUAAAAGCGUUUCAGAAAUAGAGAAUUUAAAUCUUUGUUUUUCUUUUUAAUUAAAAUUUCUUUUGCAAUUAAAGUUAUGUUAUUUUAAAUAAUUUAUAAAAAUCAAUCUUUUAAAUGAAAAUGAAUCUAAAUACUUUUGUAAAUAAAAUUGUAAAAAUUCAUUAUUUUCUAGUAAAAGCAAGUAAAAAUAAUUUUUGUACGCAAAUUGAAAUUUUGUAAUAAAUUCUUUUGAUACAAUAAGUGUAAAUAGCUUUUUUUAAAAUUGAAUACAAUUGAAAUUGAGAAAAUAAAUUGAUUCUUUUUUAUAAGUAAAUAAAUGGAAAUCAUUAAUUUAAAAUCAUUUUUAAUAAAAUCCUUUGAAAUUUCUUUACAACUUUUUUUAAUAUCUUUUAUUUAUUUAAUUCAAUAAAUCAUUUUGCAUAAUUCUCUUAUUAUUUAUUUUGUGUAUUUUUGUAAUUAGAUUCCAUCAUUGUUUUUGUGCAUAUUAAUUUUCACCAUGACUUGUAUAUUGAUUAUUUUUUUGGUAUCCAUAAUUAAUUAAUUAAUUGUCACAAUUUCCUCAAUUCGUUUAGUAGAGGUCGUACGUAUAUGGGCUUAAAGGGGUGCUAUGACUCACCACCGUACCUUCCCAAUGAGUAACUUGACCCCCAGACCCAGACUCGGUUUUUCUAUGAUAUGUUUUUUCCUUCAGGAGUCACACUUAGGGUUUUUCUUUCUUAUUUUGUUUUUCUCUUUAAAAAUAAAAGAAAAAUAAGUGGCGACUCCAAGUCUUUUUCUAAAAAUCAAAUUUUUACCAAACAAAAUAAAAAAGCGAGUUUUCGCCAUCGAGUGGGAACGCAUCGAGCAAAAUGUGGGGUCCACACACCCCUUUUCAACUUUUUUCAGCAUGGAUGAUGGAAAACACUUCAUUUGAAUGUUUGAUUAUAGUCUACCUCUUGCCAUAGACUCGUCAUCAUAUUGUAACACUCGAUAAUCGAUCAGCUACCCUGUUUUGUAAUGGAGAUUUUAAUAUUCAAUUCACAAAUUCAGGCAGCAUCCCGUAUUUUUUAGUUCCUUUGCCAAACGGUUUCCCAAAUUGCAUGUUCUAUUGAUUUCAGGUAACAUUGAAUUCCAUAACUAUGACAUAAUCAUAGAAUCUUCUUUGUCCCAAACAAUAAAUUGUAGAUCUUCAGGUUUUGGGCCUGUUCCAGUGAGAUGACUCAGUUUUCCCCUACCCUUUAAAAACAUCCUCACUAGUUGUGACCACUGUAGAUAAUUCCUUCUUGUUUAGCGGUAUGCAAUCUGAAUAUUAUGAAGUUCUCUAGUCAUAUGGUUUUGGGAUGCUUCCAUGGGUGACUCUGUAAUAUUGAUUAAUGGGGCUGGUAUGAUUUCUGACAUAUCCAAUAUUGAAAAAUCCAAAAACAGAUUGAUUAGAUUCUGAAAAAAUAAGAGAGCCGAAAAAGCAAAAGACAAUAGAGUACAUUUAUGGUGAUUAAGGCCCAAGAAUGAAUUUAGACAGGUUAUCAAUGACAAUGAAUCCCAGAGAGCAAAUUGCUUUGAUACCAUGAUGUGAGAAAUUCUAAUUCAAGAAUAAAACAAAUAGUACAUAUUUAUGUGGUAACAUAAUCCUAUUCAUAAAAUUCAAAAUAUGAUUGGAAACUGACUAGGUGUUUGUUUUUUGGCUGAAUAGAAAAAGCCAAAUAUUUUGGCUUUUUCUAUUAAGCCAAAUAUUUUGGCUUUUUCUAUUAAGCCAAAAAACAAACACAACCUAAUUCUUAUCAUUGGAAACUAACUCUAACCAUCCCUGUAAAUUAGAAGCACUCCUAAUAUAUAGAAAGUUUGACUUAUGAUAGUUGUACCAUAAUUUCCUAAAUUUAAGGACCUGAUGUUCUUCAACACUUUAUCAUCCUUUCAAGGAUCAGCACACAUGGCAGAGAAGAGGUGACCUUGUACUGGCUGUCCAAAAGGUGGCAUGGAACAAAAAUAAAAGCGGUCAAGAUGACAUGAGAGACCCAUUUGAAAUCUGCUAUCAUGAACACCCUACACCCUCUUUUUUCUUAUUUAAGAAAAAGAAAAACACUGAAAUAGAAGUAGGAGCGUGCGUGUGAGUGUCAGCUCACAUGGUAGAAAAGAUGUGGCCCUUUUACUGUUUCUCCAUUUAACUUAAAGGUUACACUGAACAAAAAUAAGAAGUUUAGGAUAUCAAACACUAGCUACCCAUUUGGAAAAAAAUGACUGUUUCAAGUCCAUUUGGCAGCCAUUGCGGGACUAAAACAAAAAAAUUAUCUUACCCAAUAAAAUGGUACAUGUUUAAUAAUUUAUUUCAAUUUGCACUACAAGGAAAAAGAUAUAUGGUGACAUUUAUAAUAAGUCACUAUAAACAUAGGGUGUCACUACAACAUAGCGUCACCUUAUCCACUGACACCAUAGAGGGUAUCAAUUGGUGACGUAUUUGGAAGUGACACCAAAGCAGAUAAAUGGUGACACAUUCAAAAGAGACACCAUAUAUUUUUAGUGAUGCUUAAUUUGAUAUAGAGUUGUAUGAGAUAUAUAAGAUGUCAUAUUAAAUGCAUCAUCUUUGAGUUAUGGUGUCACAUUAAAUGUAUCACCUUUAAUUUAUGGUGUCACAUCAUUGUAAAUGAUUAUGGAAGAUAUGGUUGUUUUUUGUUGAUUAGUUUGUAGAUUUUUGUAAUGCUUAUUAAUAAAUAAGACUAACCUAUGUAAAUUGUCCAUAAAUAUAAUAAUCAUAUUACAUUUAACUUAUAUUUUCAUAAUGCUUAUGAAUUAAUUUGUAACAUAUUACAUCAUCCAAUAAUAUUUGUAUAUCAAAUGUUCACAAAAUGAUAGUACAUCAAACACAUCAAACCCACCAAAACUAAAAAAGAAAAGUGAAUACACAUUAAAACAUGAUUUAGAAAUGUUAAGCUUCCCAACAUUCAUGUAUACUUGCAUUUCAUAUGCAUAAAACCGGCUAACCAUAAAAUGACACAAGAGUUGCAUCCAAAAACCCAAAAUUCUCAAUUCCAAAUAAAGUAACAUUUAUGUCCUAUAAUGUAUGACAUAAGAGUCAUAUCUAAAAACCUAAAUCUUGUUGCCUCUUUCUCCUUUCUUUUUAUUCUUCAUAUUGUCCUCCCAAGAGUGUAUACCUGCAUUUCAUUGUUUAAUGAGUUUUAGAGUACUUAUUGAAAAUAAAAAUGUGAUGUUAUAAACAAUAAACAAAUCUAAGUACUAAUGUUUUCUUUUUCUUUUUUCUUUUUCUCAUUUUGGUAUAAAAAUAAUUCGUAAAGAAUAAGUAAUGUUAUACAAUAUCAAUGGAAAAUUCAAUCAUAUAACAACUAAGGGACUUACCAUGAAUGAUCACGAUACAUCAAUAUGAUUCAUGAUUAGUUAUAACACAAAAGUAAUCUAUUUUUCUCUAAUUUCAUCAAAUUCUACUUGAGAAUAUGUUUUAUUUGUCAUCAAACUGAAAUCAAAUGAGAAUAACAUUAAUAUCACUAUAAUUGAAAGUAUGAAAUUAUGUACAAUUCAUUAAACGAGUAAAAUCUUUGAUGCAAUAACUAUAAAAUCAACAAUUAUUUCUUUAAUGAAUCUCAUAACAAAGUAGUCAUAUUUGAACUCAGUAUUAUUUUUUUACUAUUAAAUUAUUUUUAAACAAAAUAACAAUUAUUAAUAUAUUGGUUCAUUUUUAAAUACUUUCAUAAGAAUAUAUUUUAACUACAAGUUAUUUUAAUUUAUCAAAAGAUUUUUAGGAAAUGAGCUAUUAUCCAUUUAUUAUUUUCUUAUUUUUCAAAAAAUAUUUUCAGUCAUUUUAUACACGUUUUCAACUACUAAAAUUAUUGUUUUUAUAGAAUAAACAAAGAAGCAUACACUUCUUCUCCACUCACUAAGUCAACUAUUACAAUCACCAUAAUAUUUUAUUCACCUACCAAUAUCUCAUUCCAUUUAGAUAACUCUCUCAACAAAAUCAUUUCUACAAUACUUUUUACUCUCCUAUGAUAUUGAAUAUUUUAUUCCAUUUAGGUGACUCUCAACACAAAGAAAAGUAGGAAUGUCUUCUUAGGUUAACUAAACAAAGACUUUUUUUUUUACUUUACAAUAUGUAUAAAAAAAAACAAUUAUUUAUUACAAGAAAUGUGGUAGAAAGGUCAUUUCAUUUUUAAAGAAUUUUUUAGAAUUUCUUAAACAUUUACAAAAAAUAGAAUCUAACAGUUUUAUUUCUAAAAAAAUUGAUCAAUUCAAAAAAGAAAGAAGAAUGUUAUUUUUUAAGAAAAGUUAAUAAACCACUUUAUUCUUGAAUUAUCUAAACAAAACUUACUAAAAAAUAUUUUAUCCCAAAUUUAUUUUCAAAACUUUCUUAUUGAAAACUAUCUCAUAUAUAAAUUAUUUUAUUAUAUAGAGAAAUUCUUAUUUUAUUCUUUUUUUUAGAGAAAAAUUCACUUGUUUAUUAAAUAUCAAAGAAGUCUAUUUUUAUGUCUAUUAUAUAUAUAUAUAAAUUCUCUUAUUUUCAUACAAGAAAUUUCCAUUUAUGCCUAAAAUACUUUUAGAAAAAUCAUUGCCAACAAAAUUUUAUUUUUAAAAUUAUUUUCAACAUUCUUAUUUAAAAAAAUUAUCAUUGGAUUAUUUUCAAAAAGGACAGUCCUAAAAAAAUUAACCAUUUAUAACCCAAUUUAAACUCAAAAAUUAUCCCCAAUAUUAUUUUAUAUUCCUAAAUUAUUUUCAAACAAAAUAACAAUUAUUUAUAUUUUGAUUCAUUUUUAAAUACUUUCACAAAAAUAUAUUUUAACCACAUAUUAUUUUAAUUUAUCAAAAUAUUUUUAGGAAAUGAGUUAUUUUCCAUUUAUUACUAUCCUAUUUUUCAAAACAUAUUUUCAGGCAUUUCAUUCACAUUUUAAAAUUUCAAAUACUAAAAUUAUUGUUUUUAUAAAACAACAAAGCAUGUAAAUUUCAACUACUAAAAUUAUUGUUUUUAUAGAAUAAACAAAGCAACAUACACUUAUCUUCCAUUUACUAAUUCAACUAUUACAAUCACCCCAAUAUUUUGUUCACCUACCAAUAAUUCAUCCCAUGUAGUGACUCUAAAAAAAAGUCAUAUUUAUAUACCUUUUACGANNNNNNNNNNNNNNNNNNNNNNNNNNNNNNNNNNNNNNNNNNNNNNNNNNNNNNNNNNNNNNNNNNNNNNNNNNNNNNNNNNNNNNNNNNNNNNNNNNNNUUUUUCAAAACAUAUUUUCAGGCAUUUCAUUCACAUUUUAAAAUUUCAAAUACUAAAAUUAUUGUUUUUUAUAAAACAACAAAGCAUGUAAAUUUCAACUACUAAAAUUAUUGUUUUUAUAGAAUAAACAAAGCAACAUACACUUAUCUUCCAUUUACUAAUUCAACUAUUACAAUCACCCCAAUAUUUUGUUCACCUACCAAUAAUUCAUUCCAUGUAGGUGACUCUAAAAAAAAAAAGUCAUAUUUAUAAUACCCUUUACGACUCUGAUACCCAAUAUUCUAUUCUAUUUAGGUGACUCAAUACAAAGAAAGUGGGAAUGUUUUCUUAGGUUAACCGAAGAAAACCCUAAAUAACUUAAGUGCUUUUGGAUUAAUUGAGUAUCAUCUUGUAGUAGAUGUCAAUCUCUAUUGUUAGACUUCACCAAAAAGCUCCUAGCACGGUGGAAAAAAGUAUCAAAUAUAGUCAAGUCUUCAAUAAAAUACUAUUUUAUGCGAAAAAUUACUACAAACUAGUGUAUCUCUCAUUCUCAAUUAGACAAAAUUUUUAAAAAUAAUUCAUUUUUCUUGUUUUCAUUUGUUUUGGGGCUUAUUAGCAAUGAAACAAAAAAUAUGUUAGAAAGUUAAACCUAGUUUUUACUUCCCUGGAACUCGAUAAAAAACACCAUUUACAAAACCCACAUCAUAGAUAUACUAAAUCAAGAGAUAUAAAACAAUUAUACUAACAAAGGUUUUUGCAUUAAUAAAAAAAAUGAAGAUGGUAGAUAAGAGAUUUUGACUUACCCGAGAUUUUACGAAGCAAAGAAUAUCAAUUAUGGGUGUGCCGACCAUGGGUGUGAGAAGAAGGAGAAGAAAACGAUGGUUAGGGUUAAGCAAUAAGAUCUUUUAUAUUAGUUAAUGUAUAUAUGGAAACAAUGGACUUUUCAUAAAUUGUUCCUACUCACUAUUUUUAAAAAGGGCCCAUUAAGUAAUAAAAUUUAAAACUUUUUAUUUCAUAUGGUGUCACUUCCAAAAAAUGACACCAUAAAUAUGAAAUUAGCAUCAUCUAACUAUCCUAAUUGAAGAUUUUUUAUAUGAUGUGUCACCUUUAUAAAUUUUAAGUUCAAUGGUGUCAUUAUUUUAAAUGCGACACCAUAAAUAGUGACAUCAUAUAUUAUUUUUGUAGUAGUGUUGGACCAUAAUUCUCAUUCCUACUAUAUAUUUAUUUAUAUUUGGAAUCAUCAGUUGUAGCNNNNNNNNNNNNNNNNNNNNNNNNNNNNNNNNNNNNNNNNNNNNNNNNNNNNNNNNNNNNNNNNNNNNNNNNNNNNNNNNNNNNNNNNNNNNNNNNNNNNCCGAGAUUUUACGAAGCAAAGAAUAUCAAUUAUGGGUGUGCCGACCAUGGGUGUGAGAAGAAGGAGAAGAAAACGAUGGUUAGGGUUAAGCAAUAAGAUCUUUUAUAUUAGUUAAUGUAUAUAUGGAAACAAUGGACUUUUCAUAAAUUGUUCCUACUCACUAUUUUUAAAAAGGGCCCAUUAAGUAAUAAAAUUUAAAACUUUUUAUUUCAUAUGGUGUCACUUCCAAAAAAUGACACCAUAAAUAUGAAAUUAGCAUCAUCUAACUAUCCUAAUUGAAGAUUUUUUAUAUGAUGUGUCACCUUUAUAAAUUUUAAGUUCAAUGGUGUCAUUAUUUUAAAUGCGACACCAUAAAUAGUGACAUCAUAUAUUAUUUUUGUAGUAGUGUUGGACCAUAAUUCUCAUUCCUACUAUAUAUUUAUUUAUAUUUGGAAUCAUCAGUUGUAGCAGCCUUGCUUCAUCUACAACCUAAACAUGGUGAUGGUGUUACAAUGCAAAAUUCACCAAUCCUUCUUCAAACUUUUUUGAGUUUUCCCUUGACAAUGCUGUGAUGAAAAGUCCAAGAAAGCCCAAUGAAAAGGAACAGAAAUGCUCACCCUUCUCUCAACUCUCAACUGCUGGUCCCCACCCAAAAUCUAUGCCCAUACUUUCCAAGCAAUAUCCUUAAUUAGUCUGGUAGGCGAAGAAGACUGGGCUCCAAAAGGAUGCUGUGAGAUAUCUGGAAGAUCACCCAUGACAUUUUCAACGUACUGUGCGGUUGAAGGCCGAAAGAUAAACACAAAGCAAGAAAGCAUGGACAUGAGAAACUUGGAAUAGGAGAAAUGGAAAGCAGCAUGUGCCUUAGCAGUGCAAUUUUGUCUCUGUGUUUGUCAUGUAUGUGGUUGGGAGUAGUGCCUUCCAUUUCUGGUGCACAGACAGACACCAUCAAACCUGGGGAAGAGCUUCAAUUCUCGAAAAAAUUACUGGUUUCUGCAAAAGGGACUUUUACUCUAGGCUUCUUCAGCCUGGAAUCUGGCAGUUAUUUAGGAAUAUGGUACACAACUGAUGAUUAUCACAAGAAAGUUUGGGUUGCUAACAGAGACAAGGCUAUAUCCGGCACCGAUGCAAAUCUCACGCUGGAUGCUGAUGGCAAAUUGAUGAUCACGCAUAGUGGGGGUGAUCCAAUUGUCCUGAAUUCCAAUCAAGCAGCCAGAAACUCAACAGCUACUCUGCUUGAUUCUGGAAAUUUUGUUUUGGAAGAGUUCAAUUCGGAUGGAUCUCUGAAGGAGAAACUAUGGGCGAGUUUCGAUAAUCCUACAGACACCCUCCUGCCUGGGAUGAAACUAGGCAUCAACUUGAAAACCAGGCGAAACUGGUCACUUGCUUCAUGGAUAAGCGAACAAGUGCCUGCUCCUGGGACUUUUACCCUGGAAUGGAAUGGCACACAAUUGGUGAUGAAACGCCGAGGGGGCACCUAUGAACCUUGAAAGAUAGGAGCUUUGAGUUCAUUCCUUGGUUGAUGAGCUCUGAUACUUUCAAUAACAUCUACAGUUUUAACAGUGUUUCGAAUGCAAACGAGAUUUACUUUAGCUAUUCAGUUCCAGAAGGAGUUGUUUCAGACUGGGUAUUGACCUCGGAAGGGGGACUUUUUUACACUAGUAGACCUGUAUUUGUGCUGGACGAUCAGUGCGCUAGGUAUGAAGAAUAUCCAGGGUGUGCAGUGCAAAACCCACCCACUUGCAGGACUAGAAAAGACGGAUUCAUGAAGCAAUCGGUUCUCAUAUCAGGAUCACCAUCAUCAAUAAAAGAAAAAUCGAGCUUGGGCCUUAGGGAUUGUAAGGCUUUAUGCUGGAAUGAUUGUUCUUGUACUGCUUAUAAUAGUUUAUACACUAACGGAACUGGAUGUCGGUUUUGGAGUACAAAAUUUGCACUAGUCCUCAAGGAUGACGCAAAUCAGGAGGAGCUCUAUGUUUUAUCCUCAUCACGAGUUACGGGUAAGAGUCUCUCUGUAUUUUUGCAUUCCUGAAAGUAACCAAAGCAAAGUAGUUGAUGAAUCCAACAUUUUUAUUGAAUUUACAACCCUAAUAGGUGAUCAAAAAUUCAAAAUACCAUUAGAGGAGCUAUAUCAAGACCAUAAAAGACCCUCUUUCACUCAGUUCUGCUCUAACCAUAAAAUUUAUCAACUUCUAUCUAUGCAGGGAGCAGUUGGUGGAUAUGGGUCAUUAUUGCAGGAGUGGUACUUGUGGUCUUGUUGGUACUUGUGGUCUUGUUACUUACGGGCUCCUUAUACUAUUCAAGGAGAAAAUUCAGAGGUAGUAUUUUAUUUGAACUUUUGUUGAUGAUAGUAAUGCCAUUUGUUAAUGGGUUGGAUUGAACUUGUGACUUGUGGUAUAACAGGGGAGAGAGAAAUGGAGGAAGCUGCGCUGCUUGAAUUGACAACUUCAAACAGCUUUAGUGAUUCAAAAGAUGUUGAACAUGAUGGAAAGAGGGGGGCUCAUGAUCUUAAACUGUUCAGUUUUGAUUCUAUUGUGGCUGCCACGAAUAACUUUUCAUCUGAAAAUAAACUUGGAGAGGGUGGUUUUGGCCCGGUUUAUAAGGUAAAUAUUAUUAUUUCAUUAAUCCAUGGCAUGUAAUAGGAAUAGGACAUUCUUUGUUUUAAGUACCCCAAUUAAAGCUUCCUUUUGGAUUGUGGAUUGUGGAUUGUGGAUUAUUUUUGCAGGGGAAAUUACCUGAGGGGCAAGAAAUAGCAGUGAAGAGACUUUCAAGGGGCUCCAACCAAGGAUUGGUGGAGUUUAAAACUGAGAUUAGACUGAUCGUCAAACUCCAACACAUGAAUCUUGUUAGACUUUUGGGUUGCUACAUCAAGGGAGAAGAAAAGAUGUUAAUCUAUGAGUUCAUGCCCAACAAAAGCUUGGACUUAUUCCUCUUUGGUUUGAAUACUUCCCUUUUUUCUUCCUUUUAUCUGCAUGACUUUUCCUUAUGUUCUUACAUGUCAUCAUCCAACUAGACACUUCACAUGAAUUAAUUUUUUAAAACAUAUUUACCCCUAAAUGUCUUCUUCUCUCUUCAACCAAACCCUAACACCAAAAACUUAUGUUCUUUCUUAUUCGUUCACAACCACAACCCAUCACAAGGCGGGACGAUCCAUAAAAAAUCUGGUAACUCACUAUAAGAAAAAAGGGUAAUAAUGACGCUUUUUAGGCGUCAAUAAAUGUAUACGAUGACGCUUCUCGAAAGCGUCCUUUCCGCCUCUGUCAAGGAAUGGGUGCAGGCAACCAUGUCGCUUCUAGACAGCGUCAUUGUUGAUUGGUUUAUAUUAACACGUUAAAAACGUCAUUAUUGAUCUACCUAUGUUAACACUUACCAUGUCGCUUCUAGACAGCGUCAUUGUUGAUUGGUUUAUAUUAACACGUUAAAAACGUCAUUAUUGAUCUACCUAUGUUAACACUUACACUAGCGCCAAGGAAUGGCCAAAAUAUCAUUUGUCUAUUUCGACACUAAAAAAAGUGUCAUCUUAUGUGGAUAAUAAUAUUGAAAAUCCCCCUGUUGAAAUGAUAUAUUUUUGUAUGGCCUGUUAUAUGUAAUUUUGGUUGCAUGAUUAUUUAUAAAGUACCAAACAAUAACUUCAAUAUUACAUCUUCCAAAAGAAAUUGAAUAAAUUUGGGAAUAAUAUAAUGAUAAAGAACUAAUGUCUACAUAGUUAAUUAAUACGCAAAUUUGUAAAUGUAUCAAAAUAUUUACAAGCAUAUUUUCCAACUUCAACAUAUAUAAAACAAGUACACAUGUACCAAAAAACAAGGUCUCCAAAUUCCUUAUCAAAAAUAAUAUUACAAGAAGAAGCCAAAAGUAUUUAUAGCCAAAAGUAUUUUUGUUGGUUGCAUAUCCACUCCUGAACUUGAAAUCUUUUACCUGUAUACAUUUAAAAAAAAUUAAUAGAAGAAACAAAUUAUGUUUAGUUAAUAUACAUGCAAUGAAAGUUAAAUCUAAAUCUAUAAAUGGUCCAUGAAAGAAGUGCAAAUGAGAAUAACUUGGUAUUUAAUGAGAUGUUAUGCUUCAAUGAAGAUGAAAAAUUGUUUAAUUUGAUACUUGUUUAUAAAAUAUUAAAAUACUUUUUUAGUUCAUUAUUAAGUUAGAGGAAACAAGUUAGGCUUUCAAUGGUAUAAAUUCUACAAUAUGGAAUGUAAUAUAAUAUUUUCUUAUCUAUGUCUAACAUAUCAAACUCAUUUCUCAUAAAUAAAUAUAUGAAUAUACCAAUAGGUAUGGUUUAUAAUUAGUUUCAAUCAUAAAUCAUCAUAUCUAGUAAUAUAAGACAUUUAAUAUUAACCAUUUGCAAAUGACUUAAUUUCUUCUUACAACUUUCCUAUAUUACCAAAUUUAGUUAACUAAUAACAUUCCAUAAGGAAAAAAAGAGUAUUAAACUAAAAAUUAAAAGAGCAUAACCAAGGCAAUAGAAACCUACAAAUCAUUGGUUAAAUGUCAUAAUAACAACCAUUCUAAAACUUGCCUUUAUUUUCAAUUCCAAAAUUAUAACCCAAAUAUAAUAAUUAACCCUACACAAAAAAAGCUCUCUACCAUCCCUCCAUCCAACAACAACAACCUGUUGAUGCAACAACAACCUUUCCAACAACAAUAACUUCUCCAUACAACAAUAACAAUUUCUCCAUACAACAAUAACAAUUUCUCCAUGUAAUAACAACAACAACAAUAACAAUAACAAUAACAUUGAUGAUCGAUGGUGAUAAUUAUAUUAGUAAUAAUUUGAUUUGUUUAGUCCAAACAUAUAACAAUAACAACUUCUCUAUGCAACAACAACAAUAAUAAUGACAACAUUGAUGAUCAUGAUAUAAUAAUUUGAUUUAUUGAGUUCACAAAUUAUAUGCUUCUUCUCCAUACAACAAUAACAAAAAUAACUUCUCCAUGUAACAACAUUGGUGAUGAUGUAAUAAUUUGAUUUGUUAUAUUGAAAUAGUUUAUGUAUAAAACUAUUAUAUUCUAUCACUAUGGAGGAAAAAAUUACUUAUCAUGAGAUGAGAACUUCUGAGAAUCGUCAAAAUGUGAUCUACAACUCUUACUGGACUGAAAUGAGGGCAUCUGCAUACAUAAGAUGGUAAAUUUAAAAAAUUAGUCCAUUCAAGACUUCAUUAAUAAUGAAAAUCAAGCAUUAUAGAUGUUAAUUUAUACCUUCAAGCAUGGGUAAGAAUCAAUUGAGUUGCCAACAUAACCCACUCAGAUCGUACUUCAUUAAGCUCAACUUCACUAUACGAUUUUUUUCCUUUAAACUAAUAAUUAAUUGUACAUACAUGAUGAUUAGUUAAGUUAACAAAAAAUUACUAAAGUAUAGAAACUAAUAAAAUUUAUUAAUGAGUACAUACCUUUGUGGAUAGGAGGCUUGGAUCAACAAUUAUAUCUUUCAUGUAUCUCAUCACAUAAUAACCACACUCCACACUUCCUAGUUGUCUUGGGCACUAUAGGCACACAUAUGAAUUAUGGUACCAUAAAAACAUUAAUAUCAUGAUGUUUUAUGUCAUUAUUAUCUAAGUGACAAAACAUAAAACCAUAUUCAAAUUUUAGGGUUGAUAUAAGUGGUCAUAUGAUAUAUCUUACUCUAACCAAGUAACUUACCACUACUUUUACCCAUGUCGGCUCCCUCUUUGAUGAUCUUUGUUUCUCUGGUGGAUGAAUUCGUAGUGCCCUACAUGGAAAAGAAAAUUAACAUUUUAGAUACUAUGCACUAUAUUCAAGUAUGGAAAUGAAGACACUUACAUGUUAACAAUUUCCUUAAGAUCAUCACAUGGUUGCUUUUGAAUCGGAUCAAGGUAGUACGCAGUCAUUGUCCUCAUAUCCAAUGCCACCAAGACCCAGUGGAAACUACAAUAGUACAUUAGAUAUUAUUUACUAAUUAGCAUUGAUUAAGCUAUUUAACAUUUAAAAAAAACUUAAUAUUUUUCAUAACUUACUUAGGGUUAUAUGGAAUAAAAAUGUAGUCAGCACACUUUGCAUGCAUUAAACGAUUUGCAAUCAACCUUGACCUAUUUUCCUUUGUUGUCUCACCCAUUCCAGCUUUAGAGACUAAAGCUGGAUUGAUAAAAGCAAAUCGUUCGGUGAGCCUUGCAUCACUUAGCUUUUUCUGUAGGUGCCUGUUUAAAUUCCACAUACCUUGAUAAGAAAUUAUAUAUAUAUAUAUAUAUAUAUAUAUAAAUUAACACACAUUAGCAAGUUAUAAAAUUAUUUACCAUAUAUAAUAUAUGACACAAUUAGCCGACACUUCCUUAAAUGAAAUUAUCAUAUCCAUGUCUUCUUUCAUAAGGAAGGUCUUAAAACUCUCGCCAAAUACAUCAUUUGGGACCUCCACACCUUGUGCUUUCCCCUCAUUUAGCAUGAGACCUACUAAUGCAUCAAAAUUGUUGAUAUCUUGAGGGUUUUCACCAAUUUUCAAGUCAUUUUCUGUUGUUUUUUGUCUUUUCCCUUUUUGAGAUCCCUAUAAAAGAAAGCACCAUGUUUUCAAAUGAUAUACAUAUCUUUAUAAAGUAUUGCAAAUGAAAAUAACACACCUUAAUGAAUUUAGUACUCAAAUUGACUAAAUGGGUUGGCCAUAAAACUUGGUAGCCCACUGCCGCUCCAACUGUUGUAGCUUGUCCAGGAAUGGGAAUAGGAAGCGGUGUAUUUGACUCAUAGGGAGCAUCCCAAACAACUAGGUAGUUGGGACCACAAUCCAUUACAAUUGUUCCACCAGCCACUGUAUUUUCUCUGGUCCCUACUGCCAACUCACAUUUUCUUGCCUUCAAAAGUAAAUUAAAUUGUUAAUUUCAAUAUCAAAAAAUAAUCAAUAAAUGAAGUUUAAAGUGCAUUGACUAUGUUNNNNNNNNNNNNNNNNNNNNNNNNNNNNNNNNNNNNNNNNNNNNNNNNNNNNNNNNNNNNNNNNNNNNNNNNNNNNNNNNNNNNNNNNNNNNNNNNNNNNNNNNNNNNNNNNNNNNNNNNNNNNNNNNNNNNNNNNNNNNNNNNNNNNNNNNNNNNNNNNNNNNNNNNNNNNNNNNNNNNNNNNNNNNNNNNNNNNNNNNNNNNNNNNNNNNNNNNNNNNNNNNNNNNNNNNNNNNNNNNNNNNNNNNNNNNNNNNNNNNNNNNNNNNNNNNNNNNNNNNNNNNNNNNNNNNNNNNNNNNNNNNNNNNNNNNNNNNNNNNNNNNNNNNNNNNNNNNNNNNNNNNNNNNNNNNNNNNNNNNNNNNNNNNNNNNNNNNNNNNNNNNNNNNNNNNNNNNNNNNNNNNNNNNNNNNNNNNNNNNNNNNNNNNNNNNNNNNNNNNNNNNNNNNNNNNNNNNNNNNNNNNNNNNNNNNNNNNNNNNNNNNNNNNNNNNNNNNNNNNNNNNNNNNNNNNNNNNNNNNNNNNNNNNNNNNNNNNNNNNNNNNNNNNNNNNNNNNNNNNNNNNNNNNNNNNNNNNNNNNNNNNNNNNNNNNNNNNNNNNNNNNNNNNNNNNNNNNNNNNNNNNNNNNNNNNNNNNNNNNNNNNNNNNNNNNNNNNNNNNNNNNNNNNNNNNNNNNNNNNNNNNNNNNNNNNNNNNNNNNNNNNNNNNNNNNNNNNNNNNNNNNNNNNNNNNNNNNNNNNNNNNNNNNNNNNNNNNNNNNNNNNNNNNNNNNNNNNNNNNNNNNNNNNNNNNNAAAAAAAAAAGUUACCUCCAAUAGAGUCCCACAACUAUCCUUCAAUUGUCAGGGACAUCUCGCCAUGUGUAUAUCUGAUUGGUACCAUCGUACGUGCCAAUACACUAAGUAGCUUGUUAGGUGCACAGAAGAUUCUCUACAUAGAUACCAUCAGCAUUGUACUUUAUGACCAACUUUAUCCCUCUAUUCCUAUUCCUUAUAAUCAUGGAUUUCCUUGUUGUCCCUCUAUAUUUUUUUUGUGAAAGGGUUUUCUCUUCCUUUGAAUCCAUGCCUAUAACACAUCAAUGAGAAAUGAUAAGUAUACCCAUUAAUUGCAAGUAAAAUUGAAUUUUUUAUAACAUGAACUCACAUUAGUAACAUGAACAUACUAGGAACAUUUUACAUGCUAGAUAACAAUAUUCACAUGUUGUCAUGAAAUAUUUAAAAAUAAUAAUAAUAAAAACUUACUAGAAGAUCCUCACCAAACUUUUUUUUUAUGGAACUAGAAAUCAUAAGCUUUGAGCUGAGACAAAUUGAUAUCCUUGUAUUACCCUUUAGAUCACUCUGAGAUAUGUGUAUAAUAAUAAUCAUGAAAUAGGGAAUCAAUAAAUUUAGAGACAUGAUGAAUUUAAUCCACUUAGAAAAUAAAUAAACUAUUUACUGAAAUGCAGAAUUUCAAUAUUAACAAGUUAAUGGGAUAGUUACAACCUUCACAACAAAACAACAAGGUCAUAAAUUUAGUUACAUAGAAGAUUUGUUAUCAAUCCAGAAUCCCUCACAGUCUCCUCGAAUGCAAAUGACAUCAGAGUCAUCCAUUGUAUCAAAUGAUUCAACUUGUGCCAAGGUGGUAAUGAGAGGAUGGUGUUCAAUAGAAUUAUCCAUGAAGUCAUCAAAAUCCUUUGCUGAAAAUGAGAAGUCCCUUUCAGGAGUUGACAAAACAACUGACCAUCUUGGAUCAAGUUGGUCUUGUACAUAGAAUACUUGCUUGGCUUGGGAGGCUAAAAUGAAUGGAUCUGAUUUAUGAGCCAUCUUAGUGAAGUCAACUAAUGUCAGCCCAAACUCAUCAACUUUGACGCCGCUCUUAUUAUCAACCCAAUUGCAUUUGAAAACUGGAAUCCUAAACAUGGUAUAAUCAAGAUCCCAUAUCUCAGUAAUAAUACCAUAGAAACAUAGCUCACCAAAUACUGGAUUCUUAUCCUUGGCACUAGAAAUUUGCAUUGUUGUUGCUACAAUGCUAACUCCACUAUUCUGGGUAACUCGUAACUCAUCACGGUCUUUUGUAUUGUACUGACACCCAUUUAUAACAUAGCCAUGAUACUUGGCCACGUAGUGGGUAGGACCAUGUGCCAUCCAUCUUAAGGUUUUAGAUAUAGGUUCUUUGUCAGCAAUGGCAACUUCUACCUGUUUGAAUGGACCAUAGUUAUUAAUAUUUUUUAUGAUUAGUGCUAAGAAUGGUGCAAUUUUUAGAAUAAAUUCAAUACCUUUUUUCGCAACCAAUGAGUGAAUGUUUGCAUGUGUUCUUCUUGUAGCCACUUUUGUCUCUUAGAUUGACGAGGAUUGUUCAAUUUCAACCAUUUCAUGUGUUCUCUAUAAGAUAUGUAUAAGAAAGUAACAAUAAGUUUCCAAAAUUAGUUUAAGUAAUCUACACAAAAUCAAAAUAGUUGACCCUUACUCGAUAUAAGGUUGGAUGAUAGUUGUAUUUUCCAACACAUAAUGAUGUGCUUGCAACAACAAAGUACAAUCAACUUCGGUGAUAUGACCUCCAGGAAUAGGCGCCCCAACUUUAUGGUCAACAUUAGUGCUACUAGGAACUCCAAUUGCAUCCACAUUUGAUAAGUACUCUGUACAAAAUUCAAUAGCUUCCUCUGCAAUGUAGCAUUCAACAAUGCAACCUUCAGGGUGGUUACGGUUUCGCACAUAACCCUUUAAUACUUUCAUGAACCUUUCAAAUGGGUACAUCCAUCUAAAAUAAACCGGUCCACAAAGUCUCACCUAUCUAACAAGAUGAACCGUUAAAUGAAUCAUGAUAUCAAAGAAGGAUGGCGGAAAGUACUUUUCAAGCAAGCACAAUGUCACAACAAGUUCAUUUUGUAACUUAUCCAAUGUAGACACAUCAACCACCUUCUUACAUAAAGCAUUGAAAAAAAGGCUCAAUCUAGCAAUAGCAUGUCGUACAUGCUUUGGCAAAAGUGAUUGCAAUGCCACUGGUAACAAUUGUUGCAUCAGUGUAUGAUAAUCAUGGGACUUCAGGCCAUAAAGCUUCAAAUCUUCCAUUGACACAAGAUUUCUAAAGUUUGAGCAAUACCCUUCGGGAACCUUUAACUCAGCUAAAGUUUGACAAAAUACUUUCUUCUCCUUUCUAGACAAUGUAUAACAUGCAGGCGGAAGGUAAGUUCGAUUCGAUUCAAACCUUGGUGCCAGUUCACACCUUAAGCCCAUGUCCAUAAGGUCUAGGCGAGAGUUGAGUCCAUCUUUUGUCUUUCCUGGGAUGUUAAGUAAUGUACCAAUGAUGCUUUCACAAACAUUUUUCUCAAUGUGCAUUACAUCCAAAUUAUGACGAACAUGCAAAUAUCUCCAAUACUCAAGUUCGAAGAAUAUGGACUUUUUCUUCCAACAAUUGGCAUAAGUCACAUUGGAUUUAUCAUGUCUUCCCCUUUUUUUCCCCCAUGAAUUACAAAUGGCAUUCAUUUUCAAUAGUAUUUCCUCUCCACUUAAUGGUUGUGGAGGUGAUCGAAACUCCUGCUCACCAUUGAAUGCCUUUUUAUGUUUUCUAAAAGGAUGAUUGCAUGGAAGAAAACGUUUAUGGCCUGUAAAUGAGUUCUUUCUCCCAUGCUUCAACCUAUGUGAAUAGGUUUCCGAUCCACAUAUUGGACAAGCAAAAUAUCCUUUGACUGUGCAACCAGAUAAGUUUCCAUAUGCAGGAAAGUCAUUUAUUGUCCAUAAUAGAACAGCCCUCAAUGUAAAGACCUCUCUUUGAUAUGCAUCAUAAGCUUCAACCCCUGUCUCCCACAAGGUUUUAAGGUCCUCAAUCAAUGGUGCUAAAUAGAUAUCUAUGUCAUUGCCAGGUUGUUGUGGACCCGAUAUUAACAAAGAUAACAUCAUAAAUUUUCUCUUCAUGCACAACCACGAUGGAAGAUUAUAAGUGAUCAUGACAACUGGCCAACAACUAUACCUGCUGCUCAAGGAACUAUGGGGAUUUAUGCCAUCUGCUGAAAUGGCAAGUCUAAGGUUUCUAGGUUCUGCAGAAAAAUCAGGCCAUCUAUGGUCAAUUACCUUCCAUGAUGGCGAGUCGGAUGGAUGACGCAUUUUUCCAUCAAAUUCUCCACCUUGUGCAUGCCAUAUGAGGUCUUUUGCGAUUUUUGAGGACUGAAACAUUCUUUUAAAUCGUGGGAUAGGUGGAAAAUACCACAUCACUUUAGCAAGAACUCCUUUACUCUUUUUGGUUCCUCUUCUAUUCACCUUCCACCUUGAAGCUCCACAUGUAGGACAUGAAGAUGCAUCUUUUAACUCAUUCCUAAAAAGUAUGCAAUCAUUGGGACAUGCAUGUAUUUUUUCAUAUUCCAUUCCCAAUGCAUUCAAUGUUUUUUUUGCUUCAUACAUAGACAAUGGCAACUCAUUGUUGAUAGGCAACAUAUCACCAAGUAAGCUUAAUAGCUCAGAGAAGCUUUUAUCAGACCACCCAUAUCUUCUUUUCAGAUUGUAUAAUUUAACUAAAGCAGAUAAUUUGGUGAAGUUUUUGCAAUUGGGAUACAAAGGUUUUUCAGCAUCUUCCAGCAACCUUUCAAAUAAUUUUGGAUUAGCCUUACAAUCAUCUUGUGCAGCUUCAACCAUUUCUACUGUAUGAUCCACAUUACCAAUAUGAAUUCUAUCAAACAUUCAGCCCUUGUAGUUGGGGGUCNNNNNNNNNNNNNNNNNNNNNNNNNNNNNNNNNNNNNNNNNNNNNNNNNNNNNNNNNNNNNNNNNNNNNNNNNNNNNNNNNNNNNNNNNNNNNNNNNNNNAAAUUUUUAAAUUAGGCUAAUAUUCUUUUUUUUUUCACUUCUCAUACUGCCAAAUACGUAUUAAAUACGAUUUUACAUGUUCAAGCCUUUUAAAACCUAUAAUUUAUUCAAGUCUACAAUUGUGUGUACAAAUAAAAUUAAAAAGUAUUUGAUGUGUAUUAAUGAAGGAUGCCAGAUUCAAUUCUAAAGUCCUAAGAGGGUAAGAUUAGUGAUAUAUAAUUGCCAACAAAACAUAGAAUAAAAGAAAUAUUAAAGCUCUCCAAGUAACAGUUUAAUCUCUCGGUCUUCAAACAUUCUUCACUAACACAGUGCAUAUCGGUAAUAGAUAAUUCUUCAAGAUAUUAUCAUUACAUAAUCAACUAUGGAAGACUAAAUAUUUCACUAAAUAUGUCAUGAUGUGUUUUCUCUAUCACAUUUCUUUUGAAUAUGCAUGCAAUGUUUAGCUCCUGAAGUGUUUACAAAUGCCCACCUUUGGAUGAUCAAAAUCAUUUUUUUUUUUUAAAGUUUUGAAUGAGGAUGUUCUUUUAAUCAAUUUUCAACCUAAAUGCCCUACUGUGUAGUGUUGGGGACCUAAUUUGGUGAUUAACUAUGGUUCUGUGAUGUGGAUUCAGUGCACUGUGGAAUUUUGAAACUUCGACAAGUAUCAUCAGUAUGGAUUUGGAACAAUAUUUGAUCCUGUGAAGUGUAAAACAUAUAUAACAUGAAUUUUUCUGCUUUAGUUCUGUGCUUCUGACCAUCUUAGCUUGUUACAUCUCAAUAACAUACUUCCAUGACCAUGUCAGUUGCUUCUUGAAUGCAUUAAUGACAUUGCUUUAUUGGUUGAUAAAAAUUUAAAGCAACCCAUUAAAAAUCCUCAGUGGAUAAUAAGAAAAGAGUUCAGUAGGGAUUCAUCACCAUAAGAAAAGUAAAGUCACUUCAGAAAAUAAAUGAAAAAGGAUUCAUUUUAAAACAAGUUAUGAUUCUGGUUAUAUUCAAUGCGAAUUCUGAGUCAACAGAAUUUUCAUCUGUUCUUGUUUAAAUUUUACAGAUAAAGGUUUGGGAUGCACAGGAAAAGAAAUGUACUGGAAUGUUGAUGGGGCACACAGGAAGUGUGAAAUCUAUGUGCCCUCAUCCAAGUAAUCCUAGUAUAUUUAUGUUUUCACCUACAUCUCUUUUUUUUCUAUUUAUACUUGAAAGAUGCUUAUAAUUUCACUUUUCAUUCAUCAAUAGAUCUUGUUGUCUCUGGUUCAAGAGAUGGGUCCUUUGCUAUUUGGGACCUGAGAGGCGGUUCCAGAACUAGACGUGGGGAUAUCUGGAUACCGUAAGUUACAAUUACUUGCUUAUUGGAUGUGAUUGGGUUGAUUAGUUUGUUUUGACAAAAAGGAAAAUUUUUUGUUCACUUCCUAUUAUGUACACAGAAUUUAAUGCAUAUUCACUGCAACAUCAAAAGAUACAUUUUACAACUGAGGCAAGAAAUCGGAGAAUUUGGCAUGCAGCUAGGAUAAAUAAAGCUUGAUUAGACAAUUUUGGUGAGCGUGAUCUCAGUUUGCACCCACUUAGCUGCCCUUGAUCAAGGCAAGGGCCCGCAAAGCAUCGGGCAACAAUACUGAUGACAAUGAAGCCAAGGAGAGGGAACCAGAAAACAUCAUGGCAGUGCGGAAGAGAGCAACACAAGUAGGAGAGAGAUGAGAAGAAUGAAAGGUUAACUCAGUUCCGAAUGUCAAAAAAAAUGCCAGUAAGCUAGAAAAGAACAUCAUGGUGCUUAUAACAGGUUGACCAAUGAUAAUAGGAGGAACCAAACUCUUGAAAUGGAAAGCAAAGAAUUGAUGAUAGGUGAUAGAGAACCUAAGAAAGCGCAGUCAGCCAAGCAAAUACUACAUGCAUAGCCCAUGCAACAGGGGGUGAGAGAAUAAUUAGAUGACAUCAACAAAAACAAAUCAGGAGGCGCAAAAAAAUAUCACAUAAUUGAUGACAAAGGGAGCUAUCCAGAGAGGAGGAGAGGUCUGAGGUUCAGUUCCCAGUAUUAACCAGGAGACCACAGUGGAAGGGCCCCAUCAAGCAUUAAGUAUAAAUUUGAGAAAUUGACAGACUCAAAACAAAUUUGUUGGAGCUUGAGGCCCACUAUUCUAGCAUGCUGCAACAAGGUUUUUCAUAUCAAUUUUACAAUUAUGAUAAGUAUAGGACAAAGACCGGAAUAUCUUACUUGGAACAAUAGAUGUGCAGUGGAAACCAAUAUUAACAACAAUUCCUGAAGUUUGCUUUGCUGCAUACAAAGCUAAGGUUGCCUGCACUUAUAUCAUAAGAAGAAUGCAUUAGGUGAUUGGCAUGUAACAAAAACAAGAGAAGAUGGGCACCCCAAACCAACCCACAAACAACUAAAGAAAGAAUUAAAAAAAUUAGAAAAAAGGGCAAAGAAAGAAAGAUGAAACCAUAUCCAUGUGAAAGCACCCAAACCUUGAUAUGCUGUUCAGAUGAACUUUAUGAAACCUCUAGUGUAUUAUGUAACAAUUGAAUAUGAUCAUACUAGGUUCAACAAUAAAAAUCACCUACAUCAGAAUCAUAUUCAUGCCCUAAUGGAGGUAAAUAUCAGCUUUUAGAAUAAAUCAAAAGAUCAAUUUACAAAAGGACCCCCUAUCUUGGCAAAAUGACCCAUAAUAUUACAUCCCAACUUAAGACAGAUAACAUGAGAAAGCAAUUGUACUCUUCCAUUUAUCAGGUCUGAUAUCCAGAAAAUCCCCAAUGUGAGCUCCUGUUGUUAUUAGAAAGCACAGUUUUAUGUCAUUGGUGACUGGUGUUCUAAACAAGCCCAAGUAAACUAGGAGAGCAAAAUCCUCCAAGUAAUAAACAAGAUAUUUAGUGUCCAUUCAGAUACGCUUCUGGUUUUCUUCUUUUAAAAUCAGAAAAUAAUAGUAAUUUUUAUAAAAAAUACAAGAACUCUAAGAGGCUUACACUGAAAAAGAAAUGACUUUAAAAAUUGUUUAAAACAAUUGAGGUUCAAAAAAUUUUUACAAUAUCAAAUUUUAAAAUUUUUGAAAGUGACUUUUAAAGACAUAAGGUAAAUCUAUACUUUUUGGACAAGAUGUUCUAGUUUUGUAUAAUAAGUUUCUGAUUUUAAAAACAAAAAACAGAAAGUACAUCCUAAUGGACACUUGGAUUAUUGUUGUAGUCAUAUAGAAAGCUGAUGGAUGGGAAGAGCCACCAAAUACUUGUACUAGUUCUAUACUAACCUUCCAGGAAAAAGGUGCCAGGGCAGAGAAGUCAUUAACAGUGUAAAUGAGUAUGCACAUUAAUUUAAGAGUAGGCAUGUUGAAGGUUAGAUUCAUGGACUGAUGCUCUUGGGUUUAGUAGUGGAUAUGCUUUGCUUGGGCUAGGUUUAGUUUAUGAUAGGAGGAGGUUUCUUACCUCCCCUUUGCCAUCAGUUGAGAAUCCUUUUUGGUUUGGCUAAGGGUAUAAUCUUUUUGGUUAGGCCACAGCUAUGAUUUUGCUUUGGCUGGUUUAAUUUAGGUUAUGUUUGAGUUCCUUCCUUUCCUUGCCUUCCCUGUAAAGUGAUAACUUCAUAUGGUCAUAUGAGAUACUUCUUAAUGGAUUUAUUUUCCAUAGUUCAACAGCUUGAUAUGGAUGAAGGUAUUGAUACGUCCAGAUUGUACAAGCUAGUCUUGCCUCUCCACUCAUCAGUCAUCGUUCAUGAUUCUGUAGGAGAGACGAGGUAGACCAAACUGGGCCAGAUCGCAGGCUUGCAUUGAGCCAUAGUUACCUUCAGCUGAAUGGGCCCAAAUCUAGCCACAUCCAAAAGAAAUACCAAACCCAGUCCAAAUUCCUACAUCUUAAAGUAAAAUUUAAAUUGUGGAAAGUCUACAGCCUGCAGUUUCCAACCGAGCCAAGCCCAUAUAUUUUGGACCUGGUGCCUCAACCCUUGACUGCCCAACAAACUAAGAAUCAAACCCAAGCCCACCAGAGAAAUUUUUAAAACAUGUCUCUUCCAAACACGUCAUUUUUGCCAGUUGUUCCCCUCUCAAUACCAUUUAAAAAAUCCCCCAGCAGCUUUCUCAACUGCUGCAGCCUCACUUGUCUUUUCCUUGGUGUACGAACACGGCACGUCCAUACCUACCUACAGACGGUAGAGGCUGCACCUCCCCUAACCUCCAUCCCGAUCACCAUGCUCGCUGCUGCAUCUCUUCAUCACUACACAAGGCAAGAUCACCAUGCUCACUGCUGCAUCUCUUCAUCACUACACAAGGCAAGAUCACCAUGCUCACUGCUGCAUCUCUUCAUCACUACACAAGGCAAGAUCACCAUGCUCGCUGCUGCAUCUCUUCAUCACUACACAAGGCAAGAUCACCAUGCUCGUUGCUGCAUCUCUUCAUCACUACACAAGGCAAAAACUGGGUGGCACUUCCCACCACAACUGAAAGGAGAAGCUGCAACAACCUACCACAACUUGCAACGCACCAGGCAUACUACUUCUAUAGAUGUUAUUUACACCAACCAUUUAGUUAUUUACACUAUUAUACAACAACAAGAACAAAAUGCUCUGUAUUUUUUCGGGAUACCAUUUCCCUGAUUUUGUCCUCCCAAAUUAAUUUCCCCAUCUAUGAAACAAUAAUACCAUAUAUUUGGAACAAUGAAAACCCUUCCAUUUGUCUUUAUUUGAACUAAUCUAUUCAAGUAUGAGGAAAAUAACAUUAGUUGAGAAAGAGAUUUACCUUAACUAUGAUGCUCUGUAGUUGAUUUUCACAAUGGUAACCUCCCAUGCAUGAAAGUUAGACAUGGCCAUUCCAAAGGAUUAGGGCAUUUUAGUGGUGGACUUUGCAAGGGGAAUGGAUUUUGGCAACUGAUGUGGAGUGAAAUGACUUUGCAAGGGGAACGGAUUAGGGCAUUUUAGUGGUGGACUUAGUGAGAGCUAUAGGUUUCGGGGUUUCUUCAGUUCUGAAAUGGUGGAGGGAAUGUUUGGCGGGCACUCGUACUUAGAAAGGGAAAAACUUUUAAUUAAUAUAUAUUCAGAACAUAUAUAUAUAUAUAUUAUUUAAUGUCACUCCAUGAAAUAUCACAACUAUGACACUUCUAUAAAGUGUCAUGACAUAACUAGUUAUUCUUAUAAUUAAAGAACUUAUCAGACAAUGAUACUUUAAAUAAGUGCCAUGAAAUAAAAAAACUACUAUAAAAAAUGACCCCUUUAAAAAAACGUCAUUGUAUAUCCCAAUAUAAUGAUACUUUAUGAAAGCGCCAAGGAUUAAAGCUAUGACACUGCUAUAAAGUGUCAUGACAUAACUAAUUAUUCUUAUAUAAAGGCCACAUCAGACAAUGAUACUUUAAAUAAGCGCCAUGAAAUAAAAAAACUACAAUAAAAAAUGACCCUUUUGGAAAACGCCAUUGUAUAUCCCAAUAUAAUGAUACCUUAUGAAAGCGCCAAGGAUUAAAGCGUCAUAAUUUUCUAUUUUUGUAGUAGUGACUUCUCAAUUUGCCAUAACCCAUCAACCCCAAACGAACCUCCAAACAUGAUCCCUUAUUUUAUUUCUCCUCCAUCACCAUAAGAAAGACGACAUCAUCAUUUUCCCACCAAACAUCAAUUUGAAGACAAAAGUCCAAGUGUGAAACCCCUAACAAAGCCUAGGUAGACAAAUAACCCCUUUCCUUCUUCUCAUUUCAACAUCGACAAAGUCAUUUCUUCCCUUCCUAUACUUCCUCUUUUGCUUUUACGUUGAAAAAGAGAAAGAAAGCAAUUGAGAGAAAGAGAGAACAAAGCAAUGAAAUAUUGUAGUUGCAUUUAACUUUUAAAGGGUUUUUCCAGAUGAUAUAUGUAUUUUAUUAAAUUUUAUAAUAACUAUUUAUUUUGAUUUGUCAUUUUGAUUCUCUGAGAUUUGAAUAUUGUCAUAGUUAUGUGAUUUUUGGAAUUUUGUGAUUUAAACUUGAUUACAUUGCAUAUUUGUACAUGUUGAAUGUUCAUUAAUAUUAUUCAAUUUUAUAUUUUAAUUUAUUUAGGGUUUAUUUGAAAUGAAAUAUGGUUUAAAACUUGAUAAAUGAUAGGAAAAUGAGAUGGUGGUAAGAGAUAUUGAUUUUGUUUUAUUUUUUGAAUUGUUGUGUUUGUGUUGUAUAUGGUUGUUGGGAAGAAUAUAGAAAAGAGAAAAAAAUAUGACUAUUGAAUGAGAAGGGAAUACAAUUUUUAUAUGGGAUUCAAGAUGUUUUGUUGUUUAAUGUUGUUAAUAUGGGAUUCCAAAAUGAGUAGGUUGAGUUUUUUUAUAUAGUUGUUAAUUGGUGAAUUUAAUGCAGAGGAAAAGAAUUCAUGUUUAGUCAUGAGUAGAUGAGUACAAAUUUUAAAAAUGAUUGGGAGUAAAGUUUGAAUAAAUUUCUUCAUAAAAGUUUUGAAUGUGUAAUGAAUGAGGGUUGAAUUGAAAAAGAAAAUAAAACAAAUGUAGUAAAGCAGACAUGAAUAUAUGUUGGAAUUAGGGAAAAUAGUAGUGGAGCCUUAGGUGGAAAUCUAAUGCUCACAGCUACAAAUAUGAAAUUUGUUUUGUUUAUAUGUGUGUAAUGGUCAUAAUAGGGGUCUACCCUUGGAUGAAGGUGUUGACCGUAAUUCAAGUAAUGACAUUUGGAUGAAAUAAUUGUUUUUGUAAGAGGUUGCAGUCCUAAAGUCGCGUAUGUGGGUUCCUAAAAUAGCCGCCUCAAUCCACUCUGAAACAUGGACUAAUUCCUCCCAAAACAACAACCCUAAAUGCCCUUUCAAAACACGAACUGAUUCCUCCUUAAACAACAACCUCAAAUGUCAUUUCAAAACAUGGACUAAUCCCCUCAAACAACAACCCCAAAUGCCCUUUCAAAACACGGACUCAUUCCUCCUCAAAUAGCAACCCCAAAUGCCCUUUCAAAACAUGGACUGAUCUCUUCAAAUAGCAGCCCCAAAUUUCCUUUCAAAACAAGAACUAAUCCCCCCAAACAGCAACCCCCAAAUGUCAUUUCAAAACACAGACUGAUUUCUUCCAAACAGUAGCCUCAAAUGCCCCUUCAAAACACGGACUAAUUCCUCAAAACAACAACCUCAAAAUCCCCUCUAAAACAUCGACUAAUUUUCUCCAAACAACAGCAUCAAAAUGCUCUUUCAAAACAUGGGUUGAUCUCUUAAAUAACAGCCCCAAAAUGCUCUUUCAAAACAUCGACUGAUUCCUCAAAACAGCAACCUCAAAAUCCCCUCUGAAACAUGGACUGGUUUUCUCCAAACAGUAGCCUCAAAUGCCCCUUCAAAACACAGACUGAUUCCUCAAAACAACAGCCUCAAAAUGUUCUUUCAAAACAUGGACCGAUAUCUCAAACAGCAACCUAAAAAUGCUUUUUCAAAACACCGACUGAUCUUCCAAACAGUAGCCCCAAAAUGCUCUUUCAAAACACCGACUAAUCUCUCAAACAAAAACCCCAAAAUACUCUUUCAAAACACGAACUGAUCUCUUUCCCCAAACAACAACCUCAAUCCCUUCUGAAACAUGGACUUUUUUUCUCUAAACAGCAGCCUCAAAAUGCCCCUUUAAAACACGGACUGAUUCCUCCCUCUUAAAAAUGACAGCCUAACCUCUCCAAAAUAAACCUUCUGACCUCCUUCAAUCAUGCGUCUUCCUUCCUUUUCUUUUCUUUUCUUUCUUAAUCUUUUCUCCAUCCCCUUGUCAGCUUCUCUGCAGCCACGGUGAUGGAAAAAAAAUGGCAGAAAAAGGUUUCCUUCUAUUCUUUCAAUCACCCUCCAUCCCCUCAAAUUUUCCUCUUCUUUUUUUCCCUUUGUCUUUCCUUUUCUCUCUUCCUCUCUCUCCAAUCCACCGGCUACCUCCAUCUUUCCUCUUACUAGCGUUUUUCUUUUUCUUUUAUGGAGCACAUGGGAUCCAUGCAAAACAAAUAAUAAAAACAAAGAAAAAUGAAAAUAAAAAUACCAAUAAAAAAAAACUAAGGGUUAAAAAUCCAAAAUAUGCAAUUUUAAAUGAAAUUAAAAAUAUAGAUCACAUGCAAAACUAAAAUGAAUUAUCAACUCAAGCAACUUUUUAUCAAAAUAAUUUAAUAAAUAGAUAAAUAAAAACAAAAUGAAUAUGAUUAUUAAGCUCAUGCAAUUUCCUAAAAAUGAAUAAAUAAAUGAAUAAAACUAAUAAAUAGAGAAAGAUAAAAAAUAAAAAAAUAAAAAAAAAAAAAAAAAAACAAAAUCAAGCACAUGCAAGCCAUACGAGCUAUGCAACCAUGUAAACCAUGCAUCCAUCCAAAAAAUGAUCUAAAUGGGCCUAGGGUGCCUAAGUGAGCAUAGGGUGCCUAAGUGGGCCUAAGGUGGUGCCUAACAGGGCAAAUGUGCCUAAAUGAGCUUAGGGUGCCUAAGUGGGCUUAGGGUGGUACCUAAUGGGCCAAGCGUGCCUAAUGGGCCUAUUGAACCUAGGUGGUGCCUAAUGAGCCAAGUGUGUCUAAAUGGGCAUAGACUGCCUAAGUGGGCCUAAGGUGUAAUGAGCCAAGUGUGUCUAAAUGGGCCUAGAGUGCCUAAGUGGGCCUAGGGUGGUGCCUAAUGGGCCAGGUAUGUCUAAAUGGGUAUAGGGUGCCUAAGUGGGCCUAAGGUGGUGCUUAAUGGGCCAAGUGUGUUUAAAUGGGCCUAGUGUGCCUAAGUGGGCCUAGGGUGGUACCUAAUAGGCCAUGUGCGUCUAAAUGGGCUUAGGAUGCCUAAGUUAGCCUAGGGUGGUGCCUAAUGGGCCAGGUGCGUCUAAAUGGGCCUAGGGUGCCUAAGUGGGCUUAGGAUGGUGCCAAAUGGGUCAGGUGUGUCUAAAUGAGCCUAGGGUGCCUAAGUGAGCCUAAGGUGGUGCUUAAUGGGCCAGGUGUGUCAAAAUGGGCUUAGGGUGCCUAAGUGGGCCUAGGGUGGUGCCUAAUGGGCUAGGUGUGUUUAAAUGGGCCUAAAGUGGUGCCUAAUGGGCCUAAGGUUCCUAAGUGGGUCUAAGGUGCCUAAGUGGGCCUAGGGUGGUGCCUAAUGGGCCAAGUAUGCCUAAUGGGCCUAAGGUGUACUUAAAUGAACCUACGGUGCCUAAGUGAGCUUCAUGUCAUGGACUUAAUUUUUUCUUAAGCUCGUGCGGCACUUAGACAAGCCAAGACCCUUGAUCUUGCUAAGUCAACCUUACUCUCAAUGCUUAGCUUGCUAGGCUAAGACGCUCACAACUCAAAAGCUUUAGAAGACGUAGUAGGCAACUCUUAAAGAAUGAAAGUUGUUAUUACUCAAGGAAGCCUUACAAGUGCUUUUGGGAAUUCACUUGCUUGGUUAGGAAGUGAUUUGGGUGGUGCCUUGGCCAAAUGAGGCCCUCGCCUAUUUAUAGGCACCAAUAGAACUCUUUGGAACCUUGGAGGGUUCCUUACAAAUUAGGAAGAUUCUAGAAUACCCUACACAAUUCUAUGUACAACCUUAUGUACAAGAGAUCUCUAGAAUUCUCUAGAAAGCCUUGGACUCCUCUCAUGCCUUCCACCAUAGUGUAGAGAUGUAUGGACAUCUCUAGGCAUCUCUAGAACCUUCCACACUCUUUCCUCCAAUGGCUUAGUGUAGAUGGCUCCAAGAGCUUCCAGAAGCUUCCUGGGCUCUAUAUAAACCCAUGAGGAGGCUCAUUUGAAGCAUCAUGUGACACUAAGAUGCCUAAGUGGGCCUAGGGUGGUGCCUAAUGGGCCAAGUGUAUCUAAAUGGGCUUAAAGUGGUGCAUAAUGGGCUUAAGGUGCCUAAGUGGGCCUAGGGUGGUGCCUAAUGGGCCAAGUGUAUCUAAAUGGGCCUAAAGUGGUGCCUAAUGGGCUUAAGGUGUACUUAAAUGAACCUAGGGUGCCUAAGUGAGCAUAAGUCUAAAUUAGGGCUACCAAGAGUCACAAUGGGGUUAGAUAAAUCCCUCAACCAAAGUCCCCAAGGUGGCUUAGAAAAGAUAGGUUACAAGAGUAGUAAUGAGCCACAAGGGAAUUGCUAUAAAGUACCGAACAAAUACCUAGUAUGACAUGUGCUAAGAGGAUAAAAUGGAGGGUCUACAGGUGUAUUUUAAAGAGACACCUUCUAGAAUUUCAAAAAAUUCGAUUUAUAUUGAAAGUAUCUCUUGAAAAGACACUUUCCACAAUUCCACAAAAUCUAAUAUAUACUAAAGGUGCCCCUUCAAGAGACAUCUUCCACAAUUUCACAAAUUUUAAUUUAUACUACAAAUGUCUCUUGAAUUUGAUUUUAUAUUAAAAAAAUUGGAUUUAUACUAAAGAUGUCUCUUCAAGAGACACUUUCCACAAUUCCAUAAAAUUCAAUAUAUAUUAAAAGUGUCUCUUCAAGAAACACGUUUCACAAUUUCACAAGUUUUAAUUUAUACUACAAGUGUCUCUUGGAUUUGAUUUUAUAUUGAAAGAGACACCUUUUACAAUUCCAAAAAAUUUGGAUUUUUACUAAAGGUGUCUCUUAAAUAAACAUUUGCCACAAUUUCACGAAUUCCAAUACAUACUAAAGGUGUCUUUAAUUUUAAUUUUCAUCUUCAACAAUUUCAAAAAUUUUAAUUUAUACUACAAGUGUUUCUUAAAUUUGAUUUUAUAUAUAAGGUGUCCUUUGAAAAAAAUACCUUUAGUAUAUAUUGGAUUUUGUGGAAUUGUAUAAGGUGCCUUUUUAAGAGACACCUUUAGUUUAAAUUAAAUUUUUUUUAGAAUUGUAGAAAGGGUUUACCUUCAAUAUAAAAUCAAAAUCAAGAGACACUUGUAGUAUAAAUUAAAAUUUGUAAAAUUAUGGAAGGCGUAGAGUUUAGUAUAUAUUGGAAUUUUUUUUUUUUGAAUGGUGGAAAUUGUCUUUUCAAGAGAAACCUUUUACUAUAAAUCCAAUUUUCUGGAAUUGUAGAAAGUGUCUCUUGAAAAGACACCUUUAGUUUAAAUUCAAUUCUUUUAAGUAUAUAUCGUAGAUUUAAAAAUUGUAGAAGAUGUCUCUUGAAGAGACACCUUCAAUAUAACAUUGAAUUCAAGAGAUAUAGAAAUAGGUUGCAUCAAAAAAGUUAAAAUAGGAUAUAGUUUUUUUUCCACCCCUCUCCCAUAUGUCCAAAAAUGCCACAAAAUUGGAAUUAUUUUCCAAUCUUGAUAUUUUAGAAAAUAAUUUUUAAAGGAAAAGUUGUGCUUUGGGCUUCCCAUCCCAACAUAAUAGCAUUUUAGAAACCUAACAAUGGGAAAUAUGAGAAUCAACUUUUAAUAUGAAAAGUAUUAUCAUUUUUGUGCACUCUAGGCCGACUCCACCUUUUAUGCCCAAAUUACCCCUUCAUUUCUCUAGCUCAGCAUCAUCCUAACAACCCAAAAAUUCUCUAAUUUUAGUUCAGAAACCCAACUCCAAAACUCCAAGGCAGUGUUAAAACGCGUGUUUCGGCUCAUCUAGGAGCCAUGGGAGUAAAACAGAAUAUGGGAAAAACGAAAAUGAAGCUUGGGUGGAGAGAGUAGGUACCCAAAAAUCAAAACCCUAACCUCCAAAUGCAUCCUAGACUCACAAAUUUGUGUCCAAGAUAGCUCUAUCAUCAAGAAAUAGCACCAAACAUCUCUCCUAGACUACUAAAUCGGCAAAACCCUUGAAGAACCAGAGAAAAUAGUGCAUAAAAUGAAACGUGGGAGACUCUUAAAGUAUUGGGUCCCGACGAACCGGUCAACCGGUCCUCGAACCAAUCACCAUUGGUAUUUUAGUGACUGUACCUUAGGUACUACCUUGAUAGCCUUUAGAUACUAGCUUAAUCUACUUUAGGUACUACCUUAACCGACCUUAGGUACUACCUUAGUUAAACCUGCGUUCUACUUGUGUGAAGGCUUAAAACUUCAUUUGUGGAUAUUAAUUAAUUCAUUUGUGACCCUUAGAGCAUGCCAUUAUGUGAUUAAUCAAUGUGGUCAAUUGGUUCACCUUUGGUAUUUUGGUGAUUGUACCUUAGGUACUACCUUAAUAGCUCUUAGGUACUAUCUUAAUCAACCUUAGCUACGACCUUAGUAAAACUUGGGUACUACCUAUUUGAAGACUCGAAACUUCAUUUGUAGAUAUUGUUUAUUUCAUUUGUGACCCUUAAAGCAUGUCAUUAUGUGAUUAAUUAGCAUACCAUCAUAACAUGCUUUAAGGGUCACAAAUGAAUUAAGUAAUAUCCACAAAUGAAGUUCCAAGGCUUGAAAUAGGUAGUACCCAAGUUUUACUAAGAUAGUACCUAAGGUCGGUUAAAGUAGUACCUAAGGUAGAUUAAGGUAGUACCUAAGGACUAUUAAGGUAGUACCUAAGGUAUAGUUAUCAAAAUAUCAAUGGUGAACCAAUUGACCACACUAAUUAAUCACAUAAUGGCAUGCUUUAAGGGUCACAAAUGAAGUAAGUAAUAUCCACAAAUGAAGUUUUGAGGGUUUAGAUAGGUAGUACCCAAGUUUUACUAAGGUAGUACCUAAAGUCGGUUAAGAUAGUACCUAAGGUAGAUCAAGCUUGCACCUAAGGGCUAUUAAGGUAGUACCUAAGGUACAAUCACCAAAAUAUCAUAGGUAAUCGAUCAAGGACCGGUCGACCAAUUCGUCGAGACCCAAUACUUUAAGAGUCUCUCGCACUUCAUUUUCUGCAUUGUUUUCUUUGGUUUUUCAAGGGAUUCAUCGAUUCAAUGGUCUAGGAGAGAUGCUUGGUGUUAUUUAUUACUAAUGGAGCUAUCUUGGACAUGAAUUUGUGAGUAUAGGACCGAUUCAAUGGUCUAGGUUAGGUGUAGACCCCUUUUGGACCAAGGGGUAUUGCUGGCCACUCGGUGAGCUGAGGAUUUUAUUUGAGGAGUGGGAGAUGACUUCAAUGAAGAAGCUGCUGAGAUGUGUGGCAAAAGAUGUGACCACCUUGCCAUGGUGGUGGUUGAAGCAGGUAAGAAAAGAAAACAGAGGAGUACCACAGAGCUGGGUGAUGGGAGACUUUUUGGGGAGUGGUAGUUGGAGGAAAGGAGAAGUAGAGGUUUUGAGAGAAUGUGAGGAAAGAAGGGUUGGAAGAGAAAAACGGAGGAAUUUUUUCAGAUAGAGUGAUAAAACAAAGGCUAUGAAUAAUUAAGGAAAAUACCCAAAAGGGGGGGUGAAUUGGGUUUUUCAAAAUCUUUUUCCACGCAACAAUAUAUGCACAAAAUAAAUAAAGGAAAGAGAUAAAGGUAGAGAAUUCAAACUCAAAUUUAUAGUGGUUCGGCACUCCCUUGCCUACGUCCACUCUCCUCAAUCUCCUAACCGAGUGAGGGUUCCACUAGCUUGAAGCUACAAUCAAGCUUUCAAUCGUAUUACACUUGGAUUCCGGCUCCAAUGGGCUCUUACACAAUCUCUUCAAGAUUUGAACCACUUGAAGGCUUUCACACUCAGUUUACACAAGGAUGAAACUCUCAACCUAGCUUAAGGAAGGCUCAAGUACAAGAGAAAGCUAGGAUGAAUUGCAAGAGUGCACUAAGAAUAUGCAAUUGAUGGUUUAAUGCACUAAGAAAGAGGAUGAGAGCUUUUUGAUCAAGAACAGGUAGGUAGGCUUUGAAUGCAAUUGUUCUCUUGGUCAUAAAUGAAGAGGAGCUCUCAAUUUAUAGGUUUCUAAGCUCGGGAGACAAAAACAGCAGAAAGUAGCCUCGACCGGACGAGCAAAGGCUCGACCGGAUCACUAGCCGUUGGAGCAUUUAAUGCAUAGCAGGUUACCGUUGCCUCGACCGGACUUCGACUGGACCUCGACCGGACAAAGGGUGAGGCUCGACCGGGAAGAGGAAGCUAUUGGGAGAGAGAGAAAGUUUUUGUGUCUCCCUCGACCGGACCUCGACCGGACAAGGGAAACCGGUCGACCGGUUCCCCAACCGGUUGAGCCGGUUGGCCAUAGCCUCGAUCGGAUGAGCCUUUUGGCCCUGAAAACCUAUCCUUUUUUAUUUCUUUCUUUUCCAAUACUUAGGCAAGGUCUUUAGGAGAGUUUAAUAUGUCAAUUUUGAGUCAAUUUGCCUAAGGUAUAUUUGAUAAAACUCGGGUUUUAAAGAAAAUCAAGUUUUAAAGAAUAAACCGAGUUUUCUAAGAUGCAUGAAAAUGUAUGAACAUCCUAAGUGCACUCAUGCUAUCAUCUUACAUUCAUUUCCUAUGAUCACAAGUCUUCCAAAUGGUCUUUAUCCCGUAUUCGUUUGGUCCUUGAGAUUAUACCUGAGAUUCUUAACAAUUUAAAGCAAUUAGUCACUUAACCACGGUUUGUUAUCAUCAAAACCUGAUUAGGAGAACCCUUGGGCUAACAAUCUCCCCCUUUUUGAUGAUGACAAACCUUGGUUAUCUAGGAGACAGAGAAAUCUCCCCCUCAAACCAACCAUGGGAUAAUCAACACAAAAUGUAGGAAAUUUAAAGCGAGAAGACAAUGUAAAUCAAUAACAGUGUCAUAUCAUAUAUAAGCAAGAGCAAGAGUACAUGAAAGCGUAUGAUAUGUAUGGAAAUGAAAAAGUCUCCUAAGGUCCCUAUCCUAACAUAUCUCCCCCUUUGGCAACAUAAAAAAGAAACGAAGGGGGAUCCCAAACAAAAUCAAGGCUGAGGAGGUGGUGGUGGAAACACAGAACGGAGGUAAGCCAUCAUCUCCUCGUGCUGACUCUCCUGGCGGCUCUCAAAACGCUCCUGGCGGCUCUCAAGACGCUCAAUCCUUUGUGCAAGCUGCUCAAACUGAGAGGUGAAGCCGGCCUGAUACUGAUCAAUGCGAUCCUCCACGGAAUAAAAGCGAGUAUCAUGAACAACAGCUAACUCCUCCAUACGAGUCCCGAGAGAGCUAAUCUGUGCCGACAAAUCCAUCCAAGGUGGAUGCUCAGGAGCAUGAGGAGCCUGAGAUGGUAGCUUAGUAAAUGAUGGCUCAGUCAUCAUAGGCUCUGAGAAGGUAGCCUCAACAUGAAUGCCUCCCGACUGAUGUGGAGCCGGAAUGUCAAGCUCUGGCCCUCUCUGCUCAAGGUCCCUCUGAGGGUCCAACCCAUCCUGCAUCUCUCUAAUCUUGUCCUCCUCCUCUACUCCGGGGUGUAGCUGAUCAUGUCCCCGGGCCUGUCGCUCGGCUUUCCUAACCCAGGAGCCGUUGGGGGCCUUCUCAAGCUUCAUGCGCCCCAGAGAAUGCUCGUCAUAAGUGUCAUAGAUGCUAGGUGCCUCAAACUCUGUCUCUCUACUCAAGUCUACCCCAGCAUCCUUGAAGACACGAGUGAGGAAGCGACCAUAGGGAAGCACUCGUGUGGUGCUCUCACAACAGGACAUCAUAUGCCGCAUCAUCACAUAUCCUACAUGUAUCCGCCUCCCGGUGAGAAGUGAGUCGACAAGAAAGGCCUCAUAGUAGGUGACCUCGUCCCGAUGUCCACCCUGUGGUAAUAGGAUGGAGCAGAUCAUAUGAUGAAGGACUCUGCUAGGCACGGUCAGGCUAUGUGCUGAAGGUUUGCCCAUCCCAUGGGCAUCUGCAAGUCCUCACAGCCUCUGAAUGGCCUCUCUAGGCUCGAACCCGGGGAUAGUAGGCCAUGCCUUGGCCUCAUAUACUCGAAGACCAAUGGGGGGAACGUCAAGGAUGCGACAAAUGCUCUCCGGACUCAGCUCAAUCUCAACUCCUCGGACAGUAGUCCUAAUCGGCCCUCCAAGUCCAUAGGUCAUCCUGGAGUAGAAUGCACGCACUAAGGUCGGAAAGAUAGGCUCAUAGACCGUCACAACUGGCAGCCAUCCCAUCCUGGUGAAGAGUCCCUCAAACCCGAGACUCUGAAGUUGGAAGAAAUUGAUGUUUCUCCCUGGAACCACCUUUCUCUUGGCGAAAUGCGUCUUGUACCUCUGAUAAUCCUCAACUGAGCCGAAGAGGGCGGUGUCGUACCUCGCCUUUCGGCGAGCCUUGGUCUGCUCGGGCUGCUGAGAGGGCUCAGCAGGGCGCUUGCCCUGACCUCUAGAAGUACCCGUCUCCUUUCGAGGAGCCAUCCAAAAUCCGAAAAUGGAGAUAUGUACUGAAGCGAGUAGGCAAAGAGAGAAGACUAACCCCAAGAAGCCCUAGGCGCGUGGGAAAGGAGCAAAACCAGAAGAUGGCACGCAAACAGAGAGGAACCCGUCAAGAUCCGAAGUCCAAAUCCGUCCAGAGAUGAAACCCUAGCCUCAAAUCUCGUCAAAGAACACUCCAAAACCUGAAAUCGGUCCAAGGAAUAGCCCAAACUGAUCUCUGAAGGCGGGAAGAUGAAGGGUCUUCGAGGAAUGCCAGAGAACAGUGGAAAAAACUGACGCGCGGGGGCCUUUUAAACUCCCAGCCCCGACGAACCGGUCGACCGGUUCCUCAACCGGUCGACCGCCUGGUCAACGGUCAACGGUUUCAUUUUCCAAUUUUUUUUUUUUGCGUAUUCUUGUCUCGUGAUCCUCCUCCUGAUCUUUUCAGCUGAAAUCCCCAAUUUUUGAUGUCCAAUGCCACGGGAAUUUUGAUUUUUGGUCAAAAAUUGACCUAUUUUCUAAGGGAUUGCUAUAUGAUGCGUAUGAGAUGAAAUUUAUGCAAUCAUAAUGCAUUUCCAACAAGAAUUCAUUAUACAAACAUCAGAUCAAAGAGAAAUAACCCCUAGUUGUCUUCUAAUAUCGGAAAAUUGUUCUUCACUUAGAGGUUUUGUAAAAAUAUCGGCAAGUUGAUCUUUUGUGCUUACAAAUUCAAGUGUAAUGUCACCCUUUUGUGCAUGAUCUCUAAGAAAAUGAUGUCUAAUUUCUAUAUGCUUGGUCCUAGAGUGUUGCACGGGAUUUUUUGAAAUAUUUAUGGCACUAGUGUUAUCACAUUUGAUAGGAACAUGCUCAAAAGAUAAGUUAAAAUCACUAAGUGUUUGUUUCAUCCAAAGGAUUUGAGCACAACACAAACCGGCUGCUAUGUAUUCGGCUUCCGCCGUUGACAAAGCUACCGAAUUUUGCUUCUUACUAUGCCAUGAGACAAGUGAGUGUCCUAAGAAAUGACAAGUGCCACUAGUGCUCUUUCUUUCAACUCUACAACCGGUAAAAUCGGCAUCCGAGAACCCAAUCAAUUCAAAAUUAUCACCCUUAGGAUACCACAAACCAAUAUUCAUUGUCCCUUUCAAAUAUCUAAGAAUUCUUUUAACGGCACUUAAGUGAGAUUCUUUAGGACAAGAUUGAAAUCUAGCACACAAGCAUACACUAUACAUGAUAUCGGGUCUACUAGCGGUCAAAUAAAGCAAGGAUCCUAUCAUGCCUCUAUACAUAGUUGAGUCAAUAGAUUUACCUUUUUCAUCCAUGUCAAGCUUGAUGGAUGAGCUCAUUGGAGUUUUCAUCACCUUGGCUUCUUCCAUGUUGAACCUCUUGAGAAGAUCCUUUAUAUACUUUGCUUGAUUGAUGAAGGUUCCUUCCUUCAGUUGCUUGAUUUGAAGUCCAAGGAAGUAAUUGAGUUCCCCCAUCAUGCUCAUUUCAAACUCACUAUGCAUACACUUAGAGAAAUCUUCACAAAGAGAGUCAUUAGUAGCCCCAAAAAUAAUAUCAUCAACAUAUAUUUGAACUAGAAGCAUAUCCUUUUCUUUGGUUUUAAUGAAAAGAGUUGUGUCGAUUUUUCCCAUUUUAAAACCCUUUUUCAAAAGAAAUUUACUUAGUCUUUCAUACCAAGCUCUAGGUGCUUGUUUCAAACCAUAAAGUGCCUUUUUAAGUUUAAAAACAUGGUUUGGAAAGUUGAAGCUUUGAAAACCGGGUGGUUGUUCAACAUAUACUUCCUCAUUUAUGAAGCCAUUUAGAAAAGCACUUUUCACAUCCAUUUGAUAUAGAAUAAAGUCUUUGAAACAUGCAAAAGCAAGCAACAUUCUAAUUGCUUCCAAUCUAGCUACGGGGGCAAAAGUCUCUUCAUAGUCUAUUCCUUCUUCUUGAUUAUACCCUUGGGCCACCAAUCUUGCCUUAUUUCUUACUAUGAUGCCAUUUUCAUCCAUUUUGUUUCUAAAGACCCAUUUAGUUCCAAUAACACUUUGAUUUGAAGGUCUUGGUACUAGUUCCCAUACUUCACUUCUUUCAAAUUGAUUUAAUUCUUCUUGCAUAGCAAUCAUCCAAUUUUCAUCAACUAUAGCAUCUUUUAUGUUUUUAGGUUCAAUUUGAGAGAUGAAUGCAAGAUUAUUACAAAUAUUUCUAAGGGAUGAUCUAGUUCUUACCCCACUUGAUGGAUUACCAAUGAUUUGAUCUUGUGGAUGGUUGAUGACAAACUUCCAAUCUUUUGGGAGGUCUUGACUUGAUUCUCCUUGCACUUGUUGAGGAGGAGGUAGUGCCAAAGGUGAAUCUUCUUUCUUGGGAUUCUCUCCACUUUCUUCUUGUUGUCUUUUGUCCUCAAUUUGCAAUUUUCCCAUGGAGGUCUCCAAUCCUAAAUCAUCAUCAACACUUUCUCUUUCUUGAAGAGAAUUGUUAGAUUCAUCAAAAAUGACAUGGAUGGACUCUUCUACAACCAUGGUUCUUUUGUUGAAAACUCUAAAAGCUUUACUUGAAGUUGAGUAGCCAAGAAAAAUUCCAACAUCAGAUUUUGCAUCAAAUUUUCCAAGAUUAUCUUUGGUGUUUAAUAUAAAACAUUUGCACCCAAAGACUUUGAAAUAGCUAAUGUUGGGUUUCUUGUUUUUCCAAAGCUCAUAGGGAGUUUUCUUAAGAAUGGGCCUCAACAAUAUUCUAUUUAAAACAUAGCAAGAAGUGUUUACCGCUUCGGCCCAAAAAUACUUUGGCAAAUUGUUUUCAUUUAGCAUGGUUCUAGCCAUUUCUUGAAGAGUUCUAUUUUUCCUUUCAACUACCCCAUUUUGUUGAGGAGUUCUAGGAGCCGAAAAAUUGUGAUUGAUACCAUGCUUAUUGCAAUAUUCCUCAAAGUCAAAAUUCUCAAAUUCUCUCCCAUGAUCACUUCUAAUGCAAGUGAUUGAAAAGCCUUUUUNNNNNNNNNNNNNNNNNNNNNNNNNNNNNNNNNNNNNNNNNNNNNNNNNNNNNNNNNNNNNNNNNNNNNNNNNNNNNNNNNNNNNNNNNNNNNNNNNNNNNNNNNNNNNNNNNNNNNNNNNNNNNNNNNNNNNNNNNNNNNNNNNNNNNNNNNNNNNNNNNNNNNNNNNNNNNNNNNNNNNNNNNNNNNNNNNNNNNNNNNNNNNNNNNNNNNNNNNNNNNNNNNNNNNNNNNNNNNNNNNNNNNNNNNNNNNNNNNNNNNNNNNNNNNNNNNNNNNNNNNNNNNNNNNNNNNNNNNNNNNNNNNNNNNNNNNNNNNNNNNNNNNNNNNNNNNNNNNNNNNNNNNNNNNNNNNNNNNNNNNNNNNNNNNNNNNNNNNNNNNNNNNNNNNNNNNNNNNNNNNNNNNNNNNNNNNNNNNNNNNNUCAUCUUUGUUGAGUUGGGAAAUGAGGUCCAUGUUAGCAUGUCCCAACCUCCUAUGCCACAACCAACUUUGAUCAUGCAUGCUUGAAAAACAUCUAUCAUGGCCAUCAUAUUUUGAAAUAUUUAUAGCAUAUACAUUUUCACAUCUAUGGCCCAUGAAGAUGGUUUUGUCAUUUUGAAUAUCCUUGAUGAUACAAUGAGAUGCUUCAAAAAUUACUUUAAAACCUUUGUCACAAAGUUGACUAAUGCUCAAAAGAUUGUGUUUUAAACCAUCUACUAAUAAAACACUUUCAAUAAGGGAGGAUGUACCAUUACCUAUGUUACCUUGACCAAUGAUUCUUCCUUUUGCAUUGUCUCCAAAGGUGACAUAUCCUUCUUUUCUCUUUGUAAGGAAGGCAAACUUGGAUUCAUCUCCGGUCAUGUGUCUUGAGCACCCACUAUCCAAGAACCACUUAUCUUCCUUUGAGCCCUACAAAAUGGAAUUCAAGUUGAUUUAGGUACCCAUGUCUUCUUGGGUCCUUGAGGGUUAGUGACUUUGGAUUUUUCAAUCCAAACCUUUUUAACCUUAGCUUUUGAAUUCUUUUGAGCACCAUUUCUUAAGGGACAUGUACUACUAAUGUGCCCUCCUCUUCCACAAAAGUUACAAAUAGUGGAAGGACAUUCACUUGAGGAUUCUUUUACAAAAUAGUUUUUAAAAUACUUUUGGUUCUUUGAAGAUUUGAAUCCUAGUCCUUGUUUGUCAAAAACACAUUUUUGGCUUGCUAAGAUCAUUUCAAAGGACUUUUGUCCACAAGAGAAAAUUGAAAGAGAGGAGGUCAACCAUUCAUUUUUCUUUUUCAAAAUUUCAUUUUCAUUUCUUAAAAUCUCAUUCUCUUUUUCAAGAUGAGUUUUAGAGAUUUCAUCAAUUGAAAACUUUUCUUUCACUUCCUCAAGUUCUUUUUCAAGUUCUUGAAUUCUCUUUUUAAGAGAAUUAUUUUUCAAACUAAGUUUUUCAAAAUCCUCAUAUAGUUCUUCAAAAAUAACAUGCAUAUCUUCAUCACUAGAGUUAGAGUUUACCUCAUCAAGAUCAUCUAUUGCCAUGAAGCACAUGUUUGCCACUUCUUUUUCCUUUUCUUCCUCGGAAGAUUCUUCACUCUCACUCCAAGUGGCCAUCAUUGCCUUCUUCAUUCUUCUUUUGGCUUCAAUUUUGUAGAGAGGACAAUCAUAUUUAAUGUGUCCCGGCUUUUUGCAUUUGAAGCAUAUCAAAUCUCCUUUCUCUUCCCAUUUUUCUUUGUCUCCAUGUGAUGAGGAUUCCCUUCUUGAGGGAUUUCUUCUAGAGGUAAACUUUUUCCCUCUAAACCUUUCACCUCUCAUGUACUUGUUUAGCUUUCUUGUGAUGAGAGCUAAAUCAUCAUCUUCCUCACUUGGUUUUUCUUCUUCAACAUCUUCUUCUUCCUUGGUUGUAGCCUUGAGAGCUAUGCUUUUCUUCUUCUUGUCUUCACUCUCUUGUAGUUGCUUUGUCAAACUGAUUUCAUAAGUCAUCAAUGACCCUAAGAGUUCUUCCAUAGGUAGCUUGGUCAAGUCUUUAGCUUCUUGAAUAGCGGUGACCUUUGUAUGCCACUUUGAGGGUAGAGACCUCAAUAUCUUCAUCACCUUUUCGGAUUCAUUUAUGACCCUUCCCAAUGCUUCAAGGCCAUUGACAAUUUCAGUGAACCUAGUGAUCAUCUCAACAAUAGUUUCAGUUUCUUUCAUUGAAAACAAUUCAUAGUUAUGGACAAGUAUAUUAAUUUUUGACUCUUUCACUUGAUUUGUUCCUUCAUGAGUUAUUUCAAGCAAUCUCCAAAUUUCCUUAGCAGAUUUACAUUGGCAUAUUCUAUUGUAUUCAUUCCUAUCCAUAACACAUUGCAAAGUAAAGACGGCUUUAGCAUUUAAUUGAAAAUUUCUUCUAUCAAGCUUAUUCCAUUCUUUCUUGGGUUUUGGAACCAAAACUCCAUCAACUAAUUUAGUGGGAAAAGUUGGGCCAUCUUCAAUGACAUCCCAUACAUCUAAAUCGGUUGAUUGUAAGAACCAAGUCAUUCUAGCUUUCCAAUAGGGAUAGUCGGUUCCCGUAAAGAAUGGAGCUCUAUGUUUUGAAAAAAUUUCAGUUUGAGAUGAGCUUGAUGGAAUAGCCAUUUUCCUCUUAGACGAUUAAGUCUUAAGCAAGAGGUCUAGCUCUGAUACCAAUUGAUAAAACAAAGGCUAUGAAUAAUUAAGGAAAAUACCCAAAAGGGGGGGUGAAUUGGGUUUUUCAAAAUCUUUUUCCACACAACAAUAUAUGCACAAAAUAAAUAAAGGAAAGAGAUAAAGGUAGAGAAUUCAAACUCAGAUUUAUAGUGGUUCGGCACUCCCUUGCCUACGUCCACUCUCCUCAAUCUCCUAACCGAGUGAGGGUUCCACUAGCUUGAAGCUACAAUCAAGCUUUCAAUCGUCUUACACUUGGAUUCCGGCUCCAAUGGGCUCUUACACAAUCUCUUCAAGAUUUGAACCACUUGAAGGCUUUCACACUCAGUUUACACAAGGAUGAAACUCUCAACCUAGCUUAAGGAAGGCUCAAGUACAAGAGAAAGCUAGGAUGAAUUGCAAGAGUGCACUAAGAAUAUGCAAUUGAUGGUUUAAUGCACUAAGAAAGAGGAUGAGAGCUUUUUGAUCAAGAACAGGUAGGUAGGCUUUGAAUGCAAUUGUUCUCUUGGUCAUAAAUGAAGAGGAGCUCUCAAUUUAUAGGUUUCUAAGCUCGGGAGACAAAAACAGCAGAAAGUAGCCUCUACCGGACGAGCAAAGGCUCGACCGGAUCACUAGCCGUUGGAGCAUUUAAUGCAUAGCAGGUUACCGUUGCCUCGACCGGACUUCGACCGGACCUCGACCGGACAAAGGGUGAGGCUCGACCGGGAAGAGGAAGCUACUGGGAGAGAGAGAAAGUUUUUGUGUCUCCCUCGACCGGACCUCUACCGGACAAGGGAAACCGGUCGACCGGUUCCCCAACCGGUUGAGCCGGUUGGCCAUAGCCUCGACCGGAUGAGCCUUUUGGCCCUGAAAACCUAUCCUUUUUUAUUUCUUUCUUUUCCAAUACUUAGGCAAGGUCUUUAGGAGAGUUUAAUAUGUCAAUUUUGAGUCAAUUUGCCUAAGGUAUAUUUGAUAAAACUCGGGUUUUAAAAAAAAUCAAGUUUUAAAGAAUAAACCGAGUUUUCUAAGAUGCAUGAAAAUGUAUGAACAUCCUAAGUGCACUCAUGCUAUCAUCUUACAUUCAUUUCCUAUGAUCACAAGUCUUCCAAAUGGUCUUUAUCCCGUAUUCGUUUGGUCCUUGAGAUUAUACCUGAGAUUCUUAACAAUUUAAAGCAAUUAGUCACUUAACCACGGUUUGUUAUCAUCAAAACCUGAUUAGGAGAACCCUUGGGCUAACAUAGAGGUUUGGAAGGGGGUAUGAGAAAGGAAAACAGAGCAAGAGAGGUGGAGAGCAAAAACAGAGAGUAGGACUGAGACAAGGGGAUGAGCCGAGAAAGGAGCGGUCCAUGGGUGUUUCGUUUUAGAGAGACUGAGAGAGAGUGAGCUAGGUAGAAAAACAGGGUUGCAAAAACGCGGGGUGAUCGAUUGGUUUUGAAGGAAAAGGAAUAGUUAGAAGCCAACAUUCCACACGUCCGGAGAGAAGUCAUCCAGGUAUGGAUUUUUUUGUUUCUAUUGUUCAGUUUGUUGGCCAUACUGCCUUUCUUUCUCUCUUUUUGUCUUCCUCUCUUUCUUCCAUUGCUUGCAUGCCCUCUGAUUGCUGGAGACCCAAAGUUAGCUUGAUGGUGCUCCAACAGAUCCGCAUUUGACUAUGAUAAAAAUACCUUAGUUGUGCCAUUGUUUUUCUAUGUUGAGGUCCAGACUUACCAUGGUUUGAUGUGUGAGAAUUUAUGAAAUUGUCUUGGGAACACUAGAGGAUCAUGUUGUCAUCUUUCUUGUCCACAAUGGACCCACGUGUUUAGGUUUUAAUAUGAAUGACAUCUGUGGAGUGGAUUGGGUGUAUGGAGGUGGUGAUCAUGGUGAUCCAGAUUUAGCACAAGCCAUUUCCCACUUGAAAUAGACCACCAAAUUCUCCACCUCCCUGGUUAUAUUUGGCCACAUGUAUAAAGAGCUAGCACAUGGAAAUGCCCACAGAAAAAUGAUUGUUGUUGGGGAAGACGACACCACAUACCUUUGGCGGGCCAUCCUUGAAACACAUGCCUUUAUCUUUUUGUUUUUUUAUUAUUUAUCCUCACUCAUCAAAGUUUGAUUUUCACAAAAUCUCUUUUAAAUGAUUUUCAAAAUUCCAGUUUUUCAAAUAAUCUUAUUUCCAUUCCAAUUUGAAAUUUUAAUUUAAAGAAAAAAAAUUCAUUCUCAAAUAAUUUUUUAAAAUUCCAAUUUCCAAAUUUAAUUUUCAAAACUUCCAUUCUCAAAUAAUUUUUCAAAAUUCCAGUUUUCAAAUUCAAUUUUCAAAACUUUAAUCUUCGAAUAAUUUUCCAAAAUUCCAAUUUCCAAAUUUAAUUUUUAAAACUUUCAUUUUCAAAUAAUUUUUCAAAAUUACAUUUUCAAAACUCCAAUUUUCAAAACUUCAAUUUUUAAAUUUAAUUAUCAAAACUUCACUUUCCAAAUUUCCAAUUUUCAAAACUCCAAUUUUCAAUUAAUUUUUUUAAAAAACUCCAAUUUUCAAAACUUCAAUUUUCAAAUAAUUUUCAAAAUGACUAUUUUCAAAACUCUAGUUUUCUUUCAAAUAAUUUUAAUUCCACUCCAAUUUUCAAAUAUUUUUAAUUCUACAACUUUUCAUCAUUUAUUAGGGUUUUGGGUAAAAAAAAUCUCAUUUUUAAUAAACUUGCUACCUUUCCCUUCAGUUAAGCACUUUCACAAAUUUUCUUUGAUUUUCAAAUAAUCUUUUGUUUCUUUUGAUUUUAAAUAAGCAUGAAUAUGAUUUUCAUAAUUCCAAAACAAUGGAAUUUGUGGGAUUAAUUCAUGCAAAAUCAAUUGGGUUUUGGUGGGGGCCCUACAUAUGAGUUUUCUCUUCUGAUUGUCAACUGUUAUGCUUAAUGAAUAUUGUUUGAUCUUUGUCUUGCUUUUUGAUAUGCAUGUGAUAAUUUUAUACUUGAGCUAACCUUGUUUCCAUGAUAACACACUAUUACUUGUUGUUAAGGUACACUCUCACUCUCACUUUGUUUAUUUAUUCGUUAUCAUGAUUUACUUUUGAUCUAUGAUCAUUUUGGCAUCCAUUGAUUUCCUCAUUAAGUUCCACACUUGCUUCGCCUUAUUUAGUAGAGACCCUUUUUUAGGGACUUAGAGGGGUGCUAUGGUCUUUUACCGUACGUUCCCUAUAGGUAACCUGAUCCUUGGACCCCACUUUGAUUUUUCACAGACUUGUUUUUCCUUCAGGAAUCACACUUGGGGUUUUUCUUUCUCAUUUUGUUUUUCCCUUUAAAAAAUAAAAACAUAAAUAAGUGAUGACUCCAAAUCUUUUCUAAAAAUCAUAAUUUUUCAUAAAUAAAUGAAAAGCGAGUGUCGCUAUCGAGUGGGAAUGCAUCAUGUGAAAUGCGGGGUCCACAUUAGGGUUUUGAUUUUUUUGGUACCUACUCUCUCUACCCAAGCUCCAUUUCAUUUUUCUCAUAUUCUCUUGGACUCCCAUGGCUCCUAGACGAGCCAAAAGGCGUGUUUUGACACCUCCUUGGAGUUUUGGAUUUGGAUUUGGAUUUCUGAACUAAAAUUAGAGAAAUUUUGGGUGGGUGAAUGUGCCUACAAUGUCAUGGAUUAGGAUAAAUUUGGGUAGGCUAUGCUUGAUUCCCGGAAAGUUUAAGGAAAAAUACAAGGGAAAGAAAAUCAAAAGCAAAAGUAGAAGGAAAGAAAAAGUGAAAUAAAAUCAAUAAAUUAUUUUUAUAUCCUACCUCAAAUUCAAUCCACUUAUUUAUCUUUUUCAUAUAAAGAUUAAAUAAUUUAAAAAUAUAAAAAUUUCUUACUUAUUUUAAUUAUAUUUGACUUUCUUUAUUAUUUUUCAUACUAAAACCAAACAUAGAAAAAUUAUUUUUUUCUUUGCAUUUAUUUUCUUUUCUUAGUACUUCCCAGGAACCAAACAUAGCCUUAGUAUUAUGCAUAUAUUCUUACACAAACAACCAGCUGUUUGAGAUAACUUAUAUUAAAAAUUUUCUAAGAGAUGAAGUCAAAUCAAAAUUUUAAAGGGAUAAUCUUAUUAUUAUAAAAUUUUUAUUAAAUAUAAAGCUACUUCCAUGAAUAAAAAGAAAAAAAAUUAUGAGAAGUAGCUUCAAUUUCUUUCUUUUAUUUUUGUUUUGUUAAGCUUUUUAAAUUUUAAAGUUACCAAUAAAUACAAUGUGUGAUGUAGUGUGAAAAUAAUAACUUAAUGUAUUAAGGCCACUUUUAAUAUGUGAAAUUCUACAAUAGGAAUAGGAAUGUAAGUGUGAUUUGCUAGUGGUCCUAAUCGUGUGUGUGCAGGGGCGGAGCCACCUUGUGCCCAGAAAGGGCUUUGGAAAAAAAGAACUUUACGAGUGCCUUAAAAUUUGAAUUUUCUUACUAUAAUUGCUCUCUCUCUAGAGUCUAGAGCGAGUGAAGCACCGUCAUUUGCAUUGGGGAAUGAAGCAUGGCGACUGGGCACGUUUUAAUAUAGGGGCGAUGCUUUUAUUGUUUGGACAAUUCUGCCCUUGACGUGGUUAUCACCUGGGGAGGGGAUAAGCUUGGCAAUAAAUGCGGCGACGGUCUCACCAGCGCUGCCACGUGGCUAAUUUUUGGUCCAGGUUCGAGGUAUGGAGCUGCCCUUCCACUUUACAUGAAAAAUUAUUGUUUCUGCAUGACAGCAAAUUAAUAAGAAAACAAUAAAUAAAAUCAUUAUCGAAGAAAUGAUAGCACAUGGAGAAGUAAGUCAUCUCAAGCCCCUGUUUUGUUGGAUAAUGGGCCAAAAUUAUGGAGAAAUUUUGAUAUGCCAGUCAUUUUCCUUGUAUUAAUACGUGAUAUUUUUUGUAAGUAUAGAUACCAUGGAGUAAAAGAAAAAAAAAAAAAAAAAAUCUCAGAUGUGGAAACCUAGAAGGUCACUAGGUGGGGUGGCGGGGUAAUAAAAUUACAAGAUAGUGGUAAAAUUUACCUACAAAUAGAAGAAGGUGUGGUUGUGGGGGAAAUUAAUUGCUGGUAGUACAAACAUGUCUUUAGGAUUGCAAAAUUAAUGUCCUUCGAGUAUAUUCAUUAUUCCAACCUUGAAUGCAGUUAGUAUUGCUUGGUUUACAUAUGACUUUGGCUCUCUACAUUCAAUAAAUUCAUAGACUUAGGUGUGUUCUUCCAUUCCCUUUUUUUAUUUUUUUUAUUUAUUGUGAGUGUCAUUUUACAUAUUUUAAGCAUCAUAAUUGAAAUAUUUAUUCAUACUUUAAGUAUAAUUGAAUAAAUAUUUCAUUAAUUACCAUAAUUAUUACAAAGCAUAAGUAAAUACCUCAAUUUGGCAUAUCUUAUUAUAGUUUUAACUUAGAACCAAUAAUUUUAACAUGAUAUGCUUAUUACCAAAUAAUAUUUUUUCCCAAGACAUUUUAAAUGUCUUACUAAUCAUGACAUCAUUGUUAUCUCAUGAAUUGGAUUUGAACUAACAUCUCUGAGUGAUUUUCUGUUUUUGCACUUUGAUCUUAUUUGUUUAUAAUUUGAUUUCAUAUGUUUUUAUCUUUAUUCAACGAUGAUAUAUAUUUAAAUUUUUCAUUUUCUUAUCUACUCUUUUUUAUCCUUUAUUCCUUUUGUAUUGUUUAUCUACUUUGAGCUUGGAUGGAAUAGUUUAGGAAACUUGCCAAAUUAUUUUUAUCAAAGAAAAAGUAUAAUUGAUUAAAUUUGUUUAUAAAAGUUAGAAAAAAAAUGGAGGAGAGUAAAGGUAUGAAAAUGGAGGGCCAAUAGUAGUAAGAAAAACCAAUAAUUCAGACAAUAAAAGCAGGAAAAAGAUGAGUUGGGAUAUAGGAUAGAGGUCCAUCUCUCUGAGAUAUGGGUCCACAGAUUAUCACUAUAGUACUCCAAAAUGUUCAGACGUGUGCCCGAAUCUCUGCUUCCCACACACAGUUGGGUGAUUCAGGAAGUGGUCUAUUUCCUAUUGAAUGCAAAUGGAGCCAUUUUGUCCAUUCAUUGAGAAAGUAGUGAUCUGGAUUCUCAUCUUUCCCUGGAAAUUGGUCCACAUAAAUGGAGUCAGGACAAGCCAUCAUUUGUCAUUGUUCUCAGGAUUUCAAACAUAGUGAAUUGCAAAAUCUUCAGGCCCAUGCAUCCUUUCCUUGAUCUCUUUGGCUGUGCUGGAUCUUUGGCUGCCACCCAUUUUUAUGUAAAUUCCAUUGGAAUACGUACAGUAACAACUUAUAAAAAACCUUCCUAAAAUCUUUUAAAAGACAUAAAAUCCCUUGUAUCUUAGUGAAAUAUGAAAAUUGCAUUUUUAAAAGACGAGUAAUGCUCCUGCCUACACGAAAAGUCCAACCUGGUAAUGCUCAAUUUUUAGGAAACUCAGGUAAGUAAAUCCUAAAUCAUGUACUCAUCCUUUGGUGAUUUCUCCUCUUACUUGCGAAUGGGUCAGGGAUUGGGUUUUUUCUUCUUGAUCUUGUCAUGUGUCUGUUUGGGAGGGCCUUGCUUUUGUAGUGCACACACAGACAGCAUCAAACCUGGGGAAGGGCUUCAAUUCUCGAAGCUACUGGUUUCGUCACAAGGGACUUUCACACUGGGGUUCUUUAUCUUGGACACCCGCAGUUAUUUAGGAAUCUGGUACACAAGUGAUGUUAACAACAAGAAAGUUUGGGUUGCUA
rnacentral:lncRNA from 1 species